rnacentral:lncRNA from 1 species
UGACAACCAACUUUUAAAUCUUGGACUGGUUUGAUGGAAGCAACAUCCUAAGGUGACAAUUGUAGAUGUCCUAUUUAAUUUUUGAAAUCUUUUGUAAAUUCUAAAUUUUGUUUUUAUUUGUUUAUUUAUUUAUUUAUUCUCUUUUUUUUUUUUUUUUUGCGCUUUCAAUUGACUCUUUGAGUUAUAGUGGUAGUUGAUUGUGGGGCAUAACAUUGUGGCUCUUGUUGGAUUAUUGGAUGAUAGGUUCUAAACCAAGCCUAACUCCUUUUUUUUUUAUGAAUUUUAUUUUUAUCUGAUUUAUAUCUUCUGUAAAAAAAAAAAAUUGAAAUUGAAAGGUCGGGAAGAUAAACAAAAUGAUAAAUAAAGAGAAGGAAAUCAGAUGAAUUUUGAUGAUGAUUUUUGUGAAGAUAAGUUGAAUCUUUUAAGAAUAAAGGACAUGAUAAUUUUUAAAAUUAACCCAAUCAACAUUUUGUUUCGAUUUGGAUUCUAAACGAGCUGGGACUAAAGGCUUAUAUAAGCAACAAUAAUUGAACACAAUAUACACAACAAGUAAAGGCAAUCGCAGAGGUAGAAAGCAAGUAAAAAAAUUUUUUCCACAAUAGGGUUCUUAAUUUGAAAUUUUUUUUUUUUUGCAAUUUUAGUUAUUUGAAUCAGUUUAAUUUGGAAAAAUUAGUGUUAUUAAGGGAUUAAAGAGGCGCAAAGAUCCAAGUUGAAUUUUUAGCCUUUUUUAUGUAAGAAUCUAGAAAUUUUUAAAUUUUUCAAUGAAUUUUAAAUUUUUUAACGAAUUCUUUUAGCGAAAUUCACAGUUUUUGGUGAAACUUGAAUUUUCUAACGGUUUUGAGCAUGAUUGGUUCACUGGGAAUCAUUUUCUUGGAGAUAGUUGUGUUACAAACUAAUUUUGCAGUUUGUAAUCUGAGUAUUAAUGUUACAAACUAAUUUUUAGCAUGAAUGGCGUGUCCUGGCCUUAUCAUUUACUCUUUUUGUUCUUUUUUUUUUUUGUUUAAAUUUUUUAUGAAUGUUUCAAAAUCUUAUAUUUUUAAUAUCUAAAAUUUUUAUUUUUUUAUCUUUUAAAAUUAUUUAUUAUUAUUUAUUUUUUACAUUAAAAAUAAAAAGUUUUAAUUUUAAUAUUCAUGAUAAAAUUAAUUUUAUUCAUGAUAAAAAUUUAUUAAUGACUUUUAAUUUAUUAAUAUUCAAUAUUUAUUAUUAGUAAUUUAUAUCAAUAUUUUGUAAUCAUACUUGUCCACGUUAUUUAUUAUAUAUGAAUUAAAAAUGAGCAAAUAACUAAAUAAUUUCAAAAAAAUUAAGUUUCAAAAUCAUCACUAAUAGUACGAUAAGAUAAAAAAAAUACUAUUAAUAUUGAUUACUUAAUUAACAUAAUGAUCUAAUCUUAAAACAAUUCAAAAAUAUCAAAAUUACUUAGACAUAAUAUUAAUAUAAUUUAAAUAAUUGAACUUUAUUAAAAUUAAUAUUUAACUGUUUAUACUUAUUACUUAUUAAUAAAUUAAUAAAAUUUGAGAUAUUAAAUUAAAUUAAUUAAUUGAUCACAUUUGACUUUUCAUAUUUUCUUUCUAUCUAAAAGUAAAAAAUGUAUAAUUUCAACAAAAAAAAAAAAAAACCCUUCCAAUUUAAUUCUAACCAUUUAUUUAAAGUCUAGCCAUUUCGAGUGUGAGUUAAUUUGAGUUUAAAUCAAUGUUGAAUUAUAAUGCAAUAAUUAUAGGUGAUAUAUCUCAUGAUUUAAUUCUUUGGCCUAAAACAAUAAAGAGCCAGUAGCAGAUAAUUAAGUAAUACAGAACUUACAUCAAAAUUUUAAAAACACAGAGAUAUCUCCCUUCAUCUCCUCUUAUUCUGAACCAAGUAGAGCAUGCAUGUCCUUGGAAAUCAUCCUCAAGUUCUAUCACAAGCCCGUCUCCCUUCGCAUAAUCCCAUAGGACUAAAAAAAUGGAGACAUUACUGAACUAGCACAAGGCACCACAGUUUGGAUUUACAUCUCCAUAGAAAUGAAUAUUUCCAUCACAUUAUGCUGUAAAAUGUGCAAUGCUCUCCUCAGUGCUAUUAAAGAAUAAUGGUCAGCUCCAUAGCCACCAUGGUGGAAAGUGCAACCCAUUCUUAAUAUCAGUUGCUACUCCACCCAAUUUACAAAUGUCUAAUGUCAGCCUUUCUUUGAAAAGCUUUGGAACAAAUAAGACCUUAUAUAGAAGCUGGUAGAUGGUUCAUGCAGUUAUCCUCAAAAAAUGACAUCUAAUAGGUUUGUGGUUUGAAUUUCAGUGCUUACAACUCCUUCUUUUAUCCCUAAUGCAAAAAAAAAAAAGAGACCUUAUAUGCACGGUGGCAGGGACUUGGACACUAGAAUGGAAACUAUAGGAUGGGUUUUUGAGGUUAGCAUCUGGGAUGUCUAAGGAAGAAUCCAUGGUUCUGAAAACCCCUGAAUAGACGUGGAAUCAGGAUGAUAAUAACUUGUGCUUUUGAUAAUUUAGUUUUUGCAGCACUCAAAAUUCAGUUUCUACCCUUCUGACAAGGAAAUAGUGUUUUUCCUCUUCAAACAGUUACUGUGGUCAUUUAUUCAGUAUAAAAAACUAACUCAAAAAAGGUAAAUUAUUUCAUACUUUUUCGUUUUAUCUUGAAUCUCCAUCAUAUUACAUGUAGGCCAAAAAGGAUAAUACAUUAGUGGACUUGAUCAAACUAAAAAAGCAGUGGCUGCAGCUCAUACAAAAUAAGAUCAUAACAUUAAAAUCUCGAAAUGGAAGACAGAUGCAUAUCACUUUGUUCUUUUCCAGCCCACAAUUUUCUUUAAGAAUUUCAAAAGGCAUAAAAAGAAAAAUUAUCACUGAGAUUAAGCCUUUUAAAAAAUGAUAUGAAAAUUCACUUAUUCAGCUUAUGUUUUGGUUUACUAAUUAGAAUAGAGUUCGAGAGUUCGAUUACAUACGAAAAAAGUUAUAGCAUCCUCACAACUCCCAUCCUAAGAUGAUACCAUUUAAUUUUAAAUUAUCUUAAGGAUUUUUGGUUCUAAUGAUUUUUUUAUUAAACUUUGAUAUUUAAAUAUUAAAAAUAAUUUUUAAGAUUUUUUAUUAAUUUGACAGAAUUCUUAAAAAAUACUUCCUCAACAGGAGUAUUUAAAAAUCGUAUUUAUUUUUUUGAAGAGGUUCUGUUGUAAAAAAAAAAAACUUAAUCAUUUAUUUUUUAUUUUGUUUUUAUUGAAAAUAUGUCUAAUUCUUUCAUCAUUUAGGUCAAAAUUAGAAAUAUUUUUUCGCCUAGAAAUUUUUUAAAUAAUCAUCCUUUUGUAAUUAUUAUAAAUUUAAUCCUCAGAAUUUAUUCUUUUUAUUUUGUGUAAGUUUUUUGUAUCUAAAUUUCUAUUGUAUGGAGACAAAUCUAAAUUUUCCACCAUUUUAAAAACUUUUAGAAAUACUUUUUUUACCUAAAAAUUUCUAAAAAAAUCAACCAUUCUUGAUUUCUUAGAAUUUCAUCAUCAACAUUUUUUUAUCAUUUCCAAAACUUCUCAUUUCUAUCUUUUUUAUUUACUACAUUUAAAAAUAUAAUUAUUAUAAUUUUAUCUAAUUUUACCAUCAUUAUAGUAAAAUUUUAGAAAUAAAUUUAUUAUCUAGAGUUUCUCAUCUUGAAAUUUUUUAGAGGAUCAACCAUUCUUGAUCUCUUAGAAUCUCAACAUCAAAUUUAUUUUAUUAUUUUUCUAUUUUUUAAGAUAUAUUUUUGUUAUUUCUAAAACUUUCUAAAAUUAUUUUUUUAAUUUUUUAUGAUUUUAAAGCAAAUAUCAAUAUUGUUAUUGAAAAUUUUAUCUAAAUCUCCAAUUUGAAGAUAUCAAAAAAAAAAAAAAAAAACUUCUCACUUAAAAAAAUUCUAGAAAUUCAACAAUUCUUGAGUUCUAAAAUUUUACUAGUUGGUAAUUUUCAUUUAUUUUUUUAGGAUUAUAUUCUUUAUUCUUAUUUUCAUAAAUUAUUUUUAUUAACAUUUUCAUAUAAAUUGUCCACCAUUCUAGAGAAUUUAUAAGAAAACUUCUUACUUAAAAAUUUCUAAAAAUCAACCAUUCUUGAUUUUUAAAAUUAUCUCAUUAGGAUAAUUGCCAUGUAUUUUAGAGUUUUUGUUUCAUUUUUUUUAUAUUUGGUGUUCAAUUGACGAGAAAUUAAAUUUAUUUUUUUUGGUUUUCAACUAAAUUUUCCACCAUGGAGAAUUUAAAAGAAAUUGCUUAUCUAAAAAUUUCUGAAAAGUAAAUUCCUUACAAAAAAAUUUUCACUUAUAAUUAAAGUUUGAAUUAAAUUACAUGAUUCAAAAAAAAGUUAUUUAUCUUCAAGAUUUAUAUGAAAUACAUGAUUCUGAUAAUAUUUUAAUUAAAGAAAACUACAAGUAUAAAUAUAUUUUAUUCUACCAUAUUUUAGUUUUUUAAGUGUGAAGCUAGUAAACAUUUUUCUAGUUUAAGAAUGAAUGCUUUAUAAAAUGUACAACAAAGUAAAUAAAUGAUAAAAAAAAAAAAAAAGAACCAGAAAAUUAAAUAAGGGAAAAAAAAAAGAUGAAAACCUAAAAUUUGAGUUGCAACUCAAAUCCAACGCAGGCCAGCCUAAGCUAAAAAGUAGGGUUGGAGUUCGAGGCUUCAAAUUGUGGUUCUUGAAUCCUCCUCAGGUUACACUCAAAAUAUAAGCUUUUUGGACUUGGACCAGAUCUUUAAGUUCUAGAACAUUCCUUCCCCUUUCUUUAUUCUUUAUUGCAAAAGGAUAAAGCCCAACUUCUCAUUUCAGCAACACAGCUCUCAGUUUUUGCUGUUUUCUCGUCCUUUUUGCCGAUAAGUUGUCACUUCCCUUAUUAUUUUCGGAAUCUCACAACACUCCGCAAAUUUAAACACAAAGACCAUUCUACCACUUCUUGGAAUUCCUAAUCCCAACUACUCGGAUCGUUGAAAAACUCCUCCAAAUCCUUCCCCUUUCUUUUGCCGUUUAAAAGAGUACCAAAAUGUGCCUAACUAAAAGUGAAUCCCAAACCGAAAACCGCUGCUAGAAGAAUAUCUUUUAUUUUCGUCUUUCGAUUGUUGAUUCUAUCUCUGUGGCUAUUUUUGAUGCUUGACUCUGGUUAUUGUGUUUUGAUUAUUUGUUGGAUUUUGGAUCGAUGGUUACUAUUUGGGCAAGAAAAGGUAGUGGUAGUCUUCGGUUGCUGGUUUAGAUAGUGGAUGACUGGUGGUGGUGACUGGCAAUUGGGAGCGGCCGAACAAAAUGGGGAUUUGCUUCCUAUCUCCCCUGUGUUGCCCUCUGAUUUUCUCUGCUGAUUGCUUUCUCUAUGAUUUUUUUUUUUUUUUGUUAGUUGUUGUGAAUUGAAAGUUUAUUUAUAGGUAAGAUCACGAGAGUUUCAACUUACUUAGGAAUAGAUUUCUUUAAAAUUAAAGAUUAUCCCUAUAGUAAAUCUAAUCUCAAACUGCUUCUGAUGAAGCUAGCAUCUUAACCGAGAUAACAUCAUUUUAAACUUCCAAAUUAUCAAAUAAAAAUAAAAUAAAUAAGGAUAAUAAGAAUACGGAAAAAUAAAAUAAAAGUCUAAAAUCUAAAAUUCAAUAAUUGGAUUUCAAAUAAGACCAAGUCCAAUUGAUUUGGGCCUCCAUAAAAUAAAAUAUUGACCUCGAGAAAUUGCUCAUAGUAGAAUAAAAACUUAACCUUUAUAUGAGAAAUAUUUAAUGUUAUCAAUUUGAUUAAUUUUAUUUCUUAUAUCGUCUGAAAAUCUGAAUCUCUCUCGCAUUGUCUUUUUUCGUGGGUGGCCUCAAAACAAUUGUUGACGGCUCAAUUUCCUUUCGUUUCCCCCUUUUUUUCCCCCUUUCUUUCUUUGCUUCUCCUUUUUUUCAUUUUCAAAUUUUUUGGUAAUAAAUAUAUUUCACUAUCACCACCUAUGAGAUGGCUUGAUCGAUGAGUACAAGAAGUAAGCCAUCACUAUUCUCCUUUGAGACUACCAUUGUAGCAACCAAAAUCUCUAAUCAAGAAAAAGGUAAUCCUAAUUAUGGGGUUUUUAUAUUACCUUUGUUUUGAGUUGAUUUUUAAGUUUCAAUUUGUGUAAAAUUGUUGAUGUAUUUGCAGGAGAAAAAGAACAAAAUUAAAAUAUUCAAAAUGUAAUUUCUCAAAAUGCUAAACCAUAAACAAAGGCUUUAAAUAUUGGUAGAGUUGUUCUAAGUUUGAUAUCUUGUAUCAAAUUUUUUGGGUUUGAUAUUAGAUUUAAAGAAAUAUUGAAUUUCAAAGGUUUGGAUUAGUUAUGCAUUUGAUAUUUUUUAUAAGAUUUAGGGUUGUAAACUGAGGGUAGCCAUGGUAGUUUUUCCAACUUCCUGCCGAAUAGUUUCUCCUUUAAGAGAAUAGGCCUUGAUCCAAGCAGUCCAAAUUGAGCCCUCUUUUGACAAUAAAGUCUAAAUAUAUUGGAUGAUGCAAACUUUCUUCAAACUGAAAAGAUCUUUAAAUAUACUUCAGAUUUUAUGGAAUAUUUCCCCAUCAUUUUAUUUCAAUUUAAUGGUUAGUGAAAUAUGAAAAGUUUUCUAAAUAAAAUUGAUUCAUUUUUUUCUUUCAAAAUUUUAUUUCCAAGGCAUUAGUUAAUAAAAUAUAAUUUUAUUUCAAAAGUUUAUUUUCAAAUAAUUAAUUAAAUAAAAUACGAAAAAAUUGGAAUUAAUAUACAUAAUUCGUAUAACUUUUCUUUUCCUACCUAUUUUUAAUCAAACUCAAUAAUUACUAACGAUAUCAAAAGUUUUUUUGAAAGAAAUUUAUUUAUAUUUUUUUUAAACGUUGUUUUCAAAUCAUUAAUUAAAAGUACAAAAAAUUCACAUUAUUUUCAAAUCAUUAAUUUUAUGCUUUUUCCUCUCCCUAUCAUUUAUCAAAACAAAAAAAAAAGUAAUUUUUUCAUGAACAAUUUUUAUUUUAAACCAAAUGACGACAUUGACAUUUUUCCUUUCAAAGGUUUGUUUUCAAUUUAUUAAAUAAUUCUAUAGAAAACUAAUAAUUGAGAAAUGAAAACAUGAGGAAAUUUAUAGAAAAAUAAUUAGCAAUUGUUGUGCACCAAAACAUUUUAGCAAAAAAUAUCUUUGGACUAUUUAACUUAAAAUCUUUACUUCAAAUCAAGAGUUCAAGUAUAUCAAGAAAAAAAAAACUAAUUCUUCUAAAAUGAAAAAAAAAAAUUGACAACCUUCUGAAUACAAAAAUAUAAACAAUUAUAUCAUAUGUUCUCACUUGAGUUACUUGUAUUUUAGCUACUCAUCAUUUAUUGAAUAAAAAAUAUUGACACCUUUAUAGAAUAAAGUAACAGGAAAACCAUUGGCAUCAAGUUAAAUAAACUUUGCAUCGUUUAUUUUCAAAAUAUGAUUCAAUAAAACUAUGGAUUCCAAAUAAAACAUAUCACUCUAAUGUUCCUCCAUUAGAAAAUUAAAAAAAAAAAAUUAUUGCGAGAAAGAUGAUCGCAUUUCUCAAGAAGAAACACCACCCCACUUUUGGCCAUGAUUUCAUGAACUUUCUAAGACAUUCCACGCCAUUGGAAGGUGAACUUCCAAUGCACAAACACACCAUAAAGCUCUCACUCAAGCUUCAUGCAAUCACAAUAAAAGAAGAAACAGCACAAUCUGUUCCACGCUGAAUUCAUAAGUUACAUACUGCAAUAAAGUUACAAAACUUGCAUCAGUUCCCCUUUUUUCUUUUUUCUUUUUUUUUUUUUUUGGACAAGAAGCUUGCGUUCAUAUUUCGAAAAUCAAUUUCUAACAAUAAUCAAGUGAAAGAAAAAAGAUGAACUUCAAAAAACUUGCACCUACCUGUAUUAUUAUUCCUUUUCAUCAUACUUACUAAAUUGGUUUUGUGAAUAAUAGAAAAAAAUGCCCAUACUGAUAGUUGAUAAAUUAAUAACGUCAUACCAUAUAAAAAUAGGAGACAAUAAUUUAUAAACUUAGAUUAAUAUGUACAAGUGAUGAUUGACUAACUCCAGGCAUUUCAAACACCUAACAUUAUAAAUCGAUAGGAAAUCGAAUCAACAGAAAUUCAAUAAUGGUUUAUAUGAUUAAUAACAUCUAUUUUAUCAAAGUAAAUAAUUAAAAUUAAUAUUUACUUUUAGGAAAAGUCAUUUCAUACUUUUAUCUUUAAAAUGGUUUAAUUUCAAUAAAUAUAUAGGUGCUAUAUAGUAAAUUCGUACAUGAAUACUAUUUUAAUUAUGUAAAUAUGUGUUCAAUACUAACAAUAUUGUAAUUAACUUCUAUGUUAAAUAACAAUUAAUAUAGUUAAUUUAUUAAAAUAAAUAAAGCAUGUUUGACUUGAUUAUUAAUUCCAUAAUCAAGCAUAAAUCACCUAAAAAAAUAAAAAAAAAAUGAGCCAUUAUUUUUCAUCCAAUCCAAAUUACUUAAAAUGCAAUUAUAUGAGUCAUAAUUUUCAUACAAGAAAAUACAUUAGUACACUUUUAUUAUUAUUAAAAUUAUAUACUUACUGUUAUUAUUAUCAUUGAGAUAAAAAAGAGUUGUAACGAAAAAGUAUUCCUAAUUAAUGAUUGCAUUAAUAAAUAUUGUAAGUAAAUGAAAAUGAAUUUAACUUACUAGUUCUCUUCAUGAUAAUUUAUGUUUUGGUUAAUUACAUAGAAAUUAUAUAUAUGUUACUUCUAAUCAUACAGAACAUAUAUAAAUUAAUUAUAUGUAUUGAGAAAUAAUAUGAAUUUAAUAAAAGAAAAUAAAAGAAAACACAAAUGCACAAAAUGAGCCUAUCUUUCUAUAUAUGUAACCACACAUCCAGGUGAAAAGGCUUUUUAUGCAAAUCGCAUAAUUAUUUAAACUCUUUAAUGAUUCAAUGCAACUAAAACUCUAGUUUUUAUCGUAAAAUUUAAAAUGUUAUUAAAAAAAAUUUACUUUAAUAAAAAGUUCAAAGUUAAUAAAUAAAUAUAGAGAUAAAAAUUCAAAAUUAAUGAAAGUACCUUGAUUAUUGAACCAAAAUAUGUAUUAUGGUAGUAGUAACCUUAACCUGCAAGUAAAUAUAAAGCUUAAUGAAGUACCUUAUUAAAAGAAAAUUAGAUAAAUAUAUACUAUGUACUUUUUUAUUAGCCUAAACUAUUUAUAUGAUUGCAUUCUUACCACAUUAAUUAAUCCUGCAUAAUAUUGUUCAGAUAUUCUCUUUUGAUAUUCUUCAGCAUGGAGACGACAUUCUUCAUAUCUAAUCUAUCUUCAGGAAAUUCAGCUGAACAAUCCAAAGCUAAUCUCAUAAUAGAUGAUAUACAAUUUGCUUUAAUAACAAAAUAUUCAUCGGUUUCUUGCACUAAACUAGAAUCUAUUACACCAAUUAUUUCAUUAGAUAAUGACCCUUUCACCCAAUGAUUCAUACUCAUUUCUCCAACAAAAAUAUCAUCUGUGGGCUUCUUUUUUGUGAAGGUUUCUAUUAAUAGAAUACCAUAGCUAUAGAUAUCAGUCUUCACCGAAACAAUUCCCAUCGAUCCGUAUUCUGUAUUUUAAAUAUAAUUGAAUCAUUAAAAUGAUCUUAUGCCGUUCGGGCAUCAUUAAUCAUCAAUAAAAUGAUAAAAUACUAAUAUCUACUCGUAUUGGAAUAGAGAAAAAAUAAAAAAUGAAAAUUUCACCUGGUGCCAUAUAGCCAAUAGUAGCUAGUGUCGUUGUUUGUUUGAUGGAAUCUCCUCCCAAUAGCUUGGCAAUUCCAAAAUCUCCCACAUGUGCAACCAUGUCCUCAUCCAAUAAGACGUUACUUGGUUUUAGGUCACAAUGGAUUACAGGAAUUGGAUGUCCCAAAUGGAGGUACUCUAAUGCCGAUGCAACAUCUAUCAUGAUGUUGAUUCUUUGUAGGAUAUCCAAUACAUAAUUGUAAGAAUAUAACCAUUUCUCAAGGCUCCCAUUAGGCAUGAACUCAAGCACUAGGGCUUUGAAAUCAAUAGUUGAACAACAAGUAAUGACCUUGACAAGAUUGCGAUGAAGGAUAUUGCUCAUCACUUCACAUUCAACGUCAAAACUCUUAAAUGCUCCAUCUCUUUGCAUAUUGAAAACUUUUAUUGCGACUUCUGUUCCAUCUGAAAGUAUUCCUUUGUACACAGAGCCAAAACUUCCUGAACCAAGUAAGUUAUUCCAACUAAAUCCACCAGUCCCUUGCAAUAGUUGAUUAUACGAAAUUCUUCUCCUUUUCUUGAGAGGAAUUGAAUCUUUAACCAUUACCAAAUUCAUAUUCCCCCGCUGCCCUUUUUUGUAGACAAUUAUGACAGCUACAACUAUUAUUAUUGAAGCAAAUGUUGGUAAAACAUACCUCAAAGCAUGAAGAGCGGUCUUCUUGAAUUUUGGAUGGAUUUUAUUUUUGCAAGGUGAGACUUGUAGUCUAGGUGAACCACAUAGUGCAUGAUUUUUCAUGAAUGAUUUGGCUGUGAAGUUCGAAAAAGGCCCUCCACUUGGUACUUCUCCUUCUAAUCUAUUGAAAGACACAUUAAAAUAAUUGAGAUCAUAAAGUUUUUCCAAAGACUUGGGAAUGACUCCAGAGAGAUUGUUGUUAGAUAAAUCCAAGCUUUUCAAACUCAUCAAGUCGCCCAAUGAUUUUGGAAUAGGGCCUUGUAAUCUAUUUCUAGAAAGAUCUAAAACUUGUAGAUCAUGGAAACUUCCAAUUGUGGACGGAAUAUCACUUGAUAAUAAAUUCCUUGACAAAUUCAAAGAAAUAAGGACCUUCAAAUUUCCAAUGUCAUGUGGAAGUGAACCGCUAAGAUUGUUUGAUGACAAGUCUACUUCCAAGAUAUCUUUAAGGCUCCAAAAAGUUAAAGGUUUUUGCGAAUGCAAUUUGUUGGAGAACAAGUAUAGAUAUCUCAGAGAAGUCAAAUCAGACAAACAUGUUGGUAAUGGUCCAUCAAGCUCAUUAGCACCCAAUGAUAAUUCGUACAAUCCCUUCAAACCACAAAGAUCUUGUGGGACAAAGCCUUGUAACUUAUUUCCAUGAAGAUUUAAAAGUUGGAAAUUUUUUAACCUUCCUAUUGUUAUUGGAAUAGGUCCACUCAAUUUAUUGGAGGACAGGUCUAACAAUAUAGCUUUGCUUAAGCUACCAAUUUCCAUGGGAAUGCUGCCUCUAAUUUUGCAAUCAACGAGCCAUAAUUUUUGAAGUGAUGUGGAGAGAUUUGAGAUAGAAGUUGGAAGAAUGCCAUUCAAUGGUUUGAGUGAUAGGUCCACAAAUGUUAGAUGCCUGCAAUUUUCAAAGGAAUAGAGAAAGCUCCAUUCAUGAGUUGAAGUUUUGGUGGUCAAAUGAUUCCACGCAAGGUUCAACAUCUCAAGGAACCUCAAAUUGCAAAGUGUAUCUGGAAUAAGGCCAAAGAAUGAGUUUUUUGCUAAAUCUAGGAUCCUGAGCUUAGAAACAUUGGAGAUAGAGUCAGGAAUAUUUCCACUGAGAUUAUUGCUCCAUAAGUAAAGACCUUCAAGAUUUGAAGCAGAGCUCAUGUGUGGUAAUUUACCUAAAAAGAAAAAAAUAAGUUUGCAUCCUUCCAUACAAGAAAUAAAUUAAUUGUUUUGCUUUGUUGUGUUUUUCAUGAAUCUAUGAUGCAAACUGAAGUGAAUGCAAUGCUUACAUAUACGAACAUGAGUGAGGAGAAACUUGAAGCCUUUUAACAAUUAUAAAUAUGAAACAACUUCAAGUUUUUCUUGUUUGAUAAUCUGGAAUAUAUAUAUAUAUAUUUAUAUGAUUUAUAAAAUUUUUUUCAUAUUUAUAAUGAUCAAAUUAGGGCUCCAUGCUUACGUAUAAUAAAGUGCAAAAGAGAAAAGAAAAGUAAAAGGAAAAAGAAGAUAGAAGAAAGGAAAGGAGAAAAGGAGAUAUUAUAAGGUUCUAGUAUAUGCUUAAAAUGUUUUCCAUUUAUGUGAGAAUUUUAUUUUCUUUAACUUAUCUCAAUUGCUUUAAUGAUAAAAAAGAUUAAAGAAAUUUUCGUUGAUGAAAUUGUUAAUGUACGAAAGAAAAAGAAAUGAGAUAAAAGAUGAAAAAAAUAAAAAAUAAAAGUAUAUUUACAUUAAUUUGUUUGAGAAAAGAAAAAUCUGAAAGUAAAAAUAUUUGGAAAUAAAUUAGAAUUUUUAUCUAUGCCAUUUUAGGAAAAAAAGGCUCAAGAGAAAUGAUAAAAUUUCUGUCAUUUUACACUAUAUAGGCAUAAUCAAAGAGAAAAAUACAAAGAUUCUAUCAAAAGAUUGUUAAAAGUACACGUACUCUUUUGAGUUUGAAAAUCAGUUUCUUUCUUCCCUAAGGUUUGAUAGAACCUUACGAGUGCUCUACCAGAGGAUGUUCAUUUGAGGUUUGUUGGAGUAAUACUGUAUACAUUUUCCUACUACAAUAAAAAAUUUAGUAAUAUGAUGACAAAAAAUGUGAAACUAAUGAAAAAGAUUUUAAAAUGAUGCUUUCGAUUACAGAAUUAUUAGAGGGUGAAAAGCCUUGCCUUAGUCCGAUUUAGAGGGUGAAGCAAAGGUAAGUCAAAAAGCUCUUCUUGGAUGCUAUGAAGGCCACAUAAGAACAUUAAUUACCUUGGGAGAAAAAAAAUUUUUACACUGUUUGUUGAUGGAAUUUUUCCAGGAUGUAAUCUCUUUAAUCUCAAGCAAUGUUUUGUCAGAUGUGGGAGGGUGGUUGAUUUUUAUGUCCCAAAUAAUCAGAAGAGAGCCAAAAAUGUCUUAGUUGGUUUUGUCCAUUAUCUUGAUCUACGGGAUGCAUUGAGGGCUGUCAAAUUUCUAAAUGGUUAGCUCCUGAGUUAUUCCACUCUAUAUGUUCAAAUGGCAAGGUAUGAUCAAAGGUCUCAUGCUAGUUCCAAACCCACCACUCACCACGUGGAAAAAGGUGUUAGCUGCAUAGAAGACUUUAAAGAUGGACGAUCUUAUGCAGAGGGGUUCAUAUGUCUGUCAAAUCCACUCAGUUAAAGGAUAAUAUUGUAUCAGAUGGUCAAAAAGAAGAGGUUUUAAAAUCGCUUAACAUCCUUGAAUACAUUCCUGAAAAUUUAGAUGUGGUGGGAUUACAACGGAAUGCUGUUGGGAUAGUUAGAUAUCCUGAUACUACAAAUGCCAUUGAUCAAAUCUUGUCAGAGGAAAUUAUGUUAUUAUCUCUGGAACUUGGUCAGGAGUUUCUGUUGAGCUUAUGAGCAAUAGUGAUAUAGAUGCUGAGAAACUUUUCAACGUCGAAGAAAAAUUUCACCUUGUUACUACUAUUCGAGUAGGUAAAAGAAGGAAAAAAGGUAAGGCAAAAUAUUGGACAAGAUCCAAUCGCAGGUCUCGCCAGAUAAAGACACCUCUAGUUUCCAAUGUUCAAGAGCGCUUAUCGGAUGAAGAUAUUCGUUCUCGAAAUAGAGCUUUUCUAGAUGGAUAUGAUAGUGGUUACGAGGUUAAUGUUGAGAGUUCUAGCGUUUUGCUAUUUGCAUGCUUUUGGGAUAUGAAAGAGCCCCUAUGUAAAAAGAAUCAUCGACCAUGAAAGUUGUUUUCUAUAUUUUUUGAAAUUGUGAUGCUUUGGAGAUCAAUUGGGGCAUCCAGUUUGAUAAAAAAAAUUUAAAAACCUGAAUGAUAUGGUAGAUGUCAUGCAAAGGUGGGUGGUGAUUUUGUUCUGUAAGGGAUAGUGGUGUUUGCUCUCAUUAUUUGUUUACCGACCAUGGUAGUGUUUUUUUUUUCCUUUUUGUUUGGAUGUCAUGAUUUCUUCUUUUUAGGUGGAAGUCUUUCGUUAGAAUUGUGCUAGAUGUUUUUUUUUGUUGUUUCUGGUAUGGCUUUAACUAUGUUUCUUGGUAAGAUUCUUGUAUUUCACUGAUGAUGUUCUUUUGAUCUCUAAUGAAAAAAUGGCUUAACAAAAAAAAAGUUACACAACUAUUGCUUUUUAUUUCGUAAAAGAACAGUUAAAUUCCCUAAUUUGACAAAAAAAAGGAUAAAAAUAGCACUUAUUUUUAUUGCAUAUAAUAAAAAGAGAGCAUAUAAUUUACAACUAUUAUAAUUCAAUUAAUUAAUUAUAAUUUAAAAUUAUAUAAAAUUUAUCAAAAUUUUAUAUGUAACCAAUAUUUAUAAGUGAUGAUCCUUAUAUAAUACUUUAUUGUGAUUAGAUAAUAUUAUAAUAUUAUAGUAAAAAAAAUUAUAACUGAAAUGAUUCAAAUAAAAAGUUAGACGACUUUAAACAAAUCUAUACAUUACAUUAAAACAAUCUGGUGACAAAAGCAUGGUAGUUAGGGAUGAAUUGAAAAUUGACAUGUGGUUGGAUAAGUGAAGAAUUUUUUUUUUUAAUUUUGAAUGUUGAUUUUUUUUGGAACGGAGUACAAUUAAAAAAAUCAUUAAUACUAUAUUUUAAAACUAUGGUUUUUGGUAAUUUUCUUUUGAAAUUGUUUUUUGUCAAAUAUAAUUUAGUCAUAAGUUUGAUCCUCAAUUACCAUAUAAACUUUACUCAUAUGUCUUAAAAGAAUGGGCAGACUAAAAAAUAAUAUAGGCUAAGUAAAUGUAUGAGCCUUAAUUUUUGUAUUAGAAGAGUGGACUUAAUAUAUAAUGCUAUAAUAAUUUUAAUCUAAUUUUAAUUUCCAUGUUUAAAUUUAUUAUUUAUAUGUAACAUAAUAAUGCUCAAAUUAAAAUUACUUUAUCCAUUCAAUAAAAAUUUUUUAUUUUAGAAGAUUUAAAUUUAAUAUUUUAUUAUAAUAUUACAUCUUGUUAAUAAAUAAUAAAAUUAUAUUAAUUUUAAUACAAUAUUACAUGUUGUUAAUAAAUAAUAAAUUUAGAAAAACUAUAAAAUGAAUUGACCUAAUGUCGUUAGGUAAUAAUAGAAAUUACAAAAUAGAUCAGUUACAAUAUAAUGACACUUUAAAUCGGUGUUAAAAGAAAAAUAAUUGAGGGAAUAAACACUAAAAGGUUUUUAAUUUGGUUUUAUUGACAUGGAAAGACUCUUUCUUUCCUACUUCAAAUUAAAUAAUCAUUACAAUACAGGUUUUAAUUAUAAUUUUUUAUGCAAGUUUCUAUUUUAGAAUACACGUUUUUACAUGUGCUUUAUUAUAUCAUAUUUUCAUUUCUAGAAUCUCUAUCUCCUUUCUACUUCUCAUUUUCCUUUCAUUUUCUUUCCUCCUGCUAUUCAGGUUUUUUUUUUUUUUCAAGUUUCAAAAUUUUUAGCUUACCUUUUAUCAUCUACAUAUAAAAUUAAACAAAUAUACACACACUACAUCAUCUUUUACUGUUUUCAAUAUACAGAAUAUCAAAAUACAACGUUCAUUUUCAUUCCAUGCAGUGUGAAAAAAUGGAUAAUUAACAAAUAGCUCCAUUGAUCAAUUCUUUCCUCUCAUCAAAUUUUAUUGUAUGUGACUAGCAUAUUUCAUUAUUUUAACAACUUAUUAAGAGGUAAUCAAAUAUAUUCAUAUGAAUCUUGUAUGAUUACAGUAUAUAAACUUUUGAGUAUACCUAUAGAAUCUGAAUAUUAAUGUUUUUUAUAACUUCGUUAUGAUAAAAAUCAAAUAUAUUCAUUUGAAUCUUAUUUAAUUUAUCCCUCAUAAUGAAAUUUUGAAUUUCAUAAUCCUUUGUACAUAUACUAUUAAUAAAUAUAAAAGAAAUAAAAUACAUUGUUAAAUUUUUUAUUACACAAAAUAUAAAUUUUAAAUAUUUGCAGAUAAAUAAAUAUAAAAAAAUAAAAUAUAAUAAUACUAUUUUAAGUUAGAUGUAACAAUAAAUUAAGUCGAUAUUAAAUUAAUAUGGGAGUAACAAAGUCCGUUAAUAUUACUUUUUAUUACAUUACAAAACAAAUCAAAUAAUUUUAUCUUAUAUAAUUGCAACGGGAUAAUAAAUAAUAGCCAUGUUACAUCACUAGUUUUGGGUACCUAUCCUUUUUCCACAUUGGGCAACUUAAGCUGGUGGUGCGCAUCCCAGUUAGGGGCAUGACUCCAUCAUAAAAUGUUUUUUAAAAAAAUUAAAAAUAAUUUCCAAAAGAUGGAAAUUUCGAUUUUUAGGUUUGGUUUUCAAAUUCUUUUGAGUCUUUGUUUUGCCUUUCCCUAAUUUAAUUGGAAACAGUUUUUUAUUUUAAUAAGAUAAAAAAAGUUUGAAAAAACAUUUCUCAACCCUUUCAAUGACACUUCAUUUGUUUAACAGUUUUCAUAAUUUCAUGAUUAUUUGUUUUAUAAUCCUAAACUAAACUUUUUUUAAAACUAAAGUAAAUAAUUUUAAAUAUAAAAUUAAUGAAAUGUUUAUAAUGAAAUUACCUGAUAGAUUAUUAUUUGCAAAAUUAAUUGCCUUCAAAGAAGAAAUGUUGAAGAUGGAAUGUGGAAUCAACCCACUCAAGCGCAUAGAUGUUAUAGAUAAUGUCUCCAAUGAAAUAAGAUUUCCAAUCUCCCAUGGAAUUUCACCUACAAAAGAACAACAACCUAAUAUUAUAAAACUAUCCACUUUCUAAACAUUUCAAUAAUACUGAGGUUAUUUAAAAUGCAAUAAAAGUCAAUUACACAGGAAACUCCUAAUUUCUUCAUUGUGUAAAAUAUGAAGGAAUAAUUAAUUUCUUCAAUACUAAAAGUUUGAGUCAAAAUGAAAAAAGCAUAAAAGAAAACCAAAUGUGACUAUUUUCAUGUUGCUCAUUCUAUUAAUUUUUAUUUUUUAGUUAUUUCCUUUUUAAUAUAAUUAGUAAAAAAAUAUCAAUCAAUUGAAAUCUAAAUAAUCAAAUGCAAAAGCUUAUCUUUUACAUUAUUAUAACUUAGAUAUAUCUCCUCAAGUUUGGUUAAAUUUCCUGUACUUCUCGAAAUGUGGCCUAAAAAUUCGUUGUUACAAAUAUCAAGCACCUCAUGUUUGAGAAGAGAGUAACACAUAUUUUAUGUAAUACUGCUAGAGAGACUAUUGCUAUAGAGAUAAAUUUCUUUUAAAGAAGAAAGGUUAUAGAUGGAAGCCGGGAUUGGACCAACAAGCCUCAGAUUUGGGGCAGAAAAUAUCUCCAAGCUCAAAUGAUUUCCAAUUUUCGAAGGGAUUUCACCAGUGAACAUAAAGAAACCAAGUUACAGGAGUUCAUUCAUAAUGAAACAAUUUGCUUGUCAUUACUUUCAUAAUGAAACUAUUAAAGUAGAAUAAAAGCUUUGUUUUUUUUGUUUGGCAUUACAUUCACAAUGAAACUAUUUGCUCCAAAUUUUAUGAGAAUAUGGAUUAAAAUAAUUAAUUUAAUUUUCAUCUCAAACAUUAUCAUCAAAAGAUAUAUAUAUAUAUAUAUAUAUAUAUAUAAAGUAGAAUAAAAACGUUUUUUUUGCGUGGCAUGACAUUGGUAAUGAAACUAUUUGCUCCAAAGUUUAUGGAUGUAAAACAAUUAAUUUAAUUCUCGUUCCAAACAUUUUCUUCAAAAGAUGUUUUUUUUUUUUUUGUAUCUUUAACAGGAAAUCAAAAAACUAUUUCAUUAGCAUAAAGGUUUAAUUGGUCCGGCAAUCUUGUUUUUUGCACAAGUGGAUCUUAUUGUUGGUAUGUGCUUCCAGAAAAAAAAAAUCUAAACUGUUAUAAUAUGGGCAAAAUCAUACCCAGACAUGUUUUAGAGAAAUGUUAAAAUUUCAACGCUUCUUAGGAUAAACCACAUUGGUUUAUUCUGUAUUAAUUAGGACAUAUAAUAUUAUCAUUUUACAUUUUUAUUGGUGCAAUUGGUUAUAUCAUUGAUAACGUAUCCAUACUCAUCGUAUUAGCUAAUAUAUAUCAGUUUUGAAUCGCAACACAUAAUAUUAUUGUUUUAUUUGAUCUUUGCAUCAGCCUGUAUGUAUCCAACGCACUAGUCCGUUUCAGUCGUACAAGUAAAAAAUGAUAUUUUGAUUGAUAUAAAAUUUUGCCUCUUAUUUUGUCCUGUUUAAACUUUUUUAUUGUCCUAACUCUUUUAAUCAAUUCUUAAUUCUUUUGCUCUCAUCAUUAUUUUUAUUUUUUUCAUGAUUAGAGCCAAAAAUUAAAUGUUUCCAUUAAAUUAGACUAUUAAAUUUCUUUAAUGAUAAUUUAUUAGAUACUUAUUAUUUUUAUAGUUGUUUUAUUUAUUUAGAAUUUUGGGUAUUAAAUAUUUAGAAAUUUAUAGUAGUAUGAUUUUUAAAACUUGUAAUGGCAUAUGAAUAUGUAUGUAAUACAAGUGCAUUUGUGUAUAUAUGUAUAUUUGAUAGACAAAUAUUACAUAAUACCGAUAAAUCUAAAACUAUACAGUAAAAUAACAAGGUUGUAUUUCCUAUUUAUAAUCUUUUGCUGAAUAAAACUGCUCAUGUUUUAGUGAAAAGUGUUUUCAUCAAAUAACAAUUUCCUCUUUUCUUGUUGGAUUAUAAACGAACAACCAAAUAACAGAAAAGGAAAAGAAAAAACUAAAAAGACAUAAAUUCUUAACAGUUGAACAAUGGGAUGAAAUUAAAGCAAUAACUUCAUUCACUUCUUUCUCUGAUUGACCAUCAUUUCUUUUAACCAAAUACUCAAAUAAUAGUACUGCAAAAUUAAGUGACCAAAUGGAUAAUUUAUCCAAAAAAAAAGGGAAAUCCAAUGGGUAAUGUCAAAUGUGCUACAGCCCUUGUUAUGAGGGAGGGAAAUAACGCCAACUAAUUUAUUUUGGGCAUUUGUCCAAGCAUUUCAAGGAAAAGAGAUAGUUUCCUUAUGGUUUUUUUUUUCUUUUUCAUAAAUUUAAGAUACUCACGGAAUACUAAAGAUUUUCAGCCAUGAAACUUGACCGGAGAAAAUAACAUGAGUUUCAUAGUUACUAUUAAUAGUAAGCAGUUUUAAUUUGAUAUCAAUAAUUAAAUUAAAUUUAGCUCUUACUUUCAAAAAUAUAAAAGUAAUUCUUUUACAAUAAUUUCAAAUUAUAAAUUAAAGAAAGUUUAUUUUGAUAAAAGCUUCAAUGUUGAUAAGAAAAUAAAUAAAAUUAGUCAUAUUUUAAUUUAACAAGAAAUCAUUAAUUAUAAAUAAAAUAUCUAAGAUAAUAAAUUAUCAAAGAUAUAUAUGUUGUUCACUAUUUACGCUUUCCAAUUUUGUUUUUUAUAUAAUAUAUAUAAAUAAGAUAAAAAUGUUUUAAUUUUUACUACUGUAUUUAAUCACUUUUAAAGUUGAUACUUUUAUAUGUAGAAGAUAUUUUUAAUUUUACUAUUUUCUUCUAUUUCUUGGCACCUUUUGAUUAAAUAAAAGCAAGAAAAAACCAACAACUAAUUAAAAGGAGUCGUAAUUAACUGUGUUGGAGUCUUGGUUAAAGUAAACCUAUUUUAGUAGGCAUAAAUUAGGGAGUUUUAGCUUGGAAUCAUGUUUCACUAAAUACAAAAUUAAUUAGUGAUCAAUCGAAAGAAAAUUAUCGAAGAAAAAACAAAGAGCUUACCUCCAAAUUAUUUCCAUCCAAGUAUAGCACUUUGAGCCUCGUUAAAUUUCCAAUACUCCUUGGAAUGCUGCCACUGAAUCUGUUAAAGUUUAAUGUUAAAAUUUGAAGACACCUGCAUUCAUCUAUACUUUGAUGGAAUUUGACCAGAAAACUCGUUUUAAGGUCAAGUAAAAUGCCUCAAGAUUUGGAAGAUGGCGACAUAUAUUUCAGGUAAACUGCCAGAUAGACUGUUAGAUGUAAGAGAAAUCAUGUGUAGGGAGGAAAUGUUGUAAAUGACUGAAGGGACAGAACCAGAAAGUUGGUUAAAUGCCAGACGAAGUAUCCUUAGAUUUAUAAGAUUACUUAUCUCGGGUGGAAUGUGUCCUUGAACGAGAUUCCGCCUCAAGUCCAGAUUUCCAAGUUGGGCAUUUUAGCUAGUGAUUGAGGGAUUGUACCUGUCAAGUUGUUGCUCUGGAGGCUCAAAUAUAAACUUUAUUUAAUCUCCCAAACCAUGAAGGAAUUUCCCCACUAAGAAAAUUGAAGCUUAAUUCUAUGAGUUUCAGACGACCUUAAUUGCCCCAACUCUCUCGGUAAAUGGCCAUGAAGCACAAUUUUUUAUUUAAUAUGUACACAAAUUCAAAUAAGUAUAAAGAGAUUUGGGGACAUAUGGAGUGUUAGUUUCAAUUCAACCUAAUACAAGUUUAUGAUAGUACCAGAUAUCAAAGCCGUGAUUGGUGUAAUCCAAAACUAUGCAAGUAAUUUCUUUCUCCAUGAGAAAGACAAAAGAAGUAUCAAUAAAUUAUUUUAUUUUUUGCACACAUUAAAGCAGAUAAGGAAUUUAGUCAGAAAAGCUAGCGACGUGUUCUAAGCGCUAGCUUGGUCAAUCCAAGUCACUCUGCUUUCACAAACCUCAAAGCAGACUAAGAAAUUUUAAAUCAGGAAAGCUAGUGAUCAUUUUCUAAACGCAGGGAUCAAUCAAUUUAUCUUGGUUUCACACACAUCAAGGCAGACUAAGAAAUUUUAGGUGAAGAAUUAAAGCUAUUCAAAUGCAAGGAUCAAUCAAGUGGUCUUGGUUUCACAACACGUCAAAUCAGACAGAGAAUUUUCAAGUCAGGAAAGCUAACAAUCGUUUUCUAAACGCAAGGACCAAUUGAAAAUGAUCUUGAUUUUACACACGUCAAAGCAGACCAAGAAAAUUUUUACGUAGAGAAUUAAAGCUACAGAAUGCAAGGAUCAAUCAGUCUUCUUGCUUUUCUCCUCCAUCAAAGCAAAUUAUCUGUUAUCAUUCCUUGGUUAGGUAAUUAAAUAGUUGAGUUGGGUUUAAAAGCUUCUAAUUUAUAAUUUUUUUAAAGGUAAAGUAAAUUAAAAUCUUUAUUAUCAAAAAGAUAGUAGUUUUAAUUUUUUUUUUUUCUUUAAAAGAUGUAUUCUUUUAUAUAAAAGAUGUCACAACUUAAAUAUUAAAAAAAAUGUAAAUAUUAAAUUUAAAUUUCAAAUGUAAUCUCUUUAAGCACCAAAUGAAUUUAAUUUUUAAAAUUAUAUUGGUUAGGACAAUUCGCUCGAACCUGAAAGUCAUCUUCAAUUUAAAAGGGCUUCGACAUGGAAUUUUAAGUUUGUUAAAUGGACUUGAACUUAAAUUUUAGACCCGUUUAAGAAAUAUACUAGGUUUUAGACAUAAAAUUUACGAAUUUAAACCUGACCAGGCCCAAAUAAUUAUUAUAUAUAUUUUUAUAUUUAUAUUACAUAAAAAUAAAGAAAAUUAAAAUAUAAUAUAUACAUUAAUAUCCUAUGUCUAUUAUAUAUUAAUCACAUUCAAAUACUGAAUUAAGUUAACAAAGUAUUUUUAGGCUUUAUUUUGUUGAUUAUUUAUUUUAUCAUAAUUAAUAUUAAUUAUAAAAAUUAUUUUUUAUUUAAAAAAUAAAAUAUAGGCAGGCUUAGGUAAAGUCUUUUAAAAAUUUAAUUAGGGCCUUCAGCAGCAAACUAAGAUCAUAUUUUGGGAUGACGAGUCUAAAUAAACUUAAAAAUUUGUUAAUAUCCUAACUAGGCUAGGUUUGAAUCCAAUCCUACUCAAUCCAUGUAUAAAUUUAAUUAUCAAUGUCAUGUGUUCGUAUCUAAAUUGCCAAUAUGGCAGCAAAGACCAUUUUAUUUCUUUUCUCUUUUUAAUAUAUUUAAUUAAUGAUUUUAUUAUACUAUUUGAAAAUUUAAUAUUAGUGUUAAAUUUAUGAAAAAUUUUAAUCGUAAAAGAAUUAUGAAAAUUGGAAGAAGAAAAAGAUACUCCAUCUCCACAUUGAGAAUUUUGUCCUGUCAAACACUAUUUUAGCAUAAUACUAGAUUUUGGUUCUUGCUUUACAAUAGCACUUUUUUUUUUUAAAAAAAAAAAAAAAAAGAUAUUUAGAAUUUCGUUUGGUUUGAUUGAAUUUUUUUUUUGUUUUUUGUAAAAAAGUGUUAAAAUAAUAUUUUGGACCUACAUAAUACAAAAAUUGCCUCUAAAACAUAAAAAAAAACAAUUUAAUAAUACAUUUAUAUUAAUUUUAUUAAUACAAAUUAAAAGGGCUUAACUUUAUAAGCCAAACCAAUAAAAUAAAACAAAGAUAUAUUUUAUUAAUUAGAAAUUAAAAAAUAAAUGAGAUUAAUAGAAAUUUGAUCAAGUAAAAAAUAUGUGUGUAAAUAAUUCAUUUUUAUUAUUUAUGAAAGUAUAACAAAUAAAUUGAGAAUUGUAAAAAAGGAAAAAAAAAAAACUAAAGCAAAUAUAUUGUUAUGUAUACAAUAAACACUUUUGAAAAAGGUUUUAACUUAUAAAAUUUUUGAAAAACCAAAUGGUUUUAUUAAUAAAUUUAAAAUUUGAAAGUAAAACAUCUAUAUUUAUAUUUUUGUUGUAAAAAAACUCUAGAAUAAACUAGAACAAAACACAUUUAGUAAUACAUAAUAUAUAUAUAAUAUGUAUAGUAUAUAUAUAUGUAUAUAUAUAUAUAUUUAUAUUUAUAUGUAUAUGUUUUUAAAAUAGUUUUUCAAAGUUGCAAGAGGUUCUUUUAAAAAAACACUAGCGUUCGAGAUUUCACUUCAGAUGUAGUCAUAAUUAUUAGGAUCGAAUUGGAUCAUUAAUCAGAUCAAUCAAAUUGAUUAGUUGGUACUUGAAUUAGUUUGGAUUUAAUAAUAGACCAAACUUACAAUUAACCUGCUUUAAACCACAUCGAACCGACGGUUGAAAAAAUAAAUCACUGAACUAGUUAGUUUUUAUUGAAUCAUUUUGGUUUUUAAUUUUUUAAUGACUUUUAAAAUUAUGAUUAAUUUAGUUUUUAUAAUCAAAAGUAUGGAUAUUGUAUUAUUUAAUUAAAAUAUUAUAUUUUAAAUUAAAAUAGAUAAUAAAAAAAUUAAAAUCUAAAUAAUUAAAUGGUGUUAUCCAUCCUUACACGUUAUGCACAUUAAAGAAUAGCUUAAUAAAAUUUAAACUCCUUUCUCAUUUAUAUUUUAGGUGACACACUCAUAUCAAAUUAAAGGACAAAAACUUGGCUAAAAUUAAAACUUUAAUUAUCAUUUUGGAGCUUGAUUUGUUUUAUAUCAAAUAUCAUCAAUUUAAAGGUAAUUUUAUUUUAUUUCAUUUUUUAAAAUUUAUAUUUUAAAUAAGCUUUCUCUUUUUUAAACAUUUAUUUUUUUUGUUUUUAAGUUUUUUUAGAAUAUUUGUUUUUUUGGGGUUUUUUAAUAAUAUGGUUGAAUUAUUCAAUUAGUAUUUUCCGAGUUUGAGUUAUGAGUUUGAAUUUUAAAUUAUUUUCGUAAUUUAAGUUUAUUAUACUUUUUAAAUAGAUAUACCUUUUUUACACUUAUUAUAUUCUAUUAUAUGUUUUUAAUUUCUUAAGUUUGAAAAUUAUCUACAAUAGAAUUUUAUAUUUAUCACAUAAUGGAUUAAAUUUUAAAAAACAUUUAUAUAUUUAUAUAUCUUUAUUAGUUUAACAACUAACUUGAUUGACCCAAACGUUGAACCAAUGACCCAAUGCUUGAACAGUUUAGUAUCCAGUCUGAUUCUAAUAAUUAUGCGUGUGGUUAUUUUGUAUAUCAAUUUAAUUAAAAAAUUAUUUUUUGUUAUAAAUAUAUCAAUUUAAUUUAAAAUGAUUACAUUUUUUGGUUAAAAAAAUAGAUAAUAAUUUACCACAAAAUUUGGAUUAACCCAAAUCAAGAGAAGUCCAGAAAUUGGGCUGUUAAGUGGACUUGGAACUUAGUUUACUUCAAGUGUUGGGUCUUUGAAAAGGAAAAACAAGUUCUAGUUUUGAAUCCAAGCCUAUAUAUUGAUACUUUUUUUCAGUACAAUAUAAAAACUCAAUUUUUUUACAAUUCAUUUUUUCCAUUUUACUUCUAUUUAAAAUUCAUCCUCUUUUUAAAAAUACAAUCAUCCACCCAGACUACUUGAUUUUCAACAGCGACCACCAUCAUUAAUGCCAUUUUCCAUUGUUGUCAUUGCUCUUUGACACUAAAAAUCACCCAAAGUUUCAAAAAAAGAUUUUCUCAUGCAAUGUGUCAAUAUAUGUGGCAUUUUUUAGAUGCCCUGUGGUACUUGAAAAUCACUUCUUUCUUAUCUACUUUUCCUUUUGUUUUUCUCUUCAUUGAAACGAUGUAGUUUUAAUACAAAAUAAAUAAAAUUAGUCUUAAAAACACUAAACACCAUCUUUUCUUUCUUUUCUCUCAUUCUCAUCACAUUACCUUUUCUCAUCGUCAGCCUUUUUUUCAUAGCUAUCACUGUUGUUGACCUUUGUCUUGUUACAUUUGUCUUGUGACAAUAGCUCUCUUUUCUCUUUCAUUUUUUUCUUUUUUUUAUUAGUGAAAAUCUAAAAAUCCCAAGCUCCCUCACAUUAUCUUCCUUCAUGUGUGGCCUUAGAUCCUAAAAAAACAAAAAGACAGAAAAAAAAACUAAAUGAGGGUGUGAUGUGGACACCAAUCUUUUUUUCUUACAAAAUUUAACAUAUGACAUUUAAAAAAUAAAAACUAAAAAAAAUAGGUUGAAAUGAAAAAAAAUUUGAGUGUCACGUUAAUACCUUUAUUGAUAUCUUUUUUAUAAAAUUAUCUAAUUAAGAAAAAGACUAGAAAGUAUUUUUUAAUCACUAAUAUCAAAUAGGGCCCAUAUCAAUUUUUUUAAAAUAAAUUUUUUAUUAAGUAUAGAGAAAAAAAAGAAAAAUAGAAAAACAUAAAAAAGAACAAAGAAAAAAAAGCAAGGUGACAUGUGGCAAAUUCUAUGAAGAGUUAACGUGAGUAAAAUUAAUAGCAUUAUUACAAAUUAAUAGAAUGGAUUGGAUUUUUGGAUGUUUUAAUUUAUUUUCUAAGGUCAAUAUAGGAUUUUAAAGGGGGCAAAUAUUGUUGUUUAUUUAACAACAUAAUACAUUUCUUUGAAAUUUAUUAUUUAAAAUUUUCAAUUUUAAUUUUUUACUCUAAAUUGAUAUGCAUAAAAAGAUUGUGAGAUAUUUUUUGAAUAGAACCAAAAAAUCUUUAAAAGGUAAAUUAUAAUCUACGAAAUAAAAUUAGAUUUGAAAGUAUAACUAUGCAUGAAUAUGGUUAUAUCACUCUCAUAAAAUCUAUCCAAAUGAUGGUACCAGAUUAAUUUUGUAUUAUCCAAGCUUUAAAAUUCUUACCAAAUGAUUAGUUAUUAGAAAUUAUACUUAAAUUACUCUAAUACAUUGGCAAUAAUUUAAAAACAUUUCCUUACCUCAGAACUAUUUAAUAAGAUUAUUGUCAUACUUUAAAGAGACACCAUCGUUGUAUUCAUUUAAAUUUUAUAAGAAAAUAUUUUCCUUAACACUAAAUGGGAUUUAGAACCUUAAUAUAAAAAAUUCUUAUAUAAAUUCUCUAAUAUAUUGAUAUAAUUUAGAAGAAGAUUUCUCACUUAGAAAUUUAUAUAGAAAUUGCUGUUUGCAACACUCUUAGUAGUUCUAUUAUUGGGGAUUCAAAUUUCAAUUUUUUUAAAAGAAUUAUUUUUAAGAAAUAUCUUUCAAUAUGUUAGUAAGACUUUUUGUCAAAAUUAUCCUUAAUAUGUUAGUAGGAUUUUAUGAAAACUAUUUAUUUUAUUUUUUUAAUUUAAUUUUUGCUAAAAAUCAUAAAAUUUUUUAGUAUGUUGAUAAGACCUUAUUUUUUAGAUUUUAAAAAAAUCACAAACCCACCAAUAUGUUAGUAAGGUUUUUAUUUUUUUAGAAUAAAAAACUUAUUUUUAAAAAAAAUUUUCCAAUAUGUUGAUAGGAAUUUCAUUGAUUUAUUUGUCAAAAUUUAUUUUUUUCAAACCAAUAAAAUAUUCAAAUAUGUUUGUAAGAUUUAUUUUUCAAUAUGUUGACUUCUUUCAAGAUCUAGAUUUUUUAUUUUUUGUUUUGUUAUUUUUUUUUGGUUUGGGGAGGGCAUAAACCUUAUAGGGGGGAAGGAGGAGGAGAUCUUACUUCGAAACCAAGACCUUUAUGUUUUUAUAAAGUUUUCUUAACCACUAGACCAAGAGAUGGAGGACCAAGAUCUAGAUCUUUGUAAUAACCAAAACAACUUGUGUAAAUGGUGUUUAUUACUGGGUGGUGCUCAAGUUUCUUCAAUAUUCUAAUGCCCUUACAUUUGACUUGAGCGAUGAAGUUUUUCAAUUGAUAGAGUGGCCACCUAUUCCCGAACAUGAAUCAAUUGGGUAGCUGCUUCCAUUACCUGAUGAUCGUAUCUCUUUGAGGAUUUUGCAUUCUGACGUGGCCAGCAGAAGUAAUGACAUUUGGGUGUUGAACGAAGAGAGUCGAUAUUGGACCAAACUGUUAAGGAUUGGACCUCCUUCAUGCUUGCGUUUGGAAUAAGAAUGGUAAUAAGGUAUUUGUAGAAUUUAUAAAUGGACAACUGUUGAUUUACGACCUUGAUGACCAGGAAUUCAGAGAUAUUGGAUUAAAACCAAGAAAGCUAUGGAUCUUCUUGGGGUUUACACUUACGAGGAGAGUCUUGUAGUUACCAGCAGACGAAUGGCAAAUACUGCUGCAUAGAUUUUGAUUGACGUUUUUCCUACUUGCCUAUGUCAAGACUAUUUAUUAUAGUUAUUCGUGCACUUGGAUUUUCCUUUUUUUAUUUUCUUUUAAUUUAAAAUAAUCAACUCCCAGCCAAAAGUGUUAAAUCUCAGCUGCCUUACCCCCACGCCUUUCGGUAAAUCUCUGCAAUCAAAAAAGAAGGAAAAAGGAAACCUCACAAAGAUGCUACAUGAAAUAGAAGAUAACCCUGAUAGUCGAUAGCUUUAAUUUAGAAAAUGGAGAUAAACAUAUAAAGAAAAAUCCACCAAGGGUAAAGCAAUCGCAAACUCAGAGCCAAAUGUUCAGAUAUGCGUAUGGUCAAAUAGAGGAGAAAGCUCUCCAGAAGCAGAACAAGAACUUGACCUUCUCCGGGGUGAUUUCAAUGGCCAAUGACAUUGAUAUGAGAAAGAGUCGUACUCAAAGAUUUAGCCAUCACUUAUGAAAGGAAAAGCAAACAUUUAAUGAGAUGUGUAACUGGGAAAUUAUCGCCUGAUCGAGUUUCAGCUGUUCUGGGUCCAUCUGGGGCUGGAAAAACGUUUCUUUCAUCUUUAACUGGAAAAGCACCAGGUCGCGUCAUGACCAGUUCGCUUCUUAUAAAUGGAAAGGUUGAGCCAAUCCAAGCAUAUAAGAAAAUAAUUGGUUUUGUUCCACAAGAUCAUAUCGUUCGCGGAAACUUGAUAGUGGAGGGAAAUCUAUGGUUCAAUGCUAGAUGCAGAUAUGCUACACUUAUUCUGUCAUGCAUGACACCUUUAAUUUUUUAUUCUUUUAGGGUGUUUUAAUUUUUUUUUUUGUUGUUUGAUUUUCUACUUGCAACUGCGACAUUAGAAAAUAUUCUACACUAAAAAGCACUUCUUGAUUUCCCCUGAUCACUAAGAGGAUUCCUAAUUAUUUUAGACUUGCUGCUGACCUUCCAAAACCAGAAAAGGCUCUAGUUGUUGAAAGAGUCAUCCAGUCCGUGGCACUGCAGCCUGUGAGGGUUUCUCUGGUUGGGACAAUGGGGAAGAGGGGAACAUCUGGGGGUCAAAGGAAACGGGUAAAUGUAGGGCUGGAAUACAAAAGAUCAUGGAACCUUCACUUUUGAUAUUAGAUGAACCGACAUCUGGUUUGGACGGUUCAUCUUCCCAAUUAGUACUUCGAGCUCUUAGGCGUGAAGCCCUUGUAGAAGUAAACCAGCCAAGGUGAGUUUAUUAUUACCGGAAUGUUUAAUUUUAUGAAAUAUGCUGGUUUCACCGAGGAGUAAACUUAUGUACGUCAUAACAUCUAAAUCCGAUGAUCUAUCGCUAUACAUUGAUUUUUAGGGAGUCGCCACAAUUUUUUUUAUUUAGGUGCGAUUGGCCACCUAAAAAAUCUGUCAUUUCAGGGAACACCUAAGUUUAAGGGUCCCUAAAAGAAUAGGUUCAGGUCUACUAACCAGAACAGGAUUCGAGAGUUCGGUUACGUGUGAGGAAGGUUAUAGCACCCUCACAACGCCCAUCAAAAGAUGGUACCAGCUGAAAUUUGUGUUAUCCAAUGAGCCUUAAAAUUUUACCAAGUAAUUAAUUAUUAAAAAUUAUUCUCAAUUGACUCUAAUACUUUUAGCAGAAAAUUGAAAAAAUUCUCUCACCUCAAGAGUAUGCAAGAAAAACUACUGUUUCACUUGCAGAGGCUCCAUCGUCGGAUUAUUUAAAGAAAAAAUAAAAAUAAAAAAAUAAGAAUAAAAAGGAAGAAAAGAAUGAUUAUUCUUGUGCAGGAAAAAUUGAUACUUUCAACUUUUCCUCAAAAAUUGAUUUUUUGAAAAUUUAUUUUUAAGGAAAAUUGAUACUUUCAACUUUUCCCUAAAAAUAUUUUUUUAGAAAAUUUAUUUUUAAGGAAAAUUAAUACUUUCAACUUUUCUUCAAAAAAACUUUUUUUGAAAAUUUAUUUUUAAGAAAAAUUGAUAAGGAAAAAUUGAUACUUUCAACUUUUCCCCAAAAAUAUUUUUUGAAAACUUUGAUUUUUGAGGAAAAUUGAUACUUUCAACUUUUCCUCAAAAAUAUUUUUUUGAAAAAAUUUAUUUUUAAGGAAAAUUGAUACUUUCAACUUUUCCUUAAAAAUCCUUUUUUUUGAAAAUUUAUUUUUAAAGAAAAUUGAUACUUUCAACUUUUUUCCAAAAAAAUUUUUUUGGAUUCUUUGAUUUUCGAGGAAAAAAUUGAUAUUUUUAACUUUUUUCCAAAAAUAAUUUUUAGAAAAUUUAUUUUUAAGGAAAAUUGAUACUUUCAACUUUUUUCAAAAAAUAUUUUUUUUAGGUUUUAUUUUAAAGAAAAUAAAAUAAUAAAACAAAAUAAAAGUGAAAAUAAAAAAAAGUAAAACAAAAAUAAAAAUGAAAUAAAGAUAAAGGAACAUUAAAUAUCCUAAUUUAAUAAAUAAAAUAAAAUAAACAAAUAAAUAAAUAAAUAAAUAUAAAAAAAAACCUGGAGCGGCUCGGAGUACGGCUCGGCUUAGCUCAAGGAAGAGAAAUGGCUUGGGACGUCGACUCGGCUAAUGGCUUGGGGAGGCAAAACAUGCGCGGGUCGACGCUCGGGUCGGGUCGGAUCUCGACAAAACGCACGGAUCCUCUGGGUUAUUUAACGCAAAAACGACGUCGUUUUGGGAGGGUAUAUAAGGUUGUUUCCUUCGUUUUUUGACAGAAACCUUCUCCCCUCUCUCUCUCUUCCUUCUUUUUUCUCUCGCUUCUCUCUAAAACGAUCGAAGAACUCCGGUUGAAUAUUCACCGAAUUCUAAAAUUUUUCGCCAGAAUAUAGGUUUUUCGUCGGAAGUUUACCAGAAAGUUGGUUGGCUUCUGGGAAUCUUCACCGAAAACUGGGCAGCUAGGCGAAAAACUUCAAACUUGGUAGGAAUUGUCAUCGAAAAAUUCAACUUUCGUUAAAAAAAUUCAACCGGAAUCUGAAAUUUUCUAAAAAUUCCCAGAAAAAAAUCGUAAAAAUUCUCCAAAAAUUCCUACUAAUUCCUUAGAGCUGUUUCUAAACGUACCAAACCUUCCUAGCCUUUAAAUCUUCUUUGUAUCUCUUUUUUCCUCAAACUAGUAUUCUUUUUGCUUUUGUUUUCUGUGUGUUCUUCCUUCUGUUCUGUACCUAUUUAUAGGUAUUGAUCAGAAGAGUUUCUGAUCAAUCCCUAUUCCUUUUUGGAUGAAAAUUCAAUCUUUGAAUCCAAUUUAGAUUCUAAUUGAAUCCCCAUUCAUGGUAGGAUCUUCAAAUUCAAUCUCAACCCCAAAAAAAAAUCAGAUAAAAAAUAAUAGAUAAUUAGAGAAAUAAUAAUAAUAAUAAGAUAAAUCAACAAUAUUACAAGAUAAAUAAAAAAAUAAUAGUAAUAAUAAUAACAGAUAAAUGAAUAUAUAACUAGAUAAAUAAAAAUACAUGUAAAAUAAAUGAAAAAGAGAAAAAAUAAAAUAAAAAAUAAAAAAUAUAUAUUAAUAAAUAGUAAUAAUAAUAAAUAAAUAAUAAAUACAUAAAAUACAAAGAUAAAAUAUAAAAUAAAAAUAAAAUAAUAUAAAAUAUAAAAUAAAAGCUGAAUUGGGCUUACCCAUUUGGACUAAGCCCAAUUGAUCCGGACCUGGACUAAAUUGAGUAUCUAUAAUGUAAAUAAGUAUGUAGUUGAAAUAAUGGAUACCAAUUUUCUUUUUGUUGCACUUCAGUUAUACCUUGUUCAGGAUGUUCGAUGAUUUGACACUUCUAGCAAAGGGUGGACUUACAUAUAUCAUGGAUUAGUGUCGUAAGAGUAUUUUGCUGGCCUAAGAUUAAUCUCCCCAAACGUACUAAUCCUCCAGCAGCAUCAUCCGGUGAAAAUCCAGCUCAUGGAGAAAGUGCACAUGGUCCUGGCCGGAAGCACACUCCUUUGCUGGCGACUUGUGGCAGGAUGUGAAAUGUUCUGUUUGAGACAAGAAGGACGACUUACAACAUAAUUCCUCAAGUCCAUUAACUUGUCACAAAGAGCAAUGCCUGUGUAUUUAAGCAGUAUAGAUACUACCUCGGAAGGUAGAUGUUGAAUCUCAUUUAUAAACGUUUUGGAAUUACUAGGAAUUAUAUCUAUCAAUUUAGAAUUCUAUUAUUUUAUUUAAUUUAAACCAAAAAAUAUAUUAGAAGCUAACCAUUACAUGGGAGCAUUCACUUAAAUUAUUGAAAUACAAUCAAUCAAUCAUAAUUAUAAUUUUGUAGAAUUCAUUAAUAUUUUAUGUGAGAUUUACACUUUUAGUGAUGGGUUUUUACGUAAUUUUUAUUAUAAUUGGGUAAUUAUAUAAUUGUAGUAAAAUACUUUAUUAAUAUAAUCUCUAGUAAAAAUAAUUGUAAGUGAUAUAAUCUCCCAUAAUGUGCAACAUACAAUAGACAAGAAUUAGUAAAGAUCAUAACUAUCUGGUUAUAAUUAUAUCAAUAGAAAAAAAUGGGUUACACACAUAUUUGACUGUGAACCUUAUAUUUUCUAUUACAUUGAUACCUAAAGAAUUAUACUACCACAUUGAUACUGGAACUUUCAAAUCUAUUAUCACAUUGGUAUUUCAAAUUAACGCUGUCAGUCAACUUUGCUGAUGUAAUAUAAAUAUCUAACAAGAUGCUGAAACGUGUGAAAAAUAUUCAGUCAAUGACACAUUAUCGAUAUCAUGUCAUCUUUAAAAUAAAAAUUCUAAAAAAUUUCAAAAGUUCUAAAAAUUUCAAAAAAUAAAAAAAUAAAAAUUUCAAAUAUUAUAGGAAAUUCAAACAAUUCUAAAACAUUUUUAAAAAUCUGAAAAAUUUUUCAAAAAUUCUAAAAUAAUAUCAAAAACAUUUUUUAGAAAAUUCUAAAAAAUUCUAAAAAAUUUUUAAAAAAAUUUAAAAACUUUUAAAAAUUUUUAAAAAAAUUCAAAAAAUGAAAAUUUCAAAAAAAUUCAAACAAUUCUAGAGAAUUUUAAAAAAAUUCAAAAAGAAUUUAGGAAACAUAAAUUUUUUUUAAAAUUUCCAAAUUUAAAAAAAUCCAAAAAUUAAAAGAAUAAAAAAUGAUGAUUUUAAUAAAAUUUAAGAACUUGUUAAAAUUCAAAAAAAUUAACAUAAACUAAAAAAAAACUAAAAUCAUAAGUUUUUUGAAAAAAUAUAUUAAUUUUUAAAUUUUUUUUGAAAAAUAUCUAAAAAAAUCUAUAUUUUUAAAUAUUUUUUUAUCUUACAAUUUCAAUUUUUUAUAUUUUUUAAUUUAAUUUUUUUGAAAAAUUUUUGGAUUUUUUUAAAAUUUUAAGUUUUUUUUAUUUUAGAUUUCUUACUUUUAAAGAAUGUUUCAAAAUUUUAAAAUUAUUUAAUUUUUAAAAUUAAAAUUUUUUAGGUUUUUUCUUUUGUCUUUAGUUUAUAAAUUUUUGUGAUUUUUCUAAAUUUUAAGAAAAUUUUAUUUUUAGAAAUUUUAAUUUAUUAGUUUUUCAAAAACUUUUAAAAUUUUUAAAAUUAUGAUAAUUUUUAUAAUUUAUAAAAAUAUUCCAUAUUUUUUUUUAAGAAUUUAAAAUUUUCAUAAAUUUUUACAAUUUUUUAAUUAUAACUUUUUUGAAUUGUUUAUAAUUUUUUAAAUUUUUGAGAAAUUUAAAAAUUAAUUUUUAAUAUUUAAAAUUUUUUAAAAUUUUUUUUGAAUUUUUAAAAUUUUUUUUAGUAUUUUAUAAUGUUUUGAAGUUAAAUAUUUUUUUAUAAAUUUUAAAAAUUUUAAAAUACUUUUUUGUAUUUUUUUUCAAAAUUUUAAAAAUUUUUAAAAGCUAUUUAGAAUGUUUUUAAGUUUUUAAAAUUUUUUUGAAGUUUUAAAAUUUUUAUGAUUUUUAAAAAUUAUAAAAAAUUUAGAUUUUUUUUAAAAAUUAAUAUUUUUUUGAAAAUUUUUUUAUUUUUUUGAAAAUUUUUUUUUAAAGAUGAUGUGGCAUUGACUAAACUUUUUUAACACAUACCAAUUCUUAUUGGAUGUUGAUGCCAUGUCAGCAAAGGUGACUAACGGCAUCAGUUGUAGGUUUCAACUUGAUAAUAGAAUAAAAAUUUAGGUACCAAUGUAGUUGUAUAAUUCUUAAAUACCAAUAUGACAAAAAAAUAUAAAAUUAAGGCCAAAUAUGUACUUAACCCAAAAGAAAUAGAUAGAGAUCAUAACUAUAUGGUUAUAAUUAUUAUAUCAAAAUUAAUUUAGUUUGUUAGCUUUAUUCAAAAUUUGAUUCCAAGGAGAAUAUAUAUUUUUUUAUACAAGGUCCCUCAAGCCUGAUCCCAAGCGUCCUUUUGUUUAUUUGACUAUUAAGUAAUACUUAAUUAGAUAUGGUUUGUUAUGUUUUCAAAAGUUAGUGUUUUUAUUUUUUUUAAUUUUAAAAUGACUUCUAGAUGUUGCAGGAGAAAGAUUUCGCACAGGAAAAGUUCAUGAAAAGAAUACAAUGUUCAAAAAGAUAGUAGAAAUAAUCUCCUAGGGCAUAUUGGAUACAACAAAGAGCAAUUUUUUUUCAGAGUCAGGAAUGUCUAAUACUAUUCAGUAUUACACAGUUUUGCAGGUCAUUUCUUAUAACCAAGGAAUAAUGUUACAAUUAAGAUUAUAGUGAAAUAUUCAAUAUACUAUUUAAUCUUUAAAAUUUUUAAUGUUAUAGUUAAAUUAUAAAUUUGUUAACUAAUGUGGUAUUCGAAGUACCAUUUGUCAAUCACAUAUUAUUAUUUAGAAUUAAAGAUAUAAGAGUAACACAUUAAUAAUAUUUAAUUCAUUUACAUUAAAUAUUUAAAUUUAGGUACUAUAUUAAAUAUUUUAUUAUAUUUUAAAGCAAUUCAUGACAUUAAUUAUAUAACCAAUGUAGCCUUAUUGAAAUGGUAGUCUGUCUAUUGGCUUCCUUGGGACCAAAGAAAAUAAGAACAUGUUUAAGUCAUGUUGAAUCUCUUGAUCGAGUGAAGGAAGGAAUUUGACUAUAAAAAACACUUUAAGCAAAAAAUGAAAACUUUAAUGAAUAUGGAAAUCGACAUACAACAUAUUAAAGGUAUGAGCGAUAAAAAUUUAUCACAAGUUAUGAAAGCAAACAUUUGUUUUAGAGAUCUAACUUAAGCAACAGGUUUGUAAUUUUAACUCAUUGUUAUUGGAUUCUUAUGUGAUUUUUUUUUAAAGUUACUUCUACGACUUUGUUGUAUCCUUAACCAUUGAAUCAGAAGUUGAACGUGAAACUAGAGCAGUGUGUAAAUUCAACCUUGUGCUCACCAGAGUUGCCUAAGUUAAUUAUUGGUAUAAGAGUCCUGACAGCAAACAUUUUUGUGGACAACGCGGCAUGCAAGGACUUUAUUUUUCAAACAUUCACAUUUCAUCCAUGGACAUCGAGAAUGCAACUGUAGUAAUCCUAAGAUUUCUUCCUAUUCAAGUUUCAAUUGAUAACUGUUAGAAAGGUUAUCGUCUGUGAAUUGUUGGCUUCGGAGAAGCACAAUUUGCUCAAGUGAGGGUAAAGGUUACAGUAGAUGUCUUGAUUAAUGCUUUUGAAGAAACAUAGAGUUGUGAAAUGUAAGCUGUCUGGAACUGGAGGAUUAUCACUUUUACAAAUAGAUGUGAUUUUAUUGUUUCCUUGUGUAGUAUAGAAUAGAUGUUGUUUUAUUGUUUCUGAGUGUAGUAUAGAUUAGGGAUAAUGUUAAGGUAGAGCAUUUUUCGUCCCUCAUCUAUGAAUUUUUAUAUUAUAUUUAUCAUCGUACUCAUGUCGAAUAAGUAUUUUAAAUUUAUUAUAAUCUCCAUUCUCGUAGGUAUUUAAUGGGUAUGAGCAUUUCUCAUACCUAUAGCUUUUAAAAAAAAUAAAAAUUUAUUUAUUUUUAUUUUUAAUUUAUAUAUUUAGGUAAUGUUUUAUAAAUAUCUAUUAAUAUAUAUUUUUAAUAAAAAUAUAUUUAUUCUAUUUAAUCUAAAAUAAUAAUUUAUAUUAUUUAAUAAAAAUAUUUUUUACUAAUUAUAUAUAAAUAUAUGUAGGGUACAUGUAUAAGGCAAGUGCUAUAUUACUCAUCCCUAUACCUGUAACCAAUAAAAAUUUAAAAUCAUAUCUAUCCCUAUCCUUAUCCCUAUACCCAUAACGUAAUACCUAUCAAUAUCCUUAUUCAGGUAAAAAAUCAGAUUUUUCAUUGGAUAUGGGUAAGAUUGACAUCCUUAGAUAAUAUUAGGAAAGAACACUGAAUUAUAUAAAAAUAUUCAAUGUGAUAAUUAAAUUUAAAAAAUUUCUAAUAUGAUAUCUCAAUUAUGAAUCUAUUAACUAAUAUAAUACUUGGAGAGUUAUUUAUCUAAUGUGUUUGUCACUCAAUGUUUAGAGCUAAUGAUGUUAAGAGUGAGUUCUAUAUUAGUUAAAAGAUUUAUAAUUUAGGUAUCACAUCAAAGAUUUUGAAAGUUUAGAUAUUAAAUUAAAUAUUUCAUUGUAAUUCACCAAACUAGUUGAGUUAAGUCUAAUUACACUAUGAAAAUAUAAUAUUUUAGCUAGAAUUAUGUAUGAGAAUAUAUUUGUGUACUAGGCUUCAGUUGUGUGUAGUCAGAUGAGGGUUAGAUCGAUGUUUGCAGUCUUGCCCUUGCUUUUUUCUAAAAGGAUGUUAAUACAAUUUAUAAUUGUUUAAAUUUAGGCAAUAACAUUAGACAAAAGGUUAAAUCUAGGUCUAAUGCAAAUGAAUAAAAUUGGGAAAAAAAUAAAAAUUAGUAGAUAAUAACUUUCAUUUUUUUUUCUCUUUCAUUGUGCAUGUUCAUUUUGGGAAUUUAUUGAGUUGUUGGUUUAUUUAAGCUUAAAAUGGUGGUUCUUUUUUUAGACACACUUGUUAACUAGCUUCCCUAUGAUUAUGAUUUGAGGGCUAUCGAUUUAGCUGCAAUACAAAAAUGAGAGAAUGCAAUUGGAAAAUUGGGUCUCUUGCAGCAGUAAAUACAACUAAUUCUUGUCAUAAUGGUUUUGGGAUCACUAAAUAAAAAUUUUAAAAGUUUUAAAAUUAGGAAAGUCAUCACUAUUUUUUUUUUAUCAAGAAUGAUUGAUCAUCUAAAAAAUUUAUCUUUUUAAUAAAAUUUUAAAAUUAAUAAAAACUUAUUAAAAAGAUAAUUUUUGUGUGAUCUAUGAAAACAAAUUUGAGUUUGGGAGUUAGGUCACUCGUAUGAAAGGAUUAACACCCCACAAUACCCAUUUCACAAAUGAUACCAACUGAUCAUAUAUUAUCUUUUUGUUUAAAUAAAAGUGAUUCUAAUUUUAAUAUUUAAAAUAAUCUUUUUAAUUUUUUAUUUUUUAUAAAAAUCUUUUUAAAACUUUUUAUUUAACAAUAACAGGAAAAUCUUUAAUACCAAUCCAUUAGACACAAAAUUAUGAAGUUGCUACCAAUCUUUUUUAAUUAGGUAUGAUUGAUUACUUAAAUGAAUCUACCAUUCUAAGGUUAUUUUAAGCUUGACUAAGGAUUUAUAAAAGAAUAGGUUUUAAUUUUUUAAGCAGAACUGAGUUUGAGAGUUCAGUUAUAUAUAAAAAAGGUCAUAGCACCCCUACAAUACCCACAAAUUGGCAUCAAUUAAUCUUAAAUUAUCCUUAGCCUUAAUUAACAUGGUCAUAACUUAUUCUUAUUAUUUAUUAUUUUUGUUAAUUUUACUAUUUAAAUAUUGGACAUAUUUUUAGGUUUUCCAACACUUUGGUCUACCCUUAAAAAUAUUCUUUACCUUAAAAGUAUUUAAGUAACAUACUUUUUUCUUUGAAGAGGCUAUAUCAUUGAGUUUAUUAAAUAUUUUAUUUAAUUCAAUACAUAAUAAAAUUUACAAUUCAAUAAAAUACAAAUAAAAUACAAUAAUAAAUAAUCACAAUUUAAUCAAUCAUAAAUUAUCACAAUUUGUUUUCAAUUUUAAUUUUUUCAAAUUAGAAAUAAAUAAAGUUUCUCAUAUUGAGAUCAAUUUUCUAAAUCCUCUAAUGCCUUGAUUGAAUUUAGAAAAAGAUUCUCUCAUCUAAAAAUUUUUAAGAAAAUUACAUACGUGUAGCUUUCUUAGAAUUUCAUUAUUGGUUGAAAUUUUAUUUAUUCCUAAAAUAUUUAUUAAAUACUACACCAAAUAACCAGUUAUACAAAAAUCUCCAAUUACCUAAUCUAAAAUUUAUUUUCUUCUCAUCUUAACCCCUUUUAUUUAUUUACAAAGCAACUAAAAAUAUAUCUAAAAAUUUAAAAGUUAUAUAUGCAUGACAAAAAAAUUAUAAAAACUAAAUAAAUAAGCAAACGAAUACAAGAUAAAUAAAUAAACACAUCAAAUAAACAAAAGAAAGGGAAAGAAGAAACCAACCAAAAUGCAAAUACCAUUUAAUUGAAACUUGUUGAAAACCAUAGGUAUCUAAAACCAUAAUUUAUAGGGUACAUCUCAACUAAAGGACUUGACCCUAUAUCACCAUUCAACAACCUAGGAAGUCUAAAGAAAACACAAGUGGCAACAUGCAUGUAAUAUAUCUUGGGUUUCAACGUGACAAGCAGGACCAGGUGUUGAUUACAUUGGGUUUCAACAUGUUUUGCAUAAAAGAAAUUUGGAAGUAUUGAAAGAACUUGGUUAGUUAUGUCAUGAUCUUGACAAUUUUGCAUAAAAUCCUUGAGAUGAUUUUUUGAUUUCUAGUGGUUUUUGGCUGCUACUUUUCCGUUUCGGGAUUUUGGGUAUGGUAGCUGCUAUGUAUUGUCAUAGCUGGAAAUUGAGGAAGUUAGAGUCAAUCCUUUGUGUUUUUUUCUUGCAAUUGAAUUUUUUCACUGCCAAUUCUUUUUCAAGAAUUUUUUUCUUUUUGUUUUUUUUGAACCUGCCCUGUUUCUAUGGCGCUGAAAAUAUAAAAAACACAUCCCAAUUGUGAAAGAGCUUUGAUCAAACAAUUUUCAAUGAUUACAAAUUAAACCAAUUUCAACACUUUUAAUCCUUUACCAAUUCUCCUGUUAAAGUCUCAGCCAAAAAAAUUUUUUUUUUUUUUUUAAAUAACUUUAAACUAAAUACAAUAAAAUUAAAAAAUUAAAAUAGAAUUCAAAGUCUAAUAUUAAAAUGUGAAUUGUCCUAGACUAAAUGGAGCUGUGAUGGUUGUGUUGCGUCAGUGGUGGCUGUAGGCGUAGCAGUGGCUUCGCAUGUGUUCUGCUGGGUGAUUGGUGUUAAGGCUGUAGGUUGUUGGCGGUGUGGGUCUUGAGGCAGGGGGCUGAAAGAGAUUAAUUAGGGGCUUUGGGUUCCGGGUGAUGGCAAGACUUGGUAGUUUUAGGUGCUGGGAUUUUUGUUUUUUCGAGUUUUUUGUCAAUGAUGGAGAAAGGGGAGGUUUUUUGGUCAGGCAGAUUAGUUCUUGGAUUUUUCUGUAGAAAUUGGGCUUCCUUCCUCCGAGUGUCGAAUCCCCUGUGCGCAAAAAAUUUCGGUUUCUUUUUAGGAUUCAGUUUCUAAAAAAUAAGAAACUUGGUAAUUCAUUUUAGUUGGAAUCUUGUUGCAGCAGCCAUUGCUGCAUUUUUGGGAGGUGUAGCAUGCUGCACUUUGGGUCCUGAAAGCUUUGAUGAAUUGGUGUUAGAAACUAACAGAUAAAAUGGAAGGUAGAAAAUUCAGAGCUUAAAAUGGAGGCAACAGUUUAGGGAAGGAAAAAGUGGACAUCGGAAAGCUACCUCCAAGCUUUAGUCUUUUAUUUUUUAAUAAUUAAAGUAAUUAAACUUAAAAUUAAAUUUGGGCCUAAAAAUUAAAGGUGAAAUUUUCAAAUUUUGAACUUUAAAUUUUGUUCUGAAAAUUUAGAUUUUAAGCUCAUAUCAUUUGGUUUCAAAUUAACCCAAAAUAAAUUGAAUUGGGUUUUGAUUUACUAGAAAUGGUCGAAAAACGAUUAAUUUAAAACAAAUUUAAAUGAAUUUAAUUCAAUUUAAAUAUUUGAAUUAAUUCAUAUAAAAAAGUUUAAAUUAAAUAUAAAAUUAAAUAUAUUUAAAUCGAUUUAAAUAAAAUUAAAUGUUUACAAUUUUAUUCUGAAAUUUAUUGACAAGCUAUCAGGAUAUGCUCAUGAUACGUACUCGUUGGACACUUUGUUUCUCUAUAAUCAGCCUAAAAGCUGCAAAAAAAUUAGAGUACAUUAUGUAAAAUUUACAAUAUAUUUGAGAGUCAAUUAUAUUUUUUGGUAUUUUGAAACUGUAAGAAUUCGAUCUCUAGUAAUUAAAACCAAGCAUUCAGCACUCUGCAAAUAAAGGGGAUGAUUGUCGGUUAAAUGCCAGUCAUUUGCUAUAUAGGCGAUAGUAGCUUUCAUUGACUAAAUUUAAAUUACACGAAUAAAAGGUUAAGAAAGAGAAUUAAGCAAUUUAUUCAAUCAAAUAACAGUGUCCUAAACCAUAACUGUCAAUCCUCUAAAUGCAAACAAAUAAUCUAAAUAAUAAAUCUAAAGGAAAAAUCCUUUUUUUUUUUUGGAACACUGAAUCUCAAUCCCUUAAAGCCUAAGCUAUUAAACAGAAAUACUCCUUCUGUAAUUUAUAUAUCAUGCGACAGAAUAUUAUAAAACUUAUUCCACAAAAAAAAAAAAAAAAACCUAUGAAUGGUGUUUUAACUUAAUUGGUAACUUUCAACUGAAUAUUCUAUUGGGCAAAAACUCUAGUAAAAUUCAUUAAAAGUCAUCAUCAAAGUCAUCUAUGCGUCUGUUAACUCAAUCAGAUUAAUCUAGCCGCAACAACACAACAAAUGCACGAUCUAUUUGACAUGAAAAGAAUUAUCCAUUUUGGUAUUGGUGGUGAUAUAAAUAGUUCCAUGUCCAUUGGAGAUGUUACCAUUCCUAAGCAAGUUGCUCAUAAUGGCAUCUGGGAUUUGGGAUUUGCUCAUACUGUCAAAGAGGAUGUCAACCUAUCAAAUUACUGUGAUGGUCAGAACCCACUAGUUGUGCACCAUCUGAUAUUGGGAAGGCCAAGAACUCCUUUUGCCAGUGGUCUUCCGCUUGCCAGGAUACCUUAGAUUCAAUGUGGACGGCUCCGCAAAAGGAAAACCUGGUCCCGCUAGGUGUGGCGGCGUCCUUGCCAUGUUUUCGGGCCUGGUUGGUAUCUGGGAUUCAAACGUUGCUGAAUUUUUGGAAAUUAAAAUGCCUCUAGAGGUGUUCACAAAGACGGAGUGGUCUCACAAGAUGAGUCUGAUUCAAAGUUUAUUUUUAAGUGGGACUCAAACGAAUCUGUUCGACCAUUGAGGCUAUAAGAUGUGUUCUUGGAGAUUGAUUCUUUGACCACAAAGCUGACAGAAUUUAAACUGCUCAAUAUCUUCCGCGAAGUAAACGAGAUGGCUGACGCACUGACAAAAUCGAGGGUGGAGUAAUAUGAUAGGUUCAUGGUCUGGUGGCAGCUUCAUUGGUGCUAAGGUGUUUCAAUUUACGAACUUACAUUUCGUAUCAGGCGAAGGUCUAUUGGGACAAGUUAUUCCCUACAUGUCUUUCUCAUUACUAUAUGAAUAAAACAAAACCUGAUUUAGCCCAAAAAAAAUAUCAACCUAUUUUCCGUCUUCUACAAGUUUCUUGAACAUGAUGGCGGCUAGCUAUAUUAAUCAUUUUCUUAACACAGAUGGGAACGUGGAUUCUGCUGAUCUACCGAAAGGAAAUGGAACUAAUCUCUCAGGCGUCUUGGAUAUACUAAAAAACAAUUUUUACUCAUUUUUAUUAGAAAGCGUACAUAUUACCUAACAGUAGCAUAUAAUAUAAAUUGUAAAAAUUAUUACAAUUAAUUUAUAAAACAUUAUGAGAUAAGUCAUAUAUAAUUAAAAAAUUUAUCAAAUUUAAUUUCAAAUGCAUUGAAAAGAUUUUAAUUUCGAAUUUUAUAUAUUAAAAUAUAUUUAUUUUAGUGAAAAGAGUGCAUGUUACUAAUAUUAGUUAAUUAUUUUAGUAUAAAUGAUUUAAAAAAAGAUUAAUUAAUUUUUGAUAUGUUGAAAUAAUUUUAAAUAGAUAAUUAAUUAUUUUUAAAGGAAAACUAAAUAAUGAAAUAAAUAAAUAAAUAAAAUUUCAUACAUUUUACUUAUUUUCAAACUUCUAUAUAUAUGUAUAUAUAUUUUUAAAUAAGAUUUUAUUUAUUUAUUUUCAAGACAAUAUUGCAUCUCCGUCUCAGGGUAUAACAUAUAUAAAUAUUUUGUCUUAUGUUAUUUGUAUAAGAUUUUUUAUAUAUUAAUAUUUUUAUUUAAAAUAUUCUCACGAAGUUAAUGGUAUUAAAACUAAACUUUUAUUUAUUUUGAUAUUUUUCUAGUUGGGUUUCAUAUGGAAGGAAAAAUGGCUUGGCUCAAUAUUUUUUGAGCCUAAGAAGGAUUUUGCGGCCCACUAGUACGCUUUGGGAUCAGAUCCGUCAAAGUGGUAAAAUUGUCAAUUCAUAAUGCCUGAUGCCUUCUAAAACCCAAACGGGACUCCGAGUUGAUAUAACAUUGUAUCUCAAGUCUGGCAGCUGUUUAGCCGAAUCCAGAGACUGCAGGAGCUUAAGCAGCAAUGGGUACCCCAUUUUCUUUAGCUUUUCAAAUCUAACAUUCAUGAUUUAAUAGCUAGCUGGCUCUUAUUUUCUCUAUUGUUUUUCGUUAAUGGGAGGAUUUAAAUAAGGAUCUGUUAUUUGUUUAUGUAGAGUGAUGGUUUUCUCUGCUUGAUUUUUUUUUUCCUUUAUUUGAUUAAAUCUAGAAACUUAUUGAAGGAUUGGUUCUGACUUAUUAUUAGUUCUCAUCUUUUUUAUAUAUUUUAUUACUAUAUUUGCCACAUUAAAAAUUAGAUGGUAAGUGGUAGAAAUGGGCUUUUACUUGACUGGAAGUCUUUUUAAAUGAAAGGGUAUAUUUGAUUGCUUUUUAUAAAUAUAUUUUGAUGGAUCAUUGUUUUGGCAUUUUGGGUUCUGAUUUGUGAUGAUUUUGCUUUUGGUGGGUUUUUUUGGGAAAAUAUGGGCUUACAAGUACGUGUCAGACUCAGAGCUAUGGAGGAAGAAGCAAUCUGAUGUGAUGAGGCUCUUGCAGAGGGUCAGGUGUAGGGAGUACCACCAGCACCCUUCCAUUGUUCGAGUUAACCACCCAACUCGCCCUGACAAGGCUCGUCGCUUGGGAUAGAAAGCCAAGCAGGUAAGCUGAUUCAUUUUUUCUUUGAUAUUGCUUUCUUCCUCUGCAUUUUUAUGAGGUUUGGUAUUUUAUCUUUUAAUUUUCCGGCUUAUCCUAUUUGUUUUAUUGCAGUUGUAACAUAUUUUAGUUAUAUGAUUAUCCUUUGGUCUGAAAAACUGCAUUGCAAAAAUGUUUAUGGCCGGACUUACUUUAAAUGUGAGACGACUCAUAUGUUGCUAAUAUAGUUGUAAUAUAUAUAUAUAUAAUUAUAUUUACAAAUAAAAUAAUAAAUUAAAUGAUUUUAUGAUUGGCAACAAUAAAAUUGUUAUGAAAGGUAUAAAGAAAUUUCAACAGUAAUGUAACAAUAAUACGAAAGGUAUAAAGAAAUUUCAAACAGUAUUCAUGUAACAAUAAUAGUUGUUAUAAUUAAUUAAAUUGGUUGUAUUAAAAAUUUACUGCUACAAAAUUUAUUGUUAUAAUUAAAAAAUUAUUGCAAAAAUAAUUUUAUCAACGACAAUAGUAGAUAUGUAAAAGAUUUUUCAAUGAUUAUAAUCGUUGUUAAAGUUAUUUAUUGAAAUGACAAAAAUCAUUAUGCUAAACGUAAUUAGCAACGAUAUGUGAUUAUGUUGCAAAAUAAGUUUUUGUAUUCGAAAUUUAUGGUUGUUAAAAUAAAAUUAAAGCAAAAACAUUUAAUCGUUACAAAAUAUUUUAUGUAACUAAAAUAAUAUUAAUAUGUAAGUUUUUAUAGUCAAAUUUUAUGGUUGCAAAAUUAAAUUUAUACAACGUUAUUUUGUUGUUGCAAAAUUUUAUACAAUGACAUUUUAUCAUUGUGAAAAAAAUGAUUUAUUUGGCAACAAUUAAAAGUCAUUGUAAUUUUUAUUUUUUUGAACAACACUAUAAGUUAUUGCGUUAAUUCUUUAUUAACAAGGUUAAUAGCAACGAUAAAAAAUUAUUUUGAAAACAAUUUUAACAACGAUAAAUAAUUAUUUAGCAACGUUUUGGACUGUUAUAAUAUAUCAAUUUUCUUAUAAUGCAAACAUAAUCAAAUUAAGCACAAAUAUUGGAAAGAUUGUUCAUCACUUCAUUAAAUAAUUAAUGGCUAAGUGAGUUAAACUAAUAAUAUAUCAAUGUUAGAUAAAAGAAAAUAAUUAUGCACUACAAAAAAAGUCAUUUUUAUUGACACUUAUAAAUGUCAGUGAAAGAUUAAAAAAGUGAUGAUAUUACUGUUGCGGGAGUUAAGUGAAUGUUGAUGAAAACUUUUUGAUAGUCAAGUCACCAAUGCCAGAAUUAUAAAUGUACUUGCUGAUAUUAUUUUUUUGGUACUUUAAAUUACUGUUAUAAGUAAAUAACUUUUAAAUGUAAUUUAAAGUGUUGGUAAAGAUCACAUUUUAUUUAAAUUUUUAUAUUAUUUAGUGAGCUAUAUUGACACUUAAAAUCAUCCUUAAAAGUUUUAGUUUUUUUAAAUAAUUUUCAUAUUUCUAAUCUUUGUAACCAAUAAAAUUAAAAAAUAAUUCAUACCAAUUAAUAGAGAACACAGGUCUGAGAAAUGAAAGUCUGCAAGUCACUUUUGCAAUUUCUGGCAAAAGAACAUUUUUAGAUUAUUUAUUUCCCAAAUUUUGCUUUCCUGAUAACAGAAUAAUAAUUAACUGACAUGUGCAAAACACUUGAAGUAUUCAAAGUUUGGUUAAACUCAGACAGAGACCUCACAAAUUUUAUAUCAGUAAAGUGACAAUAUCAUGAUUCAUAAGUAUUAAAAUCAGCAAAAUUCACUAGCAAUGUCAAUGUCUACAAGCUAUUAAGAACAUCAGGUAACCAUCAAAGGCAAAUUGCGUCCUGAUACCAAUCCCAUUACAAUUACCAAAACUACCCAAACAUCAAAAAGUUGUCAAAUUACCAAUUAUUAUCAAUAAUGCAAUAGCAUCAUCCUCAAAGCUUCCAUAUUUCUUUAGUUAUUGGCACAUAGUAAUCCCAAUGAAUUCGAUGCAUCUGAAACCUGCAAUAUAAUACAAUUUCUGGAUCAGUUCAAUCAUAAGGACCACCUCAUAUUAGUAAAGUAAGGGGUUUUUUUUGUUGUUUUAGCCAAUAUUCUUCUACAAAUGAAUAGUAAGGCCUAUAGAGCUGAACAGCUAAACAAGAGGGGUUUGACAACUGCUAGGAAAAAUAAUACCACCAUGAGUGUAGGUAAUUUACUCUAUAUACUGGCAAGACGUGGUUUUAAAUUUUAAGCCAGAACUAUAAGUUGAAUCUUAAACUUACAGGGUGAAAUCCACCUUGGUGUAGAAAUUCGAGAGCAGCAUGACAAAAGAAACCAAACCUUUCUGCAUCUUUUCUGCAACCAUAAACACAACCUGUCCAAAAGAAUCUGCAAGCAACAAUACACCAAAGGAUUCUUAUGAUUAUAAUUUUUUUUUUUAACAAAGUGAAACAUUGUAAUUCUUAAAGGUGCUAUAGGAGUAUAAAAAUUACCCGUUUUCUGGCUCCACAAAAUAAACUGAAAGGCCUUCCACUUUUCCAAACCAAACUUUAACUUCAGUGCCACCCCAAGAAUAGCCUCUUUGGUAAUGAAUAUCCUUCACCUAUAUCAUAGAACAUUCAUUUGACAGAUCUGAAAUUAUUAAAAAGACAAGUUUGAAAAAAGUAAAGAGAUGAAUGAAUUGUUUUAUAUCUUUUUUGAAUAUUAAGAUAUGAAUGAAUGAAAUCGAGAAUCUGAUUAUAUGACAAUAAACAUCUUUUAAGUAGCAUUCCCAAAAUUUUCGUCAUGUAUAGCCCAAAUAAAGAUGAGGGCAGGGAAGCCUUAUAUGAAACUUUUGUUUUCUGGAAAACCCAAUAAGAAAAGGUUAUGUGACAAUUUAGUACCGAUAUCUUAUUAAAGGAAAAAUGCACUUCAGCCACCUCAUGCAAGAUAGAUAACACCACACGCAAGCUUACAAACAGCAUGCCUAGUAAGCAAGAAUACAAACCAAAAAAAUCCAUAAUUUAAGGAAAUUAAGGCAAUCCAGUGAAAACAAUUAAGAUGAAAAAUGUGGCUAAAGUGAUGGCAAUGAAGUUUACAUGGCCAAGGUUCAAGCAGUCAUACUUUGGAAGAAUGAUGUCCACAUUGUUGUUUAAAUCUUGAACAGCACGCGAGAGACUUGUAACGACAUCACCCAGAUCUCCAACCUGCAAAGUUAUAAAAAAGAAGUAAUUGAGAAAAAGAAGGAUAAUGGAAAAUCUUUUGGGUUUUUUCUACAUAUUCGACCACAAACUGGAAAUAAUACAACACAGAUGUCUAUGGUGUUCCAUUUCUGUCUGUGGAUCAGCAUCCUCUCCCCCAACUGUCUCAUUUCCAAAACACCUUUCAUUAGGAAAAGACAUGUCUUUCUGGCCUUCUUUCAGCUUACAGAAUUUUCUCUUCAUUAAGAGAAAGAAUCUGAAUGGACUCAUAAGCAAAGAAAAACUAGAAAAGAAACCUUGAUAGACAUCAGGGCAAUAAAAAAAGUUUUGAAAACCUAAACUCCCUUAAUGUCCAAAAGUUACCUUUACAGUAGGCCCCAUCUCAACAGCAAUAUGCACAAUGUUCAUCGGUGGCUCUUGCACAAUUCCUCCAAAAACAGGUAUUCGAUAAUCCAAACCGCCUUUGUUGUCAAAAGUUCCGGCAUCUUCCCUCUCAGAGAAUACAAACUCCAUAUAUGCAUCCAAUGGAACCUUGACUGCAGAGUCACAUAAAGUAAGUCUUUAAUAGAAAGAUUUAAUGCAACAAAAGCCAAAAAUAAAAAGAACGCCAUAUGUUACCUAAGGAGAUGAUAUAAAGCAACAAUUGAUAAGUCAUAUAUGCCUAAAACUUAGGCACAGAUUGAAUUCCAAAUAAUUUAUUAGUCUGGAUCUAUAAUUCACAUUUAUUCUCUAGGACCAAAAGAGCUUUCAAGGGGAGUGCGUCGGCACGCAGAAGAUGAUAAAAUGGUGAAUGCAAACAGCAGAUGACCCAAGAAGCAGUACAAUUUCUAUUCACUAAAAUUUACCAUAAAGGAUACUGAUAGGUGAAAUAACUCACAAACUUAUUAGAGAGAAUAUUAUUUUAAAAGCAGUUGAUUAACUCAUUGAUCCAUGAAACCAUACAGACAAAGACAAUUAAUGCAUGCAUCAGAUAGGAGCUCAGUUAUUGCCAAAUAAUUAUGCAUCAGAGAAACCUUUAUGAAAAGCAUUUGUUUGAAAACCAUACUUUAGAAACUAUUAAAGCAGUCAAAAGUGUAUUUUUUGACCAAAGACAUCUCUUGGUGAAAAGAAAUCAACACAGGACAAUUCAAUCCAUGAAGACCUAAAGUUUGGUUCCCGAGUUACUAAGACAACCUAGUAAGGAAGAAAGCAUGAAGCCCACAAGGGGAAAUGAUGUUCUUAAUAUCACAUUCAUUGUACACAUUGUGUCAUGGUCCCUUAGAAGUCAAUUCACAAGAUCUGCCAAAAGAUUUACCUCACAUUAUUCCGUUGAUUUGAUAUAUUUGUCAUCUAAACCUACAAAAUUUGCUCAAUAUACCUUCCUAAGAUUGAACUACUUGUUAUGAUAUUUACAAAAUUUUUAACUCAAACUCACCCUACGAAGACUAUUUAGUCUUUGCAAAUUGUACAGUCAUAAUUCCAGAUAUAAAAAAACAAGCAAUUAAAAAUAAAUCCACAAAGUUCAUUAGUAUUUCUGAACUUAAUUCUAUAAGCACCAAGUCACUUGAAUGUUCAUGUAUUUCUCUCUCUCUCGAUGACAAAUAAUUUUACUAACAAGCCACCACAACACCAAUCACAACAACCACAACAUUAUGAUCAAAACCAAUGCCGUCCAAGUUAGAAAGUAAGAAACAUAGAGAGAAAACUUUUGAUUAGAGAAAUACGAAAUAAGAAAGAAUGAGAGACUUAGCAGCAUACUAGUGACCCAGAAAUCCAACAAUAUAGUCAUAGACACUAAAUAUAUUACUACCAUAUGUGUUACAAAAGGGGAUCUUGACUUCAGGCGAAAGAGGCACACAUGUUUAUUUGCAUUUGUAUCCAAGUAUAUCGUCUUAGAAAUUAUUGUUUCCUCUUUGUUUGAUAUCAUCACUAUUUCUCCACCUAUAGAAACCAUCAUAAGCUUAAAGUGCCAUAAGUGAUGAUCAGUUAAGACAAAGAAAAAAAUUGUAUCAUUUCCAGAAGGAGAUUUGACUUCAAAGUUUUUGUCAUUAUUAACACUAAGAAACAGUAGAUUUCUAUUAGGAGAUUAUGAGCUGGUAAGAAGCUCAUAAUUAAGGAGAUCAAACCUUAAAGCCAAAGGGUAGAAAAUAAGAGCUUAACAAUGUCCUUUAUAAAGGUACACAAAUGUCAUCCAAUAACAACAAGGUGAAAAGAAAUUGUGCGGACACUACAUACACAAAAGUCCACAAAUAACCAAUUUCAUCUAGUAUGAGUAACUAAUUCAUAAUUAACACAUCAUAUGUGCAAACCAAUCUAUACGUUCGAAUAAUUUUUCAGAAGUAAGCUGCCUUUCAGAAAUUAUUCAUAGUCACCACUCAACAACAUACUAAGUUCAAGAUUAGUUCACACAUUAUACCCAAUAACAAAUCACAAAAAAAAAAAAUAAAAAAAAAAUAAUAAUAAUAAAAUAAAAUAAAAUAAAUUCAAAAUGAAAAUUAAUAAAUUAAAACCUACCUUAGAUAGAUUAGAAUUGAGAUUGAGCUUGACUGAACAUCAAAAUCAAGAUAAGCUGUAUCAAAUAAAAUUCAACCUCGAUCGAAGCAAAAAAAAAUUGUUAGUCAUUUCGGUCAUUACAAAAUCAGAAUCAAAAUGAAUAGAAAGAGGAAGUACCUGUUUCGAAACGGCACUGAUGAAGAAGAUGACAAUGAUUGAGCUGAAACUAGAGAGGAAAAAGUUAGGGGUUUUAACAAAUUAAGGAAAGAUUCAUUAGAUUUUUGUCUCAAAACUGAUUUGAAAAACAACAGAUGAAAAAACAUGAUUUGCGGAGAGUGAUUAGCUGAAAAUCACAGAAAUGCAGAGGCUUAGCAGAGUGUGAUUCAUAUAUACAUAGCUACAAGCAGAGAAAAUCAAAAUUUCAGCUUGUUUGUAGCAGAGGAAAUCGAAGAAAUUGUAGCAGAGAUUGAUAGUGUUGAUGGAGAGUGCUGAGAGCGAGAGAGAUUAAAAAAAUAUAUAAAAAAAGAGAAAUAUGAAAUAUGAAAUGAGAGAAAACAACUGAAAAAAAAAAAGACACUUAAAUUCGCAUUUGUUCAGUUUUAGCAUCUAUAUCAUACUAUCUAUUCUGAAAGAUUCCAACAUGCAUUUUAAUAUUUGGGAUGUGAACUUUAAUGGGAUUUUGUUUUCCCGUGUACAAAUACAAUGGAUCUCUCUCUUUCAGUCUCACUUAAGAGCUCCAUGCAAUCACAUUUAGAGAAGAAACACCAGUACUUCUUGUAUGGACAUGAUUGAAGGAUUUAUUCCUACUGAAUUCACAAAUGACAUGCUCCUAUAUCGUCUGGAAGGACAACUGCAAGUAACACAGAAUUUACAUGAUCAGCCUUCUUUCUUUCUUUCUUUUUUCUAUAAUUUAUAUUUUUGAAAAUCAUUCUCUAACCACAAUAAAAUGAAGAAAGAUGAACCUCGACAAACUUACACUUGCAUCUAUUAUUAUUAUUCUAUCUCAACAUGUCAACUAAAUUUGGUUGGUAGAUAAGAUUGAAGACAAAAAUCAGAAAAAAAAAUUAAAAAAAAAUAAUGCAUAUAGUUCACAAAUUAAGAACAUGUGAUAGUACUUUGCAUACUUAAAUAAGUGUCGACAAGUCGAUGAUAAGUGACUAAUUCCACGACAUCUCAAAGGCCUAAGAUAACAAAACCAUAUGAAAUCAAAUCAAUUCAAAUUCAAUACUGCCUUAUAUACAUUACAGUGUUAUUAUGACUCAAAUAUAUAUAUAUAUAUAUAUAUAUUAUUUGGUUACUAACAAGAACAAGAAAGUUACGGAGAUAACCAUUGAAAAGAACAAAAAAUAUUGCUUUUUCUAAAGAGUAUUAUCUCAGGAAUAUUUAAUGUUAUUUGUAUGGAAAAUGUUUAAUUAGUUAUCCGAAAAAAAGAAAAUAUUUUUAAUAUAUAUUUGGGAUAAUUGAAAUAUAAUAAUAAAUAAUUAAAAAAGCGAUGAAGGUACCUUCAAUAUGGACACAAAAUACAUAGCUGUUCUGCCAAUGGCCUGCAAGAAAAAUAUAAAGUUCAAAUGAAAAUUGUCUUGAAAGGUAGUUAGAGGCAUUCUAUGUACUUUUCAAUAAUCUUAAACUAUAUACAAACAAUUGUGUAUCUUACUUUAUUAAUCCUUCUCCAUGUUUUUCAAAAACUCUCUUUUGAUAUUUUUGAGCAUGGAAACAACAUCCUUCAUAUUUAUCCUGUUUUCAGGUAAGUCAGAUGAACAAUCCAAAGCUAACGCCAUGAUGGACGAUAUACAAUUCACUUUGACAACAAAAUAUUCAUCCUCUUUAUGCACUAAACUGGAGUCCGCUACAUCAAUUAUUCCAUUAGAUAGUGACAUUUUCACCCAAUGUCUCAUACUCAUUUCUCCAGCAAAAGAUUCAUCAGUGGGCCUCUUUCUUGUGAAAAUUUCCAUUAGUAGAAUACCAUAACUAUAAACAUCACUUUUAAUAGAAAUAAUUCCUGCUGAUCCAUAUUCUGCAUUUUAAACAUAAUUGAAUAAUUAAAAGAUAUUAUAUCUUCAUAAUCAUAAAAAAAUAUGCUUAUGUUAGAAUAUGGAAAAAAAUAAUAAUAAAACAUCACCUGGUGCCAUGUAGCCAAUAGUGGCAAGUGUCAUUGUUUGUUUCAUAGAAUCUUCUUCUCCCAACAAUUUGGAAAUGCCAAAAUCUCCCACAUGAGCAACCAUGUCUUUGUCUAGUAAGACAUUACUUGGUUUUAGGUCACAAUGGAUUAUAGGUGUUGGAUGUCCCAAAUGGAGGUAUUCUAAUGCUGAUGCAACAUCCAUCAUUAUGUUGAUUCUUUGCAGGAUAUCCAAGAAAUAAUUGUAAGAAUAUAACCAUUUCUCAAGGCUCCCAUUAGGCAUGAAUUCAAGCACUAAGGCUUUGAAGUCAAUAGUAGAACAACAACUAAUGACCUUAACAAGAUUGCGGUGAAAGAUAUUGCUCAUCACUUCACAUUCAAUCUCAAAACUCCUAAAUGCUCCAUCUAUUUGCAAAUUAAAAGCUUUUAUUGCAACAUUUGUCCCAUCUAAAAGUAUUCCUUUGUAUACAGAGCCAAAACUUCCUGAACCCAGUAAGUUGUUUUCACUAAAUCCAUUAGUCCCUUCCAAUAGCUGAUUGUAGGAAAUUCUUCUCCAUUUCUCGACAGGAAUUAAAUCUUCAACAAUCGCCAAAUUCAUAUUCCCCUGCUGCUUUUUUUUGUAGACAAUUAUGACUGCUAUAACUAUUAUUAUUGAAGCAAAUGUUGGUAAAACAUACCUCAAAGCAUGUAGAGCGGUCUUCUUGAAUUUCCGAUGGAUUUUAUUUUUGCAAGGUGAGACUUGUAGUCUAGGUGAACCACAGAGUGCAUAAUUUUUCAUGAAUGAUUUGGCCGUGAAGUUUAAAAAGGGACCUCCACUUGGGAUUUCCCCUUCUAAUCUAUUGAAAGACACAUUAAAAUAAUUGAGAUCAUAAAGUCUUUCCAAAGACUUUGGAAUGAUUCCAGAGAAAUUGUUGUUAGAUAAAUCCAAACUUUUCAAACUCAUCAAGUCACCGAAUGAUUCAGGAAUAGGACCUUGUAAUCUAUUACUAGCAAGAUUCAAAACCUGUAGAUCAUGAAGACUUCCAAUUGUGGGAGGAAUAUCACUUGAUAAUAAAUUCCUUGACAAUUUCAAAGAGAUAAGUACCUUCAAAUUUCCAAUGUCAAGUGGAAGUGAACCGCUAAGAUUGUUUGAUGACAAGUCUAUUUCUAAGAUAUCUUUAAGGCUCCAAAAAGUUAAAGGUAUUGUUGAAUGCAAUUUGUUGGAGAACAAGUAUAGAUAUCUCAGAGAAGUCAAAUCAGAGAAACAUGUCGGUAAAGGCCCAUCAAGCUCAUUGUCACCUAAUGAUAAUUUGUACAAUCCCUUCAAACCACAAAGAUCAUGUGGUAUAAAGCCCUGUAACUUAUUUCCAUAAAGAUGCAAAAGUUGGAGAUUUUUUAGCCUUCCUAUUGUUGUUGGAAUAGGUCCACUCAAUUUAUUAGAGGAAAGGUCUAACAAUAUAGCGUUACUUAAGCUACCGAUUUCCAUGGGAAUGCUGCCUCUAAUUUUGCAAUGAUUGACCCACAAUUGUUGAAGUGAUGUGGAAAGAUUUGAGAUAGAAGUUGGAAGAAUGCCAUUCAAUGGGUUCAAUGAUAGUUCUAAAAUUCUUAGAUGCCUGCAAUUUGCCAAGGAAUUGAGAAAGCUCCACUCAUGAGUUGAAGUUUUGGUGGUCAAGUGAUUCGACCAAAGGUGCAAGGUCUCAAGGAACCUCAAAUUGCCAAGUGCAUCUGGAAUAAGGCCAAAGAAUGAGUUUUGUUCUAAUUCUAGGAUUCUGAGCUUAGAAACAUUAGAGAUAGAACCAGGAAUAUUUCCACUGAGAUUAUUGCCCCAUAAGUAAAGCACCUCAAGAUUUGAAGCAGAGCUCAUGUAUGGUAAUUUACCUAAAAAGACAAAAAAAAAGUUUGCAUCUUUCCAUACAAAAAAUAAAUUAAUUCUUUUGCUUUGUUGUGUUUUUCAUGAAUCUAUGAUGCAAGCUGAAGUGAAUGCAAUGCUUACAUCUACAAAUGUGAGUGAGGAAGAGCAUGAAACAAUUAUAAAUAGGAAACAACUUCAAGGUUUUCUUGUUUGAUGAUCUGGAAUAUAUAUAUAUAUAUCUAAUUUAUAAUUUUUUCUUAUUUAUAAUGAUUAAAAGGCUCCAUACUUUCGUAUAAUAAAGUACUAAAGAGGAAAAAGAAAAGUAAAAGAAAAAAAGAAGGUACAAGAAAGGAAGGGAGAAAAGAAAAUAUUAUAAGGUUUCUAGUAUAUGCUUAAAAUGUUUUCCAUUUAUGUGAGAAUUUUAUUUUCUUUAACUAAUCUCAAUUGCUUUAAUUAUAAAAAAGAUUAAGGAAAAUUUGGAUGACAAAAUUGUUCACGAAAGAAAAGGAAAUAAGAUAAAAAUGAAGCAAAUAAAAAAAUAUAAGUACAUUUACAUUAAUUUGUUUGAGAAAAGAAAAUUCUGAAAGUGUAAAUAUUUGGAAAUAAAUUAGAAUUUUUAUCUGUGCCAUUUUAGGAAAAAAGGCUCAAAAGAGAAAUGAUAAAAUUUCUUUCAUUUUAGACUAUAUGCAUAAUAUAAGAGAAAAAUACAAAGAUUCUCUGAAAAGAUUGUUAAAAGUACAUGUACUCUCUUUAGUUUGAAAAUCACUUUCUUACUUCCCUAAGGUUUGAUAGAACCUUACGAGUACUUUAACAGAGGAGUUUCAUUUGAGGUUUGUUGGAGUAAUACUGUAUACAUUUUACUACUACAAUAAAAAAUUAUGAUGACAAAAAAUGUGAAACUAAUGAAAAAGAUUUUAAAAUGAUGCUUUUGAUUACACAAUUAUUAGAGGGUGAAAAGCCUUGCCUUAGUCCGAUUUAGAGGGUAAGUAAAGGUAAGUCAAAAAGCUCUUCUUGGAUACUAUGAAGGCCACACAAGAACAUUACCUUCGGAGAAAAAAAUUUGUUACACUGUUUGUUGAUGGAAUUUUUCCAGGUUGUAGUGUCUUUAAUCUCAAGCAACAAUUUGUCAGAUGUGGGAGGGUGGUUGAUUUUUACGUCUCCAAAAAUCAAAUUUCUAAAUGGUUUGCACUUGAGGUAUUCCACUCUAUAUGUUCAAAUGGCAAGGUAUGAUCAAAGAUCUCAUGUUAGUUCUAAACCCACCACUCAGUACAUAGAAAAAGGUGUUAUCUGCAUAGAAGACUUUAGAGAUGGACGAUCUCAUGUAGAGGUUGUUAAUAUGUCAGUCAAAUCCUCUCAGUUAAAGGAUAACAUUGUAUCAGAUGGUCAAAAAGAAGAGGCUUUAAAAUCGCUUGACAUCCUUGAUUACAAUCCUGAAAAUUUAGAUUUGGAGAGAUAACAACGAAAUGUUGUUGGGAUAGUUAGAUAUCCUGAUACUAUAAAUGCCAUUAACCAAAUCUUCUCAGAGGACUUUGAUGAUUGUUCUGUCCUUAUCGUGGGUGAGAAUAUGAAUCUUUUGACUUUGAAAGCAAAGAAAGUAUGUUAUUAUCUCUGGAACUUGGUCAGGAGUGGUCUCAAAAUUGGUUCACGUCUAUUACACCAUGGAAGCCUAGCUAUAUAUGCCAUUCAAACCUUAUUUGGUUGAGAUUGUCAGGUAUUCCACUUCACGCUUGGAAUUCUAAGUGUUUCUCUUCCAUUGGAAGUUUAUAGCGUGAGGCUUUUAAGCUUGAUGAUUUUACACUAACGAAAAAAGGUUUAGAUGUAGGUAGAGUCCUGAUUUUAACAAAUGAUUAUAGUGCCAUUCUUGAUGAGAUUAAGGUCACUGUGGGUGAUAUUGUUUACUCCAUUAAAGUUGUUGAACAUGGAUACUUUGAAAUUUUCACUAGUCCUCACAGAUCAUGCAGACCUGGACAACUCAGUUUUCAUGGAUGGCGGUGAAGAUGUUUUCUCUCCUCAAGGCAAAGAUUCCCCUAGUAACUCAAAAUUUGAAAAUGAUGGUAAUUUUAUGGCUUUGGAUGUAGAUAACACUGUUAUUGCAACUGCUGAUACACCUAGAGAUUCUAAAGAAGCAUAUGAUGUCGAUCUUGGAAAUGAGACAAAUUUGGAACAAUUAUGGGCAUGCAGAGUUAAAUACAGAUGUUGCAAUUAAUUCUUCUUUAGAACCUCUUUUGAAUAACGAUGAAACAGAACAAUUAAAUCUAAAUUGAAUCAUGUGGUUGAUGAGUCCAAUCUAGUGGAUCAAACUAUUGAUACUUCUACAUCUCUUAGGAUAUCAAAUGGCCCAUCAGAUACGCUUAGGGAUUCUAUUGGUGGAAAUAUCUUAACUGAUCUUCGGUCAAAUCCAGUUUCUAUUGAGCUUAUGAGCAAGAGUGAUAUAGACGCUGAGAAACUUUUCAACGUUGAAGAUAAAUUUCACCUUGUUACUAUUCGAGCAGGUAAAAGAAGGAAAAAAAGUAAGGCAAAAUAUUGAUCCAAAAGCAGGUCUCGCCAGAUAAAGACACCUCUAGUUUCCAUUGUUCAAGACCACUUUCGGAUGAAGAUAUUGGUUCUCGAAAUAGAGCUUUUCUAGAAGAGGCUGAGAAGAUUUGGGAAGUUGGUAAAUUAUUGGGUUUAUCCGUAAAUGAAGACGAUGGUUCCAUUAUUCAACGUAUUGCUGGUUUAGAAAGACAAGAUUGGGGGGAGCUUCAUCAAGACUGAUACAAAAGGGCUUUGUCGAUUUAAAGGUUCUAAUGAAUUUGGUCUUAUUUACAAGCUUUAUCAAUACUACAGUUAAGGAAUUUGGCAAAAGGUAUUUUUAAAGUUGUGUUUGAAGGAUAUGAUAGUAGAUAGGAGGUUAAUAUUGGGAGUUUUAACGUUUUGUUAUUUGAAUGCAUUUGGGAUAUGGAAGUGGCUAUGGUGGCUGUUAACUGGAGUAAAAAGAAUCAUCGACCAUGAAAGUUGUUGUCUAUAUUUUCUGAAAUUGUGAUGCUUUGGAGAUCAAUUGGGGCAUCCAGUUUGAUGAAAAUUUUUUUAAAAGCUGAAUGAUAUGGUAGAUGUCAUGGCAAAGGUGGGUGGAUAGAGAGAUUUUUUUUUUUUUUUGUUCGAGGCAUGGUGGUGAUUUUGUUCUGUAAGGGAUAGUGGUGUUUGCUCUCAUUAUUUGUUUACCGAUCAUGGUAGUGUUUUUUUUUUUUUUUUUUUUUUGCUUGGAUGUCAUGAUUUCUUCUUUUUAGGUGGAAGUCUUUCGUUAGAAUUGUGCUAGAUGUUUUUAUGUUGUUUCUGGUAUGGCNNNNNNNNNNNNNNNNNNNNNNNNNNNNNNNNNNNNNNNNNNNNNNNNNNNNNNNNNNNNNNNNNNNNNNNNNNNNNNNNNNNNNNNNNNNNNNNNNNNNNNNNNNNNNNNNNNNNNNNNNNNNNNNNNNNNNNNNNNNNNNNNNNNNNNNNNNNNNNNNNNNNNNNNNNNNNNNNNNNNNNNNNNNNNNNNNNNNNNNNNNNNNNNNNNNNNNNNNNNNNNNNNNNNNNNNNNNNNNNNNNNNNNNNNNNNNNNNNNNNNNNNNNNNNNNNNNNNNNNNNNNNNNNNNNNNNNNNNNNNNNNNNNNNNNNNNNNNNNNNNNNNNNNNNNNNNNNNNNNNNNNNNNNNNNNNNNNNNNNNNNNNNNNNNNNNNNNNNNNNNNNNNNNNNNNNNNNNNNNNNNNNNNNNNNNNNNNNNNNNNNNNNNNNNNNNNNNNNNNNNNNNNNNNNNNNNNNNNNNNNNNNNNNNNNNNNNNNNNNNNNNNNNNNNNNNNNNNNNNNNNNNNNNNNNNNNNNNNNNNNNNNNNNNNNNNNNNNNNNNNNNNNNNNNNNNNNNNNNNNNNNNNNNNNNNNNNNNNNNNNNNNNNNNNNNNNNNNNNNNNNNNNNNNNNNNNNNNNNNNNNNNNNNNNNNNNNNNNNNNNNNNNNNNNNNNNNNNNNNNNNNNNNNNNNNNNNNNNNNNNNNNNNNNNNNNNNNNNNNNNNNNNNNNNNNNNNNNNNNNNNNNNNNNNNNNNNNNNNNNNNNNNNNNNNNNNNNNNNNNNNNNNNNNNNNNNNNNNNNNNNNNNNNNNNNNNNNNNNNNNNNNNNNNNNNNNNNNNNNNNNNNNNNNNNNNNNNNNNNNNNNNNNNNNNNNNNNNNNNNNNNNNNNNNNNNNNNNNNNNNNNNNNNNNNNNNNNNNNNNNNNNNNNNNNNNNNNNNNNNNNNNNNNNNNNNNNNNNNNNNNNNNNNNNNNNNNNNNNNNNNNNNNNNNNNNNNNNNNNNNNNNNNNNNNNNNNNNNNNNUUACUGAACUAGCACAAAGGCACCACAGUUUGUAUUUACAUCUCCAUAGAAAUGAAUAUUUCCAUCACUGUAGACACCGGUUUUGUCCGGGUCUACUACCAUUUUUUAUAUAUAUAUAUAUAUAUUAAUAUUUAUAAUAAUAAAUAAAAAAAUUAAAAAUUAAAAAAAGAAGCAGAAAAAAUUAUAAAAUAAUAAAAUAAAAGACAAAGUCAAAAAAACAGGGGGGUUGGUGCGGCGCCGCUGCCGCCCCCUGGCAGCCACCCGACCAGCCCCCAACCAACUCUCCUAGCCACCCUACUAGCCACCUGCUACCCACCUCAUACCAAUUCCCUUUUAAACCCGAAAAAAAUCGACAGAACAGAGGUAAAAAAAGGAGGAGAUCCUCAACCUCGUUCAAAAGAAAAAAAAAAACAAAAAAAACAGAAACAAAAAAAAAACACAACAGAAACAGAAAACAAAAAACACAGUCCUCGCCUAUUCGGCGAGGAACCCAGCGCCAAAAAGCCACCUGCAAAAGCAAAAAAGGAAAAAUCGUUAGUAUUUCAACAAAAAAAAAAAAAAGAGAGAGAGAAGAAAAACCGAAACUUUGAACCUCGAUCUACGCCGAUCGGGGUUGCUUUUGGCAGAACGGACAACGGAUCUGGGAUCAGGAGGCUGAACAGAACCUCCUGUCCCCUUUUCAAAUUUCUGACCACCGUCGGCGACGGCCCCCACGGCGGCCGGUGAGGCGGCCGGCGACCACGCGGCGGCCGGACGGCAUCCCUCUCCCCUGCUCUCUCUCUCUUCCCUCUCUCCCUUUUUUUUUCUGAAAACCAACCCAACUAACCAAAAAAAAUUUUCUGACCUUUUUAUAUAAACAGCCAAAAUCAAAACGACGUCGUUUCAUUAAAGCCUCAAAACGACGUCGUUUUGAUCCAGAGGAUCCGCGCGUCAACCCGCGACCCGACCCGGGGUCGCGUGCCUGACCCGCGACCCGUUUCUUCUUCAGCCUCUGACCGGUCUGACUGGACCGGUACCGAACCGCCCAAACCAAGUCGAACCGCCAGUGAACCGGAUCGAACCGCCCAGACCGCCCGAACCGCCGAACCGGUCGGACCGCCCUGACCAGCGUUGACCGGACCGUUGACCGGUCCGGUUCAGGUAAAAAAAAUUUUUUUUUUUUGAAUUUUCUAAUAUUUUUUAUUAUUAUUUUGUUAUUUUUAAAUAUAUUUUUACGUGAUAAAUUUAUAAAUUUGUUAGAAUAAAUGUUUAAUUAUUUUUAUAAUAAUAAAAUUAAAAACAAAUAAUAAUUAAAAAUAUAUUAAAAUGCUUAAAAAAAAUUAAUUUUUGUUAUUUUCCCUGCCUAGAUGUUGGAGGGAAUAAAAAAUAUUUUUUUUCUAAAAAAUAAUUCGGCCUAGAUGUUGGGGAAUUAUUAUUAAUAAAUUUUAAUAAAAAUAAAUAUAAGAAAAUUUUAAAUUAAUUUUCAAAAAUCAUUAAAAUCGAACUUGCUUCGAAAAUCUGCCUAGAUGAUGGGGAUUUUAGAGAUGUUCGUAUUUUCUUAAAAAUGAAACCUUAAGCACUAUUUCUUAAUUUCCAAAAUCCUAGGUUUCUAAAACCCCUAAAAAUCCAAAAUCCAUUAAAUCCAAAAUCUUUGAAACCUAAAAUUCUAAAAAAAAAAAUCCCAAGAACUCGUGUGAAAAUUCUAUUCGAAGCAAUUUGUUUCCGAAUGCCGCCUAGAUGAUGGGGUAUUUAGGAAAUUUUACUUCGCGAAAUCUUUUCACACGAUUUCUUAAUUCACAUUAAUAAUAAGAUUAAUAAAUUAAAAAAAAAUAUAAUAAAAUUGAGAUCCUGAAUAUAAGCUCUGCCUAGAUGUUGGGAGUUAGGGUGGUCCCAUUAUAUUUAAGAAUCCAAUCUUUUGCAUUUCAUUUUACAUGGACAUGCAUUAACAUGAUAUAUAUUAGCAUGUUAUCAUUGAUAAUUGAUUGCAUUAUUCUUUUUUUUAAUUUAUUGAUAAAAUAUUUAUAAAAAAAAUGAUACUAAAAAAAAAUCUUUCGUGAUAUUACAAAAUAAAACAAAAAUAAUAUUUCGAAAGAAAUAAUUUUUGGUUACUCUGCCUAGAUGUUGGAGAGUCACUAAUAAUUAUUUUCUAUAAAGAUUGCUAUUUUAUUUUAAGGAUUAUUGUGUUAAAUCUUAUGCGAGAAGAGUUAUUUUAAAUUCUGCCUAGACGAUGGAGAAUUUUAAGAUAAUUCUUUAACUUAAAGAUUUUCUCAAUAUUUCUAAAUAAAAAUUUUAACAAAAAUAUUUUUAAAUAAAGGGAAUUAAUGUUAAAUUUCAAAUUAAAACCAUUUUUAUCCAACGUCAAAAAUAGCGCAUAAUUAAAUGGUACCAAUUUAUGGGCGUUGUGGGGGUGCUAAUCCUUCCCCACACGUAACCGACUCCCGGACCCAACCUGGUUUUUCGUAGACCAAAAUCUAUCUUUUUGAUAAAUUUUAAACCCGUUUUAAAGUUUUAUUAAAAAGAUAAACAUAUGGGUGGCCAAUCACACCCUAACAAAGAUUGGUGGCGACUCCCUUUUAAUUUUUUUUUUCUCGAUUUUAAAACACCUCAUUUUUACGUCUGGCGGUCCCCAAAACCAUUACGACAGCUUGGCGACUCCGCUGGGGACUUAUUGAGAGUCAGGCCAAAAUUUUAAUUAUGCGCUAUUGAUGAUGGUUGAAUUUAAUUGAUUUUAUUUGAUAUUUAAUUUAAUUUCUUUUAUUUUUCGAAAACAUUCGAGCUAAUAAAUAAAAUAAAUUGUAUGAUAGUUAUUAAUUUAUUUUGAUUUUGUGGUUAUGAUUUAUUCAUGUUAUUUUGAUUUCUUUACACACACUUUGCAUAUUUACUUGUAUGCAUGAGCUCUAGACCCGGGCUCCAUCCCUUUUAGGAGGAAGUGAAGUAGCUACGCUCUCGUGAGGUGAUAACCUCCGCAUUUGCUAGCAAAACACUUCCACUCAGAUUGAACCCUUUCCGUUAGUAGCCUAUAAUGGGCGAGGAUCGGGGAACCUUACUAGUCUAUAAUGGACGAUGAUGUGAGGAAUAGUCUGGGAACCUUUAGACGCAUAAACUUUAACCCAGCAUAUCGUAAGCUAUGUGAACCUUACCGAUCUUUUUAUGGGAAUAACCAGAAAUGGUUGAUAAAAGAAAAGCAUUUCCUAAAAAAAAAAAAAAUUUUUCUCUUUACAUGCAGUUCAUUCAUUUGGUAAUUGUUCAAAUUUUAUAAUUUCAUAAAACAUUUUAGAAUAAAGUGAUUUUUUUUUAAAGCAUUAUCCAACAAACAAAACAAAAAAACAAAAAGGUUUUCAGAAAGAUUAAAGAUUUUUCUUAAAUUGGCCCAAUCAAAAAUUAAUUUUCAUAUCCUAGUUAUUUUGUUUUUCCUUUUUAAAAUUUUUAUUUUGUUUCAUCUUUUGCAUUUCAUACAUCAUAAAAAUAAUACAUGUAUCCCAUCCCAUAUACAUCAUUAAAGGUAGUGUCAUUAGGAUGACACAACACAAGCAUUACAUAUCAUGUAAAAAUAUAAUGAGCACUUGAUAGGUUCAUGCAUUUCAUACAAGUAUGCUGCAUUAGUUAUAAGAAUACAUUUCACCGUUCAUGUAAAUAUGUCGUUACAUUUCAUACAUAUAGAUUCAUAAGGUCGUAUGGAACAAACGUUACAUUUCAUAUCCCGCUAUCCCUGCAACAUAAUAUUUCUUGCAUACACAUUCAUGGUUGAUGAAAAUUUUUAUUUGGGUCUUUGUACAUAUAAAAAUUCAUCGUCAUAAGUAUAUAUGCAUUCCGUGACAUUCUCAUAUUCAUGUAUUCAUAAACAUACUUUGUGUGUUUUUGUUUUUGUGAUAUUCAUUCAAUAAAGUAAUAGUCUAGAAUUUUUUGUCUAAGUCCCGAAAUAAAAUGACUGUCUUGGUGGGGUUCAGAGUGACGAAAAUGGGAGAUCAAUUGGAAGCAAGAUUUAGUACUUUGGAGUUGAAUCAAGAGGAAUUAUGGCUUGAGCUUCGAGAGAUGAAACAACAGAUGGCUCAAUUAAUAGAAAUGGUUAGAGGUAGUGAUGGAGUUGAGUUUGUUCCUCCUCAAAAACCGUUGUCAUUACCGUCAAGUCAAGGUCAAUUGGCUCCCGAUAGUUCCAACACUCUGCCAGAGUAUGCUAAAGCAUUGGAUGAUUUGAACAGUGAUCAAAGUUUGGGCGAACUUAAGAGAGGAAUGGGUGAACUAGCCACACAAAUGACUGAACUUAAGAGUUUGAUUUCCAAUAAGGAGUCACCUGGCUUCAAACAACCAUCACCAACUAUCUCAAGUCCUAACCCAUACCUAAAUCCUCCGUAUGACCAUUUUCAACCUCCUUUCCAAGCACCUAGGAUUAGACCCCCAAUUUUCAUGCAACCACUAAGAAUUCCACGCCUGAACCCAUAUCCACCAUCUCAUAUCUCACAAUCAUCUGUUCAGCAUACUAUCCCGUCACUACCUUUUGAACCCAAUCUUCGACCCAGAGUUUCUCAAUUCACCUCGAGACCAAUUAUACCAGCACCUUUUCAGCAAAGUAAACCAACCAUAGGACAGAAAAACUCUGGUAACACCAAAGGAAAAGCCCCUAUUGAUCCAAUACCCAUGUCCUAUACAGAGUUAUACUCGCUGCUCCUAGAGAACUGCCUCAUUGCCCCUAUCCCUGCUGAACCUCGUAAAUCGCCUUUCCCUAAAUGGUAUAACCCUAAUGCCCAAUGUGAAUACCAUUUUGGUGUUGUGGGCCAUUCUCUGGAAGAUUGCACAGCUUUGAAACAUAGGGUGCAAGGAUUGAUGAAAGCCGGAUAUCUGAGUUUUGAUGCCAAGAUGAACCCUUCUUUGAUCCAUGUCGAAAUGGUAGACAGUGUUGCAGAUAAUAGUAAAGUUGGUCAGAUUGAUGAAUAAAAAGCUUUUUAAGCAAAGAGUUAUCCUCUCUAGUAAUCAUAGUCAACUAUUUUUCAGGAAAGACAAAGGGAAGUGGGAGCAUGUUUGGCAUUUUUUGGCCCCAGUCCUAGAAUGGUUCAUGAUGUGUAAACUUGAUGCUUUUGGAAAUGAAUAAAAACUUUUUUUUUUUUUUAACCUAGAUUUUCUAUUAAUUGAUGCAUCUGUUUUUAUUGGCAUGCCUAAAAGAGUGUAAGAAAGAAUGAUGGUUGCAAGUAUAUUUUCACCAAACUUUUGAGACAGAAAGGAUACAUCUAGAUGACUCAUUUUGAAUGGAAUUCAAAUUUUUCCUCACCAAAGUAACAAAAUUUGACUUGCAUAUCAUGCAUCAUUUACUUGAAUUCAUUGUUUUUCAUGCCAGCUAAGGAUAAGGAAUGAUAAUUGUAAAUAUACUUGUCAUAACCUUCGAAGCAAUUUUUAGAAUUCAUGCCAUGCAUUUCUGACUUCUGGUAAUUAAUAAAAGGUUCAAGGAUAGCUAUUCUAAGAAACGAGGUCAGUUGAGUCUGCACACUUAUAUCACUCGAGUCAGUACCAUAACCAUGGAAAAUGAAGGUGCCAGUCGAAUGGACAGAGUAGAAAAGGCUCAAGGAGAGAUCGGUGAAACAGUUACGAGAAUGCAACAAAACAUGAAUAGACAACUGGCAGAAUUAAAACAGAUGAUAGUGGAAUUGACAAAAGAAAAAGAAGUUGUUGAGACGCAGAGGAUAAGGGAGGAAACAGCUAUCGAGACACCAUUGUAUCCAUCUGGUUUCACAUAUGUUCAAGACCCCCAUGUGUCACAAGCACCUCUAACAACCGAUCAACCUUAUGUUGGCCAUUUUGCCAAGUUACCAUCAGUACAGACAAAUGUCAAUCCCGGGCAUACUCCUCACAACUUCACUACUGUGCCCAAUAUGGAUGAUCAUAAAGAAUUGAAGAAAUUGAAAAGGGUGUCAGAUCCAUCAAAAGAUAUAGUGAUGAAAGAUAAGUAUGAUCUAUUGGAAGAGAGAUUGAAAGCAAUUGAAAGCCAUGAUGUGUACAGGAAUGUUGGCGCCAGUGAACUUAGUCUAGUACCUGAUCUUGUUAUUCCACCAAAAUUCAAAGCCCCAAGUUUUGAGAAAUAUGAUGGAACGAAAUGCCCUUUAAUACACAUUACCAUGUACUGUCGAAAGAUGACAGGUUACACCCAUGAUGAUAAAUUGUUGAUCCAUUACUUUCAAGAUAGUCUCACUGGACCUGCAGCAAGAUGGUAUGCUCAGUUAGAUCGAAAUAAGAUUCACUCUUGGAAUGAAUUGGCUAGGGCUUUCCUAGCACAAUACAAGCAUGUUGAAGAUAUGGUGCCAGAUAGGUUGUCCCUGCAGAACAUGAAGAAAAGAUCAACUGAAACGUUCAAAGAAUAUGCAUAUAGAUGGAGAGACAUAGCAGCUCAAGUACAACCACCCUUAUCAGAGAAAGAAAUUACUGUUCUGUUUGUCAAUUCUUUGGACACUCCCUAUUAUGAAAGAAUGAUUGGGAAUCUCUCUAAAAAUUUUUCGGACAUGGUGAUUUCUGGUGAAAUUAUAGAAAAUGCAAUUAAGAGUGGCAGGAUUAAGUUAAAAGAUGUGACAGAUGUUGAAGAAGAAAGUACAUCACAGCAGAAUAAAGAAGAGGUGCAAGCAGUCACAUUGGAAGGGCAUCUACCUAAUAGCUUUAUCCCGUACAAUCCUUAUCUUGCUUAUCAACCCCAUCACCUUGCCAUAAGCCAAAACCCAUAUCUUUACCAACCAAGCCAGCAUUUAAGCUUUCCAGCAAACUCUCAUCCUCAAGUGGUCAUUCAUGAUCUUGUUCCCACAUUUGAAUCCACCAUCCGACCAACAAAAAAUCGGAAGAGACCAAGGAAUGAUCAAGAGAAAUUACCCAUCCCUAUUUCUCACCUUUUACCUUUGCUAAUAAAAGGUCGAUAUCUCACUCCUGUGCCUCUGAAAACACCACCAAAUCCAUCAGCAAGGAGUUACAAUCCCAAUGAUAAGUGUGAUUACCAUAUGGGGGCAAUUGGCCACUCAACAGAAAAAUGUAGGCAGUUGGAAGAAAAGGUUGAAGAUCUUAUCAAGAAUGGUAUUCUGACUCCGGAAGUAAUAGAACAAUGGAAGUUGUUGACUCCAUUCAAUUUUCAAAUGUGAGAAGUUAAGAUGAAGAGGGAGGUGUCAAGUUUUAAAAAUCAGGAUAUGAUGAUUUCUUUUUCUACUAUGUAUGUAGGAUAUGUGCAUUGUGUCUCUAAGAGUUAUUUAAAUUAUUUUGGAAGAAUCGAAUACUUUGGAUCUUUUUCAUGAAAUUUUCUCUUUAUGCAUUUGUUUGGAUAAAAAUCCCACAUAAGUAACUUUCAAAAAAAAAAAAAAAAAAAAAAAAGAAGGAAAAAAAAAAAAAAAAAGUUUUAUUUUGAAGAUGAAAGAAUUCUUAAAGAAAAUGGUGAUUACUGUUAGGAAAAAGCUCAUCAAAUACCUUCACACCUUUUCAAAUACUUUCAUCACUUAAAUGAUUGGAUUCAUCAACCAUAACCUUUCAGGGAAUGUGAGUUUGAGUUCAGACUUUAAAAGGCCGAUAAUCUUUUCCAGGGCAAAGAACAAAGGAGAUUAAUUUUGAAAGUUUGUUUUGAAAAUCAGAUAUUCUUUCAAAAUUUUCCAAUUGAUAGUCCAAUGUGUGUCAAAAUUUUGCUAUGACCACAGAUACAAAAACACUUGAGCCUUUAACCUUUGUUCCAUGUCUUAAGGCACAUUGAAAAAAAAAAAUCCCUUUCUGCCUAAGACAAUUUAUUUCAUACCUUUAUACCUUUUCUUUUCCUUUCACCAAAAAAAAAAUGCCAAAAAAAAAAAAAAUUUUUUAAAGCCCAAAGAGCCUUUUGAGCUAUGCGAUCAAUCAUAUAUGGCUUAAUCGUCGUUAGAACCUUGAGUAAAAAGGAUGGGCAUAAUAAAAAAAAAACAAAAAAAAAACAAAAGGGACAUAUUCAAUGAUUUGCUCUUCUACCUAAGUGAUCAUGUUUGAAAUGAUGAAUGGCCAUCUUUCUCUAUCCUUCUCGUACAUAAAAAUUAUCCAUUUGUUACCCAUUUGAGCCUAUUAAAUUUUUUGUUUCAAAAUAAACCCUAGCCAAGGAUCAUUUUCUACAUUAGGGGGCAAAAUUGGGAUACAUUCAAGAUUAACUUCAAAGAAAGUAUCCGAUAUUGAAAGCGUCUAACAUGCCCUUCGAAGGUGAAAGUCUGGGAUAAAAAGUGAACAAUGCUUUGAUUGAAAUUUCAAGAUCCAAGAAAGUGAACGGCCAAAGAUAAAGUUAAGUAUUUCUAAGGCAAAAUAAAAAAACCUUAGAGAUAAGAAUCUGAAGCUUCACUUAGAAUUCAAAAAAAAAAAAUAUGUACCUUGAAAAUGAGAAUUCAAGGCAAAAAAAGAGGUGCGUGAAGUUGCUGAAAUUAAAGCCAAAUGGGGGAUAAAAGAAGAAAGUCAGAGAGUGCCCAUCAGGAUCCUUGGCCUAAUCACCUUGAAUAAUAUAUUUGAGCCUAUUCAUCCGUUCUUUCAGAACCCUUAACCUUGACCUACAUUACACACCCUGAAAAGCCCAUUUUGUUCAAAUAUGGAUACUUGGAUUGAAGAGCAAUAUCCUUGAAUUUGUAUAUACUUGUUGAAUUUUUCAUUGAUAAAGAAGAAAAAAAAAAAAAAAAAAGCUCUAAGGUGAAAACCCAAAAAGGGCAGUUUAGAGCUAAAGUAAUUUCUUGAGGCCCCAAAAUAAAUUUCAGAGUUUCAAGGUUCUAUCCGAAAUAAAAAGUUUCGAUACAAAACCUUUUGGAAGAUCAGUACCCAUUAAAGACCUUUCUAAAAAAAAAAAAGCCUUAUCUUCUUCUCAAAUCUUGUUUGAAGAGUAAUGACUAGUUUUGACUCACAUUGGAGUAUCAUGUUUUCAAUAAAAAAAAGUGUUUUUUUUUUAAAAAAUUUUUAUCUCUUUUGGGAACCCGAGAGAAAUCCUUGCAAUCCUCGCCGAGCUUUACAUGAGAUAUGCCACCAGUAAAAAAUUUGAAUUGUCAAUUACCUCACCUAUGAGCAUUUCAAAUAGUAAUCAUCAAUUUUCAAGAGAUUCAAAAGUCUUGAGUUUUAAAUCUUUUCAUUCAAUUGUAAAAAUACUUUAUGUGGGAUAAUUUUUGAUCACUUUUAAAAAUUUUUUUUUGAGAUUAUUGAAGCAUUUUGUACAUAAUACUGAGAUCAUUUUUUUGGGUGAAAAUGAAACAAAAAAAUUUAAACAAUAAUAAUAAUAAAUUCACCAAAAAAAAAAAACAAAAAAAGGGGGCAAGAAGAGUCUUUGCAUUUGCAUCGCUUGCAUCUGCAUCACAAGAAAGACAUUCGCAUUUGCAUCACUUGUAUAAGACAUUUGCAUUCACACCAUAAGAAGAAUUUGCAUUUGCAUCAUGCCAUCUGCAUCCUAAGAAAAUGUAUUUGUAGGGGCAUCUACAUGAAAAGGACAUUGUCAUUUGCAUUGUGAAAAAGACAAAUGUAUCAAGCAUUUGCAUUCUUAUGUUGGCAUUAACAUUUGCAUCAACAUCAUUUGAUGAGAAUAGACAUUUGUAUCAUGUUUGUAUUUAUCAACUUUGUAAAUAUUUAAAAAAAUAAAAAAAAAGGCAUGUUUUUAAAAUUUUAAAGCCUCUGUUUAAGAGGAACCAAUUUCAAUCAAGAUUUCAAAGCCUCUGUUUAGAGGGAACCUUCCUCAGAAAAGACCUUUAGAGUCUCAAAAAUCUCUAAUCAGGCGAAAGUCAUAGAUUAAAAAAUUUUUAAAUUUUAAAGUUUCAUCGCCUCUGAUUAUGAGGAGCAUUCAAAGAUUUUGAGAUUUAUAAGACCUCCGGGCAUAAUCUCUAGAAGCCUCUGUGCACGACUUUCAAGAUUAAAAAAUUUUUAAAUUUUAAAGUUUCAUCGCCUCUGAUUAUGAGGAGCAUUCAAAGAUUAUAAGACCUCCGGGCAUAAUCUUUAGAAGUCUUUGCGCAGGACUUUUAAGAUUAAAAAGUUUUUAAAUUUUAAAGUUUCAUCGCCUCUGAUUAUGAGGAGCAUUCAAAGAUUUUGAGAUUUAUAAGACCUCCGGGCAUAAUCUCUAAAAGCCUUUGCGUAGGACUUUUAAGAUUAAAAAAAUUUUUAAAUUUUAAAGUUUCAUCGCCUCUAAUUAUGAGGAGCAUUCAAAGAUUUUAUGAUUUUUAAGACCUCCGGGCAUGAUUUGUAAGACCUCCGGGCAUAAAUUUGAUUCGCGGUGUUAUCCCGAUCAAUUCUAUAAUUUUGACUUACGAUGUUAUCCCAAUCAAUUCUGUAAGACCUCCGGGCAUGAUUUUUAAGACCUCCGGGCAAUUCUGAAAGACCUCUGGGUAUAAAUUUGAUUCGCCGUAUUAUCCUGAUCAAUUCUAUAAUUUUGACUUAUGCUGUUAUCCCAAUCAAUUCUGUAAGACCCCCGGGCAUGAUUUUUAAGACCUCCGGGCAUGAUUUCUAAGACCUCCGGGCAUAAAUUUGAUUCACCGUGUUAUCCUGAUCAAUUUUAUAAUUUUGACUUGCGGUGUUAUCCCAGUCAAUUCUGUAAGACCCCCGGGCAUGAUUUUUAAGACCUCCGGGCAUGAUUUCUAAGACCUCCGGGCAUAAAUUUGAUUCACCGUGUUAUCCUGAUCAAUUUUAUAAUUUUGACUUGCGGUGUUAUCCCAGUCAAUUCUGUAAGACCUCCGGGCAUAAAAUUAAUUCGCUGUGUUAUCCCGAUCAUUUCAUUUAUUUUCUGACUUACGGUUCAGUCCCAGUCAUCUUUAAUCCUUGAUUCACGGUUUAAUCCCAGUCAUUUCAUUUAUUCUCUGACUUGUGGUUUAGUCGCAGUCAUUUUUAAUCCUUAGAUUCGUGGUUUAAUCCCGGUCAUUUCAUUUAUUCUCUGACUUACGGUUCAGUCCCAGUCAACUUUAAUCCUUGAUUCGUGGUUUAAUCCCGGUCAUUUCAUUUAUUCUCUGACUUACGGUUCAGUCCCAGUCAACUUUAAUCCUUGAUUCGCGGUUUAAUCCCGGUUAUUUCAUUUAUUCUCUGACUUGCGGUUCAGUCCCAGUCAUCUUUAAUCCUUGAACUCGUGGUUUAAUCUCGGUCAUUUCAUUUAUUCUCUGACUUGCGGUUCAGUCCCAGUCAACUUUAAUCCUUGAUUCACGGCUUAAUCCCGAUCAUUUCAUUAAUUGCUCGACUUGCGGUUCAGUCCCAGUCACCUUUAUUCCUUGACCAUCAGUGUCAUUCCAAUCAUUGUCUUUAUCAUUCUAUUUUAGGAGUCGCUUUAAUCGAUCCUUUAUUUUUCAACUCGCGGUGUCGCUUUCUUUAUUACCUGAUCUGAUCCUACAAAAAAAAAGGGGUCCAUGAUUUGCUUUCGGACAAAAUCGUUGUCUUUAUCUUUGCCCUAUUCCUGAUUCUCAGUAAUGUGCAAAGAGGGGCAGCUGUAGACACCGGUUUUGUCCGGGUCUACUACCAUUUUAUAUAUAUAUAUAUAUUAAUAUUUAUAAUAAUAAAUAAAAAAAUUAAAAAUUAAAAAAAGAAGCAGAAAAAAUUAAAAAAUAAUAAAAUAAAAGACAAAGUCAAAAAAAUAGGGGGGUUGGUGCGGCGCCGCUGCCGCCCCCUGGCAGCCACCCGACCAGCCCCCAACCAACUCUCCUAGCCACCCUACUAGCCACCUGCUACCCACCUCAUACCAAUUCCCUUUUAAACCCGAAAAAAAUCGACAGAACAGAGGCAAAAAAAGGAGGAGAUCCUCAACCUCGUUCAAAAGAAAAAAAAAACAAAAAAAACAGAAACAAAAAAAAAAACACAACAGAAACAGAAAACAAAAAACACAGUCCUCGCCUAUUCGGCGAGGAACCCAGCGCCAAAAAGCCACCUGCAAAAGCAAAAAAGGAAAAAUCGUUAGUAUUUCAACAACAAAAAAAAAAAGAGAGAGAGAAGAAAAACUGAAACUUUGAACCUCGAUCUACGCCGAUCGGGGUUGCUUUUGGCAGAACGGACAACGGAUCUGGGAUCAGGAGGCUGAACAGAACCUCCUGUCCCCUUUUCAAAUUUCUGACCACCGUCGGCGACGGCCCCCACGGCGGCCGGUGAGGCGGCCGGCGACCACGCGGCGGCCGGACGGCAUCCCUCUCCCCUGCUCUCUCUCUCUUCCCUCUCUCCCUUUUUUUUUCUGAAAACCAACCCAACUAACCAAAAAAAAUUUUCUGACCUUUUUAUAUAAACAGCCAAAAUCAAAACGACGUCGUUUCAUUAAAGCCUCAAAACGACGUCGUUUUGAUCCAGAGGAUCCGCGCGUCAACCCGCGACCCGACCCGGGGUCCGCGUGCCUGACCCGCGACCCGUUUCUUCUUCAGCCUCUGACCGGUCUGACUGGACCGGUACCGAACCGCCCAAACCAAGUCGAACCGCCAGUGAACCGGAUCGAACCGCCCAGACCGCCCGAACCGCCGAACCGGUCGGACCGCCCUGACCAGCGUUGACCGGACCGUUGACCGGUCCGGUUCAGGUAAAAAAAAUUUUUUUUUUUUGAAUUUUCUAAUAUUUUUUAUUAUUAUUUUGUUAUUUUUAAAUAUAUUUUUACGUGAUAAAUUUAUAAAUUUGUUAGAAUAAAUGUUUAAUUAUUUUUAUAAUAAUAAAAUUAAAAACAAAUAAUAAUUAAAAAUAUAUUAAAUGCUUAAAAAAAAUUAAUUUUUGUAAUUCCCUGCCCUAGAUGUUGGAGGAAUAAAAAAUAUUUUUUCUAAAAAAUAAUUCCGCCUAAUGUUGGGGAAUUAUUAUUAAUAAAAUUUUAAUAAAAAUAAAUAUAGAAAAUUUUUAAAUUAAUUUUCAAAAUCAUUUAAAAUCGAACUUGCUUCGAAAAUCUGCCUAGAUGAUGGGAUUUUAGAGAUGUUGUAUUUUCUUAAAAAUUGAAACCUUAAGCACUAUUUCUUAAUUUCCAAAAUCCUAGGUUUCUAAAACCCCUAAAAAUCCAAAAUCCAUUAAAUCCAAAAUCUUUGAAACCUAAAAUUCUAAAAAAAAAAAUCCCAAGAACUCGUGUGAAAAUUCUAUUCGAAGCAAUUUGUUUCCGAAUGCCGCCUAGAUGAUGGGGUAUUUAGGAAAUUUUACUUCGCGAAAUCUUUUCACACGAUUUCUUAAUUCACAUUAAUAAUAAGAUUAAUAAAUUAAAAAAAAAUAUAAUAAAAUUGAGAUCCUGAAUAUAAGCUCUGCCUAGAUGUUGGAGAGUUAGGGUGGUCCCAUUAUAUUUAAGAAUCCAAUCUUUUGCAUUUCAUUUUACAUGACAUGCAUUAACAUGAUAUUAUAUUAGCAUGUUAUCAUUGAUAAUUGAUUGCAUUAUUCUUUUUUUUAAUUUAUUGAUAAAAUAUUUUAUAAAAAAAAUGAUACUAAAAAAAAAUCUUUUCGUGAUAUUACAAAAUAAAACAAAAAUAAUAUUUCGAAAGAAAUAAUUUUUGGUACUCUGCCUAGAUGUUGGAGAGUCACUAAUAAUUAUUUUCUAUAAAGAUUGCUAUUUUAUUUUAAGGAUUAUUGUGUUAAAUCUUAUGCGAGAAGAGUUAUUUUAAAUUCUGCCUAGACGAUGGAGAAUUUUAAGAUAAUUCUUUAACUUAAAGAUUUUCUCAAUAUUUCUAAAUAAAAAUUUUAACAAAAAUAUUUUUAAAUAAAGGGAAUUAAUGUUAAAUUUCAAAUUAAAACCAUUUUUAUCCAACGUCAAAAAUAGCGCAUAAUUAAAUGGUACCAAUUUAUGGGCGUUGUGGGGGUGCUAAUCCUUCCCCACACGUAACCGACUCCCGGACCCAACCUGGUUUUUCGUAGACCGAAAUCUAUCUUUUUGAUAAAUUUUAAACCCGUUUUAAAGUUUUAUUAAAAAGAUAAACAUAUGGGUGGCCAAUCACACCCUAACAAAGAUUGGUGGCGACUCCCUUUUAAUUUUUUUUUUUUCUCGAUUUUAAAACACCUCAUUUUUACGUCUGGCGGUCCCCAAAACCAUUACGACAAUCACAUUAUGUUGUAAAAUGUGCAAUGCUCUCCUCAGUGCUAUUAAAGAAUGAUGGUCAGCUCCAUAGCCACCAUGGUGGAAAGUGCAACCCGUUUUUAAUAUCAGUUGCUACUCCACCCAAUUUACAAAUGUCUAAUGUCAGCCUUUCUUUGAAAAGCUUUGGAACAAAUAAGACCUUAUAUAGAAGCUGGUAGAUGGUUCAUGCAGUUAUCCUCAAAAAAUGACAUCUAAUAGGUUUGUGGUUUGAAUUUCAGUACUUACAACUCCUUCUCUUAUCCCAAAUGCAAAAAAAAAAAAGAGACCUUAUAUGCACGGUGGCAGGGACUUGGACACUAGAAUGGAAACUAUAAGAUGGGUUUUUGAGGUUACCAUCUGGGAUGUCUAAGGAAGAAUUCAUGGUUCUGAAAACCCCUGGAUAGACAUGGAAUCAGGAUGAUAAUAAUUUGUGCUUUUGAUAAUUUAGUUUUUGCAGCACUCAAAAUUCAGUUUCUGCCCUUCUGACAAGGAAAUAGUGUUUUUCCUCUUCAAACAGUUACUCUGGUCAUUUAUUCAGUAUAAAAAACUAACUCAAAAAAGGUAAAUUAUUUCAUACUUUUUCGUUUUAUCUUGAAUCUCCAUCAUAUUACAUGUAGGACAAAAAGGAUAAUGCAUUAGUGGACUUGAUCAAACUAAAAAAGCAGUGGCUGCUGCUCAUACAAAAUAAGAUCAUAACAUUAAAAUCCCGAAAUGGAAGACAGACGCAAAUCACUUUGUUCUUUUUCAGCCCACAAUUUUCUUUAUGAAUUUCAAAAGGCAUGAAAAGAAAAAUUAUCACUGAGAUUAAGCCUUUAAAAAAAUGAUAUGAAAAUUCACUUAUUCAGCUUAUGUACAAUCUAUCUUGAAAGGCCUAGCUUCUCCUCAUAUACCUUUAAUAAAGAAAGAUCCUCAUAAGAGGUCACAAACCUUUGAAGGAACUCCUUUUCGGUAAAAAAAAAAAAAAAGAUAAACACUGAUUUUCUCAAUCAAACGUUUGGAUAGCAAAGAUUGAAGAACUUAACACCCAAGGACAAUUCUCAUCUCUAAGCUAUAUGGGAAAAGUUACGGAAGGUUUACUAUACAUCAAGAUUUCCAGUCCAUUUGUGUUGACAUAUAAAAAAAAAUUCAUUGCGACUUUAGUCUUGUCCUUAGAAAGCAUCAUUGCAAUACGGAUACUUAAUUCCACAAAAUAUUUUUUAUAUAAAAGUUUAGGAUGAAGCGAGGCUUUCCCAUUCCAAAGUCAGGGAUUUAUAUUGGAUUUAAAGAUUAUUGUAUCAUAAUAUAUAAAUUCAUAAAUUUAUCGUUAGAUACAAUUAAAAGAGUCAUCAUCACUAUUUUUUGAUUAAAUAUGAUUGACCACUUAGAUGAAUCUAUUUAUAUUCAUUUUAAGGAUGUCUUAAACUUAACUAAGGGUCUUUAAAAAAAUGUUUUGGUUUACUAAUCAGAAUAGGGUUCGAGAGUUCAAUUACAUACGAAAAAAAUUAUAGCAUCCUUACAACUCUCAUCCUAAGAUGAUACCAUUUAAUUUUAAGAACUAUGGAUCAUGUGCUAUGUUGGGCUACGCUCUUAAUCUUCAUAGACCAUAUCGGCACGAUAUGUUAAAUAAUAGCAUUGGACCAUCACAACUUAUUAAUACAUGAGAUGUUUUUUUAAUGGGUCAUGUCAGUCCAUCACAAACUCAUGAUAGAUAAUAGAUUAUAAUUUUGUAGAAUUUUUUUUCAAAGGUAAUAAUAAUGAUAAUUUGUUAGGAUACAAUAUAAUCUAAAUUUUUUAUGCUAAAUAAAUUUAGAUUUAUUUUUAAACUAAAAUUGUGAAUAUAUAUAUACACACACACACAUACUAAUGGUAUAUAUAUACACACUAAUGGUAAAGUGAUUGAGUUGUAGUCAUGAGUUAACCAAUUGGUAAAUUUACAUUAAAUCCAAAGUUAAAAUAGAAUAACAAUAUAAAUUUAAGAUUUAAAAAAGAAAACUUUUUUAAUCUUAUUCAAAAAAAGCUACCCACCCAUAAGGUAACAUCCUAUAAAAAAAAUUAAUUUUUAAUGAAUUUUAUUCACCCCACAUGAAUAUAUCAAAAUUUGGUACUUCUAUAAAAUUUUGAAUGAUACGGUCCAAAAUAAAUUUAGUAAUUCAUAUAUUUAUAUUAUGUUAAUAUCAUUAUAAACAUGUAAAAUAUGAAAGUUUUUAUAUCAAAUUUGUGUCAAUAAGUCAAAUAUAAACCACUUUUUUUUGUUCUUGCCAAAUCCACAAAGAAUUUUUGUUAAAAUUCAAAAUAAUAUCACUUUCAUAUAAUUUUCAUAUGAUCGUAUUAUAUUUAAAAUUAUCAUAUAUAUAUAUAUAUAUAUAUAUAUAUAUAUAUAUUGGAAAGGAUUCCACCUAAUGCAAACAAUUCUCUCUCCAAUUGACCCUGACUAAGAAAUUUUGAAGUCAGAAAAGCAAUUGACAUUGUUGCAAGAGCAACAAUUAAUCUAAACCUUAUCAAAUCAAAGCAACCACUAUUUUUUUUUUUUUUUGGAAAUCAAAGCAACCACUAUUAUUAUUUCGACAUUAACAUGUGAAUUUGUAUGGUUUCCAAAAACACUACAGUCUUCAUCUAACUGCGUUCCGAUCUUUUAAUAUUAUACAUUGAAUUUGAUUACUUUAUUAUCAUACCUAGGCUGUCAAAUAAUUGAGAUUGGGUGUAAAACCUCAUAAUUUGUAACCACUACUUUUUUUAAGGUAAGGAAAAUUAAAAGUAUUUAUUACCUAAAUAGGCCAUUUUUAAAUUAUUUUUUCUUUUCAAAGAGUUUUUUUUUUUUUUAAUGAAAUGUCAAUUUUUAUUACCUAAACAGGUAGUCCAAUACUUCUAUAAAAUCUUUGGAUGAAUUUGAUAUCACCAGGCAAUUGAUACCAACAGCCUCGGUCUUCACAAUAAAUAAAAUGAGUCAAGCUUUUGAUUUUGGGCCGUCUAAUUCGCUUUUGAUCUCCUUUUACAAAGCAUAUCUAAAACCAAUAUAUCUUUUUCUCUUUUUUUUUUUUUUUAUGUUGUAUUCAUUGGACUUACAUACUUUGUGAGACCCAACUAGUCAUUUCUCCUUGACUCCGUGUUUCACGCCAUGGACUUGUAUGAAAUAUCGGGCAGUCAUUCUUUUAUAUAAACAUAAAUAUAAAUUAUAUAUAUUUCUAAGAGAUAUAAAUUAUAUUAGGCUAAUUGAUCAUUGAUAAUAUUCAAUAUUGAAAAAAAUAAUUUUAAAAUUUUAAAAUACAAUAUCAUACUCAAACUCCAAAUAAAAGUGAUCUAAUUAUUUUUGAAAAUUUAUUUUCAAAUCAUGAAUUUAUAGAAUAUGAAAGUAUUAAAUUAAUAUGAUAAUAUCAUAUGAUUUUUUCUUUACUUAACAUUAUAGUUACUUUCAGUGGUUAGUAGAAUAUAAAAAGUUUUCAAAUGAAUUUUAUUUAUAAUCUUUUUUUCUUUCAAAAAUUCAUUUUUAGUAUUAAUUAACGGAAUAUGAAAAGAAUGAAGUUAAUAUAAUAAUAUUUUUAAACAAAGUUAUAAAUUAAAAUUUCUUUAAAAUUUGCUAAUAUAUGGGACCAAAUAUUUAAUGCAAUUCUUUUGCAUUUUCAAUUUACCCUUCAAACAAUUCAUAAAAUUUUAUAAAAAAAUUAUAUAUUUUUCACAUUUAUCUUUUUAAUUUAGAUCAAAAUUUCUCUUGAUUUCAUUUAUUUCAAAUUUAUCCAUUAAUUCCAUCGAUAACUUUAAAAAUCAAUGAAAUUUGCUGCGUUGAUAUCAUGUAACUGUUGGUAUAAAUUUCAAUAAAAAAAGUUAAAAAGAUCUUUUUUUUUUGUUUUUGCCAUAUGAACAUUGUUUAGGCUCACUUUUUUUAGCACAAUUUUUUACUUAAUAUGUACACAUUCAAAAAAGGAUAAAGAGAUUUGGGGACAUAUGGAGUGUUAGUUUCAAUUCAACCCUAAGAUAAGUUUAUGAUAGUACCACAUAUCAAACCCGUGAUUGGUGUAAUCCAAAACUGUGCAAGUAAUUCUUUCUCCAAGAAAGAGACAAAAGAGGCAUCAAUAAAGUUAUCUUAUAUUUCGCACACAUAAAAGCAGAUAAAGGAGUCUAAUCAGAAAAGCUAGCAACGUGUUCUAAGCGCCAGGCCUUGGAGCAAUCCAAGUCAUCUUGCUUUCCACAAACAUCAAAGCAGACUAAGAAAUUUUAAAUCAGGAAAGCUAGUGAUCAUUUUCUAAACGCAGGGAUCAAUCAAUUUAUCUUGGUUUCACACACAUCAAGGCAGACUAAGAAAUCUUAGGUGAAGAAUUAAAGCUUCCAAAUGCAAGGAUCAAUCAAGUGGUCUUGGUUUCACACACGUCAAAUCAGACAGAAUUUUCAAGUCAGGAAAGCUAACGAUCGUUUUCUAAACGCAAGCACCAAUGAAAUGAUCUUGAUUUUACACACGUCAAAGCAGACCAAGAAAUUUUAGGUAAAGAAUUAAAGCUACCAGAUGCAAGGAUCAAUCAGUCUUCUUGCUUUUCUCCUGCAUCAAAGCAAAUUAUUAUGUUAUCAUUCCUUGGUUAGGUAAUUAAAUAGUUGAGGUUGGGUUUAAAAGCUUCUAAUUUAUAAUUUUUUUAAGGUAAGGUAAAUUAAAAUCUUUAUUAUAAAAAAGAUAGUAGUUCUAAUUUUUUUUUCUUUAAAAGAUGUAUUUUUUAUAUAAAAGAUGUCACAACUUAAAUAUUGAGAAAAAAAUGUAAAUAUUGAGAUUUAAAUUUCAGAUGUAAUCUUUUAAGAACCAAAUGAAUUUAAUUUUAAAAUUAUAUUGGUUGGGCAACUUGCUUGAACCUGAAAGCCCAUCCUAAAUUUGGAAGGGCUUUGACAUAAAUUUUAAGUUUAUUAAAUGAACCUGAACUUAAAUUUUAGACCUGUUUAAGAAAUGUACUAGUUUUUAGACAUAAAAUUUACAAUUCAAACCUGAUUAGGCCCAAAUAAUUAUUAUAUAUUUAUAUUACAUAAAAAUAAAGAAAAUUAAAUAUAAUAUAUACAAUAAUAUCCUAUGUCUAUAUAUAUUAAUCACAUUCAAAUAUUGAAUUAAGUUAACAAAGUAUUUUUUAGGCUUUACUUUGUUGAUUAUUUAUUUUAUCAUAAUUAAUAUUUAUGAUAAAAAUUAUUUUUUAUUUAAAAAAUAAAAUAUAGGCAGGCUUAGGUAAAGUCUUUUAAAAAUUAAUUAGGCCUCAGCAACAAACUAGGAUUAUAUUUUGGGAUGGACGAGUCUAAACAAACUUGAAAUUUGUUAAUAUCCUAACUAGGCUAUGUUCAAAUAUGAUCCUACUCAAUUCAUGUAUAAAUUUAAUUAUCAGUAUCAUGUGUUCGUACCUAAAUUGCCAAUAUGAGAGCAAAGAUCAUUUUAUUUCUUUUUCUCUUUCUAAUGUAUUUAAUUAAUGAUUUAUUAUUACUACUUUGAAAAUAAUAUUAAUGUUUAAUUUAUGAAAAUUUUUAACCAUAAAAGAAUUAUGAAAAUUGGAAGCAAGAAAAAAGAUAUCUCCAUCUCCACAUUGAGAAUUUUUGUCAUGUAAACACUAUUUUACCGUAUACUAGAUUUUUUGGUUCUUGCAUUUACAAUAUCAACUUUUUUUUAAAAAAAAAAAAAGAAUAUUUAGAAUUCGUUUGGUUUGAUUGAAUUUUUUUUUUUUUUUUAAAAAGUGUUAAAAUAAUAUUUGACAAACAAAAUGCAAAAAUACUCUAAAACAUAAAAAAAAAAAAAAAAUUAAUAAUAUUUUUAUAUAUUUUUAUUAAAUACAAAUUAAAAGGCUUAACUUUAUAAGCAAACCAAUAAAUAAAACAAAGAUAUAUUUUAUUAAUUAGAAAUUAAAAAAUAAAUGAGAUUAAUAGAAAAUUUGGAUCAAGUAAAAAAAAUGUUUGUGAAAUAAUUCAUUUUUAUUAUUUUAUGAAAUAUUAACAAAUAAAUUGAGAAUGUAAAAAGGAAAAAAAAACUAAGCAAUAUAUUUGUUAUUAUACAAUAACACUUCUCCAGGAGCAGAACAAGAACUUGACCUUCUCAGGGGUGAUUUAAAUGGCCAAUGACAUUGAUAUUAGAAAGAGUCGUACUCAAAGAUUUAGCCAUCACUUAUGAAAGGAAAAGCAAACAUUUAAUGAGGUGUGUAACUGGGAAAUUAUCGCCUGGUUGAGUUUCAGCUGUUCUGGGUCCAUCUGGGGCUGGAAAAACGUUUCUUUCAUCUUUAACUGGAAAAGCACCAGGUCGCGUCAUGACUGGUUCGCUUCUUAUAAAUGGAAAGGUUGAGCCAAUCCAAGCAUAUAAGAAAAUAAUUGGUUUUGUUCCACAAGAUCAUAUCGUUCACGGAAACUUGAUAGUGGAGGAAAAUCUAUGGUUCAAUGCUUGAUGCAGAUAUGCUACACUUAUUUCUGUCAUGCAUGACACCUUUAAUUUUUUAUUCCUUUUGGGUGUUUUUUUUUUUUUUUUUUUUUUGAUUUUCUACUUGCAACUGCGACAUUAGAAAAUAUUCUACACUAAAAAGCACUUUCUUGAUUUCCCCUGAUCACUAACAGGAUUGCUAAUUAUUUUAGACUUGCUGCUGACCUUCCAAAACCAGAAAAGGCUCUAGUUGUUGAAAGAGUCAUCGAGUCCGUGGGACUGCAGCCUCUGAGGGUUUCUCUAGUUGGGACAACGGAGAAGAGGGGAACAUCUGGGGGUCAAAGGAAACGGGUAAAUGUAGGGCUGGAAUAGAAAAGAUCAUGGAACCUUCACUUUUGGAUAUUAGAGUGAACCAACAUCUGGGUUGGACGGUUCAUCUUCCCAAUUACUACUUCGAGCUCUUAGGCGUGAAGCCCUUGUAGAAGUAAACCAGCCAAGGUGAGUUUAUUAUCACCGGAAUGUUUGAAUUUUAUGAAAUAUGCUGGUUUCACCGAGGAGUAAACAUAUGUAAAUAAGUAUGUAGCUGAAAAUAAUGGAUACCAAUUUUCUUUUUGUUGCACUUCAGUUAUACCUUGUUCAGGAUGUUCGAUGAUUUGAUACUUCUAGCAAAGGGUGGACUUACAGUAUAUCAUGGAUUAGUGUCAUAAGAGUAUUGUGCUGGCCUUAGAAUUAAUAUCCCCAAACGUACUAAUCCUCCAGCAGCAUCAUCCGGUGAAAAUCCUGCUCAUGGAGAAAGUGCACAUGGUCCUGGCCGGAAGCACACUCCUUUGCUGGCGACUUGUGGCAGGAUGUGAAAUGUUCUGUUUGAGACAAAGAAGGACGACUUACAACAUAAUAUCCUCAAGUCCAUUAACUUGUCACAAAGAGCAAUGCCUGGUGUAAUACAAUCAAUCAAUCAUAAUUUAUAAUUUUUUAGAAUUCAUUAAUAUUUUAUGUGAAAUUUUCACUUUUAGUGAUGGGUUUUUACAUAAUUUUUAUUAUGAUUGGGUAAUUAAAAAUACUUGUAUUAAUAUAAUCUCUAGUAAAAAAAAUUGUAAGUGAUAUAAUCUCCCAUAAUGUGCAACAUACAAUAGAAAAGAAUUAGUAAAGAUCAUAACUAUCUGGUUAUAAUUAUUAUAUCAAUAGAAAAAAAUGAGUUACACACAUAUUUGACCCUGAACCUUAUAUUUUCUGUUACAUUGAUACCUAAAGAAUUAUAUUAUCACAUUGACACUUGAACUUUUAAAUCCAUUAUCACGUUGGUAUUUUAAACUAACGCUGUCAGUCAACUUUGCUGACAUAGUAUAAAUAUCUAAUAAGAUGUUAAAACAUGUCAAAAAUAUCCAAUCAAUGUCACAUCAUCAAUAUUAUGUCAUCUUUAAAAUAAAAAAUUCAAAAAAAUUUAAAAUUUUCAAAUAUUAUAAGAAAUUCAAACAAUUCUAAAAAAUUUUUAAAAAUCCGAACAAUUUUUUAAAAAUUCUAAAAAUUCUAAAAUAAUAUCAAAAAAUUUUUAGAAAAUUAAAAAAAAAUUCUAAAAAAUUUUAAAACAUUUAAAAAAUUUUAAAAACUUUCAAAAAUCUAAAAUUAAAAAAAAAAUCAGAAAAUUCUUGGAAAUUUUUAAAAAAUUCAAAAAGAAUUAAGGAAACAUAAAAAAUUUUUACAAAUUUCCAAAAUAUAAAAAAAUCCAAAAAAUUAAAAGAAAAAAAAUGAUGAUUUUAAUAAAAUUUAAGAACUUGUUAAAAUCCAAAAAAAUUAACAUAAACUAAAAAAAGACAAAAUAAAAUCAUAAGUUUUUUUAAAAAAAUAUAUUAAUUUUUAAAAAAAUUUUCAAAAAUAUCUAAAAAUAAUAAUAUAUUUUUAUAUUUUUUAAUUUAAUUCUUUUGAAAAUUUUGUGGAUUUUUUUAAAAUUUUAAGUUUUUUUUAAGAUUUCUUACUUUUAAAGAAUGUUUCAAAAAUUUUAAAUUAUUUAAUUUUUAAAAUAUUUUUAGGUUUUUUCUUUUUUCUUCAGUUUUUUAAAUUUUUUUGAUUUUUUAAACUUUAAGAAAAUUUUAAUUUUCUUAGUUUUUCAAAAAAUUUAAAAAAUUUUCAAAUUAUGAUAAUUUUUAUAAUUUAUAAAAAUAUUUCAUAUUUUUUAUUUUUUUAUGGAUUUAAAAAUUUUAUAAAUGUUUACAAAUUUUUAAUUAGAAUUUUUUUUGAAUUGUUUAUAAUUUUUUAAAAUUUUUGAGAAAUUUAAAAAUUAAUUUUUAAUAUUUAAAUUUUUUUUGAAUUUUUAAAAAAUUGUUUUAGUAUUUUUAUAAUGUUUUGAAGUUAAAUAUUUUUUUAUAAAUUUUAAAAAUUUUUAAAAUACUUUUUUGUAUUCUUUUCAAAAAUUUUAAAAAAUUUUUAGAACUGCUUAGAAUGUUUUUAAGUUUUUAAAAUUUUUUUGAAGUUUUUAAAAUUUUUUAGAAAAUUUUAAAAUUUUUAUGAUUUUUAAAAUUUUUUUAAAAUUUUAGAUUUUUUGAAAAAAUAAUAUUAUUUUGAUUUUUUUUUAAUUUUUUUUGAAAAUUUCUUUUAAAGAUGAUGUGGCGUUGACUAAAUUUUUUUGACACAUACCAGUAUCUUAUUAGAUGUUGAUGCCAUGUCAGCAAAGAUGACUAACAUCAAUUGUAGGUUCCAACUUGAUAAUAGAAUAAAAAUUUAGGUACCAAUGUAGUUGUAUAAUUCUUUAGAUACCAAUAUGACAAAAAAAUAUAAAAUUUAAGGGCCAAAUAUGUAUUUAACCCAAAAGAAAUAGAUAGAGAUCAUAACUAUCUAGUUAUAAUUAUUAUAUCAAAAUUAAUUUAGUUUGUUAGCUUUAUUCAAAAUUUGAUUCAUUCUAAGGAGAAUGUAUUUUUUUUUCUACAGGGUCCCUCAAGCCUGAUCCCAAGCACCCUUUUGUUUAUCUGACUAUUAAGUAAUACUUAACUGGAUAUGGUUUGUUAUGUUUUCAAAAGUUAGUGUUUUAUUUUUUAAAAAAAUUUUAAAAAUGAUUUCUGGAUGUUGCAGGAGAAAGAUUUCGCAUAAGAAAAGUUCACGAAAAGAAUACAAUGUUCAAAAAGAUAGUAGAAAUAAUCUCCUAGGGCAUAUCGAAUAUAGCAAAGAGUAAUUUUUUUUCAGAGUCAGGAAUGUCUAAUACUACUCAGUAUUACACAGUUUUGCCAGUCAUUUCUUAUAACCAAGGAAUAAUGUUACAAUUAAGAUUAUAGUAAAAUGUGUGGGAAAACACUUAUUUACAGCUGGUUGUAAUCUUGUAAUCUGUAUAUUUAUAUUUGUAUCUCUAGAAUUAAGCAUUUGUAUCCCUAGAAUUAAGGAAGAUUUAGUUUCCUAGUUUAACCCCUAGUUAGUUGUAUAUAAACCUAAGAUUCUUGUAUAAUUCAAAAUAAGUAGUUUUUCAAUAUACAUUCAGUUUCCACAUUGUAUCAGAGCUUUAGGCCCUUCUUGAGAAGUAAAAUUUUUAGCCUUUAUUGUUGACUUUUUUAGGCCUUUAUUGCCGAAUCCUGUUUAGGCCUUCAUUGCCUACCACCCAAUUUGAGGAAAUGUUAACUGAAAAAAUCACUGGAAUACUACAGAUGUCUUAGAAACAAGGAGAGCUUAACAGGAAAGAGAUUGAAAAGUUGAGAAACUUAUUGCAAAUCCUUGAAAAGCCUACUAUGGUAUGUUCUUUGGGUAAAGUUUCUAGUUCAGAUAAAGCUUCCGGUUCUCAUGGAUUAAAUGUCUCGGCUAAGCCUGUUACGAGUUCUUGGGUCAUUGACUUAUGAGCCACAUACCACAUGAUACAUUUAUCACAAAAGUUUAAUACAUAUAACCUGUGUCCUAGUAAUAAGAAAAUUAUUGUUGCUGAUGGUUCACUUACCACAGUGGCAGGAUUAUGAGAUGUUCAAGUUAAUCCCUCAUUUAUUCUCAAAAAUGUUCUUCAUGUUCCUGGAUUGUCUACUAAUCUGAUAUCUAUACAAAAACUUACCAGAGAUAUGAAUUGCAAAGUAACUUUUUAUCCCUCUUAUUGUGAAUUUUAGGACCAGAGUUCGGGGAAGAUGAUUAGACUUGCUAAGGAGAAUGAUGGACUAUACUAUCUUGAGACAUCAAAUAACAUAAAUAGUAUCAAAAAUAGUUUACCUUUGUCAUUUCUUUCUGAAAAAUCUUUCAAUAAAGAUAAAAUCUGGCUUUAUCAUUUUCGUCUUAGACAUCCUUCUUUUGGAACCUUGAGAAACAUAUUUCCUUCUUUGUUUAAAGGAUUAAAUGUUGAAGAUUUUCAUUGUGAUAUUUACGAAUUUGCAAAACAUAGACGUGUGUCUUUUCCAAUCAGUAACAAAAGAAGUUCUACUUCCUUUUACUUGAUUCAUAAUGACAUUUGAGGUCCCUCUACAAUUUUUAAUAUUUUUGAUACGAGAUGGUUUGUUUCAUUCAUAGAUGAUUAUACUAGGGUCUUUUGGGUUUUUUUACUUAAAUUCAAAUCAGAUGUGAAUAGUAUAUUUUUAAGCUUCCAAAAUAUGAUCCAAAAUCAAUUUGGAGUGAGAAUCAAGAGAUUUAGGUCUGAUAAUGCAAGAGACUACUUCAAUCAGAUCUAUCAACCUAUUUCCAAAAAGAGAAGAUUAUCCAUGAGUCAUCUUAUAUUAAUACUCCACAGCAUAAUGGAGUGGCAGAGAAGAAAAACAACCAUUUACUAGCCACAACUCGAGCCUUUUUUUUUCAAGCAAAUGUACCUAAAUCUUAUUGGAGGGAAGCUGUUCUCACUGCCAUAUACAUUAUAAAUAGGUUACCUUCAAGAGUUUUGAGAUUUAAAAUUCCUAUGGAACUACUCUCACAAUUUUAUCUCAACCUCAAUACCACAAACAAUCUCACACCUAGGAUAUUUGGUUGUACAUCAUUUGUUCAUGUUCACAAUCAUAACAGAGGAAAGUUGGAUCCAAGAGCGAUUAAGUGUAUUUUUGUGGGGUAUUCUUCAACUCAAAAAGGAUAUAAGUGCUAUCAUCCUCCUACUAAAAAAUUUUAUGUGUUUGUAAAUAUCACUUUUGAAGAAAAUAAACCAUUUUUUACUCAACCUUAUCUUCAGGGGGAGACUUCAUUCAUGGAAGAUAAGGAUAAAGACUUCUUUUUGCUUAAUUUGCCCCAUUCUUCAACAUUUACACCCAUUAAUUCUUCUUCUGAGUUGAAACCUGUUUCUGUUGAGCCCAAGUCAAACAUUAAAUUUGAGUCUGAACCCAUUCCAAAUACAGAAGAUGUGAUAAAGGAUAAUAUUAUUCUUGAUUCUAUGAAAGAAUUACAAGUGUACUCAAGAAGAAAAGUUUCAGAUCCUGAACCAUUGCCAGUUCAAGAACCUGAUCCUAACUCUGGAAAUGAGGUAACUACAGUUUAACUAUGUUUCUCAAAAUGAGCAUGAAUCUCUUAAAACUAUAACUAGUGAUUAUGAUUUGCCUAUUGCCAUUAGGAAAGAAACCAGAGAAUGUACCAAACAUUCACUAUACCCAAUAUCUAAUUUUGUAUCAUUUGAAAAAUUUUCACCAUCUCAUAAAAAUUUUCUUGUGAGCCUAAACACUAUAUAUGUUCCAACUACAUUAUUUGAGGUAUUAUCCAGUGAGAAAUGGAGGCCUUAGAGAAAAAUCAGACAUACAAACUGGUAGAGUUGCCUAAAGAAAAAAAUCCAGUGGGGUGUAAAUGGGUUUUCACUGUAAAAUACAAGAUAGAUGGUACUGUUGAAAGGUAUAAAGUCAGGUUAAUGGCUAAGGGCUAACUCAAACCUAUGGAGUGGAUUACCAGGAAACCUUUGCUCCAAUUACCAAGAUGAAUACAGUUAGAAUUUUGUUAUCAUUGGCUGUAAAUUACAAUUGGCAGCUUCAACAAUUUGAUGUAAAAAAUACUUUUCUAUGUGGUGAUUUGGAAGAAUAAAUAUAUAUGAAGGUUUCACCGAGAUUUGGAGGUCAUCUAGAAGCAAACAAAGUAUGCAGGCUAAAAAAGGAUUUAUAUGACCUUAAACAGUCUCAUAGAGCUUGGUUCGAGAGAUUUACCAAAGUGAUGCUAGAAAUGAGAAAUAAACAGAGUCAAGAAGAUCACACAUUGUUUAUCAAGCACUCUGAUUCAGGGAGAGUCACAGUUCUAUUAGUGUAUGUUGAUGAUAUAAUUAUAACUGAAGAUGAUGAAAAAGAGAGAGAAUCUCUAAAACAGUAUUUGGUUAGAGAAUUUGAGAUAAAAGAGCUAGAGAGAUUGAAGUACUUCCUAGGAAUUGAAGUAGCUCACUCACGGCAUGGUAUUUUUAUCUCACAACAGAAAUAUGUGAUGGAUCUUCUGAAGAAAACUGGAAAACUUACAUGUAAACCUGUAAAUUCCCCUAUAGAUCUCAAUCAUAAAAUUAGAGAAGCUAAUGAAGAUACUGUUGUAAAUAGAGAGAUGUACCAAAGAUUAGUUGGAAGACUUAUUUAUCUCUCACAUACUAGAUCUGACAUAGCAUAUGCUAUGAGUGUGGUAAGUCAAUUUAUGCAUAGUCUUAAAAAAGUACACCUACAAGCUAUCUACCGUAUAUUACACUAUUUGAAGGUCAAUCUUGGGAAAGGUAUCUUAUUCAAAAGAAAUUCAGGGUUAGUUCUAGAAUCAUAUACAGAUGCUGAUUAUGCAGGUUCAGUAACUGAUAGAAGAUUCACUUCAGGCUACUGUACUUUUUUAGGUGAUAAUCUUAUGACUUGAAGGAGUAAAAAACAGAAUAUGAUGGCAAGAUCAAGUGCUAAAGCAGAGUUCAGAGCAAUGGCUCAAGAAAUUUGUGAACUACUAUGGUUAAAUAUUAUCUUAGAAGAUUUGAAGAUUAAGUAGGAUGGACCAAUGAGACUCUACUAUGAUAACAAGUAUGCAAUAAGCAUUACACACAAUCCUGUGCAACAUGAUAGAACAAAACACAUUGAAGUAGACCAACAUUUCAUAAAGGAAAAACUAGACAGUGGGUUGAUUUGUACACCUUAUGUAUCAACCAAGGGUCAAUUUAUAGAUGUGUUAACUAAAGGUCUCAGCAGUGCAACAUUUCAAGGAAUUAUUUUCAAGCUGAAAAUGGAAAACACCUAUUCACCAGCUUGAGGGGGAGUGUAGGAAAACACUUAUUUACAGCUGGUUGUAAUCUUGUAAUCUGUAUAUUUAUAUUUGUAUCUCUAGAAUUAAGUAUUUGUAUCCCUAGAAUUAAGAAAGAUUUAGUUUCCUAGUUUAACCCCUAGUUAGUUGUAUAUAAACCUAAGAUUCUUGUAUAAUUCAAAAUAAGUAGUUUUUCAAUAUACAUUCAGUUUUCACAAAAUGUUCAAUGUACUAUUUAAUCUUUAAAUAUUUUUAAUGUAAUAGUUAAAUUAUAAAUUUGUUAAUUAAUGUGAUAUUCGAAGUACUGUUUGACAGUCACAUAUUAUUAUUUAGAAUUAAAGAUACAAGAGUAACACAAUAAUUAAUAUAUUUAUAAUUCAGAUAUUACAUUAAAAAUAUUUAAAAUUUAGGUACUAUAUUAAAUAUUUUAUUAUAUUUUAAAGCAAUUCAUGACAUUAAUUAUAUAACCAAUGUAGCCUUAUUGAAGAGGUAGUCUGUCUAUUGGCUUCCUUGCAACCAGAGAAAAAAAGAACACGUUGAAAGAAAAAAAGAACACAAUAAUUAAUAUAUUUAUAAUUCAGAUAUUACAUUAAAAAUAUUUAAAAUUUAGGUACUAUAUUAAAUAUUUUAUUAUAUUUUAAAGCAAUUCAUGACAUUAAUUAUAUAACCAAUGUAGCCUUAUUGAAGUGGUAGUUUGUCUAUUGGCUUCCUUGCAACCAAAGAAAAAAAGAACACGUUUAAGUCAUAUUGAAUCUCUUGAUUGAGUGAAGGAAGGAAUUUGACUAUGCAUAAGCACUUUGAGCAAAAAAUGAAAACUUUAAGGAAUGUGGAAAUCGACAUACAACAUAUUAAAGGUAUGAGCGAUAAAAAUUGAUCACAAGUUAUGAAAGCAAACAUCUGUUUUAGAGAUCUAACUUAAGCAACAGGUUUGCAACUUAAUUUAACUAAUUGUUAUUGGAUUCUUAUGUGAUGUUUUUCUUAAAGUUACUUCUACAACUUUGUUGUAUCCUUAACCAUUGCACCAGAAGUUGAACGUUAAACUAGAACAGCGUGUAAAUUCAACCUUGUGCUCACCAGAGCAGCCCAAGUUAAUUGUUGGUAUAAGAGUCCUGACAGCAAACAUUUUUGUGGACAAUGCAGCAUACAAGGACUUCUUUUUUUCAAACAUUUCACAUUUCAUCCAUGGACAUCAAGAAUGCAACUGUAGUAAUGGUAAGAUUUCUUCCUAUUCAAGUUUCGAUUGAUAACUGUUAGAACGGUUAGCGUCUGUGAACUGUUGGCUUUGGACAAGCGUAAUUUGUUUAAGUGAGGGUAAAGAUUAGAAGAGAUGUCCUAAUUAAUGCUUUUGGAGAAACAUAGAGUUGUGAAUUGUAAGCUGUCUGGAACUAGAGGAUUAUCACUUUUACAAAUAGAUGUGGUUUUAUUGUUUCCUUGUGUAGUAUAGAAUAUAUGUGGUUUUAUUGUUUCCUAGUGUAGUAUAGAUUAGGGAUAAUGUUAAGGAUGUCAAUAGGUAUGGGGAAGGUUGAGCAUUUUUUGUUCUCCAUCCACGAAUUGUUAUAUUAUAUCCAUCUUCGUACCCGUAUCGAAUAGGUAUUUCAAAUAUAUUCUCAUUUUCAUUCUCGUGGGUAUUUAAUGGGUAUAAGCAUUCCCCAUACCUAUAGCAUUCAAACAAAAAUAAAAACCAAAUUUUUUUUAUUUUUUUUUAAUUUGUAUAUUUAGGUAAUUUUUUUAUAAAUAUCUAUUAAUAUAUCUUUUUUUAAUAAAAAUAUAUUUAUUCUAUUUAAUCUAAAAUAAUAAUUUAUAUUAUUUAAUAAAAAUAUUUUUUACUAAUUAUAUAUAAAUAUAUGUAUAGGGUAUAGGUAUAAGGCAGGUGCUAGAUUACCCGUCCCUAUACUUAUACCUAAUUUAAAUUUAAAAUCAUAUCCAUCCCUAUUCUUAUCCCCAUACCUAUAACGUAAUACCUAUUAAUAUCCUUAUUUGAGUGAAAAAUCAGGUUUCUCAUUAGAUAUAAGUAAGAUUGACAUCUCUAAAUAAUGUUACGAAAUACCUCUGAAUUAUAUUAAAAUAUUCAACGUGUAAUUAAAUUUUAAAAAUUUCUAAUGUAAUAUCUCAACUAUAAAUCUGUUAACUAAUAUGAUACUUAGAAAGGUAUUUACCUAAUGUGUUUGUCACCCCAUGUUUGGAGCUAACAACAUUAGGAGUGAGUUUCAUAUUAGUUAAAAGAUUUAUAGUUUAAGUAUCACAUUAAAAAUUUUAAAGUUCAAAUAUUAGAUUAAAUAUUUCACUAUAAUUCACCAAGCUAGUUAAGUCUAAUUACACUAGGAAAAUAUGAUAUAUUAGCUUGAAUUAUAUAUAAGAAUAUAUUUGUGUACUAGGCUUUAGUCGUAUGUAGUUAGAGGAGGGUUAGAUCGAUGUUUGCAGUCUCACCCCUGCUUUUAUGAAAGGAUGUUAAUAUAAUUUAUAAUUGUUUAAAUUUAGGCAAUAAAAUUAGACAAAAGGUUAAAUCCAAGUCUAAUGCAAAUGAAUAAAAUUGGGAAAAAAAUAAAAAUUUGGGAUAAUAACUUUCAUUUUUUUUUCUUUCAUUGUGCAUGUUCACUUUGGGAAUUAAUUGAGUUGUUGGUUUAUUUAAGCUUAAAAUGUUGGUUCUUUUUUAAGACAAGCUUGUUAACUCGCAUCCCUAUGAUUGUGAUUUGAGGGCUAUCGAUUUAGAUACAAUACAACAAGGAGAGAAUGCAAUUGGAAGAUUGGGUCUCUUGCAGCAGUAAAUACAACUAAUUCUUGUCAUAGAUCACUAAACGAAAAUUUUAAAGAUUUUAAAAUCAGGAAAGUCAUCACUAAUUUUUUUAUUAAGUAUGAAUUUUUUUAUUAAGUAUGAUUAAUUACUUAAAAAUUUAUUUUUUAAUAAAAUUUUAAAAUUAAUUAAAACUUAUUAAAAAGAUAAUUUUUGUGUGAUCUACAAAAAUAAAUUUGAGAGUCCAGAAGUUUGAUUACAUGUAUGAAAUGAUUAGUACCCCAUAGUAUCCGUUUUAAAAAUGAUACCAACAGAUCACAUGUUAUCUUUUUAUUUAAAUAAAAAUGAUCUUAAUUUUAAUAUUUAAAAUAAUCUCUUUAAUUUUUUAUUUUUUACAAAAAAUCCUUUUAAAACUUUUUAUUUAACAAUAAGAGGAAUAUCUUUAAUUUUGAAAAUUUUCUUAAAUUUUCCAACGUUGUGAAGGAAUUUUUAAAAAUAUUUCUUCACUUACAAUUUUCAUAACAAUCUUUAAAAUUUGGCUUAAUACACCUUUGUAAUAAUAAUUGUUAGGAUACCCUCAAAUAUCUAAGUAGGCAAGGUACCUAAAUUUAUUUUUAUUUAGAAAUAUUAGCUUUUAUUAAAAACAACUUUUCAAAAUCACUAUUUAUUAAUUUAUAUUUUUUGACAAUGACAAAGUGCAUGAUAUAACAUGAAGCAAACAAAUAAUACAAACACAAAUUAAAAGAUCCAAAUACAAACUAAAAUAUGCAAAUGAUCAAUGUCAUAAUGUGUAUGUCUUAAAACAAAUCCAUUUGACACAUAAAUCAUAGAGUCGUCACCAAUCGUUUUUAACUAGGUGUAAUUGGGCAUGUAAGUGGAAAUACCAUUCUAAGGUUAUUUUAAGCUUGACUAAAGAUUUUUAAAAGAAUAGAUUCUAGUCUUUUAAAUAGAACUAAGUUUGGGAGUUCAAUUAUAUAUAGGAAAAGUUAUAGCACAUCUACAAUAUCCACCAAUUAGUACCAAUUAAUCUUAAAUUAUCUUUAGCUUUAAUUAACAUGGUCAUAAUUUAUUCUUAUUAUUUAAUAUUUUUUUCAAUUUUAGUAUUUAAAUAUUAAACGUAUUUUUAGAUUUUUUCCAACACUUUGGUCGAUCCCUUAAAAAUAUUUAUCACCUUAAAAGUAUUCAAGUAACAUAUUUUUUUCCUUGAAUAUGCUACGUCAUCGAAUUUAUUAAAUAUUUUAUGGAAUUCAAUUCAUAAUAAAAUUUACAAUUCAAUAAAAUAUAAAUAAAAUACACAAUUCAAUAAAAUACAAUAAUAAAAUAAUCACAAUUUAAUCAAUCAUAAAAUCAUCACAAUUUGUUUCUAAUUUUAAUUUUUUCAAAUUAGAAAUAAAUAAAAUUUCUCAUAUUGAGAUUAAUUUUUAAAUCCUCCAAUGCCUUCAUCGAAUUUAGAAAAAGUUCUCUUAGCUAAAAAUUUUUAAGAAAAUUACAAAUCCGUAACUUUUUUAGAAUUUUAUCAUUGGUUGAAAUUUUAUUUAUUCUUAAUAUAUUUAUUGAAUACUACACCAAAUAACCAGUUAUACAAAAAUCUCCAAUUACCUAGUCUAAAAUUUAUUUUCCUCUCAUCUUAACCUCCUUUAUUUAUUUACAAAAUAAUUAAAAAAUAUAUCUAAAAAUUUAAAAGUUAUAUAUGCAUGACAAAAAAUUAUAAAAAAAAACUAAAUAAAUAAGCAAAUGAAUACAAGAUAAAUAAAUAAAUAAACACAUUAAAUAAACAAAAGAAAAGGAAAGAAGAAAACAACUAGAAUGCAAAUACCAUGUAAUUGAAACUUGUUGAAAACCAUAGGUAUCUAAGACCAUAAUUUAUAGGGCACAUCUCAACUAAAGGACUUGACCCCAUAUCACCAUUCAACAGCCCAGGAAGUCUAGUCCAAUGCAAGAAAGAAAAAAACAGAAAACACAAGUGGCAACAUGCAUGUAAUAUAUCAUGGGUUUCAACGUGACAAGUAGGAUCAGGUGUUGAUUGCAUUAGGUUUCAACAUGUUUUGCAUAAAAGAAAUUUGGAAGUAUUGAAAGAACGUGGUUAGUUAUGUCAUGAUCUCGACAAUUUUGCAUAAAAUCCUUGAGACGAUUUUUUGAUUUCUAGUGGUUUUUGGCUGCUACUUUUCUAUUUCGAAAUUUUGGGUAUGGUAGCUACUGUUUAUUGUGAUACCUGCAAAUUGGGGAAGGUAGAAUCAAUACUUUUGUGCUUUUUGCUUGCAAUUGAUUUUUUUUUUCAUUGCCAAUUCUUUUUGAAGAAUUUUUUAACCUGACCUGUUUCUAUGGUGCUAAAUAUAUAAAGGACACAUCCCAAUUGUGAAAGAGUUUCUAAUCAACCAAUUUUCAAUGUUUACAAAUUAAACCAAUUUCAACACUUUUAAUCCCUUACCAAUUCUCCUAUUAAAGUCUAAGCCAAACAAAUCUCUUUUCUUUUUUUUUUUUUUUAAUAAUUACUUUAAACUAAAUAAAAAUAAAAUAAAAUAAAAUAAAAUUCAAAAUCUAAUCUUAAAAUGACAAUCUCAAUAUUCCAUAAACAAACUUAUUUUCAAGAGUAUUUAAAAACAUAAAGAAAACAAAGGCACAUAAUAAUAUAGCAAAAUUAAAAAAAAAAGAAUAAAAAAAUACCAAAUAAGAUUUUUAGGUUUGAACCCAAAUCAACAAAAACAAAAUGGUCCAAGUCUGCUAGGCUCUUGGGUCAGGAAUUGAUGUGAGUUGGGUCGGGUUUGACACCGAGUGGGGUUUUUAAGCUACUCUAAAAGCAAAUUUUUUUAAGCCAUUUCAUUUCCUCCUGCUCACAAAAAAGGCUUUCUUCAAAAAAUGCAAAACAACCGGCCACUCCCUAGAUCCCAAUGAUCGGCCUCCGCGUUGCCACCGCCACCACCGCUGGCCGCUGCUGACAGACUUCUUUUUCAGCCCAAAUUUCACCUAAAGACUCCUUUUCACCUCCUCUUCUCAAAUCUGAGCUCAGAUUUCUCAAAAUCAGCCACCCAAAGUUUUAGAUCUAAGCCAAAAGCCAUGGCACAAAACUCCAAGAAGAUAGACCUGCGCCGCAGGAAACACCACCGUUUCUUGAUAUGUUAUUCCCUCCCCAAGAUCUACCUGUCCUCCAAAAAUGGCUUCCAUAAUCUCCCUAAAACUCCCUAAACCGAGAAACCAAAUACCCCUCUCUUUCUCUCUCUUCGUUUCAAACUUGGUUCUUUUUUUUUUUUUUUUUGUGGCUUCCCCACGGGGAAUGAGGUUGAUUUUUUUUUUUUUUUCUGGGGUAUUUUUGUAUGUUGUUCUGGUGUUAGAAAAGAGAAGCAAGCAUUGUUUUUUUUUUUUUUUGGGUAUGGUUUUCGGUUUUCAAAGAACAAAAGUUAUUUUUUGGUUCGGAUGGUUGAGGGUGGAGUAGUUCGGCUGCUGGUGUGGGGAUUGGGGGCUGUGAUGGUUGGGUGGUCAGUGGUGGCUGUAAGGCGUAAGCAGUGGGCUUCGGCUGGGGUGUCUGCUGGAGUGUUGUUGGUUGAGAGCUGUAGGUUGUUGGCGGGCGGUGGGUCGUGGAGGCAGGGGGGCUGAAUGAGAUUAAUUAAGGGGCUUUUGGGUGUCGGUGUGGCUAGACUUGGUAGUUUUAGGUGCUGGGAUUUUUGUUUUUUCGAGUUUUUGGGUCAAUGAUGGAGAAAGGGGAGGCUUUUUGGGUGCAGGCAGAUUAGUUCUUGGAUUUUUCUGUGAAAAUUGGCUUCCUUCCUCCCGAGUGUCCGAAUCCCCUUGUGCCCAAAAAAUUUUCGGUUCUUGUAGGAUUCAAUUUCUAAAAAAAAAAGAAACUUGGUAAUUCAUUUUAGUUGGAAUCUUGUUGCAGCUGCCAUUGCUGCAUUUUUGGGAGGUGUAGCAUGCUGCACUUUGGGUCCUGAGGACUUUGAUGAAUUGGUGUUAGAAACCAACAGAUAAAAUGGAAGGUGAAAAAUUCAGAGCUUAAAAUGGAGGCAACAGUUUGGGGAAGGAAAAAGUGGAUCUCGGAAAGCUGGCUCCAAGCUUUAGUCUUUUUAUUUUUUUUAAUAAUUAAGGAAAUUAAACUUAAAAAUAAAUUUGGACCUUAAAAUUAAAGGUUGAAUUUUCAAAUUUUGAACUCUAAAUUUUGAUCUUAAAUUUUGGAUUUUAAGCUCAUAUCAUUUAGUUUCGAAUUGACCCAAAAUAAAUUGAAUUGGGUUUUGAACUAUUUAAAAUAGUCGAAAAAUUAUUAAUUUAAAAUAAAUCUAAAUGAAUAUAAUUCAAUUUAAAUGUUUAAAUUAAUUUAUAUCAAAAUAUUUAAAUUAAGUAUAAAAUUAAACAUAUUUAAAUUAAUUUAAGUAAAAUUAGGUGUUUACAAUUCUAUUCUGAAAUUUAUUGGCAAGCUACUAGGACAUGCUCAUGAUACUCGUUGGACACUUUGUUUCUCUUUAAUCAGCCUAAAAGCUGCAAAAAAAGUAGAUUACAUUAUGUAAAAUUUACAAUAUAUUUGAGAGUCAGUUAUAUUUUUUGGUAUUUUGAAACUGUAAGAAUUUGAUCUCAAGUAAUUAAAACCACGUAUUCAGUACUUUGCAAGUAAAGGAGAUGAUUGUCGGCUAAUUGCCAGUCAUUUGCUAUAUAGACAAUAGUAGCUUUCAUUGACUAAAUUUAAAUUACACGAAUAAAAGGUGAGGAAAGAGAAUUAAGCUAUUUAUUCAAUUAAAUAACAGUGUCUCAAAUCAUAACUGUCAAUCCUCUAAAUGCAAACAAAUAAUUUGAAUAAUAAAUCUAAAGGAAAAAUCCCUUUUUUUUUGGAACAUUAAUUCUAGUAAGUCUAAGGGGAGAGAGGGGAUUUGAACACUGAAUCUCAGUCCUUUAAAGCCUAAGCUAUUAAACAGAAAUACUCCUUUUGUAAUUUAUAUCACGCAACAGAAUACUAUAAAACUUAUUCCAUAAAAAAAAAAAAAAAACUUACCAUGAAUGGUGUUUUAACUUAAUUGCUAACUUUCAACUGAAUCUUCUGUCAGGCAAAAACUCUAGUAAAAUUCAUUAAAAGUCAUCAUCAGAGUCAUCUAUGCAUCUGUUGACUCAAUCAGAUUGAUCUAGCCGCAACAACACAACAAAUGCACUAUCUAUUUGACAUGAAAAGAAUUAUUUAUUUUGGUAUUGGUGGUGAUAUAAAUAAUACCAUGUCCGUCGGAGAUGUUACCAUUCCCAAGCAAGUUGCCCACAAUUGCAUUUGGGAUAUGGGAUUUACUCAUACUGUCAGAGAGGAUGUCACCCUAUCAAAUCACUGUGGUGGUCAGAACCCGUUAGUUGUGCACCAUCUGAUAUUAGGAAGACUAAGAACUCCUUUUGCCAAUGGUCUUCCCCUUGCCAGGAUACCUUAGAUUUAAUGUGGACGACUCCGCAAAAGGAAAACUUUGUCCCGCUAGGUGUGGCGGUGUCCUCCGAAAUGAACAAUGAUUUGUCCUUGCCAUGAUUUCGGGCCUGGUUGGUAUCUGGGAUUCAAACGUUGCUAAACUUUUCGAAAUUAAAAUGGCUCUAGAGGUAUUCGCAAAGACAGAGUGGUCUCACAAGAUGAGUCCGAUUCAAAGUUUGUUUUUAACUGGGUCUCAAACGAAUCUGCUCGACCAUAGAGGCUAUAAAAUGUGUCCUUGGAGAUUGAUUCUUUGACCACAAAGCUGACAGAAUUUAAACUCGUCAAUACCUUUCGCGAAGCUAAGGAGAUGGCGGACGCACUGACAAAAUCGGGAAUGGAGUAAUAUGAUCGGUUCAUGGUGUGGUGGCAGCUUUAUUGGUGCUAAGGUGUUUCAAUUCACAAACUUAUGUCUUGAAUCAGGCGCUGAUCUAUUGGGAUAAGUUAUUCCCUGCAUGUCUUUCUCAUUGCUACAUGAAUAAAACAAAACCUAAGUUACCCAAAAAAAAAAUCAACUAUUUUCCGUCUUUUACAAGUUUCUUGAAGAUGAUGUCAGCUAGCUAUAUUAAUCAUUUUGUUAGCACAGAUGGGACCGUGGAUUCUGCUGAUGUACCGAAAGGAAAUGGAUCUUAUCUCUUGGAUAUAAUAAACAACAAUUCUUUUUAAUUUUUAUUAAAAAAUAUACAUAUUAUUUAAUAACAGCAUAUAAUACGAAUUAUAAAAAUUAUUAUAAUUAAUUUAAAAAAAUCAUGAAAUAAAUUAUAUAUAAUUAAAAAAAAUUAUUGAGUUUAAUUUCAAAUGCAUUAAAAGGAUUUUAAUUUUGAGUUUUUUAUAUUGAGGUAUGCUUAUUUUAAUUAAAGGAAUGUAAGUUGUUAGUAUUAAUUAAUUAUUUUAGUAUAAAUGAUCUAAAAAAAAGUUGAUUAAUUUUUGAUAUAUUAAAAUAAUUUUGAGUAAGUAAUUAAUUAUUUUUGGACAAAAAUUAAGUAGUAAAUUCAAAAGAAAAUAAAUAGAAUCUCUUACAUUUUAUUUAUUUAUUUUCAAACCUCUAUAUAUAUGUAUAUAUAUUUUUAAAUAAGUGAAAGUUUUAUUUAUUUAUUUUCAAGAUUGUAUUGCAUCUCGAUAUUAAGGUAUAACUUGUAUAAAUAUUUUGUCUUAUGUUUUUUGUAUAAAGUUUUUUAUAUAUUAAUAUUUUUAUUUAAAAUAUUCUCAUGGGUAUCAAAACUAAACUUUUAUUUAUUUUGAUAUGUUUCUAGUUGGGUUUCAUAUGGAAGGAAAAAAUGGGUUGGCUCAAUAUUUUUUGAGCCUAAGAGGAUUUUGUGGCCCACUAGUACUCUUUAGGAUCAGAUCCGUCAAAGUGGUAAAAUUGUCAAUUCAAAAUGCCUGAUGCCUUCUAAAACCCAAACGAGACUCCGAGUUGAUGUAACAUUGCAUCUCAAGUUUGGCAGCUGCUUAGCCGAAUCCAGAGACUGCAGGAGCUUAAGCAGCAGCCAUGGGUACCCCAUUUUCUUUAGCUUUUCAUAUCUAACAUUCAUGAUUUAAUAGCUAGCUGGCUCUUAUUUUCUCUAUUGUUUUUCGUUAAUGGAAGGAUUUAAAUCAGGGAUCUGUUUAUUUGUUUAUGUAGAGUGAUGGGUUUUUCUCUGCUUGAUUUUUUUUCCUUUAUUUGAUUAAAUCUAGAAACUUUUUGAAGGUCUGGUUCUGACUUAUUAUUAGUUUCUCAUCUUUUUUAUAUAUUUUAUUACUACAUUUGCCACAUUAAAAAAUUAGAUGGUAAGUGGUAGAAAUGGGCUUUUAGUUGACUGGAAGUCUUUUUAAAAUGAAAAGGGUUAUAUUUUAUUGCUUUUUUGUAAAUAUAUUUUGAUGGAUCAUUGUUUUGGCAUUUUGGGUUCUGAUUUGUGAUGAUUUUGCUUUUUGGUGGGUUUUUUUUGGGAAAAUAUGGGCUUACAAGUACGUGUCAGACUCAGAGCUGUGGAGGAAGAAGCAAUCUGAUGUGAUGAGGUUCUUGCAGAGGGUCAGGUGUAGGGAGUACCCCCAGCACCCUUCCAUUGUUCGAGUUAACCACCCAACUCGCCCUGACAAGGCUCGUCGCUUGGGAUAGAAAGCCAAGCAGGUAAGCUGAUUCAUUGUUUCUUUGAUAUUGCUUUCUUCCUCUGCAUUUUUAUGAGGUUUGGUAUUUUAUCUUUUAAUUUUUGGCUUAUCCUAUUUGCUUUAUUGCAGUUGUAACAUAUUUUAGUUAUAUGAUUAUCCUUUGGUCUGAAAAACUGCAUUGCAAAAAUGUUUAUGGCCGGACUUACUUUAAAUGUGAGACGACUCAUAUGUUGCUAAUAUAGUUGAAAUAUAUAUAUAUAUAUAUAUAAAUAAUUAUAUUUACAAAUAAAAUAAUAAAUUAAAUGAUUUUAUGAUUGACAACAAUAAAAUUGUUAUGAAAGGUAUAAAGAAAUGUCAACAGUAUUCAUGUAACAAUAAUACGAAAGGUAUAAAGAAAUUUCAAACAGUAUUCAUGUAACAAUAAUAGUUGUUAUAAUUAAUUAAAUUGGUUAUAUUAAAAAUUUACUGCAAUAAAAUUUAUUGUUAUAAUUAAAAAAUUAUUGCAAAAAUAAUUUUAUCAACGACAAUAAUGAAUAUGUAAAAGAUUUUUCAAUGAUUAUAAUCGUUGUUAAAGUUAUUUAUUGAAAUAACAAAAAUCAUUAUGCUAAACGUAAUUAGUAACUAUACGUGAUUAUGUUGCAAAAUAAAUUUUUGUUUUCGAAAUUUAUGGUUGUUAAAAUAAAAUUAAAGCAAAAACAUUUAAUCGUUACAAAAUAUUUUAUGUAACUAAAAUAAUAUUAAUAUGUAAGUUUUUAUAAUCAAAUUUUAUGGUUGCAAAAUUAAAUUUAUAGAACCUUAUUUUGUUGAUGCAAAAUUUUAUACAACGGUAUUUUAUCAUUGCGAAAAAAAUUAUUUAUUUGGCAACAAUUAAAAGUCGUCGUAAUUUUUCUUUUUCAACAACACUAUAAGUUAUUGCGUUAAUUCUUUAUUAACGAGGUUAAUAGCAACAAUAAAACAUUAUUUCAAAAUAAUUUUAACAAUAAUAAAUAAUUAUUUAAUAAUGUUUUGGAUUGUUGUAAUAUAUCAAUUUUCUUAUAGUGCAAAUAUAAUCAAAUUAAGCACAAAUAUGAAAAAGAUUGUUCAUCACUUCAUUAAAUAAUUAAUGGCUAAGUGAGUUAAACUAAUAAUAUAUCAAUGUUAGAUAAAAGAAAAUAAUUAUGUACUACAAAAAAAAAGUCAUUUUUAUUGACACUUAUAAAUAUCAGUGAAAGAUUAAAAAAGUGAUGAUAUUAUUGUUGCGGGAGAUUUUGACUAUCCGUUAAAUAAGUGUUGAUGAAAACUUUUUUACGGUCAAGUCACCAAUGCCAGAAUUACACAUGUACUUGCUGAUAUGUUUUUUUUUGGUAUUUUAAAUUACUGUUAUAAGUAAACAACUUUUAAAUGUAUUUUAAAGUGUUGGUUAAAAUCGCAUUUUAUUUAAAGUUUUAUAUUAUCGAAUGAGCUAUAUUGAAACUUAAAAUCCUCCUUAAAAGUCUUUGUUUUUUUUUUUUUUUAAAUAAUUUCCAUAUUUCUAAUCUUUGUAACCAAUAAAAUUAAAAAAUAAUUCAUACCAAUUAAUAGAGAACACAGGUAUGAGAAAUGAAAGUCUGCAAGUCACUUUUGCAAUUUCUGGCAAAAGAACAUUUUUAGAUUAUUUAUUUCCCAAAUUUUGCUUUCCUGAUUACAGAAUAAUAAUUAACUGACAUGUGCAUCACACUUGAAGUAUUCAAACAUGGUUAAACUCAGACAGAGACCUCACAAAUUUUAUAUCAGUAAAUAUCAUGAUUCAUAAGUAUUAAAAUCAGCAAAAUUCACUAGCAAUGUCAAUGUUUACAAGCUAUUAAGAUCAUCAGGUAACCAUCAAAGGCAAAUUGCAUCCUGAUACCAAUCCCAUUACAAUUACCAAAACUACCAAAACAUCAAAAAGUUAUCAAAUUACCAAUUAUCAUCAAUAAUGCAAUAGCAUCAUCCUCAAAGGUUCCAUAUUUCUUUAGUUAUUGGCACAUAGUAAUCCCAAUGAAUUCGAUGAUCUGAAACCUGCAAUAUAAUACAAUUUCUGGAUUAGUUCAAUCAUAAGGACCACCUCAUAUUAGUAAAGUAAGGGGUUUUUUUGUUAUUUUAGCCAAUAUUCUUCUACAAAUGAAUAGUAAGGCCUAUAGAGCUGAACAGCUAAACAAGAGGGGUUUGACAACUGCUAGGAAAAAUAAUACCACCAUCAGUGUAGGUAAUUUACUCAAUAUACUGGCAAGACGUGGUUUUAAAUUUUAAGCCAGAACUAUAAGUUGAAUCAUAAACUUACAGGGUGAAAUCCACCUUGGUGUAGAAAUUCGAGAGCAGCAUGACAAAAGAAACCAAACCUUUCUGCAUCUUUUCUGCAACCACAAACACAACCUGUCCAAAAGAAUCUGCAAGCAACAAUACACCAAAGGAUUCUUAUGAUUAUAAUUUUUUUUUUAACAAAGUGAAACAUUGUAAUUCUUAAAGGUGCUAUAGGAGUAUAAAAAUUACCCGUUUUCUGGCUCCACAAAAUAAACUGAAAGGCCUUCCACUUUUCCAAACCAAACUUUAACUUCAGUGCCACCCCAAGAAUAGCCUCUUUGGUAAUGAAUAUCCUUCACCUAUAUCAUAGAACAUUCAUUUGACAGUUCUGAAAUUAUUAAAAAGACAAGUUUGAGAAAAGUAAAGAGAUGAAUGAAUUGUUUUAUAUCUUUUUUGAAUAUUAAGGUAUGAAUGAAUGAAAUCGAGAAUCUGAUUAUAUGACAAUAAACAUCUUUUAAGUAGCAUUCCCAAAAUUUUCAUUAUGUAUAGCCCAAAUAAAGAUGAGGGCAGGGAAGCCUUAUAUGAAACUUUUGUUUUCUGGAAAACCCAAUAAGAAAAGGUUAUGCGACAAUUUAGUGCCGAUAUCUUAUUAAAGGAAAAAUGCACUUCAGCCACCUCAUGCAAGAUAGAUAACACCACACGCAAGCUUACAAACAGCAUGCCUAGUAAGCAAGAAUACAAAACAAAAAAAUCCAUAAUUUAAGGAAAUUAGGGAAAUCCAGUGAAAACAAUUAAGAUGAAAAAUGUGGCUAAAGUGAUGGCAAUGAAGUUUACAUGGCCAAGGUUCAAGCAGUCAUACUUUGGAAGAAUGAUGUCCACAUUGUUGUUUAAAUCUUGAACAGCACGCGAGAGACUUGUAACGACAUCACCCGGAUCUCCAACCCGUAUAGUUAUAAAAAGGAAGUAAUUGAGAAAAAGAAGGAUAAUGGAAAAUCUUUUGGGUUUUUUUCUACAUAUUCGACCACAAACUGGAAAUAAUACAACACAGAUGUCUAUGAUGUUCCAUUUCUGUCUGUGGUUCAGCAUCCUCUCCCCCAACUGUCUCAUUUCCAAAACACUUUUAAUUAGGAAAAGACAUGUCUUUCUGGCCUUCUUUCAGCUUAAAGAAUUUUCUCUUCAUUAAGAGAAAGAAUCUGAAUGGACUCAUAAGCAAAGAAAAACUAGAAAAGAAACCUUGAUAUAUAUCAGGGCAAUAAAAAAAGUUUUAAAAACCGAAACUCCCUUAAUGUCCAAAAGUUACCUUUACAGUAGGCCCCAUCUCAACAGCAAUAUGCACAAUGUUCAUUGGUGGCUCUUGCACAAUUCCUCCAAAAACAGGUAUUCGAUAAUCCAUACCGCCUUUGUUGUCAAAAGUUCCGGCAUCUUCCCUCUCAGAGAAUACAAACUCCAUAUAUGCAUCCAAUGGAACCUUGACUGCAGAGUCACAUAAAGUAAGUCUUUAAUAGAAAGAUUUAAUGCAACAAAAGCCAAAAAUAAAAAAGAACGCCAUAUGUUACCUAAGGAGAUGAUAUAAAGCAACAAUUGAUAAGUCAACAUGCCUAAAACUUAGGCACAGAUUGAAUUCCAAAUAAUUUAUUAGUCUGGAUCUAUAAUUCACAUUUAUUCUCUUGGACCAAAAGAGCUUUCAAGGGGAGUGCGCCGGUACGCAGAAGAUGAUAAAAUGGUGAAUGCAAACAGCAGAUGACCCAAGAAGCGGUACAAUUUUCUGUUCACUAAAAUUGACCAUAAAGGAUACUGAUAGGUGAAAUAACUCACAAACUUAUUAGAGAGAAUGUUAUUUUAAAAGCAGUUGAUUAACUCAUUGAUCCAUGAAACCAUACAGACAAAGACAAUUAAUGCAUGCAUCCGAUACGAGCUCAGUUAUUGCCAAAUAAUUAUGCAUCAGAGAAAAACUUUUAUGAAAAGCAUUUGUUUGAAAACCAUACUUUAGAAACUAUUAAAGCAGUCAAAAGUGUACUUUUUGACCAAAGACACCUCUUGGUGAAAAGAAAUCAACACAGGACAAGUCAAUACGUGAAGACCUAAAGUUUGGUUGCCGAGUUACUAAGACAACCUAGUAAGGAAGAAAGCAUGAAGCCCACAAGGGGAAAUGAUGUUCUUAAUAUCACAUUCAUUGUACACAUUGUGUCAUGGUCCCUUACAAGUCAAUUCACAAGAUUUGCCAAAGAGAUUUACCUCACAUUAUUCCGUUGAUUUGAUAUAUUUGUCAUCUAAACCUACAAAAUUUGCUCAAUAUACCUUCUUAAGAUUGAACGACUUAUUAUGAUAUUUACAAAAUUUUUAACUCAAACUCACCCUACGAAGACUAUUUAGUCUUUACAAAUUGUACAGUCAUAGUUCCAGAUAUAAAAAACAACCAAUUAAAAAUAAAUCCACAAAGUUCAUUAGUAUUUCUGAACUUAAUUCUAUAAGCACCAAGUCACUUGAAUGUUCAUGUAUUUCUCUCUCUCUCGAUGACAAAUAAUUUUACUCACAAGCCACCACAACACCAAUCACAACAGCCAAAACAUUCGACUUUAAACUCUAAUACACAUGAUCAAAACCAAUACCGUCCAAGUUAGAAAGUAAGAAACAUAGAGAGCAAACUUUUGAUUAGAGAAAUACGAAAUAAGAAAGAAUGAGAGACAUAGCAGCAUACUAGUGACCCAGAAAUCCAACAAUAUAGUCAUAGACAACUAAAUAUAUUACUACCAUAUGUGUUAUAAAAGGGGAUCUUGACUUCAGGCGAAAAGAGGCACACAUGUUUAUUUGCAUUUGUAUCCAAGUAUAUCCUCUUAGAAAUUAUUGUUUCCUCUUUGUUUGAUAUCAUCACUAUUUCUCCACCUAUAGAAACCAUCAUAAGCUUAAAGUGCCAUAAGUGAUGAUCAGUUAAGACAGAAAAAAAUUGUAUCAUUUCCAGAAGGAGAUUUGACUUCAAAGUUUUUGUCAUUAUUAACACUAAGAAACAGCAUAUUUCUAUUAGGAGAUUAUGAGCUGGUAAGAAGCUCAUAAUUAAGGAGAUCAAACCUUAAAGCUAAAGGGUAGAAAAUAAAAACUCAAUAAUGUCCUUUAAUAAAGGUACACAAAUGUCAUCCAAUAACAACAAGGCGAAAAGAAAUUGUGCGGAUGGUAAUUGGUUAAUCACAUACACAAAAGUUCACAAAUAACCAAUUUCAUCUAGUACGAGUAAUUAAGUCAUAAUUAAGACGUCAUAUGUGCAAACCAAUUUAUACGUUCGAAUAACUUAUCAAAAGUAAGCUGCCUUUCAGAAAUUAUUCAUAGUCACCACUCAACAACAUCCUAAGUUCAAAAUUAGUUCACACAUUAUACCCAAUUACAAAAACACAAAAAAAAAUAAUAAUAAAUUCAAAAUGAAAAUCAAUAAAUUAAAACCUACCUUAGAUAGAUUGGAAUUGAGAUUGAGCUUGACCGAACAUCAAAAUCAAGAUAAGCUGUAUCAAGUAAGAUUCAACCUCGAUCAAAACAAAACAAUUUUGUUAGCCAUUUCGAUUAUUACAAAAUCAGAAUCAAAAUGAAUAGAAAGAGGAAGUACCGGUUUCGAAACGGCGCUGAUGAAGAAGAUGACAAUGAUUGAGCUGAAACUAGAGAGGAAAAAAUUAGGGAUUUUAAAAAAUUAAGGAAAGAUUCAUUAGAUUUUUGUCUCAAAACUGAUUUGAAAAACAAUAGAUGAAAAAACAUGAUUUGCAGAGAGUGAUUAGCCAAAAAUCGCAGAAAUGCAGAGGCUUAGCAGAGAGUGAUUCAUGUAUACCUAGCUACAAGCAGAGGAAAUCGAAGAAAUUGUAGCAGAGAUUGAUAGUGUUGAUGGAGAGUGGAGAGAGCAAGGGAGAUUUUAGAAAAAAAAAAGAAAGAGAAAUAUGAAAUAUGAAAUGAGAGAAAACAACUGAAAAAAAAAGAAUAAUACAGGUAAAUGCAUUUGUUCAGUUUAGAUCUAAUCAAUCCUAUCUAUUCUAAAGAGCAGCCAUAUAGUUCCAAACAUGCAUUUUAAUAUUUGGGAUGUGAACUUUAUUGGGAUUUGUAUUCCCGUGUACAAAUACAAUAGAUCUCUCUCUUUCAGUUCUCACUCAAGAGCUUUCAUGCAAAUCACAUUUAGAGAAGAACACCAGUACUCUUUAUGACAUGAUGUUGAAGGAUUUUAUUCCUACUGGAAUUCACAAGUGUACGUGCUCCUGUAUCCUCUGGAAGGACAACUGCAAGUAACACAGAAUUUACAUGAUCAGCCUUCUUUCUUUCUUUCUUUUUUCUAUAAUUUAUAUUUUUGAAAAUCAUUCUCUAACCACAAUAAAAUGAAGAAAGAUGAACAUCGACAAGCUUACACUUGCAUCUAUUAUUAUUAUUAUAUCUCAACAUGUCAACUAAAUUUGGUUGGUAGAUAAGAUUGAAGACAAAAAUCAGAAAAAAAUUUUAAAAAAUGCAUAUAGUUCACAAAUUAAGAACAUGUGAUAAUAGUUUACAUACUUAAAUAAGUGUGGCCAAGUCGAUGAUAAGUGACUAAUUCCACGACAUUUCAAAAACCUAAGAUGACAAAACCUUAUGAAACCAAAUCAAGUCAAAUUCAAUACUGCCUUAUAUACAUUACGGUGUUAUUAUGACUCAAAUAUAUAUAUAUAUAUAUAUAUACAUAUAUACAUAUAUAUAUAUAUAUAUGUAUUAUUUGGUUACUAAGAAGAACAAGAAACUUACGGAAAUAACCAUUGAAAAGAACAAAAAAUGUUGCUUUUUCUAAAGAGUGUUAUCUUAGGAAUAUUUAAUGUUAUUUGUAUGGAAAAUGUUUAAUUAGUUAUCCGAAAAAAGAAAAUAUUUUUAAUAUAUUUUUGGAUAAUUGAAAUAUAAUAAUUUAUAAUUAAAAAGCAAUGAAGGUACCUUCAAUAUGGACACAAGAUACAUAGCUGUCCUGCCAAUGGUCUGCAAGAAAAAUAUCAAGUUCAAAUGAAAAUUGUCUUGAAAGGUGGUAAGAGGCAUUCUAUGUACUUUUCAAUAAUCUUAAACUAUAUACAAACAAUUGUGUAUCUUACUUUAUUAAUCCUUCUCCAUGUUUUUCAAAAACUCUCUUUUGAUAUUUUUGAGCAUGGAAACAACAUCCUUCAUAUUUAUCCGGUUUUCAGGUAAGUCAGAUGAACAAUCCAAAGCUAACGCCAUGAUGGACGAUAUACAAUUCACUUUGACAACAAAAUAUUCAUCCUCUUUAUGCACUAAACUGGAGUCCGCUACAUCAAUUAUUCCAUUAGAUAGUGACAUUUUCACCCAAUGUCUCAUACUCAUUUCUCCAGCAAAAGAUUCAUCAGUGGGCCUCUUUCUUGUGAAAAUUUCCAUGAGUAGAAUACCAUAACUAUAAACAUCACUUUUUAAUAGAAACAAUUCCUGCUGAUCCAUAUUCUGCAUUUUAAACAUAAUUGAAUAAUUAAAAGAUAUUAUAUCUUCAUAAUCAUAAAAAAUAUGCUUAUGUUAGAAUAUUGGUAAAAAUAAUAAUAGAACAUCACUCAGUGCCAUGUAGCCAAUAGUGGCAAGUGUCCAUUGUUUUGUUUGCAUAGAAUCUUUCUUCUCCCAACAAUUUGGAAAUGCCAAAAUCUCCCACAUGGCAACCAUGUCUUUUGUCUAGUUAAGACAUUACUUGGUUUUUAGGUCACAAUGGAUUAUAGGUGUUUGGAUGUCCCAAUGGAGGUAUUCUAAUGCUGAUGCAACAUCCAUCAUUAUGUUGAUUCUUUGUAGGAUAUCCAAGAAAUAAUUGUAAGAAUAUAACCAUUUCUCAAGGCUCCCAUUAGGUAUGAAUUCAAGCACUAAGGCUUUGAAGUCAAUAGUAGAACAACAAGUAAUGACCUUAACAAGAUUGCGGUGAAAGAUAUUGCUCAUCACUUCACAUUCAAUCUCAAAACUCCUAAAUGCUCCAUCUCUUUGCAAAUUAAAAACUUUUAUUGCAACAUUUGUCCCAUCUAAAAGUAUUCCUUUGUAUGCAGAGCCAAAACUUCCUGAACCCAUUAAGUUGUUUUCACUAAAUCCGUUAGUCCCUUCCAAUAGCUGAUUAUAGGAAAUUCUUCUCCAUUUCUCGACAGGAAUUAAGUCUUCAACAAUCGCCAAAUUCGUAUUCCCCCGCUGCUUUUUUUUAUAGACAAUUAUGACUGCAAUAACUAUUAUUAUUGAAGCAAAUGUUGGUAAAACAUACCUCAAAGCAUGUAGAGCGGUCUUCUUGAAUUUCCGAUGGAUUUUAUUUUUGCAAGGUGAGACUUGUAGUCUAGGUGAACCGCAGAGUGCAUAAUUUUUCAUGAAUGAUUUGGCAGUGAAGUUUAAAAAGGGACCUCCACUUGGGAUUUCCCCUUCUAAUCUAUUGAAAGACACAUUUAAAUAAUUGAGAUCAUGAAGUCUUUCCAAGGACUUUGGAAUGACUCCAGAGAAAUUGUUGUUAGAUAAAUCCAAACUUUUCAAACUCAUCAAGUCACCGAAUGAUUCAGGAAUAGGACCUUGUAAUCUAUUACUAGCAAGAUUCAAAACCUGUAGAUCAUGUAGACUUCCAAUUGUGGGCGGAACAUCACUUGAUAAUAAAUUCCUUGACAAUUUCAAAGAGAUAAGUACCUUCAAAUUUCCAAUGUCAAGUGGAAGUGAACCGCUAAGAUUGUUUGAUGACAAGUCUAUUUCUAAAAUAUAUUUAAGGCUCCAAAAAGUCAAAGGUAUUUUUGAAUGCAAUUUGUUGGAGAACAAGUAUAGAUAUCUCAGAGAAGUCAAAUCACACAAACAUGUCGGUAAAGGCCCAUCAAGCUCAUUAUCACCUAAUGAUAAUUUGUACAAUCCCUUCAAACCACAAAGAUCAUAUGGGAUAGAGCCUUGUAACUUAUUUCCAUAAAGACGCAAAAGUUGGAGAUUUUUUAGCCUUCCUAUUGUUGUUGGAAUAGGUCCACUCAAUUUAUUAGAGGAAAGGUCUAACAAUAUAGCCUUGCUUAAGCUACCAAUUUCCAUGGGAAUGCUGCCUCUAAUUUUGCAAUCUCUAAUCAAUAAAUAUUGAAGUGAUGUAGAGAGAUUUGAGAUAGAAGUUGGAAGAAUACCGUCCAAUGCGUUGGAUGAUAGCUCUAAAUAUCUUAGGUAGUUGCAAUUUGCCAAGGAAUAGAGAAAAUUCCACUCAUGAGUUGAAGCUUCGGUGUUCAAAUGAUUAAAAUCAAGGCGCAAUUUCUCAAGGAACCUCAAAUUGCCAAAUGUAUUUGGUAUAAGGCCAGAGAAUGAGUUUUCUUGUAAUUCUAGGAUUCUGAGCUUAGAAACAUUGGAGAUAGAUUCAGGAAUAUUUCCACUGAGAUUAUUCCUCCAUAAGUAAAGCUCCUCAAGAUUUGAAGCAGAGCUCAUGUGUGGUAAUUUACCUAAAAAGAAAAAAAAAUAAGUUUGCAUCUUCCCAUACAAGAAAUAAAUUAAUUGUUUUGCUUUAUUGCGUUUUUCAUGAAUCUAUGAUGCAAGCUGAAGUGAAUGAAAUGCUUACAUAUACGAACAUGAAUGAGGAGAAACAUGAAGCCUUUUAACAAUUAUAAAUAUGAAACAACUUCAAGUUUAUCUUGGUUGAUUUAUAAAAUUUUUUCAUAUUUAUAAAAAUAUAUUAAAAGGCUCCAUGCUUACGUACGUAUAAUAAAGUAAAAAAGAGGAAAAAGAAAAGUAAAAGAACAAACGGAAGAUAGAAGAAAUUUUGGUUGUGAGAAUUUUAUUUUCUUUAACUUAUCUCAAUUGCUUUAAUGAUAAAAAAGAUUAAAGAAAAUUUGGUUAAUGAAAUUGUUCCAAAAGGAAAAACAAAUAAAAUAAAAAUUGAAGAAAAUAAAAAAUAUAUAUUUAAAUUAAUUUGUUUGAGAAAAGAAAAAUAUGAAAGUGUAAAUGUUUGGAAAUAAAAUUAGAAUUUUUAUCUAUCCUAUUUUAGAAAAAAAAGCCCUCAAGAGAAAUGAUAAAAUUUCUCUCAUUUUAGACUAUAUGGAUAGUUUAAAAGAAAAAUACAAAGAUUCGACGAAAAGAUUGUUAAAAGUACAUGCACUCACUUUAGUUUGAAAAUCACUCUCUUACUUCCCUAAGGGUUGAUAGAACCUUACGAGUGCUCUACUAGAGAAGGUUCAUUUGAGGUUUGUUUGAGUAAUAUUGUAUACAUUUUACUAUUACAAUAAAAAAAUUUAGUAAUAUGAUGAUAAAUAAUGUGAAACUAAUAAAAAAAGAUUUGAAAAUGAUGCUUUUGAUUACACAAUUAGUGCUUUUUAGUUUGUAAAAGAACAAUUAAUUAAUUUCUCUAAUUUGACAACAAAAGAAAGGUAAAAGUAGCAUUGUUUUUCAUUGCAUAUAAUUAAAAUGAAAAUACCAAUUAUAAUUGUUAUAGUGUAAUUAAUUAAUUAUAAUUUAAAAUUAUGUAAUGUCUAUCAAAAUUUUAUAUAAAAUUUACAUUUAUAAAUUAUGACUCCUACGUAUUACUUUAUUGUGGUUGAAUAAUAAUUAUAAUAUUAUAAUAAAAAAAUUAUAGGUGAAAUACAAUCAUUAAAAAUUUAGGUAACAUUUGACAAAAAGUUGGUAAUAUUAAAACAAUCUCCCGGUAAAAAAGUUGUAGUUGGGAGAAAAUUGGAAAUUGACACGUGGUUGAGCAAUUAAGAAUUUUUUUUAAAAUUUUGAAUGUUAAUUUUUUUGGGAAAAGAGCACAACUAAAAAAAAAUCAUUAAUACUAUAUUUUAAAACAAUUAUUUAAGGGAUUAUCUAUUUGACAUUUUGCAUUAUCUCAUUGGAUACAUUUGUUAAUUGUUUUUAAGAUUUCAUUUUGCCAUUUGUUCUCAUUUGAUUGGUUGGUUUUUGUUAAUUUUAUAUAAUUAAUCGUAAGUUUGGUCCUCAAUUAUCAUAUAGACUUUACUGAUUUGUCUUAAAAGAAUGGGCUGAGUAAAAAAAAAAAAGAGUUUAUCUUUCCGAGAGUCUGCUCCAGAACUAGGUUUCUAUGGGUGGAGUCUCAGUCUUGUCACAUACAAGAGUUUUUUUCCUUUGGAUCAUCGGUGAACUUUGGUCUUUGGGGGUUAGUGCAAGUCGAGUUUAGUGGUGUUGAUUCGUUGGAAACGGUUGAUAGAGAGUCUAGGUACCGGAGGUCCUAUGGAAGACGACCUGGACCAACUGUGGUUGGAACUUGUCAUUCACUGAGGAAGAGAAAACAGGGAUGGAAGUGUGUUAUGGGGCCAAUACAAAUGAGAUGGGUGAAGAACACAAAUGGAUGGUGGACAAGAUUAAUAUUGUAAGGCCAUUCAAUAAAGAUACAAUGAUAAGCAUUUUACUACUACAAUAAAAAAUUACGAUCACAAAAAAAUGUGAAACUAAUGAAAAAGAUUUUAAAAUGAUGCUUUUGAUUACACAAUUAUUAGAGGGUGAAAAGCCUUGCCUUAGUCCGAUUUAGAGGGGAAGUAACGUUAAGUAAAAAAGCUCUUCUUGGAUACCAUGAAGGCCACACAAGAACAUUACCUUCGGAGAAAAAAAUUUGUUACACUGUUUGUUGAUGGAAUUUUUCCAGGUUGUAGUGUCUUUAAUCUUAAGCAACAAUUUGUCAGAUGUGGGAGGGUGGUUGAUUUUUACGUCUCCGAAAAUCAAAUUUCUAAAUGGUUUGCACCUGAGGUAUUCCACUCUAUAUGUUCAAAAGGCAAGGUAUGAUCAAAGAUCUCAUGUUAGUUCUAAACCCACCACUCAGUACAUGGAAAAAAGGUGUUAUCUGCAUAGAAGACUUUAGAGAUGGACGAUCUCAUGUAGAGGUUGUUAAUAUGUCAGUCAAAUCCACUCAGUUAAAGGAUAACACUAUUUGAAAAAUUAAUAUUGUAAACACCAUUUUAUUAUUAUUAUUAUUAUUAUUUAUUUAAUUUUUUUCUCUCUUUCUUCCCGUUUUUUGCGUUUCUCUUCUUCUUCUUUUUUCUCUUCUUUCUUUCCUUUUUUUUUUCUUUCUUCUUCUUCCUUAUCCGAUUCAAAUCUAGUGCAUUAAAUGCACAAUCCCUAAAGUCCAAAAUUACCGUCGCUAGUUGCCAACGGCCAACCGACAAGCCACCAAUCACGAACGGCAUGCGUGAUUUCUCAGUUAAAAAAUGGGAUUCGAAUCCCAGAAGAUUUGAGAUUUGAAUCCCAAAAAGCUCUAUAAAUAGAGCUUGUUAUUUGCAAACGAAAAGGAGGAAGAACGCGAAAAAAAAAAUGGUAAAAAAUUUUUUUACAAAAAAACAAAAAAAAAAGGCUUCUAUUUAAAAACAAUUUUAGCAGAAACACAAAAAAAAAAUACACAAUCCUCCCGUAGGGAAGAAUCCAGUGCCGAGCUUCUUACACGAAGAAAAAAAAAGGGUCAGUUUAAAAAAAAAAGGGGUUAGAAUACAAAAAUUUUUUUUUCACCGAAGCUUUAAAAGCAGAUAUAGGGAAGUGGAGACUCCUUUUGGUGCAAAGGAGGUCAGAUCUGUGCUCAGGAGGUCGAGAGAAACAUUUUGGUGUUUUUAGAAAAUUUUCAACCACUGACGACGGAAGCCGGUGACCUGCGAACGACGGGACCGGCGAACGACGGCGACGUGACGGAGGUCGACCAGGUAGCGUUUGUCUAAAGAAGAAAGGAGAGAAAAAAACAGUCAUUUUUUUUGGAGAAAAAAGGAAAAAUAAUCGAAAAUUUUUUUUUGAACCUUUUUAUAUAAACGGUGAAAACCAAAACGAUGUCGUUUCAAUUAAUGCCCAAAACGACGUCGUUUAGACCAAGGAGGAUCCGCGCAUUGACCCGGACCUAACCCGAGGUCCGCGCACCCAAUUCGACGACCCGCUUCUCCAUCAGCCUCUAAUCGGUUUGACUGGAUCGAAACCUAACCAUCCAGAUCGAACCGAAUCGGUACUGAAUCGCUGAGCCACCCAAACCGUGCCCAGACCGAGACGAACCGUGGGACCGAACCGUGCGUUGAUCGGACCAUUGACCGAUCCAGUUCAGGUAAAAAAAUUUUUUUUUUGAAUUUUUUAUAUAUUAUUUUUUAAUAUUUAUGCAUAUUAAAAUAUUUAUAUUUGUUAGAUUAAAUGAUGAAAUAUGUGGUUAAAUUUUUUUUAAUUUUGUUAAUUUUUAAAAUAAACUUUAAAAACAAAAUAAUAUAAAAAUAAAUUUAAUAAUAAUACUAAAGUAACAAAAAAUGAGAAAAAAUGAAAUUUUUAUCCGAUGAUGGAAUUCUAAAAGUAUUCCGAGUAGAGAUGCUUUAAGAAAUCUCUAGGUGAGUAGAAUUUUUGUAAAAUAUUAUCAACGCAUUGGAAUAUUUAUAAAAAAUCUUCAAUAUAAUUAAAUUCCUUUUUCUUCAAAAUUUUAAUUUUAAAUAAAAAUAUUAAUAAAAUAAUUAAUAAAAUUUUUAACAAACGAGAAUAAAAUAUGCGCAUAAACAUAGUAACAUUUUGCAUUGCAUGCAUGACAUAAUUUUUUACGAAAAGUAAAUUCAGACCUUCGAGGAUGAGAUUCUAAGGUAUUCCAAGAAGUGAUGUCUAAGAAAUCUCUAAGUGAGAAAAAGUUCUUCUAAUGUUACCAACGUACUGAAACAUUUUAAGAAUUAUUUCAAUAAAAAAGUUUUAAUUUAUUUUUCUAGAGAAUAAAUUUUUUCUAAUAAAUAAAAAAUUCAAAGAAAUUAUUUUUUUUGAACACCGAAAAUAAAACUGUUUUUAUCAAAAUCAAAGGAUAACAUGUAGUUAAUUGGUACCGUUUUUUAACAGGCACUGUGGGGGUGCUAAUCCUUCCCCACACAUAACCAACUCCCGAAUCCAGACUGUUGCACAGACCCUAAAAUUAUCUUUGAAAUAAAUUUUAAUUAAUUUUAAGAUUUCAUUAAAAGGAUAUGUUUUAAUAGGUGGCCAAUCGCACCUAGCCAAAAAAAAAUUGGUGGCGACUCCAUUAUUUUUUUUAUUUUGUUUUCAAAUUCAUCGGGCAGAUACAAAAACUGUUACGAUAGGAUGGCGACUCCGCUGGGGAUAGGUAUUAAUUUUUAAGAGUCAGACCAAAAUUAACUACUUGUUAUCCUUAAAUUUUGAUUUAAAUAGUCUUAAUCAAUUUCUUAAAUUUUUAUUCUUCAUUUUUAGUAAAAAAAAUAAAAAACAAAAAGCAAAAAAAAUUCACACAUUUCUUUUAGUAUGCCUCUUAUGUUUUAUUUUUCUGUAUAUAUUGCUUUCAAUAAAUUAGUAUAUAUUUGCACAUAAUGGCACGAUGCAUCUAAUACAUGAGCUCUAUACCCGGGCUCCGUCCUUUGUAGGAGGAAGUAAAGUACCUAUGCUCUUGUGAGGUGAUAACCUCCGCAAUGGCAAGUGAAAUACUUUCACUCGAAUUGAACCCUUUCCGUUCAUAGCCUGUAAUGGGUGAGGAUCGGGGUGUCUUACUAGUCCAAUAUGGACGACAGUGAGGAACAAUUUGAGAACCUUUAGACCUUGUCAAUCCAAACCCAACAUAUAAUAAGCCUAGAAAACCAGCCUUAUGUAGAGCCUUGUCCAUCUUCUUGUAGGAAAUACCUAAGAAUAAAAGUUGUGUAUAAUAUGAAACAAAGCAAAACAUAAAAAAUCUCAAAAACAUUAAAAAACAAAAAAUGUUUUUCAAACCACACUAACUCAAUUUUGUUUCUUUUUUUUUGUAUUAAUCAUAUCAUACAGUUUUACAUCGAGAUAUUUGUUUUAAGACAUAUUUCUCCUAAGAAGUUUUCAUAGAUCCCAUAGAACUACAAAUUUGCUCAUCCUCAGUUAGUGUGCCAUGUGAAUCGUAUAAUGAAGUACAUGUUUGGUCGAAAGAAGUUCAACAAAAGAAUGGAGAUUGUUUGCCUACCGGUUAUGUGUCUGAAUUACCCGAGAAAGUGCAUUUAGAUCUCACAUAGAAUGAUUUAAAAGAGUUAGCUGCUGUCUGGGGUCAGUUAAGUGAAGAAAGAAAAGAAAGCUUUUGCAAAAAGUAUGGACAUAUUGCAUCUCUCAUUUUAGUAGUGAUUGAUGAACAGCUGGUCAAAGCAGUUAUACAGUUUUGAGAUCCAUCCUAUAGAUGCUUCACUUUUAAUAAGGAAGAUUUGGUGCCAACUAUUGAGGAAUAUUUGAUUUUACUCGGGAUAAAACUAUAAGUAUUUACCUGAAAGCCAAAAUCAAGUUAUCACAAAAAGUUAGCCAAGCUUAUGGGGGUUAAAGUAGAAACCAUUGAUUCCUUCGCGAAAUCUAAAGGUGAACAUCUCAGUAUUCGUUGGGAUUUUCUCUGAAACUUCAUUCAGGAGCAUUUAAAUGAUGAUCAAGGUAUGGCUGUGUUUGCUCUAGCAUUGUAUGACAUGGUAAUCUUUCCAAAGACUUUGGGUUACAUUGAGAUAACUGUGGUAGAUUUUUUCAAGCAAAUUGAAACCCAAGCAAUUAAUCCCGCACCAACAGUCUUAACAAAAACCAUUUGAUCAUUGAAUUUCUGUCGACGAAAUGAAAAAGGAUGAUUCAUAGGAUGUAUAUCUCUAUUAUAAGUAUGGGUUAGAAGUCAUUUCAAGUGUGGAAAGAGUGCAUUUUUGAAAUCAUAUCUUUGAAAUAAGGCACCAAUCGAAGAGUUUUGUAAAAGCCAAUGGUCAACAUUGAAGACUAAGAAAGAUUGGGUCAUUUUCUUGCGAAAGCUUGCUGAGGAUGAAAUCGAAUGGAUGCCGCCUUGGAUGCCUCGUGUGCCCUUGUUGUAUCAUGGAAAAAAUGAACCGUGGAUAUCGUUGUUAGGAUUAUGGGGUAUUGUAAGUUACGCUCCAUUGAUGGCACUUAGGCAAUUUGGUGCAAAGUAGUUUGUUCCUGCUACUCAUGGCCUGGCCCAAGUAAAAUUCAUUUAUGGGGAACCGAAUCCAUCAAGAACCUCAAAGCAGUUGAUCCAAGCAUGGAAGAGAACACGAAGAAUGAGGUUAGGGCCUCUCAUCGACAAAGUCACUUAUGAUUACCAGAUUUAGAAAGCAAGGCGGCCUAGAGACAUAGUACUCCCUCCUGAUGAUAGCUCAUAUCAAUUGAUUAAUCUUUCAGAAGAGGUGCAAUUAUCAGAAGUUGAGCUUGUCAAGAAAGAUUAAAAGCUGAAAAAGAAGAAAUAAGAAGAGAAAAUUUGAGACUUCGAGAGCAAGUAAGGCAAUUAAAAUAUGAAGCAUAGAUACAAAGGAGCAUAUUAGAAAAAGUCAUAAAAGAACGAGAUCUAGCCAAUAGUGAUUUGAAAGAUCUACACCAGGAAAAUAAGAGGUUACGAGUUCAAUUCAAAACUAAAAAAGUCACAAAGUCUUACCUUAGUCGACAAUGUGAAAUGGAUGAGCUUCGAGAGAGAAUAAACUAAUGGAAGGGCAAAGCUCAAGAAAAGUAAGAAGAGAUCACCAUAAUUUCUCAAAAAUGUUAGAAUUGGAAGGGAUUAUAUUCUAUAACCACAAUAAGAUUGGUGGAAUGCCAAAACGAAAAGGAAAGGUUGAAAGUCAUGCUCACAAAAGAGAGAAGAAAGCACUUCGAAGUACUGAAUGAAAAAGAAUCACUUCACCAGGUGAUCCAAGGGUUGGAGCUACAACUGCAAGAUCACAAGAACCAUAUUUUAGUAAUGAUCGAUGAGUGGCAUAAAAAGGAAAAAAGAUUGGAUAUUCACAUAUGAUUCAGAAAGAGAUGCUCGUAUGAUGUGAAAAGUAGAAAGUUUAGGGAGGCAACAGUACAUAGAGUACAUAAUCAGUCAAGUUUGUAAGGCAGUCAAAAAAGUAUGGGAAGAUGGUUGAAAAGGUAGAAGCAUUAAGACAAGAAGUCAAUUCUGUAGGAGAAUAUGGACAUCGCCCAGUAAACUUUCUAGACGAGGCAAAAGACCAUUAUGAGCAAGUCAAACGCUUCUAUGGAUAUAAUUUUAGGAUGAUAAAUCCCAUGUAAUCAAAGUUGUAUGGAAUCAAUCAAAAUUUCUAGUAUUGAAAUUUGUCCAGGAGCAAAUAUUUUCACUUGAAUUCAUGCAUCAUUUGCACCAUUUUUUUUAAAAAAAAAUUCAAAAAAAAUAAAAAUUUUGAUACAUGGCAUUUUGAUUUUUCUAAAAAUUUUGUGGCAAUAAAGGUUCAAGAAUAGCUUGCCCUUCAAAAAUUUUGACUCAACCCACUCGCCAUUCAUACAACACCAGGACUCAAACAAGAAUUAUGGAGCAAGAACAGACCAGUCGAUUUGAAAGAAUCGAGAAAGCUCAAGAAGAACUAAGAGGGGAUCUUAGUACAAUAAUGGAUAUGCUCAAAAAAUUUGACAAGGGAAAAACAGUGGAAGAAAAUCUUAGCUUUUAAUAGCAAUCGCCAGAUAUGAUGGAUCAUGUUUACCCUCCAGGGUUUAAGCUACAACUGACUCAACCUUCUCAAGGAACUAGAGUACAAAUUCCUAUUCCCAGUGAAUAUCCCAAUCCUUAUCCAGGAAUGACAUCUACACCUACUUUGGGACAAUAUCAAAAUUUUGUUAAUCUUGUUAUGAUGGAAAAACCCUCAAGCCAAUCCUAGUUCCUGAUUUGGAUGAUUCCAAAGAAAAAGAAAAGCUAGGGAUAAAGAUAUCUGAGAAAGUGGAAGAUAAUAGUGCUCAGGAAAAGAUGAGGUUAUUAGAAGAAAGGCUUAAAGCAGUGGAAGGAAUUAAUUUUUAUGGUUCCACAGAUGCAAUUGAGCUUUGUUUAGUCCCUGAUGUGGUCAUUCCGCCUAAAUUCAAAGUUCCUGAAUUGAAAAAAUAUGAUGGCACAAAAUGCCCGAUGACUCAUAUAACCAUGUAUUGUCGAAAGAUGGCAGCACAUGUUCACGAUGAAAAGUUGUUAAUGCAUAUAUUUCAAGAUAGUCUUACGGGUUCUGUAGUUAAAUGGUAUGUUCAAUUAGAUAGGACUCGUAUUCGUUCUUGGUAAGAGCUUACAAAGGCAUUCCUUACACAAUAUCGGUAUGUCAUGAUAUGGUUUCAGAUCGUCUAUCUCUACAAACUAUGGAAAACAAAGCCACUAAAAACUUUAAAGAGUAUGCACAAAAAUGGAGAGACGUGGCUGCACAAGUCCAACCUCCUCUCACUGAGAAAGAGACAACUAUUUUAUUUGUAAAUACUCUGAAAAUACCAUACUAUGAGAGAUUGAUAGGUAAUGCAACUAAGAAAUUUACAAAUAUGGUGAUAUCGAGUGAGAUUAUCGAAAGUGCUAUAAAGAAUGGCAAGCUCAAUACAGGAGAGACAAGUGGAGUAAAGAAAGGUGGAGCUCCCAAAAAGAAAGAAAAUGAAGCCCAAGCAGUAAACUAUGUAAGGCAACAGUUCAGAGGUUUCACGCCCUACUCGGUACCAGUCUACCAAAUCCAUUACCCUUCCAUAAACAAUGUUACAUCCAUCCCUCAUCCAUAUCAACUAUACCAACCACUACAACCAUCAACUUAUCCAUCCCAUUUCCAGCCAUCUUUUUGGACACUCACAUAUUCCUAUAAUCAUCCUACUGUACCUACAAGACCAGAAUGGAGACCUAAUAGUGGUCUAAGAGCCCCAAGAAAUACAAAAAAAAAAACUCAUUUUUGAUCCCAUUCUCAUGACAUACACAGAUUUGUAUCCCCUACUUGUUGAGAAACAUCUACUUGCUCCUAUUAUUGUUGAACCUUUGAAACCUCCGUUUUCUAAAUAGUAUGACCCCAAUUCGCAUUGUGAUUAUCACUAUGGGAAUCCAAGUCAUUCCACUGAGAACUGUACUACUUUGAAGCAUAAAAUCUAGGGGUUAAUCAAUGAAGGAGUAUUAAAUUUUGAUACCAACCAACAAGGGACUCCAAAUGUCAAUAGGAACCCUCUACCAAAUCAUACUAGGCCAUCAAUAAAUGCUUUGGUUGAUGGGCAAACAAGCUAUGUGAAAAGAAAAAUAGAAAAUGUCAAAACUCCUAUGGCUAAAGUAUUUGAAGCCUUGGUCAAAGCUGACAUGUUGAAGCCAAUAGAACCUUAAAAUUGAUCUGAAGUGAUUAACUCAACUAAAAGUUGUAAUUAUCAUAGAGAUGUUCUGGGGCAUUCUAUUGAGAAUUAUCACCAAUUCCAUUAAGAGAUGCAAAAAUUGAUAGAUGAGGGUUGGAUAGAGUUUUACCAAGAGAGAGAAGAGUUGGUGAAAGCUGAAGUGUCUACCAUUAAUUCAAAGAAUAAGUUUGUGCGUAGACCAGUAACUAUCUAUUAUGAUGAAAAGCCAACAUCGAAGCUAGAAAAGCCCGUUUCCCGACCAGUGGUGACAAUUAAAGUUUUUGGCCCUUUUUCAUAUCAGAAUGAUAAAGUAAUACCUUGGAAGUACGAUUAUGAUGUCGUAAUCAACCCAAAUACUGUCAACAUAACGGGUGUAGGAGGCAUAACUCGAAGUGGCAGGUGCUAUACCCCAGAGGCUCUAGAAAAAGCUAAAAAUGAGAAAGCCAAGGUAGGAGAAGAAAAUGAAAGUCAGAGUGGUCUUGACGUAACCCCAAAAAAAGAAUGUCAUAAGCCAGUAUCUAUGAGUGAAGCAGGUGAAUUUUUAAAGUUAAUAAAACAUAACGAGUACAGCGUGGUAGAAUAGCUUAACAAGAUGCCAGGUAGAAUUUCGCUAUUAUCAUUAUUGCUCAGUUCAGAGUCACACCGUAAUGCUUUGCUGAAGGUGCUAAAUCAAGCAUAUGUAUCUCAUAAUACUUUUGUUGAAUAUAUGAAACAGCUUGUUGGCAAUUUGUCGAUUUCAAACUAUAUCUCUUUCAAUGAUGAAGAGAUUUUUCCUGAAGGUAGAGGAAGUACCAAGUCUCUUCACAUUACUAUGAAAUGUAAAAGUCAUAUAAUGGCUAAGGUUUUGAUUGAUAAUGGCUCAUCCAUCAAUGUUAUGCCUAUGACUACUCUGGCAAAACUCUCUAUUAAUGGAUCCUAUAUGAAACCUAGUCAUAUGAUAGUGAGAGCCUUUGAUGAAACUAGAAGAGAGGUGCUAAGAGAUAUAGAAGUGCCAUUACAGAUUGGCCCAUGCACUAUUAAUGUGAAAUUUUAAGUUAUGGACAUCUUUCCUUCAUACAUUUGUUUAUUGGGUAGAUCGUGGAUCUAUAUGACAGGUGCUGUCACAUCCUCAUUACAUCAGAAAGUUAAAUUCAUUGUUGAAGGAAAGCUAACAUGUGUGACAGAAGAAGAAGAUUUAUUAGUAACUCAAUCGAUAAAUACUCCUUAUGUGAAAUCAGUAAAUGAAGCUCUGGAAUGCUCUUAUAGAUCAUUCAAGAUUGCCAUUAUAGAUCAUUCAAGAUUGCCAAUGCAACAUAUAUAGCUGAAGGAUCUAAAUUAUAUUCGCCACAGUUGUUUACGAUAACUAAAAUGGUAGUCAAACAACUUACCAAGAUGGGAUGGCAACUUAAAGCCAGACUUGGGAAGAACCUGCAAGGAAUCACGAAGCCAUCGGCUAUAUAUGAAAAGAGAGACAGAUUUAACUUGGGAUAUAAACCAACAAGAGAGGACAGAAUAAGAAUGGUGAAUGAGAAAAGAGAUAAAAGGAUAGCUAAUCUUAGGAGAUAUGAGCCAGAGUCAGAGCCCAUAAUCAUUCCAUACCUCUAUGAUUCUUUUCACUCGAAAGGAUACAUUUAUCCAGAUUUACCGGGAGCCCCAAGUGCAAGAUUCGUGAAAAAAUUUUCAGAGCUGGCCAUUCAAAUGAUGGAUAAUAAAGAAAAAAAGAGUCAAAGUGAAGAGCUGUUCGUGUACCCUUGUCCUUCAGAUUUUGAGCUGGAUAAUUGAAAAGUUACAGAGCUGCCUAUUGUUUUUAAAACUUUGGAAAAGUAAUGUACUGUGAAACUUUAAAUCUCUAAUUACUUUUUACGAGUAUUAGAAGAUCUUUUAUGGUGUGUUUAUUUUUUUCAUUUUAAUAAAAGACUUAAAAGAUGCAUCUGCAUUUCUUCUAUUGUUUUCAUCUUCAUUUUACUUUCCAUUCUUUUCUUUUCAUCAUUCCAUUUUUAUGUGCCAAUAUUUUUUUUCAUCUUACCCUUUGCAAGGUCCCAAACAAUGAACAUAAAGAUAAUCAUGGCAAUAAUCUCGGAUUUGAUUUUGAAAACUUAAUUCAUGUUGAUGAACUUGAUAAUGAGGAAGAUUCAGAUAACUACACACAUCCUCUUGAUUUGUUAACAUUAAUAGAACAUGAAGAUAAGCCAAUUGAACCCCAUCAAGAAAUUAUCGAAUUAAUGAAUUUGAGAGAUGGUGAAAACAAAAAAGAGGUUAAAGUUGGUAUAUCUCUUUUACCAGCUGAAAGACAGAAGCUAAAAGAGCUACUCCGAGAAUAUGUAGAUGUGUUUGCAUGAAUUUACCAGGAUAUGCCAGGACUCAGCACUGAUAUUGUAGAGCACAAGUUACCUUUAAAACCAGGAUGUAAGUCGAUGCAACAAAAGUUAAGGCGCAUGAAACCAUAGAUGCUGUUGAAAAUUAAAGAGGAAGUGAAAAAAUAAUUCGAUGCUAGAUUUUUGAAAGUGGCAAAAUAUCCUAAAUGGGUAGCCAACAUAGUGCCAGUUCCUAAGAAAGAUGGAAAAGUGAGAAUGUGUGUCGAUUAUCGAGACUUGAAUAGGGCAAGCCCUAAGGAUAACUUUCCUCUACCUCACAUCGAUACUCUAGUGGAUAAUACUGCUAGGCAUUUCACAUUUUCCUUUAUGGAUGGUUUCUCAGGCUAUAAUCAAAUCAAGAUAGCCCAAGAUGAUACAAAGAAAAUCACAUUUGUGACCAUGUGGGGGACAUUCUGUUAUAAGGUUAUGCCUUUUGGGUUGAAAAAUGCUAGUGCUACUUAUCAAAGAGCAAUUGUAACUCUCUUUCAUGACAUGAUGCAUAAAGAGAUAGAAGUGUAUGUGGAUGAUAUGAUCGCAAAAUCUCGUGAAGGAGAGGAUCAUAUAGUCAAUCUUAAAAAACUGUUCGACAGGUUGAGAAGAUUUUAGUUGAAGUUGAAUCCUGCCAAAUGUACAUUUUGAGCCAAAUAAGGAAAACUAUUGGGCUUUAUAGUCAGUGAAAAAGGAAUCGAAGUUGAUCCAGAUAAGAUACAAGACAUCUAAAACUUAUCUCCUCCUCAUACCUCAAAAGAAGUGCGAAGUUUCUUAGGGAGAUUAAAUUAUAUUACUCGCUUCAUUUCUCAACUCACUUAUAAGUGUGAUCUUAUUUUCAAGCUUAUCAGAAAACAUGAUCCUGGAGAAUGGAAUGACGAAUGCCAAGAAGCUUUUGAUAAGAUCAAAUGAUACUUAUCAAAUCCACCUGUGUUGGUGCCACCAAUGCCAAGAAAACCUUUGAUUUUGUACUUGAAAGUGCAUGAAAAUUCAAUGGGAUGUGUGAUGGGGCAAAGAGAUGAAACUAAUAAGAAAGAACAAGCAAUUUACUACUUGAGAAAGAAAUUCACUGAUUAUGAGUCAAAGUAUUCACCAUUAGAGAAGAUGUGUUGUGCAUUAACCUGGACAACUCGAAGGCUUAGAUAAUACAUGCUUUAUCACACUACUUGACUCAUAGCAAAGCUGAAUCCUAUUAAGUAUAUCUUCGAAAAGCCCUCAUUGACAGGAAGAAUAGCACGGUGGCAAGUUAUGCUUUCAGAAAAUGAUAUCAUUUACGUGAGUCAAGUAUAUUUUUGGCAGGUUGGUAUCCUUCUUGUCGGUAGAGGAAAUAAAUUUGUUGAAUCAAUAGUUGGAAAUGAUGGUAAACUGUUUACCCCUUAUGCACUAUGCUUCCAUAUACUUUAUGUUUUAAAGUAUUUUGCAUUUCAUAUAUUGAAUUCCUGCACACGGAUUGAGAGGCCUGCAGUUGUGACAAAAAUGAACUUGACAUUAUCUGUUGAUCAUCGUGUAUUUGACGGCAAAGUCGGAGGUAUGCAGUGAAGCAAGUCUUUGUAAUUGCAGCUCUAAAUAUGAAGCCUUUGACAGAUGGUGGAUAGGCCCUAACAUCAAAAUAAUUUGCAUGACCUACAAUUAUAUUGCUCUGUGAAAGAUAUUGUUAUGUAAACUGCAGAAGUAGAAGACAUGGGGGUAUCAUUCCUCCCAUGUCGAGCAUCCGGGUAAUAAUAUCACAAAUAAGUUCCUGAAAAAUCCCGGAGGGUACUGCUAGAAGUAAAGGCAUAACUGAACUGGCUCCCAUUUUGGUUAAUCAAAGUAUCUAACAAAUUCUUCCUGGUUUUAAAAAAUCUAUGAUCUUUAGUACUGCUGGCUUGAUUGCUGUAGUUGUACCUUUCACCGUAUGUACUUCAGUAUAUGAUACCGGCCUGAGAUUUGAACUGUUUUUAUUGCAGGUGCAUUUUUUUUCAGUAUUACAAUCUAACUUCAGUGAUAUUCGGAGGCUUCUUCUCUGAUAACAUUUAGUCCUUCAAAUUCCGACAGAUCAGUUGUUGCUGAGGGUCUCUCUCAAAGGUUGUUAAUAAUUCUUCAAAAUGAUCAUGUUUUGUUCCUGAAUUUCGAUAGCAGCAGCAAAUUUGUUGUGCAAUCCUGGGCACCAAAAUUGUCUAUUCAUUGGACUUGUUCAAAAUGAGAACCGAAUUGUUGAUGUAAAAUUUUGCAUGUUGUUAGGUUGCCAUUGUCAUCUAAUUUUGCUACCUUCUUCAGGGCUUAUUCUGCAAUUCAUGUUUCCAUCUGAUAAAAAAUAAUGAGAUCGUUGGAAAAAUACAAAAUAGUAAAAUCUAUAAUGACUUUUUUCUCGUGUAUACAUUUCCUCAUUUUUUGAGGGGGUUUUAUAAUUAGAAAGAAACAUAUUAAAAUGUAAUUUUUUUAAAAAAACUUUGUCGAGUAAAACUACGCGUCAGCUAACGAGGCCUUGUCACAUGUCAACAAGUGAGACCAUAUCUUGAAAAAAAAAAGAAAGUGGAGGAAAAAAUUAUUAGAGAAUUUUUUUUUUUAAUUUGUGAGAAUUAAAUAAAAAGUAUAAAUUUUUUGAUAAUUUUUUAAAAUUAUUUUAAAGGUUGAAAAAUUAAUUUAAGAAAAAUUAUUUGACACUAUACUUUCAAUAUAUUUGAUAGUUUCUCCCAAUUUAAUAGAAAAUUUACCUCUUUUUAUAAUUUUAUCAAAAUUACAAAAAAAAAGCUAAAAAAUUGUUAAAGUUUAACAUAAAAAUCCGUAAAAACCUAUUAAACUGCAAAAUUUUUUUUUCUAAUUUUUGACCUCGAACUUUUUUUUAGAAUCUAUCAAAUAAAAAUCCACAUUUCAAGAAAUGAAAUCUUGCCAUAUAUCAACAUCUGAGAUUAUGUCUUUAGGUUUCAUAAAUAUAUAAAGAUACAUGUACAUAAAUAUAUAUUAAUAGAAAAUAAAACUCAUAUUUUAGUUUUUUUUUUCUCAUUGUUACACAUAUGUUUUAUUAGUACAUCGCUUGACAUACCCUAAUGGCACAUGAUUAAUAGUUUUUAUCACAUUAAAGUAAUAUAAAAAUAUAUUUUUUGAAAAAAGAUCAAUUUAUACCUUAAGGGUCGUUUGGAGCUUAUUAAUUGAGUUUUCUUCCACCUAGUAGGCACGUUUUUUAGUUUGAAAAAAUUGAGCAUAUCCAAUUCUUCAUUGAUGUGAGGCUUUAUGAGAGACAUUAGGGCUGAGAUAGAUGUGAAUCAAGGUGAGUCCUCUCUUCUGUAGGUGAAAGAACCAGUGAAAUAGUAAUAGAACGAAUGGUUUUGGAUAAAUUUGAUAAUUUUUAUAUUUAUAUUUUGUAAAAUAUUGAUAAUUUAUAUAGUCAUAUCAUAUUUUAUAAAAAAAAUUAAGUGUCAUAAUUCAUAUUAAUACAAAAAUGUAAUAUAUAUUUUUUGUUUUAUCAAAUUAAUAUAAAAUUAUACUAAAAUUUUAAAUCGUAUCAUUUACAUUUUUUUUAAUAUUUUUUGAAUGUAUAAAAAAUAAAAUUUCCUCCACUUGUAUAUUCUUUUCAAACUCAAGACAAUAGCAGUUAGGUGGCAUGGAUGUGCCAGUGUUGUUUGCCCAUUAGGCUGAGUUUUGAAAUGCAAAGCCGAAAUAAAUAAAAAUUUUAAAACAUUUUUAAAGUUUCUCUUUUUUUCUAAAUUGCUUAUCUUUAUUAAUGGUUAAAAAAUUAAGUUUUGUUUGUUUUAUGAAAAAUAACUUUUGAAAAAUAAUAUAUAUAUUUAAUGUUUGUUUCUUAGAAAAUUGAUCAAUCAAUAAAAAAUAACUUACUAGUCAAUGAAAAAUAAUAUCAUUUUUUAAAAAAUUUAUAUUUUCCUUUUGAAAAGAAAGAUAAUUUUUAAAAAAUAAUUGCCUAUGAAUAAGACUAUUUAUCAAAUUCGUAAUCAUAAUUCUACUCAAGUAGGACCUUUAAUAUGAUUUUUUAAGUUCAAGCUUAAUUUUAUCCGGCCCAAAAUAUUAUUAUAUUAAUAAAAUUAUUUUUAUUCAAUUUUACAAAAAAAAUUUAAAAUAUUAAUAUUAAAAGAUUUAUAAUAUUUUAAUUUUAAAUAUUUUAUAAUUCUACUUAAAUUAGACUUUAGACAUGAUAUUGUAAACUCGAACUUGAUUUGAUUUGAUUUAAAAAAUAAUUAUAUUAAUAAAAAUAUUUGUAUUUAAUUUUAAUUAAAAAUAAAAUAUUAAUAUUAAAAGCCUUUUGAUAUUUUAAUUUUAAAUAUUUCCAUUUUGUAUAGUAUUACCAUAAAUAUUUUAAUAUUACACUAAUAAAUAAUAUUGUAUUAUUAUUUUAAUAAUAAAUAUUAUAAUAAUAAAUAAUAUUUUAUUAUUUUAAUAUAUAUUUUUAUUAUUUAAUAUAAUUAUAUAAUUAUAUUAAUAGUAUGCAUAUUUUUAAUUAUUUCUUAAUAUUUUUAAUUUAAAAUAUAUUAUUUUUAUAUUUUGUUGACUAAUUUCUUUAUAUUAAUAUUUUAAUAAUAAAUAUCUUUAAAUAAUAUUUUUAAUAUAAUUUAAUAAUAAAUACUUUCAAUCUAAAAUAUAAUUAUUUUAAUAUUAUGAAUAUUUUUAAUAUUUUACUAAUAAAUAUGAGUAUUUUAAUAUAAUUAUAUAAAUUAAUAAUAUUAUUUUAAGUAAUUAACGUAUUAAUAUAAAAAUAUAAAUAGUUUUAGUUUUUAUUAUUAAUAUAAUAAUAUAAUAUUAAAUAUUAUUAUUAAAAUCUAAUUAAUUUUUAGUAUUAAUUAUUUUAAUAAUAAAUAAUUUAAUAUAUUUUAAUAAUUAUAUAAAUAUUAUUUUAACAAAAAUCUAAAAAAAAUUCAAAUAACAAAAAAAAAAUUUUCAUUCACUCGUUUAAAUAACGAAAAAUCUGUUUUUUCAGAAAAAAUUAUAAAAUUUUUUCUAAAACACAUUUCUUAAAAAUAAAUUUUGCAAAACUAACAGAUUUUUUUGUGCAGUCGUAGUCUUGAAGACCAAUAUGCACUAUGGCGCGGACAUUUUCGAUCUAAAGAAAUGAACUUUUUUUUUUGUAUCCUUCUUUUAAAUCGAUCAGUCAAAAAAUAAACACCCAAAACCUUCUUCUCUGAUGAACUGUAAAUUAAAUAAAAUCAAAGCUUUUUCUUCUCACACUUUGUUUUUUCUCAGAGCAAUUUCAAUGGCGCUUUCACGGCUUAGAAACCCAGUUUUCUCAGAAGCCGCUCCAUCUCUCUUUAGAGCUUGUUUUCUCUCUUCCAACGCCUCACCCAGAUCACUUUCUGGGUGUUGUUUCUUUUUUUUUUUUUUCCCAUUUAUUUCUAUGCUUAGAACUGUUUGUUAUCAACUGUAUUAGGUACUUGCCACUUGCCGUGAUAACCAUUGAUUUGCAUCGGAUUUGAAUCUUUUUGGAUGAAAGUAGUAAUUUUGAGAGUUAGUUUUCUUUGUGAGAAUUUUAGUUUUGAAAUCAAAUACAGAAUUGCAUUUGAAUGAUCUAUUUUUUCUUUUAUUGCAGAAAGUAAUGAUUUUGAGAGUGGGGUUUUGUGAGAAUUUUGGUAUGGAAAUUAGAUGCAGAACUUUAUUGCAAUGGUGCUUGAAAUGAAACUAUGUUCUUUGAACGUUACAAGGAUAUAUAAUUAUCAAAAAGAAAAAGUUUCUGUUAAAUCAUUUUCUAUAUAAACAUGUAUAUAUAUUAGUAUUAUCUUUAGUUCUUAUAUUGGGCUUUUUUUUUGUUCCAUUAUGCAUUUCUGUCUACUUGCUAUAUAUUUAUCGCUUUCAUUUAUAUACGUCUGCACAAUGCAUUUACAAACAAUCUACCUAUAUCCCUUUGUUUCCAAGCGAAAAUAGCAGUUUAGCAUUUUAAGUUACUGAUAUGAGGUAGGAAUACGAUUCUCAAUUGUGACUUUUCUUGAUUAUUUAUAUAUGAUGCCCUUUAAUUUGUGCUAAGUGUAGCACCUUUACAUGAGUUCAUAUCGUUCUACUUAUGUCCUUUUACUGAUUUACUGUUGCAGCACUACAAAUGUUUAGAGCCCUUUCAAAGACUGAAAUGGAUCUUGCUUAAGGUUUUCUCUGUUGACUUCCGAUUUAUCAGUGGUAAAUUUUGUUACGACUGCUUUACAUGAUUCAUUAGUUAUUUAUGCUAUGGUUUUACUUGUGUUAAUCUUCAUGUACCUAUGUUAACACCUUUAAACAUUGUCUCUGCAUUUGGAGUGGAAACAUUUUUUUCCUUGUGUAACACAAUUUUAAACCAAUGAAAUAUCAAGGGAUAAAACUUUUAAGUGAAGUUUGAGUUUGGUCAGUGUUGUUUUUCCCUUCUUGCUUUUGCAACCCAAAACCAAUACAGUUUUGUCUAAAUGAUGGUGAUACAUCAAAGUUAACUCAAUUUCGUUUAUUAUGCCUUUAUUUGGACAAAUGUAGCUGGGUUGCUUACUUUCUGAAUCUUACCGCUUUUUCCCCUCAUAGCAGGCCCAAAUCUUUAUCCACCGUAAUUGGAAUAUACAGUACUUCAUCAAUGCUCGAGGUUGGUAUUUGAUUAUUAUUUGCACUUUUCUAGGAUAAGGUUGGCUUCUGAUUUUAUGAGAUUUUGAAAUUGCAAGUUGGAGUUCGGCAUUUCUCAUCUGCAGGUAUAUGACAUCUUUACUUUUACUGUGUGUUUGGGCGAGGAAUUUUAAAAUUUUGAAGAAUUUAAAAUGAGGAUAUUUUAAAAUACAUCAUUUUAAAAUGUUAACAUUUGUAAUUGUUUUGUUUGGAUAAAUAUUUUUAAAAGAAAAUUUUAUUUUGUUGAAAUUUGAUGAAAUAAGAAAUAAUAUAAAAGAAAAAUAAAAUACAUAUGUACAAAAAUAUGAAAUAUGAACAUCAUUAGAUUUGUAAAAAUGUGUAGAUAUUAUUAAUAAUAUUAAAAAGAAAAAAAUUGAUAUUAGAGUUAAAUAAAAUAAUAUUUUGUUUUUUGGGUUUUGUAUUUUAUGGUGGGCCAUGUGCAGUAAAGUAAUGGGAGAUUUGGAGGAAUUUUAAAAAACCACCUCUUUAGGUGGAGUUUCAAGAGAGAAUUUGACGUGGUCAAAUUUCCUCUUGAAAUUCCUCACAAAUUUUGAAAUUCUCUCUUAUAUUUACCCCAACUCCAAAUGCCUCAUCCAAAGACACCAUUAAACAUUUCCCUCUUUGUAUAUGCCCAUCUAGUUUUCAAAGUCUUGUCAGAGAGGCUCUGAGUGACUUGCUUACUUUUUCGUUCCUUUCUAUUUCAAACCGCUAGCAAAGUCAGUAUGAUCUUAUGCUAGGUAUCUCGGUCAUAAAAAAAUUGCCUACUCGAAUAGCUUGCCUUGUUUAAUCUCUCUUUCUCUCUCUCUCUCUCUCUAUAUAUAUAUAUAUAUUUCAAAUCUAUAAAUUAGAGUCUAAUGAUAGCACUUAUUCACUGUGGAUAUUUCUUGUAGUAGAGUCAUAACCUAGCACUUGGCAAGUGCUGGGGCACCGGUUUCAUGUGUUCAUAUAUACUCAGGGAUAUUUAUCUAGGCAAGGAGCUAUUUACAUGGCUAAACUUUCAUGAAAUUUUUUGUAUCAGUUGAAGUAAGAAACAUCUAUGUCUUGUUCAUCAUAAACAAUUGUGCUUGUUGAGCAGUAGGAAUUCGAAAAGCAAUAUUUGGUAUUAUGGAUACAAGGAUUCUUAUGAAUGGUUCAUUAUUCUAGAUUUUCUAGUAGUUAUAAAUCUGCUUGGUUGAAGAGCACUCAACUGCCUAGCCUCAGUAAUAUACGUAAUACAUGGCCAUAGAAUUAGUUGGUCCUACUUUAGGUUAUAGGUAGGUUGUCAUGUUUGCCUCAGCUCUGUCUAUGGACGAAUACAAGUUACAUAAUGUGGAAUCAAUACAUUGUCUUUGUGCAAGACCUAUUUGAAAAUCUAUUUACUUAUAUUCUUCAUCUUACAUAUAAAAUGUCAGUGCUUCAAAUUGGGAUGUAUCACCUCUUGGUUUCAUAUGUUAAAUAGAUUUUGUGGUCUCAUAAUGCAUUAGUGACUGUUGGGCCUUAAGCUAGCUAUAAAAGUGUGGAGACGGGUUAGAGUAGGUCCCAGAUUCAAGUCUACUUAUUAAAAGGGUAAAUAUUUUCUACCAUUUUUCUUGGUUGUUGGGUUUUGCUUGUUUUCUUUCAUUAUGAUAUUUGCGAAAGAUUUGUUCCUUGCUUAUCACUAAGUUCUGUUAUUACAGACCUUCCUGAGCAUACUGUCCUGGGGAUGCCUGCUUUGUCUCCAACAAUGGUAAUAUAUUUUGGGAUGCUAAGCCUCAUAAUAUUUGACUAUGAUAUACACUUUCUCCCUUUAUUCCAAUAGUGAAGGUUGUGCUACUUCUUGCAUAUGUGCACAGCCAAGGUAACAUUGCAAAAAUGGAAGAAGAAAGAAGGAGAUAAGGUGAGUUAUAUAAGAAACUAAUGGAAGCUAUAGGUUGUAUGGUCUUCGCAUCUGAAUUUGAUGUAAAUUAAAGAUGGUUGUUCAAAAAUAAAAAUCUUGUGAUAAGGUGUAGUGAAUUAAUUGAUUCAUUCUGUCAUCCUGAUUUAUUUCUUGAUCAUUGAUGCUUACCUAACAUUUUGAAUGUACCAUGUCAAAUAGAGACAGAUAAAACCACCUUCAAGUUUGAAAGUCUGGAAGAAGGGUAAACCCUGUUUUUUUGCUUCUUACUGCUUUUAUUUUUCCAUUUCUAUGGUGUCUGAUGUUAAAUCCUAUGGCCUAAUUUAUUACUAAAUUUUGCUUCACAUAUGGGAUUUUUGGUUUCCUUUUACAACUUUAUAUUUUUGCAUGUGAGCCCUUUAUACACUUUUCUUGUGCUGUUUCAUCUUAUUAAUAUUGACCAAAGAGCACACUUGAAUUAGUGAAGUUCAUAACCAUCCUUUUUUCUUUUACUGUUGCUUAUGGUUGGAGUGCUUAUCCGCAAGUUUUUGGCCAAGAUACCAUUAUUACCUGAAGGUUCUAAGGAUGUGCCUGUGGGACAACCUAUUGCAGUAAGGUAUUUUUUCUUUGGUGCAUCCUUUAGUCGCAUACUAUUGAUGGAUCUAUAAAAUUUGAUUCCAUUUGAAUUUUUUCAAGAAGAAAACAAUCUUGCUUAGCAUUUGGGGAUUCUUACAUCCUGAUCUAAUGAGCAUCUGCCCUGCUUACCAACUUUUGCUAGCUAUCCACUUCUUUUUAUGCUUCUUGGAGUUCAAAAAAGUUUAAAGAAUAACAACUAUAUAAAUAAGGACUUAUGUUCAUAAACUUUCUAAUAAAUGGCAACAAAAUUGUAGAAAAAUAACUUCUAAUUUCAAGCAAUAAAAUUUCCAUCUUAUAUGGUGAAUAACUUUUGAUAUCUGAAUUUUUUUUUUUUUUGCUUUUUAAAUAAUAAUUUUUUGUUGAGUACCAACUAUGCAAUAACCAAUUUGUUAAAACUCAUUUGGAUGGGUUCACAAGGUUGAGGAUGAACAAAAUAUCCAGAAGAUCCCUUCUACUUUUGAGGGUGGAUCAGAGGUUGAGGAAAAAACAGCCCAUCAGGAUGUCAGAAACACAGAAAAAGAAGAGGAACCAAGUUCUAUUACUAUCAACGCCUUAGACCUUCCUCCUCACAUUGUUAUUGGAAUGCCAGCACUCUCUCCAACAAUGGUAAGAAAAAUUAGGCUAAAAUAUGAACCUACUUCUCUGACUUUUUUUUACUGCAAAAGCUUAUGUUUGCCUUUUCAUAUUUUAUUAUAUAGAAUCAGGGUAAUAUUUUUAAGUGGAGGAAAAAAGAAGGGGACAAGGUUAGUUUUAUUACCACAAGUUAUUAAACACUUUAAAAUGCUUUGUUUUUCUAUUAGAGUGAAUAAUAAGCUUGUUCACAUCAAUUUGCCUAACUUUGUUGGGCAGAUAGAAGUGGCCGAUGUUAUAUGUGAGAUUUAGACUGACAAAGCUACUCUCGAAUUUUAGAGCCUUGAAGAGGUAAUAUUCUUUCUUGCUUUGGAAUUUAUUGCUGAUUGCACUAAAGUGACAUUAAUUGAUAGUGUAAUCUUCGGACUAACUUGAUUUCUGUAGCUGAUCAUUUGUCUUUAUGUCCAUCCAAAAGUAUGAUAAAUAUUGAGGUAUCAGGCGUAAGUCUUCCAAAAUAGUGCUUAUAGACUUAUUGGAUAUACACUAAGAUGAGAAACACCUUUGGUAUUAAUAUGGAUUUACCUUGUUGUUUUCAAGGAAAUAUUAGCAUGAUCAUAUAUUUUAGUUACACUUGGCCAUGCAUUAGACCCUAAGCCUAUCAAAGUGAACAACAAAGGCAAGGUCUAUGUACAUAUAUAUAUACCUUGUUGUUUUCAAGGAAAUAUUAGCAUGAUCAUAUAUGUUAGUUACACUUGGCCAUGUAUUAGACCCUAGUUCUAUCCAAGUGAACAACAAAAGCAAGGUCUAUGUGUGUGUGUGUGUGUGUGUGUGUGUGUGUAUAUAACAUUGAUGCCAGGCAUAAGCGUGAGUUUUCCAUAAAGCACAUAUGUAGACAUUAUAUUUAGUAAGACUAACAGUGAAAAGUAGUACUACUAAAUAAGAUGUCAAAUCGAGAGAAGCUGUGUGAAAAAUUUGGAGGGCUGUAUUUACGUGGCUAAAUAAGUUGAAUCCUAUGAAAUUGAACAAGCAAAGCUGGUGGAACAUAGUUCAAUCUAGAAGCAAGGGUAUUUUUUAUGAGUUAAUAACAAAAGAAAGGCUUUCUUGGGUUUGAGAUUGAUCUUGGUUAGCAAUUCCUUUCAUUUCUAUGGUUCAUUUCUGUUAAUUAAAUAUAAACUUACUGUUGUCUGUUGAAAUUGUUGGGUGCAGAUACCUGGCAAAGAUACUGGCUCCAGAAGGUUCAAAGGAUGUGGCUGUGGGGAAACCUACUGCAGUAACAGUAAGUCGCCAUUAUAUGCUUUUACGUUGACUUAUUUCAUAUCUUGUUGUAAAUUACUUGAUGCAAUUUACCCCUUCAUAUUUAGUCAAAGGAUUUUUCGAAGUCAAGCUAAUGGUAGUGACUUAACGCACAUGGGGCACUAAUGCUUGUUAUUUUGCAAGGUUGAAGAUCCAGUUGAUAUUGAAGCUGUAAAGACUUCUGUUAGUAGUGGUUCAGCUGUCAAAAAGCAAGAAACAACUCAUCAUGAAUCCAAAAGUAAAGUUAGAGUGCAGAAGUCCGGUACAAAGAUCAAUACAUCAGCUAAGUUGCUUAGAACAUGGAUUAGAUGCAUCAUCACUAAAGGCAUCAGGUCCUCGUGGUAUUUUGCUAAAAGGAGAUGUUUUGGCUGCAAUUAAGUCCGGAAAAGGAUCUUCCAAGAUAUCUUCAUCUGAGAAGAAAAAACCAUCAACUCAAAUCAGCCCUAAGAAAUCUCCUUCAGCAAGGCCUGAGUCAAAAGCUCAUCCACAGCAAUCAGAUUCUUUUGAAGACCUGUCCAAUACUCAAAUUCGCAAGGUAUAUUUCACUGUUCAGUUAUAAGGGAAUUAACAAGGCAAUAGACUUGGGCCUUGACCUUUUCUAACUAGGUCAUUAUUUUAAAGAUAGGAAGAGCAUUAUGGACUGGUUUUAAUCUUUAUUCCUAAAAUAAUGUUCUAUGUGCCUUUAUAUUGCAUUGGCCGUCAGAUAAAACUUAAAAUCCCUUAAGUCCUGUGACUGCAGAUGUUUAUACCAAAUAUUGGAUAGUGAAAAAAUGACCUAUUCAUACAUUUAUGUAUAGGUUGAUAUAAAAAAUUGAAGCAUGCAUCAAUAUAAGAAAGGUAAGAUUUAUGCGCUAAUGACCAAACUGAUGACAAAGGCAGAUGGUGGUGUAGGAGAAUAUGGAAAUAAAAUGAUGCAAAGAGCUUUGCCCAAAUUAGGAGGUUUAUAUGAAUGCAUUUGGCUGAAGUUAGAGGGAGCAACAUUCAAAUGACAUGGGGUUCAAAGUUUGCAUGUUAUAGUUUGACGAAUCAGUUGCACUGACAAGUGAUUUAUUUUAAGUUGAGUUCACCAAAAGGACACAGGCCUUUAUGGCUAUUGCAUUAUAGAAUCACAGAUUAUUGAUUGAAUAGGAUUAGUAAGGGGUUUGAUUGAGAGGGUUUCCUUUUAUUAUUUAUUUAUUUAAAACUUAUUUAUCAUGUAUGACAUAUUAGGGUUGGUUUUAAAUACGGGCAAUAUAUCUUCAUAAACUUGAUAUUAAUACAUCUGAAUUAAUAACAUGUUAGGGUUGGUUUUAAAUAAAGGCACUAGAACUGUGAUAGAAGUAUUUGAACAUGUCAGUCUUCCUUUAUGUCCCUGUAUGCUAUUUGCAAUACAAAAUGUCUGAAGGCUUUUCCUUAAUAUUUGUAGUUAAUUUAUUCGUUCAGUUAAUAGUUGGGUUCUUUGAAGAGAAUUAAAUUUCUAAGCUCAAGGAAAGUCCGAUUAUUGAUUCUUUGUUCUUUUCUAAGCAGUUUGAAGAGAAAUGUAUCUCUGUUACUGCUAUAAGUUCUUUACAACCUUUGCAUUUGUUAUACUGUCAAAUGUUGUUAUUAGUAAGACGUAUUACAAUUCAUCUAUUUGUCUGAUAUUUUUGGAUUUCUCUUUUCACAUAUUAUUACCAGGUGGGUCUAUGAGCCUCCUCUAACAUCCGAACAGGAAAAGACUUAUCUUGUUUUGUGUUGAUAAUAUAUGGUUGCAUCGAAGAAGUUUCAAACAGGAAGAGCACUUAGACUGCUAAUUUAUCAUACAUUUAUGUCGAGUGUACACACUGUGUAUAGGAAAUUUCCAGCAUCAGCUUAUCAGUAAUAAUUGCUAUUUUAUAAAGUGGAAAAUAAUUACAUUAUUCCUUUUUCUUCAAUUAAAUUUAGCUUUCAUACAAAAAUUUUGGCUCUUUUGGCUUAUUUCUAUUAAAAAAUUUGCUAUUUCAAUGACUGCAGGUUAUUGGGAUGUUGAGAAAAGGGGAAAUAAUAGUGUGAUUCUGUUGACAUAUCAAUUUCAGUUGCUACUGAGAAGGUAUGUUUCCAAUAAGAUGUAGUUCUCGGGCUCCAUAGAGCAACGGGUUUCAUAUUAUUUUAUUUGGAUUGCAGGGUUUAAUGAUUCCAAUUGUAAGAAAUGCAGAUCAGAAAUCCAUUUCAUCAAUCUCCUCAGAGGUACUUUCAUUUUUGACCUCUACCCUUUGUUGAUUUUAACAACUUUGUUUGGCUCCACUACUCUGUAGUGUAAGUGAUAUGACUGCGGUUUUAAGCCUAGCAGCCUCGCGUUGGACAUAACAUAAGCUUGAGCUUUCUCAAUUUUGGUUACUUUACACCAGAUCGUUAGGUAUAUUGCCUAUGUACUCUGCCUUUUAAGCUUGUUUAAAUCUAGGGAAAUAACAGAACACAAACUGCCUGUUGUCUGGCCCCUUAAAUAUGUUAACUAAUCAAAACCUCAGUAUAGAUAUAACUUAAGUUAAACUAGAUCUUUAAAAUAAUCUGCACUAUAUAAGAUGAUAGUCAGCAAGUUCAGAAUUACAUGUUUUACCAUUCUUUUGGUCUGUUUCUUUUCUAUUCUUUUCCUUCUUUUUUUUUAUCUUUUAUAUAUAUAUUUUUUGCUUUUUCCUUUUCCAUUUUCAUUUUUUUUUGAUAAUUAGUAUAUUUCACCACUACCAUCACCAACAAGAUGGCUUGAUCGAUUAGUACAACAAGUCAGCCAUCACUGUCCUCCUUUGAGACUACCAUUGUAGCGACCAAAAUCCCUACACAAGCUUAUGUUAAUACAAAUAAAAAAAAAGAGAGAGAUCUGAUUCAAAAUCAGACUCUCGAUGUCUCCUCAAAUAUCUUUAACCACUAGAUUAAAGGCUUGGGGACUCAGACACAGGCUUUGAAUAUUGGUAAAGUUGUUUUAAGUUUGAUAUGCUUUAUCAAAUUUUUUGGGUUUGAUAUUAAAUUUAAAUAAAUAUUAAAUUUCAAAGGUUUGGAUUAGUUCUGCAUUUGAUAUUUUUGAUUUAGGAUUUAGGCUUGUAAACUGAACGCAACCAUGAUAGUUUUUUGCAACUUCAACUACAAUUUUGAGUUUCAAAUACCUACCAAAUAGUUUCUCCUUUAAGAGAAUGGCCCUUGAUCCAAGCAAUCCAAAUUGAGCCCGUUUUAGACAAUAAAGUCCAAAUAUAUUGGAUGAUACAGACUUUGAUCAAACUGAAAAGAUCUUUAAAUAAAUAUACUUUAGAUUUUAUGAAUAUUUCCCCAUCAUUUUAGUUCAAUUUAAUGGUUAGUGAAAUAUGAAAAGUUUUCUAAAUUAAAUUAAUUCGUUUUUUUUUCUUUCAAAAUCUUAUUUUCAAGGCAUUAGUUAAUAAAAUAUAAUUUUAUUUCAAAAGUUUAUUUUCAAAUAAUUAAUUAAAUAAAAUAUGAAAAAACUGGAAUUAAUAUAUAUAAUUUGUAUAACUUUUCUUUUCCUACCUAUUUUUAAUCAAACUCAUUAGUUACUAAGGAUAUCAAAAGUUUUUUUUGAAUAAAUUUUAUUUCUAAUUUUUUUUAAACGUUGUUUUCAAAUCAUUAAUUAAAAAAAUACAAAAAAUUCACAUUAUUUUCAAAAUCAUUAAUUUUAUGCUUUUUCUUCUCCCUAUCAUUUAUGUAAAAAAAAUAGUGAUAUUUUAAUUAACAAUUUUUAUUUUAAACCAGGUGACGACAUUGACAUUUUUCCUUUCAAAGAUUUGUUUUCAAUUUAUUAAAUAAUUGUAUAGAAAAUUAAUAAUUGACAAAUGAAAACAGGAGGAAAUUUAUAGAAAAAUGAUUAGUAAUUUUUGUACACCAAAACAUUUUAGCAAAAUAUGUCUUUGGACUAUUUAACUUCAAGUAUAUCAAGAAAAAAAACUAAUUCUUCUAAAAUGAGAAAAAAUUGACAACUUUCUGAAUUCAAAAAUAUAAACAAUUAUAUCAUAUGUUCUUACUUGAGUUACUUGUAUUUUAGCUACUCACCAUUUAUUGAAUAAAAAAUAUUGACACCUUCAUAGAAUAAAGUAACAGGAAAACCAUUGGCAUCAAGUUAAAUAAACUUUGCAUCGUUUAUUUCCAAAAUAUGAUUCAAUAAAACUAUGGAUUCCAAAUAAAACAUAUCACUCUAAUGUUCCUCUAAAAGAAAAUAAAAAUAAAAAGUCAUUGCAAGAAAAAUUAUCGCAUUUCUCAAGAAGAAACACCACACCGCUUUUGGCCAUGAUUUCAUGAACUUUCUUAGACAUUCCACGCCAUUGGAAGGUGAACUUCCAAUUCACAAACACACCAUAAAUCUCUCACUCAAGCUUCAUGCAAUCACAAAAAGAGAAGAAACAGGACAAUCUAUUCCACGCUGAAUUCAUAAGUUACAUGCUGCAAUAAAGUUACAAAACUUUCAUCAGUUCCCUUUUUUUAUUAUUUAUUUAUUUAUUUUUUGGACAAGAAGCUUGCGUUCAUAUUUUGAAAAUCAAUUUCUAACAAUAAUCAAGUGCAAGAAAAAAAGAUGAACUUCAAGAAGCUUGCACCUACCUCUAUUAUUAUUCUUUUUCAUCAUACUUAUUAAAUUGGUUUCUGAAUAAGAGAAAAAAAAUGCCCACACUGAUAAUUGAUAAAUUAAUAACAUCAUACCAUAUAAAAAUAAGAGACAAUAAUUUAUAAACUUAGAUGAGUAGGUACAAAUGAUGAUUGACUAACUCUAAACAUUUCAAAAGCUUAAAAUUAUAAAUCUAUAGGAAACUGAAUCAAUAGAAAUUCAAUAAUGGCUUAUGUGAUUAAUAACAUCUAUUUUAUCAAAGCAAAUAAUUAAUAAAUUGAUAUUCACUUUUAGGUAAAGUCAUUACAUACUUUUAUCUUUAAAAUUGUUUAAUGUCAAUAAAUAUAUAAGUUAUAUGGUAAAUUCGUAUAUGAAUAUUAUUUUAAUUAUGUAAAUAUGUGUUCAAUACUAACAAUAUUGUAAUUAAAAUCUACGUUAAAUAGCAACUAAUAUAGUUAAUUUAUCAAAAUAAAUAAAACAUAUUUUGCAUAUUAAGCAAAAAAAAAAAAAAAGCUAUAUAUUUCAGUGUUCAACAAACAAAAUAAAAUAGCUUGUUGUUAUUAUUAUCCUUCAAAUAAAAAAGAGUUAUAACAAAAAGGUAUUCCUAAUCGAUGAUUAUAUUAAUAAAUAACGUAAGUAAAUAAAAAUUAAUUUAACUUACUGGCUCUCUUCAUUAUAAUUUAUGUUAUGGUUAAUUAUAUAAAAAUUAUAAUCUAUAUAUAUGUUAUUUCUAAUCAUACAUAACGUAUAUAAAUUAAUUAUAUGUAUUGAGAAAUAAUAUGAAUUUAAUAAAAGAAAUAUAAAAGAAAACACAAAUAUACAAAAUGAGCCUAAUUUCCUGUACAUGUAACCACACAUCCAGGUGAAAAGGUUAUUUAUUAAUCAAGAAAAUCUUUUUUAUAUGUUUACAACUACCAUGCUUCCUUACUUAGACAUAGAAGUUAUUGAAAUUCACCGGCUAUGCAAAUCUCAUAAUUAUUUAAACUCUUUUAAUGAUUUAAUGCAAUUAAAACUCUAGUUUUACUGUAAAAUUUAAAAUGCUACUAAGAAAAAAUUACUUUAAUAAAGAGUUCAAAGUUAAUAAAUAAAUAUAUAGAUAAAAAUUCAAAAGUGGUGAAAGUACCUUGAUUAUUGAACCCAAAUACAUAUUAUGGUAGUAGUAACCUUAACCUGCAAAAAAUAUAUAAAGCUUAACGGAAUACCUUCUUAAAAAAAUUAGAAAUAUAAACUAUGUACUUUUAUAUAAGCUUAAACUAUAUAUAAUUGCAUUUCUUACCAUAGUAAUUAAUCCUGCGUAAUGUUAUUUAGAUAUUCUCUUUUGAUAUUCUUCAGCAUGGAUACAACAUUCUUCAUAUCUAAUCUAUCUUCAGGUAAUUCAGUUGAACAAUCCAAAGCUAAUCUCAUAAUAGAUGAUAUACAAUUUGCUUUAAUAACAAAAUAUUCAUCCAUUUCUUGCACUAAACUAGAAUCUAUUACACCAAUUAUCUCAUUUGAUAAUGACCUUUUCACCCAAUGCUUUAUAUUCAUUUCACCAACGAAAAUUUCAUCUGUGGGCUUCUUUCUUGUGAAAGUCUCUAUUAAUAGAAUACCAUAGCUAUAAACAUCACUUUUUGUCGAAAUAAUUCCCAUCGAUCCGUAUUCUGUAUUUUAAAUAUAAUUGAAUCAUUAAAACGAUCUCAUGCAAUAAAAUGAUAAAAUACUAAUAUCUACUCGUCUUGGAAUAGAGAAAAAAUUAAAAAAAAAUGAAAAAAUCACCUGGUGCCAUAUAGCCAACAGUAGCUAGUGUCAUUGUUUGUUUGAUGGAAUCUCCUUCUCCCAAUUAGCUUGGCAAUUCCAAAAUCCCCACGUGUGCAACCAUGUCCUCAUCCAAUAAGACAUUACUUGGUUUUAGGUCACAAUGGAUUAUAGGAAUCGGAUGUCCCAAAUGGAGGUAUUUCUAAUGCCGAUGCGACAUCUAUCAUUAUGUUGAUUCUAUGUAGGAUAUCCAAUACAUAAUUGUAAGAAUAUAACCAUUUCUCAAGGCUCCCAUUAGGCAUGAACUCAAGCACUAUGGCUUUGGAAAUCAAUAGUUGAACAACAAGUAAUAACCUUGACAAGAUUGCGAUGAAGGAUAUUGCUCAUCACUUCACAUUCAAUGUCAAAACUCUUAAAUGCUUCAUCUAUUUGCAAAUUGAAAACUUUUAUUGCGACUUCUGUUCCAUCUGAAAGUAUUCCUUUGUAUACAGAGCCAAAACUUCCUGAACCAAGUAAGUUAUUCCCACUAAAUCCACCAGUCCCUUGCAAUAGUUGAUUAUACGAAAUUCUUCUCCUUUUCUUGAGAGGAAUUAAAUCGUUAACCAUUGCCAAAUUCAUAUUCCCCCGUUGCCCUUUUUUGUAGACAAUUAUGACAGCUACAACUAUUAUUAUUGAAGCAAAUGUUGGUAAAACAUACCUCAAAGCAUGAAGAGCGGUCUUCUUGAGUUUUGGAUGGAUUUUAUUUUUGCAAGGUGAGACUUGUAGUCUAGGUGAACCACAUAGUGCAUAAUUUUUCAUGAAUGAUUUGGCUGUGAAGUUCAAAAAGGGCCCUCCACUUGGUAUUUCUCCUUCCAAUCUAUUGAAAGACACAUUAAAAUAAUUGAGAUCAUAAAGUUUUUCCAAAGACUUGGGAAUGACUCCAGAGAGAUUGUUGUUAGAUAAAUCCAAGCUUUUCAAACUUAUCAAGUGACCCAAUGAUUUUGGAAUAGGGCCUUGUAAUCUAUUUCUAGAAAGAUUCAAAACCUGUAGAUCAUAGAGACUUCCAAUUGUGGACGGAAUAUCACUUGAUAAUAAAUUCCUUGACAAAUUCAAAGAGAUAAGUACCUUCAAAUUUCCAAUGUCAAGUGGAAGUGAGCCGCUAAGAUUGUUUGAUGAAAAGUCCACUUCUAAGAUAUCUUUAAGGCUCCAAAAAGUUAAAGGUAUUUGCGAAUACAAUUUGUUGGAGAACAAGUAUAGAUGUCUCAGAGAAGUCAAAUCACACAAACAUGUCGGUAAAGGUCCAUCAAGCUCAUUAGCACCCAAUGAUAAUUCGUACAAUCCCUCCAAACCACAAAGAUCGUGUGGGAUAGAGCCUUGUAACUUAUUCCCAGAAAGAUUCAAAAGUUGGAGAUUUUUUAGCCUUCCUAUUGUUGUUGGAAUAGGUCCAGUCAAUUUAUUAGAAGAAAGGUCUAACAAUAUAGCGUUGCUUAAGCUACCAAUUUCCAUGGGAAUGCUGCCUCUAAUUUUGCAAUCAACGACCAAUAAUUUUUGAAGUGAUGUGGAAAGAUUUGAGAUAGAAGUUGGAAGAAUUCCAUUCAAUGGGUUGAAUGAUAGGUCCAAAAUUCUUAGAUACCUGCAAUUUGCCAAGGAAUAGAGAAAGCUCCACCCAUGAGUUGAAAUUUUGGUGGUCAAAUCAUUCGACGGAAGGUUCAAAAUCUCAAGGAACCUCAAAUUCCCAAGUGUAUUUGGAAUAAGGCCAUAGAAUGAGUUUCUAUCUAAAUCUAGGACUCUGAGCUUAGAAACAUUGGAGAUAGAGUCAGGAAUAUUUCCACUGAGAUUAUUCUCCGAUAAGUAAAGCUGCUCAAGAUUUGAAGCAGAGCUCAUGUAUGGUAAUUUACCUAAAAUGAGAAAAAAUAAGUUUUCAACUUUCCAUACAAGAAAUAAAUUAAUUGUUUUGCUUUGUUGUGUUUUUCAUGAAUCUAUGAUGCAAGCUGAAGUGAAUGCAAUGCUUACAUAUACGAACAUGAGUGAGGAGAAACAUGAAAAAAUUAUAAAUAUGAAACAACUUCAAGUUUUUCUUGUUUGAUGAUCUGGAAUGUAUAUAUAGUUUAUAAAUAUUUUUCAUAUUUAUAAUGAUUAGAAGGCUCCAUGCUUACGUAUAAUAAAGUAAAAAAGAGGAAAAAGGAAAAGAAAAAGAAAAAUGAAGAUAGAAGAAAGGUAGGGAGAAAAGAAAAUAUUAUUAAGGUUUCUAGUAUAUGCUUAAAAUGUUUUCCAUUUAUGUGAGAAUUUUAUUUCUUUAACUUAUCUCAAUUGCUUUAAUGAUAAAAAGAUUAAAGAAAUUUUGGAUGAUGAAAUUGUUCAUUAAAGAAAAAGAAACAAGACAAAAAUGAAGAAAAUAAAAAAUAAAAAUAUAUUUACAUUAAUUUCUUUGAGAAAGUGUAAAUAUUUGGGAAAUAAAUUAAAAUUUUUAUCUAUGCCAUUUCAGGAAAAAAGACUCAAGAGAAAUGAUAAAAUUUCUUUCAUUUUAGACUAUAUGCAUAAUAAAAGAGAUAAAUACAAAGAUUCUGUUCAAAGAUUGUUAAAAGUACAUGUACUCUUUUUAGUUUGAAAAUCACUUUUUUUCUUCCCUAAGGUCAGAUAGAACCUUACGAAUGCUCUAACAGAGGAGGUUCAUUUGAGAUAUGUUGGAGUAAUACUGUAUACAUUUUCCUACUACAAUAAAAAAUUUAGUAAUAUGAUGACAAAAAAUGUGAAACUAAUGAAAAAGAUUUUAAAAUGAUGCUUUCGAUUACACAAUUAUUACAGGGUGAAAAGCCUUGCCUUAGUCCGAUUUAGAGGGUGAAGUAAAGGUAAGUCAAAAAGCUCUUCUUGGAUACUAUGAAGGCCACAUAAGAGCAUUACCUUGGGAGAAAAAAUUUGGUUACACUGUUUGUUGAUGGAAUUUUUCUACGAUGUAGUCUCUUUAAUCUCAAGCAAUGUUUUGUCAGAUGUGGGAGGGUGGGUGAUUUUUAUGUCCUAAAAAAUCAAAAGAGAGCCAAAAAUGUCUUAGAUGAUUUUGUCCAUUAUCUUGAUCUACGGGAUGCAUUGAGGGCUGUCAAAUUUCUAAAUGGUUAGCUCCUGAGUUACUCCACUCUAUAUGUUCAAAUGGCAAGGAAUGAUCAAAGGUCUCCUGCUAGUUCUAACCCCACCACUCACCACAUGGAAAAAGGUGUAAGCUGCAUAGAAGACUUUAGAGAUGAACGAUCUUAUGCAGAGGUGGUUCAUAUGUCUGUCAAAUGCACUCAGUUAAAGGAUAACAUUGUAUCAGAUGGUCAAAAAGAAGAGGUUUUAAAAUGGCUUAACAUCCUUGAAUACAUUCCUGAAAAUUUAGAUUUGGUUGGAUUACAACGGAAUGCUGUUGGGAUAGUUAGAUAUUCUGAUACUGCAAAUGCCAUUGAUCAAAUCUUGUCAGAGAACUUCGAUGAUCGUUCUGUCACUAUAAUGGGUGAGAAUAUGGUUCUUUUGACUUUUGAAAGCAAAGAAAGUAGGGAAAGACUUAGAUGAAAUUCUUUAAGUAAAAUUUAUGAAGUUUUUAACCAAAAAUGAUUAAAUAAAAAUUAAAAUAAAAAAUCAAAACUGAUCGACUAAAAUAUCUUGUUACAUAGAUCAAGUAUGCAAAAUUUGAAAAAAUUUAAAAAAAUUUAUAUUUUUUUAUAUAGACAUUUUUAGUAAAAAUUUUAUAAAAAUUUUUACCGUUAAAUAAAUAUUGAUCAAAUUUAAAUAUAAAAUAAUAUUUUUAAUAAUUUUUUUUUUACAUAUUAUUGAUCUUCACAUUAAAUUCUAUCAAUCUAUCUGUUUUUAUUUUUUUAUUAAAGUUUUUAUUAAAUCAUUUUUAAGAAAAAAUUUUACAAACUUCACCUAGAAAACUUUAUGUAAGUUUUGUCCAAGAAAGUAUGUUAUUAUCUCUGGAACUUGGUUAGUAGUUUCUAUUGAGCUUAUGAGCAAUAGUGAUCUAGACGCUGAGAAACUUUUCAAUGUUGAAGAAAAAUUUCACCUUCUUACUACUAUUCGAGCAGGUAAAAGAAGGAAAAAAGUUAAGGCAAAAUAUUGGACAAGAUCCAAUCGCAAGUCUCGCCAGAUAAAGACAACUCUAGUUUCCAAUGUUCAAGAGCACUUAUGAGAUGAAGAUAUUCGUUGUCGAAAUAGAGCUUUUCUAGAAGAAUAUGAUGGUGGUUAUGAGGUUAAUGUUGGGAGUUUUAGCGUUUUGCUAUUUGUAUGCUUUUGGGAAAUGGAAGUACCCCUAUGUAAAAAGAAUCAUCGACCAUGAAAGUUGUUGUCUAUAUUUUUUGAAAUUGUGAUGCUUUGGAGAUCAAUUGGGGCAUCCAGUUUGAUAAAAAUUUUUUAAAAAGCUGAAUGAUAUGGUAGACGUCAUGGCAAAGGUGGGUGGUGAUUUUGUCAUGGCAAGGGAUAGUGGUGUUUGCUUUCAUUAUUUGUUUACCGACCAUGGUAGUGUUUGCCAAUAAAACUACCCCACGUGGAUACACACUAGUAAUAAAUAUAAAAUUAAUGAAAUACAUUGAUAUAUUUUCUAUUACACAAAAAAUAGAUUUUAAGUAUUUGCAGAUAAAUAAAUAUAAAAAUAUAAAAUAUUAUAUUACUACUUUAAGUUAGAUGUAACAAAAAAUUAAAUCGGCAUUAAAUUAAUAUGGGAGUAACAAAGUACGUUAAUAUUACUUUUUAUUACAUUAUAAAACAAAUCAAAUAAUUUUAUCAUAUAUAAUUGCUAUGGGAUAAUAAAUAAUAGCCAUAUUACAUCACAAGUUUUGGGUACCUAUCCUUUCUCCACAUUGGCCAACUUUGUAGACUUAGCAAGUGGUGCGCAUCUUAGUUAGGGGCAUGACUCCAUCAUAAAAUGUUUUUUUUUUUAAAUUAUAAAUAUUUUCCAAAAGAUGGAAUUUUCCAUUUUCGGGUUUGAUUUUCAAAUUCUUUUGAGUCUGUUUUGCUUUUCCCUAAUUUAAUUGGAAACAGUUUUUGAUUUUAAUAAGAUAAAAAAAGGUUUGAAAAACAUUUCUCAAGCCUUUCAAUGACACUUCAUUUGUUUAACAGUUUUUAUAAUUUUAUGAUUAUUUGUUUUAUAAUCCUAAACUAAACCUUUUUUUAAACUAAAGUAAAUAAUUUUAAAUAUAAAAGUAAUGAAAUGUUUAUAAUGAAAUUACCUGAUAGACUAUUGUUGGCAAGACUAAUUGCUUUCAAAGAAGAAAUGUUGAAGAUGGAAUGUGGAAUCAAUCCACUUAACUGCAUAGAUGAUGCAACUAAUUUCUCCAAUGAAAUAAGAUUCCCAAUCUCCCAUGGAAUUUCACCUGCAAAGGAAAAACAACUUUAUUAUAAAACUAUCCACUUUCUAAACAUUUCAAUAAUAUUGAGGUUAUUUAAAAUGCAAUAAAAGUCAAUUACACAGGAAACCCCUAAUUUCUUCAAUGUUUAAAAUAUGAAGGAAUAAUUAAUUUCAUCAAUACUAAAAGUUUGAGUCAAAAUGAGAAAGCAUAAAAGAAAACCAAAUGUGACUAUUUUCAUGUUGAUCAUUCUAUUAAUUUUUAUUUUUUAGUUAUUUUUUAAUUUUUGUUAUAUAUACAAAAAUCAUGAAUAUGAUGUAAUUUACUCUAUUUUAGGUUUUUUUUUCUAUUACUUUUUGCAAAAACAAAAACAAAUAGGAAUAAAAAAAAAUAUUAUGAUCAAACAGAGCCUAAAUAAUAAAAUGUCCAAGAGAUAUCUUUUGGUUUAUAAAAUUACUUAUCCCAUUUGAAUUAUUUCCGUUGAAUCAAAUUGGAACCUAAGUUCCCACAGCUAUCACGACGAAAUCCCACAGCAACUAGACAAUCAAGCCUGAUCUUAGGCUUUACUUGAUCAUUAAAGCAAAAAGUUGAGUUCAGUACAAAAGUAAGUAAUAUUCUUGAAUAAUUAAUUAAAAAUAUUUUAAUUUCUGUUAAUAGUUUAAUAUAUGAUUUUACUUUUAUAUAGAAUAAUAAUAGAUUACAUUUUGAAUGCUUAUUUUAUUUUACCUUUUUCUCAAUUUUAAUUUAAUUAGGUGGAUACCACACAUUGUCUCGGAUUAAAAUUUUUUUAUUUUUUCAUCCCUGUUCAUUGAUUUUUUAAAAUUUUUUUACCUAAUUUUAAACAAAGCACAAAAAAAAAAGGUAAAAGAUAAAAAAAUUCAAAUGAGAGUGGCACAUUGACAUAUAAAUUAGCUUCUUAUUCUCACAAUAUAUUUUAUUAAAAAAAAUUUUAUUUUAUAUUUUUACGUGGAAACCCACUUAAUAUCAAGCUUUGAAUAAAAAAACCAGUGAAUAUAUAUAAUUAAAUAGGUAAUAAAAUAUUUAUUUAUAUAUGUGUGUAUAUAUAUAUAUAUAUAUAUAUAUAUAUCAUAGGAUGGCUUGAUGCAAAGUAUCAUAAAUUUGAUUUUGACAUGUCCCUUGUUUCUAUAAAAAAAUUCGACUUAAAUUUAUUCGCUAUUGAUUUUUUCCAAAACCUCUCAUAUUAAAUCGAGAUGGAUACAAAUAUAGUGGAUAUUGAUUGUUUUGUAAUUCUUAUCAAUAAAAAAUCAAACAUGUGAUGUACCCUUGAUAUUAGGUAGUUCCUACAUAAAAAUUAAAUAUGUAAAAAAUUAUAAGUUAAAAUUUUGGAAAAAAAUAAAAUGGUAAAAAUGACAAAGAGGAAAAACAAAUCUUGAUACAAAGUGGGUCUCACCUUUAAAAUUUUAAAUUUUUUAAAAAUAGUUAUUAAAUAUUUAAAAAUAAGGAAAUAAAGAAAAACAAAAAAAUUAAAAAGAAAAAGAAAAUUUUAAUCUUUCAAAAAAUAAUUAUUAAAAUUUAAAAAAAAAAGAAGGAAAAAAAAAAAAGAGGAGUACCACAUGACACCUCUAGGAUGGUCAAGUUUUGGUCAAAAUAGCCUAAAUUAAUUAUAUAAACAGAUAUAUAUGUUUUAGUUUUUCCUAAUUUCUUUUGUGUGCAUUGUUGGAGUCUUGGUCAGCGUAAAGCUAUAUUCAGUCGCGUAACUUAGGGAGUGUUAGUUUGAACAAUAUUUCACUAUAUAAUUAGUUCGACAAAAUUAGUGACAAAUUAAAUAUUUUGCAUUUAAAAUUUAAGAACGAACUGUUUUGAUAAAAGAAAAUUAUCAAAGGCAAAAAAUAAAAAUAAAAAUCUUACCUUCCAAAUUAUUUUCCUCCAAGAGUAGCACUUUGAGCCUCGUUAAAUUUCCAAUACUCCUUGGAAUGCUGCCACUGAAUCUAUUGAAGGCUAAAGUUAAAUUUUGAAGACACCUGCAUUCAUCUAUACUUGAUGGAAUUUGACCAGAAAACUCAUUUAAGGCCAAGUAAAGUGCCUCAAGAUUGGGAAGAUGACGACAUAUAUCUUCAGGUAAACUGCCAGAUAGACUGUUAGAUCCAAGAGAAAUCACGUGUAGGGAGGAAAUGUUAGACUGAAGGAAAGAAACCAGAAAGUUGGUUAAAUGCCAGACGAAGUAUCUUUAGAUUUAGAAGAUUACUUAUCUCGGAUGGAAUGUGUCCUUGAACGAGAUUCUGCCUCAAGUCCAAGAUUUCCAAGUUGGACAUUUUAGCUAGUGAUUGAGGGAUUGUACCUGUCAAAUUGUUGCACCGGAGGCUCAAAUAUAAAACUUUAUUUAAUCUCCCAAAACAUGAGGGAAUUUCCUCACUAAAAAAAUUGAAGCUUAAUUCUAUGAGUUUCAGACGAUUUAAUUGCCCCAACUCUGUCGGUAAAUGCCCAUAAAAUUGUUGUGACUCAAAUCAAGAGAUACUAAGAACGACAGAUUUCCCAAUUGUGGAGGAACAGUUCCUUAUAAGAUUCAUGUUGGGAAGAUUCAAAGCGUUGACUCUCCUAUGCUUAGAAGCACAAGAGACACCAAUCCAGUUGCAAACAGAGGUAGCGUUGGUCCAAUUGUUUGCUAAGAUAUUGUGAGGAUCAACGAUUCGGUGUUUAAAUUCGAGAAGAGCAUAUUGAUGCUGUCGUAAGGUUCCUCACACUCAUGGCGUAACUAAUCAUCAAACAAUGAAUGAACAUUAAAGCUGACGACAGAAAAUGGAAUUUUCUCAUGUCCAUGGCUGUGGGAAUUGAUGAAAUGCAGGAUGGUUUGAGGAAGUCUGCUCAAAGUAAUAGUUAAAUAUAGAAUCAACUAGACUUAGACAGGAAAGUCGUUCGAUGGUCUUCGUCUUCACAAUAAAUAAACGAGUGAAACUUUUCACUUUGAAAUUAAUUUAUAUUUUAGCAUCUUUUUUUUUUUCUUUUUUCUUUUUUUUUUUCUAUCUCUUUCUUUCUUUUUAUUCCUUGUCUUGUACGCUUUAUUAGGCCCCAUGACUCCACGUGUUACGCGAGAUUGUUGCAAAAUAGUAAUGCUGCAUCUCUCUUCUUGGAGAAAAUAUAGUAAUCUAUGUUAUUUUUAAAGCAGGUGGAAUCAAUUUAAUUAAUGAAAUUACUUAAAUUUUAAGAUGAUGAUGAUGAUGAUAAUAAUAAUAAUAAUAUGUAGGCACAAAUACUUAUGUUUUGAAUUUGUUUUUGUAAAAAAAAAAAAAAAAAAAAACUACACAUCCAAUACAUCGAGUAACAUCUUUUAUUAGCUAACUUCCUUUUUUUAUCAAAAUAUUUUCUUCUUCACUCACAUAUCAAGUGUGUCAUAAUCUAAAAAAAUAAAAUUAAUUUAAUUAUUAAAUUAUUUUUAUAAAAUAAAAUAGAGAUAAAUUAAAUUAUAAAAAUUUAAAAUUAACACAUAAAAUAAAUAAAAACAUAAAGCAUAAUUUUAUAUUUAUAAUAAGAAAAAAAACCAUAAUAAGAGCUCAAACAUAAUAAAAAUUUUAUUCAACAUCUUAAAAUAAGUCCAAAAAUACAACUCCCAAUAUCUUUCAUAAAAUGUCAAAAGUACCCAUAAAAAUUAAAUUAAAUCUUUCUAUGACCCUUAUGAACAUGUGUCAUCACCACAUCUAUCUGUAACUAAUUUUUAAUUUAUAAUGAAAAGCGUUAAAUCGAUUAUAAUUUUAUAAAAAAAAAUUUCUAAGGUAAUAAUGAUGAUAAUGUUGUUAGGAUACAAUACAAUCUAAAUUUUUUUUGCUAAAUAAAUUUAAAUUUAUUUUUAAACUAAAAUUGUGAAUAUAUAUAAAUAUAUAUAUAUAUAUAUAUAGAUAUACACACACACUAAUGGUAACGUGAUUGAGUUGCAGUCAUGAGUUAAUCAAUUGGUAAAUUUACAUUAAAUCCAAAGUUAAAAUAGAAUAACAAUAUAAAUUUAAGAUUUUAAAAAAACUUUUUUAAUCUUAUUAAGAAAAAGCUACCCACCCAUAAAGUAACAUCCUAUAAAAAAAUUAAUUUUUAAUGAAUUUUCUUCGCCCCACAUGAGUAUAUUGAAAUAUGGUACUUCUAUUAAAUUUUUUAUUUAUAUGGUCUAAAAUAGAUUUAGUAAUUCAUAUAUUUGUAUUAUGUCAAUAUACGUAUAAAAUAUGAAAGUUUUCAUAUCAAAUUUAUUUUGAUAAAUCAAAUAUAAAAUACUUUUUUUGUUGUUGUCAAAUCCACAUAAAAUUUUUGUCAAAACUUUAAAUAAUAUCACUUUCACAUAUUUUUUCAUAUAAUUUUAAUCUUACGUGAUCGUGUUAAACUUAAUAUUAUCAUAUAUAUAUAUAUAUAUAUAUAUAUAUAUUGCAAAUGAUUCCACCUAAUGCAAGCAAUUCUCUCUCCAAUUGACCUGACUAAGAAAUUUUGAAGUCAGAAAAGCAAUUGACUUUGUUGCAAGAGCAAGAAUUAAUCUAAACCUUACCAAAUCAAAGCAACCACUAUUAUUUUUUUCGGAAAUCAAAGCAACCACUAUUAUUAUUACGACAUUAACAUGUGAAUUUGUAUGGUUUCAAAAAACAGUAAGGUCUUCUUCUAACUGCGUUUCGAUCUUUUAAUAUUAUAUGUUGAAUUUGAUUACUUUAUUAUCAUACUUGGGUUGUUAAAUAAUUGAGCCUGGGUGUAAAACCUCCUAAUUUGUAACCACUACUUUUUUAAGGUAAGGAAAAUUAAAAGUAUUUAUUACCUAAAUAGGCCAUUUUUAAAUUAUUUUUUCUUUUCAAAGAGUUUUUUUUUUUUAACGAAAUGUCAAUUUUUAUUACUAAACAGGUAGUCUAGUACUUUUAUAAAUCUUUGGAUGAAUUUGAUAUCACCAGGUAAUUGAUACCAACGGUCUUGGUCUUCACAAUAAAUAAAAUGAGUCAAGCUUUUGAUUUUGGGCCCUCUUAUUUGCUUUUGAUCUCCUUUUACAAAGCAUAUCUAAAACCAAUAUAUCUUUUUCUCUUUUUCUUUGUAUUUAUUGGACUUGCAUACUUUGUGAGACCCAACUAGUCAUUUCUCCUUGACUCCGCGUUUUACGCCAUGGGCUUGUAUGAAAUUUCAGGCAGUCAUUCUUUUAUAUAAAUAUAAAUAUAAAUUAUAUAUAUUUUUCUAAGAGAUAUAAAUUAUAUUAGGAUAAUUGAUCAUUGAUAAUAUUCAAUAUUGAAAAAAAUAAUUUUAAAAUUUUAAAAUACAAUAUCGUACUCAAAUUUCAAAUAAAAGUGAUCUAAUUAUUUUUUAAAAUUUAUUUUCAAAUCAUGAAUUUAUAGAAUAUGAAAAUAUUAAAUUAAUAUGAUAAUAGUAUAUAAUUUUUCCUUUACUUAACAUUCUAGUUAAUUUCAGUGGUUAGUAGAAUAUAAAAAGUUUUCAAAUGAAUUUUAUUUAUAAUCUUUUCUUUCAAAAAUUCUUUUUUAGUAUUAAUUAAUGGAAUAUGAAAAGAAUGAAGUUAAUAUAAUAAUAUUUUAAAACCAAGUUAUAAAUUAAAAUUGCUUUAAAAUUUGCUAAUAUAUGGGACCAAAUAUUUAAUGAAAUUCUUGUGCAUUUUCAUUUUACCCUUCAAACAAUUCAUAAAAUUAUAUAAAAAAAACUAUAUAUUUUUCACAUUUAUCUUUUUAAUUUAGUUCAAAAUUUCUCUUGAUUUCAUUUAUUUCAAAUUUAUCUUCAUUUCAUUUAUCUCAAAUCGAUAACUUUAAAAGUCAAUGAAAUUUGCUGCCUUGAUAUCAUGUAACUGUUGACAUAAAUUUCAAUAAAAAAAAAUUAAAAAGAUCUUUUUGUUUUUUGCCAUAUGAUCAUUGUUUAGGCUCGCUUUUUUUACCACAAUUUUUUAUUUAAUAUGUACACAAAUUCAAAUAAGGAUAAAGAGAUUUGAGGACACAUGGAGUGUCAGUUUCAAUUCAACCCUAAGAUAAGUUUAUGAUAGUACCAUAUAUCAAAGCCGUGAUUGGUGCAAUCCAAAACUGAGCAAGCAAUUCUUUUUCCAUGAGAGAGACAAAAGAAGUAUCAAUAAGUUUAUUUUUAUUUUUCACAUCCAUAAAAGAAAAUAAAGGAAUCUAGUCAGAAAAGCUAAGGACAUGCUCUAAGUGCUAGGCCUUGAAUCAAUCCAAGUCAUCUUGCUUUCGACAAACAUCAAAGCAGGCUAAGAAAUUUUAAGUCAGAAAAGCUAAUGAUCGUUUUCUAAAUGCAAGGGUCAAUCAAGUUGUCUUGGUUUCACAAAAUUUUAAGUCAGGAAAGCUAAUGAUUGUUUUCUAAACGCAAGGAUCAAUCAAUUGUCUUGGUUUCACACACAUCAAGGAAAACUAAGAAAUUUUACGUCAGGAAAGCUAAUGAUCGUUUUCUAAACGCAAGGAUCAAUCAAGUUGUCUUGGUUUCACACACAUCAAGGCAGACUAAGAAAUUUUAAGUCAGGAAAGCUAAUGAUCGUUUUAUAAACGCAAGGAUCAAUCAAUUUGUCUUGGUUUCACACACAUCAAGGUAGACUAAGAAAUUUUAAGUGAAGAAUUAAAACUAUCAAAUGCAAGGAUCAAUCAAGUGGUCUUGGUUUCACACACGUCAAAACAAACAGAGAAAUUUCAAGUCAGGAAAGCUAAAGAUCAUUUUCUAAACGCGAGGAUCAAUGAAGUGGUAUUGAUUUUACACACGUCAAAGCAGACCAAGAAAUUUUAGGUGAAGAAUUAAAGCUACCAGUUGCCAGGAUCAAUCAGUCUUCUUGCUUUUCUCUUGCAUCAAAGCAAAUCAUUAUGUUAUUACCUCGGAUAGGUAAUUAAAUAAUUGAAAUUGGGUUUAAAAGCUUUUAAUUUGUAAUUUUUUUUUCUUAAGAUAAGGUAAAUUAAAAUUUUUAUUAUCAAAGAGAUAGUAGUUUUAAAUUUUUUUCUUUAAAAGAUGUAUUUUUUUUAUAUAAAAGAUGUCACAACUUAAAUAUUGAGAAACAAAAUGUAAGUAUUAGGAUUUAAAUUUCAGAUUUAUUAAAUGUAAUCUCUAUACUAGAUUUUUGGUUCUUGCUUUACAAUAUCACUUAUUUUUUAAAAAAGAUAUUUAGAAUUCGUUUGGUUUGAUUAAUUUUUUUUUUUUUUUGUAAAAAGUGUUAUAAUAGUAUUUGACAAACAUAAUGCAAAAAUGCUCUAAAACAUAAAAAGAAAAUUAUUUAAUAAUAUUUUUAUAGAUUUUUAUUAAAUACAAAUUAAAAGGCUUAACUUUAUAAGCCAAACCAAUAAAUAAAACAAAGAUAUUUUUUAUUAAUUAGAAAUUAAAAAAUAAAUUAGAUUAAUAGAAAAUUUGGAUCAAGUAAAAAAAUAUGUAUGUGAAAUAAUUCAUUUUUAUUAUUUUAUGAAUUAUUAACAAAUAAAUUGAGAAUGUGAAAAAAAAAACUAAGUAAUAUAUUUUUUAUUAUACAACAACAAUUUUGAAAAGGUUUUAACUUAUAAAAUCUUUUAAAAAGCCAAAUUAGCUUUGAUUAAUAAUUUUAAAAUUUUGAAAGUAAAACAUCUUAUUUAUAUUUUUGUUGUAAAAAACUCUCAAAUAAACUAGAACAAACACCUUUAGUAAUGCAUAUAUAUAUAUAUAUGUAUGUAUAUUUGUAGGCACCAAUUUUGUGAUAUUAUGAUUUUACUUAUAUUAUUAUUAUUAUUAUUAUUGGGUGGCCAAUCACACUCUAUAAAAAUAUUGGUGGCGACUCCGAAAUUUUCACCAAGUCUAACGAUCGAGUCUCCUCGGAUGAAAAAUCAUUAUGAUAAUAUUUUUUAUAUUUAUAUGUAUGUGUGUUUAAAAUAGUUUUUCAAAAUUGCAAGAGUUUCUUUUAAUAAAACAUUAGCGUUCGAGAUCCCACUUCGGAUGUGAUCAUAAUUAUUAGGAUUGAAUUGGAUCAUUAAUCAGAUCAGUUGAAUUGAUCAAUCGAUACCUGAAUUAGUUCGGUUUUAUUAAUAGACUAAAUUUGUGAUUAACUUGCAUUAAACCACAUUGAACUGAUGGUUGAAUGAAUAAAUCACUAAUCUGGCUAGUUUUUAUUGAACCAUUUUGGUUUUAAUUUUUUUAAUGAGUUUAAAAAUUAUGAUUAAUUUAGUUUUAAUAAUUAAUAUUAUGGAUUAUUGUAUUAUUCAAUUAAAAUAAUAUAUUUUAAAGUAAAAUAGAUAAUAAAAUAUGAAAAUUUAAAUAAUUAAAUGGUGUUAUCCAUCCUUACAUGUUAUGCACAUUAAAGAAUAACUUAAUAAAAUUUAACUCCUUUCUCAUUUAUAUUUUUAGGUGACACACUCAUAUCAAAUUAAAGGAUAAAAACUUGGCUAAAAUUAAAACUUUAAUUAUCAUUUUGGAGCUUGAUUUGUUUUAUAUCAAAUAUCAUCAAUUUAAAGGAAAAUUUUUUAUGUCAUUUUUUAAAAUUUAUAUUUUACAUAAGCUUUCUCUUUUUUAAAACUUUUUUUUUGUUUUUAAGUUUUUUAGAGUAUUUACUUUUUUAAAUAAUAUGGUUGAAUUAUUCAAUUAGUAUCUUUAGAGUUUGAGUUAUGAGUUUGAAUUUUAAAUUUAUUUUUGUAAUUUAAGUUUAUUAUAAUUUUUAAAUACAUAUACUUUUUAAAUACAUAUACUUUUUUUACACUUAUUAUAUUCUGUUAUAUAUUUUUAAUUUUUUAAGUUUGAAAUUAUCUACAAUAGAAUUUUAUUACUUAUCACGUAAUGGAUUAAAUUUUUAAAAUAUUUAUAUAUUUAUAUAUCUUUAUUAGUUUAACAAUUGACUUGAUUGACCUAACAGUUGAACCAAUGACCCAACACUUUGAACAGUUCAGUAUUUGGUUUAAUUCUGAUAAUUAUACAUGUGGUUGCUUUUUAUAUCAAUUUAAUUAAAAAAUUAUUUUUUGUAAAAAAAAUCAAUUUAAUUAAAAAUGAUAACAUUCUUUUUUAAAAAGAAAAUAAACGAAAAAAAGAUAAUAAUUUACCACAAAUUUGGGGUUGACCUAAAUCAAGAGAAGUCCAAGGAAAUUAGGCUUGUUAAGUGGACUUGGGACUUAGUCUACUUCAGGUAUUGGGUCUCUGGGAAGGAAAAAUGUGUUCUAAGUCUGAAUUCGAGCCUACACAUUGAUACUUUUUUUGCAGUACAAUAUCAAAACUCAAUUUUUUUUUCAAUUCAUUUUACCCUUUUAUUUCUACUUAAAAUUCACCCUUUUUCACCCAAACUACUUAAUUUUCAACAUCAACCACCAUCAUUGGUCAUUGUUCAUCAGCACUAAAAAUCACCCAAAGUUCCAACAAAAGAUUUUUCUCAUGCAAUGUGUCAAUAUAUGUGGCAAUUUUUAGAUGCUUUUGUGGUACUUGAAAAUCACUUCUUUUUUAUCUACUUUUCUUUUUGUUUUUCUUUCCACCAAAACAAUGUAGUUUUGAUACAAAAUAAAUAAAAUUAGUCUUAAAAGCCCUAAACACCAUCUUUUCUUUCUUUUCUCUUAUUGUCAUCACAUUACCUUUUCUCAUCGUCAGCCUUUUUUCAUAGCUAUCACUAUUGUUGAUCUUUGUCUUGUUACAUUUGUCUUGUUGACAGUAGCUCCCUUUUCUCUUUCAUUUGUUUUUUGUUUCUUUUUUCUUUUUUGUAUCAAUGAAAAUCUAAAAAUCCCAAUCUCUCUCACAUUGUCUUCCUUCAUGGGUGGCCUUAGAUCCACUGUUGAUGGCUCAGUUUCCUCUCAUUUCCCAUUCUUUUUUAUUCUUUUCAUCUUUUUUUUUCUUUUUCUUUUGUUUUUUUCCUUGUCCUUUUUCAUUUUCACCCUUUUUUCGUAACAAGUAUAUUUUGCCACCACCACCACCAUUAAGAUGGCUUGAUCAAUGAGUACAACAAGCAAGCCAUGAUUGUCAUCUUUUGAGAUCACCGUUGUAGUGACAAAAAUCCCUACCCAAAAGAAAAAUGAUCCUAAUUAUAGGAAUUUUAUAGCACCUUAUUUUAUGUUAAUUUUUAGGUUUUGAUGUUGUCAUGUCGAUUUUGAAGGCCACUAAAUGAAUUAAAAAAUAUAAGGAGUCACCACCAAUAUUUUUUGGUUAAAUGCGAUUAGUAACAUAGUAAAACUUAGCUUUUUAAUAAAAUCUUUAAAUUAAUUAAGAUUAUUUGAAAUGAUAUUUUUUGAAUUUACAUAAAAAAACAAAGCCUGGUUCAAGAGUCUAGUUCCGUGUUGGAAAGAAUUAAUAUCCCAUAACAUCCAUUUAAGAACGAUACAAUAAUCAUGUAUAUCCUUUAAUCUUGACAAAAGUUGUUAUAAUUUUGAUAUUUAAAAUUAAUUUCCUUGACUUCCUUUGUUUAUCAUAAUUUUGAUUUUUUUAUUUCAUUUUCUUCAUGAAAUUUUUCCUCUUUGUAAAAUUAUUAUUUUACUUUAUUUGAAAAAUAAAUUGAAACCUUGUUAUUGAAAGAUUCUCAAAAUGUUUCAAUACGUUGGUAACAUUAUGAUAAACUUGUUUCUCACCUAAGGUUUUCUUAGGAAUCAUUACCUAAAUUUCUUUAUAAUCUCAUUUUAGAGGCUCAUAUUUAUCUUUAAAUCAAUAUUUAUAAUUAAAUUUAAUACUCAUAACUUCAUUUGAAUAAUAUCUUUCUUUUUUAAUAGAAUAAAAAGUAAACAAGAAUUUUUUAUGAAGAUUAUUCUAAAGUUUCCAUUAUUUUGGCAGUAUUUUAUAAAAUUAUUCUCAUAUAGAUGGUUUUAAAGAAUCAUUACUUUGAUUUUCUUAAAAUCCCAUCGUAGGAAAUUCACAUUUAUUUUCAAGAUAUAUUUAUAUAUGUGUGUGUGUGUAUGUUUGUGUGUGUGAAAUACAAGUAAUAAGAUAUGAGAUACAUGUAAUUUUACUUGUCUUGGUAAUCUUGCUUAUUAAUUUUUAUUAUUUAUUACCCAUUAUCUUGUCUAAUUUGUUUUUUGUUCAUUAUUUAUUUAUUUUAAUUUAAUGAUUUUUCUUAAAAAGAAAAGGAAAGUCUUUAUUUAAAAAAUUUUGCCUAGACACUUUAAAACUUUGAUAACAUUUUAGAUAAAUUUAUUCACUUAGUUAAAAAUCACGACUCAAACUUUCAUAAAAAAAAAAUCCUCUUGUUGGAAAACAUUUCCUUUCUCAUUUUUAUUUAUCAUAAUUUUUUUAUGCUUUUAUAUUUAGUAUAAAUUGAAUUUUACCAUUUUUGAAAUUUAAAUUUUACUUUCAUUAACACUAUUUUUUUUCAAAAAAGAAAAAAAGAGAUUAAAUAUUUAUUUUAGGAAUCUAGAAUUUUUGCACAAGAAAAUAAUUAAUUUAACAAAAAUUAUACAAAAAAUAAUAAAAAUUACUAAAAAAUGAAAAAAAAAUUACCUAAAUAGGUUGGUCAAUGCUAGUCAAUGAUUUGGUGAUGAUUCAACUAGGUUCAAAAGUGGUUUGGUUGGCCGAUUUAGGUGCUAAUAGAGUUUCAACCGAUUUAGGUGCUUAGAGAAUUUUGGCCAGGAUUGGUCAGCAGCAGUCGAAAGUAGGUUGGGCACAUAGAAUCAAGAUCCAAGGUUGGCGUGCAAGUCUUUUGAAAAUUUUUUUAGGCCUAUAAAAAUCAAAAUUUUUUCAGUUAAUUUCAAACACUCUCCUAAAAAGAUCUCUCACAACUCUCUCAACUCUCCCAGACAAAAAAUCCAGAACCAACCAUGUUUCUAGAAAUUGAUCGAGUGCCGUUAUUGACUCAUGCUUGUUAGUGCCAUUCGAUCACCUUUUGACCUUAAAUUUUCACCGUAUACUUAUCCUAAUGCUUUUGUUUCAGAUCUGACCUUAGAUUUUCGAGAAUCAACCCUAAUAAUCUUAGAUCUACCCUUUGUAAUCAUCUAUUUUAUCCAAAAAAUUGAAUAUUUUGUCAAAAUAAAUCUAAACCAAUUCCAAUUUCAUUCAAAUCCAUUCAGGUAUCUUAAUUAAGUUUAUCAAAUCAUUUUAGUACUAAAACUUUUAAACUUUUAAACUUUUAAUUUUUUAUUUUAUUUUCAUUUAUUAUUAUUAUUAUUAUAUUAUUAUUAUGUCUUUUGUCUUUUUCUUCUAUUUGUUUCCUCUGUCUUUUUUUUAUUCUUGUUCACCCCAAAAACUCACCUACCUCUGCCUAAGUUGGCAGCAAAAAAUUAAGGGUCUAUAUCCCUAAAGAUCUAGGAUUUGAUAUCAUAUUAGUCUUUGAAAUCAAGUAAAAAAUUUUUUUCAUAAAGGAGAACACUAACAAAGGGAGCCAAUGACCAUUUUGCCUAAAACAACACACACUUAACCACAAAAAAAAAAAAAAAAAACUUAGUAAACAAAACCACCACAUCCUCAAAUGAGGCAUCAUUAGUAAAAGAAUAAAAAUUUAAUCAAGAGCAAAGGUUUUGAUCUAGGUGGUUUAGGAUUUUUUUUUUUUUUGUUUUUAAAAUAGUUGAGAAAGUGUUUAAGAGAUAAAAGGGAUAAGUUUGGGAUUUUUAAGGGUUUUUAAAAUAAAAUUUUUUGGCUUUGCUUGAUUUUGGAAAAUUUUAAAAUUUUCAAUGGUUGUAUGAGUUUUUCAAUGAUCGAAAUCUAGGUAUUUUGUCGAGAACUAGGAAUAUUUUGAAUUUAUUGAUGCUAGUUAAAGAUUCUAACCAUGGCAUAACGACGAUUGGGCAAAAUUUGAGUUGCCACAGCUAUCAAAAAGGAAAAAAGAAUUGUUAGAAAGAAAGGCUCUAGUUUGUAGAGAGAUAGAACAAUAGAGAAAAAUAAGAAAAAAAUCCAAAAAGGGGCCUUUUAUAAUGACCCAAAAAGUCGUUGUUUUGGAAUUAAGGGAUUCAGGCCAAUGUGCCAACCCACAGGCCAACCCGCAUUCUAACCCGACUCGUUUGAUGAGAUUUCCUUUUUUUCAUUUUAUUUUUGUUUUAUGAUUUUAUUUUAUUUUUUGUUUUUUUGUUAGGAUUUUUAUAAUUUAUUUUUAUAAAAUAUAUAUUUUAACUUAAGCAACAAAAUAAAUAAUUAUUAUGAAUAAUAAACUAAUAAAAAAUAAAAUCAAGAAUAAAUAGUAACUUUUAAUCUAAAAUAAAAUUGAUAAACAAAACAAUAAUAAUAUUAAAGAAAGUGAAAAGAUUCUAUUUUUUCUUAAUUUUAUAAGUAGUAAUAUUUUUUGAAUUUUCGCUAAAGUUUUGGGACAGUCAAGAAAUUAUUUUUACUGAAAACUAACUACCUCUACUAACUUCUAACUUUCAACAAAAGAAACUUCUAGAAAAUUCUUAGAACUUGAUCUAAACAAAAUGAAAUUUAAAAAAACAAAACGCAAUUGCAGAUCAAAUCAAGAUUAAAUUGCAACUAAAGUAACAAAAACACAAGAUCUAUGAAGAACAAGUAAAACUGAAACUUAGAUACAAAUCUGAAAAUUGAAUGUUCAACAAAGAAUGUAGAGCUAAGCUAAUGCAAAUUUAAUGAAUUUGAACUAGAAAUUGCAAAAACAAAAGGAAAUGAAAAUCAAAACAAGACUGAAUGAGAAUUGAAACAGCAAAAACAUGAAUGCCAACUAGAAAUUCAAAACCGAAAGCAAGAACUUAAAUCUAGAAACUAACAAUUCAUGGAUGAAAAUUAUAAACCAAACACCUAGCUAGGAGAAAAGUAACUUGAAGUGCUGUCACUUACUCAAGCGCUAGCUCACCUUUUGGAUUCAAAUGAAGCUUUACAGAUUUUUCUGAAAUUGUGUAGAACGAAUUUUAAUGCAAUUUUUUUCAAAUUUGUAGAACAAUGAAUAAAAAAUUAAUGCAAAAAAAUUUAGAUCAAAACAAGCAAUAUUUGAUCAAGAUUUAAUAGAAAAAUCACAGCUAAUUCAAGAACAUGAAUUGCUAAACAUAUUUGAGAAAUAAGUAAAAAUGCGUCAAAUUGAACUUGAAAACUUAAGGAUUGUUUGUUUUUGUUUCUAUUUUCUAUUUUUUGUUUUCAUUUUCAGUUUUUUUGAAAAUUGAAAACAAAACAUAUUUGGUAGGUUGUUUUUAUUUUCUAUUUUUGAAAAUUGAAAACAAAGCUUUGUUUUGAAAAUUAUUGAAAAUAGAAAAAUGAUGUUUUCAGUUUUUUGAAAACAAUGUGGCACUAUUAUCAUACAGGCACUGUUAACAAAAGUUACAAUUAAACCACUAUAGUGACACUACAAUUAUUUUAUUAAUAAAAUAAUAUUUUUAUUAUAUAAAUAUUAUAUUAAUAAAUAUUAUUAUAUGUAUUAUAUAAAUAAUAUUAUAUUAAUUAAUAAAUAAUAUGUUACAUUAAUAAUAUAUUAUUAAUAUAAUAUAUUAUUUAUUAAUAUAAUAUUAACUAAUAUAGUAUUUAUAAAUAAUAUAUAUUAAUAAAUAAUAUUAUAAUAUAUAAAAAUAAUUUAUUAAUAAAUAAAUAAAAUUAUAUUAAUAAAUAAUAUAUUAAUAAAUAUUAUUAUAUUAUUAAUAACAAAUGGAGCCUAAAAUCUUUAACCACUUUCUCUUCCAUGUUUUUGUUUUUAUAUUUCUAAAACAAAAACAUUUUAUAAAAACAUGAUUUCAAAUUCAAUAAAUUAAAAAUAAAACAAAAUAAAAUUUACAAAACAUAAAAUAUAAAACACACAACAAUAUCUAACGACCUCUUAAAAAUCUUAAACUUUUAUUGAAAGAAUCUUAAAGUGCAUUGAAAAUAAAAGGCAAGGAAAGUAUAUUUUACUGAAAAAUAAAUGCAAUUUUCCCCUAAACAACCCUUUAAAUGAACAAGCAGGAAACUAUUUGGAGAGAAAAGAAAGUAAAAUGAAAGAAAUGAAAAUUCUAGAAAAAAAUAGAAAAAUGCUAUGAAAGUCUCCCCAAAUGGCUUACCAUUCCCUCCUAUUUAUAAGCAAAUGUGAGGUGGUUCAACCAAUCAAAAUGCAAAAAAAAUUCCAGCUAAGUUGCCACAUCUUCUAGAUCCUUCCAACUCAUCUGUCUUGCUUUCGUAGCUUUCUUAUAUGCUUCUCUUUACUUCACUUUACUUCAAGCUUUCUUCAUUUGAUCUUGUGAGCUCUAAAAAGUCAAAAUUAUGUCUAAUGAGAAGCCUUCAAAUAACCAACCAAGCAACUCCAAUUAUCCUUCUUUGAAUGUCCAAAAUGGCACCACAAUCCUUUAUUCACCUAGCAAGUACAUCCAACAAGCUUGCUUGAAUUUUGCUUCCAAUAAUUUUGGCAUCAAUUGUAAUCAAUUUCUUCUUCAAUUUUCUGCCAAAUACAGACCAUUUAGUGGNNNNNNNNNNNNNNNNNNNNNNNNNNNNNNNNNNNNNNNNNNNNNNNNNNNNNNNNNNNNNNNNNNNNNNNNNNNNNNNNNNNNNNNNNNNNNNNNNNNNNNNNNNNNNNNNNNNNNNNNNNNNNNNNNNNNNNNNNNNNNNNNNNNNNNNNNNNNNNNNNNNNNNNNNNNNNNNNNNNNNNNNNNNNNNNNNNNNNNNNNNNNNNNNNNNNNNNNNNNNNNNNNNNNNNNNNNNNNNNNNNNNNNNNNNNNNNNNNNNNNNNNNNNNNNNNNNNNNNNNNNNNNNNNNNNNNNNNNNNNNNNNNNNNNNNNNNNNNNNNNNNNNNNNNNNNNNNNNNNNNNNNNNNNNNNNNNNNNNNNNNNNNNNNNNNNNNNNNNNNNNNNNNNNNNNNNNNNNNNNNNNNNNNNNNNNNNNNNNNNNNNNNNNNNNNNNNNNNNNNNNNNNNNNNNNNNNNNNNNNNNNNNNNNNNNNNNNNNNNNNNNNNNNNNNNNNNNNNNNNNNNNNNNNNNNNNNNNNNNNNNNNNNNNNNNNNNNNNNNNNNNNNNNNNNNNNNNNNNNNNNNNNNNNNNNNNNNNNNNNNNNNNNNNNNNNNNNNNNNNNNNNNNNNNNNNNNNNNNNNNNNNNNNNNNNNNNNNNNNNNNNNNNNNNNNNNNNNNNNNNNNNNNNNNNNNNNNNNNNNNNNNNNNNNNNNNNNNNNNNNNNNNNNNNNNNNNNNNNNNNNNNNNNNNNNNNNNNNNNNNNNNNNNNNNNNNNNNNNNNNNNNNNNNNNNNNNNNNNNNNNNNNNNNNNNNNNNNNNNNNNNNNNNNNNNNNNNNNNNNNNNNNNNNNNNNNNNNNNNNNNNNNNNNNNNNNNNNNNNNNNNNNNNNNNNNNNNNNNNNNNNNNNNNNNNNNNNNNNNNNNNNNNNNNNNNNNNNNNNNNNNNNNNNNNNNNNNNNNNNNNNNNNNNNNNNNNNNNNNNNNNNNNNNNNNNNNNNNNNNNNNNNNNNNNNNNNNNNNNNUUAUUUAUUUUUUUUUUGUCGAAAAUAUAUCUAAUUAUUCCACCAUUUAGGCCUAUUUAGAAAUUUUCUCUUUUUUUUUUAAUUUUUUUGUUGGAUUUCUAAAUUUUUCACCAUUCGAGUUAAUUUAGAAAUAUUUUCUUUUUUUUUUAAUUUUUAAAAUUUUUCACUAUUUGGGCGUAUUUAGAAAUUUUAUUUUUUUUAUUAUUUUUGUUGGAUUUCUAAAUUUUUCACCAUUUGGGUCAAUUUAAAAAUAUUUUUUUUGAAAUUUUUAAAAUUUUCACCAUUUUGGCAUAUUUAGAAAUUUUUUUUUGUUUUUGCAAAAAAAAAUAUUAUGACAAUUAUUUUUUAUUGAAAUUUAAUUUAAAUUCUUCUACCAUUUAGGACAAAUUUAAAGAAAUUUCUCACUUAAAGAUUUUUUAAGAAUUUACCAUUUGAAAUUUCUAAGAAUCUAAUUAUUGGAUAAUUACCACAUAUUUUCAACCAAAAUUUUAUUUUUUAAUUUUUUUAUUAAAAAUAAAUAUUAAUUAUUGUUAUUGAAAGUUUAUUUAGAUUAUUCCAUUAUUUGAGAUAAAUUUAAAUAAAAUUCCUCACUUAAAAAGUUUAUAAAAAUUUAUCAUUUGAAAUUUUUAUAAAUUCUAUCAUUAGAUAAUUAAUAUUUAUUCUCAAAAAAAUAUUUUAUUAUUAUUUUAUUUAAUAUCAAAUAAUUAAAACCAUAAAACAAAGUGAAUAAAUAAAUAAUUAUGCAUAAAAAAUGAAUAAACAAUCAAUUAAAGAAUAAAAAAAAAUAAGAACAAGUACCAAAUAAUUAAAGAAUUUAAUUUAAAAAAAACUAAAUAUAAGUAAGUAAAAGUACCAAAGUUGACGUAACCUCUAGGAUGAAAUUCCACCAAAACAAACCAAUGUGCUAGCCUAUCAGCUCACUUUUCUCUUUAUUUCCUUCUCUACCAGACCCCGCAACUCUGAUUCUUCUUAUCCAAACAGAACCAACUUGAACCACGAAAAAUUAACACUGUGAUUGUUUGGAAUUGGUUUCUAUCACAGAUGGUAAUUCGUGUUCAAUGGUUUAGGCAUUCUGAUCCAUAGUGGCACUAGGCUGGCUGUCAGUGAACGUUGGUUGGCAAUGGCCUGAUGGUGCGCCGUCCUCCCUAUUAUGCUACACUUCUUUAUAUUUUCUCUGCUGAUUGUGUUUCUGUCCCUGAUUUUUUUUGUGUGCUUGUGUGAUCUGUAUGGAUAUGUAUUUAUAAGUUAUGAAUAUGAGAACUCCAAUCUAGAAAAGAAUUCCAAUUUUCUUUGAAUUCUAAUUUUAAACUCAAUUUCAAUUUUACAAACCGGUUCCAACAAUUUCACAUAAACUCAACUAUUUAUUUUUUCAUUUUUUCAGCUUUUCUAUUUUUUUAUUUUUUAUUAGCAAAAAUCACAAGUAAUCCCUAGGACAGAUUGGGUUGUCUAUACUUCGGACUAACUUGAUUUCUGUAGCUGAUCAUUUGCCGUUAUGUCCAUCCAAAAGUAUGAUAAAUAGUGUGGUAUCAGGCGUAAGUCUUCCAAAAUGGUGCUUAUAGACUUAUUGGAUAUACACUAAGAUGUGAAACACCUUUGGUAUUAAUAUGGAUUUACCUUGUUGUUUUCAAGGAAAUAUUAGCAUGAUCAUAUAUUUUAGUUAAACUUGACCAUGUAUUAGACCAUAGUUCUAUCAAGUGAACAACAAAUGCAAGGUCUAUGUGUCUCUGUGUGUGUGUGUGUGUGUGUAUAUAACAUUGAUGUGAGGCAUAAGCAUGAGUUUUCCAUAAAGCACAUACGUGGAUAUUAUAUUUAGUAAGACUUUAACAGUGAAAAAUAGUACUACUAAAUAAGAUGUCAAAUCGAGAGAACCUGGGUGAAAAUUUUGGGGGGCUGUAUUUACGUGGCUAAAUAAGUUGAAUCCUAUGAAAUUGAACAACCAAAGCUGGUGGAACAUAGUUCAAUCUAGAAGCAAGGGGUUUUUUAUGAGUUAAUAACAAAAGAGAGGUUUUCUUGGGUUUGAGAUUGAUCUUGGUUAGCAAUUCCUUUCAUUUCUAUGGUUCAUUUCUGUUAAUUACUUAUAAACUUACAGUUGUCUGUUGAAAUUGUUGGGUGCAGUUACCUGGCAAAGAUACUGGCUCCAGAAGGUUCAAAGGAUGUGGCUGUGGGGAAACCUAUUGCAGUAACAGUAAGUCGCCAUUGUAUGCUUUUACGUUGACUUAUUUCAUAUCUUGUUGUAAAUUACUUGAUGCAAUUUACCUCUUCAUAUUUAGUCAAAGGAUUUUUUGAAGUCAGGUUAAUGGCAGUGACUUGAGGCACAUGGGGCACUAAUGCUUGUUAUUUUGCAAGGUUGAAGAUCCAGUUGAUAUUGAAGCUGUAAAGACCACUACAGUCAAAAAGCGAGAACCAACUCAUCAUGAAUCCAAAAGUAAAGUUAGAGAGCAGAAGUCUGGUACAAAGAUCAGUACAUCAGCAAAGUUGCUUAGAAUAUGGAUUAGAUGCAUCAUCACUAAAGGCAUGAGGUCCUCAUGGUACUUUGCUAAAAGGAGAUGGUUUGGCUGCAAUUAAGUCCGGAAAAGGAUCUUCCAAGAUAUCUUCAUCUGAGAAGAAAAAACCAUCAACUCAAAUCAUCCUAAGAAAUCUCCUUCAGCGAGGCCUGAGUCAAAAGCUCAUCCACAGCAAUCAGAUUCUUUCGAAGACUCGUCCAAUACUCAAAUUUGCAAGGUAUAUUUCAUUGUUCAGUUAUAAGGGAAUUAACAAGGCAAGAGACUUUGGCCUUGACCUUUUCUAACUAGGUUAUUAUUUAAAGAUAGGAAGAGCAUUAUGGACUGGUUUUAAUCUUUGUUCCUAAAAUAAAUGUGCCUUUAUAUUGCAUUGGCCGUCAGAUAAAACUUAAAAUCUCUAAAGUCCUGUGACUGCAGAUGGUUAUACCAAAUAUUGGAUAGUGAAAAAAUGACCUGUUCAUACAUUUUAAGUAUAGCUUGAAAUAAAAAAUUGAAGCAUGCAUCAAUAUAAGAAAGGUAAGAUUUAUGCGCUAAUGACCAAACUGAUGAUAAAGGCAGAUGGUGGUGUUGGAGAAACAUUCAAAGGACAUUGGGUACAAAGUUUGCAUGUAAUGGUUUGAUGAAUCAGUUGCACUGACAAGUGAUUUAUUUUAAGUAGAGUUCACCAAAAGGACACAGGCCUUUAUGGCUAUUGCAUUAUAGAAUCACAGAUUAUUGAUUGAAUGGGAUUAGUAAGGGGUUUGAUUGAGAGGGUUUUCUUUUAUUAUUUAUUUAUUUAAAACUUAUUUAUCAUGUGUGACAUGUUAGGGUUGGUUUUAAAUAUGGGCAGUAUAUCUUCAUAAACUUGAUAUGAAUACUUCUGAAUUAAUAACAUGUUAGGGUUGGUUUUAUGUAGAGGCACUGGAACUGUGAUAUAAGUAUUUGAACAUGCUGGUCUUCCUUUAUGUCCCCGUAUGCUAUUUGCAAUACAAAAUGUCUGAAGGCUUUUCCUUAAUAUUUGUAGUUAAUUUAUUCGUUCAGAUAUAAUUGGGUUCAUUGAAGAGAAUUAAAUUUCUAAGCCCAAGGAAAGUCCUAUUAUUGAUUCUUUGUUCUUUUCUAAGCAGUUUGAAGAGAAAUGUGUCUCUGUUACUGCUAUAAGUUCUUUACAACCUUUGCAUUUGUUAUACCGUCAAAUGUUGUUAUUAGUAAGAUGUAGUUUAAUUCAUCUAUUUGUCUGAUAUCUUUGGAUUUCUCUUUUCACAUGUUUCCAUACUAAAUUUUGUAUUGGAAUUUUAUUUUGACUGGUCUAAACCAGUAAAUAUGUUGUGUUAUAUGGUUUAGUGAGUGAAUGAAUGAAAAUUCAUUCUGUUAAACUCUGGUUCUCUCUUUUUACUGAAUUUGUGUUCAUUCUGCAGGUUAUUGCGAGGAGGCUAUUGGAAUCAAAACAGACUACGCCACAUUUGUAUUUAUCUUCUGGUAUGAACUUUAUAUAUUUAUAUACUGAUUUUAGCAUCAUUUAACUUUUGAUCUUAAAGGUAUUAUUGUGUUCUUCAGAUGUUAUACUGGAUCCUCUUCUUUCGUUUAGGAAGGAGCUUAAAGGUAUGGAAUAAAUUCCUGUAUCAUCAAUUUGAUCUUUCACACCUGUAGUUUUACUGACUGCUAAUUGUUCUAUUCUUUCUCCAUUUGCAGAGAAGCAUGAUAUUAAAGUUUCAGUUAAUGACAUCGUCAUAGAAGCAGUGGCAAUUGCUUUGAAAAAUGUACCUGAAGCUAAUGGUAAGACAUAAUUUCAACAAAACUGGUCCUUGUAGAUUUCUGAGUAAACGUGGUAUAGGAGCCAAGCCAACACAAUUGGCUAUUGAGCUUGACCAAUUGUAAAAUGUAGUAAAGAUUGCUAGAAAUGUGGGGUGAUAUUUAUCUCUAGGACUAGAUUCCACUCUGUUAUGCUGCUGUGAAACAUUGGGAAUGACAUAAAUUUUUUAAACUGAUGCAAGCUCAAAAAUGCUUUUAUUAGUAUUUUUGCAUCUCUAGAAAAACUACAUUGGGAAGAAAAUAUUUUGAGUUUUUGAUUCUUUUCUACCUUUAUUUAUUUCUUUUGUGUUGAUUCAUUGGCUGGAUUCUUAGUUGGGGGCGGGUGGGGCGGGGGGGUAACACUUUCCCAUUCCUUUACCAACCCUACUUGCCUUUUCAUAUGCUCAAACCAGAACUUCAACCUUCCUUAAUGAAGGAAAUGCCAUAAGAUGGUGUGGUCAUUUUAUUUCUUAUACCUCAGUAGUUCAACAAUUAAUUUGUAGUUGCUGAUCUAUAAAUGGUUUUCAGCUUAAUCUGAAAAGAGAGUUCUGGAGAAUGUUAGUGUUUGUAUAAAAUAUUUAUUCACUUUGAUAGAAUCUGAAGCUGAGUAUUUACAUUAUUACCAGGUGGGUCUAUGAGCCUCCUCUAACAUCCGAACAGGAAAAGACUUAUCUUGUUUUUUGUUGAUAAUAUAUGGUUGCAUCGAAGAAGUUUCAAACAGGAAGAGCACUUAGACUGCUAAUUUAUCAUACGUUUGUGUCGAGUGUACACACUGCGUAUAGGAAAUUUCCAGUAUCAGCUUAUCAGUAAUAAGUUCUAUUUUAUAAAGUGGAAAAUAAUUACAUUAUUCUGUUUUCUUCGAUUAAAUUUAGCUUUCAUACAAAAAUGUUGGCUCUUUUGGCUUAUUUCUAUUAAAAAAUUUGCUAUUUCAAUGACCGCAGCUUAUUGGGAUGUUGAGAAAAGGGGAAAUAAUUGUGUGAUUCUGUUGACAUAUCAAUUUCAGUUGCUACUGAGAAGGUAUGUUUCCAAUAAGAUGUAGUUCUCGGGCUCUAUAGAGCAACGGGUUUCAUAUUAUUUUAUUUGGAUUGCAGGGUUUAAUGAUUCCAAUUGUAAGAAAUGCAGAUCAGAAAUCCAUUUCAUCAAUCUCCUCAGAGGUACUUUCAUUUUUGACCUCUACCCUUUGUUGAUUUUAACAACUUUGUUUGGCUCCACUACUCUGUAGUGUAAGUGAUAUGACUGCGGUUUUAAGCCUAGCAGCCUCGCGUUGGACAUAACAUAAACUUGAGCUUUCUCAAUUUUGGUUACUUUACACCAGAUCAUUAGGUUUAUUGCCUAUGUACUCUGCCUUUUAAGCUUGUUUAAAUCUCAAUUCAGAAAGGUAAUGCUAAUUAUGAGGUUUUUAUAUUACCUUAUUUUGGGUUGAUUUUUAGGUUUUGAUUUGUGCCAAAUUGUUGAUAUAUUUACAGUGAGAAAAAAACAAAAAUAAAAUCUUGAAAACGUAAAUUCUCAAAAUGCCAAACCACAAACAAAGAAUUUUUUUUUUAUUAUAUCAAAAAGAUAAAAUCUUAGUACAAAUAAAAAAAAAAUGUCUGAUUCAAAAUCAAACUUUUGAUAUCCCUCAAACAUCUUUAAUCACUAGGUUAAAAGUUUGGGGACACAAACAAAGGCUUUGAAUAUUGAUAAAGUUGUUCUAAGUUUGAUAUUUUUUAUCAAAUUUUUUGAGUUUGAUAUUAGAUUUAAAUAAAUAUUAAAUUUCAAAGGUUUGGAUUAGUUCUGCAUUUGAUAUUUUUGAUUUAGGAUUUAGGCUUGUAAACUGAACGCAACCAUGAUAGUUUUUGCAACUUCAACUACAAUUUUGAGUUUGAAAUACCUACCAAAUAGUUUCUCCUUUAAGAGAAUGGGCCUUGAUCCAAGCAAUUCAAAUUGAGCCCGUUUUACACGAUAAAGACCAAAUAUAUUAGAUGAUACAAACUUUGUUCAAACUGAAAAGAUCUUUAAAUAUACUAUAGAUUUUAUGGAAUAUUUCCCCAUCAUUUUAGUUCAAUUUAAUGGUUAAUGAAAUAUGAAAAGUUUUCUAAAUAAAAUUAAUUCGUUUUUUUUUUCUUUCAAAAUUUUAUUUUCAAGGCAUUAGUUAAUAAAAUAUAAUUUUAUUUCAAAAGUUUAUUUUCAAAUAAUUAAUUAAAUAAAAUAUGAAAAAACUGGAAUUAAUAUAUAUAAUUUGUAUAACUUUUCUUUUCCUACCUAUUUUUAAUCAAACUCAAUAGUUACUAUGAUAUCAAAAGUUUUUUUUAAUAAAAUUUAUUUCUAAUUUUUUUUAAACGUUGUUUUCAAAUCAUUAAUUAAAAAAUACAAAAAAUUCACAUUAUUUUCAAAUCAUUAAUUUUAUGCUUUUUCUUCUCCCUAUCAUUUAUGUAAAAAAAAAUAGUGAUAUUUUAAUUAACAAUUUUUAUUUUAAACCAGGUGACGACAUUGACAUUUUUCCUUUCAAAGAUUUGUUUUCAAUUUAUUAAAUAAUUGUAUAGAAAAUUAAUAAUUGACAAAUGAAAACAGGAGGAAAUUUAUAGAAAAAUGAUUAGUAAUUGUUGUACACCAAAACAUUUUAGCAAAAUAUAUCUUCGGACUAUUUAACUUCAAUCAAGAGUUCAAGUAUAUCAAGAAAAAAAACUAAUUCUUCUAAAAUGAGAAAAAAAUUGACAACUUUCUGAAUACAAAAAUAUAAACAAUUAUAUCAUAUGUUCUUACUUGAGUUACUUGUAUUUUAGCUACUCACCAUUUAUUGAAUAAAAAAUUUUGACACCUUCAUAGAAUAAAGUAACAGGAAAACCAUUGGCAUCAAGUUAAAUAAACUUUGCAUCGUUUUUUUUCAAAAUAUGAUUCAAUAAAACUAUGGAUUCCAAAUAAAACAUAUCACUCUAAUGUUCCUCUAAAAGAAAAUAAAAAUAAAAAGUCAUUGCAAGAAAAAUUAUCGCAUUUCUCAAGAAGAAACACCACACCGCUUUUGGCCAUGAUUUCAUGAACUUUCUUAGACAUUCCACGCCAUUGGAAGGUGAACUUCCAAUUCACAAACACACCAUAAAUCUCUCACUCAAGCUUCAUGCAAUCACAAAAAGAGAAGAAACAGCACAAUCUAUUCCACGCUGAAUUCAUAAGUUACAUACUGCAAUAAAGUUACAAAACUUUCAUCAGUUCCCUUUUUUUAUUCUUUUUUUUUUUUUUGGACAAGAAGCUUGCGUUCAUAUUUUGAAAAUCAAUUUCUAACAAUAAUCAAGUGCUAGAAAAAAAGAUGAACUUCAAGAAGCUUGCACCUACCUCUAUUGUUAUUCUUUUUCAUCAUACUUAUUAAAUUGGUUUGUGAAUAAGAGAAAAAAAAUGCCCAAACUGAUAAUUGAUAAAUUAAUAACAUCAUACCAUAUAAAAAUAAGAGACAAUAAUUUAUAAACUUAGAUGAGUAGGUAUAAAUGAUGAUUGACUAACUCUAAACAUUUCAAAAGCUUAAAAUUAUAAAUCUAUAGAAACUGAAUCAAUAGAAAUUCAAUAAUGGCUUAUGUGAUUAAUAACAUCUAUUUUAUCAAAGCAAAUAAUUAAUAAAUUGAUAUUCACUUUUAGGUAAAGUCAUUUCAUACUUUUAUCUUUAAAUUUGUUUAAUUUCAAUAAAUAUAUAUGUUAUAUGGUAAAUUCUUAAAUGAAUAUUAUUUUAAUUAUGUAAAUAUGUGUUCAAUACUAACAAUAUUGUAAUUAAAAUCUAUGUUAAAUAGCAACUAAUAUAGUUAAUUUAUCAAAAUAAAUAAAACAUAUUUUGCAGAUUAAGCAAAAAAAAAAAAGCUAUAUAUUUCAGUGUUCAACAAACAAAAUAAAAUAGCUUGUUGUUAUUAUUAUCCUUGAAAUAAAAAAGAGUUGUAACAAAAAGGUAUUCCUAAUCGAUGAUUAUAUUAAUAAAUAAUGUAAGUAAAUAAAAAUUAAUUUAACUUACUGGCUCUCUUCAUUUUAAUUUAUGUUAUGGUUAAUUAUAUAAAAAUUAUAAUCUAUAUAUAUGUUACUUCUAAUCAUACAUAACAUAUAUAAAUUAAUUAUAUGUAUUGAGAAAUAAUAUGAAUUUAAUAAAAGAAAUAUAAAAGAAAACACAAAUAUACAAAAUGAGCCUAACUUCCUAUACAUGUAACCACACAUCCAGGUGAAAAGGUUAUUUAUUAAUCAAGAAAAUCCUUUUCAUAUGUUUACAACUACCAUGCUUCCUUACUUAGACAUAGAAGUUAUUGAAAUUCACCGGCUAUGCAAAUCUCAUAAUUAUUUAAACUCUUUUAAUGAUUUAAUGCAAUUAAAACUCUAGUUUCACUGUAAAAUUUAAAGUGUUAUUAAGAAAAAAUUACUUUAAUAAAGAGUUCAAAGUUAAUAAAUAAAUAUAUAGAUAAAAAUUCAAAAGUGGUGAAAGUACCUUGAUUAUUGAACCCAAAUACGUAUUAUGGUAGUAGUAACCUUAGCCUGCAAAAAAAAAAUAUAUAAAGCUUAACGGAAUACCUUCUUAAAAAAAUUAGAAAAAUAUAAACUAUGUACUUUUAUAUAAGCUUAAACUAUAUAUAAUUGCAUUUCUUACCAUGUUAAUUAAUCCUGCGUAAUGUUGUUUAGAUAUUCUCUUUUGAUAUUCUUCAGCAUGGAUACAACAUUCUUCAUAUCUAAUCUAUCUUCAGGUAAUUCAGUUGAACAAUCCAAAGCUAAUCUCAUAAUAGAUGAUAUACAAUUUGCUUUAAUAACAAAAUAUUCAUCCAUUUCUUGCACUAAACUAGAAUCUAUUACACCAAUUAUCUCAUUUGAUAAUGACCUUUUCACCCAAUGCUUUAUAUUCAUUUCUCCAACGAAAAUUUCAUCUGUGGGCUUCUUUCUUGUGAAAGUCUCUAUUAAUAGAAUACCAUAGCUAUAAACAUCACUUUUUGUCGAGAUAAUUCCCAUCGAUCCGUAUUCUGUAUUUUAAAUAUAAUUGAAUCAUUAAAACGAUCUCAUGCAAUAAAAUGAUAAAAUACUAAUAUCUACUCGUCUUGGAAUAGAGAAAAAAUUAAAAAAAAUGAAAAAAUCACCUGGUGCCAUAUAGCCAACAGUAGCUAGUGUCAUUGUUUGUUUGAUGGAAUCUCCUUCUCCCAAUAGCUUGGCAAUUCCAAAAUCUCCCACGUGUGCAACCAUGUCCUCAUCCAAUAAGACAUUACUUGGUUUUAGGUCACAAUGGAUUAUAGGAAUCGGAUGUCCCAAAUGGAGGUAUUCUAAUGCCGAUGCAACAUCUAUCAUUAUGUUGAUUCUUUGUAGGAUAUCCAAUACAUAAUUGUAAGAAUAUAACCAUUUCUCAAGGCUCCCAUUAGGCAUGAACUCAAGCACUAUGGCUUUGAAAUCAAUAGUUGAACAACAAGUAAUAACCUUGACAAGAUUGCGAUGAAGGAUAUUGCUCAUCACUUCACAUUCAAUGUCAAAACUCUUAAAUGCUUCAUCUAUUUGCAAAUUGAAAACUUUUAUUGCGACUUCUGUUCCAUCUGAAAGUAUUCCUUUGUAUACAGAGCCAAAACUUCCUGAACCAAGUAAGUUAUUCCCACUAAAUCCACCAGUCCCUUGCAAUAGUUGAUUAUACGAAAUUCUUCUCCUUUUCUUGAGAGGAAUUAAAUCGUUAACCAUUGCCAAAUUCAUAUUCCCCCGUUGCCCUUUUUUGUAGACAAUUAUGACAGCUACAACUAUUAUUAUUGAAGCAAAUGUUGGUAAAACAUACCUCAAAGCAUGAAGAGCGGUCUUCUUGAGUUUUGGAUGGAUUUUAUUUUUGCAAGGUGAGACUUGUAGUCUAGGUGAACCACAUAGUGCAUAAUUUUUCAUGAAUGAUUUGGCUGUGAAGUUCAAAAAGGGCCCUCCACUUGGUAUUUCUCCUUCCAAUCUAUUGAAAGACACAUUAAAAUAAUUGAGAUCAUAAAGUUUUUCCAAAGACUUGGGAAUGACUCCAGAGAGAUUGUUGUUAGAUAAAUCCAAGCUUUUCAAACUUAUCAAGUGACCCAAUGAUUUUGGAAUAGGGCCUUGUAAUCUAUUUCUAGAAAGAUUCAAAACCUGUAGAUCAUAGAGACUUCCAAUUGUGGACGGAAUAUCACUUGAUAAUAAAUUCCUUGACAAAUUCAAAGAGAUAAGUACCUUCAAAUUUCCAAUGUCAAGUGGAAGUGAGCCACUAAGAUUGUUUGAUGAAAAGUCCACUUCUAAGAUAUCUUUAAGGCUCCAAAAAGUUAAAGGUAUUUGCGAAUACAAUUUGUUGGAGAACAAGUAUAGAUGUCUCAGAGAAGUCAAAUCACACAAACAUGUCGGUAAAGGUCCAUCAAGCUCAUUAGCACCCAAUGAUAAUUCGUACAAUCCCUCCAAACCACAAAGAUCGUGUGGGAUAGAGCCUUGUAACUUAUUCCCAGAAAGAUUCAAAAGUUGGAGAUUUUUUAGCCUUCCUAUUGUUGUUGGAAUAGGUCCAGUCAAUUUAUUAGAAGAAAGGUCUAACAAUAUAGCGUUGCUUAAGCUACCAAUUUCCAUGGGAAUGCUGCCUCUAAUUUUGCAAUCAACGACCAAUAAUUUUUGAAGUGAUGUGGAAAGAUUUGAGAUAGAAGUUGGAAGAAUUCCAUUCAAUGGGUUGAAUGAUAGGUCCAAAAUUCUUAGAUACCUGCAAUUUGCCAAGGAAUAGAGAAAGCUCCACCCAUGAGUUGAAAUUUUGGUGGUCAAAUCAUUCGACGGAAGGUUCAAAAUCUCAAGGAACCUCAAAUUCCCAAGUGUAUUUGGAAUAAGGCCAUAGAAUGAGUUUCUAUCUAAAUCUAGGACUCUGAGCUUAGAAACAUUGGAGAUAGAGUCAGGAAUAUUUCCACUGAGAUUAUUCUCCGAUAAGUAAAGCUGCUCAAGAUUUGAAGCAGAGCUCAUGUAUGGUAAUUUACCUAAAAUGAGAAAAAAUAAGUUUUCAACUUUCCAUACAAGAAAUAAAUUAAUUGUUUUGCUUUGUUGUGUUUUUCAUGAAUCUAUGAUGCAAGCUGAAGUGAAUGCAAUGCUUACAUAUACGAACAUGAGUGAGGAGAAACAUGAAAAAAUUAUAAAUAUGAAACAACUUCAAGUUUUUCUUGUUUGAUGAUCUGGAAUGUAUAUAUAGUUUAUAAAUAUUUUUCAUAUUUAUAAUGAUUAGAAGGCUCCAUGCUUACGUAUAAUAAAGUAAAAAAGAGGAAAAAGGAAAAGAAAAAGAAAAAUGAAGAUAGAAGAAAGGUAGGGAGAAAAGAAAAUAUUAUUAAGGUUUCUAGUAUAUGCUUAAAAUGUUUUCCAUUUAUGUGAGAAUUUUAUUUCUUUAACUUAUCUCAAUUGCUUUAAUGAUAAAAAGAUUAAAGAAAUUUUGGAUGAUGAAAUUGUUCAUUAAAGAAAAAGAAACAAGACAAAAAUGAAGAAAAUAAAAAAUAAAAAUAUAUUUACAUUAAUUUCUUUGAGAAAGUGUAAUUAUUUGAAAAUAAAUUAAAAUUUUUAUCUAUGCCAUUUUAGGAAAAAAGACUCAAGAGAAAUGAUAAAAUUUCUUUCAUUUUAGACUAUAUGCAUAAUAAAAGAGAUAACUACAAAGAUUCUAUUCAAAGAUUGUUAAAAAGAUUACUCUUUUUAGUUUGAAAAUCACUUUCUUUCUUCCCUAAGGUUAGAUAGAACCUUACGAAUGCUCUACCAGAGGAGGUUCAUUUGAGAUAUGUUGGAGUAAUAGUGUAUACAUCUUCCUACUACAAUAAAAAAUUCAGUAAUAUGAUGACAAAAAAUGUGAAACUAAUGAAAAAGAUUUUAAAAUGAUGCUUUCGAUUACACAAUUAUUACAGGGUGAAAAGCCUUGCCUAAGUCCGAUUUAGAGGGUGAAGUAAAGGUAAAUCAAAAAGCUCUUCUUGGAUACUAUGAAGGCCACAUAAGAGCAUUACCUUGGGAGAAAAAAAUUUGUUACACUGUUUGUUGAUGGAAUUUUUCUACGAUGUAGUCUCUUUAAUCUCAAGCAAUGUUUUGUCAGAUGUGGGAGGGUGGGUGAUUUUUAUGUCCUAAAAAAUCAAAAGAGAGCCAAAAAUGUCUUAGAUGAUUUUGUCCAUUAUCUUGAUCUACGGGAUGCAUUGAGGGCUGUCAAAUUUCUAAAUGGUUAGCUCCUGAGUUACUCCACUCUAUAUGUUCAAAUGGCAAGGAAUGAUCAAAGGUCUCCUGCUAGUUCUAACCCCACCACUCACCACAUGGAAAAAGGUGUAAGCUGCAUAGAAGACUUUAGAGAUGAACGAUCUUAUGCAGAGGUGGUUCAUAUGUCUGUCAAAUGCACUCAGUUAAAGGAUAACAUUGUAUCAGAUGGUCAAAAAGAAGAGGUUUUAAAAUGGCUUAACAUCCUUGAAUACAUUCCUGAAAAUUUAGAUUUGGUUGGAUUACAACGGAAUGCUGUUGGGAUAGUUAGAUAUUCUGAUACUGCAAAUGCCAUUGAUCAAAUCUUGUCAGAGAACUUCGAUGAUCGUUCUGUCACUAUAAUGGGUGAGAAUAUGGUUCUUUUGACUUUUGAAAGCAAAGAAAGUAGGGAAAGACUUAGAUGAAAUUCUUUAAGUAAAAUUUAUGAAGUUUUUAACCAAAAAUGAUUAAAUAAAAAUUAAAAUAAAAAAUCAAAACUGAUCGACUAAAAUAUCUUGUUACAUAGAUCAAGUAUGCAAAAUUUGAAAAAAUUUAAAAAAAUUUUAUAUUUUUUUAUAUAGACAUUUUUUAGUAAAAAUUUUAUAAAAAUUUUUACCGUUAAAUAAAUAUUGAUCAAAUUUAAACUAUAAAUAAUAUUUUUAAUAAUUUUUUUUUUACAUAUUAUUGAUCUUCACAUUAAAUUCUAUCAAUCUAUCUGUUUUGAUUUUUUUAUUAAAGUUUUUAUUAAAUCAUUUUUAAGAAAAAAUUUUACAAACUUCACCUAGAAAACUUUAUGUAAGUUUUGUCCAAGAAAGUAUGUUAUUAUCUCUGGAACUUGGUUAGUAGUUUCUAUUGAGCUUAUAAGCAAUAGUGAUCUAGACGCUGAGAAACUUUUCAAUGUUGAAGAAAAAUUUCACCUUUUUACUGUUGGGGAACACUACAGCUCUGAUAUCAUUUGUUGGGCUAAAAGCCUCCAAUCCAAUCGCACCAGCGAAAGCGAAAUCAAACAAUAAAUCAAACACACAAGAGACAACAAUUUAACGUGGUUCGAUCCAACUGACCUACAUCCACGGAUGAGAAACAAGAUCCACUAGUUGUAGAGAAUUACAAACUUACAUCAAAUCAUCAACCUCACUUAACAAUCAAUACUCAUAAGACACUCUCAAUGUCCUCUAGUCCUAUGGAGUAUUCUCAAUCUAAACAAAUACAAACCCAAACCCUUGUGCACCCUUUCAACAUAACCAAACACAUACCCAUAUGCUCCCAUACAUCAUACCUAUGUGGACCCUCUCAGUCUCCUCUAGUCCACUCACAAACAAUCAUACACACCCAUAAGACGUAGAGCCCCAAUACUCCUAUGGGGUGUCUAUCCCACAAAAUCCUACAACUCUCUUACAUCUUUUUCUCAUACCUAACCCUAUAGAGACUUCACUUAUUUAUAACCAUACAAACUUGCCCAUUAAGAAUCCCUCUCCUCUUAGAAUUCUUCUCCUAUAAGUCAAACUUGCCUAUUAAGAAUUCCUUUCCCUUUUGGAAUUCUUCUCUUGCAAAUCAAACUUACCUAUUAAGAAUCCUCUUUCUCUUAGAAUUCUUCUUUUGCAAGUCUUCUUGUCUAUCAAGCAAUAUCUGACAAAUCUCUAACAAAUCCCAAACAAAUCUCUUAUGGGAUUUAAGUCAAUAUUCCCAACAUUUACUACUAUUCGAGCAGGUAAAAGAAGGAAAAAAAGUUAAGGCAAAAUAUUGGACAAGAUCCAAUCGCAAGUCUCGCCAGAUAAAGACAACUCUAGUUUCCAAUGUUCAAGAGCACUUAUGAGAUGAAGAUAUUCGUUGUCGAAAUAGAGCUUUUCUAGAAGGAUAUGAUAGUGGUUAUGAGGUUAAUGUUGGGAGUUUUAGCGUUUUGCUAUUUGUAUGCUUUUGGGAUAUGGAAGUGCCCCUAUGUAAAAAGAACCAUUGACCAUGAAAGUUGUUGUCUAUAUUUUUUGAAAUUGUGAUGCUUUGGAGAUCAAUUGGGGCAUCCAGUUUGAUAAAAAAAUUUUAGAAAGCUGAAUGAUAUGGUAGAUGUCAUGGCAAAGGUGGGUGGAGAUUUUGUCAUGGCAAGGGAUAGUGGUGUUUGCUUUCAUUAUUUGUUUACCGACCAUGGUAGUGUUUUUUUUUUUCUUCUUUUUUUGUUUGGAUGUCAUGAUUUCUUCUUUUUAGGUGGAAGUCUUUCGUUAGAAUUGUGCUAGAUUAUUAUUAUUUUUUUUGUUUCUGGUAUGGCUUUAACUAUGUUUCUUGGUUAGGUUCUUGUAUUUCACUGAUGAUGGUCUUUUGAUCUCUAAUAAAAAUAUGGCUUAGCAAAAAAAAAAAAAAUACACAACUAUUGCUUUUUAUUUCGUAAAAGAACAGUUAAAUUCCCUAAUUUGACAAACAAACAAAAAAAAAAAAAACAGGAUAAAAGUAGCACUUAUUUUUAUUGCAUAUAAUAAAAAGAGAGCAUAUAAUUUACAACUAUUAUAAUUCAAUUAAUUAAUUAUAAUUUAAAAUUAUGUAAAAUUUAUCAAAAUUUUAUAUGUAACCCAUAUUUAUAAGUGACGAUCCUUAUAUAAUAUUCUAUUGUGAUUAGAUAAUAAUUAUAAUAUUAUAGUAAAAAAAGCUACAACUGAAAUGCUUCAGAUAAAAAGUUAAACAACUUUAAACAAAUGUAUACGUUACAUUAAUACAAUCCGGUGACAAAAGCUUGGUAGUUAGGGAUGAAUUGGAAAUUGACAUGUGCUUGGAUAAGUGAAGAAUUUAGUUUUUUUAAUUUUGAAUGUUGAUUUUUUUUGGAACGGAGUACGAUUAAAAAAAAUCAUUAAUACUAUAUUUUAAAACUAUGGUUUUUGUUAUUUUUUUUUAAAUUGUUUUUGAUCAAAUAUAAUUAAUCACAAGUUUGAUCCUUAGUUACCAUAUAAACUUUACUCAUAUGUCUUAAAAGAAUGGGCUGACUAAAAAAUAAUAUAGGCUAAGUAAAUGUAUAAGCCUUAAUUUUUGUAUUAAAAGAGUGGACUUAAUAUAUAAUGUUAUAAUAAUUUUAAUCUAAUUUUAAUUUCCAUAUUUAAAUUUAUUAUUUAUAUGUAACAUAAUAAUGCUCAAAUUAAAAUUACCUUAUCCAUUCAAUAAAAAUUUAAUAUUUUAGAAGAUUUAAAUUUAAUAUUUUAUUAUACUAUUGCAUCUUGUGAAUAAAUAAUAAAAUUAUAUUAAUUUUAAUACAAUGUUACAUGUUGUUAACAAAUAAUAAUUUAGAAAACCUAUAAAAUGAAUUGACCUAAUGUCUUUAGGUAAUAAUAGAAAUUACAAAAUGGAUCAGUUACAAUUUAAUGAAAACUUAAAUCGGUGUUAAAAGAAAAAUAUUUGAGGGAAUAAACACUAAAAGGUUUUUAAUUUGGUUUUAUUGACAUGGAAAGACUCUUUCUUUCCUACUUCAAAUUAAAUAAUCAUUACAAUACAGGUUUAAAUUAUAAUUUUUUAUGCAAUUUUCUAUUUUAAAAUACACGUUUUUACAUGUACUUUAUUAUAUCAUAUUUUCAUUUCUAGAAUCUCUAUCUCUUUCUACUUCUCAUUUUUCUUUCAUUUUUUUUUCCUUCUUGCUAUUCAGGUUGUUUUUUUUUUUUUUUUCAAAUUUCAAAAUUUUUGGCUUACUUUUUAUCAUCUUUUACUGUUUUCAAUGUACAGAAUAUCAAAAUACAACAUUCAUUUUAAUUCCAUGCAGUGGGAAAAAAAGGAUAAUUAACAAAUAGCUCCAUUGAUCUAUUCUUUCCUCUCAUCGAAUUUUAUUGAAUCUUAUAUCUUAUAUUUCAUUAUUUUAACAACUUAUUAAGAGCUAAUCAAAUAUAUUAAUAUGAAUCUUGUAUAUAAACUUUUGAGUAUACUUAUAGAAUCUGAAUAUUAUUUUUUUUAUAACUUCGUUAUGAUGAAAAUCAAAUAUAUUCAUUUGAAUCUUGUUUAAUUUAUCCCUUACAAUCCUUUCUAUAUAUACUAAACAAUUUUAAUUAAUUUAACGAUAUCUAUAUGAUUUAAUUUUUAUGAUACAUUUCACAUGUAGCCAAUAUAACUACCCCAUGCGGAUACACACUAUUAAUAAAUAUAAAAGUAAUAAAAUCGAUUGUUAAAUUUUUUAUUACACAAAAUAUAAAUUUUAAAUAUUUGCAGAUAAAUAAAUAUAAAAUAUAAUAUAAUAAUAUAAUAAUAUAAUAAUACUACUUUAAGUUAGAUGUAACAAUAAAUUAAGUCGGCAUUAAAUUAAUAUGGGAGUAACAAAGUACAUUAAUAUUACUUUUUAUUACAUUAUAAAACAAAUCAAAUAAUUUUAUCAUAUAUAAUUGCAAUGGGAUAAUAAAUAAUAGCCAUAUUACAUCACAAGUUUUGGGUACCUAUCCUUUCUCCACAUUGGCCAACUUUGUAGACUUAGCAAGUGGUGCGCAUCUUAGUUAGGGGCAUGACUCCAUCAUAAAAUGUUUUUUUUUUUUUAAAUUAUAAAUAUUUUCCAAAAGAUGGAAUUUUCCAUUUUCGGGUUUGAUUUUCAAAUUCUUUUGAGUCUGUUUUGCUUUUCCCUAAUUUAAUUGGAAACAGUUUUUGAUUUUAAUAAGAUAAAAAAGGUUUGAAAAAACAUUUCUCAAGCCUUUCAAUGACACUUCAUUUUUUUAACAGUUUUCAUAAUUUUAUGAUUAUUUGUUUUAUAAUCCUAAACUAAACCUUUUUUGAAACUAAAGUAAAUAAUUUUAAAUAUAAAAGUAAUGAAAUGUUUAUAAUGAAAUUACCUGAUAGACUAUUGUUGGCAAGACUAAUUGCUUUCAAAGAAGAAAUGUUGAAAAUGGAAUGUGGAAUCAAUCCACUUAACCGCAUAAAUGAUGCAACUAAUUUCUCCAAUGAAAUAAGAUUCCCAAUCUCCCAUGGAAUUUCACCUGCAAAAGGAAAAACAACUUUAUUAUAAAACUAUCCACUUUCUAAACAUUUCAAUAAUAUUGAGGUUAUUUAAAAUGCAAUAAAAGUCAAUUACACAGGAAACUCCUAGUUUCUUCAAUGUUUAAAAUAUGAAGGAAUAAUUAAUUUCAUCAAUACUAAAAGUUUGAGUCAAAAUGAGAAAGCAUAAAAGAAAACCAAAUGUGACUAUUUUCAUGUUGAUCAUUCUAUUAAUUUUUAUUUUUUAGUUAUUUUUUAAUUUUUGUUAUAUAUACAAAAAUCAUGAAUAUGAUGUAAUUUACUCUAUUUUAGGUUUUUUUUUUAUUACUUUUUGCAAAAACAAAAACAAAUAGGAAUAAAAAAAUAUAUUAUGAUCAAACAGAGCCUAAAUAAUAAAAUGUCCAAGAGAUAUCUUUUGGUUUAUAAAAUUACUUAUCCCAUUUGAAUUAUUUCCGUUGAAUCAAAUUGGAACCUAAGUUCCCACAACUAUCACGACGAAAUCCCACAGCAACUAGACAAUCAAGCCUGAUCUUAGGCUUUACUUGAUCAUUGAAGCAAAAAGUUGAGUUCAGCACAAAAGUAAGCAAUAUUCUUAAAUAAUUAAUUAAAAAUAUUUUAAUUUCUGUUAAUAGUUUAAUAUAUGAUUUUACUUUUAUAUAGAAUAUUAAUAGAUUACAUUUUGAAUGCUUAUUUUAUUUUACCUUUUUCUCAAUUUUAAUUUAAUUAGGUGGAUACCACACAUUGUCUCGGAUUAAAAUUUUUUUAUUUUUUCAUCCCUGUUCAUUGAUUUUUUAAAAAAUUUUUACCUAAUUUUAAACAAAGCAAAAAAAAAAAGGUAAAAGAUAAAAAAAUUCAAAUGAGAGUGGCACAUUGACAUAUAAAUUAGCUUCUUAUUCUCACAAUAAAUUUUAUUAAAAAAAUUUUUAUUUUAUAUUUUUACGUGGGAAACCCACUUAAUAUCAAGCUUUGAAUAAAAAAACCAGUGAAUAUAUAUAAUUAAAUAGGUAAUAAAAUAUUUAUUUAUAUAUGUGUGUAUAUAUAUAUAUAUAUAUAUCAUAGGAUGGCUUGAUGCAAAGUAUCAUAAAUUUGAUUUUGACAUGUCCCUUGUUUCUAUAAAAAAAUUCGACUUAAAUUUAUUCGCUAUUGAUUUUUUCCAAAACCUCUCAUAUUAAAUCGAGAUGGAUAAAAAUAUAGUGGAUAUUGAUUGUUUUGUAAUUCUUAUCAAUAAAAAAUCAAACAUGUGAUGUACCCUUGAUAUUAGGUAGUUCCCACAUAAAAAUUAAAUAUGUAAAAAAUUAUAAGUUAAAAUUUUGGAAAAAAAUAAAAUGGUAAAAAUGACAAAGAGGAAAAAAAAUCUUGAUACAAAGUGGGUCUCACCUUUAAAUUUUUAAAUUUUUUAAAAAUAGUUAUUAAAUAUUUAAAAAUAAGGAAAUAAAGAAAAACAAAAAAAUUAAAAAAAAACGAAAAUUUUAAUCUUUCAAAAAAUAAUUAUUAAAAUUUAAAAAAAAAAACAAAGAAGGAAAAAAAAAAAAAGAGGAGUACCACAUGACACCUCUAGGAUGGUCAAGUUUUGGUCAAAAUAGCCUAAAUUAAUUAUAUAAACAGAUAUAUAUGUUUUAGUUUUUCCUAAUUUCUUUUGUGUGCAUUGUUGGAGUCUUGGUCAACGUAAAGCUAUAUUCAGUCGCGUAACUUAGGGAGUGUUAGUUUGAACAAUAUUUCACUAUAUAAUUAGUUCGACAAAAUUAGUGACAAAUUAAAUAUUUUGCAUUUAAAAUUUAAGAACGAACUGUUUUGAUAAAAGAAAAUUAUCAAAGGCAAAAAAUAAAAAUAAAAAUUUUACCUUCCAAAUUAUUUCCCCUCAAGAGUAGCCCUUUGAGCCUCGUUAAAUUUCCAAUACUCCUUGGAAUGCUGCCACUGAAUCUAUUGAAGGAUAAAGUUAAAUUUUGAAGGCACCUGCAUUCAUCUAUACUUGAUGGAAUUUGACCAGAAAACUCAUUUAAGGGCAAGUAAAGUGCCUCAAGAUUGGGAAGAUGACGACAUAUAUCUUCAGGUAAACUGCCAGAUAGACUGUUAAAUCCAAGAGAAAUCACGUGUAGGGAGGAAAUGUUAUAAAUGACUGAAGGUACAGAACCAGAAAGUUGGUUAAAUGCCAGACGAAGUAUCUUUAGAUUUAGAAGAUUACUUAUCUCGGGUGGAAUGUGUCCUUGAACGAGAUUGUGCCUCAAGUCCAAGAUUUCCAAGUUGGACAUUUUAGCUAGUGAUUGAGGGAUUGUACCUGUCAAAUUGUUGCUCCGGAGGCUCAAAUAUAAAACUUUAUUUAAUCUCCCAAAACACGAGGGAAUUUCCUCACUAAAAAAAUUGAAGCUUAAUUCUAUGAGUUUCAGACGAUUUAAUUGCCCCAACUCUGUCGGUAAAUGACCAUAAAAAUUGUUGUGACUCAAAUCAAGAGAUACUAAGAACGAGAGAUUUCCCAAUUGUGGAGGAACAGUUCCUAUAAGAUUCAUGUUGGGAAGAUUCAAAGCGUUGACUCUCCUAUGCUUAGAAGCACAAGAGACACCAAUCCAGUUGCAAACAGAGGUAGCGUUGGUCCAAUUGUUUGCUAAGAUAUUGUGAGGAUCAACGAUUCGGUGUUUAAAUUCGAGAAGAGCAUAUUGAUCUGUCGUAAGGUUCCUCACACUCAUGGCGUAACUAAUCAUCAAACAAUGAAUGAACAUUAAAGCUGACGACAGAAAAUGGAAUUUUCUCAUGUCCAUGGCUGUGGGAAUUGAUGAAAUGCAGGAUGGUUUGAGGAAGUCUGCUCAAAGUAAUAGUUAAAUAUAGAAUCAACUAGACUUCGACAGGAAAGUCGUUCGAUGGUCUUCGUCUUCACAAUAAAUAAACGAGUGAAACUUUUCACUUUGAAAUUAAUUUAUAUUUUAGCAUCUUUUUUUUUUCUUUUUUCCUUUUUUUUUUCUAUCUCUUUCUUUCUUUUUAUUCCUUGUCUUGUACGCUUUAUUAGGCCCCAUGACUCCACGUGUUACGCGAGAUUGUUGCAAAAUAGUAAUGCUGCAUCUCUCUUCUUGGAGAAAAUAUAGUAAUCUAUGUUAUUUUUAAACCAGGUGGAAUCAAUUUAAUUAAUGAAAUUACUUAAAUUUUAAGAUAAUAAUAAUAAUAAUAAUAUGUAGGUACAGAUAUUUAUUUUUUGAAUUUGAUUUGUAAAAAAAAAAAAAAAAAAACUACAUAUCCAAUACAUCGAGUAACAUCUUUUAUUAGCUAACUUCCUUUUUUAAUCAAAAUAUUUUCUUCUUCACUCACAUAUCAAGUGUGUCAUAAUCUAAAAAAAUAAAAUUAAUUUAAUUAUUAAAUUAUUUUUAUAAAAUAAAAUAUUACUAUGGCCUAUUUGUAAUGUGAGUUUUAGUAUUCAAUAAAAAUAUGCCAAGUAAAAAUUGCUCCUAUACAUAGCAUAGUAGAUGAGCCCAAUAGUUAAUGCUAUUGAAAUUAUUUAAAAAAUGGAAAUACUUCCAAGUUUCGAAAUUUACUAGAUUUAAGGAUCGUGUUUCAAUUCGGUUUUUAUUUUAUUAUUUUGUUAUUAUUUAAACACUCGAGAUAUAAAUGUCAAUUAUAAGUAAGAAUAAUAUUUUAAUCAUUCUUUUAUAAACAAUCAACUUAUAAAUAAAUUAGUAAACACAAUCUACUUCUAAUAAUAAUCCCAAAUUAAUAUUUAAUUAAUAUCAAUGCACCCUAAAAAUUUAGCAAAUGAAUUACUCAAAUAAACAUAGAGAUAAAUUAAAUUAUAAAAAUUUAAAAUUAACACAUCAAAUAAAUAAAAACAUAAAGCAUAAUUUUAUAUUUAUAAUAAGAAAAAAAACCAUAAUAAGAGCUCAAACAUAAUGAAAAUUUUAUUCAACAUCUUAAAAUAAGUCCAAAAUACAACUCCCAAUAUCUCUCAUAAAAUGUCAAAAGUACCCAUAAAAAUUAAAUUAAAUCUUUCUAUGACCCUUGUGAACAUGUGUCAUCACCACAUCUAUCUGUAACUAAUUUUUAAUUUAUAAUGAAAGGUGUUAAAUCGAUUAUAGUUUUGUAAAAGAAAAUUUCUAAGGUAAUAAUGAUGAUAAUGUUGUUAGGAUACAAUACAAUCUAAAUUUUUUUUUGCUAAAUAAAUUUAAAUUUAUUUUUAAACUAAAAUUGUGAAUAUAUAUAAAUAUAUAUAUAGAUAUACACACACACACUAAUGGUAACGUGAUUGAGUUGCAGUCAUGAGUUAACCAAUUGGUAAAUUUACAUUAAAUCCAAAGUUAAAAUAGAAUAACAAUAUAAAUUUAAGAUUUAAAAAAAAACUUUUUUAAUCUUAUUAAAAAAAAGCUACCCACCCAUAAAGUAACAUCCUAUAAAAAAAUUAAUUUUUAAUGAAUUUUUUUCGCCCCUCAUGAGUAUAUUAAAAUCUAGUACUUUUAUUAAAUUUUUGAUUGAUAUGGUUUAAAAUGGAUUUAGUAUUUCAUAUAUUUGUAUUAUGUCAAUAUCAUUAUACACGUAUAAAAUAUGAAAGUUUUCAUAUCAAAUUCAUGUUGAUAAAUUAAAUAUAAAAUACUUUUUUUUGUUGUUGUCAAAUCCGCAUAGAAUUUUUGUCAAAACUUUAAAUAAUAUCACUUUCACAUGUUUUUUCAUAUAAUUUUAAUCUCAUGUGAUCGUGUUAUAUUUAAUAUUAUCAUAUAUAUAUAUAUAUAUAUAUAUUGCAAAUGAUUCCACCUAAUGCAAGCAAUUCUCUCUCCAAUUGACCCUGACUAAGAAAUUUUGAAGUCAGAAAAGCAAUUGACUUUGUUGCAAGAGCAAGGAUUAAUCUAAACCUUACCAAAUCAAAGCAACCACUAUUUUUUCUUUUUUUUUUUUGAAAUCAAAGCAACCACUAUUAUUAUUACGACAUUAACAUGUGAAUUUGUAUGGUUUCCAAAAACAGUAAGAUCUUCUUCUAACUGCGUUCCGAUCUUUUAAUAUUAUAUGAUGAAUUUGAUUACUUUAUUAUCAUACUUGGGUUGUUAAAUAAUUGAGACUGGGUGUAAAACCUCCUAAUUUGUAACCACUACUUUUUUAAGGUGAGGAAAUUAAAAGUAUUUAUUACCUAAAUAGGCCAUUUUUAAAUUAUUUUUUCUUUUCAAAGAGGUUUUUUUUUUUAACGAAAUGUCAAUUUUUAUUACUAAACAGGUAGUCUAGUACUUUUAUAAAUCUUUGGAUGAAUUUGAUAUCACCAGGCAAUUGAUACCAACGGUCUUGGUCUUCACAAUAAAUAAAAUGAGUCAAGCUUUUGAUUUUGGGCCCUCUAAUUUGCUUUUGAUCUCCUUUUACAAACCAUAUCUAAAACCAAUAUAUCUUUUUCUCUUUUUCUUUGUAUUUAUUGGACUUGCAUACUUUGUGAGACCCAACUAGUCAUUUCUCCUUGACUCCGCGUUUUACGCCAUGGGCUUCUAUGAAAUUGCAGGCAGUCAUUCUUUUAUAUAAAUAUAAAUAUAAAUAUAAAUUAUAUAUAUUUCUCUAAGAGAUAUAAAUUAUAUUAGGAUAAUUGAUCAUUGAUAAUAUUCAAUAUUGACAAAAAUAAUUUUAAAAUUUUAAAAUACAAUAUCGUACUCAAAUUUCAAAUAAAAGUGAUCUAAUUAUUUUUUAAAAUUUAUUUUCAAAUCAUGAAUUUAUAGAAUAUGAAAAUAUUAAAUUAAUAUGAUAAUAUCAUAUGAUUUUUCCUUUACUUAACAUUCUAGUUAAUUUCAGUGGUUAGUAGAAUAUAAAAAGUUUUCAAAUGAAUUUUAUUUAUAAUCUUUUCUUUCAAAAAUUCUUUUUUAGUAUUAAUUAAUGGAAUAUGAAAAGAAUGAAGUUAAUAUAAUAAUAUUUUAAAACCAAGUUAUAAAUUAAAAUUUCUUUAAAAUUUGCUAAUAUAUGGGACCAAAUAUUUAAUGAAAUUCUUGUGCAUUUUCAUUUUACCCUUCAAACAAUUCAUAAAAUUAUAUAAAAAAAAACUAUAUAUUUUUCACAUUUAUCUUUUUAAUUUAGUUCAAAAUUUCUCUUGAUUUCAUUUAUUUCAAAUUUAUCUUGAUUUCAUUUAUUUCAAAUUUAUCUUGAUUUCAUUUAUUUCAAAUCGAUAACUUUAAAAAUCAAUGACAUUUGCUGCCUUGAUAUCAUGUAACUGUUGACAUAAAUUUCAAUAAAAAAAAUUUAAAAAGAUCUUUUUGUUUUUUGCCAUAUGAUCAUUGUUUAGGCUCGCUUUUUUUACCACAAUUUUUUAUUUAAUAUGUACACAAAAUCAAAUAAGGAUAAAGAGAUUUGAGGACACAUGGAGUGUCAGUUUCAAUUCAACCCUAAGAUAAGUUUAUGAUAGUACCACAUAUCAAAGCCGUGAUUGGUGUAAUCCAAAACUGAGCAAGCAAUUCUUUUUCCAUGAGAGAGACAAAAGAAGUAUCAAUAAAGUUAUUUUAUUUUUCACAUCCAUAAAAGCAAAUAAAGGAAUCUAGUCAGAAAAGCUAAGGACAUACUCUAAGUGCUAGGCCUUGAAUCAAUCCAAGUCAUCUUGCUUUCGACAAACAUCAAAGCAGGCUAAGAAAUUUUAAGUCAGAAAAGCUAAUGAUCGUUUUCUAAAUGCAAGGAUCAAUCAAGUUUCUAGGCCUUGAAUCAAUCCAAGUCAUCUUGCUUUCGACAAACAUCAAAGCAGGCUAAGAAAUUUUAAGUCAGAAAAGCUAAUGAUCGUUUUCUAAAUGCAAGGAUCAAUCAAGUUGUCUUGGUUUCACAAAAUUUUAAGUCAGGAAAGCUAAUGAUUGUUUUCUAAAUGCAAGGAUCAAUCAAUUGUCUUGGUUUCACACACAUCAAGGCAAACUAAGAAAUUUUACGUCAGGAAAGCUAAUGAUCAUUUUCUAAACGCAAGGAUCAAUCAAGUUGUCUUUGUUUCACACACAUCAAGGCAGACUAAGAAAUUUUAAGUCAGGAAAGCUAAUGAUCGUUUUAUAAACGCAAGGAUCAAUCAUAUUGUCUUGGUUUCACACACAUCAAGGUAGACUAAGAAAUUUUACAUGAAGAAUUAAAACUAUCAAAUGCAAGGAUCAAUCAAGUGGUCUUGGUUUCACACACGUCAAAACAAACAGAGAAAUUUCAAGUCAGGAAAGCUAAUGAUCAUUUUCUAAAUGCGAGGAUCAAUGAAGUGGUAUUGAUUUUACACACGUAAAAGCAGACCAAGAAAUUUUAGGUGAAGAAUUAAAGCUACCAGUUGCCAGGAUCAAUCAGUCUUCUUGCUUUUCUCUUGCAUCAAAGCAAAUCAUUCUGUUAUCAUACCUCGGAUAGGUAAUUAAAUAAUUGAAAUUGGGUUUAAAAGCUUUUAAUUUGUAAUUUUUUUUUCUUAAGAUAAGGUAAAUUAAAAUCUUUAUUAUCAAAGAGAUAGUAGUUUUAAAUUUUUUUCUUUAAAAGAUGUAUUUUUUUUUAUAUAAAAGAUGUCACAACUUAAAUAUUGAAAAAAAAAAUGUAAGUAUUGGGAUUUAAAUUUCAGAUUUAUUAGAUGUAAUCUCUUAAGAAUAAUUACAUGAGCCAAAUAAAUUAAACUUUUAAAUUAUAUUGAUUGGAUAACUCAUUCGAACCCGAAAGCCCGUCCUAAUUUUGGGAAGGCUUAGACAUGAAUUUUAGGUUCUUAAAUGGGCCUAAACUUGAAUUUUAGACCCAUUUAAAAAAUGUACUAGGCCAUGGACAUAAAGUUUAAGGUUUGAACCCGACUAGGCCUAAAUAAUUAUUAUAUAUUUUUUAUAUUUAUAUUACAUAAAAACGUAUAAUAUAUAUGUUAAUAUCCUAUGUCUAUAUAUACUAAUCACAUUCAAAUAUUAAAUUAAGUUAACAAAGUAUUUUUUAGGCUUUACUUUGUUGAUUAUUUAUUUUAUCAUAAUUAAUAUUUAUUAUAAAAAUUAUUUUUUAUUUUAAAAAUAAAAUAUAAGCAGGCUUCAAUAAAGUCUUUUAAAAAUUAAUUAAGCCUAAGUAGCAAAAUAAAAUUAUAUUUUGGGAUGAAUGAGUAUGAACAAACUUAAAAUUUGUUAAUAUUCUAACUAGGCCAAACUAGAAUCUGGUUCGACUCAAUCCAUAUAUGUAGACACCCUAUUUGGUCCGGGCCCAAGGCCAUUGGGCCUGAUCAAAUAGGGUUUGGGCCUAAGUCCAUUGGGUCCGAUUCAAGAUCCAAUUAGCAAGCCCAAUUGGCUUUUAUUUUUAUUUUUAUUUUUAUUAUUUGUCUAUUUAUUAAUAUAUAUUUUUUAUUUUUUUAUUAUUUAUCUAUUUUUAUUAUUUAUUUAUUCUAUUAUUUAUCUAUUAAUUUUUUUUUGACAUUAUCUUUUGCUUGAUUUUUUUUUGCUAGGAUUAAGGGAUAUUGAUCAGAAAAAGUUGGAAUUCUGUCAUGGAUAUGGGACUAGAAGAGUCUGGAUUGGAUUCAAAGACUUGAAUCCAAAUCUCAGAUGGAGUUGGGAUUGAUCAGAAGAGUUUCUGAUCAAUCCCUAUAAAUAGGUCCAUAAAUCACACAGAAAAGGCACAGAGGUGAAAUCAGAGGCAAAAAUAGUGUUAGAGGCAGUUUAGAACUUUUAGGAAAAUUUUCUCGAAAUUUUUGGAGUUUUUUUUUUUGGAAAAUUUAUGGAAAAUUUUCAGAAUCCGGUGAAAUUUUUUGACGAAAUUCAAGUUUUCCAAUGAGUAUUCUGGCCAAAAACCCAGUUUUCGGUGGAAAAACCUAGAAACCGAUGAGAAUUCCACCGGUGUUCUUCAUGGGUAGAAAGAAGGAGAAGAAAACUGAGGGGAAGAGAGAGAAGGAAUAGAGGUAGUCUAUGAAAAAAUAGAAGUUAGAGCCUUUUAUAGUGCCAUAAAAUGACGUCGUUUUGGCAUUAGUGAACCCACAGGAUCUGCGUAUUUUGCCAAGAUCUGACCUGACCUGAUUGUGACUCGAUCUAGUGACCCGCGUACUGACCUUCCCUUGGAGUCGAGUAGAGCCAAGCCGCACGCUCUCGAGCCGUGUUCUUCAAGCCAUUUUUUUCCUCAAGCCAAGUCGCGUUAAGGUUUUUUUUUUCAUUUUAUUUUAUUAUUAUUAUUAUUAUUAUUAUUAUUAUUAUUAUUUAUUGAUUAGAUUAGAAUUAUUUGGUAUUCCUUAUUUUAUUUUUAUUUUUAUAUUAUUUUAUUUUUUAAUGAUUUUCUUAAAAUAAAAUUCUAAAAAAAUAUAUUUUUGAGAAAAAGUUAAAAGUAUCAACUUUCCUUGAAAAUAAUUUUCUAAAAAAAACAUUUUUAAAGAAAAGUUGAAAGUAUCAAUUUUUCUUGAAAUUAAAGUUUCAGAAAAAUAAUUUUGGGUAAAGUUGGAAUUACCAAUUUUUUUUUUUAAAAAAAAACUUUUUAAGAAAAAGUUGAAAGUAUCAAUUUUUCUUGUACAAAAGCAAUGAGUUUUUGAAGAGAAAAGGAUUUAUAUCUAAAGCUGAAUCAUUAUUUUUUUUUAAUUUCUUUUUCCUUCUUGUUUCUUGAAUUUUCUUUAAUGUUAAAUAAUCCGAUAAUGGAUCCUCUGCAAGUGAAACAGUAGUUUUCUUGCAUACUCUUGAGGUGAGAAAAUUUUUUUAAUUUUUUGCUAAAAGUAUUAGAGUCAAUUGAAAAUAAUUUUCAAUAAUUAAUUACUUGAUAAAUUUUUAAGGCUUAUUGGAUAACACAAAAUUAAGCUGGUACCAUCUUUCGAUAGGCGUUGUGAGGGUGCUAUAACCUUCCUCACAUGUAACCAUACUCCCAAACCCUGUUUUAGUUAAUAAACCCGAACCUAUUUUUUAAGGACCCUUAAACUUAGGUGUUCCUUGAAGUGAUAGAUUCCUUAGGUGGCCAAUUGCACCUAAACAAAAAAGAUUGGUGGCGACUCCUUAAGUCAAUGUCUAGCGAUAGAUCCCCAGAUCUAAACGUUAUGAUAAUAUACAAAUUUAAUUAUCAGUAUCAUGUGUUUAUACCUAAAUUGCCAGUAUGGUAGGAAAGACCAUUUUUUAUUUUUUUUCUCUUUUUAAUGUAUUUAAUUAAUGAUUUCAUUAUACUAUUUGAAAAAUUAAUAUUAAUGUUAAUUUAUGAAAAAUUUUAACCAUAAAAGAAUUAUGAAAAUUGGAAGAAGAAAAAAGAUAUCUCCAUCUCUAUAUUGAGAAUUUUGUCAUGUAAACAAUAUUGUAGGGUAAUACUAGAUUUUUGGUUCUUGCUUUACAAUAUCACUUAUUUUUUAAAAAAGAUAUUUAGAAUUCAUUUGGUUUGAUUAAUUUUUUUUUUUUUUUGUAAAAAGUGUUAUAAUAGUAUUUGACAAACAUAAUGCAAAAAUGCUCUAAAACAUAAAAAGAAAACUAUUUAAUAAUAUUUUUAUAGAUUUUUAUUAAAUACAAAUUAAAAGGCUUAACUUUAUAAGCCAAACCAAUAAAUAAAACAAAGAUAUUUUUUAUUAAUUAGAAAUUAAAAAAUAAAUGAGAUUAAUAGAAAAUUUGGAUCAAGUAAAAAAAUAUGUAUGUGAAAUAAUUCAUUUUUAUUAUUUUAUGAAUUAUUAACAAUAAAUUGAGAAUGUGAAAAAAAAAAAAAACUAAGUAAUAUAUUUUUUAUUAUACAACAACACUUUUGAAAAGGUUUUAACUUAUAAAAUCUUUUAAAAAGCCAAAUUAGCUUUGAUUAAUAAUUUUAAAAUUUUGAAAGUAAAACAUCUUAUUUAUAUUUUUGUUGUAAAAAACUCUCAAAUAAACUAGAACAAACACCUUUAGUAAUGCAUAUAUAUAUAUAUAUAUGUAUGUAUGUAUAUUUGUAGGCACCAAUUUUGUGAUAUUAUGAUUUUACUUAUAUUAUUAUUAUUAUUAUUAUUGUUGGGUGGCCAAUCACACUAUAAAAAUAUUGAUGGCGACUCCAAAAUUUUCACCAAGUCUAACGAUCGAGUCUCCUCGGAUGAAAAAUCAUUAUGAUAAUAUUUUUUAUAUUUAUAUGUAUGUGUGUUUAAAAUAGUUUUUCAAAAUUGCAAGAGUUUCUUUUAAUAAAACAUUAGCGUUCGAGGUCCCACUUCGGAUGUGAUCAUAAUUAUUAGGAUUGAAUUGGAUCAUUAAUUAGAUCAGUUGAAUUGAUCAAUCGAUACCUAAAUCAGUUCGAUUUUAUUAAUAGACUAAAUUUACGAUUAACUUGCAUUAAACCACAUUGAACUGAUGGUUGAAUGAAUAAAUCACUAAUCUGGCUAGUUUUUAUUGAACCAUUUUGGUUUUAAUUUUUUUAAUGAGUUUAAAAAUUAUGAUUAAUUUAGUUUUAAUAAUUAAUAUUAUGGAUUAUUAUAUUAUUUAAUUAAAAUAAUAUAUUUUAAAGUAAAAUAGAUAAUAAAAUAUGAAAAUUUAAAUAAUUAAAUGGUGUUAUCCAUCCUUACAUGUUAUGCACAUUAAAGAAUAACUUAAUAAAAUUUAACUCCUUUCUCAUUUAUAUUUUUAGGUGACACACUCAUAUCAAAUUAAAGGAUAAAAACUUGGCUAAAAUUAAAACUUUAAUUAUCAUUUUGGAGCUUGAUUUGUUUUAUAUCAAAUAUCAUCAAUUUAAAGGAAAAUUUUUUAUGUCAUUUUUUAAAAUUUAUAUUUUACAUAAGCUUUCUCUUUUUUAAAACUUUUUUUUUUGUUUUUAAGUUUUUUAGAGUAUUUACUUUUUUAAAUAAUAUGGUUGAAUUAUUCAAUUAGUAUCUUUAGAGUUUGAGUUACGAGUUUGAAUUUUAAAUUUAUUUUUGUAAUUUAAGUUUAUUAUACUUUUUAAAUACAUAUACUUUUUUUACACUUAUUAUAUUAUGUUAUAUAUUUUUAAUUUUUUAAGUUUGAAAUUAUCUGCAAUAGAAUUUUAUUACUUAUCACAUAAUGGAUUAAAUUUUUAAAAUAUUUAUAUAUUUAUAUAUCUUUAUUAGUUUAACAAUUGACUUGAUUGACCUAACAGUUGAACCAAUGACCCAACACUUUGAACAAUUCAGUAUCUGGUUUGAUUCUGAUAAUUAUACAUGUGGUUGCUUUUUAUAUCAAUUUAAUUAAAAAAUUAUUUUUUGUAAAAAAAUAUCAAUUUAAUUAAAAAUGAUAACAUUCUUUUUUAAAAAGAAAAUAAACGAAAAAAAGAUAAUAAUUUACCACAAAUUUGGGGUUGACCUAAAUCAAGAGAAGUCCAAGGAAAUUAGGCUUGUUAAGUGGACUUGGGACUUUGUCUGCUUCAGGUAUUGGGUCUCUGGGAAGGAAAAAUGUGUUCUAGGUCUGAAUUCGAGCCUACACAUUGAUACUUUUUUUGCAAUACAAUAUCAAAACUCAAUUUUUUUUUCAAUUCAUUUUACCCUUUUAUUUCUACUUAAAAUUCACCCUUUUCACCCAAACUACUUAAUUUUCAACAUCAACCACCAUCAUUGACACCAUUUUCCAUCAUUGGUCAUUGUUCAUCAGCACUAAAAAACACCCAAAGUUCCAACAAAAGAUUUUUCUCAUGCAAUGUGUCAAUAUAUGUGGCAAUUUUUAGAUGCUUUUGUGGUACUUGAAAAUCACUUCUUUUUUAUCUACUUUUCUUUUUGUUUUUCUUUCCACCAAAACAAUGUAGUUUUGAUACAAAAUAAAUAAAAUUAGUCUUAAAAGCCCUAAACACCAUCUUUUCUUUCUUUUCUCUUAUUGUCAUCACAUUACCUUUUCUCAUCGUCAACCUUUUUUCAUAGCUAUCACUAUUGUUGAUCUUUGUCUUGUUACAUUUGUCUUGUUGACAAUAACUCCCUUUUCUCUUUCAUUUGUUUUUUGUUUCUUUUUCUUUUUUGUAUCAAUGAAAAUCUAAAAAUCCCAAUCUCUCUCACAUUAUCUUCCUUCAUGGGUGGCCUUAGAUCUACUGUUGAUGGCUCAGUUUCCUCUCAUUUCCCAUUCUUUUUUAUUCUUUUCAUCUUUUUUUUUCUUCUUCUUUUGUUUUUUUCCUUGUCUUUUUUCAUUUUCACCCUUUUUUGGUAACAAGUAUAUUUUGCCACCACCACCACCAUCAAGAUGGCUUGAUCAAUGAGUACAACAAGCAAGCCAUGAUUGUCAUCUUUUGAGAUCUCCGUUGUAACGACAAAAAUCCCUACCCAAGAGAAAAAUGAUCCUAAUUAUAGGAAUUUUAUAGCACCUUAUUUUAGGUUAAUUUUUAGGUUUUGAUGUUGUCAUGUCGAUUUUGAAGGCCACUAAAUGAAUUAAAAAAUAUAAGGAGUCACCACCAAUAUUUUUUGGUUAAAUGCGAUUAGUAACAUAGUAAAACUUAGCUUUUUAAUAAAAUUUUUAAAUUAAUUAAGAUUAUUUGAAAUGAUAUUUUUUGAAUUUACAUAAAAAAAUAAAGCCUGGUUCAAGAGUCUAGUUUCGUGUUAGAAAGAAUUAAUAUCCCAUAACAUCCAUUUUAAGAACGAUACCAAUUAAUCAUGUAUUAUCAUUUAAUCUUGACAAAAGUUGUUUUAAUUUUGAUAUUUAAAAUUAAUUUCCUUGACUUCCUUUGUUUAUCAUAAUUUUGAUUUUUUUUAUUUCAUUUUCUUCAUGAAAAUUUUUCUUCUUUGUAAAAAUUAUUAUUUUACUUUUAUUUGAAAAAUAAAUUGAAACCUUGUUAUUGAAAGAUUCUCAAAAUGUUUCAAUACGUUGGUAACAUUAGGAUAAAUUUUCUCACCUAAGGUUUUCUUAGGAAUCAUUACCUAAAUUUCUUUAUAAUCUCAUUUUUAGAGGCUCAUAUUUAUCUUUAAAUCAAUAUUUAUAAUUAAAUUUAAUACUCAUAACUUCAUUUGAAUAAUAUCUUUCUUUUUUUAAUAGAUAAAAAGUAAACAAGAAUUUUUUAUUGAAGAUUAUUCUAAAGUUUCCAUUAUUUUGGCAGUAUUUUAAAAAAUUAUUCUCAUAUAGAUGGUUUUAAAGAAUCAUUACUUUGAUUUUCUUAAAAUCCCAUUGUAGGAAAUUCACAUUUAUUUUCAAGAUAUAUUUAUAUAUGUGUGUGUGUAUGUUUGUGUGUGUGAAAUACAAGUAAUAAGAUAUGAGAUACAUGUAAUUUUACUUGUCUUGGUAAUCUUGCUUAUUAAUUUUUAUUAUUUAUUACCCAUUAUCUUGUCUAAUUUGUUUUUGUUCAUUAUUUAUUUAUUUUUAAUUUAAUGAUUUUUCUUAAAAAGAAAAGGAAAGUCUUUUAUUUAAAAAAUUUUGCUAGACACUUUAAAACUUUGAUAACAUUUUAGAUAAAUUUAUUCACUUAGUUAAAAAUCAUGACUCAAACUUUCAUAAAAAAAAAUCCUCUUGUUGGAAAACAUUUCCUUUCUCAUUUUUAUUUAUCAUAAUUUUUUUAUGCUUUUAUAUUUAGUAUAAAUUGAAUUUUACCAUUUUUUAAAUUUAAAUUUUACUUUCAUUAAGACUAGUUUUUUUCAAAAAAGAAAAAAGAGAUUAAAUAUUUAUUUUAGGAAUCUAGAAUUUUUGCACAAGAAAAUAAUUAAUUUAACAAAAAUUAUACAAAAAAUAAUAAAAAUUACUAAAAAAUGAAAAAAAAUGACCUAAAUAGGUUGGUCAAUGCUAGUCAAUGAUUUGGUGAUGAUUCAACUAGGUUCAAAAGUGGUUUGGUUGGCCGAUUUAGGUGCUAAUAGAGUUUCAACCAGUUUAGGUGCUUAGAGAAUUUUGGCCAGGAUUGGUCAGCAGCAGUCGAAAGUAGGUUGGGCAUAUAGAAUCAAGAUCCAAGGUUGGCGUGCAAGUCUUUUGAAAAUUUUUUUAGGCCUAUAAAAGUUAAAAUUUUUUCAGUUAAUUUCAAACACUCUUCUAAAAAGAUCUCUCACAACUCUCUCAACUCUCCCAGACAAAAAAUCCAGAACCAACCAUGUUUCUAGAAUUUGAUCGAGUGCCGUUAUUGACUCAUGCUUGUUAGUGCCAUUCGAUCACCUUUUGACUUUAAAUUUUCACCGUAUACUUAUCCUAAUGAUUUUGUUUCAGAUCUGACCUUAGAUUUUUUAGAAUCAACCCUAAUAAUCUUAGAUCUACCCUUUGUAAUCAUCUAUUUUAUCUAAAAAAUUGAAUAUUUUGUCAAGAUAAAUCUAAACCAAUUCCAAUUUCAUUCAAAUCCAUUCAGGUAUCUUAAUUAAGUUUAUCAGAUCAUUUUAGUACUAAAACUUUUAAACUUUUAAUUUUUUAUUUUAUUUUCAUUUUAUUAUUAUUAUUAUUAUUAUUAUUAUGUCUUUUGUCUUUUUCUUCUAUUUGUUUCCUCUGUCUUUUUUUUAUUCUUGCUCACCCCAAAAACUCACCUACCUCUGCCUAAGUUGGCAGCAAAAAAUUAAGGGUCUAUAUCCCUAAAGAUCUAGGAUUUGAUCUCAGAUUAGUCUUUGAAAUCAAGUAAAAAAAAUUUUUCAUAAAGGAGAACACUAACAAAGGGAGCCAAUGACCAUUUUGCCUAAAACAACACACACUUAACCACAAAAAAAAAAAAAAAAACUUAGUAAACAAAACCACCACAUCCUUAUAGGAGGCACCGUUAGUAAAAGAAUAAAAAUUUAAUCAAGAGCAAAGGUUUUGAUCUAGGUGGUUUAGGAUUUUUUUUUUUGUUUUUAAAAUAGUUGAGAAAGUGUUUAAGAGAUAAAGGGGAUAAGUUUGGGAUUGUUAAGGGUUUUUAAAAUAAAAUUUUUUUGCUUUGCUUGAUUUUGGAAAAUUUUAAAUUUUUCGAUGGUUGUAUGAGUUUUUUGAUGAUCGAAAUCUAGGUAUUUUGUCGAGAACUAGGAAUAUUUUAAAUUUAUUGAUGCUGGUUAAAGAUUCUGACCAUGGCAUAACGACGAUUGGGCGAAAUUUGGGUUGCCACAGCUAUCAAAAAGGAAAAAGGAAUUGUUAGAAAGAAAGGCUCUAGUUUGUAGAGAGAUAGAACAAUAGAGAAAAAUAAGAAAAAAUCCAAAAAGGGGCCUUUUAUAAUGACCCAAAAAGUCGUUGUUUUGGAAUUAAGGGAUUCAGGCCAACGUGCCAACCCACAGGCCAACUCGCAUUCUAACCCAACUCGUUUGAUAAGAUUUCCUUUUUUUCAUUUUAUUUUUGUUUUAUGAUUUUAUUUUUUUUUUUGUUGUUUUUUUGUUAGGAUUUUCAUAAUUUAUUUUUAUAAAAUAUAUAUUUUAACUUAAGCAACAAAAUAAAUAAUUAUUAUGAAUAAUAAACUAAUAAAAAAUAAAAUCAAGAAUAAAUAGUAACUUUUAAUCUAAAAUAAAAUUGAUAAACAAAACAAUAAUAAUAUUAAAGAAAGUGAAAAGAUUCUAUUUUUUCUUAAUUUUAUAAGUAGUAAUAUUUUUUGAAUUUUUGCUAAAGUUUUGGGACAAUCAAGAAAUUAUUUUUACUGAAAACUAACUACCUCUACUAACUUCUAACUUUCAACAAAAGAAACUUCUAGAAAAUUCUUAGAACUUGAUCUAAACAAAAUGAAAUUUAAAAAAACAAAACGCAAUUGCAGAUCAAAUCGAUUAAAUUGCGACUAAAGUAACAAAAACACAAGAUCUAUGAAGAACAAGUAAAACUGAAACUUAGAUACAAAUCUGAAAAUUGAAUGUUCAACAAAGAAUGUAGAGCUAAGCUAAUGCAAAUUUAAUGAAUUUGAACUAGAAAUUGAAAAAACAAAAGGAAAUCGAAAAUCAAAACAAGACUGAAGGAGAAUUGAAACAGCAAAAACAUGAAUGCCAACUAGAAAUUCAAAACCGAAAGCAAGAACUUAAAUCUAGAAACUAACAAUUCAUGGAUGAAAAUUAUAAACCAAACACCUACCUAGGAGAAAAGUAACUUGAAGUGCUGUCACUUACUCAAGCGCUAGCUCACCUUUUGGAUUCAAAUGAAGUUUUACAGAUUUUUCUGAAAUUGUGUAGAACGAAUUUUAAUGCAAUUUUUUUCAAAUUUGUAGAACAAUGAAUAAAAAAUUCAUGCAAAAAAAUUUAGAUCAAAACAAGCAAUAUUUGAUCAAGAUUUAAUAGAAAAAUCACAGCUAAUUCAAGAACAUGAAUUGCUAAACAUAUUUGAGAAAUAAGUAAAAAUGCAUCAAAUUGAACUUGAAAACUUAAGGAUUGUUUGUUUUUGUUUCUAUUUUCUAUUUUUUGUUUUCAUUUUCAGUUUUUUUGAAAAUUGAAAACAAAGCUUUGUUUUGAAAAUUAUUGAAAAUAGAAAAAUGAUGUUUUCAGUUUUUUGAAAACAAUGUGGCACUAUUACCAUACAGGCACUGUUAACAAAAGUUACAAUUAAACCACUAUAGUGACGCUACAAUUAUUUUAUUAAUAAAAUAAUAUUUUUAUUAUAUAAAUAUUAUAUUAAUAAAUAUUAUUAUAUGUAUUAUAUAAAUAAUAUUAUAUUAAUUAAUAAAUAAUAUGUUACAUUAAUAAUAUAUUAUUAAUAUAAUAUAUUAUUUAUUAAUAUAAUAUUAAUUAAUAUAGUAUUUAUAAAUAAUAUAUAUUAAUAAAUAAUAUUAUAAUAUAUAAAAAUAAUUUAUUAAUAAAUAAAUAAAAUUAUAUUAAUAAAUAAUAUAUUAAUAAAUAUUAUUAUAUUAUUAAUAACAAAUGGAGCCUAAAAUCUUUAACCACUUUCUCUUCCAUGUUUUUGUUUUUAUAUUUCUAAAACAAAAGCAUUUUAUACAAACAUGAUUUAAAAUUCAAUAAAUUAAAAAUAAAACAAAAUAAAUUUUAAAAAACAUAAAAUAUAAAACACACAACAAUAUCUAACGACCCCUUAAAAAUCUUAAACUUUUAUUGAAAGAAUCUUAAAGUGCAUUGAAAAUAAAAGGCAAGGAAAGUAUAUUUUACUGAAAAAUAAAUGCAAUUUUCCCCUAAACAACCCUUUAAAUGAACAAGCAGGAAACUAUUUGGAGAGAAAAGAAAGUAAAAUGAAAGAAAUGAAAAUUCUAGAAAAAAAUAGAAAAAUGCUAUGAAAGUCUCCCCAAAUGGCUUACCAUUCCCUCCUAUUUAUAAGCAAAUGCGAGGUGGUUCAUCCAAUCAAAAUGCAAAAAAAAUUCCAGCUAAGUUGCCACAUCUUCUAGAUCCUUCCAACUCAUCUGUCUUGCUUUUGUAGCUUUCUUAUAUGCUUCUCUUUACUUCACUUUACUUCAAGCUUUCUUCAUUUGAUCUUGUGAGCUCUAAAAUUUCAAAAUUAUGUCUAAUGAGAAGCCUUCAAAUAACCAACCAAGCAACUCCAAUUAUCCUUCUUUGAAUGUCCAAAAUGGCACCACAAUCCUUUAUUCAACUAGCAAGUACAUCUAACAAGCUUGCUUGAAUUUUGCUUCCAAUAAUUUUGGCAUCAAUUGUAAUCAAUUUCUUCUUCAAUUUUCUGCCAAAUACAGACCAUUUAGUGGAAAAUUUAUGUAUGAAAAAUUAUGAAAAAUUCACAAGUCCAAAUAUGGCUUCAAACUGCACUAGUGCACUAGUCACCUUUCUAACACUUGCAAAACUACCACAAAGGUAACAAUAACUAAUGAAUUAAAAAUGACAUUUUCAAAUGAAAAAUAUGAGAAUUAAAACUUGAAAUAAAAUUCAAUUAAGCUUAAAUAAGCUAAGGAAAUCAUAGAGAAAAAGGGUGAGGAAAACUUUCAUAAGUGGCAAUGUAGCACAAACACACUAGUUUUGACUUUUCAUGGCUUUUUGCACCAAAAAUCCUCCAAAAGGAGUCCAAAAGCUUCAAAAUUCCUCAUUUUCCAUAUUUUCACCUACACAUUAAAUAUUUGUAUAUUUAGGAGUUUUUUUGCCAAAAUUCACAAGGAACAAGCCAAUAUUCAAGAGAAAUUGCACUAAAUGAGAUAAGAAAAUAUAAAAGUUUAGUGCUAUCAAGCAUCAACAUAGGGAGAUUGUGUCUAGCUUAAAAGUGACUAGAUCAUGUCAUCAUGCAUAUUUAGCUUCAUAAUCGAACCUAUGGAACUAAUGGUUGCAAUUUUAUUUACACAAUUGUGUUAGCAAAUAAUCAUAAUCACAUUUGCUUUUUUAUUGGAAUUACACUAAAAAUCUAGUAAUUGUAUUAAUGGAGUGCACUUUUUUUUUUUAUAUAGUAAGUAACCUUGCUUGGAACAAGGUGUUGAGUAAAUAAUGCAAAAUGCUGAACUGGGACAUAAAGCUAUGAUGCUUGCUAACAAGGUGCCUAGCACUCCAAUUUAGUAAUUGAACUACUCUAUUAAGAGAAAAGUAUUUUUAAGAUCCAAGCUUCUCAAUUUCCUAUUUAUUCAUAUUUAGAUAGUAUUCCAAUGAAGAUAUCAUAUAUGAUAUAAAUUUGAAGUUUUAGCUCACAAAGCAUCUGGAUUUAAGGAAAUUUGACACUUUCCCGUAAUAUGUUGUUCAAACAUGGACAAUGAACUCAAAUUUUCUAGAAAAUGCAUCAUUUAAGAUGCAUUUGAAUGGACCUUUGAAGGAAAUAAGGCAUUUCCUCUUCAAACAAUAAUCAGGAAAGUUGAAAAUAGUAAUUAUUUUAUCCUUUAAUUAAUCUUCUUUUUCAAUAUCUUUCAAGGAAGGUUAAUAUAAGUAAUUGUAUUCAUGAACUAUAUCAAAUACAGAAAAAGUAGGAUCAGCAGCACAUUUCACAGAAAGCAAGAUGAUAAAUACUAAUCUAGCCAAAGUGGGAAAGAGAUGCAUAUCAUUAUGGCCAGAUUUCAGCCCCUAUUCUUCAUGAAUUUUACAAGGUAACACAAGAAGAAAGUGGAUAUUUAGCAACCCUAUUUUGCAACGACUAAAAAUAUCAUUGCAAAAUAUUGUUUUAUUUACAAUGACUUUUUAUAAUAAUUGCUUAAUUGAACUUUUUAAUAUUUUAUACAACACUAAAUUUUAUUGUUGUUAAUUACUCUUCUAUUCAUAAUGACAACAAAAAAUUGUUGUGAAAACUUAUUUUAUUUGCAAUGAUUUUUCAAUGCCGUUGCUUAAGUUGUUUUUUAAUAUUUUAUUUAAUGAUAAAAAUGGUUGCUAUACUAGUUUUUGUCAUGUUUGUAAUGAUUAAAUAUUAUUGUUGCAAAAUUUUAUUUUAUUUGCAACGAUUUUUCAAUAUCGUUGCUUAAGUUUUUUUUUUGUGUUUUAUACAAUAACAAAAAAAGUUAUUACAAAAUUUUUAUCAUAUUUGUAACAAUAAAAAAGUAUUGUUGCUGAAAUAUGUUUUAUUUGCAAUGAUUUUUCAAUAUUAAUGCUUAAGUAACUUUUUUAUAUUUUAUACAACAACAAAAAAAGUUAUUAUGAAAUUUUUAUCAUAUUUGUAAUGAUAAAAAUGUAUUGUGGCAAAAACCUAUUUUAUUUGCAAUGAUUUUUCAAUGUCGUUGCUUAAUUUAUUUUUUAAAUAUUUUUAUACAAUGACAUAAAAGCUAUUUCAAAUAUUUUUAUCAUAUUUCUAAUGAUAAAAAAUUAUUGUUGCAAAAUAGUAUAACAUCUGCAAUGACAUUUCAUAAUCAUUACUUAAUUGAUUUUUUUUUAAAAAAUAUUUUAUAUAAUGAUAACUUUUAUCAUUGUGAAUUCCUAUUAUAUAUAUUCCUAGCACAAAAGAAUUAUUGUGAUAUUUAAUUAUAUUUAGUGUUGUUACUAACUCAAAUUUUCAAUAUGUUAUAUAACAAAAAAUAAUUUAUUACAAAUAUUUAAUCACGACAUAAAUAAAUUCAUUAAAUGAGUUCUAAAUAAGCAUUGGUUUGGAGGAAUGAAAAAAAAAAUUAAAGUUUCACUAAUAAUGAAUUGAAAUAAUAUUUUAUUGAUCUCUCUCUCUUAUAUUUGUCUAAAAUUUUUCAAAUGGGAGCCUAGUUUUUUAGCAUUAAUUUUGAUGUCAUGUUUAUGAAAAGAUGCAAAUUCUUGUCUCAUCAAGUUGAAUUUACUACGAUAAAAAUGAUUGAGCAGGUAGCCUUUUAAAGGCCGAGACAUGAAAAGUAGAACUGAGCAUUAUUUGGUGUAAAAUGGCAAAUGUUUGACGAAUGAAAAAUUUUAGUUUGGUUUCAAAGCUAAUUUGAAUUAAUAUUUCAGUUUUAAUGUGGUUUCAUAAAAUUUUAAAAUCAAUCUAAAUCUAAAAUUAAAUUAUAGAUAAAUAAUGUAGUAGUAUUUAUAUUUAUAUUGUUAUAUCCUAGCCCAAAUGGUAACUGGGCUAAACUAUUACCACAAUCUAUUAAUGUAGUUAAGGAAUUAACUGCUAAAAGAAAAAGGGGUUGAAAUAUUUUAGGAGAGAAAACUUAGUCAUUUUUGCUUAACGUGAAACAAAAAAAAAAAAAAACUUUCUCUUGCUUUCUUGCUUAGGGUUUGAGAUUUUGGAUGAUUGAACUUGAGGUUAAAAAUCGCAAACCACAGUUGGUUUAAUCUUUUAAGGUAAGCGAAAGCCCUUUCAUUAUUUAUUUGGAAGAAUGUUUUAUUUGUUGUUGAAUUUUGAGAUAAAAAGUUUGAGGAAAACUUAAAGAUUCAUAUAACUCUCACAUAAUUUUUCAUGAUUGGUUGAUGCUAAUCUAUUUGAUUGGGUUUUUAUUAUUUAGUUAAGAGUUAAGCAUGAUUAUAGACUAGCUUUAAGGCUGGUAACAAAAUAACCCACUAUUGUCGAUUAAAGGAAGGAAUAUACAUGCUGUGUAACAACAAGUUUUCUAUGACAAUGAGUUUGUAUUAGUUUCUGUGUUAAUAAAUGGAACUUUAUUGUAAGUAUUAUAUACCAUUGAAAAGCUUAUUGAAUUUAUAUUUCAAAAAAAUAAAUGAAAGUUGAUUUCGAGUUUUUUUAUAAAAAGCAGUCUAAUUUUUACUUAAAAAUGUAUAGGCUGCUUGGCAAUAGUAGUAGAGAGGAAUUUAAAAAAUUCUCUUAAUUUUUAUACAAUGAAUUACUAAUUGAAUCAUAUAUAUUUGAAAAGGUUAUUAAGCCUAUUUUCUAAUGAAACACUCAGGAACUAAAUUCUGAGUCUCCUAUGAAUAAAUAUAUAAUUUUUGUUAGAAUAUAUAUAUGAUGUCUGACAAUAACAUAUGAUAUGAAUUGUAAAAAUUAUUACAAUUAAUCUACAAAAAAUCACAAGGUGGGUCAUAUAUGAUUAGAAAGUUUAUUGAGUCUAGUUUCUAACACACUAAAAGGAUCUUAAUUUUAAGUUUUAUGUAGUGAGAUAUGAUUAUUUCAGUGAAAGAAAUGCAAACUAUCAGCAUUAGUUAGUUAUUUUAGUAUAAAUAAUCUCAAAAGGUAUUGAUUAAUUUUUGAUAUAUUGAAAUGAUUUUAAAUAAGCAAUUAAUUAUUUAAAAAAAAUGAUGAAAUUAAAAUAAAAUAAGUAAAAUUUUACACACUUUACUCGUUUCCAAACUUAUAUAUAUUUCUAAAUAAGUGAAUGUUUUAUUUAUUUAUUUUCUGAGAUCAUAGUGUCUUGUUCUCGAGGCUUAAUAUAUAUAAAUAUUUUGUCUUAUGUUAUUUGUAUAAGUUUUUUUAUAUAUUAAUAUUUUUAUUUAAAAUAUUCUCAUGAGGUUAAGGGUAUCAAAACUAAACUUUUAUUUUAUUUUUUAGAUAUUUUUCUAGUCGUAUUUCAUAUGGAAGACAAAAUGGGUAUGCCCAAUAUUUUUUUAAGCCUAAGAAGGAUUUGGCGGCCCACUAGAACUCCUUUGGACCAGACCAGUCAAAGCGGUACAAUUGUCAAUUCAAACUGCCUGAUGCCUUCUAAAACCCUAUCGAGACUCCGAGUUGAUAUAUCAUUGUAUCUCAAAUUAGGCUGCUCCUUAACUGAAUCCAGAGACUGCAGGAGCUUAAGCAGCAGCCAUGGGUACGCCAUUUUCUUUAGCUUUUCAUAUCUAAUAUUCUUGAUUUAAUAGCUGGAUAGCUCUUAUUUUCUCUAUUGUUUUUCGUUAAUGGGAGGAUUUAAAUCUGAGAUCUGUUUUUUCUGUUUAUGUAGAGUGAUGGGUUUUUCUCUGCUUGAUUUAUUUUCCUUUAUUUGAUUAAAUCUAUAAACUUAUUGAAGGUUUGGUUCUGACUUAUUAUUAGUUUUUCAUCUUUUGUUUUAUAUAUUUUAUUACUAUAUUUACCACUUUCAAAAAUUAGAUGCUAAGUGGUGGAAAUGGGCUUUUAGUUGACUGGAAGUCUUUUAAAAUGAAAAGGGUUAUAUUUGAUUGCUUUUUUGUAAAUAUAUUUAGAUGGAUCAUUGUUUUGGCAUUUUGGGUUCUGAUUUGUGAUGAUUUUGUUUUUGCUGGGUCUUUUGGGGAAAGUAUGGGCUUACAAGUACGUGUCAGGGCUAUGGAGGAAGAAGCAAUCUGAUGUGAUGAGGUUCUUGCAGAGGGUCAGGUGGUGGGAAUACCGCCAGCACCCUUCCAUUGUUCGAGUUAACUACCCAACUCGCCCUGACAAGGCUCGUCGCUUGGGUUAGAAAGCCAAGCAGGUAAGCUGAUUCAUUGUUUCUUUGAUAUUGCUUUCUUCCUCUGUAUUUUUAUGAGGUUUGGUAUUUUAUCUUUUAAUUUUUGGCUUAUUCUAUUUGCUUUAUUGCAGUUGUAACAUAUUUUAGUUAUAUGAUUAUCCUUUGGUCGGAAAAACUGCAUUGCAAAAAUGUUUAUGGCCAGACUUAUUGUAAUUGUGAUACUACUCAUAUGUUGCUAAUAUAGUUGAAAUAUACAUUUUUUUAAUUAUAUUUACAAAUAGAAUAAUAAAUUAAAUGAUGUUAUGAUUGGCAACAAUAAAAUUGUUAUGAAAGGUAUAAAGAAAUUUUAACAGUAUUCAUGUAACAAUAAUAUGAAAGGUAUAAAGAAAUUUCAAACAGUAUUCAUGUAACAAUAAUAGUUGUUAUAAUUAAUUAAAUUGGUUGUGUUAAAAAAUUUAUAACUAUAAAAUUUGUUGUUAUAAUUAAAAAAAUUAUUGCAAAAAUAAUUUUAUCAACGACAAUAACAGAUAUAUAAAAGAUUUUUCUAUGAUUACAAUUGUUGUUAAAGUUAUUUAGUGAAAUGACAAAAAUCAUGAUGCUAAAUGUAAUUAGCAACAAUAUAUGAUUAUGUUGCCAAACAUGUUUUUGUAUUCGAAAUUUAUGAUUGCUAAAAUAAAAUUAAAACAAAAACAUUUAAUCGUUAUAAAAUAUUUUAUGUAAUCAAAAUAAUAUUAUUAUGUAAGUUUUUGUAAUCGAAUUUUAUGAUUGCUAAAAUUAAAUUUAUACAAUGUUAUUUUGUUGUUGCAAAAUUUUAUACAAUGACAUUUUAUCAUUUUGAAAAAAUGGUUUAUUUGGCAACAAUUAAAAGUCGUUACAAUUUUUAUUUUUUUCAACAACACUAUAAAUUAUUACAUUAAUUCUUUAUUAAAAAGGUUAAUAGCUAUUUUUUUUUAAACAACACUAUAAGUUAUUGCAUUAAUUCUUUAUUAACAAGGUUAAUAGCAAUGAUCUCGUAACGAUAAAAAAUUAUUUCAAAAUAAUUUUAGCAACAACAAAUAAUUAUUUAGCAAUGUUUUGGAUUGUUGUAAUAUAUCAAUUUUCUUAUAGUGCAAACAUAAUCAAAUUAAGCGUAAAUGUGACAAAAAUUGUUCUUCACUUCAUUAAAUAAUUAAUGGCUAAACUAAUUAAACUAACAAUAUAUCAAUGUUAGAUAAAAUAAGAUAACUAAGCACUACAAAAAAAGUUAUUUUUAUCGACAUUUAUAAAUGCCAGUAAAAGAUUAAAAAAGUGAUGAUAUUACUGUUACAAGAGUUUUUGUCUCGGUUAGGUGAGUGUUAAUGAAAACUUUUCGACAGUCAAAUCACCAAUGCUAGAACUACACAUGUACUUGCUAAUAUGAUUUUUUUGGGUACUUUAAAUUGCUGUUAUAAGUAAACAACUUUUAAAUAUAUUUUAAAAUACUAGUUAAAGUCGAAUUUUAUUUAAGUUGUUUAUAUUAUUGAGUGAGUUAUAUUGACACUUAAAAUCAUCCUUAAAAGUAUUAUUAUUGUUUUUAAAUAAUUUUCAUACUUCUAAUCUUUGUAACCAAUAAAAUUAAAAAAUAAUGCAUACCAAUUAAUGGAGAACUCAGGUCUGAGAAAUGAAAGUCUGCAAGUCACUUUUGCAAUUUCUGACAAAAGAACAUUUUUAGAUUAUUUAUUUCCCAAAUUUUGCUUUCCUCAUUACAGAAUAAUAAUUAACUGACAUGUGCAUCACACUUGAAGUAUUCAAGCAUAGUUAAAAUCAGACAGAGACCUUGCAAAUUUCAUCAGUAAAGUGAUAUUAUUAUAAUUCAUAAGUAUUAACAUCAGCAAAAUUCAGUACCAAUGUCAAUGUCUACAAGCUACUAAGGACAUCGGGUAACCAUCAAAGGCAAAUUGCAACCUGAUACCAAUCCCAUUACAAAUAUCAAAACUAUCAAAACAUCAAAAAGUUAUCAAAAUACGAAUUAUCAACAAUAAUGCAAUAGCAUCAUUCUCAAAGCUUCCAUCUCUCUUUAGUUAUUUGCACAUGGUGCUUCCAAUGAAUUUUAUACAUUUGAACCCUACAAUAUAAUACAAUUUCUGGAUUACUUCAAUCAUAAGGACCACCUUAUAUUAGUAAAGUAAGGGGGGUUUUUUGUUAUUUUAGCCAAUAUUCUUCUACAAAUGAAUAGUAAGGCCUAUAGAGCUGAACAGCUAAACAAGAGGGGUUUGACAACUGCUAGGAAAAAUAAUAACAGCAUGAGUGUAGGUAAUUUACUCAAUAUACUGCCAAGACGUGGUUUUAAAUUUUAAGCCAGAACUAUCGUUGAAUCAUAAACUUACAGGGUGAAGUCCACCUUGGUGUAGAAAUUCGAGAGCAGCAUGACAAAAGAAGCCAAACCUUUCUGCAUCUUUUCUGCAACCAUAAACACACCUGUCCAAAAGAAUCUGCAAGCAACAAUACACCAAAGGAUUCUUGUGAUUAUAAUUUCUUUUUUUAACAAGUGAAACAUUGUAAUUCUUAAAGGUGCUUUAGGAGUAUGAAAAUUACCCGUUUUCUGGCUCCAGAAAAUAAACUGAAGGCCUUCCACUUUUCCAAACCAAACUUUAACUUCAGUGCCACCCGAAGAAUAGCCUCUUUGGUAAUGAAUAUCCUUCACCUAUAUCAUAGAACAUUCAUUUAACAGAUCUGAAAUUAUUAAAAAAACAAGUUUGAAAAAAGUAAAGAAUGAAUUGUUUUAUAUCUUUUUCGAAUAUUAAGAUCCGAAUGAAUGAAAUCGAGAAUCUGAUUAUAUGACAAUAAACAUCUUUUAAGUAGCAUUCCCAAAAUUUUCGUCAUGUAUAGCCCAAAUAAAGAUGAGGGCAGGUAAGCCUUAUAUGAAACUUUUGUUUUCUGGAAAACCUAAUAAGAAAAGGUUAUGCGACAAUUUAGUACCGGUAUCUUAUUAAAGGAAAAAUGCACUUCAGCCACCUCAUGCAAGAUAGAUAACACCACACGCUAGCUUACAAACAGCAUGCCUAGUAAGCAAGAAUAAAAACAAAAAAAAUCCAUAAUUUAAGGAAAUUAAGGCAAUCCUGUGAAAACAAUUAAGAUGAAAAAUCUGGCUAAAGUGAUGGCAAUGAACUUUACAUGGCUAAGGUUCAAGCAGUCAUACUUUGGAAGAAUGAUGUCCACAUUGUUGUUUAAAUCUUGAAGAGCACGCGAGAGACUUGUAACGACAUAACCCAGAUCUCCAACCUGCAAAGUUAUAAAAAGGAAAUAAUUGAGAAAAAGAUGGAAAAUGGAAAAUCUUUUAGGUUUUUACUACAUAUUCGACCACAAACUGGAAAUAAUACAACACAGAUGUCUAUGAUGUUCCAUUUCUGUCUGAGGUUCAGCAUCCUCUCCCCCAACUGUCUCAUUUCCAAAACACUUUUCAUUAGGAAAAGACAUGUCUUUCGGGCCUUCUUUCAGCUUAAAGAAUUUUCUCUUCAUUAAGAGAAAGAAUCUGAAUGGACUCGUAAGCAAAGAAAAACUAGAAAAGAAACCUUGAUAUAUAUCAGGGCAAUAAAAAAAGUUUUAAAAACCUAAACUCCCUAAUGUCCAAAAGUUACCUUUGCAAUGGGGACUAUGUCAACAGCAAUAUGCGCAAUGUUCAUUGGUGGCUCUUGCACAAUUCCUCGAAAAACAGAUAUUCCAUAAUCCAUACCGUCUUUGUUGUCAAAAGUUCCAGCAUCUUCCCUCUCAGAGAAUACAAAGUCCAUAUUUGCAUCCAAUGGAACCUUGACUGCAGAGACACAUAAAGUGAGUAAGUCUUUAAUAGAAAGAUUUAAUGCAACAAAAGCCAAAAUAUAAAAGAAACGCCAUAUGUCACCUAAGGAGAUGAUAUAAAGCAACAAUUGAUAAGUCAUAUAUGCCUAAAACUUAGGCACAGAUUGAAUUCCAAAUAAUUUAUUAGUCUGGAUCUAUAGAGGAUAAAAUGGUGAAUGCAAACAGCAGAUGACCCAAGAAGCAGUACAAUUUUCUAUUCACUAAAAUUGACUAUAAAGGAUACUGAUAGGUGAAAUAACUCACAAACUUAUUAGAGAGAAUAUUAUUUUAAAAGCAGUUGAUUAUCACAUUGAUCCAUGAAACCAUACAGACAGAGACAAUUAAUGCAUGCAUCAGAUACGAGCUCAGUCAUUGCCAAAAAAUUAUGCAUCAGAGAAAAACUUUUAUCAAAAGCAUUUGUUUGAAAACCAUACUUUAGAAACUAUUAAAGCAGUCAAAAGUGUACUUUUUGACCAAAGACAUCUCUCGGUGAAAAGAAAUCAAUACAGGACAAGUCAAUCCAUGAAGACCAAAAGUUUGGUUCCCGAGUUAAUAAGACAACCUAGUAAGGAAGAAAGACAUGAAGCCCACAAGGGGAAAUGAUGUUCUUAAUAUCACAUUGAUUGUUCACAUUGUGUCAUGGUCCCUUACAAGUCAAUGCACAAGAUCUGCCAAAGAGAUUUACCUCACAUUAUUCCGUUGAUUUGAUAUAUUUGUCAUCUAAACCUACAAAACUUGCUUAAUAUAUCUUCCUAAGAUUGAACUACCUAUUAUGACAUUUACAAAAUUUUUAACUCAAACUAACUCUACGAAGACUAUUUAGUACUUUACAAAUUGUACAGUCAUAAUUUCAGAUCUAACAAAACAAACAAUUAAAAACAAACCCACAAAGUGCAUUCGUAUUUUUUAACUUAAUUCUAUAAAUACCAAGUCACCUAAAUGUUCAUGUAUUCCUCUCUCUCUCUCAAUGACAAAUAAUUUUACUCAUAAGCGACCACAACGCCGAUCACAACAUCCAAAACAUUCAACUUUAAACUCUAAUACACACGAUCAAAACCAAUGCCGUCCAAGUUAGAAGAUUAGAAACUUAGAGAGAAAACUUUUGAUUAGAGAAAUACGAAAUAAGAAAGAAUGAGAGACAUAGCAGCAUACUAGUGACCCAGAAAUCCAACAAUAUAGUCAUAGACAACUAAAUAUAUUACUACCAUAUGUGUUAUAAAAGAGGAUCUUGACUUCAAGCGAAAAGAGGCACACAUGCUUAUUUGCAUUUGUAUCCAAGUAUAUCCUCUUAGAAAUUAUUGUUUCCUCUUUGUUUGAUACCAUCACUAUUUCUCCACCUAUAGAAACCAUCACAAGCUUAAAGUGCGAUAAGUGAUGAUCAGUUAAGACAAAGAAAAAAAUUGUAUCAUUUCCAGAAGGAGAUUUGGCUUCAAAGUUUUUGUCAUUAUUAACACUAAGAAACAGUAGAUUUCUAUUAGGAGAUUAUGAGCUGGUAAGAAGCUCAUAAUUAAGGAGAUCAAACCUUAAAGCCAAAGGGUAGAAAAUAAGGACUUAACGAUGUCCUUUAAUAAAGGUACACAAAUGUCAUCCAAUAACAACAAGGCGAAAAGAAAUUGUGCGGACACUACAUACACAAAAGUCCGCAAAUAACCAAUUUCAUCUAGUAUGAGUAACUAAUUCAUAAUUAAGACAUCAUAUGUGCAAACCAAUCUAUACGUUCAAAUAAUUUUUCAGAAGUAAGCUGCCUUUCAGAAAUUAUUCAUAGUCACCACUCAACAACAUACUAAGUUCAAGAUUAGUUCACACAUUAUACCCAAUAACAAAUCACAAAAAAAAUAAUAAAAUAAAAUAAAUUCAAAAUGAAAAUCAAUAAAUUAAAACCUACCUUAGAUAGAUUAGAAUUGAGAUUGAGCUUGACUGAACAUCAAAAUCAAGAUAAGCUGUAUCAAAUAAAAUUCAACCUCGAUCGAAACAAAAAAAAAUUGUUAGUCAUUUCGGUCAUCACAAAAUCAGAAUCAAAAUGAAUAGAAAGAGGAAGUACCUGUUUUGAAACGGCACUGAUGAAGAAGAUGACAAUGAUUGAGCUGAAACUAGAGAGGAAAAAAUUAGGGGUUUUAAAAAAUUAAGGAAAGAUUCAUUAGAUUUUUGUCUCAAAACUGAUUUGAAAAACAAUAGAUGAAAAAACAUGAUUUGCAGACAGUGAUUAGCUGAAAAUCGCAGAAAUGCAGAGGCUUAGGAGAGAGUGAUUCAUAUAUACAUAGCUACAAGCAGAGGAAAUCGAAAUUUCAGCUUGUUUGUAGCAGAGGAAAUCGAAGAAAUUGUAGCAGAGAUUGAUAGUGUUGAUGGAGAGUGCUGAGAGCGAGAGAGAUUAAAAAUAUAUAUAAAAAAAGAGAAAUAUGAAAUAUGAAAUGAGAGAAAACAACUGAAAAAAAAAUGACAGGUAAAUUCGCAUUUGUUCAGUUUUAGCAUCUAUAUCAUACUAUCUAUUCUGAAAGAUUCCAACAUGCAUUUUAAUAUUUGGGAUGUGAACUUUAAUGGGAUUUUGUUUUCCCGUGUACAAAUACAAUAGAUCUCUCUCUUUCAGUCUCACUUAAGAGCUUCAUGCAAUCACAUUUAGAGAAGAAACACCAGUACUUCUUGUAUGGACAUGAUUGAAGGAUUUAUUCCUACUGAAUUCACAAAUGACAUGCUCCUAUAUCGUCUGGAAGGACAACUGCAAGUAACACAGAAUUUACAUGAUCAGCCUUCUUUCUUUCUUUCUUUCUUUUUUCUAUAAUUUAUAUUUUUGAAAAUCAUUCUCUAACCACAAUAAAAUGAAGAAAGAUGAACCUCGACAAACUUACACUUGCAUCUAUUAUUAUUAUUCUAUCUCAACAUGUCAACUAAAUUUGGUUGGUAGAUAAGAUUGAAGACAAAAAUCAGAAAAAAAAAAAAUGCAUAUAGUUCACAAAUUAAGAACAUGUGAUAGUACUUUGCAUACUUAAAUAAGUGUGGACAAGUCGAUGAUAAGUGACUAAUUCCACGGCAUCUCAAAAGCCUAAGAUAACAAAACCAUAUGAAAUCAAAUCAAGUCAAAUUCAAUACUGCCUUAUAUACAUUACAGUGUUAUUAUGACUCAAAUAUAUAUAUAUAUAUAUAUAUUAUUUGGUUACUAACAAGAACAAGAAAGUUACGGAGAUAACCAUUGAAAAGAACAAAAAAUAUUGCUUUUUCUAAAGAGUAUUAUCUCAGGAAUAUUUAAUGUUAUUUGUAUGGAAAAUGUUUAAUCAGUUAUCCGAGAAAAAGAAAAUAUUUUUAAUAUAUAUUUGGGAUAAUUGAAAUAUAAUAAUAUAUAAUUAAAAAGCGAUGAAGGUACCUUCAAUAUGGACACAAAAUACAUAGCUGUUCUGCCAAUGGCCUGCAAGAAAAUUAUGAAGUUCAAAUGAAAAUUGUCUUGAAAGGUAGUUAGAGGCAGUCUAUGUACUUUUCAAUAAUCUUAAACUAUAUACAAACAAUUGUGUAUCUUACUUUAUUAAUCCUUCUCCAUGUUUUUCAAAAACUCUCUUUUGAUAUUUUUUAGCAUGGAAACAACAUCCUUCAUAUUUAUUCUGUUUUCAGGUAAGUCAGAUGAACAAUCCAAAGCUAACGCCAUGAUGGACGAUAUACAAUUCACUUUGACAACAAAAUAUUCAUCCUCUUUAUGCACUAACUGGAGUCCGCUACAUCAAUUAUUCCAUUAGAUUGUGACAUUUUCACCCAAUGUCUCAUACUCAUUUCUCCAGCAAAAGAUUCAUCAGUGGGCCUCUUUCUUGUGAAAAUUUCCAUUAGUAGAAUACAAUAACUAUAAACAUCACUUUUAAUAGAAAUAAUUCCUGCUGAUCCAUAUUCUGCAUUUUAAACAUAAUUGAAUAAUUAAAAGAUAUUAUAUCUUCAUAAUCAUCAAAAAAUAUGCUUAUGUUAGAAUAUGGAAAAAAAUAAUAAUAAAACAUCACCUGGUGCCAUGUAGCCAAUAGUGGCAAGUGUCAUUGUUUGUUUCAUAGAAUCUUCUUCUCCCAACAAUUUGGAAAUGCCAAAAUCUCCCACAUGAGCAACCAUGUCUUUGUCUAGUAAGACAUUACUUGGUUUUAGGUCACAAUGGAUUAUAGGUGUUGGAUGUCCCAAAUGGAGGUAUUCUAAUGCUGAUGCAACAUCCAUCAUUAUGUUGAUUCUUUGUAGGAUAUCCAAGAAAUAAUUGUAAGAAUAUAACCAUUUCUCAAGGCUCCCAUUAGGCAUGAAUUCAAGCACUAAGGCUUUGAAGUCAAUAGUAGAACAACAACUAAUGACCUUAACAAGAUUGCGGUGAAAGAUAUUGCUCAUCACUUCACAUUCAAUCUCAAAACUCCUAAAUGCUCCAUCUCUUUGCAAAUUAAAAACUUUUAUUGCAACAUUUGUCCCAUCUAAAAGUAUUCCUUUGUAUACAGAGCCAAAACUUCCUGAACCCAGUAAGUUGUUUUCACUAAAUCCAUUAGUCCCUUCCAAUAGCUGAUUAUAGGAAAUUCUUCUCCAUUUCUCGACAGGAAUUAAAUCUUCAACAAUCGCCAAAUUCGUAUUCCCCCGCUGCUUUUUUUUGUAGACAAUUAUGACUGCAAUAACUAUUAUUAUUGAAGCAAAUGUUGGUAAAACAUACCUCAAAGCAUGUAGAGCGGUCUUCUUGAAUUUCCGAUGGAUUUUAUUUUUGCAAGGUGAGACUUGUAGUCUAGGUGAACCACAGAGUGCAUAAUUUUUCAUGAAUGAUUUGGCCCGUGAAGUUUAAAAAGGGACCUCCACUUGGGAUUUCCCCUUCCAAUCUAUUGAAAGACACAUUAAAAUAAUUGAGAUCAUAAAGUCUUUCCAAAGACUUGGGAAUGACUCCAGAGAGAUUAUUGUUAGAUAAAUCCAAACAUUUCAAACUCAUCAAGUCACCAAAUGAUUCAGGAAUAGGACCUUGUAAUAUAUUACUAGCUAGAUUCAAAACCUGUAGAUCAUGAAGACUUCCAAUUGUGGGCGGAAUAUCACUUGAUAAUAAAUUCCUUGACAAUUUCAAAGAGAUAAGUACCUUCAAAUUUCCAAUGUCAAGUGGAAGUGAACCGCUAAGAUUGUUUGAUGACAAGUCUAUUUCUAAAAUAUAUUUAAGGCUCCAAAAAGUUAAAGGUAUUGUUGAAUGCAAUUUGUUGGAGAACAAGUAUAGAUAUCUCAGAGAAGUCAAAUCACACAAACAUGUCGGUAAAGGCCCAUCAAGCUCAUUAUCACCUAAUGAUAUUUUGUACAAUCCCUUCAAACCACAAAGAUCAUAUGGGAUAGAGCCUUGUAACUUAUUUCCAUAAAGAAGCAAAAGUUGGAGAUUUUUUAGCCUUCCUAAUGUUGUUGGAAUAGGUCCACUCAAUUUAUUAGAGGAAAGGUCUAACAAUGUAACGUUGCUUAAGCUACCAAUUUCCAUGGGAAUGCUGCCUCUAAUUUUGCAAUCUCUAAUCAAUAAAUAUUGAAGUGAUGUAGAGAGAUUUGAGAUAGAAGUUGGAAGAAUACCGUUCAAUGCAUUGGAUGAUAGGUCUAAAUAUCUUAGAUGCUUGCAACUUUUCAAGGAAUAGAAAAAAUUCCACUCAUGAGUUGAAGCUUUGGUGGUCAAAUGAUUAAUAUCAAGGCGCAAUUUCUCGAGGAACCUCAAAUUACCAAAUGUGUUUGGUAUAAGGCCAUAGAAUGAGUUUCCUUCUAAUUCUAGGAUUCUAAGCUUAGAAACAUUGGAGAUAGAUUCAGGAAUAUUUCCACUAAGAUUAUUCGUCCAUAAGUAAAGCUCCUCAAGAUUUGAAGCAGAGCUCAAGUGCGGUAAUUUACCUAAAACAAAAAAUAAAUAAAUAAAUUUGCAUAUUCCCAUACAAGAAAUAAAUUAAUUGUUUUGCUUUAUUGUGUUUUUCAUGAAUCUAUGAUGCAAGCUGAAGUGAAUGAAAUGAUUACAUAUACGAACAUGAGUGUGGAGAAACAUGAAGCCUUUAACAAUUUUAAAUAUGAAACAACUUCAAGUUUAUCUUGGUUGAUGAUCUGGAAUAUAUAUAUAUAUAUACAAUUUAUAAAAUUUAUUCAUAGUUAUAAAAAUAUAUUAAAAGGUUCCAUGCUUACGUACGUAUAAUAAAGUAAAAAAGAGGAAAAAGAAAAGUAAAAGAACAAACGGAAGAUAGAAGAAAUUUUGGUUGUGAGAAUUUUAUUUUCUUUAACUUAUCUCAAUUGCUUUAAUGAUAAAAAAGAUUAAAGAAAAUUUGGUUAAUGAAAUUGUUCCAAAAGGAAAAACAAAUAAGAUAAAAAUUGAAGAAAAUAAAAAUAUAUAUAUUUAAAUUAAUUUGUUUGAGAAAAGAAAAAUAUGAAAGUGUAAAUGUUUGGAAAUAAAAUUAGAAUUUUUAUCUAUCCUAUUUUAGAAAAAAAAAAAAAACCCUCAAGAGAAAUGAUAAAAUUUCUCUCAUUUUAGACGAUAUGGAUAAUUUAAAUGAAAAAAACAAAGAUUCGACAAAAAAGAUUGUUAAAAGUAAAUGCACUCACUUUAGUUUGAAAAUCACUCUCUUACUUCCCUAAGGGUUGAUAGAACCUUACGAGUGCUCUACUAGAGAAGGUUCAUUUGAGGUUUGUUGGGGUAAUAUUGUAUACAUUUUACUAUUACAAUACAAAAUUUAGUAAUAUGAUGAUAAAAAAUGUGAAACUAAUAAAAACUUUAAAAUGAUGCUUUUGAUUACACAAUUAUUGCUUUUUAUUUUGCAAAAGAACAAUUACAUUCCCUAAUUUGAUAACAAAAGAAACGUAAAAGUAGCACUAUUUUUUAUUGCAUAUAAUAAAAAUGGAGUAUAUCAUUUGUAAUUAUUAUAAUAUAAUUAAUUAAUUAUUAUUUAAAAUUAUGUAAUAUCUAUUAAAAUUUUAUAUGAAAUUCACAUUUAUAAAUGAUAACUCUUACAUAUUUUUUUAUUAUGAUUGAAUAAUAAUUAUAAUAUUAUAAUAUAAGAAUUGUAUGGGAAAUGUACUCAACAAAAAAUUAACAUUUGACAAAAAGGUCGGUAACAUUAAAACAAUCUCCAAAAAAAGAAUUGGAGUUGGAGGAAGAAUUGGAAAUUGACACGUGGUUGGACAAAUCAAGAAUUUUUUUUUUAAUUUUGAAUGUUGAAUUUUUUAGGAAUGGAGUACAACUAAAAAAAUCAUUAAUACUAUAUUUUAAAAUAAUUUUUUAAGAGAUUAUUUGUUUGACAUUUAGCAUUAUCUCAGUAGAUACAUUUGUCAAUUGUUUUUAAGAUUUCAUUAUUGCCAUUUAUUCACAUUUGAUUGGUUGGUUUUUGUUAAUUUUAUAUAAUUAAUCAUAAGUUUAGUCCUCAAUUACCAUAUAGACUUUACUGAUUUGUCUCAAAAGAAUGGGAUGACUAAAAAAAUAAAAUAGGCUAAAUAAACAUAUGAGCCUUAAUUUUUGUAUUAGAAGAAUGGACUUAUUAUAUAAUGUUAAAAUAAUUUUAAUCGAAUUUUUAAUUUCCAUAUUUAAAUUUAUUUAUUUAUAUAUAAUAUAAUAGUACUCAAAUUAAAAUCACCUUAUCAUUCAAUAAAAAUAUUAUACUUUAGAAGAUUUAAAUUUAAUAUUUUAUUUUAUUUUAUUAUAAUAUUACAUACAUGUUGUUAAUAAAUAAUAAAAUUAUAUUAAUUUUAAUAAAAUAUUACAUGUUGUUAAUAAAUAGUAAAUUUAGAACAAAACUAAAAAAUAAUUGUUCUAAUGUCAUUCGCUAAUAAUAGAAAAUUACAAAUUGAUCAAGAAAGAAUUAAAUUAAAAAUAUUUUAGGGAAUAAACACUAAACAGUUUUUAAUUUGGUUUUAUUAAAAUGGAAAAACUCUUUCUUUCCUACUUCAAAAUAAUUACAAUGCAGGCUUUAGUUAUAAUUUUUAUGUAAUUUUUGUUUUAGAAUACAAUUUUUACAUGUAAUUUUUUAAUAAUAUUUUCAUUUUUAGAAUCUCUAUCUCCUUCUAUUCAUUUUUCUUUCUUUCAUUCUUUUCUCCUUGUUAUUUGGUAUUUUUUUUUUUCCAGUUUCAAAUUUUUUAGCUAGGUUUACUUUUUAUCAUCUAUAUAAAAAAAUUAAACAAAUACGCACAUACUAUAUCAUCUUUUACUGUUUUCAAUAUAAAAAAUAUCACAAUGCAACAUUCAUUUUAAAUUAAUGCAAUGGGAAAGUGGAUAAUUGUCAAAUAGUUCCAUUUGAUAUACGCUAACUAAUGAUUAAAAGCUAUAUCAGUUCCUUCCUCUUGUCAAAUUCUACUAUGACUAUAUAACUAGCAUAUUUCAUUAUUUUGACAAUUUAUUAAGUGCUAAUCAAACAUAUAUGUAUGAACCAUAUUUGAUUGCAACAUAUGAACUUUUGAUUAUACCUAUAGAAUCUGAUUACUCUUUUCUUUAUAACUUCAUUACAAUAAAAAUCAAAUAUAUUCGUUUGAAUCAUGUUUGAUUUAUCCUCAUAAUGAAUUUUUGAAUUUUACAAUCCUUUUUAUAUGUACUUAACAACUUUAAUAAAUUUAAUGAAAUCUAUAUAAUUUAAUUUUUAUGAAACAUUUCACAUAUAGCGAAUAAAAUUACUUGUGGCAAAGCAUGGGAUGCACACUAAUAAUAAAUAUAAAAGUAAUGAAAUACAUUGUUACAUUCUUUAUCACACAUAAUAUAAAUUUUAAGUAUUUGCAAAUAAAUAAAUGUAAAAUAUAAAAUAUAAUAUUACUACUUUAAGUUAGAUGUAACAAUAAAUUAAGUUGGUAUUAAAUAAAUAUGCUAAUAACAAAGUACGUUAAUAUUACUUUUUAUUACAUUAUAAAACAAAUCAAGUAAUUUUAUCAUAUAUAAUUGCAUCACAACUGUUGGGUACCUAUCUUUUUUCCACAUUGGCCAACUUUGUAGUCUUAGCUAAUGGUGCACAUGCUAAUUAAGGGCAUCAAUCAACCAUAAAACGUUUAAUAAAAAAUAAAAAAUAUUUUCCAAAAGAUGGAAAUUUUGAUUUAUAGGUUUGGUUUUCAAAUUCCUUUUGAGUGUUUGUUUUGCUUUUCUGUAAUGUAAUUAUUGGAAACAGUAUUUGAUUUUAAUGAGAUAAAAGAGGUCUGAAAAAACAUUUCUCAAGCCUUUCAAUGACACCUCAUUUGUUUUAACAGUUUUCAUAAUUUUAUGAUUACUUGUUUUAUAAUCCUAAACUAAACUUUUUUCAAAACUAAAGUAAACAAUUUCAAAUACAUACAAAAGCAAUGAAAUGUUUAUAAUGAGAUUACCUGAUAGACUAUUGUUCGAGAGAUUAAUUAUUUUCAAAGCAGAAAUAUUGAAGAUGGCACAUGCAAUCAACCCACUUAAGCGUGUAGAUAAUGCACCUAGUAUCUCCAAUGAAUUAAGAUUUCCAAUCUCCCAUGGAAUUUCGCCUGCAAAGAAACAACAACUUAGUAUUAUAAAACUAUCCACUUUCUAAACAUUCCAAUGAUAUUGAGGUUAUUUAAAAUAGAAUAAAAGUCAAUUACACAAGAAAUUCCUAAUUUCUUCAAUGUUUAAAAUAUGAAGUAAUUAUUAUUUUUUUCAAUAUCAAAAGUUUGAGUCAAAAUGAGAAAGCAUAAAAAAAUUAAAAUGUGACUAUUUUCGUGAUGGCCAUUCUAUUAAUUUUAUUUAUUUAUUUUUUUUUUUUCAAGGAACAAAUAUAAAUAGUACAAAAUAUCAAUCAAUUGAAAUCUAAAUAAUCAAAUGUCAAAGCUUACCUUCUAUGUUAUUGUAACUUAGAUAAAUCUCUUCGACUUUGGUUAAAUUUCCUAUACUUUUUGGAAUGAGUCCACUGAACCUGUUAAAAGAUAAUGAUAAAUUUCGUAGAUUGUUGCAAUCACCAAUAUUUGAUGGAAUACGACCAGAAAACUCGUUGUCAAAUACAUAAAACACCUCAAGUUUGAGGAGAGAGUAACACAUAUUAUCUGUAAUACUGCCUGAGAGACUAUUGCUAUAGAGAUAAAUUUCUUUCAAAGAAGUAAGGUUAAAGAUGGAUGCUGGUAUUCGACCAACUAGCCUCAUAUUUUUGGCAGAAAAUAUCUCCAAGCUUAGAAGAUUUCCAAUUUCCCAAGGGAUUUCACCUGUUAAAAUUACAGAAACCAAGUUGCAAGAGCUCAGUCAAGUAGCAUGAAGCAUUUUUUGCUUGACAUCACGAUUCAUAAUGAAACCAUUUUCUUCAAAUUUUAUAAGAUUAUUAAUUAAAUUAGUUAAUUAAAUUUUCAUUCUAAACAUUAUCUAAAAAGAGAUUAAAUACCAAAAUUUUGAAUCAUAAUGGGGAAAGCAUACAAGAAACUUAAGUUCAUUUGGUUGAUUUUUUAUUUGUCUUUUAUUUUCUAUUCAUUUUUGAGUAAAAUGUAUCAAUUAUCCAUAACUUUUGUAUAAUAUUUCAUUUUAAUCCACAAAUUUUAAAACGUAGUUUAUAUCCAUAACCUUCUAAAAAUGUUUCAAAUUCAUAUAUUUCAUAAACCAUGAAUGAAAAAUCACUGAAACAUGCCAUGUGACUGAAAUUUCAACUCAAAAACCAUAAGGAUUCACCAUUUUUUGCCAUGUAACUAAAAAAUAUUUAAUUUACAAUAUUUAUUAUGGUUAAGAGUUAAAUUCAUUUUUUUAAUUUAAAAAUGGAUUAUUUCCAAAAAAAAAUCUAAAUUAGUUUUCAAAAAUUACAAAAACUUAUUUUUUAUCAAAUUUUUUGUUUAUUUGAAAAAAUGGAAAGAAGGAAAUAUUAAAAAAUAAAGAAAGAAAAGGGGAAAACAAAAAAGAGAAAAAAAUAAAAGAAGGAAAAAUGAAAAAGUAGUUUGGUUAACUAAUUUAAUAAUGACAUUUAUCAGCCUAUUAAAUGUUUAUUUCAAAUUUUAAAUGUUAGUUUUAGGAGGAAAAUAGUUCAUUUAAAAGUCAAUUACACAAAAAAUUCCUAAUUUCUUCAAUGUUUAAAAUAUGAAGGAAUAAUUAAUUUUUUUCAAUAUCAAAAGUAUGAGUCAAAAUGAGAAAAGUAUAAAAGAAAACCAAAAUAUGACUGUUUUCGUGUUGGCUAUUCUAUUAAUUUUUAUUUUUUAGUUAUUUAGUUUUAUUCUUUUUCUAAUAUAAAUAGUAAUAAAUAUCAAUCAAUUGAAAUCUAAAUAAUCAAAUGCAAAAGCUUACCUUCUACAUCAUUAUCACCUAGAUAUAUCUCCUCAAGUUUGGUUAAAUUUCCUAUACUUCUUGGAAUGAAUCCAUUGAAUCGAUUAAAAGACAAUACUAACUUUUUAAGAUUGCUGCAAGCACCAAUAUUUGAGGGAAUACUGCCAGAGACACUAUUGUUAUAGAGAGAAAUUUCUUUCAAGGAAGAAAGGUUAAAAAUGGAAGCUGGCAUUGGACCAACAAGGCUCAUAUUUUGGGCAGCAAAUAUCUCCAAGCUCAAAAGAUUUCCAAUUUCAGAAGGGAUCUCACCUGUGAACUAACAAAAAAAUGCAAGACUAAUAAAUAAAAAAUAUAAAUAUAUAUAUGGUAAGAGUUAAAUUUAUUUUUAAUUAAAAAUGGAUAUUUCCAAAAAAAUACAAAAAAAUUUUAUUUUUUCAAAUUUGUUGUUUAUUUGAAACAAUGGAAAAAGUAAUAUUCAAUAAAGAAAGAAAGGGCAAAGAAAGAAAAGAAAGAAGGAAAAAUAAAAAGUAGUUUGGUUAACUUUAAUAUGACAUUUAUUAGCCUUUAAAUGUAAUCAAAUUUUAAAUGUAAGUUUUAGGAGGAUGAAGAAUAUUCUUUUAUUAUGAGAUUAUUAAAUUAGAUAAUGAAACCAUUUUUCAAAUUUAUAGAUUAUUAUUAAAUUAGUUAAUUAUAUUUCAUUCUAAAUUAUCUAAAAGAGAUUAAAUACCAAAAUUUUGAAUCAUAAUGGGGAAAAUAAAAGAAACUUAAGUUCAUUUGGUUGAUUUUUUAUUUGUCUUUUAUUCUAUUCAUUUUUGAGUAAAAUAUCAAUUAUCCAUAACUUUUGUAUAAUAUUUCAUUUUCCAAAAUUUUAAAACGUAUUUAUAUCCAUAACCUUCUAAAAAUGUUUCAAAUUCAUAUAUUUCAUAAACCAUGAAUGAAAAAUCACUGAAACAUGCCAUGUGACUGAAAUUUCAACUCAAAAACCAUAAGGAUUCACCAUUUUUUGCCAUGUAACUAAAAAAUAUUUAAUUUACAAUAUUUAUUAUGGUUAAGAGUUAAAUUCAUUUUUUUAAUUUAAAAAUGGAUUAUUUCCAAAAAAAAAUCUAAAUUAGUUUUCAAAAAUUACAAAAACUUAUUUUUUAUCAAAUUUUUGUUUAUUUGAAAAAAAUGGAAAAAGGAAAUAUUAAAAAAUAAAGAAAGAAAAGGGGAAAACAAAAAGAGAAAAAAUAAAAGAAGGAAAAAUGAAAAAGUAGUUUGGUUAACUAAUUUAAUAAUGACAUUUAUCAGCCUAUUAAAUGUUAUUUCAAAUUUUAAAUGUAAGUUUUAGGAGGAAAAUAGUUCAUUUAAAAGUCAAUUACACAAAAAUUCCUAAUUUCUUCAAUGUUUAAAAUAUGAAGGAAUAAUUAAUUUUUUUCAAUAUCAAAAGUAUGAGUCAAAAUGAGAAAAGUAUAAAAGAAAACCAAAAUAUGACUAUUUUCGUGUUGGCUCAUUCUAUUAAUUUUUAUUUUUAGUUAUUUCUUUUUAUUCUUUUUCUAAUAUAAAUAGUAAUAAAUAUCAAUCAAUUGAAAUCUAAAUAAUCAAAUGCAAAAGCUUACCUUCUACAUCAUUAUCACCUAGAUAUAUCUCCUCAAGUUUGGUUAAAUUUCCUAUACUUCUUGGAAUGAAUCCAUUGAACCGAUUAAAAGAUAAUGAUAACUUUUGAAGAUUGCUGCAAGCACCAAUAUUUGAGGGAAUACUGCCAGAGACACUAUUGUUAUAGAGAGAAAUUUCUUUCAAGGAAGAAAGGUUAAAAAUGGAAGCUGGCAUUGGACCAACAAGGCUCAUAUUUUGGGCAGCAAAUAUCUCCAAGCUCAAAAGAUUUCCAAUUUCAGAAGGGAUCUCACCUGUGAAAAUAACAGAAACCGAAUUGCAAAAGCUGGGUCAAGCAGCACGAGGCAUUUUUUUGCUUCCAAUCACUAUUCAUUAUGAAAUCAUUUUCUCCUAAUUUUAUGAGAUUAUUUAUUAAAUUAGAUAAUUAAAUUCUCAUUCUAAACAUUAUCUCAAAAGAGAUUAAAUACCAAAAUUUUUAAUCAUAAUGGGGAAAACAUAAAAGAAACUUAAGUUCAUUUGGUUGAAUUUUUUCUAUUUGUCCUUUACCUUCUUUUCAUUUUUAAGCAAACUAUACCAAUUAUAUAUAACUUUUGUGCAAUAUUUCAUUGUCAUCCACAAAUUUUAAAAUGUAGUUUAUAUCCAUAACCUUCCAAAAUUGUUUCAAAAUCAUAUAUUUCAUCAACCAUCAAUGAAAAAUCAAUGAAACAUGUAAUGCGACAAAUUUCAACUCAAAAUUCAAAAGGAUUCACCUUUUUAUGCCAUGUCACUAAAGAGUAUUUAAUUUACAAUAUUUUUUAUGGUUAAGAGUUAAAUUUAUUUUUUAAAUUUAAAAACUGAAUAUUUCCAAAAAUUAAAUUAAUUUUUCAAAAAAAUACAAAAAAUUAUUUUCAGCCAAGAAAUUUUACCUAAGAAAAUAACAUGAGUUUCAUGGUCACUGUUAAUAUUUAGGAGUUUUAACAUGAUAUCAAUAAUUAAAUUAAUUUUAGCACUUACUUUCCAAAUUAUAAAAGUAAUUCUUUUACAGUAAUUUCAAAUUAUCAAAUAAAGUUUAUUUUGACAAAAACUUCAAUGUUGAUAAGAAAAUAAAUAAAACUAGUCAUGUUUUAAUUUAAUAGGAAAAUAAUUAAUUAUAAAUAAAGUAGCUAAUUUAAUAAAUUAUCAAAUUAUCAAAGGAAAAUAAUAAUAAAAAAAAGCUUACCUUCCAAUGUAAAUACUUUUUUAAAAUUAUCAAAUUAUCAAAUACUUUUUUUAUUUUGUAAAUGAAUGUCUUAAAAAUAGUUUUUAAAAUUAUUUUAUAUAAACAUAAAAAUAUUAAAUAUAAUUCAGUAGACAUUUGAAAACAUUAUAAAAUAUUAGUAAUGUUUAUUAUUAUUAUUUACUCUUCCACUUAUUAAAAUAUAGUUUUUUAAUCCAAUAUAAUAAUAAUAAUAAUAUAUUUUAAUUUUUAUCUAUUUAACUCACAAGAAAAUAUCAUGCGAAAAAAUAAAUGUAAGUUCUAGGAAGAAAAUAGUUCAUUUAAAACUCAAUUACACAAAAAAUUCCUAAUUUCUUCAAUGUUUAAAAUAUAAAGGACUAAUUAAUUUUUUCAAUACCAAAAGUUUGAGUCAAAAUGAGAAAAGUAUAAAGGAAAACCAAAAUAUGACUAUUUCCGUGUGGGUCAUUCUAUUAAUUUUUAUUUUUUAGUUAUUUCUUUUUAUUCUUUUUCUAAUAUAAAUAGUAAUAAAUAUCAAUCAAUUGAAAUCUAAAUAAUCAAAUGCAAAAGCUUACCUUCUACAUCAUUAUCACCUAGAUAUAUCUCCUUAAGUUUGGUUAAAUUCCCUAUACUUCUUGGAAUGUGUCCAUUGAAUCGAUUAAAAGAUAAUGAUAAAAUUUGAAGAUUGCUGCAGUUACCAAUAUUUGAUGGAAUGCAACCAAAAAAUUCGUUGUAGGAUAUAUGAAGUACCUCAAGUUUGAAAAAAGAGUAACAUAUAUUAUCCGGAAUACUACCAGAGAGAUUAUUACUAUAGAGAUAAAAUUCUUUCAAAGAAGUAAGGUUAAAGAUGGAAGCUGGUAUUGGACCAACUAGCCUCAUAUUUACGACAGAAAAUAUCUCCAAGCUUAGAAGAUUUCCAACUUCCCAAGAGAUUUCACUUGUGAACAUAGAAAACAAUUUGCAAGAGCUCGAUCAAGUAGCAGAAAGUUUUUUUUGUUGGCAUUACAAUUCAUAAUGAAACCAUUUCCUCCAAAAUUUAUGAUAUUAUUGAUUAAAUUAAUUAAUUAAAUUCUCAUUCUAAACAUUAUUUCAAAAGAAGUUAAAUACCAAAAUUUUGAGAAAUAAAACCGGAAAAUAGAAAAGAAAUCAAAGUUCAUUUGGUUGAUAUUUUAUUAUUGGACUUUUAGUUUCUAUUAUUUUUUCGGUAAAAUAUACCAAUCAUGUAUAACUUUUGUGCAAUAUUUCAUUUUCAUGUACAAAUUUUAAAAUGUCAUUUUUAGAUCCAUAACCUCAUAAAAGUAUUUCAAAUUCAGCCAAAAAAUCAGAUAGGUUUACUCUUUUUGCCAUGUGAACAUUCACAUGGAUAUCUUGUGGCACUAAGAUGGUAAAUUUCGUCCUAUUUGAAACAAUUUUAAGGGAUCGUAGAUUCAAAAUUUGAGCUUUAAUGAAAAUGAAAUAUUAUAUAUACCAAAAUCAUGAAUAUAUGAUUAAUUUACACUAUUUUAGGAUUUUUUUUUACUUUUCUCUAAUACUUUUUGCAAAAACAAAAAAAAUAGCAAUAAAAAAAUAUAUUAUUAUCAAGCAGAGCCUAAAUAAUAAAAUAUCCAAGAGAUAUCUUUAGGUUUAUAAAUUUACUUAUCCCAUUUGGAUUAUUUCCGUUGAAUCAAAUUGUAACCUAAGUUACUACAACUAUCACUAGAAAACCCACCGCAACUAGACAAUCAAGCCUGAUCUUUUUCACAAGAUUUAUCUUGUUUACAAUAUUUACGUGCUUGGUUGUAACUGCUUUUUUGUUGUGUUGUGUUCUUCUCUCAUUUUGUCCUCUCUUAAAACUCUUAAUAUUGUAUCCCUCAUUAUCCUCCAUUGAAUAAAGGACAAAACUUAUAUGAAAUUCGGUGAAGUUCGUAAAAUUUUUUACUAGAAAUGAUUAAAUAAAAACUAAAAUUAAAAAUCAAAACCAAUAGACUAAAAAAUCUUAUUAUAUAAAUCAAGUAUACAAAUUUUGAAAUAAUUUUAAUAUAUAAUUUUUAAAUAGACAUUUUUGUAAAAAUAUUAAUAGAAAUUUUUAUCGUUGAAUCAGCAUCGAUUAAAUUUUAAUCAUAAACAAUAUUUUUAAUAAUUUUUUUACAUAUUAUUGAUCUUCACAUCGAAUUCUAUCAAUCUAUCAAUUUAAGUUUUUUAUUAAAGUUUCUAUUAAAUCAUUUUUAAGAAAAAAACCUUUAGAAAUUUUACCUACAUAGCUUCAUAUAUAUUUUGUUCUUGAAUAAAUUCCCUUGUCUUUCAAAAAAAAAAAAAGCAACGAAGCCUGAUCUUAGGCUUUACUUGGUCAUUAAUGCAAAAAGUUUAGUUAAGUACAAAAGUAAUAUUCUUGAAUAAUUAAUUAACAGAUGUUUUAAUUUCUGUUAAUAGUUUAAUAUAUGAUUCUACUUUUAUAUAGAAUAAUAAUAAAUUACAUUUUGAAUGCUUAUUUUAUUUUACGUUUUUUCUCAGUUUUAAUUAAAUUAGGUGAUACCCACACAUUGUCUCGGAUUAAAAUUUUUUUGUUUUGUCAUCCUUGUUCACUGAAUUUUAGAAAAAUGUUAUCUGAUUUUAAACAAAGCAAAAAAAGUAAAAGAUUAAAAAAUCUAAACGAGAGUGACACGUGAAUAUAUAAAUUAGCUUUUUAUUCUCACAAAAUAUAUUUUAUAAAAAAUAAAAUUUUUAUUUUAUUUUUUACUAGCGAAACCCACCUAAUAUCAAGCUUUCAAUAAAAAAUCAGUGAAUACACACAUAUAUAUAUAUAUAAUUAAAUAGAUAAUAUAUAUAUAUAUAUUUAUAUCAUAGGAUGGUAUGGUGCAAAGUAUCAUAAAUUCUAUUUUGGUUCAUCCCUUAUUUCUAUAAAAAAAUUUGACUCAAAUUUAUUCGAUAUUGAUUGUUUUGAUAAAUUAAAUAUUUUGCAUUUACAAUUUAAGAACGAACUGUUUUGAUAAAAGAAAAUUAUCAAAGGGAAAAAAAAAAAAAAAACUUACCUGCCAAAUUAUUUCCACCCAAGUUUAGCAUUCUGAGCCUUGUUAAAUUUCCAAUACUCCUUGGAAUGGUGCCACUGAAUCUGUUAAAGUCUAAUGUUAAAUUUUGAAGACACCUGCAUUCAUCUAUGCUUGAUGGAAUUUGACCAGAAAACUCAUUUGAGCCCAAGUAAAGUGCCUCAAGAUUGGGAAGAUGGCGACAUAUAUCUUCAGGUAAACUGCCAGAUAGAUUGUUGAAUGAAAGAGAAAUCAUAUGUAGGGAGGAAAUGUUAUAAAUAGCUGAAGGUACGGAGCCAGAAAGUUGAUUAACUGCCAGACGAAGUAUUGUUAGAUUUCGAAGAUCACUUAUCUCGGGUGGAAUGUGUCCUUGAACGAGAUUGUACCUCAAAUCCAAGAUCUCCAAGUUGGAAAUUUUAGCUAGUGACUGAGGAAUUGUACCUGUUAAAUUGUUGUUCCGGAGACUCAAGUAUAAUACUUUUUUUAAUCUCCCAAACCAUGAAGGAAUUUCCCCACUAAGAAAAUUGAAGCUUAAAUCAAUGAAUGUCAGACGACUUAAUUGCCCCAACUCUCUCGGUAAAUGGCCAUGGAAAUUGUUAUGACUCAAAUCAAGAGAUACUAAAAACGAGAGAUUUCCCAAUUGUGGAAGGACAGUUCCUGUGAGAUUCAUGUUGGGAAGAUUUAAUGCGCUGACUCUCCUAUGCUUAGAUGCGCAAGAGACACCAACCCAAUUGCAAACAGAGGUAGUGAUGGUCCAGUUGUUGGCUAAGAUGUUGUGAGGAUCAAUGAUUUGAUGCUUAAAUUCGAGAAGAGCAUGUUGGUCUGUGGUAAGGUUCCUAACAAUCAUGGCGUAGCUAACCAUGAAACAAUGAAUGAACACUAAAGCUAGCGAAAGAAAAUGGAAUAUUCUCAUGUUGAUGGCUGUGGAAGGAAAUCAAAUCGAUGAAAUUGCAGGAUGUAUACGGAACUCUGAUCAAAGCAAUUCUUAAAUAGGAAUAAACUUGCCAAUAUGACUUAGACCUCAAGAGGAAAGUUCUGGGAUGGUCUUGGUCUUCACAAUUAAUAAAUGAUUCAAGCUUUUGAUUUUGGGCCCUCCAAUCUUUUUUGAUCUCCUUUUACAAGCAUUGGUGAAGCUAAUUUAUCUUUUUGCAUUCUUUCUUUUUCUUUUUCUCUUUUUUUUUUCUUUUAAUUUUUUUGUCUUGUACACUUUUGAGGCCCAUGACUCCACGUUUUACAAGAGAGAGUUGCAAAAUAGUAAUGGCUCUAUUUUUUUUGUCAAAAAAAAGUAAUUUAUAGUUUUUUUUAAAACUUCUGAGUUAGUUAUUGUACAAAUCAAAGUAAUUUAAAUUUAAUUAGUAAAAUUACUUAAAAUCAAAAUGAAAUAAUAAUAAAAAUAUGUAAGUAAAGAUAUUUAUGUAUUUUUAUUUAAAAAUUUAUGAUGAAAGAAAGUUUUUCCAUUUCCAGAUCAAAACAGGCUGCAAACUUUAAGGAGAAUUUAUACUAGAUUUACAUAUCAUUCACCAAAAGUAGUGCUAGUAGUGGGGUUCCUCGCUACUAGCGUUAAGUUUUCUCAUAAUUAUGGCGUAGUUAACCAUGAAAUAGUCAAUGAACAUUAACGCUGGCGAAAGAAAAUGGAAUUUUCUCAUGUCUAUGGCUGUGAUGGGAUCUAUGUAUAUCAAAACAGGUAACAUAAAAUAUUGAAGAAAUUGAGUCUGCAUAAAGCAUUGUUUAAAUAGAUUUCUAUACACACCUACGAACUCGUCAACACUGAAGACAACUGAAAUUAUGAUAGGACAUUGAAGUCAAGACUUGGGGCCUUAGCAUCUCUUGGUCUUCACCAUGCUCUUCUACAAUAAGCCAAGCUUUUAUUUUGGACCUUUUUAAUUUGUUGUUUUCAUAAACGGGACAGGUAAGGUGCUAAGGCCUAGUUUAGUAUUAUCCUCGCGAUUGAAUAAAGUUUGAGUUAAACGAAUGUGCUUAAAAGUAUGAUAAAAGAAGUGUCGUUAAAAAUUUUAAGCAUUUAGUGUUAUCGGAAAAAAAUUAUUACGAGUAAUUGAAAUGUUUAAUAAUAAUAACAAUAUUAUUAUUAAUAAAUAUAAGAAUAAUACAGUAAUGUUUUUCUUUCAAACACAUUUUUUGAUCAUAAAAAUAUUUCCAAGAAAUUUUUUGUUUGUAUUUAUAAAUCAGUUUUUUAAAUUGAAAAACUAUAUUUUUAUUUAACAUUAAAAUUAUUUCUAAAGUUUGAACGUAAAAAUUAUUUUCAACACAAUAAUAACCGAGGUCUAAAUCUCUCCAUAUAAAGGCUAUUCGUGCUGUACAAAUUCAAAACCUCUUACUCUUUAAAUAAUAAAAGUUAUCUUCAUCUAAAUACGAGUGUAUAUACAACCUUGUAAAUUUAAAUAUAUUUUACUCAUCAAAAUGAAAUUUUGUUGUUUCUGAUGAACCAUUUCUUUUGUAUUUGAGUUUUGUGUUUUCAGUACUAUUUUAAUUUUAAAAUUAUUAUAUUUUAAUUCUGGCCUACUACAUCCAUCUCGACUCUUUUAGAAUAAAAUUUUUCAGUUCCUCCACAGUACAUAUUGGUCUUUUUUCUUUCUUGAAUAAAUAACAUAUGAGAUUUUUAAAUUUUAAGCCAAAUAUUAUUUUGAAUUUUAUAUAUUUAAAAGUCACUUGUUAGCUCCCAUUUUUCAAUGUUGUAAUCCAUCUGUCAAUAACAUUGCUAACUCCAUCGCUAAACAUUUUGUCGGCAACACGUGUUUGCCGUGCAGUUGGUACAUGUGAGCUGAAGAGUAAAAAAAUUUCAUUAUCUGGAUUUUUAUUUUCCUUUCUUUCCUUUUUAUUUUUCCUCUUUCUCUUUCUCUUCCUCUCUCUUCUCUUCCCUGUCUAUCUAAGCGCUAUCGGCUGCAAUAGAGGACCCGAUUUGGCCCAGUCGACGCUGCGACGACGAAUGGAGUCAAACCAUUCCUUUAACCAUCGAUCCAGCGAGGGAUCUACUACACCUAAUUUGUGAAGCCUGAUCACUUCCCCAUUCGGAUCGGCAACUAUAGGUCAAUAUGACGCCAACCGUUGGCACGAUGUUGGGCGAGUUAAUCUAGACCUUUGCAAUCGACCACAGAGCCUAGACCUAUAAUAAAAAGAAGGGAAAGGAAGAUAGAAGGAAAAAAAAAAAAAAAAACAAGAAAUUGACUUUUAUUUAAAAAAAUUUAAUAUAUUUUUCAAACAUUAUAAUUAAAAUAAAUAAAUUAUAAAAAUUUAUAUAUUUAAUAAGUUUCUUUUUUCAAAUAUAAUCCGUCACCAAAUAUUAUAAUUUAAAAUAAGCAAAUUUCAAAAAUUCUAUUUAUUAAGUUUUUUUAAUUUUUUUAAUAUGAUAUAGAUUAUUAGUAUAAUUCAUCAAAUAUUUAAAUAAAUAUCAAAAUUUUAUAGUUUUAAUAAUUUAAAAAUAUUAUAUAAAUUUUAAAAUAAAUAAAUAAUAUAUAUGCUAAUUUAUAUUUAUUUACGACGUGUCAAACACAGCACCAAUUAUUACUUAAAAGUCAAACUCAAAGAAGUAUUGAUAAAAAGAUCAUUUCCUUAUAACAUUGAAAGUAUAGAAACUAUGCCUUUUAGAAAUAUAUAGACAAACAAAAUUUGGCUUAAAAUUUAAAGGUGCUAUUUAUUUAUUUGCAAUUUCUUCUUGUCUUACAAUACCAAAAUAAUUUAUUAGUGAUAAAUCAUAUUACUUUCCAUCCUUUCAAUGGUUUUUUUCCUACCUCUUGGUUUUUUUUAUGAACAUAAUUGUAACACACGAUCUAAUUCUAUAAGCAUUGAAUGAAUUUAAUAUUUUAGUGAGUAAAUAGUAUUCGUGAUCUUAAAUUUUGAAGCGUAUAUCGAUUUGGUUUUUAAAUUUCAAACAUAAUUUGUUAGUUUUUAUGUGUCAAAUAAUACAACGAAUUAGGUUUUUUUUUUUAAUCAAUUUAUCAGUUAACUCAUCGUUAGGUUUUUGAUGUGAUUUUAAUUUAAAAAAAAGUAAUCGAUAUAAUUGAUGUGAUAGCUAAGAAGAAAAAAAUAAGAAAUAAGAAAUAACCAAUAUAAAAAGAAAAGGAAAAUAAAUAUAAGUACUGUUUUUUAAAAAUUUCUUUUUAUUUUUGAAUUAAACAAUUAACAAAAAUAAUUUUCCCCUUUUUUUAUUUUUUGAACAUAAUAUAAAAUUUUAAUAUAUUUUCAAAUAUUAUAAUUCAAAUAAAUAAAUUUAAAUUUUCUAUUUUUAAGGAGUUUUUAUUUUUCAAAAAUAUUAUAAUUAAGAAUAAUCAAAUUUCAAAAUUUUAUAAAAAUAAAAAGAAAAUAAAAAAUAAGUAGUUUUUUUAAAAAAAUUUUCUUUUUAUUUUUUAAAUUAAACAAUUAACAAAAAUAAUUUUUCCAUUUUUUACUUUUUUAAAACAUAAUAUAAAAUUGUAAUAUAUUUACAAAUAUUAUAAUUCAAAUAAAUAAGUUUAAAUUUUCUAUUUUUAAGGAGUUUUUAUUUCAAAAUAUAAUUUAUAUUUUAUAUUUUUUUAAAAUAUUAUAAUUCAGAAUAAACGAAUUUCAAAAUUUUCUCUUAGAAUAACUUUCAUUUUAAUUUUUAUAUAAUAUAUUUUAAUAUAUUUUAUCAAAAUUUGUAAUUUAAAAUAAAUAAAUUAUAAAAUUUUCUAAUUUGAAGAUUUUUUUGUUUUAUUUUAAUUUUCAAAUAUAAUAUAUUUUUGUAUUUUAUCUAGUUUUAUUAUUUAAAAUAAAAAUUUUCAAAAAUUUAUUUUUAGUAAGUUUUUUGUUUUAAUUUUUUGAAAUGAAAUAUAGCUUUAAUAUAUUUUAUCAAAAUUUAUAGUUUGAAAUAAAUAGAUUUUAUAUUUUCAGUAAGUUUUUGUUUUUAAAUUUUUAAAUAUAAUUUUUUAUACAUUUAAUCUAGUUUUAUAAUUUAAAAUAUACAAAAUAAAUAAAAAUUUUAAAUUUAAUAAAUUAGAUAAUAAAUUAUAAUGUAAAAUAAAUAAAAUUAAAAUUUUCUAAUUUUAAUAUUUUUUGUUAUUUUAUUUUAUAUAAUAUAGAUUUUUAAAAUUACAUUUAACCACAAAAGUUCAUAUAAUUUUAGCAUCUAUGUGUUGACCAUUUUUGUUGACACAUGGUGCUAACUAAUCUUUAAGGUCAUAUUUAAUGAUAUUUUUUGUGGAAUGACUAUUUUGAUACAACUUUGAAAGUUUAGGGAUCAAUAAGUGACAUUUGAAUGUAUAGGGACCAAAAUGAUAUACAAUCCAAAGGUACUAUUUACUAUGUUUCAGUAGAAAUAAUUCCUAUUUUUUUUCUUUGUAUUAUAAAUAUCAUAACUUCUUACAAAUACCCAAAUAUUUGAGUUUAAAUAUAGGAUCUUUACUAAAUUGAUUUAAGUUGGAUGCCUAUUGUAUAAACAUAUUAUUGACAAUUAAUCAAUUAUAAUUUAGUAUUGGGUAGGGUUCAUAAAAAAAUCAUAUAAAGCCUACAAGUUUUAAGUGGUGAACUAGUGUAUAAUUCUUUUUUAUGAUUAACUAAUUUCAAUAUUGCAGUAAAGAAAAAUUGUAUCUGAAAUGCUACCCCUAUCCUAAAAUUCAAUAUGUUAUGGAUUUAUGCAUUAUCCUUAUUUGUUAUCUCUUUGAGGAUGAAAGUAAAAAAUCGCCAAUAAGUUAUGUUGAAAGAGUAUCAUGAUACAUAAAUAUAAGAAGAAUCAUACCACUUAUUGAAAAUUAGAUUUUGAUUGAAUUUUCAUUUUAAAAAUUUAAAAUUAGUAUCAAAACAACCCAAAGUAUAUAUAACUUUUAAAUCUAAAGGAUAAUACCUUAAAUAAACCCUGAAUUAUUAUUAUUUUUUUUUAAUGCGAGACCUAAACUAAAAAAAUUAUAAAUUGGGUUCAAGGGCUAUUCAAGGCAUUGACCCUAAAUAUUAUUAGAAUCGCAAUGGCUUUAGUUUUGGUUGUAGGGUGAAAAAACUAAAUCCAAUUAAAUAAUUAAGCAAGCAGAAGCAUAAUUAAAUAAUCGAUCAAUCACAUAAAAGUUAAUAAUUCAAUGUGGUUAGCCCAAUUGGCCUACAUCCAUUGAUAAGAAAAAUAUUCAUUACUUGUAAAGAAUUACAAAUAAAUCAAUAAAUUAACCUCACUCACAAUCAACAUCCUUAGAUCCACCAAUUCUCCUCCAGUUCUAUAAAAUAUUCUCAAUCCAAACAAAUACAUAUGCGUGUAUAUCCAUACUUAUAUAAACCAUUUCAAUCUCAUCCAGUCUACCUAAAUAAAAUAAUCAUCAUACUUAUGUUGACCCUUUUAUUCUCUUGUAGUCCACUCAAACAUACACACUCGUAAAGACCAUCUUAAUCUUGUCUAUUCCUAUGAGGUGUCUAUCUAAUAAAAUCUUACAACUUUAUUGUUCUCAUAUCUAACCUUAUAGAGACUCAAUUAUUUAUAAGCAUAGAAACUUACCAAUCAAGAAUCCAUUUUGCUCUUAGAAUUCUUCUUCUACAAGUCUUUGAUUUAUCAAAAAUUAUUUAGUCAAUCUCAAAUAAAUCUUUUAUGAGAUUUGAGUCACUAUUUUUAAUAAUCUUCACUUUGACUCAUAUUCCAAUAAAUCAUCAAUCUUCAUGUUAGACAUGCUUAGCUCCAAUUGCAAUGUAAGUUUUGUUAAAUAAUCUUCUUUGUGUGUCUUCAUAUUUCAUACAAACAAUAUCUCAAAAUCAAACUUGAACUCCUCUAUUGAAAUUAAGCUCUUCCAGACUUGUUUUUUUUCCAAAAUGACAUAAGUAGUUACGAAUCAUGAAAGCUUAGAUUCUAGUUGUUAGGCAAAAAGCACAAAUUCAAUUAAACAAUUAAGCCAGCGAAAGUAUAAUUAAACAAUUAAUCAAUCAUAUAAAAGACAAUAAUUUAACAUAGUUAAGCCUAAUUGUCCUAUGUUCAUGGAUAAAAAAAAUUCACUAACUGUAGAGAAUUAUAAAAAAAAUUAAUAAAUCAAUUGCACUCAUAAUUAAUACCCAUGAAUCCUCUCAUUGCUCCUCUUAAAAUUCUUCUCCUAUAAAUUUGCUUGUUCAUCAAACAAUAUCUAUUCAAUUUCAAACAAAUCUUUUUAUAAAUUUUGUGUAACUAUUCUCAACAAAUAUAAUAAAAUUCACUAUAUUAGUCUAUUUGUUAUCAAUUGCUUUUAGAUUGAAUUUGAACUGUUUAUCUUUACACAUGAAAUACACAAUUUACAUAUAAUAAAAAUCAUUCCACUUACUUUUAAACUUUAAAUUGGCUUGGAUUAUAUAUUUCGAUCUUGAAAGGAAUUUGAAUUUAAAACAAUAAAAAAGUUGUACUUUGAUCAAAAUGAAUUCCCGCGACUGCCUUGUUUUACCCGAAAGAAAGAGUAUCGAAAACAAAUCAACCAUGGUCGAAAUUAGAUUUAAUAAUUUUAAAUAUAAUAUAAUAAUAUAAUUACAAAAUUUAAAAAAAAAAUUUAAAAUUUUAAUUCAAAUCAUAUAGAAACCUGAUAAAAUUAAAAAUAUAUAUUUUAUAUUUAAAAUAUCCACACAAAUUAUAUCAUAAUAGUUUUUAUAUUUUGCUUAAUUUAAACGCAGUGCACAAAUUAUCAUAUGAAUCUACUACUCCCUUUGGCAUGUGUCGAUAGCUAGCUUUGUUGACUUUUAAGAGUUUGCAGUCUCCGCUCUCAUUUCCACACAAAGUUUCAAUGUUUUUUAUGACAUAAAUUGGACUUGCUUUGCUGUGUGGGGUAAACUUAGGUCCUUUGGAGUGUACAAAUCAUAGCCUUCCCCACUUUAUUGAAACUCACAUUCUUUUUCCACUGCAUAAUAAAUGGACUAGCACCAACUUAAAAUUUGUGGACUAUGAUUGAUGCAAUCGAUAGUAGAAAAAUUCGACACCAUAUUAACACGUAAAUUGAUUUUUUCCGAACCCAACCAAUAAAGAUUUUGACUCCACUCUUAGUCACGAUUAUAAUUGAUGCGACAUGUUUGGCCUUAACCGUGCCAUGUACCCCAUUUGGAUGAAGGGUGUGUCAUCUUUAAAAGCUAUGUAAUAAACAUUAUAUAUAUACUGAACCAUGAUGGGUGCAAUCCCAAAGAGAAAAUUCUAAUUGCAGUCAAUGAUUGACGCAAUCGAUAAUAAAAAAAAUUGUUUUUAUCCGAACCCUCCACUCUUAGUCAAGAUUAUAAUUGAUGUAACACAAAAGAAGCAAAAUUCUAUCGCAUAUUGCAAGCAAUUCUUUAUCCAUUGGCAUAUUAUGGGAUGACUGAAAAACUAAGACCUCGUUUGGAUUCAAACAAAAGUCAUGUGACGACAUGUUUGGCCUCAACCGUGCCACGUACCCCAUUUGAAUGAAGGGGUGUGUCAUCUUUAAAGCUAUGUAAUAAUCAUUAUAUCUAUACAGAACCAUGAUUGGUGCAAUCCAUAAGAGAAAAUUCUAGCCCAUAUUUCAAUCCAUGAUUGAUGCAAUUGAUAAUAAAAAAAUUGAUUUUAUCCGAACCUUCCACUCUUAGUCAAGAUUAUAAUUGAUGUAACACAAAAGGAGCAAAAUUCUAUCCCAUAUUGCAAGCAAUUCUUUAUCCAUUUGGACUUUCGAAAGGGUGCAUUUAAUGCAUCAAAAAUUUUGUCAAAUAGAUCAAAAAAGAUAAAUAAUAAUAAUAAUAAAUAAAAUGGAUGUUUACAUGAUUGAUUGCAAUUNNNNNNNNNNNNNNNNNNNNNNNNNNNNNNNNNNNNNNNNNNNNNNNNNNNNNNNNNNNNNNNNNNNNNNNNNNNNNNNNNNNNNNNNNNNNNNNNNNNNNNNNNNNNNNNNNNNNNNNNNNNNNNNNNNNNNNNNNNNNNNNNNNNNNNNNNNNNNNNNNNNNNNNNNNNNNNNNNNNNNNNNNNNNNNNNNNNNNNNNNNNNNNNNNNNNNNNNNNNNNNNNNNNNNNNNNNNNNNNNNNNNNNNNNNNNNNNNNNNNNNNNNNNNNNNNNNNNNNNNNNNNNNNNNNNNNNNNNNNNNNNNNNNNNNNNNNNNNNNNNNNNNNNNNNNNNNNNNNNNNNNNNNNNNNNNNNNNNNNNNNNNNNNNNNNNNNNNNNNNNNNNNNNNNNNNNNNNNNNNNNNNNNNNNNNNNNNNNNNNNNNNNNNNNNNNNNNNNNNNNNNNNNNNNNNNNNNNNNNNNNNNNNNNNNNNNNNNNNNNNNNNNNNNNNNNNNNNNNNNNNNNNNNNNNNNNNNNNNNNNNNNNNNNNNNNNNNNNNNNNNNNNNNNNNNNNNNNNNNNNNNNNNNNNNNNNNNNNNNNNNNNNNNNNNNNNNNNNNNNNNNNNNNNNNNNNNNNNNNNNNNNNNNNNNNNNNNNNNNNNNNNNNNNNNNNNNNNNNNNNNNNNNNNNNNNNNNNNNNNNNNNNNNNNNNNNNNNNNNNNNNNNNNNNNNNNNNNNNNNNNNNNNNNNNNNNNNNNNNNNNNNNNNNNNNNNNNNNNNNNNNNNNNNNNNNNNNNNNNNNNNNNNNNNNNNNNNNNNNNNNNNNNNNNNNNNNNNNNNNNNNNNNNNNNNNNNNNNNNNNNNNNNNNNNNNNNNNNNNNNNNNNNNNNNNNNNNNNNNNNNNNNNNNNNNNNNNNNNNNNNNNNNNNNNNNNNNNNNNNNNNNNNNNNNNNNNNNNNNNNNNNNNNNNNNNNNNNNNNNNNNNNNNNNNNNNNNNNNNNNNNNNNNNNNNNNNNNNNNNAUAAUGGGGAAAACAUAAAAGAAACUUAAGUUCAUUUGGUUGAUUUUUUUAUUUGUCUUUUACUUUCCAUUCAUUGUUGAGUAUAAUGUACCAAUUAUUCAUAACUUUUGUGCAAUAUUUCAUUUUCAUCCUCUAAUUUUAAAAUGUAGUUUAUAUCCCUAACCUUCUAAAAAUGUUUUAAAUUCAUAUAUUUCAUCAACCAUGAAUGAAAAAUCAAUGAAACAUGCCAUGUGACUUAAAUUUUAAUCUCAAAAAACAAAAGGAUUCACCUUUUUUUGCCAUGUAACUAAAAAAUAUUUAAUUUACAAUAUUUAUUAUGUUUAAGAGAAAUUUAUUUUUUAAAAUUUAAAAACCGAUUAUUUCAAAAAAAAAUAUAAUUAGUUUUCAAAAAAAUACAAACAAAUUAUUUUAUGUCAAAUUUUUUGUUUAUUUAAAAAAAUGGAAAGAAGAAAUAUUAAAAAUCAAAAGAAAGAAAGAAAGAAAAGGGGAAAACUAAAAAAGAGAAAAAAAUGAAAUGAGGAAACAAGAAAGAAAAGAAGGAAAAAUGAAAAAGUAGUUUGGUUAACUAAUUUAAUAAUGACAUUUAUCAGCCUAUUAAAUGUUUAUUUCAAAUUUUAAAUGUUAGUUUUAGGAGAAAAUAGUUCAUUUAAAAGUCAAUUACACAAAAAAUUCCUAAUUUCUUCAAUGUUUAAAAUAUGAAGGAAUAAUUAAUUUUUUUCAAUAUCAAAAGUAUGAGUCAAAAUGAGAAAAGUAUAAAAGAAAACCAAAAUAUGACUGUUUUCGUGUUGGCUAUUCUAUUAAUUUUUAUUUUUUAGUUAUUUAGUUUUAUUCUUUUUCUAAUAUAAAUAGUAAUAAAUAUCAAUCAAUUGAAAUCUAAAUAAUCAAAUGCAAAAGCUUACCUUCUACAUCAUUAUCACCUAGAUAUAUCUCCUCAAGUUUGGUUAAAUUUCCUAUACUUCUUGGAAUGAAUCCAUUGAAUCGAUUAAAAGAUAAUACUAACUUUUUAAGAUUGCUGCAAGCACCAAUAUUUGAGGAAUACUGCCAGAGACACUAUUGUUUAGAGAGAAAUUUCUUUUCAAGGAGAAGGUUAAAAUGGAAGCUGGCAUUGGACCAACAAGGCUUAUAUUUGGCAGCAGAAUAUCUCCAAGCUCAAAAGUUUCAAUUUCAGAAGGGAUCUCACCUGUGGAAAAUACAGAAACCGAUGCAAAAAGCUUGGGUCAGCAAGCACGAGGCAUUUUUUUUGCUUCCCAAUCCACUAUUCAUUAUUGAAUAUUCAUUUUCUCCUAAUUUUAUGAAUUUUAUUAAAUUAGAUAAUUAAAUUCUAUUUCUAAACAUUAUCUCAAACGAGAUUAAAUACCAAAAUUUUUAAUCAUAAUGGGGAAAACAUAAAGAACUUAGUUCAUUUGGUUGAAUUUUUUUCUAUUUGUCCUUUACCUUCUUUUCAUUUUUAGGCAAACUAUACCAAUUAUAUAUAACUUUUGUGCAAUAUUUCAUUGUCAUCCACAAAUUUUAAAUGUAGUUUAUAUCCAUAACCUUCUAAAAUUGUUUCAAAAUCAUAUAUUUCAUCAACCAUCAAUGAAAAAUCAAUGAAACAUGUCAUGCGACAAAUUUCAACUCAAAAUUCAAAAGGAUUCACCUUUUUAUGCCAUGUAACUAAAGAAUAUUUAAUUUACAAUAUUUUUUAUGGUUAAGAGUUAAAUUUAUUUUUUAAAUUUAAAAACUGAAUAUUUCCAAAAAUUAAAUUAAUUUUUCAAAAAAUACAAAAAAUUAUUUUCAGCCAAGAAAUUUUACCUAAGAAAAUAACAUGAGUUUCAUGGUCACUGUUAAUAUUUAGGAGUUUUAACAUGAUAUCAAUAAUUAAAUUAAUUUUAGCACUUACUUUCCAAAUUAUAAAAGUAAUUCUUUUACAGUAAUUUCAAAUUAUCAAAUAAAGUUUAUUUUGACAAAAACUUCAAUGUUGAUAAGAAAAUAAAUAAAACUAGUCAUGUUUUAAUUUAAUAGGAAAAUAAUUAAUUAUAAAUAAAGUAGCUAAUUUAAUAAAUUAUCAAAUUAUCAAAGGAAAAUAAAUAAAAAAAAGCUUACCUUCCAAUGUAAAUACUUUUUUAAAAUUAUCAAAUUAUCAAAUACUUUUUUUUAUUUUGUAAAUGAAUGUCUUAAAAAUAGUUUUUAAAAUUAUUUUAUAUAAACAUAAAAAAUUAAAUAUAAUACAGUAGACAUUUGAAAACAUUAUAAAAUAUUAGUAAUGUUUAUUAUUAUUAUUAUUAUUAUUUACUCUUCCACUUAUUAAAAUAUAGUUUUUUAAUCCAAUAUAAUAAUAAUAAUAAUAUAUUUUAAUUUUUAUCUAUUUAACUCACAAGAAAAUAUCAUGCGAAAAAAUAAAUGUAAGUUCUAGGAAGAAAAUAGUUCAUUUAAAACUCAAUUACACAAGAAAUUCCUAAUUUCUUCAAUGUUUAAAAUAUAAAGGAAUAAUUAAUUUUUUCAAUACCAAAAGUUUGAGUCAAAAUGAGAAAAGUAUAAAAGAAAAACAAAAUAUGACUAUUUCCGUGUUGGUCAUUCUAUUAAUUUUUAUUUUUUAGUUAUUUCUUUUUAUUCUUUUUCUAAUAUAAAUAGUAAUAAAUAUCAAUCAAUUGAAAUCUAAAUAAUCAAAUGCAAAAGCUUACCUUCUACAUCAUUAUCACCUAGAUAUAUCUCCUUAAGUUUGGUUAAAUUCCCUAUACUUCUUGGAAUGUGUCCAUUGAAUCGAUUAAAAGAUAAUGAUAAAAUUUGAAAAUUGCUGCAGUCACCAAUAUUUGAUGGAAUGCAACCAAAAAUUUCAUUGUAGGAUAUAUGAAGUACCUCAAGUUUGAAAAGAGAGUAACAUAUAUUAUCCGGAAUACUACCAGAGAGAUUAUUACUAUAGAGAUAAAUUUCUUUCAAAGAAGUAAGGUUAAAGAUGGAAGCUGGUAUUGGACCAACUAGCCUCAUAUUUACGACAGAAAAUAUCUCCAAGCUUAGAAGAUUUCCAACUUCCCAAGGGAUUUCACUUGUGAACAUAGAAAACAAUUUGCAAGAGCUCGAUCAAGUAGCAGAAAGUUUUUUUUGUUGGCAUUACAAUUCAUAAUGAAACCAUUUCCUCCAAAAUUUAUGAUAUUAUUGAUUAAAUUAAUUAAUUAAAUUCUCAUUCUAAACAUUAUUUCAAAAGAAGUUAAAUACCAAAAUUUUGAGAAAUAAAACCGGAAAAUAGAAAAGAAAUCAAAGUUCAUUUGGUUGAUAUUUUAUUAUUGGACUUUUAGUUUCUAUUAUUUUUUGGGUAAAAUAUACCAAUCAUGUAUAACUUUUGUGCAAUAUUUCAUUUUCAUGUAUAAAUUUUAAAAUGUCAUUUUUAGAUCCAUAACCUCACAAAAGUAUUUCAAAUUCAGCCAAAAAAUCAGAUAGGUUUACCCUUUUUGCCAUGUGAACAUUCACAUGGAUAUCUUGUGGCACUAAGAUGGUAAAUUUCGUCCUAUUUGAAACAAUUUUAAGGGAUCGUAGAUUCAAAAUUUGAGCUUUAAUGAAAAUGAAAUAUUAUAUAUACCAAAAUCAUGAAUAUAUGAUGUAAUUUACUCUAUUUUAGGAUUUUUUUUUACUUUUUUCUAUUACUUUUUGCAAAAACAAAAAAAAAAAGCAAUAAAAAAAAUAUAUUAUUAUCAAGCAGAGCCUAAAUAAUAAAAUAUCCAAGAGAUAUAUUUAGGUUUAUAAAAUUACUUAUCCCAUUUGGAUUAUUUCCGUUGAAUCAAAUUGUAACCUAAGUUACUACAACUAUCACUAGAAAACCCACCGCAACUAGACAAUCAAGCCUGAUCUUUAUCACAAGAUUUAUCUUGUUUACAAUAUUUACUUGCUUGGUUGUAACUGCUUUUUGGUUGUGUUGUGUUCUUCUCUCAUUUUGUCCUCUCUUAAAACUCUUAAUAUUGUAUCCCUCAUUAUCCUCCAUUGAAUAAAGGACAAAACUUAUAUGAAAUUCGGUGAAGUUCGUAAAAUUUUUUACUAGAAAUGAUUAAAUAAAAACUAAAAUUAAAAAUCAAAACUGAUAGACUAAAAAAUCUUAUUAUAUAAAUCAAGUUUACAAAUUUUGAAAUAAUUUUAAUAUAUAAUUUUUAAAUAGACAUUUUUGUAAAAAUAUUAAUAGAAAUUUUUAUCGUUGAAUCAGCAUCGAUUAAAUUUUAAUCAUAAACAAUAUUUUUAAUAAUUUUUUUACAUAUUAUUGAUCUUCACAUCGAAUUCUAUCAAUCUAUCAAUUUAAGUUUUUAUUAAAGUUUCUAUUAAAUCAUUUUUAAGAAAAAAAACUUUAAAAAUUUUACCUACAUAGCUUCAUAUAUAAAUUUUGUUCUUGAAUAAAUUCCCUUGUCUUUCAAAAAAAAAAAAAGCAACGAAGCCUGAUCUUAGGCUUUACUUGGUCAUUAAUGCAAAAAGUUUAGUUAAGUACAAAAGUAAUAUUCUUGAAUAAUUAAUUAAAAGAUGUUUUAAUUUCUGUUAAUAGUUUAAUAUAUGAUUCUACUUUUAUAUAGAAUAAUAAUAAAUUACAUUUUGAAUGCUUAUUUAUUUUACUUUUUUCUCAGUUUUAAUUAAAUUAGGUGAUACCCACACAUUGUCUCGGAUUAAAAUUUUUUUGUUUUGUCAUCCUUGUUCACUGAAUUUUAGAAAAAUGUUAUCGAUUUUAAACAAAGCAAAAAAAAAAGUAAAGAUUAAAAAAUCUAAACGAGAGUGACACGUGAAUAUAUAAAUUAGCUUUUUAUUCUCACAAAAUAUAUUUUAUAAAAAAUAAAAUUUUUAUUUAUUUUUUACUAGCGAAACCCACCUAAUAUCAAGCUUUCAAUAAAAAAUCAGUGAAUACACAUAUAUAUAUAUAAUUAAAUAGAUAAUAUAUAUAUAUAUUUAUAUCAUAGGAUGGUAUGGUGCAAAGUAUCAUAAAUUCUAUUUUGGUUCAUCCCUUAUUUCUAUAAAAAAAUUUGACUCAAAUUUAUUCGAUAUUGAUUGUUUUGAUAAAUUAAAUAUUUUGCAUUUACAAUUUAAGAACGAGCUGUUUUGAUAAAAGAAAAUUAUCAAAGGGAAAAAAAAAAAAAAAACUUACCUGCCAAAUUAUUUCCACCCAAGUUUAGCAUUCUGAGCCUUGUUAAAUUUCCAAUACUCCUUGGAAUGGUGCCACUGAAUCUGUUAAAGUCUAAUGUUAAAUUUUGAAGACACCUGCAUUCAUCUAUGCUUGAUGGAAUUUGACCAGAAAACUCAUUUGAGCCCAAGUAAAGUGUCUCAAGAUUUGGAAGAUGGUGACAUAUAUCUUCAGGUAAACUGCCAGAUAGAUUGUUGAAUGAAAGAGAAAUCAUAUGUAGGGAGGAAAUGUUAUAAAUAGCUGAAGGUACGGAGCCAGAAAGUUGAUUAACUGCCAGACGAAGUAUUGUUAGAUUUCGAAGAUCACUUAUCUCGGGUGGAAUGUGUCCUUGAACGAGAUUGUACCUCAAAUCCAAGAUCUCCAAGUUGGAAAUUUUAGCUAGUGACUGAGGAAUUGUACCUGUUAAAUUGUUGUUCCGGAGACUCAAGUAUAAUACUUUUUUUAAUCUCCCAAACCAUGAAGGAAUUUCCCCACUAAGAAAAUUGAAGCUUAAAUCAAUGAAUGUCAGACGACUUAAUUGCCCCAACUCUCUCGGUAAAUGGCCAUGGAAAUUGUUAUGACUCAAAUCAAGAGAUACUAAAAACGAGAGAUUUCCCAAUUGUGGAAGGACAGUUCCUGUGAGAUUCAUGUUGGGAAGAUUUAAUGCGCUGACUCUCCUAUGCUUAGAUGCGCAAGAGACACCAACCCAAUUGCAAACAGAGGUAGUGAUGGUCCAGUUGUUGGCUAAGAUGUUGUGAGGAUCAAUGAUUUGAUGCUUAAAUUCGAGAAGAGCAUGUUGGUCUGUGGUAAGGUUCCUAACAAUCAUGGCGUAGCUAACCAUGAAACAAUGAAUGAACACUAAAGCUAGCGAAAGAAAAUGGAAUAUUCUCAUGUUGAUGGCUGUGGAAGGAAAUCAAAUCGAUGAAAUUGCAGGAUGUAUACGGAACUCUGAUCAAAGCAAUUCUUAAAUAGGAAUAAACUUGCCAAUAUGACUUAGACCUCAAGAGGAAAGUUCUGGGAUGGUCUUGGUCUUCACAAUUAAUAAAUGAUUCAAGCUUUUGAUUUUGGGCCCUCCAAUCUUUUUUGAUCUCCUUUUACAAGCAUUGGUGAAGCUAAUUUAUCUUUUUGCAUUCUUUCUUUUUCUUUUUCUCUUUUUUUUUUCUUUUAAUUUUUUUGUCUUGUACACUUUUGAGGCCCAUGACUCCACGUUUUACAAGAGAGAGUUGCAAAAUAGUAAUGGCUCUAUUUUUUUUGUCAAAAAAAAGUAAUUUAUAGUUUUUUUAAAACUUCUGAGUUAGUUAUUGUACAAAUCAAAGUAAUUUAAAUUUAAUUAGUAAAAUUACUUAAAAUCAAAAUGAAAUAAUAAUAAAAAUAUGUAAGUAAAGAUAUUUAUGUAUUUUUAUUUAAAAAUUUAUGAUGAAAGAAAGUUUUUCCAUUUCCAGAUCAAAACAGGCUGCAAACUUUAAGGAGAAUUUAUACUAGAUUUGCAUAUCAUUCACCAAAAGUACUGCUAGUAGUGGGGUUCCUCGCUACUAGCGUUAAGGUUUCUCACAAUUAUGGCGUAGUUAACCAUGAAAUAGUGAAUGAACAUUAACGCUGGCGAAAGAAAAUGGAAUUUUCUCAUAUCUAUGGCUGUGAUGGGAUCUAUGUAUAUCAAAACAGGUAACAUAAAAUAUUGAAGAAAUUGAGUCUGCAUAAGGCAUUGUUUAAAUAGAUUUCUAUACACACCUACGAACUCGUCAACACUGAAGACAACUGAAAUUAUGAUAGGACAUUGAAGUCAAGACUUGGGGCCUUAGCAUGUCUUGGUCUUCACCAUGCUCUUCUGCAAUAAGCCAAGCUUUUAUUUUGGACCUUUUUAAUUUGUUGUUUUCAUAAACGGGACAGGUAAGGUGCUAAGGCCUAGUUUAGUAUUAUCCUCGCGAUUGAAUAAAGUUUGAGUUAAACGAAUGUGCUUAAAAGUAUGAUAAAAGAAGUGUCGUUAAAAAUUUUAAGCGUUUAGUGUUAUCGGAAAAAAAUUAUUACGAGUAAUUGAAAUGUUUAAUAAUAAUAACAAUAUUAUUAUUAAUAAAUAUAAGAAUAAUACAGUAAUGUUUUUCUUUCAAACACAUUUUUUGAUCAUAAAAAUAUUUCCAAGAAAUUUUUUGUUUGUAUUUAUAAAUCAGUUUUUUAAAUUGAAAAACUAUAUUUUUUAUUUAACAUUAAAAUUAUUUCUAAAGUUUGAACGUAAAAAUUAUUUUCAACACAAUAAUAACCGAGGUCUAAAUCUCUCCAUAUAAAGGCUAUUCGUGCUGUACAAAUUCAAAACCUCUUACUCUUUAAAUAAUAAAAGUUAUCUUCAUCUAAAUACGAGUGUAUAUACAACCUUGUAAAUUUAAAUAUAUUUUACUCAUCAAAAUGAAAUUUUGUUGUUUCUGAUGAACCAUUUCUUUUGUAUUUGAGUUUUGUGUUUUCAGUACUAUUUUAAUUUUAAAAUUAUUAUAUUUUAAUUCUGGCCUACUACAUCCAUCUCGACUCUUUUAGAAUAAAAUUUUUCAGUUCCUCCACAGUACAUAUUGGUCUUUUUUUUAUUUUGAAUAAAUAACAUAUGAGAUUUUUAAAUUUUAAGCCAAAUAUUAUUUUGAUUUUUAUAUUUUUAAAAGUCACUUGUUAGCUCCCAUUUUUCAAUGUUGUAAUCCAUCUGUCAAUAACUUUGCUAACUCCAUCGCUAAACAUUUCGUCGGCAACACGUGUUUGCCGUACAGUUGGGACAUGUGAGCUGAUGAGUAAAAAAAUUUCAUUAUCUGGAUUUUUAUUUUCCUCUCUUUUUCUUUUUUUUUUUUUUCUCUCUCUUUCUCUCUCUCUUCCUCUCCCUUCUCUUCCCUGUCUAUCUGAGCGCCAUCGACAGCAAUAUAGGACCAGGUUUGGCCCAGUCGACGCUGCGACGACGAAUGGAGUCAAACCAGCCCUUGUAACCAUCGAUCCAGCGAGGGAUCUACUACACCUAAUUUGUGAAGCCUGAUCACUUCCCCAUUCGGAUCGGCAACUAUAGGUCGAUAUGACGCCAACCGUUGGCACGAUUUUGUGUGAGUUAAUCUGGUCCCUUGCAAUCGACCACAGAGCAUAGACCUAUAAUAAAAAGAAGGGAAAGGAAGAUAGAAGGGAAAAAAUAGAAAAAAAAAACAAGAAAUUGACUUUUAUUUAAAAAUUUUUAAUAUAGUUUUCAAAUAUUAUAAGUAAAAUAAAUAAAUUAUAAAAUUUUAUAUAUUUAAUAAGUUUUUUUUUUCAAAUAUAAUCUGUCACCAAAUAUUAUAAUUUAAAAUAAGCAAAUUUAAAAAAUUUUAUUGAGUUUUUUUAAAUUUUUUAAAUAUAAUAUAGAUUAUUAAUAUAAUUCAUCAAUUAUUUAAAUAAAUAUCAAAAUUUUAUAACUUUAGUAAUUUAAAAAAUAUUAUUUAACUUUCGAAAUAAAUAAAUAAUAGACAUGCCAAUUUAUAUUUAUUUACCCCGUGUCAAAAACGUAGCACCAAUUAUUACUUAAAAGUCAAACUCAAGGAAGUGUUGAUAAAAAGAUCAUUUUCUUAAAACAUUGAAAGUAUAGAAACUAAUUAGUGCAUUUCAGAAAUAUAUAGACAAAUAAAAUUUGACUUAAAGUUUAAAGGUGCUCUUUAUUUAUUUGCAAUAUUUUCUUGUCUUACAGUACCAAAAUAAUUUACUAGUGAUAAAUCAUAUUAUUUUCCGUCCUUUCAAUGGUUUUUUUCUUACCUCUUGGUUUUUUUUUUUUUUUAUGUACAUAAUUCUAACACACGAUCUAAUUCUAUAAGCAUUGAAUGAAAUUUAUAUUUUAGUGAGUAAAUAGUAUUCGUGAUCUUAAAUUUUGAAGCGUAUAUCGAUUUGGUUUUUAAAUUUCAAAACAUAAUUUGUUAGUUUUUAUGUGUCAAAUAAUACAACGAAUUAGGUUUUUUUUUUUAAUCAAUUUAUCAGUUAACUCAUCGUUAGGUUUUUGAUGUGAUUUUAAUUAAAAAAAAGUAAUCGAUAUAAUUGAUGUGAUAGCUAAGAAGAAAAAAAUAAAGAAAUAAGAAAUAACCAAUAUAAAAAGAAAAGGAAAAUAAAUAUAAGUACUGUUUUUAAAAAAUUUUCUUUUUAUUUUUUGAAUUAAACAAUUAACAAAAAUAAUUUUCCCCUUUUUUUAUUUUUUGAACAUAAUAUAAAAUUUUAAUAUAUUUUCAAAUAUUAUAAUUCAAAUAAAUAAAUUUAAAUUUUCUAUUUUUAAGGAGUUUUUAUUUUUCAAAAUAUUAUAAUUCAGAAUAAUCAAAUUUCAAAAUUUUAUAAAAAUAAAAAGAAAAUAAAAAAUAAGUAGUUUUUUUAAAAAAAUUUUCUUUUUAUUUUUUAAAUUAAACAAUUAACAAAAAUAAUUUUUCCAUUUUUUACUUUUAAACAUAAUAUAAAAUUGUAAUAUAUUUACAAAUAUUAUAAUUCAAAUAAUAAGUUUAAAUUUUCUAUUUUAAGGAGUUUUAUUUCAAAAUAUAAUUUAUAUUUUAUAUUUUUUUUAAAUAUUAUAAUUCAGAAUAAACGAAUUUCAAAUUUUCUCUUAGAAUAACUUUUCAUUUUUAAUUUUUAUAUAAUAUAUUAUUAAUAUAUUUUUAUCAAAAUUUGUAAUUUAAAUAAAUAAAUUAUAAAAUUUUUCUAAUUUGAAGAUUUUUUUAUUUUAAUUUUCAGGAUAUAAUAUAUUUUGUAUUUUAUUUAGUUUUAUUAUUUUAAAAUAAAACUUUUCAAAAAUUUAUUUUUAAUAAGUUUUUUUAUUUUUUGAAAUAUAAUAUAACUUUGAAUAUUUUUAGUCAAAAUUUAUAGUUUGAAUAAAUAGAUUUUAUAUUUUCAGUAAGUUUUUUUGUUUUUUAAUUUUUAGAUAUAAUUUUUUAUACAUUUAAUCUAGUUUUAUAAUUUAAAAUAUACAAAAUAAAUAAAAAUUUUAAAUUUAAUAAAUUAGAUAAUAAAUUAUAAUGUAAAAUAAAUAAAAUUAAAAUUUUCUAAUUUUAAUAUUUUUUGUUAUUUUAUUUUAUAUAAUAUAGAUUUUUAAAAUUACAUUUAACCACAAAAGUUCAUAUAAUUUUAGCAUCUAUGUGUUGACCAUUUUUGUUGACACAUGGUGCUAACUAAUCUUUAAGGUCAUAUUUAAUGAUAUUUUUUGUGGAAUGACUAUUUUGAUACAACUUUGAAAGUUUAGGGAUCAAUAAGUGACAUUUGAAUGUAUAGGGACCAAAAUGAUAUACAAUCCAAAGGUACUAUUUACUAUGUUUCAGUAGAAAUAAUUCCUAUUUUUUUUCUUUGUAUUAUAAAUAUCAUAACUUCUUACAAAUACCCAAAUAUUUGAGUUUAAAUAUAGGAUCUUUACUAAAUUGAUUUAAGUUGGAUGCCUAUUGUAUAAACAUAUUAUUGACAAUUAAUCAAUUAUAAUUUAGUAUUGGGUAGGGUUCAUAAAAAAAUCAUAUAAAGCCUACAAGUUUAAGUGGUGAACUAGUGUAUAAUUCUUUUUUAUGAUUAACUAAUUUCAAUAUUGCAGUAAAGAAAAUUGUAUCUGAAAUGCUACCCCUAUCCUAAAAUUCAAUAUGUUAUGGAUUUAUGCAUUAUCCUUAUUUGUUAUCUCUUUGAGGAUGAAAGUAAAAAAUCGCUAAUAAGUUAUGUUGAAAGAGUAUCAUGAUACAUAAAUAUAAGAAGAAUCAUACCACUUAUUGAAAAUUAGAUUUUGAUUGAAUUUUCAUUUUAAAAAUUUAAAAUUAGUAUCAAAACAACCCAAAGUAUAUAUAACUUUUAAAUCUAAAGGAUAAUACCUUAAAUAAACCCUGAGUUAUUAUUUUUUUUUUUAAUGCGAGACCUAAACUAAAAAAAUUAUAAAUUGGGUUCAAGGGCUAUUCAAGGCAUUGACCCUAAAUAUUAUUAGAAUCGCAAUGGCUUUAGUUUUGGUUGUAGGGUGAAAAAACUAAAUCCAAUUAAAUAAUUAAGCAAGCAGAAGCAUAAUUAAAUAAUCGAUCAAUCACAUAAAAGUUAAUAAUUCAAUGUGGUUAGCCCAAUUGGCCUACAUCCAUUGAUAAGAAAAAUAUUCAUUACUUGUAAAGAAUUACAAAUAAAUCAAUAAAUUAACCUCACUCACAAUCAACAUCCUUAGAUCCACCAAUUCUCCUCCAGUUCUAUAAAAUAUUCUCAAUCCAAACAAAUACAUAUGCGUGUAUAUCCAUACUUAUAUAAACCAUUUCAAUUCUCAUCCAGUCUACCUAAAUAAAUAAUCAUCAUACUUAUGUGACCCUUUUAUUCUCUUGUAGUCCACUCAAACAUACACACUCGUAAAGACCAUCUUAAUCUUGUCUAUUCCUAUGAGGUGUCUAUCUAAUAAAAUCUUACAACUUUAUUGUUCUCAUAUCUAACCUUAUAGAGACUCAAUUAUUUAUAAGCAUAGAAACUUACCAAUCAAGAAUCCAUUUUGCUCUUAGAAUUCUUCUUCUACAAGUCUUUUGAUUUAUCAAAAAUUAUUUAGUCAAUCUCAAAUAAAUCUUUUAUGAGAUUUGAGUCACUAUUUUUAAUAAUCUUCACUUUGACUCAUAUUCCAAUAAAUCAUCAAUCUUCAUGUUAGACAUGCUUAGCUCCAAUUGCAAUGUAAGUUUUGUAAUAAUCUUCUUUGUGUGUCUUCAUAUUUCAUACAAACAAAUAUCUCAAAAUACAAACUUGAACUCCUCUAUUGAAUUAAGCUCUUCCAGACUUGUUUUUUUUCCAAAUGACAUAAGUAGUUAGAAUCAUGAAAGCUUAGAUUCUAGUUGUUAGGCAAAAAAGCACAAAUUCAAUUAAACAAUUAAGCCAGCGAAAGUAUAAUUAAACAAUUAAUCAAUCAUAUAAAAGACAAUAAUUUAACAUAGUUAAGCCUAAUUGUCCUAUGUUCAUGGAUAAAAAAAAAUUCACUAACUGUAGAGAAUUAUAAAAAAAAUUAAUAAAUCAAUUGCACUCAUAAUUAAUACCCAUGAAUCCUCUCAUUGCUCCUCUUAAAAUUCUUCUCCUAUAAAUUUGCUUGUUCAUCAAACAAUAUCUAUUCAAUUUCAAACAAAUUUUUUUAUAAAUUUUGUGUAACUAUUCUCAACAAAUAUAAUAAAAUUCACUAUAUUAGUCUAUUUUGCUUUUAGAUUAAAUUUGAACUCUUUAUCUUUACAGGUGAAAUUCAUAAUUUACAUAUUAUAAAAAUCAUUCCACUUACUUUAAAAUUUUAAAGUGGCUUGAAUUAUAUAUUUCGAUUUCGAAAGGGAUUUGAGUUCAAAACUAUAAAAAAGUUGUAAUUUGAUCAAAAUGAAUUCUCGCAACUGUCUUGUUUUAUCCGAAGAAAGAGUAUCUAAAAAAAUGGGUCAUCGUCAAGAUUAGAUUUGAUCAUUUUAAAUACAAUAUAAUGAUAUAAUUAAAAAGUAUAAAAAAUAUUUUAAAAUUUUAAUACAAAUCAUGUAUAAAUCUGAUAAAAUUAAAAUAUAUAUUUUAUAUUUAAAAUAUCCACACAAAUUAUAUCAUAAUAGUUUUUAUAUUUUGCUUAAUUUAAACACAGUGCACAAAUUAUCAUAUGAAUCGACUACUCCCUUUGGCAUGUGUCGAUAGCUAACUUUCUUGACUUUUAAAAGUUUGCAGUCUCCGGUCUCAUUUCCACACAAAGUUUCAAUGUUUUUUAUUAGAGAAAUUGGAAUUGCUUGCUGUGUGGGGUAAACUUAGGUCCUUUGUAGUGUACAAAUCAUAGCCUUCCCCACUUUAUUGGAACUUAUAUUCUUUUUCCACUGCAUAAUAAACGGACUAGCACCAACUUAACUUUUGUGGACUAUGAUUGAUGCAGUCGAUAGUAGAAAAAUUCUACACCAUAUUACAUGUAAAUUGAUUUUCUCCGAACCCUCCAAUAAAGAUUUUGACUCCACUCUUAGUGACGAUUAUAAUUGAUGCGACAUGUUUGGCCUUAACCGUGCCGUGUACCCCAUAUGGAUGAAGGGGUGUGUCAUCUUUGAAAGCUAUGUAAUAAUCAUUAUAUAUAUAUAUAUAUAUAUAUAUAUAGAACCAUGAUUGGUGCAAUCCAAAAGAGAAAAUUCUAUUCCAUAUUGCAAUCCAUGAUUGGUGCAAUCAAUAAUAGAAAAAUUCUACACCUUAUUGCACGUAAAUUGAUUUUAUCCGAACCCUCCAAUAAAGUUUUUGACUCUACUCUUAGUCAAGAUUAUAAUUGAUGUAACUCAAAAGAAGCAACAUUCUAUCCCGUAUUGCAAGCAAUUCUUUAUCCAUUGGCAUAUUAUGGGAUGACUGAAAAACUAAGACCUCGUUUGGAUUCAAACAAAAGUCAUGUGACGACAUGUUUGGCCUCAACCGUGCCACGUACCCCAUUUGAAUGAAGGGGUGUGUCAUCUUUAAAGCUAUGUAAUAAUCAUUAUAUCUAUACAGAACCAUGAUUGGUGCAAUCCAUAAGAGAAAAUUCUAGCCCAUAUUUCAAUCCAUGAUUGAUGCAAUUGAUAAUAAAAAAAUUGAUUUUAUCCGAACCUUCCACUCUUAGUCAAGAUUAUAAUUGAUAUAACACAAAAGGAGCAAAAUUCUAUACCAUAUUGCAAGCAAUUCUUUAUCCAUUUGGAUUUUGGGAAUGGUGUAUUUAAUAUAUAAAAAAUUUUGUCAAAUAGAUCAAAAAAGAUAAAUAAUAAUAAUAAUAAUAAAAUGGAUGUUUACAUGAUUGAUGCAAUUGAUAGUAAAAAAAUUUUACACUAUAUUACACGCAAAUUGAUUUUCUCCGAACCUUCCAAUAAAGUUUUUGAUUCCACUCUUAGUCACAAUUAUAAUUGACGUAACACAAAAGGAGCAAAAUUCUAUGCCAUAUUGCAAGCAAUUCUUUAUCCAUUUGGACAUUGAGAAUGCUGCAUUUAAUGCAUAAAGAAUUUUGUCAAACAAACAAAAAACAAAUAAUAAUAAUAAUAAUAAUAAUAAUAAUAAAAAUAAAAAUAAUAAAAUGGAUGUUUACAUGAUUGAUGCAAUCAAUAGUAAAAAAAUUUUACACCAUAUUAAACGCAAAUUGAUUUUCUCCGAACCCUCCAAUAAAGUUUUUGAUUUCACUCUUAGUCACGAUUAUAAUUGAUGUAACACAAAAGGAGCAAAAUUAUGUCCCACAUUGCAAGCAAUUCUUUAUCUAUUUGACAGACAGUGGCAUACUAUGGGAUGACUGACAAACUAAGACCUCGUUUGGAUUCAAACAAAAGUUAUGUCACGAUAUGUUUGGCCUCAACCGUGCCAUGUACCCCAUUCGGAUGAAGAGGUGUGGCAUCUUUGAACCUUUUAUUAGCAAAUAUUUUGAUUUUCAAACAUUAAAAUUGACACUGCAACCAAGCAGAUGAAUAAAAAAUAAAAUCACAAUAUAUUUUCGAAAGGAAUUAAAAAAGGCAAACUAACUCAUCUAACUGUACUCUUACCAUUUGUUUUAAAAAAAAAAAAAAAAGGCAAAAUGAAAUAUCAAUGGAGUAAAAUCUUCAUUCCCUGCCUCGCAAGGACGAGCAACAUUUAAUUGGAAUGCGGUCAACGACCCCACUCAACUCUAGAAAAGUCAUAUUUUUACGUAUAAAUAAUUUUUUUUCGUAAUUUUCUUAUUCGACGCCACAAAAAUCGAACAAAAAACUUGAAAUAAGGGGGUCAAAUAAGUAAAAAUUUUAACUUUUUUUUAUGAUGUCAAUGAGUAGUAUAUAUGUAAAAAAAUCUUUAUAAUAAUAUUAAUAUAAAUAUGAUCAUACAUUAAUAAGCUUUAAAAUGUAAUAUGUGGCAUACAAUAAAAUUGAACUUUAAUAACUCGUUCUACAUUUUAUCAUCUUGAACUUUAGUUCUUUAAUUUCCUCUUAUUCAAAAGCCCAAUUUGAAUUUUUUGAAAAAAAAAAAUGGUAUGUUUGAGUCAAUGCUUGAUAUUUAUCUUGAAUUAAUUUUUUCUUUUGGCUUGAUUGAGGUUUAAAUUGUGAGUUGAUUAAAACUUAAGUUGUUGAAUUUUGUAGAUUAUAGGAUUUUUUAUUUUGGGAUAAAUUUGUCUUGUGAUUUAAUGCAAUUUUUUUUUUAAAGUUCAAACAAAAAUAAUGUCUGUAACGUCUCAUUAAGUUUGCUAUUUUUUGCAAUCCCUCUAUUUUGUGGCCACAAUGAACCAUUAAACCAGUGAAUCUAAGUCACACCUCAAUUUCAGUGGAUAAUAUAAGAAAAAACCGAAACUACAAAGAAGUGGCCAUUAUAUCACGUUGCAAUGACUAUUUAAAUCCUUUAAAACCGACUUUACCUGAUGCCAAUUCAGAGUCUUAAAAGGGAUAGGACAUCAUUUUUGGAAUGAAUUAAUUAUUAGUAUGGUUUUUGAACUAAAUUAAAUUGUAUAAAUUGAUAUUUAAACUAAAAAAUUGUAUAAUGUACUCAAAAUCUUUCAAAAUUUGUGGUAAAUCGCAUAUUAGUUCCAACAAAAGGUUUCAAGUUCAAACUUUCUCUGCUCAUCAUACCUAAGAAAAUCCACAAGCACAUAAAUCCUAGAAAGAAUAUUAUAGGCACCCUGCAACCUCUUUCUUUUUCUUUUUUUUUUUUAACUGCACUGCAAGCGGGCAACAAAAAAGUGAUUGUGAGAGACCCCAAUUCUUUCCUCACCAUCAACCUGAGGGGGAUUGUGACUGGCUUAAAAGUGACCAAAUCAUUGCAUCAUACAAAUUUAGAUUCAUAAUCGAACCGAUGGAAAUUAUGGCUGCAGUUUUAUUUACUCCACUAUAAGCAAAUAGCAUAACCACACUCCCUUUUCGGUUGGAAUUGCACUGAAAAACUAUUAGGGCUCCUUUGAAAGCAACAGAAGCACUAGAGAGGUGCAGUUCCUAUGGGAGUAUGUGCUCACUGGAGCUUUUUUGCCAAAUGAUGGAAUGGUGCAUUUGUUGAAAUGCCCGUCAUCAACUGCCCAUUUUUGGUCAAGUUGAUGACAGGCCAUAGAUUUUAUUUUGCUUUUCAAUUUUGUCUUUUAAAUUAUAUUGUAAUAUAAAAAUAUCCUUAUGAUUUUUUUUAAUUUUGAUUUUUAUUUAAAAAUCAUAAAAUAUUUUUUGUUAAUUUAAUUUCAUAAAUAAAUUUUAUUACUUAUUAAUAAAUUUUAUUAUUUAUUAGCAUUUUAUAUAAUAAAUAAAAUUUAUAAAUAUUAAAUAAUUUAAAAUAUUAAUUAUAUAUAUAUUUUAAUUUAAUGUCUUUAAUAAUCAAUUUAUCUUCUUAUUACAAUUCAUCUCAUUAUCACUAUUGUUUUUGCAUCCAAACAUAUAUCCUAUAACUGAUUUUAAUCUCACCACUAUAAUAACCAAUCUUACCUUCACCACUGUUUUUAAUCUCACUAAAACCAAUCUCACUGUUCAUUCAAAUAGGACCUUAGUUGUAUUCAUGGAGUACACACUUUUUUUUUUUUAAAUAGUAGGCAAACCUCCAUGAAACAAGUUGAUGAUUAAAUGCUGCAAAGAUGUUAAAUUGGAAUAUAAAGCUAUGGAGCUUGCCACAAGGUUAGCUAUGGAUGCAGAAUAUUUUUUCAAGGUAUCCACCUUAAUAUUUAUAAAAUAUUAAAUUAAUAAUGGAUUUAUCAAUUUUGUCGAUUGAAAAGGUGUCUGGGAAAAAUUUUGGCGAUGUACUAAAGAAAAUUUUCCUUCAAAUUUUCUUUUUUUCCAAUUCUUUGAGUUGUCCAUGAAAAAUUUUUGUGGGAUGAUUUUAGGAAAAAAUUUCCUUCAUAUUUGUAGAUCCUUUUUUUUUAUUCAAGAUGCGUUAAUCCCCUUGAUUCGGGUUCUCUUUGGAGAUCAUCAAGCCUCGAUAAGGUUCAUGCUUGGGUUUCUUACAUAUAUAUUUCUGUUUGGGUUUGGGCUCAAUAAUUGUUUAAUUGGAUGCGAGUUUUGGCCCAACUAAUGUAAUGUAUUAUUAUUAUUUAUCAUUUACUAUUAUUAUUAUUGUUAUUAUUAUUAUUAUUAUUAUUAUUAUCAUUAUUAUUAUGUUUAUUUAUUUUUACUAAAAAAGGAAAAACGUAAAGGAAAAGGAAAUGAAGGCAAGUUUUUGGUCAACCCCGAAAUCAUGCUCACAAGGAGCUGGAAUUGGAAACAAAAGGCCCUAGAUCAAAUCACUUUUUCAAAGACAAAAAAAUCAAUAGAUUUCACGUGGUAAAUGGGAUUAAAUUUGGCAAGAUUUUGUUAUUCUUGAAACCCUAAUCUAAUCUGACAGAUUUCUUAAAUAAAGUUGUGGGAUUUGAUUAGGAAAAUCCCUAAUUUUUCUUUAAAAAGGAGCCGUAUAAACGUGUUUCCAACCUAAUAUUUUAGCAUACAACAUGGUAAUUGACAGCGUUUGUAAUGACAGGCAGCUAAUUGAGCUUUGAACCUGUUCUCUUAGGUGAAGGUAACGGCAUUCCAUAUGAUGUUUUCACUUAAGUUGCUUGAUUUAUGGAAUGUGUAAUUUAGGUCAAUGGAAGGAGGCUACAAGAUAUUUUGAUCAAAUGGUAGCUACCAAUAUCACACCAAAUGCUGUCACUUAUAAUGUAUUAGUUUAUACACUUUGUUAAAAGAUAUUGUUGAAAAAUUGGUGUGGAAAAGAGUGAAGCCAGCUGUUGUCACAUACUGUUACUCACUGAUAGAAGGAUGUCGUUUGCAAAAGUAAAUGGAUGAAGCUAGGUAAAAGAAUAUUUGUGUUGAUGAUUGACGAGGAUUACUUAAAAUUUGUCUGAUGAAAUUUAUUGAUGUUAUUUUAUUCAAUUUUUAAUUUAAAGUUAUGAAUUUAUUUAAUUAAAAUUAUUACAGAAUGAUAAAUAUUAUUGACAGAAAUUAUUAGAAGUUAUUGCAUUAUCAACAGAAAAUUUCAUUUAUAAUUAUCGAUAAAAUGUUAUUACCAAUUAGCUUGUAGACAAAAUAUUCCUUCAAUAACUGUUUUACUGACCAAAAAUUCCAUUAGAAAAAUCCUAGUUUCAGAUAGCGAGAAUUAUGCAUCUAAUACAUUUUGUUCCGAUGUCAUGAGAGAUGUAAAUUGCGAGAGUAAGAGAUUAAAUGAGACAGUGAAACUCUUUUCUGAUUAGUUAUACUGCUUUGCUAAAUGGGCUAUGUCGAAAAGGACAUAUUCACGAGGCACCGACAUUAGUUAAAGCAAUGCAUAACUGCGGGGUGGAGCCCAAUAUUUUUCACUGUUCAGUCCUAAUUGAUAGCUUUUGUGAAUCCGGUUGCCUUGAUGAGGCAAGGGUCAAAACUUAAGAUCAUUAUACCUUGGUUGUACUGAAGUGCGUAUAUCUAUACUUGGUUUUUGUCAAAAUUCUUGGCUUUGUUUGCUCAAAAUGGAUUGUGCCAUGAGAUCAAGAGCUAGGAGGUCAAGUUUAAAUGGCAUUUGAUUAAGUGCCUUGAAUAGUUUGUUUGGAUAAUGUCAUGAAUUAUUUUUAAAUUAUAUUAAAAUAUUUAAUAUAAUAUUUAAAUUUUAAAAAUUUAAUAUUAUUUAAAUUAUAAAUAUAUUAAUUAAUAUAAUAUUUAUCUUUAUCGUCGUUUGUUUUAAAUAAUAAAUAUAAAUAUCUUCCUAAAUGUGAUUAUAAAAUUGGAGGGCUACUCUAAAAUUUAUUUAUUUCGUUGGCUUUAUUCAAAAUUUGAAGGAAAAUAGGAAUGGCGUGUCCUGGCUUUAUCAUUUACUCUUUUUUUUUUGUUUAAAUUUUUAUGAUUGUUUCAAAAUUAUAUUUUUUUAAUUUCUAAAAUUUUUAUUUUAAAAUUAUUAUUAUUAUUUAUUUUUCUUUAAAAAUAAAAAAUUAAUUUUAAUAUUAAAUAUAUUAAAAUUAAUUUUUUUUAAAAAAAUUCCGUAAAAUCAAUCAUAAUUAUUCUCCGGAGGGAGAUGAUAAUGAAAUGGAAUACAAUCAGCUCCGUGUUUUAAUUCAUUGAAUCAAUCAUCAAUCUGCUGCACCGUGCUGCUAUUAGCACUUGCUGUUAUGUACUGUUUAUGUGACAUGUUUUUCCCUUGUUAAGGAUCCAACCAACAUUGUGCCGAUUAUGACUCACUGUCACUUGUAAUUAUCUAUACCCUAUAUAAAAACUAUAGCCUUACUAAAAAAUUUGUUCUCAUAUUAUUUUUUUUAAAAUUUUUCCUAAUUUUAAAUAAAGGAUAAUAUUUCAUUGAAGCUAGAGGUGAGAAAAUUAGUUCGGCUUGGGUUAUAUUGAGUUGGUUCUUUUUGCAUAAAAAAUGAAUUAUUUUAUAUUUGAAUUAAGUUGAGUAUAGAUUAAAAAAUAAUUGUAUUAUUAUUGAGUUCAAAUCAAAUCGAGUUUAAAUCAAAAACUUUGAAUUAUUUUAAUUUUGAGGUAUUUCAGGUUAAUUGGAUUAAUUAAGAUUUAGAUUAAUUGUGUUUAAAUUAUUUAGAUUUCGGAUUUGACUCUCAAACUAUUGAGGUUUAACGUUUUAAUUAUUUAUAUCUAAUUUGUUAACUUUUAAAAUUAAAAAAUAUAAUUAAAUCUAUAAAAAUUAAAAUAUCAAAAUUAAAUGAUUCAAAGAUAAUUCGUUAAUAAUGAGAAAUUAUGUAUGUUUAAUAUAAAAUUAAUUUUAUUCAUAAUAAAAAUUUAUUAAUGACUUUUAAUUUAUUAAUAUUCAAUAUUUUAUGCAUUCACCAUUAAUUUAUUAUUAGUAAUUUAUAUUGACAUUUUAUAAUCAUACUCGUCCACAUUAUUCAUUAUAUAUGAAUUAAAAAUGAGCAAAUCACUAAAUAAUUUCAAGAAACUUAACUUUCAAAUCAUCAUUAAAAGUACAUAAUAAAAAAAGUACUAUUAAUAUUGAUUACUUAAUUAACGUAAUGAUAUAAUAUUAAAACUUAAAACAAUUCAAAAAUAUCAAAGUUACUUAGACAUAAUAUUAAUAUAAUUUAAAAAAUUGAACUUUUGAAUAGUAUAUAGUACAUAUGUGUAAUAAAAAAUAAAGCUGCUAUAAUUAUCUACUGUUAUUUGAUAUUAGCAUGGUAUAACAUGACUUGACUCGGUUGGCUUGACUUUAAUUUUUAACUUUUAAGUUGUAACAUUUUAUUUUGAGUUUUAAUUUUAUAUAUAAUAAAAAUAAUAUAAAUAUAAUUGUGUACAUAUUACAAACUAUUGUUUUAUAUUUUUUUAAAAAAAUUUUAUUCAUAAAAGACUUAAGAAGUUUAUUUGUUUAAUAGAACUAACCUUAAUAUUACUUAUAUAUUAUAAGAUUAUUAUAUUUAAUAAUUAAAAUAAAUAUAAUAAUAUUAUUAUACCUCUAAUUUGUAUUUUAUUAAAAUUAAUAUUUCAUUGUUUAUAUUUAUUACUUAUUAAUAAAUUAAUAAAAUUUGAUAUAUUAAAUUAAAUUAAUUAAUUGAUCACAUUUGUCUUUUGAUAUUUUCUUUCCGUCUAAAAAUAAAAAAUGUAUAAUUUCAACAAAAUAAAAAAAAAUCUUCCAAUUUAAUUCUAACAAUAUAUUUAAAGUCAAGCCAUUUCAAGUGCGAGUUAAUUUGAGUUUAAAUUAACGUUGAAUUAUAAUGCAGUAAUUGCAGAUAGUAUAUCUCAUGAUUUAAUUCUUUGGCCAAAAACAAUAAAGAGCCAGUAGCAAAUAAUUAAGUAAUACAGAAUUUACUUUAAAAUUUUAAAACAUAGAGAUGUCUCCCUUCAUCUCCUCUUAUUCUGAACCAAGUAGAGCAUGCAUGUCCUUGGAAAUCAUCCUCUCGUUCUAUCAUAACCGUUAUCCCUUCGCAUAAUCCCAUAGGACUAAAAGAAUGGAGACAUUACUAAACUAGCACAAGGCACCACAGUUUGGAUUUACAUCUCCAUAGAAAUGAAUAUUUCCAUCACAUUAUGUUGUAAACUGUGCAAUGCUCCCCUCAGUGCUAUUAAAGAAUGAUGGUCAGCUCCAUAGCCACCAUGGUGAAAAGUGCAACCCAUUCUUAAUAUCAGUUGCUACUCCCCCCAAUGUACAAAUGUCCAAUGCCAGCCUUUUUUUGAAAAGCUUUGGAACAAAUAAGACCUUAUAUAGAAGCUGGUAGAUGGUUCAUGCAGUUAUCGUCAAAAAGUGACAUCUAGUAGGUUUGUAAUUUGAAUUUUAGUACUUACAACUCCUUCUUUUAUCCCAAAUGCAAAAAAAUAAGACCUUAUAUGCACAGUGGCUGGGACUUGAACACUAGAAUUGAAACUAUAGGAUAGGUUUUUGAGGUGACCAUCUGGGAUGUCUAGGGAAGAAUCCAUGGUUUUGAAAACCCCUGGAUAGACAUAGAAUCAGGAUGAUAAUAACUUGUGUUUUUGAUAAUUUAGUUUUUGCAACACUCAAAAUUCAGUUUUCUACCCUUCUGACAAGCAAAUAAUGUUUUUCCUCUUCAAACAGUUUCUCUGGUCUUUCAUUCAGUAUAAAAAACUAACUCAAAAAAAAUAAAUUAUUUCAUACUUUUUCAUUUUAUCUUGAAUCUCCAUCAUAUUACAUGUAGGGCUAAAAGGAUAAUGCAUUAGUGGACUUGAUCAAACCAAAAAAGCAGUGGCUACAGCUCAUACAAAAUAAGAUCAUAACGUUAAAAUCCCAAAAUGGAAGAUAGAUGCAUAUCCUUCUAUUCUUUUUCAGCUCACAAUAUUCUUCAUGAAUUUCAAAAGGCAGGAAAAGAAAAAUUAUCACUGAGAGUAAGGCUUUAAAAAAUGAUACGAAAAUUCACUUAUUCAGCUUAUGUACAAUCAAUCUUGAAAGGCCUAGCUUUUCCUCAUGUAUCUUUAAUAAGGAAGGAUCCUCAUAAAGGGUCACAAACCUUUGGAGGAACUCCUUUUUGGUAAAAUAAAAAAAAAAAAGAUAAACACUAAUUUUCUCAAUCAAACGUUUGGAUAGCAAAGAUUAAAGAACUUAACACCCAAGGACAAUUCUCCUCUCUAAGCUAUAUGGAAAAAGUUGCGGAAGGUUUGCUAUACAUCAAGAUUUCCAGUCCAUUUGUGUUGACAUAAAAAAAAAAAAAAAUUCAUUGCUGCUUUAGUCUUGUCCUUAGAAAGCAUCAGUGCAAUAUGGAUAUUUGUCAAAAGCUAAGCAAUGCAUUCGUCAGACCAAUCCCAUUGUUUAAAAACAUUGGAUUUCCUUUCCCUUUUCUUUUUCUUUCUUUUAUUGUCCUGUUGGUUUUUUCGACUGGUAAGCAAAUCUGGCCUGCGGCAUUUUAGACAGAGGUAAGGAACAUAAACCAACCUUGCCCAACGCCAAUUCGGAGCUCUUAAAGGGGAAAUGGACAAUUUUUGGAAUGAAUUAAUUAGUAGUAUGGUUCUUGAACUAUGUAUUAAAACGUACAAAUUGAUUUAUAAACUAAAAAGUUGUAUAAUGUACCCACAAACUUUCAAAAUGUGUACUAAGUCACAUAUUAGUUCCACAAAAUGUUUUUUUAUAUAAAAGUUUAGAUUGAAAAGAGGUUUUCCCAUUCCAGAGUCAGGGGAUUUAUAUUGGAUUUAAGGAUCGUCUAUCAAGUGUCAUAACAUCCAAGUUCAUAAAAUUAUUGCUAGAUACAACUAAAAAAGUUACCAUCAAUAUUUUUUGACUAAGUGUGAUUGACCACCUAAGUAAAUUUAUUCUUUAUAAGGAUGUCCCAAGCCUGAUUAAGGGUCUCUAAAAGAAUAGGUUUUGAUCUAAUAAUCAAAACAUGGUUCAAUAGUUCGAUUACAUAUGAAGAGUGUUAUAGCACUCUCACAAUACCCAUCCUAAGAUGGUACCAUUUAAUUUUAAAUUAUCUUAAGGAUUUUUGUUCUAAUGGUCUUUUAUUAAACUGUAAUGUUUAAAUAUUAGAAAUUAUUUCUAAGAUUUCUUCAUUGAUCUAAUAGGAUUCUUAAAAAUAUUUUAUCACCUCAAGAUUAUUUAAAAAUCUCAUUUAUUUUUUUAAAGAGGCUUCGUCAUAAAAAAAACCUUAAUCAUUUAUUUUUUUAUUUUGCUUUUAUUGAAAAUAUGUCUAAUUCUUCCACCAUUUGGAUCAAAAUUAAAAAUGUCUCACUUAAAAAUUUCCUAAGUAAUUAUUCAUUUGUGAAUAUUAAAAAUUUCAUUAUCAAAAUUUAUUCUUUUUAUUUUAGGUAAAUUUUCUAUACCUAAAUUUUUAUUGUAUUGAGAUGUAUCUUUCACCAUUCUGAAAACAUUUAGAAAUAUAAUUUUUUACCUAAAGAUUUCUAAGAAAAUCAACCAUUGUUGAUUUUUUAAAAUUUUAUCAUCAAAAUUUUUUUUUAUCAUUUCCAAAACUUCUCAUUUUUAUCCUUUUUGUUUACUGCAUUUAGAAAUAUAAUUAUUAUAAUUUUAUCUAAUUUUAUCACUAUUAUGAUAAAUUUUAGAAAUAAGUAUCAUCUAGAGUUUCUCAUCUAGAAAUUUUUUAUAGGAUCAACCAUUCUUGACCUCUUAGAAUACCAACAUCAAUUUUAUUUUAUUAUUUUUCUUUUUUUUAGGAUUAUUUUUGUUAUUUCUAAAAUUUUCUAGUUUUUUUAAUUUUAUAUUUUAUAUUUUUUAUGAUUUUAAGGCAAGUAUCAAUAUUGUUACUGAAAAUUUUAUCUAAAUCUCCAUUUUGAAGAUAUUAAAUAGAAACUUCUCAUUUAAAAAAAUUCUAGAAAUUCAACCAUUCUUGAUUUCUAGAAUUUCACUAUUUGGUAAUUUUCAUUUAUUUUUUAGGAUUAUAUUCUUUAUUCUUGAUUUUCAUAAAUUAUCUUUAAUGACAUUUUCAUAUAAAUUGUCCACCAUUCUAGAGAAUUUAAAAGAAAUUAAAAUUUUCUAAAAAUCAACCAUUAUUGAUUUUUAAAAUUUCAUCAUUAGGAUAAUUGCCAUUUAUUUUAGAGUUUUUAUUUCAUUUUUUUAUUUAUUGUUCAAUUGACAAGAAAUGAAAUUUAUUUUUUUAGGUUUUCAACUAAAAUUUCCACAAUUCUAGAGAAUUUAGAAGAAUUUGCUUAUCUAAAAAUUUCUAAAAAGUCAACUCCGUGGAAAAAAUUUUCACUUAUAAUUAAAGUCUGAAUUAAAUUAUAUGAUUAUAAAAAGAAUUUUAUAUAUCUUCUAAAUUUAUAUGAAAUACAUGACUCUGAUAAUAUUUUAAUUAAAGAAAACUAAAAAUAUAAAUAUAUUUUAUUGUACCAUAUUUUAGUUUUUUAAGUGUGAAGCAACUAAACAAUUUUCUAGUUUAAGAAUGAAUGCUCGAUAAAAAGUGUAACAAAGUAAAUAAAUGAUAAAAAAAAUGAACCUGAAAAUUAAUUAAGGAAAAAAAAGGAUGAAAAUCUGAUAUUUGAGUUUACAACUCAAAUCCAAAGCAGGCCCACUUAAGCUAAAAAGUGGGCUUGGAGUUCUUGGCUUCAAAUUGUGGGGUCUUGAAUCUAGACUCGACGAUUCAUGUUUAUGUAUUGUGUCUUAUAUCAUAUUUGAUAUAUGUAAUAAUAUAAAUUAUUAAAAUAUAAAUAUGAUAUGAAUUAUAAAAUAUAUUUAAAUUUUAAACAUAAAUACAACAUGUUUAAUAUACAUAAUAAUAUAAAUAUACAUAAAUAAUAUAAAUAUACAUGAAUAGAUAUGAUUAACACGAAUAUAUAUAAAAUAUGACUAAAAUAAUAAAUAACUAUAAAUUAUCUAUUAUUUACAACUUAAUAAAUUUGGCAUAUUAAUAAUAUAUAAAAAUACUUACACAUUAAAAAAAUUUAAUACUCAUUUAAUAUGUAUUUAAUAUAUAUAUUUUUAAUUUUAAUUUAUAUUAAAUAACUAUAUUAAUUUUUGUAUCAAAUUCAAAAUAAUAAACUAUUAAAGAUUAAAGAAUAAAAUAAUAAUGUAUAGGACUAAUAUUAAUAUUUAUAUUGUAUUUAUAUUAUUAAUAGAAAAAAUAAUUUUAUAAUAAUUAUUAAAAGUAUCAUAAUUAGAUGUUUAAAAUAAUUUUUAUAUGAAAUUAGUUAACUAAUUAAGAUCAUAAUUAAAAGAUUAAAAUUAAAUUAAUUUUUAUGUGUUUAUAUUAAAUUAAAAUAAAUAUAAAAAAUGUGUUAAACAUCUUAAAUUUAUACUUUUGCAACAAGAUUAAAUUAAACAUAAUAUUUGUGUCGUGUCAUAUAUUUAAACAAGUUAACACAAACGACAUGAAUUGUAUCAUAUUGAAAUUCAAGUCGACAUAAAUAAACAUGAAACAUUUUUAAAAAAAUAAAUAUAUGAUUUUUUAUAUCAUUUUUAUAUUAUAUCCUAUCUAAAAUUUUUAGGUCUACUUAAUCCUCCUCAAGUUACACUCAAAAUUUAAACUUUUUGGACUUGGACUAGAUCUUCAAGUUCUAGACCAUUUUUACAAGAUCCUUCCCCUUUCUUUAUUCUUUAUUGCAAAAGAAUAAAGCCCAACUUCUCAUUUCAGCAACACAGCUUUCAAUUUUUGCUGUUGUAUCUUUCUUUUUCUCGAUAAGUCAUCGCUUCGCUUCCUUUUUAUUUUCGAAAUCUCACUAGCACUAUGCAAACACAAAGACCAUUCUACCACUUCUUGGAAUUCCUAAUCCCAACUACUUGGAUCGUUGAAAAACUCCUCCAAAUCCUUCCCCUUUCUUUUACCGUUUAAAAGAAUUCCAAAAGGUGCCUAAAUAAAAGUGAAUCCCAAACCAAAAACCCACUGCUAGAAGAAAAUCUUUCAUUUUCGUCUUUCGAUUGUUGAUCUAUCUCUGUGGCUAUUUUUUAUGCUUGACUCUAGUUAUUGUGUUUUGAUUAUUUGUUGGAUUUUGUGUUUUGAUUAUUUGUUGGAUUUGGAUUAAUGGUUACUAUUUGGGUGAGGAAAAGUAGUGGUAGGCUUCGGUGUUUGGUUUAGGCAGUGGAUGACCGAUGGUGGUGACUGGCAAUUGGGAGCUAGGCCGAACAAAAUGGGGAUUUGUUUCUGAUUUCCCUUGUGUUUCCCUCUGAUUUUCUCUGCUGAUUUCUUUCUCUGUGAAAUUUUUUUUUUUUUUAGUUGUUGUGAAUUGAAAGUUUUUUUUUAGGUAAGAUCAUGAGAGUUUCAACUCACUUAGGAUUAGAUUUCUUUAAAAUUAAAGAUUAACCCAAAGUAAUUCUAAUCUCAAACUGCUUCUAAUGAAGCUAGCACCUUCACCGAGAUAACAUUAUUUUAAACUUCCAAAUUAUCAAUUUUUUAAAAGAUGAUCAGAUAAUUAAGGAUAAAAUCAAGAUAAAAUACUAUAAUAAUAAGGAUAAAAUAAAUAAGGAUAAAAAGAAUACAAAAAAAUAAAAUAAAAAUCUAAAAUUUAAAAUUCAAUAAUUGGAUUCCAAACUAGUUGAAGUCCAACUGAUUUGGGUCUCGGGCGAAAUAAAAUAUUUAUCUCAAGGAAAAUUGCUCGUAAUAAAAUACAAACCCAAGCUUUAUAAGAGAAAUAUUCAAAUCUUCUCAAGUCAACCAACUUUUGUCUCUCACAUUGUCUGAAAAUCUCAGUCUCUCUCACAUUGUCUUCCUAUAUGGUUGGCCUCAAAUCAAUUGUAGAUGGUUCAAUUUCUCCUCGUUUGCCCUUCUUUUCUAUUCUUUUCCUACUUCAUUUUUCUUUUUUCUUUUUCCUUUUUUUCUUUUCUUUGUUGGCAAUAAGUAUAUUUCACCACCACCACCACCAACAAAUGGCUUGGUCGAUGAGUGCAAGAAGUCAGCCAUCGCUGUCCUCCUUUGAGGCUACCAUUGUAGUGACCAAAAUCUCCACCCUCCUUUGAGACUACCAUUGUAGCAACCAAAAUUCUCAUCCAAAAGAAAGGUAAUGCUAAUUAUGAGGUUUUUAUAUUACCUUAUUUUGGGUUGAUUUUUAGAUUUUGAUUUGUGUGAAAUUGUUGAUAUAUUUACAGUGAAAAAAGAACAAAAAUAAAAUCUUCAAAAUGUAAAUUUUCAAAAUGCAAAACCACAAACAAAAGCUUUGAAUAUUGGUAAAGUUGUUCUAAGUUUGAUAUUUCUUUUAUCAAAAUUUUUGGAUUUGAUAUUAGAUUUAAAGAAAUAUUGAAUUUCAAAGGUUUGGAUUAGUUAUGCAUUUGAUAUUUUUGAUUUAGGAUUUAGGCUUGUAAACUGAGCGUAGCCAUGCUAGUUUUUUCCAACUUCUAACUACAAUUUUGAGUUUCAAACACCUACCAAAUAGUUUCUUCUUUAAGAGAAUGAGCCUUAAGCCAAGCAAUCCUAAUUGAGCCCGUUUUAGACAAUAAAGUCCAAAAUAUUGGAUGAUACAAACUUUAUUCAAACUGAAAAGAUCUUUAAAUAUACUUUAGAUUUAUGGAAUAUUUCCCCAUCAUUUUAGUUCGAUUUAAUGAUUAGUGAAAUAUGAAAAGUUUUCUAAAUAAAAUUGAUUUGUUUUUUUUUUUCUUUCAAAAUUUUAUUUCCAAAGGCAUUAGUUAAUAAAAAUAUAAUUUUAUUUUCAAAAGUUUAUUUUCAAAUAAUUAACUAAAUAAAAUAUGAAAAAAAUUGGAAUUAAUAUAUAUAAUUCGUAUAACUUUUUCUUUUCCUACCUAUUUUUAAUUCAAGUCAAUAGUUAAUAGGAUAUCAAAAGUCUUUUUGAAUAAAAUUUAUUUCUAUUUUUUUAAACGUUUUUUUCAAAUCAUUAAUUAAAAAGUACAAAAAAUUUACAGUAUUUUCAAAUCAUUAAUUUUAUGCCUUUUCCUCUCCCUACCAUUUAUGAAAACAAAAAAAAAAAAAUAGUGAUAUUUCAUGAACAAUUUUUAUUUUAAACCAAAUGACGACAUUUGACAUUUUUCCUUUCAAAGGUUUGUUUUCAAUUUAUUAAAUAAUUCUAUAGAAAAUUAAUAAUUGACAAAUGAAAACAUGAGGAAAUUUAUAGAAAAAUGAUUAGCAAUUGUUGUGCACCAAAACAUUUUAGCAAAAGAAACUAAUUCCUCUAAAAUGAGAAAAAAAUGACGACUUUCUGAAUACAAAAAUAUAAACAAUAUAUUCAUAUGUUCUCACUUGAGCUUACUUAUAUAUUUUAGCUACUCACCAUUUAUUGAAUAAAAAAAUAUUGACACCUUUCAUAGAAUAAAAGUAACAGAAAACCAUUGGCAUGAAGUUACAUAAACUUUGCAUAGUUUAUUUCAAAAUAUGAUUCAAUAAAACUAUAGAUUCCAAAUAAAACAUAUCACUCUAAUGUUCCUCAAUAGAAAAAAAAAAAAAUCAUUGCAACAAAGAUGAUCGGCAUUUCUCAAGAAGGAAACAGCACACGCAUUUGGCCAUGAUUUCAUGAACUUUUAGACAUUCCACGUCAUUGGAAGGUGAACUUCCAAUGCAGCAAACAACACCAUAAAUCUCUCAUCAAAGCUUUAUGCAAUCACAAUAAGAAAGAAACAGCACAAUCUAUUCCACGCUGAAUUCAUAAGUUACAUACUGCAAUAAAGUUACAAAACUUGCAUCAGUUCCCUUUUUUUUUCUUUUUUUUUUUUUGAACAAGAAGCUUGCGUUCAUAUUUUGAAAAUCAAUUUCUAACAUAAUCAAGUGAAAGAAAAAAAGAUGAACUUCAAGAAGCUUGCACCUACCUCUAUUAUUAUUCUUUUUCAUCAUACUUAUUAAANNNNNNNNNNNNNNNNNNNNNNNNNNNNNNNNNNNNNNNNNNNNNNNNNNNNNNNNNNNNNNNNNNNNNNNNNNNNNNNNNNNNNNNNNNNNNNNNNNNNNNNNNNNNNNNNNNNNNNNNNNNNNNNNNNNNNNNNNNNNNNNNNNNNNNNNNNNNNNNNNNNNNNNNNNNNNNNNNNNNNNNNNNNNNNNNNNNNNNNNNNNNNNNNNNNNNNNNNNNNNNNNNNNNNNNNNNNNNNNNNNNNNNNNNNNNNNNNNNNNNNNNNNNNNNNNNNNNNNNNNNNNNNNNNNNNNNNNNNNNNNNNNNNNNNNNNNNNNNNNNNNNNNNNNNNNNNNNNNNNNNNNNNNNNNNNNNNNNNNNNNNNNNNNNNNNNNNNNNNNNNNNNNNNNNNNNNNNNNNNNNNNNNNNNNNNNNNNNNNNNNNNNNNNNNNNNNNNNNNNNNNNNNNNNNNNNNNNNNNNNNNNNNNNNNNNNNNNNNNNNNNNNNNNNNNNNNNNNNNNNNNNNNNNNNNNNNNNNNNNNNNNNNNNNNNNNNNNNNNNNNNNNNNNNNNNNNNNNNNNNNNNNNNNNNNNNNNNNNNNNNNNNNNNNNNNNNNNNNNNNNNNNNNNNNNNNNNNNNNNNNNNNNNNNNNNNNNNNNNNNNNNNNNNNNNNNNNNNNNNNNNNNNNNNNNNNNNNNNNNNNNNNNNNNNNNNNNNNNNNNNNNNNNNNNNNNNNNNNNNNNNNNNNNNNNNNNNNNNNNNNNNNNNNNNNNNNNNNNNNNNNNNNNNNNNNNNNNNNNNNNNNNNNNNNNNNNNNNNNNNNNNNNNNNNNNNNNNNNNNNNNNNNNNNNNNNNNNNNNNNNNNNNNNNNNNNNNNNNNNNNNNNNNNNNNNNNNNNNNNNNNNNNNNNNNNNNNNNNNNNNNNNNNNNNNNNNNNNNNNNNNNNNNNNNNNNNNNNNNNNNNNNNNNNNNNNNNNNNNNNNNNNNNNNNNNNNNNNNNNNNNNNNNNNNNNNNNNNNNNGAUAGUAAAAAAAUUUUUACACUAUAUUACACGCAAAUUGAUUUUCUCCGAACCUUCCAAUAAAGUUUUUGAUUCCACUCUUAGUCACGAUUAUAAUUGAUGUAACACAAAAGGAGCAAAAUUCUAUCCCAUAUUGCAAGCAAUUCUUUAUCCAUUUGGACUUUAGGAAAGGUGCAUUUAAUGCAUCAAAAAUUUUGUCAAACAAACAAAAAAUAAUAAUAAUAAAAAAAAAUAAUAAAAUGGGUGUUUACAGGAUUGAUGCAAUCGAUAGUAAAAAAAUUUUACACCAUAUUACACGCAAAUUGAUUUUCUCCGAACCCUCCAAUAAGGUUUUUGAUUCCACUCUUAGUCACGAUUAUAAUUGAUGUAACACAAAAGGAGCAAAAUUAUGUCCCAUAUUGCAAGCAAUUCUUUAUCUAUUUGACAGACAGUGGCAUACUAUGGGAUGACUGACAAACUAAGACCUCGUUUGGAUUCAAACAAAAGUCAUGUCACGAUAUGUUUGGCCUCAACCGUGCCAUGUACCCCAUUCGGAAGAAGUGGUGUGGCAUCUUUAGAACCUUUUAUUAGCAAAUAUUUUGAUUUUCAAACAUUAAUAUUGACACUGCAACGCAGCAGAUGAAUAAAAAAUAAAAUCACAAUAUAUUUUCAAAAAGAAUUAAUAAAAGGCAAACUAACACAUCUAACUGUACUCUUACCAUUUGUUUUUUUUUUUUUUAAAGGCAAAAUGAAAUAUCAAUGGAGUAAAAUCUUCAUUCCCUGCCUCGCAAGGACGAGCAACAUUUAAUUGGAAUGCGGUCAACGACCCCACUCAACUCUAGAAAAGUCAUAUUUUUACGUAUAAAUAAUUUUUUUUCGUAAUUUUCUUAUUCGACGCCACAAAAAUCGAACAAAAAACUUGAAAUAAGGGGGUCAAAUAAGUAAAAAUUUUAACUUUUUUUUAUGAUGUCAAUGAGUAGUAUAUAUGUAAAAAAAUCUUUAUAAUAAUAUUAAUAUAAAUAUGAUCAUACAUUAAUAAGCUUUAAAAUGUAAUAUGUGGCAUACAAUAAAAUUGAACUUUAAUAACUCGUUCUACAUUUUAUCAUCUUGAACUUUAGUUCUUUAAUUUCCUCUUAUUCAAAAGCCCAAUUUGAAUUUUUUGAAAAAAAAAAAUGGUAUGUUUGAGUCAAUGCUUGAUAUUUAUCUUGAAUUAAUUUUUUCUUUUGGCUUGAUUGAGGUUUAAAUUGUGAGUUGAUUAAAACUUAAGUUGUUGAAUUUUGUAGAUUAUAGGAUUUUUUAUUUUGGGAUAAAUUUGUCUUGUGAUUUAAUGCAAUUUUUUUUUUAAAGUUCAAACAAAAAUAAUGUCUGUAACGUCUCAUUAAGUUUGCUAUUUUUUGCAAUCCCUCUAUUUUGUGGCCACAAUGAACCAUUAAACCAGUGAAUCUAAGUCACACCUCAAUUUCAGUGGAUAAUAUAAGAAAAAACCGAAACUACAAAGAAGUGGCCAUUAUAUCACGUUGCAAUGACUAUUUAAAUCCUUUAAAACCGACUUUACCUGAUGCCAAUUCAGAGUCUUAAAAGGGAUAGGACAUCAUUUUUGGAAUGAAUUAAUUAUUAGUAUGGUUUUUGAACUAAAUUAAAUUGUAUAAAUUGAUAUUUAAACUAAAAAAUUGUAUAAUGUACUCAAAAUCUUUCAAAAUUUGUGGUAAAUCGCAUAUUAGUUCCAACAAAAGGUUUCAAGUUCAAACUUUCUCUGCUCAUCAUACCUAAGAAAAUCCACAAGCACAUAAAUCCUAGAAAGAAUAUUAUAGGCACCCUGCAACCUCUUUCUUUUUCUUUUUUUUUUUUAACUACACUGCAAGCGGGCAACAAAAAAGUGAUUGUGAGAGACCCCAAUUCUUUCCUCACCAUCAACCUGAGGGGAUUGUGACUGGCUUAAAAGUGACCAAAUCAUUGCAUCAUACAAAUUUAGAUUCAUAAUCGAACCGAUGGAAAUUAUGGCUGCAGUUUUAUUUACUCCACUAUAAGCAAAUAGCAUAACCACAUUCCCUUUUCGGUUGGAAUUGCACUGAAAAACUAUUAGGGCUCCUUUGAAAGCAACAGAAGCACUAGAGAGGUGCAGUUCCUAUGGGAGUAUGUGCUCACUGGAGCUUUUUUGCCAAAUGAUGGAAUGGUGCAUUUGUUGAAAUGCCCGUCAUCAACUGCCCAUUUUUGGUCAAGUUGAUGACAGGCCAUAGAUUUUAUUUUGCUUUUCAAUUUUGUCUUUUAAAUUAUAUUGUAAUAUAAAAAAUAUCCUUAUGAUUUUUUUUAAUUUUGAUUUUUAUUUAAAAAUCAUAAAAUAUUUUUUGUUAAUUUAAUUUCAUAAAUAAAUUUUAUUACUUAUUAAUAAAUUUUAUUAUUUAUUAGCAUUUUUAUAUAAUAAAUAAAAUUUAUAAAUAUUAAAUAAUUUAAAAUAUUAAUUAUAUAUAUAUUUUAAUUUAAUGUCUUUAAUAAUCAAUUUAUCUUCUUAUUACAAUUCAUCUCAUUAUCACUAUUGUUUUUGCAUCCAAACAUAUAUCCUAUAACUGAUUUUAAUCUCACCACUAUAAUAACCAAUCUUACCUUCACCACUGUUUUUAAUCUCACUAAAACCAAUCUCACUGUUCAUUCAAAUAGGACCUUAGUUGUAUUCAUGGAGUACACACUUUUUUUUUUUAAAUAGUAGGCAAACCUCCAUGAAACAAGUUGAUGAUUAAAUGCUGCAAGAUGUUAAAUUGGAAUAUAAAGCUAUGGAGCUUGCCAACAAGGUUAGCUAUGGAUGCAGAAUAUUUUUUCAAGGUAUCCACUUAUAUUUAUAAAUAUAAAUUAAUAAUGGAUUUAUCAAUUUUGUCGAUGAAAAAGGUGUCUGGGAAAAAUUUUGGGAUGUCUAAAGAAAAUUUUCCUUCAAAUUUUCUUUUUUUCCAAUCUUUGAGUUGUCCAUGAAAAAUUUUUGUGGGUGUUUAGGAAAAAAUUUUCCUUCAUAUUUGUAGAUCCUUUUUUUUUUCAAGAUGCGAUUAAUCCCUUGAUUCGGGUCUCUUUGAGAUCAUCAAGCCUCGAAAGAGUUCAUGCUUGGGUUUCUUACAUAUUAUUUUGUUUGGGUUUUGGGCUCAGUAAUUGUUAAUUGGAUGCGAGUUUUGGCCCAACUAAUGUUGUAUUAUUAUUAUUAUUAUCAUUAUUACUAUUAUUAUUAUUGUUAUUAUUAUUAUUAUUAUUAUUAUUAUCAUUAUUAUUAUGUUUAUUUAUUUUUACUAAAAAAGGAAAAACGUAAAGGAAAAGGAAAUGAAGGCAAGUUUUUGGUCAACCCCGAAAUCAUGCUCACAAGGAGCUGGAAUUGGAAACAAAAGGCCCUAGAUCAAAUCACUUUUUCAAAGACAAAAAAAUCAAUAGAUUUCACGUGGUAAAUGGGAUUAAAUUUGGCAAGAUUUUGUUAUUCUUGAAACCCUAAUCUAAUCUGACAGAUUUCUUAAAUAAAGUUGUGGGAUUUGAUUAGGAAAAUCCCUAAUUUUUCUUUAAAAAGGAGCCGUAUAAACGUGUUUCCAACCUAAUAUUUUAGCAUACAACAUGGUAAUUGACAGCGUUUGUAAUGACAGGCAGCUAAUUGAGCUUUGAACCUGUUCUCUUAGGUGAAGGUAACGGCAUUCCAUAUGAUGUUUUCACUUAAGUUGCUUGAUUUAUGGAAUGUGUAAUUUAGGUCAAUGGAAGGAGGCUACAAGAUAUUUUGAUCAAAUGGUAGCUACCAAUAUCACACCAAAUGCUGUCACUUAUAAUGUAUUAGUUUAUACACUUUGUUAAAAGAUAUUGUUGAAAAAUUGGUGUGGAAAAGAGUGAAGCCAGCUGUUGUCACAUACUGUUACUCACUGAUAGAAGGAUGUCGUUUGCAAAAGUAAAUGGAUGAAGCUAGGUAAAAGAAUAUUUGUGUUGAUGAUUGACGAGGAUUACUUAAAAUUUGUCUGAUGAAAUUUAUUGAUGUUAUUUUAUUCAAUUUUUAAUUUAAAGUUAUGAAUUUAUUUAAUUAAAAUUAUUACAGAAUGAUAAAUAUUAUUGACAGAAAUUAUUAGAAGUUAUUGCAUUAUCAACAGAAAAUUUCAUUUAUAAUUAUCGAUAAAAUGUUAUUACCAAUUAGCUUGUAGACAAAAUAUUCCUUCAAUAACUGUUUUACUGACCAAAAAUUCCAUUAGAAAAAUCCUAGUUUCAGAUAGCGAGAAUUAUGCAUCUAAUACAUUUUGUUCCGAUGUCAUGAGAGAUGUAAAUUGCGAGAGUAAGAGAUUAAAUGAGACAGUGAAACUCUUUUCUGAUUAGUUAUACUGCUUUGCUAAAUGGGCUAUGUCGAAAAGGACAUAUUCACGAGGCACCGACAUUAGUUAAAGCAAUGCAUAACUGCGGGGUGGAGCCCAAUAUUUUUCACUGUUCAGUCCUAAUUGAUAGCUUUUGUGAAUCCGGUUGCCUUGAUGAGGCAAGGGUCAAAACUUAAGAUCAUUAUACCUUGGUUGUACUGAAGUGCGUAUAUCUAUACUUGGUUUUUGUCAAAAUUCUUGGCUUUGUUUGCUCAAAAUGGAUUGUGCCAUGAGAUCAAGAGCUAGGAGGUCAAGUUUAAAUGGCAUUUGAUUAAGUGCCUUGAAUAGUUUGUUUGGAUAAUGUCAUGAAUUAUUUUUAAAUUAUAUUAAAAUAUUUAAUAUAAUAUUUAAAUUUUAAAAAAUUUUAAUAUUAUUUAAAUUAUAAAUAUAUUAAUUAAUAUAAUAUUUAUCUUUAUCGUCGUUUGUUUUAAAUAAUAAAUAUAAAUAUCUUCCUAAAUGUGAUUAUAAAAUUGGAGGGCUACUCUAAAAUUUAUUUAUUUUCGUUGGCUUUAUUCAAAAUUUGAAGGAAAAUAGGAAUGGCGUGUCCUGGCUUUAUCAUUUACUCUUUUUUUUUUUGUUUAAAUUUUUUAUGAUUGUUUCAAAAUUAUAUUUUUUUAAUUUCUAAAAUUUUUUAUUUUAAAAUUAUUUAUUAUUAUUUAUUUUUCUUUAAAAAUAAAAAAUUAAUUUUAAUAUUAAAUAUAUUAAAAUUAAUUUUUUUAAAAAAUUCCGUAAAAAUCAAUCAUAAUUAUUCUCCGGAGGGAGAUGAUAAUGAAUGGAAUACAAUCAAGCUCGUGUUUUAAUUCAUUGAUCAAUCAUCAAUCUGCUGCACGUGCUCUAUUAGCACUUGUCUUUUAUGUACUGUUUAUGUGACAUGUUUUCCCUUGUUAAGGAUCCAACCAACAUUGUGCCGAUUAUGACUCACUGUCACUUGUAAUUAUCUAUACCCUAUAUAAAAACUGUCGUAACGUCUAGAUCCGGGGAUCUAUCGCUAGACAUUGACUUUCAGGGAGUCGCCACCAAUCUUUUUUAUCUAGGUGCGAUUGGCCACCUAAGGAAUCUGUCCUUUUAGGGAACGCCUCAGUUUAAGAGUCCCUAAAAGAAUAGGUUCAGGUCUACUAACCAGAACAGGGUUCGGGAGUUCGGUUACGUGUGAGGAAGGUUGUAGCACCCUCACAACGCCCAUCAAAAGAUGGUACCAGCUUAAAUUUGUGUUAUCCAAAAGCCUUAAAAUUUUACCAAGUAAUUAGUUGUUGGAAAUGAUUCUCAAUUGACUCUAAUACUUUUAGCAGAAAAUUGAGAAAAUUCCCUCACCUCAGGAGUAUGCAAGAAAAACUACUGUUUCACUUGCAGGGGCUCCGUCGUCGGAUUUAUUAAAGAAAAAUCAAAAUCAUCCAGUUAAUUAUUGGAAAUUAUUCUCAAUUAACUCUAAUACUUUUAGCAGAAAAUUGAGAAAAUUCCCUCACCUCAAGAGUAUGCAAGAAAAACUACUGUUUCACUUGCAGAGGCUCCGUCGUCGGAUUAAUUAAAGAAAAAAAAAUCAAAAUCAGCCAAGUAAUUAAUUAUCGGAAAUUAUUCUCAAUUAACUCUAAUACUUUUAGCAGAAAAUUGAGAAAAUUCCCUCACCUCAAGAGUAUGCAAGAAAAACUACUGUUUCACUUGCAGAGGCUCCGUCGUCGGAUUAAUUAAAGAAAAAAAUCAAAAUCAGCCAAGUAAUUAAUUAUCGAAAAUUAUUCUCAAUUGACUCUAAUACUUUUAGCAGAAAAUUGAGAAAAUUCCCUCACCUCAGGAGUAUGCAAGAAAAACUACUGUUUUUACUUGUAGAGGCUCCGUCGUCGGAUUAAUAAAAAAAAAAAAUCAAAAUCAAAGUCAAAUAAAAAAAAUUCAAAAAAAAAAAAAAAAAAAAAAAAAAACCUGGAGCGGCUCGGCUAUCGGCGCGGCUCGGCUCGGCUCGGCUCAAGGAAGAAAAACCGGCUCAGGGGAGCGGCUUGGAGGCUCGGCUCGGCUCGGCUCGGCUUGGAGGAGGGAAGCACGCGCGGGUCGACGCUCGGGUCGGGUCGGGUUCGGCAAAACGCGCGGAUCCCCUGGUUAACUUAAAGCCAAAACGACGUCGUUUUGGGAGGGUAUAAAAGGCACCUUCCUCCGUUUUUCAGCAGACCGUUCCUCCCCUCUCUCUCUCUUCUUCCCUUCUUCUCUGCCUUCUCUCUAGAAUUUGAAGAACGCCGGUACCGGAUUCUGGAAAUUUAGCCGGAAUCUGGGAAUUUCGCCAGAAAUUGGUCGGAAGUUGGCCGGAUGGUCGCCGGUUUCUGGGAUUCUCCGCCGGAAACUGGGUCUGUCGCCGGAAACUUCAAAGUUCGCCGGAAUUGUUGCCGGAAAAUUCAAAAGUCGCCGGAAUUUUCGCCGGAAUCUGGAAAUUUCCCAGAAAUUUCCAGAAAAUUUUUUCGCCAAAUUUUUCUAAAAAAUUUUUCUCACUGCCAGAACACUCCUAAACUUUUCCUUAGCUCUCUAAACACCCCUAUUCUCUCAAUCAGUAGCUUUUGCUUCUGUUUUCUCUCUGUGUCUGAACUGUUCCAGGAGGUGCUUUAUAUAAGGAUUGAUCAGGAGUUUCUGAUCAAUCCCAAUUCCUCCUUGGACGGGAAUUCAAUCUUUGAAUCCCACUGGACUCUUCUGAUUGAAUUCCCACUUCCAAUGGGAUUCUUCAGCCUUCAAUCUCAGCCCUCAAAAAUCAAAAUAAAAAAAAAACUAGAUAAUUAGAAAAGAAAAUCAAAAAUUAAAAAUAAUAUCAGAUAAUUCGGGAAAAAGAAGAUAGAAUUAACAGAUGAAAAAAAAAAAUAAUAACAAAUAAAAUAAGAUAAACCCAAAAAUAUAUUACACAAAAAAAUAAUAAUAAUAUAUAACUGUAUAAAUAAAAUACAUAUAAAUCUAAUCUGAAUAAAAAUAAAUAAAUAAAUAAAGAUAUACAUAAUAAUAAUAAUAAUAAUAAUAAUAAUAAUAGAAUACAUAAAAUACAAAAGAAGAAAAAAAUAUACAGGAUUGAAAUGGGCCUUACCCAUUUGGGUCAGGCCCAAUUGAUCUGGGCCCGGACCCAAUUGGGUGUCUACAGCUGCCCCUCUUUGCACAUUUUCUGUGAAACAGAAAUUGCGCAAAGACGUAGACACCCAAUCAAGACUCAACUCAACAUUUUUAUUUUUGAUUUUUUUUUGUUUUUAUUUUUUUUUUGAUUUUUUUGAUUUUUUUGUUUUUGUUUUUUUGUUUUUUUUUUGUUUUUUUUUUUGGCCGAAGCUCCUCUAAACAGAGACUCAACGACUUUUGAAAGUAAAUUGCUCCUCUAAACAGAGGCAACGGACUUUGGAAAGUAAAUUGCUCCUCUCAACAGAGGCACCACGACUUUGGAAAAAUAAAUUGCUCCUCUCAACAGAGGCACCACGACUUUGAAAAGUAAAUUGCUCCUCUAAACAGAGGCACCACGACUUUGGAAAAAUAAAUUGCUCCUCUCAACAGAGGCACCACGACUUUGAAAAGUAAAUUGCUCCUCUAAACAGAGGCAACGAACUUUGAAAAGUAAAUUGCUCCUCUAAGCAGAGGUACCACGACUUUGAAAAGUAAAUUGCUCCUCUAAACAGAGGCAACGAACUUUGAAAAGUAAAUUGCUCCUCUAAACAGAGGUACCACGACUUUGAAAAGUAAAUUGCUCCUCUAAACAGAGGCAACGAACUUUGAAAAGUAAAUUGCUCCUCUAAACAGAGGUACCACGACUUUGGAAAAGUAAAUUGCUCCUCUAAACAGAGGCAACGAACUUUGAAAAGUAAAUUGCUCCUCUCAACAGAGGCAACGAACUUUGAAAAAAUAAAUUGCUCCUCUAAACAGAGGUACCACGACUUUGAAAAGUAAAUUGCUCCUCUCAACAGAGGUACCACGACUUUGGAAAAAUAAAUUGCUCCUCUAAACAGAGGUACCACGACUUUGAAAAGUAAAUUGCUCCUCUCAACAGAGGCAACGAACUUUGAAAAGUAAAUUGCUCCUCUAAACAGAGGCACCACGACUUUGGAAAAAUAAAUUGCUCCUCUAAACAGAGGCACCACGACUUUUGAAAAGUAAAUUGCUCCUCUAAACAGAGGCAACAAACUUGGAAAAGUAAAUACUCCUAGACAAUCAUGUCCGGAGGAGUUGAAAGUUGUGUUUGAAGGGAUUUCAAGAGAUUAUGCCCAAAGGUCAUAUAAAUCAACCCUGAUACCAAGAGACAUCCUAUUUCGAGGAUUAGGAACUUACCUGACAAGUUUCUUCUCAAACUUGCAAAGUCUUUUUAUAUCUGUCUUUUUCAUGUGGGAUGUUGGAACACCCCUGCUUCUUGAAUUUGUACACUAUACUUUCCUGAAAGUAGUGUAUGCUAUGCAAAUGCAUAUGAAUUUCAAUGCAUGCUAUGCAAAUGUUGGUCAAUUAAUUCCUGUUCAAUGUAUGGUACUCAAGUUUCUCAAGCUCUUUUUUCUUUCUUGGGUGUCAAGCCCUUUGAUUCCUCAAGGAUCCAAUUGCACUGCUCUUCUAAGAUCGAACCAGUGUAGCUCUUAAUUGUCUCUUCCACUCAGAUUCUUCCUUGUUCUGUUUUUCAAUACUUUGGAAUAAGCUUCAUCAAUCGAUCAUCACUUGACCAUCAUUCAAUGAAUUUCUCAGCAAUAACAAAUUUUCAAAACAAGUUUCAUCCACCAUCAUUGGGUCAUUACUCUGUCUCAGCAUUAACCAUUCAAAAACAAACUCUGUCCACUGAUUGUCUUCAUCAUUCAAUCAUAACUUGCAAGUCAUAUCGAUCAAUUCAUCACUUUUCCAGAUUUGCCCCAUCAUCUCUUUUAGGUUUCUACCAUUUUUUCAUCAUCUUAGAUUUCUUUUCAAAUGAAUGUAAGAUUCUUUUAAGUACAUGUUCAUUCAUUCAUUAUCAUUUCAAAUUUUGACAAAUACAAUGCAAUCAAGCAUUUUCUCAAUUCAUUCUAAGGGUGUAACAAUAAGAGGACAGAAAGUGAAUUAUGGUAAAGAUAAUCAAUGGAGAUUUAUUUUGGUAGAAAAUAAAUGGGAAAGGAAAUAAAUUGGAUGUCAUUGAGGUAAAUGGUAUGUCCAAAUGAUGAAUAUUCAGACCAUUUUCAACAUUAAUCUAGGAUUCUUUUUCAAAAACUCAUUCAUUUACUGUUGAAGUCAUCUUGAGCUUGGCGAACUCUGCCCCAGUCUUUGAGGAAUCUUCAGAUGUCUUUGAUCUUUCAUUCAUGUGAGCCAUUUGACCUGGAUCUUUUUUUUUUUUUUUUUGGUACCAAAAUCACCCUUUCAGGUUUUCAAUUUGGAUCUCUUUUUUCAUUUUUCAUUUUUUCAUUUUUUCUUCUUUCUUUCUUUUUCUUUUUCUUUUUUUUUCAUCAUCUUUUUUUUCUCAUUCUUCACCUAUUAUUGACAUCCUUCAUACAUCAAACUUUUAAGGUAAUGUAGCAUGAUUCCAUUGCUUCAUCAUGAGCAUGCCUUCGCUCAACAUAUGAUCAUUCAAGUUGGGUAUUCACACUUAAUCCAAAUGGACUUUCCAAGGUUGUAAUGUAGGCUAAGGUGAAGGGUCAUAAAAAAAAUGGAUAUAAUAGGCUCAAAACAUGUAUUAAAAAGGUUCAAGACCGAAGGAUCAUUUGAUGCAGCUUGGCAUUUUGCCCCACAUCGUUUCACUAUUUUUUCUUUCCUCACACAAAGGAUUCUCAUUACUUUGCCCCAAGUCAUGUGUGGCAUUUAUUUUUUUCUUUUGCUUUUCUUUCUCUUUUCAUCUUUGAGACCUUUUGUGGUUUUUUUUUUUUUUUUUUUUUUUUUUUUUCAAAAAUUACCCUCCAGUGUAGAGGGUGAUCCUUGGUUGGGGUUCUUCAAAAAAAUGAUAAGCUCAAAGGGGUAGCAAUAAAUGGUUUUUCAAAUGGUAAAAGAAAGAUGGCCAUUUUUCAUCUCAAUUGUGAAUACCUUUCUUGAACAUCAUCUAUUGAACAGAGCUCAUGAACUUGUAUAAAAUAUUGCACACCUUCAAGAUAUAUCUCUUUCAUCUCUGGUGAUGGCUUACCCUCUUUAUUUUCGCUCAAAUCAUCUCCUCUGUGAAUGAGUUCUCAAAAUUAAAUUCCAGAAUUAUUGUUAUCAUUGUCUAAAUAUUCAUCAUCUGAAAUUUAAGAAUGGGAAUGUGAAGUUAUGGAAGGUAACAAAGCAUGGAGUAAUGGUCAAGUGAAAGAGAAAAAUGUAAUGAAAUGCACUGACUUGCCUUUAUUAAAAUGAUAACAAGUGAAGUCAUAUUGCAAAAAAAAUCUAACAUUGUUUGAAAAAAAUCCUAAAAUGACAGAAGAAACCUUCAAACAGCCUUAUCUCCAUUGAUAUCUUGCCCCUCAAUUCAUUGUGAAUCUCCGGAUCCUUUCUGUUCUUGACUUUCGCUCAGUACACUAACAUUAGGUGCUGUUGCUUUUCCUUGAUCAAAACUUACCAUUCCAUCAUUGAUCAACCGUUGCACCUUAUACUUUAAAGCAGUGCAAUUUUCAGUAGAAUGGCCAGUAAUUCCAUAAUGGUAGUCACAACGGGCUGUAGGAUCAUACCACUUUGGAUAGGGUGGUUUAAGUGGUUCCACAUGGCUGGGGGCAAUCAAGUGGCUAUUAUAGAGUUCUCGAUAUAACUCUGUAUAAGUCAUAGGGAUUGGAUCAAAUACAAGUUUUCUCGAGUAGUCCGUUUUUCUCGUGAGCCACUUGUUGGAUGAGUAGGACGAAUUUGGGUUCUUACAGGAGCUUGAAUGUUAAGGCGGUAAGUGGAUGAUAAGAUGGUUGUGGAGCUAGCUGGUAUGGGUAGGAUGAGGCAUUAUUCACAGCAGGAUAGCAUGGAGAGUAACCUUGGGAUGGAUAGGGUUGAUAACCCCGAAUUGUUGUCUAUCAAAGCUCACAGCUUGAGCUUCAGCUUCUUUCUUUUCUGAUGUCUUCUUGGUUUCUCCUCCUCUCACUUGCCAUUUUUUAUGGCACUUUCAAUAAUUUCUCCAGAGAUUACCAUGUCAGCAAAAUUCUUUGUUGCAUUCCCUAUCAUCUUUUCAUAAUAGGGAGGCUUUAAAGUGCUAACAAACAGCACUGUGGUCUCUUUCUCUGUCAGUGGAGGUUGUACCUGUGAAGCAAUAUCCCUCCAUCUCUGGGCGUAUUCCUUUAAAAGACUCAUUUGACUUUUUCUCCAGGUUUUGCAAAGAUAAACGAUCAGGGGCCAAAUAGAUGAUGUGGUCCGAUAUUGGCUGAUGAAAGUCAUGAGCCAUAUCGGCUCCAGGAGCGAAUGUGGGUUUCUAUCCAACUGAACGAUUACCAACCUGCAGCAGAAACCAGUAAGACUAUCCUGAAAGACAUGCAAUCAAGAAGUUUUUCACAUGGUGCAGUGAGCUGCCAUCUUCACUGCACAUACAUUGGUGAUGUGGAGUUUUAGGGCACUUUUGUACCGUCAUAUUUUUCAAAUUUCGGUACUUUGAAUUUAUAAGGGGAUAACCACAUCAGGAACUAAGGCAGAGCCCAGCACAUUCGACUGACCCAUAAACAGCUAAAUCUUCCACCAGCCUUAGCGCUCUUGCUCUAACAUGACUAAUCUUGGGAACUUUCCUCAGCACUCUACUCUUCAUCUUUUCCUUCUCCUUCUCUUUUAAAUUCAAUCUAAGAUCAGGAAUUGGUUCUGCUGCCUUUUCAGUGAAGACAGGAUUUAUAUAGCUAUUAUACUGCCCUGGGUUGAAAGCUGAUGGCAUUCCAGGAUAGGCGAAAUGUUGUGGCGGGACCUCUUGGGCAGACUGGGCUUGAGAUGGGCCAAAACUGGAGGGUACAAAGGGUCAGCUACCUCUUGUAAAUGGGGAACUUGUUGGCUUUGUAUUUCCUUCAACCCCUUUCCCCUUAUUCAUGUUAUUGAGGGCCUCCAAAAUUUUGCUAAGUUCAUUUUCAAUCUUCUCCUGAGCUUUUUUCCUAGCUUUUCAAAUCUAUGAGAACUUUCCUCCUCCAUUUGCCUUGCUCUGGAUCUUGUGUUGUAUGGAUGAGCAAGGUUUUCGCUAGAUGGACGCUAUCCUCGGACCUUGAGUACCAUACUCAUGAAUUAGAAAUGUUAUGCUGUGCCUUAUGUAUGAUGCUUUGAUACACAAAUGAAAUGUACAUUUUUUUGAAUGAAAUCUAGCAUGAAAUGAAUGCAAAUGAUUGUGUUGAAACAUGAUCAUGAAAAGAAUACAGAUACAUACAAUCAGACAAACAACAUAGUUAGUUUCAUGAAUGAAAUGAAAGUAAUGCUGAUGCAUAACAUUACAAAAAAUAAUACACAAAGUUAAGCAAUCAAAAUGAUUAGAUAAACACCUUUUUUGUGUCCUAAUUUCAGGGUAUAUCUAUCAUUGGGUAGAAAGGACUCUAUCCUAGGGUUAGGCACUCUUAAGGUUCACUACAUGUGGUUUUAAAGUCAGAGUCUAAAGGUCCUCAAAUUGUUCCUUACAUCCUUGUCCAUCACAGACUAGUAAGGCACCCUAAUCCUCACCCAUUACAGGCUACAAGCGGAAAAGGUUCAAUUUGAGUGGGAGUAUUUCGCUAGCCACUACGGAGGCAUUAGACCUCACGAAAGCAAUAGGUACUUUACUCCCUCCUAAAGGGACGGAGCUCGGGUAUAGAGCUCAUGUUAUGCAUAUGCACAUGAAUGACAUAAUUAACCAAGCAAAUACACAUAAAUGAAUAAUAACACAUAUAUACAAGAAUGGUUCAAUUUUAUUAGCUUUUGGAUAACACAAAUUAUUUGCUGGCCUGACUCUCAAAGUCCCCAGCGGAGUCGCCAAGCUGUCGUAACGUCUAGAUCCGGGGAUCUAUCGCUAGACAUUGACUUUCAGGGAGUCGCCACCAAUCUUUUUUAUCUAGGUGCGAUUGGCCACCUAAGGAAUCUGUCCUUUUAGGGAACGCCUCAGUUAAGAGUCCCUAAAAGAAUAGGUUCAGGUCUACUAACCAGAACAGGGUUCGGGAGUUCGGUUACGUGUGAGGAAGGUUGUAGCACCCUCACAACGCCCAUCAAAAGAUGGUACCAGCUUGAAAUUUGUGUUAUCCAAAAGCCUUAAAAUUUUACCAAGUAAUUAGUUGUUGGAAAUGAUUCUCAAUUGACUCUAAUACUUUUAGCAGAAAAUUGAGAAAAUUCCCUCACCUCAGGAGUAUGCAAGAAAACUACUGUUUCACUUGCAGGGGCUCCGUCGUCGGAUUAUUAAAGAAAAAUCAAAAUCAAUCCAGUUAAUUAUUGGAAAUUAUUCUCAAUUAACUCUAAUACUUUUAGCAGAAAAUUGAGAAAAUUCCCUCACCUCAAGAGUAUGCGAGAAAAACCACUGUUUUCACUUGCAGAGGCUCCGUCGUCGGAUUAUUUAAAGAAAAAAAUCAAAAUCAGCCAAGUAAUUAAUUAUCGAAAAUUAUUCUCAUAUUAACUCUAAUACUUUAGCAGAAAAUUGAGAAAAUUCCCUCACCUCAAGAGUAUGCAAGAAAAACUACUGUUUCACUUACAGAGGCUCGUCGUCGGAUUAAUUAAAGAAAAAAAUCAAAAUCAGCCAAGUAAUUAAUUAUCGGAAAUUAUUCUCAAUUGACUCUAAUACUUUUAGCAGAAAAUUGAGAAAAUUCCUCACCUCAGGAGUAUGCAAGAAAACUACUGUUUUUACUUGUAGAGGCUCCGUCGUCGGAUUAAUUAAAGAAAAAAAAAUCAAGAUCAAAAUCAAAGUCAAAUAAAAAAAAUUCAAAAAUUCAAAAAAAAAAAAAAAAAAAAAAAACCUGGAGCGGCUCGGAUCGCGGCUCGGAUCGCGGCUCGGCUUGGUGCGGCUCGGCUCGGCUCGACUCGGAGGGGCUGAAACGCGCGGGUCAGAAAGCGGGUCGACGCUUCGGGUCGGGUCGGGUUCGGCAAAACGCGCGGAUCCUCUUAUUAACUUAAAGCCAAAACGACGUCGUUUUGGGAGGGUAUAAAAGGCACCUUCCUCCGUUUUUCAGCAGACCGUUCCUCCCCUCUCUCUCUCUUCUUCCCUUCUUCUCUGCCUUCUCUCUAGAAUUUGAAGAACGCCGGUGCCGGAUUCUGGAAAUUUCGCCGGAAUCUGGGAAUUUCGCCGGAAAUUGGCCGGAAGUUGGCCGGAUGGUCGCCGGUUUCUGGGAUUCUCCGCCAAAAACUGGGUCUGUCGCCGGAAACUUCAAAGUUCACCGGAAUUGUCGCCGGAAAAUUCAAAAGUCGCCGGAAUUUUCACCGGAAUCUGGAAAUUUCCCAGAAAUUUCCAGAAAAUUUUUUCGCCAAAUUUUUCUAAAAAAUUUUUCUCACUGCCAGAACACUCCUAAACUUUUCCUUAGCUCUCUAAACACCCCUAUUCUCUCAAUCAGUAGCUUUUGCUUCUGUUUUCUGUGUUUCUGAACUGUUCCAGGAGGUGCUUUAUAUAGGGAUUGAUCAGGAGUUUCUGAUCAAUCCCAAUUCCUCCUUGGACGGGAAUUCAAUCUUUGAAUCCAAUUGGACUCUCUUGAUUGAAUUCCCAUUCCCGGUAGGAUUCUUCAGCUUCAAUCUUAGCCCUCCAAAAUCAAAAAUAAAAAAAAUACUAGAUAAUAAUCAGAUAAAUCAAAAGAUAUUUAAAAAAAAAAUCUGAUAAUCAGGAAAAAUCAGAACAGAUAAUUAAAAAUAAUAAUAAUAAUAAUAAUAAUAAUAAUAAAAUAAGAUAAACCCAAGUAUAUAUUACAAAAAAAAAAAUAAUAAUAAUAAUAAAUAUAUAACUAUAUACAUAUAAAUCUAAUCUAAUAAAAAAAUAAAUAAAUAUAUACAUAAUAAUAAUAAUAAUAAAAUACAUAAAAUACAAAAGAAGAAAAAGAAAAAAAAAUACAGGAUUGAAUUGGGCCUUACCCGUUUGGGCCAGGCCCAAUUGAUCUGGGCCCGGACCCAAUUGGGUGUCUACAAGUCUUACAGGCUCUGCUACUAGGUGGUAUGUCCAACUGGAUGGAACCUGCAUUCGUUAUUGGAGCGAUAUGGCUCAUAAUUUCAUUAGUCAAUAUCGACAUAUUAUGGAUCUGACUCUUGACCGUUUGUCUUUAUAGAACCUAGAGAAAAAAGCAAAUGAGUCUUUUAAAGAAUAUGCCUAAAGAUGAAGGGAUGUAGCUUCUUAAGUACAACCCUCUUUAACUGAAAAAGAGACUACAAUGCCAUUUGUUCGCACUUUGAAAUCUUUCCAUUAUGAAAAGAUGAUAGAGAAUGCAACCAAAAAUUUUGUUGAUAUGGUAAUUUUGGGAGAAAUUAUUGAGAGUGCCAUCAAGAAUGGUAAGCUAAAAAGAGGUGAAGCAUCCACUAAAAAGAUCCUAAAGAAGAAAAAGACUGAAGCUCAAACUGUGAGCUUUGAUAGGCAACAAUUCAAGGGUUAUCAACCCUACCCAUCACAAGGAUAUGCCCCAUAUUAUCCUGAUGUGAAUAACACCUCUCCUUAUCCAUACCAACCCAUCCCAUAGCCAUCCUACCCACCCUAUAGCCAUCCUACCCACAAACAUACCAACCUUCCUUCAGACCUUCGAAUGCCACAUAUAAUCCUAACACUCAACCUACCUCAAGACCUCAGACCCGUCCAACCAACCCAAUGGGAGGUUUCGAGAGCAACGAACCACUCGUGAAAAGCUUGUAUUUGACCCAUUCUUUAUGACCUAUACAGAGUUAUAUCGUAAGCUUUACAACAAUCAUUUGAUUGCUUUUAGUAAAUUAGAGCCACUCAAGCCACCUUACCCUAAGUGGUAUGAUCCCACAGCUCAUUGUGACUAUCACUAUGGGAUCGCUGGUCACUCCACUAAAAAUUGUACUAUCUUGAAACAUAAAGUGCAACGACUGAUCAAAGAUGGAAUGAUUAGUUUUGAUACAGGAAGGGUAACUACACCAAAUGUUAAUGGCAAUCCUUUGCCUAAUCACAAUGUGAAUGCUCUGAGUAAUGAACAUGAGUGCUAUCUGAAAAAGAAAGUGACAGAUAUUAAUACACCUUUUAGUCAGCUGUUUGAUAUUUUAUGGAAAGGUUACAUGAUACAACCAGUAAGUCUGCACAACUAUCAUGGAGUAAACAUAGCAAGCACUAGUUGUAAAUAUCAUAAUGGGGCAGAUGGUCACUCUAUCGAAACUUGUGAGCAAUUUCACCAAGAGGUGCAACAGCUCUUAGAUUUAUACCAGUUGAAAGUCUAUGAAGAGGGAGAAGUUUCAAAAAAUGUUGAAGUAUCCAUGACAGAUAAACUGCAAAGCUGUUUCCAAAAUCGGUGAUGAUUCAUUUUGGGAAUAAACCAAAGUUAGUCCUAGAUAAACUCAUUCUUAGGCCGGUAACUUUUAAAGUUUCGACUCCAUUCUCAUAUAAGGAUGACAAAGCUAACCCUAGAAAUAUGGUUGUGAUACAGUAGUUUAGGGGUAAGAAGAGAAUAUCUCUAAAGCUGAUGCCUCUAAUAUAACUGGUGAAGGAAGCAUUACCCAAAGUGGAAGAUGUUACACUUCAAAAUUAUUAGAGAAGGCUAGAAAAGAGAAAGCCAAGGUAGGAGAAGAAUGAAAUAACCCUGAAGUGGAACUUGAAGAAAAUCGCCUGAAGUCGGUUUCAGAAAAAGAGGCUUAUGAAUUCUUGAAGUUGGUAAAACAUAAUGAAUAUUCAGUUGCUGAAUAAUUGAACAAAAUGCCAGCAUGAAUCUCAUUAUUAUCACUACUAUUGAAUUUGAAACCACAAAGAAAUGCCCUACUGAAAGUAUUUAACCAAGCAUAUGUGGCACAUAAUGUAUCUAUUGAAUAUGUGAACCACCUAGCUAGAAAUCUAGUCAUGUCGAAUUAUAUUUCAUUCAACGAUGAUAAGAUUUCCUCAGAGGAAAGGGGAAAUGCCAAGGCUUUGCAUAUCACGGUCAAGUGCAAGAGCCAUAUCAUAGCCAAGGUCCUUAUUGAUAAUGGCCCCACUAUCAAUGUCAUGCCUAUGUCAACUUUGGCAAGGCUACCCAUUGACUACUCUCAUAUGAAAGGCAAUCAAAUGAUCAUGAGAGCUUUUGAUGGGACCAGAAGAGAGGUCCUAAGAGAUAUCGAGAUGCCCUCAUAAAUUGGGCCGUGCACUUUUAAUAUGAAGUUUCAAGUGAUGGAUACCUCUCCAUCUUAUAGCUAUUUACUGAAAAGGCCAUGGAUUCACAUGGUAGGUGUUGUGCCCUCUACCUUGCACUAAAAGAUCAAGUUUAAUGUAAAAGGUCAAUUGGUAGUGGUAGUUGAAGAGAAAAACAUGCUAGUGACCCAACCGUUGAAUGCUCCAUAUGUAGAGGUUGUCAAAAAAGUAAUAGAAUACUCCUAUCGAUCUUUUGAGCUAGUUAAUUUUAUAAGUGAAAGACUUAAAAAUUAACUUUUUUCAAGGAUAGUGAUGAGCCAAGUCAUCAAUAAAGGCUGGUAUCCAGGAUUAGGGCUGGGCAAGAACUUACAAAGAAUAAGGGAACCCCCGACAGUGGUAGACAAUAGUGAAAGACUAGGCCUAGGCUAUAGAGUAACAGAAUGGGAGAUCGAGAGAAGGCCAGCAGGUAAAAUAGUAAGACUAAUGAUUAUCCUACACCUGUAUGAGACUUUUAGACCUAGAAGAUUCAUGUACCCAGAUAUAAGAAAAAGCAUGGAAAGAGCUUUUGCCCAGUUAACCAUCCAUGCUAUUGAAGAUGAAGUGGGGCUUAAUCAAGAAGGGUGGGUCCACCUUUAUCUACCAAAUUAUAAGCUAAAUAAUUAGAGUGCCAUUGAAUGCCCUUGACUAUUGAAACUAAUUCAAUGUAAUUGUACAUCCUAAUAGUUAUUGCCUAAGGUAUUGGGGUGAUCUUUCUUGUUUGAGCCAUUUAUCUUUUAUUAUUCUAAUAAAGAUUAGGAAGGAUGCAUUUUCAUUCAUUUUUUCUUGUGUCUUCAUUAUUCCUAUUUUCUAAACACAUCUUGCCAACAUAUCCCAUUUCAUUCAAUUCCAGGUCCUUAAAUGAACAUGAAAAUAAUUAUGAUAACAAUUAAGAGGUUAGUUUUGAUAAUUCAAUUAAUACUAAUGAACUUGACAAUAAAGAGAAUUUUGAGGAAUAUGUUAUGCCUCCGGAACUAAUGAGAUUGAUUGAACAAGAAAAUAAGCCAAUUAAGCCUCAUCAAAAGAUAGUUGACUUAAUGAAUCUGGGAGAUGAAGAGAAUAAGAAAGAUGUCAGAAUUAGCACUUCACUUUCAUCAGGAGAUAGACAACGUUUGGCAAAUCUACUUUAGGAAUUCAUAGAUGCGUUUGCUUGGUUUUACCAAGAUAUGUCAGGGCUGAGCACAGAGAUAGUAGAGCACAGAUUACCCCUAAAGCCAGAAUGUAAGCUAGUCUAGCAGAAACUGAGGUGAAUGAAGCCUAAAAUGCUACAAAGAUCAAAGAAGAGGUGAAGAAAUAGUUUGAUGCAGGUUUUUUACAAUUGGCUUAGUAUCCAAAAUGGGUAGCUAAUAUAGUACCAGUUUCUAAGAAAGAUGAAAAGGUACGAAUGUGUGUAGAUUAUCAUGAUUUGAACAGGGCUAGCCCAAAUGAUAACUUUUCUUUGCCUCAUAUUGACACACUGGUAGAUACACACGGCUAGGUAUUCAAUUUUCUCCUUUAUGGAUGGGUUCUCAAGGUAUAAUCAAAUAAAAAUGGCCGCAGAUGAUAUGAAAAAAACUACUUUCAUGACUAUGUGAGGAAUCUUUUGUUACAAAGUCAUGCCUUUUGGGUUAAAGAAUACUGGGGCAACAUAUCAAAGGGCCAUGGUGACACUCUUCCAUGACAUGAUGCACAAAGAGAUUGAGGUGUACAUGGAUGAUAUGAUUGUAAAAUCUCGUGAAGGUGAAAAUCAUGUCACCAAUCUCAAAAAGCUAUUUGACAGGUUGAAAAAAUUUUAGCUUAAGUUAAACCCAGCCAAAUGCACCUUUGGGGUAAAGUCAGGCAAGUUACUAGGCUUUUGUGGUCAGUGAAAGAGGGAUUGAAGUCGAUCCAAACAAGAUACAGGCCAUUCAAAAUUUGUCACCUCCGAGUGCACCAAAGGAAGUUCGAGGGUUUCUGGGAAGAUUGAAUUACAUUUCUUGGUUCAUCUCUCAGCUUACCUACAAAUGUGAUCCCAUAUUUAGGCAUCUCCGCAAGAAUAAUCCUGGAGAAUGAAAUGAGGAAUGCCAAGUGGCUUUUGAUAAACUUAAGCAAUAAUUGUCAAGUCCUCCAAUGUUGGUGCCACCUGUUCAAGAGAAAUCCUUAACUUUAUACUUGAUAGUGUAUGAGAAUUCAAUGGGAUGUGUGCUGGGGUAGCAAGAUGAGUUUAGUCGAAAAGAGAGAGCUAUUUACUAUUUGAGUAAAAAGUUCACAGAAUAUGAAUCCAAGUAUUCCUCAUUGGAGAAAAUGUGUUGUGCAUUAACAUGGACUACCAAAAGACUCAAACAGUAUAUGCUCUAUCAUACCACAUGGCUCAUAGCAAAAUUGGACUUAAUUAAAUACAUCUUCGAAAAGCUUUCUUUAUCUAGAAGAAUUGUUAGAUGGUAAGUAAUGCUCUCGGAAUAUGAUAUUAUAUAUGUAAGCCAAAAGGUAAUAAAAUGGGGUGCUAUAGCGGAGUUCUUUGCAAAUCAUGCUACUAAAGAAUAUGAACUAAUGAGAUUGGAAUUCCCUGAUGAAGAUCUAAUGACUAUUUCUCAACUAGAGAAGGAGAAACAUUAAGAAAAGCGUUGGAGAAUGUAUUUUGAUGGAGCUGCCAAUGCCUUGGGACAUGGAAUUGGGGUGAUUCUGAUCUCUCCAGAAGAACAAUACUAUCAUAUAACAGUGAGGUUAAAUUUUAAUUGCACAAAUAACAUUGCUAAAUAUGAGGCAUAUGUCAUAGGUUUACCAGCUCCUAUAGAUAGAAGAAUGAAAGCAUUAAAAGUGUUUAGAGACUCAGCUCUAGUUAUAUAUCAAUUGAAAAGAGAAUGGGAGGCGAGAGAUUCAAAACUCGUUUCAUAUCAUAAGUAUAUUUUAGAGUUGAUAAAGCAAUUUGAAAAUAUCCAGUUUAACUAUUUACCUCAAGAAGAGAAUCUAAUUACCGAUGCCUUGGCUACUCUGGCUGUAAUGAUUCAAAUUAAUGAUAAUACUGACAUUCAGUCCAUCAGGCUAGAUGUUAAGGAUAUGCCAGCUCAUUGCUCCAAUGUAGAAGAAAAGAAGGAUAGAAAGUCCUAGUAUUAUGAUAUCUUAUAGUAUAUUAAGGAUUAGUAAUACCCAAUUCAAGCAACAAAAAACAAUAAAAGGGUCAUCCGAAGAUUAGCUAUGAGCUUUUUCUUGGAUGGAGAUGUUUUGUACAAAAAACAUCAUGAUCAAAUAUUACUAAGAUGCGUAAGUAAGGCUAAAGCAAGGAAAAUCAUUGAAAAGGUGCAUGAUGGAAAAUGUGGGGCACAUGCCAGUGGACAUAUGAUGGUGAGACAGAUCAUAAGAGUAGGAUACUACUGGUUGAUAAUGGAGAGUGAUUGCAUUGACUAUGCUCAUAAAUGUCAUAAAUGCCAGAUAUAUGCUGAUAAGAUCUAUGCUCCGCCAUCUGCUUUACAUGUUUUGGCACCACCUUAGCCAUUUUCAAUGUUGGGCAUGGAUGUCAUUGGUCCUAUCACCCCAAAGGCUUCUAAUGGGCAUAGGUUUAUUUUUGUGAUGAUAGAUUACUUCACAAAAUGGGUGAAGGUAGCAUCAUAUGCAAAUGUAACACAAUCUAUGGUUUGCAAGUUCAUAAAGAGAGAGAUUAUCUGUAGAUAUGGAUUUCUGGAGAGAAUUAUUUCAAACAAUGCCAAGAAUCUAAAUAGUAAGAUGAUGCAAGAAAUAUGUGCUUAAUACAAGAUCAAGCAUCAUAAUUCAGUACCCUAUCGUCUGAAAAUGAAUGAGGCAGUUGAAGUAGCUAACAAGAAUAUCAAAAAAAUUCUUGAGAAGUUGACUAAGACUUAUAAAGAUUGACAUGAGAAAUUACCAUUUGCACUGCAUGCAUAUUAAACAUUAGUGCGCACCUCUACUGGGGCAACCCCAUUUUUCUUGGUUUAUGGGAUGAAAGCUGUACUACCAGUGAAAGUCGAGAUCCAUCUUUAAAGGUUCUAAAAGAAGUUGAAUUGGAAGAAGCUGAAUGGAUUCAAGAACGCUAUAAAUAGUUAAAUUUCAUAGAAGAAAAGAGAUUGACUACAUUGUGUCAUGGUCAGGUAUAUCAAAGAAGAAUGAUGAGGGCUCAUGAUAAAAAAGUUCACCCCCGUUGCUUUCGAGAAGGAGAGUUGGUCUUGAAGAGAAUCCUCCCAACCCAGCACGAUAAUAUAGAAAAAUGGACUCCGAAUUGGGAAGGGCCAUAUGUGGUGAAACGAGCUUUUUCGGGUGGAGCACUGAUACUGACUUAGAUGGAUGGAAAUGAUUUACCCCAUCCUAUAAAUUCUGAUACUGUGAAGAAGUACUAUAUUUGAAAAAAAAAGAGAAAAAAUAAAAUGAAAAAUAAAAAAAAAUGAAAAAAGAAAAAGAAAAAAAAAGUGAAUGAAAAUGGAGGAUUCAAGUCAAAAACCCUAAAAGGGUGGUUUGAGUCAUAGGGGGUUUAUUAAGUUGAAAACCUGACAGGUAGCUUAGAUAAGAGAAUCAAAUCAAUUUGAAAAAUCUUGGGCCAUGGAGGCUAGCAAAUUUGGAGGAAUUCUAAGUUAUUAAGUGCAUCAGAUGAUUGGGUUUUCAAAAGAACCUUGAAAUGUGUUAUCAUGAUUGUCUGAUUGUUCAUUUUUGGGCAUUGUCUCCUUAUGCCUAUUUUUGUAAUUCUUUCUUGGCCAAAGUUUGCCAACAUUUUUGCUAAUAAAAGACAUUCUAUUCUUUGUAUGCCUCUUCUGUUGACUGUUUCCUAAUCAUUCUUGCAAUGGAUGAAAUGUAUGAAUACAUUCUUACUUUUUGAUAUUGAAAUAAUGAUUGAUAAAUAAAUAAUAACAUGAAAGACUACUACAUUACAUUGGAAAGGUCAAGAGAAAUAAAAGCAAAUUUGAGAUGUUCAGUUCCUGAUAAGGACAUUGAAUUUGGAAAGAGAUUACCUGUAGAAAGGAUACUAGAAUUAAAUGAAAGAGAUGAUUAAGAGUUACGCUGACUUGGUCUUUGAAGAACAAAUGGUUCGAUGCCCAAGAAAAGAGCUUGAGAAACUUUAGUACCACAAUUGAAUAAGAAUUAAUUAGCCAACAUUUGCAUAGCGUGCAUUGAAUUUCACGCACGUUGCAUAGUAUAUACUACAUUUAAGAAAAUAUAGUGCAUAAAUUCAAGAAGCAGGGGUAUUCCAAAAUCCCACAUGGAGAAGACAGAUGAGAAAACAUUUUCAAAUUUGAGAAAAAGCUUGCCAAGUAAAUUUCUAAUCCUUGAAAUAGGAUAUCUCUCGGUAUCAGGGUUGAUUUGUAAGACCUUUGGGCAUAAUCUCCUAAAAUUUCUUCAAACAUGAUUUUUAACUCCUUUAGACAUGAUUAUCAAUGAGCAUUUACUUUCAAAGUUGUGAUACCUCUGUUUAGAGGAGCAAUUUACUUUCCAAAAGUCAUUGAGCCUCUGAUUAGAGGAGCCUUUUAUUUUUCAAAGUCGUUGAGCCUCUGAUUAGAGGAGCAAUUUACUUUCCAAAAGUCAUUGAGCCUCUGAUUAGAGGAGCCUUUUAUUUUUCAAAGUCGUUGAGCCUCUGAUUAGAGGAGCAAUUUAUUUUCCAAAAGUCGUUAAGCCUCUAAUUAGAGGAGCUUUGUUUAUGUUUCUCAAAGUCGUUGAGCCCUUGCUUAGAGGAGCUUUGAUCAAAAUUUUAACAAAAAAAAAAGAAAAAGCAAAAAAAAAGAAAAAAGGUCGAGCGGAGUCUUGAAUGGGUGUCUACGUCUUUGCACAAUUUUUGUUUCACAGAAAAUGUGCAAAAAGGGGUAGCUGUAGACACUCAAUUUAAUCCAGCCCUGGAUCAAUUGGGCCUAGUACAAAUGGGUAAGCCCAUUUGCAUUUUUUUUAUUUUUUAUUUUUAUUUAUUUAUUUAUUACUGCUAUUAUUAUUUAUUAAUAUAUAAAGAUUAUUUAUCUAUUAACAUAUUUUAUUAUUUAUCCAUUAAUAUAUAUAUUUUUAUUAUUAUUUAUCUAUUCAUAUUUUAUUAUUUAUCUAUUAAUAUAUAUAUUUUUUAUUAUUUAUCUAUUAAUAUAUAUUAUUUAUCUAUUCAUAUAUUAUUAUUUAUCUAUUAAUAUGUAUAUAUAUAUUUUUUUUAUUUUUUAUCUUUUUCUUGAUUGAUUUUCGGCUAGGAUUAGGAUAAAAAAAUUAGAAUUCUACUGUGAAUUUGGGAUUCAAUCAGAGUCCAGAUUGGAUUCAAUGAUUGAAUCCCAAUCCAAGAUGGAAUUGGAAUUGAUUAAAAACUCUUCUGAUCAAUCCCUAUAAAUAGAUCCAUAAAUCAUAAAGAACAAAAGACAGAAACACACACAGAUAGAGAAAGAGCAAAAAGAAAAGAAAAAGAGGUGUUCAGAAGGGUCAAAAGCAAUUUUAGGAAUUUUUUUAAAAAUUUUAGAGAAUUUUAGGUGAAUUUUUUUCUGAAAAAUUUCUAGAUUCCGGUGAAUUUUCGAGCGAAAUUUGAAUUUUUCGAUGACUUUUUUGGCACUGGUUGAAUUUUUUGGUCAGCUACCCAGUUUUUGAUAUUUCCAGAACCAAUCAACUUUUCGGUGAACUUCCGACGAAAAACUUAGAUUCUGACAAUAUUUUUCAAAAUCCGACGAGAUUCAACCAGAGUUCUUGGUUUCUUUAGAGAGAAGAAGGAGAAAAACGGGGAGAAAAGAGAGAAGGAAAGAAGCAGUCUGCUAAAGAACAGAGGUUGGAGCCUUUUAUAGUGCCGUGAAACGUCGUCGUUUUGGCAUUAGUAAACCCACAAGAUCCCCGCGUUUUGCCAAGAUCCAACCUGACCUGAUCGCGACCUGGUCCAAUGACCCGCAUGCUAGCUGAUCCUUGGAGCCAAGCCGAGCCGAGCCGAGCCGAGCUGACUUUCCUAAACCAUGUCUUCGAGCCGCCUUUUCUGUCUUGAGCCGAGUCGUUUCCCAGUCGAGCCGAGCCGUUCCAAAGGUUUUUUAUUUAUUUAUUAUUAUUAUUAUUUCUUUUAUUAUUAUUUAUUAGAUUAUAAUUAUUUAGUAUUCCUUAUUUUAUUUUGUUUUAUUUUUAUUUUAUUUUUUUAAACGAUUUUCUUUAAAUAAAAUUCCAAAAAAAAUAUUUUUGAGGAAAAAGUUGAAAGUAUCAAUAUUUCUUGAAAAUAAGUUUUUUCCUAAAAUAUUUUUAAGGAAAAGUUGAAAAAUAUCAAUUUUCCUUGAAAUAAGUUUUCAAAAAAAUAUUUUCGAAGAAAAAGUUGAAAGUAUCAAUUUUCUUUUACAAAGCACUGAGUUUUUGAAGAGGAAAAGGAUUUAUAUCUAUAGAUGAAUCAUUAUUUUUUCCUUUUAUUAUUAUUUUUUCCUUUUUGAAUUUUCUUUAAUGUUAAAUUNNNNNNNNNNNNNNNNNNNNNNNNNNNNNNNNNNNNNNNNNNNNNNNNNNNNNNNNNNNNNNNNNNNNNNNNNNNNNNNNNNNNNNNNNNNNNNNNNNNNNNNNNNNNNNNNNNNNNNNNNNNNNNNNNNNNNNNNNNNNNNNNNNNNNNNNNNNNNNNNNNNNNNNNNNNNNNNNNNNNNNNNNNNNNNNNNNNNNNNNNNNNNNNNNNNNNNNNNNNNNNNNNNNNNNNNNNNNNNNNNNNNNNNNNNNNNNNNNNNNNNNNNNNNNNNNNNNNNNNNNNNNNNNNNNNNNNNNNNNNNNNNNNNNNNNNNNNNNNNNNNNNNNNNNNNNNNNNNNNNNNNNNNNNNNNNNNNNNNNNNNNNNNNNNNNNNNNNNNNNNNNNNNNNNNNNNNNNNNNNNNNNNNNNNNNNNNNNNNNNNNNNNNNNNNNNNNNNNNNNNNNNNNNNNNNNNNNNNNNNNNNNNNNNNNNNNNNNNNNNNNNNNNNNNNNNNNNNNNNNNNNNNNNNNNNNNNNNNNNNNNNNNNNNNNNNNNNNNNNNNNNNNNNNNNNNNNNNNNNNNNNNNNNNNNNNNNNNNNNNNNNNNNNNNNNNNNNNNNNNNNNNNNNNNNNNNNNNNNNNNNNNNNNNNNNNNNNNNNNNNNNNNNNNNNNNNNNNNNNNNNNNNNNNNNNNNNNNNNNNNNNNNNNNNNNNNNNNNNNNNNNNNNNNNNNNNNNNNNNNNNNNNNNNNNNNNNNNNNNNNNNNNNNNNNNNNNNNNNNNNNNNNNNNNNNNNNNNNNNNNNNNNNNNNNNNNNNNNNNNNNNNNNNNNNNNNNNNNNNNNNNNNNNNNNNNNNNNNNNNNNNNNNNNNNNNNNNNNNNNNNNNNNNNNNNNNNNNNNNNNNNNNNNNNNNNNNNNNNNNNNNNNNNNNNNNNNNNNNNNNNNNNNNNNNNNNNNNNNNNNNNNNNNNNNNNNNNNNNNNNNNNNNNNNNNNNNNNNNNNNNNNNNNNNNNNNNNNNNNNCCACAUUAAUAGAUUUUGGUAAUAGUUUAGCCCAGUUACCAUUUGGGCUAGGAUAUAACAAUAUAAAUAUAAAUACUACUAUAUUAUUUAUCUAUAAUUUAAUUUUAGAUUUAGAUUGAUUUUAAAAUUUUAUGAAACCAUAUUAAAACUGAAAUACUAAUUCAUAUUAGCUUUGAAACCAAACUAAAAUUUUUCAUUCUUCAAACAUUUGCCGUUUUACACCAAAUAAUGCUCAGUUCAUUUUUCAUGUCUCCGCCUUUAAAAAGCUACCUGCUCAAUAAUUUUUAUUGUUAGUAAAUUCAACUUGAUGAGAUAAGAAUUUGCAUCUUUUCAUAAACAUGACAUCAAAAUUAAUGCUAAAAAACUAGGCUCCCAUUUGAAAAAUUUUAGACAAAUAUAAGAGAGAGAGAUCAAUAAAAUAUUAUUUCAAUUCAUUAUUAGUGAAACUUUAAUUUUUUUUUUUCAUUCCUCCAAACCAAUGCUUAUUUAGAACUCAUUUAAUGAAUUUAUUUAUGUUGUGAUUAAAUAUUUGUAAUAAAUUAUUUGUUGUUAUAUAACAUAUUGAAAAUUUGAGUAAGUAACAACACUAAAUAUAAUUAAAUAUCACAAUAAUUUUUUUUUGCUAGGAAUAUAUAUAAUAGGAAUUCACAAUGAUAAAAGUUAUCGUUAUAUAAAAUAUUUUUUAAAAAAAAUCAAUUAAGUAAUGAUUAUGAAAUGUCAUUGCAGAUGUUAUACUAUUUUGCAACAAUAAUUUUUUAUCAUUAGAAAUAUGAUAAAAAUUUUUGAAAUAGCUUUUAUGUCAUUGUAUAAAAAUAUUUAAAAAAUAAAUUAAGCAACGACAUUGAAAAAUCAUUGCAAAUAAAAUAGGUUUUUGCCACAAUACCUUUUUAUCAUUACAAAUAUGAUAAAUUUUUCAUAAUAACUUUUUUUGUUGUUGUAUAAAAUAUAAAAAAAUUACUUAAGCAUCAAUAUUGAAAAAUCAUUGCAAAUAAAACAUAUUUUAGUAACAAUACUUUUUUAUUGUUACAAAUAUGGUAAAAAUGUUGCAAUAACUUUUUUUGUCGUUGUAUAAGACACAAAAAAAUAACUUAAGCAACGAUAUUGAAAAAUCAUUGCAAAUAAAAUAAAUUUUUGCAACAAUAAUAUUUAAUCAUUACAAACAUGACAAAAACUAGUAUAACAACCAUUUUUAUCAUUAAAUAAAAUAUUGAAAAACAACUUAAGCAACGGCAUUGAAAAAUCAUUGCAAAUAAAAUAAGUUUUCACAACAAUUUUUUGUUGUCGUUAUGAAUAGAAGUGUAAUUAACAACAAUAAAAUUUAGUAUUGUAUAAAAUAUUAAAAAGUUCAAUUAAGCAAUGAUUAUAAAGUCAUUGUAAAUAAAACAAUAUUUUGCAAUGAUAUUUUUAGCCCUUGCAAAAUAGAGUUAUCCACUUUCUUCUUGUGUUACCUUGUAAAAUUCAUGAAGAAUAGGGGCUGAAAUCUGGCCAUAAUGAUAUGCAUCUCUUUCCCACUUUGGCUAGAUUAGUAUUUAUCAUCUUGCUUUCUGUGAGAUGUGCUGCUGAUCCUACUUUUUCUGUAUUUGAUAUAGUUCAUGAAUACAAUUACUUAUAUUAACCUUCCUUGAAAGAUAUUGAAAAAGAAGAUUAAUUAACGGAUAAAAUAAUUACUAUUUUCAACUUUCCUGAUUAUUGUUUGAAGAGGAAAUGCCUUAUUUCUUUCAAAGGUCCAUUCAAAUGCAUCUUAAAUGAUGCAUUUUCUAGAAAAUUCGAGUUCAUUGUCCAUGUUUGAACAACAUAUUACGGGAAAGUGUCAAAUUUCCUUAAAUCCAGAUGCUUUGUGAGCUAAAACUUCAAUUUUAUAUCAUAUAUGAUAUCUUCAUUGGAAUACUAUCUAAAGAUGAAUAAAUAGGAAAUUGAGAAGCUUGGAUCUUAAAAAUACUUUUCUCUUAAUAGAGUAGUUAAAUUACUAAAUUGGAGUGCUAGGCACCUUGUUGGCAAGCAUCAUAGCUUUAUGUCCUAGUUCAGUAUUUGCAUUAUUUACUCAACACCUUGUUUCAAGCAAGGUUACUUACUAUAUAACAAAAAAAAAGUGCACUCCAUUAAUACAAUUAAUAGAUUUUCAGUGUAAUUCCAAUAAAAAGGCAAAUGUGAUUAUGAUUAUUUGCUAACACAAAUUGUGUAAAUAAAAUUGCAACCAUAAGUUCCAUAGGUUCGAUUAUGAAGCUAAAUAUGCAUGAUGACAUGAUCUAGUCGCUUUUAAGCUAGUCACAAUCUCCCUAUGUUGAUGCUUGAUAGCACUAAACUUUUGUAUUUUCUUAUCUCAUUUAGUGCAAUUUCUCUUGAAUAUUGGCUUGUUCCUUGUGAAUUUUGGCGAAAAAACUCCUAAAUAUACAAAUAUUUAAUGUGUAGGUGAAAAUAUGGAAAAUGAGGAAUUUUGAAGCUUUUGGACUCCUUUUGGAGGAUUUUUGGUGCAAAAAGCCAUGAAAAGCCAAAACUAGUGUGUUUGUGCUACAUUGCCACUCAUGGAAGUUUUCCUCACCCUUUUUCUCUAUGAUUUUCUUAGCUUAUUUGAGCUUAAUUGAAUUUUAUUUCAAGUUUUAAUUCUCACAUUUUUCAUUUGAAAAUGUCCUUUUUAAUUCAUUAGUUAUUGUUACCUUUGUGGUAGUUUUGCAAGUGUUAGAAAGGUGACUAGUGCACUAGUGCAGUUUGAAGCCAUAUUUGGACUUGUGAAUUUUUCAUAAUUUUUCAUACAUAAAUUUUCCACUAAAUGUUCUGUAUUUGGCAGAAAAUUGAAGAAGAAAUUGGUUACAAUUGAUGCCAAAAUUAUUGGAAGCAAAAUUCAAGCAAGCUUGUUGGAUGCACUUGCUAGGUGAAUAAAGGAUUGUGGUGCCAUUUUGGACAUUCAAAGAAGGAUAAUUGGAGUUGCUUGGUUGGUCAUUUUAAGGCUUCUCAUUAGACAUAAUUUUGACUUUUUAGAGCUCACAAGAUCAAAUGAAGAAAGCUUGAAGUAAAGUGAAGUAAAGAGAAGCAUAUAAGAAAGCUACGAAAGCAAGACAGAUGAGUUGGAAGGAUCUAGACGUUGUGGCAACUUAGCUGGAAUUUUUUUUGCAUUUUGAUUGGUUGAACCACCUCACAUUUGCUUAUAAAUAGGAGGGAAUGGUAAGCCAUUUGGGGAGACUUUCAUAGCAUUUUUCUAUUUUUUUCUAGAAUUUUCAUUUCUUGCAUUUUACUUUAUUUUCUCUCAAGAUAUUUUCCUGCUUGUUCAUUUAGAGGGUUGUUUAGGGGAAAAUUGCAUUUAUUUUUCAGUAAAAUAUACUUUCCUUGCCUUUUAUUUUCAAUGCACUUUAAGAUUCUUUCAAUAAAAGUUUAAGAUUUUUAAGGGGUCGUUAGAUAUUGUUGUGUGUGUUUAUAUUUUAUGUUUCUUUAAAUUUUUUUAUUUUUAAUUUAUUGAAUUUGAAAUCAUGUUUGUAUAAAAUGUUUUUGUUUUAGAAAUAUAAAAACAAAAACAUGGAAAAGAAAGUGGUUAAAGAUUUUAGGCUCCAUUUGUUAUUAAUAAUAUAAUAAUAUUUAUUAAUAUAUUAUUUAUUAAUAUAAUUUUAUUUAUUUAUUAAUAAAUUAUUUUUAUAUAUUAUAAUAUUAUUUAUUAAUAUAUAUUAUUUAUAAAUACUAUAUUAAUUUAUAUUAUAUUAAUAAUAUAUUAUUAAUGUAACAUAUUAUUUAUUAAUUAAUAUAAUAUUAUUUAUAUAAUAUAUAUUGUAGACACCCAAUUUGGUCCAGGCCCGGACCAAUUGGGCCUGGCCCAAAUAGGUAAGUGGGGACACCCAAUUGGGUCCAGGCCCAGAUCAAUUGGGCCUGGCCCAAAUGGGUAUGACCCAAUUCAAUUUGUCCUGUAUUAUUUUAUAUUUUAUGUAUUUUAUUAUUUAUUAUUAUUAUUAUUAUGUAUUAAUAUAUAUUUUUUUAUUAGAUUAGAUUUAUAUGUAUAUAGUUAUAUAUUUAUUAUUAUUAUUAUUUUUUUUUUGUUUGUAAUAUAUUUUUGGGUUUAUCUUAUUUUAUUUAUUAUUAUGUUUUUUUAAAAAAAUUAUUAUCUGUUCUGAUUUUUUCCUGAUUAUCAGAUUUUUUUUUAUACUAUAAUAUCUUUUGAUUUAUCUUUUCUAAUUAUCUAUUUUUUUUAUUUUGAUUUUUAUUUUGGAGGGCUAAGAUUAAAAGUUGAAGAAUCCCACUGUAGAGGGGAAUUCAAUCAAAAGAGUCCAAUUGGAUUCAAAGACUGAAUCCCCAUCCAAGGAGGAAUUGGAAUUGAUCAGGAACUCCUGAUCAAUCCCCAUAUAAAGGACCCCUGGAACAGAUGUAAACACACAAAAAAUAGUGAGCCUGAGCUACUGAUUUGAGGGGAAAAGGCGAAUAGGAGAGUAUAGAAGGCUAAGAAAAGGUUUAGGAGAGUUCUAGGAAUCAUCAGAAAUUUUUUGGGAAUUUUUCGAAAUUUUUUUUUCUGGGAAUUUCUGGAAAUUCCAGAUUCCGGUUGAUUUUUCCGGCAAAGUUUGAAUUUUCCGGCUACAAUUCCGGCCAACCUUGAAGUUUUCGGUGCCUGCCCAGUUUCCGGUGAAGUUUCCCAGAAACCGGUGAUCUUCCGGCCAAUUUUCGGCGAACUUCCGGCAAAAUUUCCAGAUUCCGGCGACAAUUUCCAGAAUCCGACGAAAUCCCACCGGAGUUCUUCAGCCCUUAGAGAGAAGGGAGAGAAAAAGGGAAGAAGAGAGAGAGAGGGGAGGGGUGUUCUGUCGAAAAAUGAAGAGGACUGCCUUUUAUACCCUACCAAAACGACGUCGUUUUGGCUUUAAGUUAAUAGAGGAUCCGCGCGUUUUGCCGAACCCGACUCGACCCGAGCGUCGACCCGCUUCUGACCCGCGCGUGCAUGCCCCCCUCCGAGCCAAGCCGAGCCGAGCCGAGCUUCCCAAGCCGCCCCUCGAGCCGUUUUCUCUUCCUUGAGCCGAGCCGAGCCGAGCCGCGAUCCGAGCCGCUCCAGGUUUUUUUUUUUUUGAAUUUCUUUUAUUUUCAUUUAUUUGUUUUUUAUUUUUUUUAUUUAUUAGAUUAGGUUUAUUUAAUAUUCUUUUUAUCUUUAUUUUGGUUUUACUUUCCUUUAUUUUUUUAUCUUUAUUUAUUUUCAUUUUUUUUAUUAUUCUAUUUUCUUUAAAUAAAAAAAUCAAAAUUUCCAAAAAAAAUAUUUUUAGGGAAAAGUUGAAAGUAUCAAUUUUCCUUAAAAAUAAAUUUUCAAAAAAAAAGAUUUUUGGGGAAAAGUUGAAAGUAUCAAUUUUCCUUAAAAAUCAAAAUUUUCAAAAAAAAAAAAUUUUUAGGGAAAAGUUGAAAGUAUCAAUUUUCCUUGAAAAUAAAUUUCAAAAAAAAGAUUUUUGAGGAAAAGUUGAAAGUAUCAAUUUUCCUUAAUAAAUUUUCAAAAAAAUAAAUUUUUAAGGAAAAGUUGAAAGUAUCAAUUUUCCUCGAAAUCAAAAUUUCAAAAAAAUAUCUUUGGGGAAAAGUUGAAAGUAUCAAUUUUCCCUGCACAAGAAAAAUCCUUCUUUCUUUCUUUUUGAUUUUGAUUUUGAUUUUUCUUUAACUAAUCCGACGACGAAGCCUCUGCAAGUGAAACAAUAGUUUUUCUUGCAUACUCCUGAGGUGAGGGAAUUUUCUCAAUUUUUUGCUAAAAGUAUUAGAGUCAAUUGAGAAUAAUUUCCAAUAAUUAAUUACUUGGUAAAAUUUUAAAGCUUUUUGGAUAACACAAAUUUAAGCUGGUACCAUCUUUUGAUGGGCGUUGUGAGGGUGCUAUAACCUUCCUCACACGUAACCGAACUCCCGAACCUUGUUCUGGUUAGUAGACCUGAACCUAUUCUUUUAGGGGCCCUUAAACUUAGGUGUUCCCUAAAAGGACAGAUUCUUUAGGUGGCCAAUCGCACCUAGAUAAAAAAGAUUGGUGGCGACUCCCUAAAGUCAAUGUCUAGCGAUAGAUCCCCGGAUCUAGACGUUAUGACAUAUAUAAUAAUAUUUAUUAAUAUAAUAUUUAUAUAAUAAAAAUAUUAUUUUAUUAAUAAAAUAAUUGUAACGUCACUAUAGUGGUUUAAUUGUAAUUUUUGUUACUAGUGCUUGUUUGGUAAUAGUGCCACAUUGUUUUCAAAAAACUGAAAACAUCGUUUUUCUAUUUUCAAUAAUUUUCAAAACAAAGCUUUGUUUUCAAUUUUCAAAAAUAGAAAAUAAAAACAACCUACCAAAUAUGUUUUUGUUUUCAAUUUUCAAAAAACCUGAAAAUGAAAACAAAAAAUAGAAAAUAAAAACAAAAACAAACAAUCCUUAAGUUUUCAAGUUCAAUUUGAUGCAUUUUUACUUAUUUCUCAAAUAUGUUUAGCAAUUCAUGUUCUUGAAUUAGCUGUGAUUUUUCUAUUAAAUCUUGAUCAAAUAUUGCUUGUUUCGAGCUAAAUUUUUUUUUUCAUGAAUUUUUUAUUCAUUGUUCUACAAAUUUGAAAAAAAAUUGCAUUAAAAUUCGUUCUACACAAUUUCAGAAAAAUCUGUAAAGUUUCAUUUGAAUCCAAAAGGUGAGCUAGCGCUUGAGUAAGUGACAGCACUUCAAGUUACUUUUCUCCUAGCUAGGUGUUUGGUUUAUAAUUUUCAUCCAUGAAUUGUUAGUUUCUAGAUUUAAGUUCUUGCUUUCGGUUUUGAAUUUCUAGUUGGCAUUCAUGUUUUUGCUAUUUCAAUUCUCCUUCAGUCUUGUUCUGAUUUUCGAUUUCCUUUUGGUUUUGCAAUUUCCAGUUCAAAUUCAUUCAAUUUGCAUUAGCUUAGCUCUACAUUCUUUGUUGAACAUUCAAUUUUCAGAUUUGUAUCUAAGUUUCAGUUUUACUUGUUCUUCAUAGAUCUUGUGUUUUUGUUACUUUAGUUGCAAUUUAAUCUUGAUUUGAUCUGCAAUUGCGUUUUGUUUUUUUAAAUUUCAUUUUGUUUAGAUCAAGUUCUAAGAAUUUUCUAGAAGUUUCUUUUGUUGAAAGUUAGAAGUUAGUUGAGAUAGUUAGUUUUCAGUAAAAAUAAUUUCUUGACUGUCCCAAAACUUUAGCGAAAAUUCAAAAAAUAUUACUACUUAUAAAAUUAAGAAAAAAAUAUAAUCUUUUCACUUUCUUUAAUAUUAUUAUUGUUUUGUCUAUCAAUUUUAUUUUAGAUUAAAAGUUACUAUUUAUUCUUGAUUUUAUUUUUUAUUAAUUUAUUAUUCAUAAUAAUUAUUUAUUUUGUUGCUUAAGUUAAAAUAUAUAUUUUAUAAAAAUAAAUUAUAAAAAUCCUAACAAAAAAACAACAAAAAUAAAAUAAAAUCAUAAAACAAAAAUAAAAUGAAAAAAAGAAAUCUUAUCAAACGAGUCGGGUUAGAAUGCGGGUUGGCCUGUGGGUUGGUACAUUGGCCCGAAUCCCUUAAUUCCAAAACAACGACUUUUUGGGUCAUUAUAAAAGGCCCCUUUUUGGAUUUUUUUCUUAUUUUUCUCUAUUGUUCUAUCUCUCUACAAACUAGAGCCUCUCUUUCUAACAAUUCCUUUUUCCUUGUUGAUAGCUAUGGCAACCCAAAUUUCGGCCAAUUGUCGUUGUGCCAUGGUCAAAAUCUUUAACUAGCAUCAAUAAAUUCAAAAUAUUCCUAGUUCUCAACAAAAUACCUAGAUUUCGAUCAUCGAAAAACUCAUACAACCACCGAAAAAUUUAAAAUUUUCCAAAAUCAAGCAAAGCAAAAAAAAUUUAUUUUAAAAACCCUAAAAAAUCCCAAACUUAUCCCCUUUAUUUCCUAAACACUUUCUCAACUAUUUUAAAAACAAAACAAAAAAAAAAAAAUCCUAAACCACCUAGAUCAAAACCUUUGCUCUUGAUUAAAUUUUUAUUUUUUUACUAACGAUUCCUCCUAUGAGGAUGUGGUGGCUUUGUUUACUAAGUUUUUUCUUUUUUGUGGUUAAAUGUGUUGUUCUAGGCAAAAUGGUCAUUGGCUCCCUUUGUUAGUGUUCUCCUUUAUGAAAAAUUUUUUUUACUUGAUUUCAAAGACUAAUAUGAGAUCAAAUCCUAGAUCAUUAGGGAUAUAGACCCUUAAUUUUUUGCUGCCAACUUAGGCAGAGGUAGGUGAGCUUUUGGGGUGAACAAGAAUAAAGAAAAGACAAAGGAAACAAAUAGAAGAAAAAGACAAAAGACAUAAUAAUAAUAAUAAUAAUAAUAAUAAUGAAAAUAAAAUAAAAAAUUAAAAGUUUUAGUACUAAAAUAAUCUAAUAAACUUAAUUAAGAUACCUGAAUGGAUUUGAAUGAAAUUGGAAUUGGUUUAGAUUUAUUUUGACAAAAUAUUCAAUUUUUUGGAUAAAACAGAUGAUUACAAAGGGUAGAUCUAAGAUUAUUAGGGUUGAUUCUCAAAAUCUAAGGUCAGAUAUGAAACAAAAGCGUUAGGAUAAGUAUACGGUGAAAAUUUAAGGUCAAAAGGUGAUUGAAUGGCACUAACAAGCACGAGUCAAUAACGGCACUAUUUAAUUCUAGCAAAAUGUUGGUAUUAUAUUUUUGUUUGAAAGUUGUGAAAUAUCUUUUUGGAAGUGUUUAUGAACUAAAAAUUUUACUUUUAUAGCCUAAAAUUUUUUUCAAAACGAACCACACUUGGAUCUUGGGUAAUGGCCAACCUAAUUUCACUGAUCUGACCAAAUUGGAAUAUCUCUAGCACUAAACACGGUCGAAAACUCUCUUAGACCUAAAUCGACUAAGAACCACUUUUAACCAGUUGAAUCGUCACAAAUCAAUGACUGGCUCACCAACGAAUUAAGUAAUUUUUAUUUGGCAUUUUUUAGUUUCCGAUUAUUUUUGUAUAAUUCUUUUUUAAAUGAUUAUUUGCUCUACAAAUUUUAGAUUCUAAAUAAAUAUUAUAUCUUUUUAUUUCUUUUUGAAAAAAUAGUGUUAAUGAAAGUAAAAUUUAAAUUUCAAAAAUGGUAAAAUUCAAUUUAUACUAAAUAUAAAAGCAUAAAAAAAUUAUGAUAAAUAAAAAUGAGAAAGGAAAUGUUUUCCAACAAGAGGAUUUUUUUUUUUUAUGAAAGUUUGAGUUGUGAUUUUUAACUAAGUGAAUAAAUUUAUCUAAAAUGUUAUCAAAGUUUAAGGUGUCUAGAAAAAUUUUUAAAAUAAAAGACUUUCCUUUUCUUUUUAAGAAAAAUCAUUAAAUUAAAAAUAAAUAAAUAAUGAACGAAAACAAAUUAGACAAGAUAAUGGGUAAUAAAUAAUAAAAAUUAAUAAGCAAGAUUACCAAGACAAGUAAAAUUACAUGUAUCUCAUAUCUUAUUACUUGUAUUUUACACAUACACAUAUAUAAAUAUAUCUUGAAAAUAAAUGUGAAUUUCCUACGAUGGGAUUCUAAGAAAAUCAGAGUAAUGAUUCUUUAAAAGCAUCUAUAUGAGAAUAAUUUUUUAAAAUACUGCCAAAAUAAUGGAAACUUUAGAAUAAUCUUCAAUAAAAAAUUCUUGUUUACUUUUUAUCUAUUAAAAAAAGAAAGAUAUUAUUCAAAUGAAGUUAUGAGUAUUAACUUUAAUUAUAAAUAUUGAUUUGAAGAUAAAUAUUAGCCUCUAAAAAUGAGAUUAUAAAGAAAUUCAAGUAAUGAUUCCCAAGAAAUUCUCAGGUGAGAAAAUUUAUCUUAAUGUUACCAACAUAUUGAAACAUUUUGAAAAUCUUUCAAUAACAAGGUUUCAAUUUAUUUUUCAAAUAAAAGUAAAAUAAUAAUUUUUACAAAGAAGAAAAAUUUUCAUGAAGAAAAUGAAAUAAAAAAAAUCAAAAUUAUGAUAAAUAAAGGAAGUCAAGGAAAUUAAUUUUAAAUAUCAAAAUUAAAACAACUUUUGUCAAGAUUAAAGGAUAAUGCAUUAUUAAUUGGUAUCAUUCUUAAUAUGGAUGUUAUGGGAUAUUAAUUCUUUCCAACACGUAACUGGACUUUUGAACCAGGCUUUGUUUUUUUAUGCAAAUUCAAAAAUUAUCAUUUCAAAUAAUCUUAAUUAAUUUUAAGAUUUUAUUAAAAAGCUAAGUUUUACUAUGUUACUAAUCACAUUUAGCCAAAAAUAUUAGUGGUGACUCUUUAUAUUUUUUAAUUCAUUUAGUGGCCUUCAAAAUCAACAUGACAACUUCAAAACCUAAAAAUUAACCUAAAAUAAGGUGCUAUAAAAUUCCUAUAAUUAGGAUCAUUUUUCUCUUGGGUAGGGAUUUUUGUCGCUACAAUGGUGAUCUCAAAAGAUGACAGUCAUGGCUUGCUUGUUGUACUCAUUGAUCAAGCCAUCUUGAUGGUGGUGGUGGUGGUGCUGGCAAAAUAUACUUGUUACCAAAAAAGGGUGAAAAUGAAAAAGGAGAAGGAAAAAAACAAAAGAAAAAAAAAAGAUGAAAAGAAUAAAAAAGAAGGGGAAAUGAGAGGAAAUUGAGCCAUCAACAGUGGAUCUAAGGCCACCCAUGAAGGAAGACAAUGUGAGAGAGAUUGGGAUUUUUAGAUUUUCAUUGAUACAAAAAAGAAAAAAGAAACAAAAAACAAAUGAAAGAGAAAAGGGAGCUAUUGUCAACAAGACAAAUGUAACAAGAUAAAGAUCAACAAUAGUGAUAACUGUGAAAAAAGGCUAACGAUGAGAAAAGGUAAUGUGAUGAUUGUAGACACCCAAUUGGGUCCGGGCCCAGAUCAAUUGGGCCUGGCCCAAAUGGGUAAGGCCCAUUUCAAUCCUGUAUAUUUUUUUCUUUUGUAUUUUAUGUAUUCUAUUAUUAUUAUUAUUAUGUAUAUCUUUAUUCAUUUAUUUAUUUUUAUUCAGAUUAGAUUUAUAUGUAUAUUAUUUAUAUAGUUAUAUAUUUAUUAUUAUUAUUAUUAUUAUUUUUGUAAGAUAUUUUUGGAUUUAUCUUAUUUUAUUAUUAUUUUUUUUAAAUUAUCUGUUCUGAUUUUUUCCUGAUUAUCAGAUAUUUUUUUUACUAUAAUAUCUUUUUAUUUAUCUGUUCUAAUUAUCUAUUAUUUUUUAUAUUUAUUUGAUUUUUUUUUUUUGGAAGGUUGAGAUUGAAGCUGAAGAAUCCUACUGGGAGUGGGGAUUCAAUCUAAAGAGUCCAAUUGGAUUCAAAGACUGAAUCCCCGUCCAAGGAGGAGUUGGGAUUGAUCAGAAACUCCUGAUCAACCCCUAUAUAAAGGACCCUUUGGAACAGUUCAAGAACACACAGAAAACAGUCAGCUAGAGCUACUGAUUUGAGAAGCAAAGGCGUAGGGAAGAGUAUAGAAGGCUAGGAAAAGGUUUAGGAGAGUUCCAGAAAUUAUCAGAAAUUUUUUUGGGGAUUUUUCGAGAUUUUUUUUUUCUGGGAGUUUCUGGAAAAUUCCAGUUUCCGGUUGAAUUUUCCGGCCAACCUUGAAGUUUCCGGCUAAAAUUCCGGCCAACAUUGAAGUUUCCGGCGAACUGCUCAGUUUCCGGCGAAGAAUCCCAGAAAUCGGUGAAUUUCCGGCCAACUUCCGGCGAAAAAACCCAGAUUCCGGCGAAAAUUUCCAGAAUCCGGUGAAUCUUCCACCGGAGUUCUUCGGUUUUUUAGAGAGAAGGGAGAGAAAAGGGAAGGAAGAGAGAGAGGGGAGAGGAGCGUUCUGCCGAAAAACGGAGGAAGGUGCCUUUUAUACCCUCCCAAAACGACGUCGUUUUGGCUUUAAGUUAAUCAGAGGAUCCGCGCGUUUUACCGAACCCGACCCGACCCGAGCGUCGACCCGAUUCUGACCCGCGCGUGCCCAGCCCCCCUCCGAGCGAGCCGAGCCGAGCCGUUCUUCCCGAGCCGCUUCUCCGAGCCGUUUUCUCUUCCUUGAGCCGAGCCGAGCCGAGCCGCAACCCGAGCCGCUCCAGGCUUUUUUUUUUUUUUUUGAAUUUUUUUUGAAUUUUUUUUUUUUGAAUUUUUUUUUUAUUUGACUUUGAUUUUGAUCUUGAUUUUUUUUUCUUUUUUCUUUAAUAAAUCCGACGACGGAGCCUCUGCAAGUGAAACAGUAGUUUUUCUUGCAUACUCUUGAGGUGAGGGAAUUUUCUCAAUUUUCUGCUAAAAGUAUUAGAGUUAAUUGAGAAUAAUUUCCAAUAAUUAAUUGGAUGAUUUUGUUUUUUCUUUAAUAAAUCCGACGACGGAGCCCCUGCAAGUGAAACAGUAGUUUUUCUUGCAUACUCCUGAGGUGAGGGAAUUUUCUCAAUUUUCUGCUAAAAGUAUUAGAGUCAAUUGAGAAUAAUUUCCAACAACUAAUUACUUGGUAAAAUUUUAAGGCUUUUGGAUAACACAAAUUUAAGCUGGUACCAUCUUUUGAUGGGCGUUGUGAGGGUGCUACAACCUUCCUCACACGUAAUCGAACUCCCGAACUUUGUUCUGGUUAGCAGACCUGAACCUAUUCUUUUAGGGACCCUCAAGCUUAGGUGUUCCCUGAAAGGACAGAUUCUUUAGGUGGCCAAUCGUACCUAGAUAAAAAAGAUUGGUGGCGACUCCCUGAAAGUCAAUGUCUAGCGAUAGAUCCCCGGAUCUAGACGUUACGACAGCUUGGCGACUCCACUGGGGACCUUGAGAGUCAGGCCAGCAAAUAAUUUGUGUUAUCCAAAAGCCUAAUAAAAUUGAACCAUUUUUGUAUAUAUGUGUUAUUAUUCAUUCCUGUUUAUUUAUCUUGUUAAUUAUGUCAUUCAUGUGCAUGUGCAUAACAUGAGCUCUAUACCCGAGCUCCGUCCCUCUAGGAGGGAGUAAAGUACCUAUUGCUUUCGUGAGGUCUAAUGCCUCCGUAGUGGCUAACGAAAUACUCCCACUCAAAUUGAACCUUUUCCGCUUGUAGCCUGUAAUGGGUGAGGAUUAGGGUGCCUUACUAGUCUGUGAUGGACAAGGAUGUAAGGAACAAUUUGAGGACCUUUAGACUCUGACUUUAAAACCACAUGUAGUGAACCUUAAGAGUGCCUAACCCUAGGAUAGAGUCCUUUCUACCCAAUGAUAGAUAUACCCUGAAAUUAGGACACAAAAAAGGUGUUUAUCUAAUCAUUUUGAUUGCUUAACUUUGUGUAUUAUUUUUUGUAAUGUUAUGCAUCAGCAUUACUUUCAUUUCAUUCAUGAAACUAACUAUGUUGUUUGUCUGAUUGUAUGCAUCUGUAUUCUUUUCAUGAUCAUGUUUCAACACAAUCAUUUGCAUUCAUUUCAUGCUAGAUUUCAUUCAAAAAAAUGUACAUUUCAUUUGUGUAUCAAAGCAUCAUACAUAAGGCACAGCAUAACAUUUCUAAUCAUGAGUAUGGUACUCAAGGUCCGAGGAUAGCUCCAUCUAGCGAAAACCUUGCUCAUCCAUACAACACAAGAUCCAGAGCAAGGCAAAUGGAGGAGGAAAGUUCUCAUAGAUUUGAAAAGCUAGAAAAAGCUCAGGAGAAGAUUGAAAAUGAACUUAGCAAAAUUCUGGAGGCCCUCAAUAACAUGAAUAAGGGGAAAGGAGUUGAAGGAAGUACAAGCCAGCAAGAAGUGGCUGACCCUUUGUACCCUCCAGGUUUUGGCCCAUCUCAGGUCCAGCCUGCUCAAGAGGUCCCGCCAUAUCCUGGAAUACCAUCAGCUUUCAACCCAGGGCAGUAUAAUAGCUAUAUAAAUCCUGUCUUCACUGAAAAAGUAGCAGAACCAAUUCCUGACCUAGAUGCCUUAAAGGAGAAGGAAAAAGAAAAGAUGAAAGUAGAAGCUGAGGAGAGUUCCAAGAUUAGCAUGCUAGAGCAGAGGCUACGGGCUGUGGAAGGAUUUAGCUUUUAUGGGUCAGUAGAUGCUGCUGGGCUCUGCCUAGUCCCUGAUGUGGUUAUUCCCUAUAAGUUCAAAGUACCAAAAUUUGAAAAAUAUGACGGUACCAAGUGCCCCAAAACCCACAUCACCAUGUAUUGCAGGAAGAUGGCAGCUCAUGCUCAUGAUGAAAAACUUCUGAUGCAUGUUUUCCAGGACAGUCUUACUGGCUCUGCCGCCAGAUGGUAUGUUCAGUUGGAUAGGACUCGUAUUCGCUCUUGGAGUGAUAUGGCACACGACUUCAUCAGUCAAUAUCGACACAUUAUCAAUUUGGCUCCUGAUCGUUUGUCUUUGCAGAACCUGGAGAAAAAGGCAAACGAGUCUUUUAAAGAAUAUGCCCAGAGAUGGAGAGAUAUAGCUUCACAGGUGCAACCUCCACUGACAGAAAAAGAGACCACAGUGCUGUUUGUUAGCACUUUGAAACCUCCCUAUUAUGAAAAGAUGAUAGGAAAUGCAACAAAGAAUUUUGCUGACAUGGUGAUCUCUGGAGAAAUUAUUGAAAGUGCCAUAAAAAAUGGCAAGUUGAAAGGAGGAGAAACCAAGAAGACAUCAGAAAAGAAAGAAGCUCAAGCUCAAGCUGUGAGCUUUGAUAGACAACAAUUCAGGGGUUAUCAACCCUAUCCAUCCCAAGGCUACUCUCCAUACUAUCCCGCUGUGAAUAAUGCCUCAUCCUACCCAUACCAGUUAGCUUCACAACCAUCUCAUUUAUCCACUUACCGCCUUAACAUUCAAGCUCCUGUAAGAACUCAAGUUCGCCCUACUAACCCAGCAAGUGGCUCGCGAGAACAACGGACUGCUCGAGAAAAACCUGUAUUUGAUCCAAUCCCUAUGACUUAUACAGAGUUAUAUCGAGAGCUUUAUAAUAGCCACUUGAUUGCCCCCAGCCAUGUGGAACCUCUUAAACCACCCUACCCAAAGUGGUAUGAUCCUACAGCCCACUGCGACUAUCACUAUGGAAUUACUGGCCAUUCUACUGAAAAUUGCACUGCUUUAAAGUAUAAGGUGCAACGGUUGAUCAAUGAUGGAAUGGUAAGUUUUGAUCAAGGAAAAGCAACAACAUUCAAUGUUAACACCCUAAGUGAAAGUCAAGAACAGAAAGGAUCUGGAGAGUCACAAUGAAUUGAGGGGCAAGACGUCAAUGGGGAUUUCUUCACCUGAUCAUAUAGGGGGCUAAUUUUUAAUGGAGAUAAGGCGGGUUGAAAGUUUUUUUGUCACUUUAAGAUUUCUUUUCAAGUAAUGUUGGAUUUCUUUUUGCAAUAUGACUUUACUUGUUAUCAUUUUAAUAAAGGCAAGUCAAUGCAUUUCAUUACAUUUUUCUCUUUCAUUUGACCAUUAUUCCAUACCCUGCUACCCUUCAUAACUUCACAUUCCCAUUCUUAAAUUUCAGAUGAUGAAUAUUUAGACAAUGAUAACAAUAAUUCUGGGAUUUAAUUUUGAGAACUCAUCCACAUUAAUAUGAGAAGAUGAUUUGAACAGAAGUAAGCUAUUACUGGAGGAGAAACAGAUAUGUCUUGAAGAUGUGUAAUCUUUUAUACAGAUUCAUGAGCUUUGUUCAAUAGAUGAUGUUCAAGAAAGGUAUUCACAAUUGAGAUGAAAAAUGGCCACCUUUCUUUUACCAUUGGAAAAACCAUUUAUUGCUACCCCUUUGAGCCAAUCAUGAUUUUUUUUCUUGAAGAACCCCAACCAAGGAUCACCCUCUACACUGGAGGGUAAUUUUUGAAAAAAAAAAAAAAAAAAAAAACACCACAAAAGGUCUCAAAAAUGAAAAAAAAAAGAAAAAACAAAUGCCACACAUGACUUGGGGCAAAGUAAUGAGAAUCCUUUGUGUGAUGAAAGAAAAAAGUAGUGAAAUGAUGUGGGGGCAAAAUGCCAGGCUGCAUCAAAUGAUCCUUUGGUUUUGAACCUUUUUAAUACAUGUUUUGAGCCUAUUAUAUCCAUUUCUUUUAUGACCCUUCCCCUUGGCCUACGUUACAACCUUGAAAAGUCCAUUUGGAUCAAGUGUGAAUACUCAACUUGAAUGAUCAUAUGUUGAGCGAAGGUAUGCUCAUGAGGAAGCAAUGAAAUCAUGGUCUAAAGUUGGACGUAUGAAAGAUAUCAACAAUGGAUGAAAAAAAAUGAUGAAAAAAAAAAGAAAAAAAAAAGGAAAAAAAAAGAAAAAAUGAAAAAAAAAAGAAGGAAAAAAAGAGAAAAUAAAAAAAAGAGAUUCAAAUUGAAAACCUGAAAGGGUGAUUUUAGUAAAAAAAAAUCAAGUCAAAUGGCUCACAUGAAUGAAAGAUCAAAGACAUCUGAAGAUCCCUCAAAGACUGGGGCCAGAGUUCGCCAAGCUCAAGAUGACUUCAACAGUAAAAUGGAAUGAGUUUUUGAAAAAGAAAUCCUAGAUUAAUGUUGAAAAUUGUCUGAAUAUUCAUCAUUUGACAUACCAUUCACCUCAAUGACAUCCAAUCUAUUUCAUUUCCCAUUUAUUUUCUACCAAAAUAGAUCUCCAUUGAUUAUCUUUAUCAAUAAUUCACCUUUCUGUUCUCUUAUUGUUUCACCCCUAGAAUGAAUUGAGAAAUGCUUGAUUGCAUGUAUUUGUCAAAAUUUGAAAUGAUAAUGAAUGAAUGAACAUGUACUUAAAAGAAUCUUACAUUCAUUUGAAAAGAAAUCUAAGAUGAUGAAGAAAUGGUAGAAACCUAAAAGAGAUGAUGGGGCAAAUCUGGAAAAGUGAUGAAUUGAUCGAUAUGACUUGCAAGUUAUGAUUGAAUGAUGAAGACAAUCAGUGGACAGAGUUUGUUUUUGAAUGGUUAAUGCUGAGACAGAGUAAGGACCCAGUGAUGGUGGAUGAAAUUUGUUUUGAAAUUUGCUAGUGCUGAGAAAUUCAUUGAAUGAUAGUCAAGGGAUGAUCGAUUGAUGAAGCUUAUUCCAAAGUAUUGAAAAACAAAACAAGAAAGAAUGUGAGUGGAAGAGACAAUUGAGAGCUACACUGGUUCGAUCUUAGAAGAGCAGUGCAAUUGGAUCCUUGAGGAAUCAAAGGGCUUGACACCCAAAAAAAAAAAAGCUUGAGAAACUUGAGUACCAUACAUUGAACAGGAAUUAAUUGGCCAACAUUUGCAUGGCAUGCAUUGAAAUUCAUAUGCAUUGCACAGCAUACACUACUUUCAGGAGAAUAUAGUGUACAAAUUCAAGAAGCAAGGGUGUUCCAACAUCCCACAUGAAAAAGACAGAUAUGAAAAGACUUUGCAAGUUUGAGAAGAAACUUGUCAGGUAAGUUCCUAAUCCUUGAAAUAGGAUGUCUUUUGGUAUCAGGGUUGAUUUAUAAGACCUUUGGGCAUAAUCUCCUGAAAUCCCUUCAAACACAGCUUUCAACUCCUUUGGACAUGAUUGUCAAGGAGCCUAUUAAUUUCCAAAGUUCCGUUGCCUCUGUUUUAGAGGAGCAAUUUAUCUUUUCAAAGUCGUGGUGCCUCUGUUGAGAGGAGCAAUUUACUUUUCAAAGUCGUGGUACCUCUGUUGAGAGGAGCAAUUUACUUUUCAAAGUCGUGGUGCCUCUGUUGAGAGGAGCAAUUUAUUUUUUCAAAGUCGUGGUGCCUCUGUUGAGAGGAGCAAUUUACUUUUCAAAGUCGUGGUGCCUCUGUUGAGAGGAGCAAUUUACUUUUCAAAGUCGUGGUGCCUCUGUUGAGAGGAGCAAUUUAUUUUCAAAGUCGUGGUGCCUCUGUUGAGAGGAGCAAUUUACUUUUCAAAGUCGUGGUGCCUCUGUUGAGAGGAGCAAUUUAUUUUUCAAAGUCGUGGUGCCCUCUGUUGAGAGGAGCAAUUACUUUCCAAGUCGUGGUGCCUCUGUUUAGAGGAGCAAUUUACUUUUCCAAAGUCGUGGUGCCUCUGUUGAGAGGAGCAAUUUAUUUUCAAAGUCGUGGUGCCUCUGUUUAGAGGAGCAAUUUACUUUUCCAAAGUCGUGGUGCCUCUGUUGAGGAGCAAUUUACUUUCCAAAGUCGUUGCCUCUGUUUAGAGGAGCAAUUUAUUUUCCAAAGUCGUGGUGCCUCUGUUUAGAGGAGCAAUUUACUUUCAAAGUCGUGGUGCCUCUGUUUAGAGGAGCAAUUUACUUUUCCAAAGUCGUGGUGCCUCUGUUGAGAGGAGCAAUUUACUUUUCAAAAGUCGUGCCUCUGUUUAGAGGAGCAAUUUACUUUCAAAAGUCGUUGAGUCUCUGUUUAGAGGAGCUUCGGCAAAAAAAAAAAAAAAAAAAACAAAAAACAAAACAAAAAAAAAAAAAACAAAAAAAAAUCAAAAAAAUCAAAAAAAAAAAAAAAAACAAAAUCAAAAAAAAAUCAAAAAAUAAAAAUGUUGAGUUGAGUCUUGAUUGGGUGUCUACGUCUUUGCGCAAUUUCUGUUUCACAGAAAAUGUGCAAAGAGGGCCACCUGUAGACACCCAAUUGGGUCCGGGCCCAGAUCAAUUGGGCCUGGCCCAAAUGGGUAAGGCCCAUUUCAAUCCUGUAUAUUUUUUUCUUUUGUAUUUUAUGUAUUCUAUUAUUAUUAUUAUUAUGUAUAUCUUUAUUCAUUUAUUUAUUUUUAUUUAGAUUAGAUUUAUAUGUAUAUUAUUUAUAUAGUUAUAUAUUUAUUAUUAUUAUUAUUAUUAUUUUUGUAAGAUAUUUUUGGAUUUAUCUUAUUUUAUUAUUAUUUUUUUUAAAUUAUCUGUUCUGAUUUUUUCCUGAUUAUCAGAUAUUUUUUUACUAUAAUAUCUUUUUAUUUAUCUGUUCUAAUUAUCUAUUAUUUUUUAUAUUAUUUGAUUUUUUUUUUUGGAAGGUUGAGAUUGAAGCUGAAGAAUCCUACUGGGAGUGGGGAUUCAAUCUAAAGAGUCCAAUUGGAUUCAAAGACUGAAUCCCCGUCCAAGGAGGAGUUGGGAUUGAUCAGAAACUCCUGAUCAACCCCUAUAUAAAGGACCCUUUGGAACAGUUCAAGAACACACAGAAAACAGUCAGCUAGAGCUACUGAUUUGAGAAGCAAAGGCGUAGGGAAGAGUAUAGAAGGCUAGGAAAAGGUUUAGGAGAGUUCCAGAAAUUAUCAGAAAUUUUUUUGGGGAUUUUUCGAGAUUUUUUUUUCUGGGAGUUUCUGGAAAAUUCCAGUUUCCGGUUGAAUUCUCCGGCCAACCUUGAAGUUUCCGGCUAAAAUUCCGGCCAACAUUGAAGUUUCCGGCGAACUGCCCAGUUUCCGGCGAAGAAUCCCAGAAAUCGGUGAAUUUCCGGCCAACUUCCGGCGAAAAAACCCAGAUUCCGGCGAAAAUUUCCAGAAUCCGGUGAAUCUUCCACCGGAGUUCUUCGGUUUUUUAGAGAGAAGGGAGAGAAAAGGGAAGGAAGAGAGAGAGGGGAGAGGAGCGUUCUGCCGAAAAACGGAGGAAGGUGCUUUUAUACCCUCCCAAAACGACGUCGUUUUGGCUUUAAGUUAAUCAGAGGAUCCGCGCGUUUACCGAACCCGACCCGACCCGAGCGUCGACCCGAUUCUGACCCGCGCGUGCCCAGCCCCCCUCCGAGCGAGCCGAGCCGAGCCGUUCUUCCCGAGCCGCUUCUCCGAGCCGUUUUCUCUUCCUUGAGCCGAGCCGAGCCGAGCCGCAACCCGAGCCGCUCCCAGGCUUUUUUUUUUUUUGAAUUUUUUUUUGAAUUUUUUUUUUUUGAAUUUUUUUUUUAUUGACUUUGAUUUUGAUCUUGAUUUUUUUUUCUUUUUCUUUAAUAAAUCCGACGACGGAGCCUCUGCAAGUGAAACAGUAGUUUUUCUUGCAUACUCUUGAGGUGAGGGAAUUUUCUCAAUUUUCUGCUAAAAGUAUUAGAGUUAAUUGAGAAUAAUUUCCAAUAAUUAAUUGGAUGAUUUUGUUUUUUCUUUAAUAAAUCCGACGACGGAGCCCCUGCAAGUGAACAGUAGUUUUUCUUGCAUACUCCUGAGGUGAGGGAAUUUUCUCAAUUUUCUGCUAAAAGUAUUAGAGUCAAUUGAGAAUAAUUUCCAACAACUAAUUACUUGGUAAAUUUAAGGCUUUUGGAUAACACAAAUUUAAGCUGGUACCAUCUUUUGAUGGGCGUUGUGAGGGUGCUACAACCUUCCUCACACGUAACCGAACUCCCGAACUUUGUUCUGGUUAGCAGACCUGAACCUAUUCUUUUAGGGACCCUCAAGCUUAGGUGUUCCCUGAAAGGACAGAUUCUUUAGGUGGCCAAUCGUACCUAGAUAAAAAAGAUUGGUGGCGACUCCCUGAAAGUCAAUGUCUAGCGAUAGAUCCCCGGAUCUAGACGUUACGACAAUGAUAAUAAGAGAAAAGAAAGAAAAGAUGGUGUUUAGGGCUUUUAAGACUAAUUUUAUUUAUUUUGUAUCAAAACUACAUUGUUUUGGUAGAGAGAAAAACAAAAAGAAAAGUAGAUAAAAAAGAAGUGAUUCUCAAGUACCACAAAAGCAUCUAAAAAAUGCCACAUAUAUUGACACAUGGCAUGAGAAAAAUCUUUUGUUAGAACUUUGGGUGAUUUUUAGUGCUGACGAACAAUGACCAAUGAUGGAAAAUGGUGUCAAUGAUGGUGGUUGAUGCUGAAAAUUAAGAAGUUUGGGUGAAAAGGGUGAAUUUUAAAUAGAAAUAAAAGGGAAAAAUGAAUUGAAAAAAAAAUUGAGUUUUGAUAUUGUACUGCAAAAAAAGUAUCAAUGUGUAGGCUCGAAUUCAGACCUAGAACACAUUUUUCCUUCCCAAAGACCCAAUACCUGAAGCAGACUAAGUCCCAAGUCCACUUAACAAGCCCAAUUUCCUUGGACUUCUCUUUAUUUGGGUCAAUCCCAAAUUUGUGGUAAAUUAUUAUCUUUUUUUCGUUUAUUUUCUUUUUAAAAAAGAAUGUUAUCAUUUUUAAUUAAAUUGACAUAUUUUUUACAAAAAAUAAUUUUUUAAUUAAAUUGAUAUAAAAAGCAACCAUAUGUAUAAUUAUCAAAAUCAAACUAGAUACUAAACUGUUCAAAGUGUUGGGUCAUUGGUUCAACUGUUAGGUCAAUCAAGUCAAUUGUUAAACUAAUUAAGAUAUAUAAAUAUAUAAAUAUUUUAAAAAUUUAAUCCAUUAUGUGAUAAGCAAUAAAAUUCUAUUGUAGAUAAUCUCAAACUUAAAAAAUUAAAAAUAUAUAACAGAAUAUAAGUGUAAAAAAGGUAUAUGUAUUUAAAAAGUGAACUUAAAUUAUGAAAAUAAAUUUAAAAUUCAAACUCGUAACUCAAACUCUAAAGAUACUAAUUGAAUAAUUCAGCUAUAUUAUUAAAAAAAGUAAAUACUCUAAAAAACUUAAAAACAAAAAAAAAGUUUAAAAAAGAGAAAGCUUAUGUAAAAUAUAAAUUUUAAAAAAUGACAUAAAAAAAUUUCCUUUAAAUUGAUGAUAUUUGAUAUAAAACAAAUCAAGCUCCAAAAUGAUAAUUAAAGUUUUAAUUUUAGCCAAGUUUUUAUCCUUUAAUUUGAUAUGAGUGUGUCACCUAAAAAUAUAAAUGAGAAAGCAGUUAAAUUUUAUUAAGUUAUUCUUUAAUGUGCAUAACGUGUAGGUACGAACACAUGAUACUGAUAAUUAAAUUUGUAUAUUAUCAUAACAUUUAGAUCUGAGGAUCUAUCGCUAAACAUUGACUUAAGGAGUCACUACCAAUCUUUUUUGUUUAGGUGCGAUUAGCCACCUAAGGAAUCUAUCUUUUCAAAGAACACCUAAGUUUAAGGGUCCCUAAAAGAAUAGGUUCAGGUCUGUUAACCAGAACAGAGUUCGAAAGUACGGUUAUGUGUGAGAAAGGUUAUAGCACCCUCACAACGCCUAUCGAAAGAUGGUACCAGCUUAAUUUUGUGUUAUCCAAUAAGCCUUAAAAAUUUACUAAGUAAUUAAUUAUUAGAAAUUAUUCUCAAUUGACUCUAAUACUUUUAGCAAAAAAUUGAGAAAAUUUCUUCACCUCAAGAGUAUCAAGAAAACUACUGUUUCACUUGUAGAGGAUCCAUCAUCGGAUUAUUUACCAUUAAAGAAAAUUCAAGAAACAAGAAGGAAAAGAAAUAAAAAAUAAUAAUGAUUUAGCUUUAGAUAUAAAUCAUUUUCUCUUCAAAAACUCAUUGCUUUUGUACAAGAAAAAUUGAUACUUUCAACUUUUCAUCAAAAGCAUUUGGGAGUUUCUAUUUUAAGGAAAAUUGAUACUUUUAACUUUUCCUUAAAAAGUUUUUUUUUAAAAAAAAAUUUGGUACUUUCAACUUUUUCUAAAAAUGUUUUUCUGAAACUUUAAUUUCUAGAAAAAUUGAUACUUUCAACUUUUCUUUUAAAAUAUUUUUUUAGAAAAAUUAUUUUCAAGGAAAAUUGAUACUUUCAACUUUUCCUCAAAAAUAUAUUUUUUUAGAAUUUUAUUUUAAGAAAGUCAUUAAAAAAUAAAAUAAAAUAAAAAUAAAAAUAAAGAAUACCAAAUAAUUCUAAUCUAAUCAAUAAAUAAUAACAAUAAAUAAAAUGAAAAAAAAAACCUUAACAUGACUCGGCUUGAGGAAAAAAAUGGCUCGAAGAACACGGCUCGAGAGCGUGCGGCUCGACUCUAAGGGAAGGUCAGUAUGCGGGUCGCUGGACCAGGUCACGAUCAGAUCGGGUCAGAUCUUGACAAAACGAGUGGAUCCUGUGGGUUCACUAAUGCCAAAACGACGUCGUUUUACGGUACUAUAAAAGGCUCCAACUUCUAUUUUUUUGCAAACUACCUCCCUUCCUUCUCUCUCUUCCCCUUAGCUUUCUCCUCCUUCUCUCUACCUGUGAAGAACAAUGGUGGAAUUCUCACCGAUUUUUGGGUUUUUCUACCAAAAACUAGGUUUUUGGCUAGAAUACUCACUGAAAAACUUGAAUUUCGUCGAAAAAUUUCGUCAAAUUUUGGAAAAUUUUCAUAAAUUUUCCAGAAAAAAAAAACUCCGAAAAUUUUGAGAAAAUUUUCCUAAAAGUUCUAAACUGCCUCUAACACUAUUUUUGCCUCUGAUUUCACCUCUGUGCCUUUUCUGUAUGAUUUAUGGACCUAUUUAUAGGGAUUGAUCAGAUUUUUGAUCAAUCCCAACUCCGUCUGGGAUUUGGAUUCAAGUUUUUGAAUCCAAUCCAGACUCUUCUAGUCCCAUAUCCAUGAUAGAAUUCCAACUUUUUCUGAUCAAUAUCCCUUAAUCCCAGCCAAAAAAUAAUCAAGCAAAAGAUAAAGUAAAAAAAUAGAUAAAUAAUAGAAUAAAUAAAAAAUAAAAAUAGAUAAAUAAUAAAAAAUAUUAAUAGAUAAAUAAUAAAAAAUAAAAAAUAAAUAUUAAUAAAUAGACAAAUAAUAAAAAUAAAAAUAAAAAUUAAAGCCAAUUGGGCCUGCUAAUUGGAUCCUGAAUCGACCCCAAUGGACUUAGGCCCAAACCCUAUUAGAUCAGGUCCAAUGGCCUUGGGCCCAGAGCAAAUAGGGUAUCUACAUAUAUGGAUUGAGUCGAGCCAGAUUCGAGUCUAGCCUAGUUAGAAUAUUAACAAAUUUUAAGUUUGUUCAUACUCAUUCAUCCCAAAAUAUAAUUUUAUUUUGCUACUCAGGCUUAAUUAAUUUUUAAAAUACUUUACUGAAGCUUGCCUAUAUUUUAUUUUUUAAAUAAAAAUAAUUUUUAUAAUAAGUAUUAAUUAUGAUAAAAUAAAUAAUCAACAAAGUAAACCCUAAAAAAUACUUUGUUAACUUAAUUCAAUAUUUGAAUGUGAUUAGUAUAUAUAGACAUAGGAUAUUAACGUAUAUAUUAUAUAUUUUUAUGUAAUAUAAAUAUAAAAAGUAUAUAAUAAUUAUUUAGGCCUAAUCGGAUUCGAACUUUAAACUUUAUGUCCAUGGCCUAGUACAAGUUUUUAAACGGGUCUAAAAUUCAAGUUUAGGCCCAUUUAAGAACCUAAAAUUCAUGUCUAAGCCUUCCCAAAAUUAGGAAGGGCUUUCGGGCUCGAAUGAGUUGCCCAAUCAAUAUAAUUUAAAAGUUUAAUUCAUUUGGUUCAUGUAAUUAUCCUUAAGAGAUUGCAUCUAAGAUAUCUGAAAUUUAAAUUUCAAUACUUAUAUUUUUUUCUCAAUAUUUAAGUUGUGACAUCUUUUAUAUAUAUAAAAAAAUACACCUUUUAAAGAAAAAAAUUUAAAACUACUAUCUCUUUGACAAUAAAGAUUUUAAUUUACCUUAUCUUAAGAAAAAAAAUUACAAAUUAGAAGCUUUUAAACCCAAUCUCAAUUAUUUAAUUACCUAUCCGAUGUAUGAUAACAGAAUGAUUUGAUUUGAUGCAAGAGAAAAGCAAGAAGACUGAUUGAUCCUGGCAACUGGUAGCUUGAAUUCUUCACCUAAAAUUUCUUGGUCUGCUUUGACGUGUGUAAAAUCAAUAUCACUUCAUUGAUCCUCGCGUUUAGAAAAUGAUCAUUAGCUUUCCUGACUUGAAAUUUCUCUGUUUGUUUUGACGUUUGUGAAACCAAGACCUCUUGAUUGAUCCUUGCAUUUGAUAGCUUUAAUUCUUCACGUAAAAUUUCUUAGUCUACCUUGAUGUGUGUGAAACCAAGACAAAUUGAUUGAUCCUUGCGUUUAUAAAACGAUCAUUAGCUUUCCUGACUUAAAAUUUCUUAGUCUGCCUUGAUGUGUGUGAAACCAAGACAACUUGAUUGAUCCUUGCGUUUAGAAAACGAUCAUUAGCUUUCCUGACCUAAAAUUUCUUAGUUUGCCUUGAUGUGUGUGAAACCAAGACAAUUGAUUGAUCCUUGCGUUUAGAAAAAAAUCAUUAGCGUUCCUGACUUAAAAUUUUGUGAAACCAAGACAACUUGAUUGAUCCUUGCAUUUAGAAAACGAUCAGUAGCUUUUCUGACUUAAAAUUUCUUAGCCUGCUUGAUGUUUGUCGAAAGCAAGAUGACUUGGAUUGAUUCAAGGCCUAGCACUUAGAGCAUGUGCUUAGCUUUUCUGACUAGAUUCCUUUAUUUGCUUUUAUGUAUGUGAAGAAUAAAAUAACUUUAUUGAUACUUCUUUUGUCUCUCUCAUGGAAAAAGAAUUGCUUGCUCAGUUUUGGAUUACACCAAUCACGGCUUUGAUAUGUGGUACUAUCAUAAACUUAUCUUAGGGUUGAAUUGAAACUGACACUCCAUGUGUCCUCAAAUCUCUUUAUCCUUAUUUGAAUUUGUGUACAUAUUAAAUAAAAAAUUGUGGUAAAAAAAGCGAGCCUAAACAAUGAUCAUAUGGCAAAAAACAAAAAGAUCUUUUUAACUUUUUUUUAUUGAAAUUUAUGCCAACAGUUACAUGAUAUCAAGGCAGCAAAUUUCAUUGAUUUUUAAAGUUAUCGAUUUGAAAUAAAUGAAAUCAAGAUAAAUUUGAAAUAAAUGAAAUCAAGAGAAAUUUUGAACUAAAUUAAAAAGAUAAAUGUGAAAAAUAUAUAGUUUUUUUUAUAUAAUUUUAUGAAUUGUUUGAAGGGUAAAAUGAAAAUGCACAAGAAUUUCAUUAAAUAUUUGGUCCCAUAUAUUAGCAAAUUUUAAAGAAAUUUUAAUUUAUAACUUGGUUUUAAAAUAUUAUUAUAUUAACUUCAUUCUUUUCAUAUUCCGUUAAUUAAUACUAAAAAUGAAUUUUUGAAAGAAAAGAUUAUAAAUAAAAUUCAUUUGAAAACUUUUUAUAUUCUACUAACCACUGAAAUUAACUAGAAUGUUAAGUAAAGGAAAAAUCAUAUGAUAUUAUCAUAUUAAUUUAAUAUUUUCAUAUUCUAUAAAUUCAUUAUUUGAAAAUAAAUUUUCAAAAAUAAUUAGAUCACUUUUUAUUUGGAAUUUGAGUACGAUAUUGUAUUUUAAAAUUUUAAAACUAUUUUUUUCAAUAUUGAAUGUUAUCAAUGAUCAAUUAUCCUAAUAUAAUUUAUACUUCUUAGAGAAAUAUAUAUAAUUUAUAUUUAUAUUUAUAUAAAAGAAUGACUAGCUGCAAUUUCAUACAAGCCCAUGGCGUAAAACUAGGAGUCAAGGAGAAAUGACUAGUUGGGUCUCACAAAGUAUGCAAGUCCAAUAAAUACAAAGAAAAAGAGAAAAAGAUAUAUUGGUUUUAGAUAUGCUUUGUAAAAGGAGAUCAAAAGCAAAUUAGAGGGCCCAAAAUCAAAAGCUUGACUCAUUUUAUUUAUUGUGAAGACCAAGACCGUUGGUAUCAAUUGCCUGGUGAUAUCAAAUUCAUCCAAAGAUUUAUAAAAGUACUGGACUACCUGUUUAGUAAUAAAAAUUGACAUUUCAUUAAAAAAAAAACUCUUUGAAAAGAAAAAAUAAUUUAAAAAUGGCCUAUUUAGGUAAUAAAUACUUUUAAUUUUCCUUACCUUAAAAAAGUAGUGGUUACAAAUUAGGAGGUUUUACACCCAGGCUCAAUUAUUUAACAACCCAAGUAUGAUAAUAAAGUAAUCAAAUUCAACAUAUAAUAUUAAAAGAUCGGAACGCAGUUAGAAGAAGACCUUAUUGUUUUUGGAAACCAUAGAAAUUCACAUGUUAAUAUCGUAAUAAUAAUAGUGGUUGCUUUGAUUUAAAAGAAAAAAUAGUGGUUGCUUUGAUUUGGUAAGUUUUAGAUUAAUCCUUGCUCUUGCAACAAAGUCAAUUGCUUUUCUGACUUCAAAAUUUCUUAGUCAGGGUCAAUUUCUGACUUCAAAAUUUCUUAGUCAGGGUCAAUUGGAGAGAGAAUUGCUUGCAUUAGGUGGAAUCAUUUGCAAUAUAUAUAUAUAUAUAUAUAUAUAUAUGAUAAUAUUACGAUCACAUGAGAUUAAAAUUAUAUGAAAAAAAAUGUGAAAGUGAUAUUAUUUAAAGUUUUGACAAAAAUUCUAUGUGGAUUUGACAACAACAAAAAAAAGUAUUUUAUAUUUGAUUUAUCAACAUGAAUUUGAUAUGAAAAUUUUCAUAUUUUAUAUGUAUAUAAUGAUAUUGACAUAAUACAAAUAUAUGAAUUACUAAAUCUAUUUUGGACCGUAUCAAUAAAAAAUUUAAUAGAAGUACCAGAUUUCAAUAUACUCAUAUGGGGCAAAGAAAAUUCAUUAAAAAUUAAUUUUUUAUAGGAUGUUACUUUAUGGGUGGGUAGCUUUUUUUGAAUAAGAUUAAAAAAUUUUUUUAAAAUCUUAAAUUUAUAUUGUUAUUCUAUUUUAACUUUGGAUUUAAUGUAAAUUUACCAAUUGGUUAACUCAACUCAAUCACGUUACCAUUAGUGUGUGUGUGUAUAUAUAUAUAUAUAUAUAUAUAUAUAUAUUCACAAUUUUAGUUUAAAAAUAACUUUAAAUUUAUUUAGCAAAAAAAAUUUAGAUUGUAUUGUAUCCUAACAACAUUAUCAUCAUUAUUACCUUAGAAAAUUUUUUUUACAAAAUUAUAAUCGAUUUAACACCUUUCAUUAUAAAUUAAAAAUUAGUUACAGAUAGAUGUGGUGAUGACACAUGUUCAUAAGGGUCAUAGAAAGAUUUAAUUCAAUUUUUAUGGGUACUUUUGACAUUUUAUGAGAGAAAUUGGGAGUUGUAUUUUGGACUUAUUUUAAGAUGUUGAAUAAAAUUUUCAUUAUGUUUGAGCUCUUAUUAUGGUUUUUUUUCUUAUUAUAAAUAUAAAAUUAUGCUUUAUGUUUUUAUUUAUUUGAUGUGUUCAUUUAAAUUUUUAUAAUUUAAUUUAUCUCUAUGCUUAUUUGAGUAAUUCAUUUGCCAAAUUUUUAGGGUGCAUUGAUAUUAAUUAAAUAUUAAUUUGGGAUUAUUAUUAGAAGUAGAUUUUGUUUACUAAUUUAUGUAUAAGUUGAUUAUUUAUAAAAGAAUGAUUAAAAUAUUAUUAUUACAUAUAAUUGACAUUUAUAUCUCGAGUGUUUAAGUAAUAACAAAAUAAUAAAAUAACAACCGAAUUGAAACACGAUCCUAAAGCGAGUAAGUUUCCAAACUUGGAAGUAUUUCCAUUUUUUAAAUAAUUUCAAUAGCAUUAACUAUUGGGCUCAUCUACUAUGCUAUAUAUAGGAGAAAUUUUUACUUGGCAUAUUUUUAUUGAAUACUACAACUCACAUUACAAAUAGACAAUAGUAAUAUUUUAUUUUAUAAAAAUAAUUUAAUAAUUUAUUUUAUUUUAUUUUAUUAGAUUUUGACACACCUGAUAUGUGAGUGAAGAAGUAAAUAUUUUGAUAAAAAAGGAAGUUCGCUAAUAAAAGAUGUUGCUUGAUGUAUUGGAUGUGUAGUUUUUUUUUUUUUUUUACAAAAACAAAUUUAAAAAAUAAGUAUCUGUACCUACAUAUUAUUAUUAUUAUUAUUAUUAUUAUUAUUAUUAUUAUUAUUAUUAUUAUAUCUUAAAUUUAAGUGAUUUCAUUAAUUAAAUUGAUUCCAUCUGGUUUAAAAAUAACAUAGAUUACUAUAUUUUCUCCAAGAAGAGAGAUGCAGCAUUACUAUUUUGCAACACUCUCGCGUAACACGUGGAGUCACGGGGCCUAAUAAAGUGCACAAGACAAGGAAUAAGAAGAAAGGAGAUAGAAAAAAAAAAUAUAUGCUAAAAGAUAAAUUAAUUUCAAAAUAAAAAGCUUCGCUCGUUUAUUUAUUGUGAAGACGAGGACCAUCCAACGACUUUCCUGUCGAAGUCUCAGUCAUGUUGACUAGUUGAUUCCAUAUUUAAGUAUUAUUUUGAGCAGACUUCCUCAAACCAUCCUACAUUUUCAUCAAUUCCCACAGCCAUGAACAUGAGAAAAUUCCAUUUUCUUUCAUCAGCUUUAAUGUUCAUUCAUUGUUUGAUGAUUAGUUACGCCAUGAUUGUGAGGAACCUCACCACAGACCAACAUGCUCUUCUCGAAUUUAAGCACCGAAUCAUUGAUCCUCAUAACAUCUUAGCCAAUAACUGGACUACCACUACCUCUGUUUGCAAUUGGGUUGGUGUCUCUUGCGCUUCUAAGCAUAGGAGAGUCAACUCUUUGAAUCUUCCAAACAUGAAUCUUAUAGGAACUGUCCCACCACAUUUGGGAAAUCUCUCAUUCUUAGUAUCUCUUAAUUUGAGUCACAACAAUUUUCAUGGCCUUUUACCGAGAGAGUUGGGACAAUUAAGUCGUCUGAGACUCAUAGAAUUAAGCUUCAAUUUUCUUAGUGGGGAAAUUCCUUCAUGGUUUGGGAGAUUAAAUAAAGUUUUAUAUUUGAGCCUCUGGAGCAACAAUUUGACAGGUACAAUCCCUCAAUCACUAGCUCAAAUGUCCAACUUGGAAAUCUUGGACUUGAGGCAGAAUCUCGUUCAAGGACACAUUCCACCCGAGAUAAGUAAUCUUCUAAAUCUAAGGAUACUUCGUCUGGCAUUUAACCAACUUUCUGGUUCUGUCCCUUCAGUCAUUUAUAACAUUUCCUCCCUACACAUGAUUUCUCUUACGUCUAACAGUCUAUCUGGCAGUUUACCUGAAGAUAUAUGUCGCCAUCUUCCAAAUCUUGAGAGAUUUUACUUGACCUUAAACGAGUUUUCUGGUCAAAUUCCAUCAAGUAUAGAUGAAUGCAGGUGUCUUCAAAUUUUAACAUUAAACUUUAACAGAUUCAGUGGCAGCAUUCCAAGGAGUAUUGGAAAUUUAACGAGGCUCAAAGUGCUAAGCUUGGAUGGAAAUAAUUUGGAAGGUAAGCUCUUUGUUUUUUCUUUGAUAAUUUUCUUUCGAUUGAUCAUUAAUUAAUUUUUGUAUUAAGUGAAACAUGAUUCCAGCUAAAACUCCCUAAUUUAUGCUACUAAAAAUAGCUUUGCUUUAACCAAGACUCCAACACAGUUAAUUAAAACUCCUUCUAAUUGGUUGUUCGUUUUUUCUUGCUUUUAUUUAAUCAAAAGGUGCCAAGAAAUAGAAGAAAAUAGUAAAAAUUUUAAAUAUCUUCUAUAUAUAAAAAAUAUAAACUUUAAAAGUGAUUAAAUGCAGUAGUAAAAAUUAAAACAUUUUUAUCUUAUUUAUAUAAAAGAACGAAAUUGGAAAGCGUAAAUAGUGAACAACAUAUAUAUCUUUGAUAAUUUAUUAUCAUAGAUAUUUUAUUUAUAAUUAAUGAUUUUCUUGUUAAAUUAAAAUAUGACUAAUUUUAUUUAUUUUCUUAUCAACAUUGAAGCUUUUAUCAAAAUAAACUUUCUUUAAUUUAUAAUUUGAAAUUAUUGUAAAAGAAUUACUUUUAUAUUUUUGAAAGUAAGAGCUAAAUUUAAUUUAAUUAUUGGUAUCAAAUUAAAACUGCUUACUAUUAAUAGUAACUAUGAAACUCAUGUUAUUUUCUCCGGUCAAGUUUCAUGGCUGAAAAUCUUUAGUAUUCCAUGAGUAUCUUAUAUUUAGGAAAAAGAAAACAAAAAACCAUAAGGAAACUAUCUCUUUUCCUUGAAAUGCUUGGACAAAUGCCUAAAAUAAAUUAGUUGGCGUUAAUGCCUCCCUCAUAACAAGGGCUGUAGCACAUUUGACAUUACCCAUCGGAUUUCGUUUUUUUUUUUUUUUUUGGAUAAAUUAUCCAUUUGGUCACUUAAUUUUGCAGUACUAUUAUUUGAGUAUUUGGUUAAAAGAAAUGAUGGUCAAUCAGAGAAAGAAGUGAAUGAAGUUAUUGCUUUAAUUUCAUCCCGUUGUUCAACUGUUAAGAAUUUAUGUCUUUUUAGUUUUUUCUUUUCCUUUUCUGUUAUUUGGUUGUUCGUUUAUAAUCCAACAAGAAAAGAGGAAAUUGUUAUUUGAUGAAAGCACUUUUCACUAAAACAUGAGCAGUUUUAUUCCUCAAAACAAUAUAAAUGGGAAAUACACCCUUGAGAGCACAGAUUUUAUUCUGAAAUUAAAUUAUUUUACUGUAUAGUUUUAGAUUCAUCGGUAUUAUGUAAUAUUUGUCUAUCAAAUAUAUAUAUAUAUAUAUAUAUAUAUAUACAUACACACACACACAAAUGCACUUGUAUUAUAUACAUAUUCAUAUGCAAUUACAAGUUUUAAAAAUCUUACUACUAUAAAUUUCUAAAUAUUUAACUCCCAAAAUUCUAAAUAAAUGAAACAACUAUAAAAAUAAUAAGUAUAUAAUACAUUAUCAUUAAAGAAAUUUAAUAGUUUAAUUUAAUGGAAACAUUUAAUUUUUGGAUCUAAUCAUGAAAAAAUAAAAAUAAUGAUGAGAGCAAAAGAAUUAAAAAUUGAUUAAAAGAGCCAGAACAAUAAAAAGGUUUAAACAGGAUAAAAUAAGAGGUAAAAUUUUAUAUCAAUCAAAAUAUCAUUUUUUACUUGUAUGACUGAGACGGACUAGUGCGUUGGAUACAUACAGGCUGAUGCAAAGAUCAAAUAAAACAAUAAUAUUAUGUGUUGUGAUUCAAAACUGAUAUAUAUUAGCUAAUACGAUGAGUAUGGGUACAUUAUCAAUAACCAUGGUAAAAUCCUUGUUCAAUGAUAUAACCAAUAGCACCAAUAAAACUGUAAAAUGAUAAUAUUAUGUCCUAAUUAAUACAGAAUAAACCAAUGUGGUUUAUCCUAAGAAGCGUUGAAAUUUUAACAUUUCUCUAAAACAUGUCUGGGUAUGAUUUUGCCUUGGAUCUUGCUCAUAUUAUAACAGUUUAUAUCUUAUUUUCUGGUCCAACUCACCAACAUUAAGAUCCGCUUGUGCAAAAAGCAAGAUUGCUGGACCAAUUAAACAUUUAUGCUAAUGAAAUAGCUUUUUGAUUUCCUGCUAAAGAUGCCAAAAAAAAAAAAAACAUCUUUUGAAGAUAAUGUUUGGAACGAGAAUUAAAUUAUUUAUUUUACAUCCAUAAACUUUGGAGCAAAUAGUUUCAUUAUCAAUGUCAUGCCAAGCAAAAAAACGUUUUUAUUCUACUUUAUAUAUACAGAUAUAUAUAUAUAUAUUUAUCUUUUGACGAUAAUGUUUGAGAUGAAAAUUAAAUUAAUUAUUUUAAUCCAUAAUCUCAUAAAAUUUGGACAAAUAGUUUCAUUAUGAAUGCAAUGCCAAGCAAAAAAAAAAAAACAUAGCUUUUAUUCUACUUUAAUAGUUUCAUUAUGAAUGUAAUGUCAAGCAAAUAGUUUCAUUAUGAAUGAACUCUUGUAACUUGGUUUCUUUAUGUUCACGGGUGAAAUCCCUUCGAAAAUUGGAAAUCAUUUGAGCUUGGAGAUAUUUUCUGCCCCAAAUCUGAGGCUUGUUGGUCCAAUCCCAGCUUCCAUCUAUAACCUUUCUUCUUUAAAAGAAAUUUAUCUCCAUAGCAACAGUCUCUCUUGCAGUAUUACAUAUAAUAUGUGUUAUACUCUUCUCAAAACUUCAGGUGCUUGAUAUUUCUGACAAUGAAUUUUAAGGCCACAUUCCAAGAAGUAUAGGAAAUUUAACCAAACUUAAAGAGAUAUAUCUAAGUCAUAAUGAUUUAGAAGGUAAGUUUUUGCAUUGGAUUAUUUAAAUUUCAAUUGAUUGAUACUUUUUAUUAAUUAUAUUAAAAAAAUAACUAAAAAAUAAAAAUUAAAAGAAUGAUCAACAUGAAAAUAAUCACAUUUGAUUUUCUUUUAUGCUUUUCUCAUUUUGACUCAAACUUUUGGAAUUUGAAGAAAUUAAGUUUUCCUUCAUAUUUUAAACAUCAAAGAAAUUAAGAAUUUAUUGUGUAAUUGACUUUUAUUGCAUUUUAAAUAACCUCAAUAUUAUUGGAAUGUUUAGAAAGUGGAUAGUUUUAUAAUACUAAGUUGUUGUUCCUUUGUAGGUGAAAUUCCAUGGGAGAUUGGGAAUCUUAUUUCAUUGGAGACAUUAGCUGCAUCAUUUAUGCGCUUAAGUGGGUUGAUUCCACAUUCCAUCUUCAACAUUUCUUCUUUGAAGGCAAUUAGUCUUGCAAAUAAUAGUCUAUCAGGUAAUUUCAUUAUAAACAUUUCAUUACUUUUAUGUUUAAAAUUGUUUACUUUAGUUUCAAAAAAGUUUAGUUUAGGAUUACAAAACAAAUAAUCAUAAAAUUAUGAAAACUGUUAAAAAAAUGAAGUGUCAUUGAAAGGCUUGAGAAAUGUCUUUUCAAACCUCUUUUAUCUUAUUAAAAUCAAAUACUGUUUCCAAUUAAACCAGGGAACGCAAAACAAAGACUCAAAAGAAUUUAAAAACCAAACCUGAAAAUCGAAAUUUCCAUCGAUUAGAAAAUAUUUUAAAAUUUUUAAAAAACAUUUUAUAAUGGAAUCAUGCCCCUAACUGGGAUGCGCACCACUAGCUAAGUCUACAAAGUUGGCCAAUGUGGAAAAAGGAUAGGUACCCAAAACUUGUGAUGUAAUAUGGCUAUUAGUUAUUAUCCCAUUGCAAUUAUAUACAAUAAAACUAUUUGAUUUGGUUUAUAAUGUGAUAAAAAGCAAUAUUAACGUACAUUGUUACUCCCAUAUUAAUUUAAUACCGACUUAAUUUAUUGUUACAUCUAACUUAAAGUAGUAUUAUUAUAUUUUAUAUUUUUAUAUUUAUUCAUCUGCAAAUAUUUAAAAUUUAUAUUUUGUGUAAUAAAAAAUUUAACAAUGUAUUUUAUUACUUUCAUAUUUCUUAAUAGUGUGUAUCCGCGUGGGCUAGUUUUAUUGGCUAUAUGUGAAAUGUUUCAUAAAAAUUAAAUUGAUUAAAACUGUUAAGUAUAUAUUAAAAGGAUUGUGAAAUUCCAAUUUUCAUUAUGAGGGAUAAAUUAAAUAAGAUUCAAAUGAAUAUAUUUGAUUUUUAUCGUAACGAAGUUGUAAAAAACAAUAAUAUUCAGAUUCUAUAGGUAUACUCAAAAGUUUAUAAACUGUAAUCAUACAAGAUGCAUAUGAAUAUAUUUGAUUAGCUCUUAAUAAGUUGUUAAAAUAAUGAAAUAUGCUAGUCACAUACAAUAAAAUUUGAUGGGAGGAAAGAAUUGAUCAAUGGAGCUAUUUGUUAAUUAUCCAUUUUUUCCCACCGCAUGGAAUUAAAAUGAAUGUUGUAUUUUGAUAUUCUGUAUAUUGAAAACAAUAAAAGAUGAUGUAUAUUUGUUUAGUUUUAUAUAUAAAUGAUAAAAAGGAAGCUAAAACAUUUGAAACUUGAAAAACAAAAAAAUUAAACAACCUGAAUAGCAAGAAGAAAAAAAAUGAAAGAAAGAAAAAUGAGAAGUAGAAAAGAGAUAGAGAUUCUAGAAAUGAAAAUAUGAUAUAAUAAAGUACAUGUAAAAACGUGCAUUCUAAAAUAGAAACUCACAUAAAAAAUUAUAAUUAAAACCUGUAUUGUAAUGAUUAUUUGAUUUGAAGUAGGAAAGAAAGAGUCUUUCCAUGUCAAUAAAACCAAAUUAAAAACCUUUUAGUGUUUGUUCCCCCAAAUAUUUUUCUUUUAACACUGAUUUAAGGUUUCAUUAAAUUGUAACUGAUCCAUUUUGUAAUUUCUAUUAUUACUUAAAGACAUUAGGUCAAUUCAUUUUAUAGUUUUUCUAAAUUUAUUAUUUAUUAACAACAUGUAAUAUUGUAUUAAAAUUAAUAUAAUUUUAUUAUUUAUUAACAAGAUGUGAUAUUAUAAUAAAAUAUUAAAUUUAAAUCUUCUAAAAUAUAAAAUUUUUUAUUGAAUGGAUAAGGUAAUUUUAAUUUGAGCAUUAUUAUAUUACAUAUAAAUAAUAAAUUUAAAUAUGGAAUUUAAAAUUAGAUUAAAAUUAUUAUAACAUUAUAUAUUAAGUCCACUCUUUUAAUACAAAAAUUAGGGCUCAUACGUUUACUUAGCCUAUAUUAUUUUUUACUCAACCCAUUCUUUUAAGACAAAUGAGUAAAGUUUAUAUGAUAAUUGUGGACCAAACUUAUGAUUAAUUAUAUUUAACAAAAACCAAUUUCAAAAAAAAAAAAAACAAAAACCGUUGUUUUAAAAUAUAGUAUUAAUGAUUUUCUUAGUUGUACUCUGUUCCUAAAAAAAUCAACAUUCAAAAUUAAAAGAUAACCAUUCUUCACUUAUCCAACCACGUGUCAAUUUCCAAUUCGUCCCCAACUACCAUGCUUUUAUCACAGGAUUGUUCUAAUAUAAUGUAUAGAUUGUCUAAAGUUAUCUAACUUUUUAUUUGGAGCAUUUCAGUUAUAAUUUUUUUACUAUAAUAUUAUAAUUAUUUGCUAAUCAUAAUAAAAUAUUAUAUAGGGAUCAUCAUUUAUAAAUAUGGGUUACAUAUAAAAUUUUGAUAAAUCUCACACAAUUUUAAAUUAUAAUUAAUUAAUUAUACUAUAAUAAUUAUAAAUUAUAUGCUCUUUUUUUUUUUUUUAUUAUAUGCAAUAAAAAUAAGUGCUACUUUACCCUUUUUUGUUGUCAAAUUAGAGAAUUUAACUGUUCUUUUACGAAAUAAAAAGCUAUAGUUACGUAAUUGUUUUUGCUAAGCCAUAUUUUUAUUAGAGAUCAAAAGACCAUCAUAAGUGAAAUACAAGAACCUUACCAAGAAACAUAGUUAAAGCCAUACCAGAAACAACAUAAAAACCAUCUAGCACAAUUCUAAUGAAAGACUUCCAUCUAAAAUGAAGAUAUCAUUACAUCUAAACAAAAAUGAAAAAAAAAAAAAAACACUACCAUGGUCGGUAAACAAAUAAUGGGAGCAAAGACCACUAUCCUUACAGAACAAAAUCACCACCAUGUCUUACAAAAAAAAAAAUCUCUAUCCUCCUACCUUUGCCAUGACAUCUACCACAUCAUUCAGAUUUUUAAAAAAUUUUCGUCAGACUGGAUGUUCCAAUUGAUCUCCAAAGCAUCACAAUUUCAGAAAAUAUAGACAACAACUUUCAUGGUCGAUGAUUCUUUUUACUGCAGUUAACAGCCACCAUAAAGCCACUUCCAUAUCCCAAAAGCAUACAAAUAGUAAAACGCUAAAACUCCCAAUAUUAACCUCAUAUCCACUAUCAUAUCCUUCAAACACAACUUUAAAAAUACCUUUUGCCAACUUCCUUAACUGUGGUAUUGAUAAAGCUUGUAAAUAAGACCAAAUUCAUUAGAACCUUUAAAUCGACAAAGCCCUUUUGUAUCAAUCUUGAUGAAGCUCCCCCAAUCCUGUCUUUCUAAACCAGCAAUACGUUGAAUAAUGGAACCAUCAUCUUCAUUUACAGAUAAACCCAAUAAUUUACCAACUUCCCAAAUCUUCUCAGCCUCUUCUAGAAAAGCUCUAUUUGCAAAACCAAUAUCUUCAUCCGAAAGUGGUCUUGAACAAUGGAAACUAGAGGUGUCUUUAUCUGGCGAGACUUGCUUUUGGAUCUUUCCAAUAUUUUGCCUUAACGUUUUUUCCUUCUUUUACCUGCUUGAAUAGUAACAAGGUGAAAUUUAUCUUCAACGUCGAAAAGUUUCUCAGCGUCUAUAUUACUCUUGGUCAUAAGCUUAAUAGAAACUGGAUUUGACUAAAGAUCAGUUAAGAUAUUUCCACCAAUAGAAUCCCUAAGCGCAUCUGAUGGGCCAUUUGAUAUCCCAAGAGAUGUAGAAGUAUUAAUAUCUUGAUCCUCUAGAUUGGACUCAUCAACCACAUGAUUCAAUUUAGACUUUCAUUGUUCUGUUUCAUCGGGAUUCAAAAGAGGUUCUAAAGAAGAAUUAAUUGCAACACCUGUAUUUAACUCCGCAUGCUCCAUAAUUGAUCUGUUUUCAAGAACAAAUAUUGGAUAUAUGUUCAGAAACAACAUUUAACUCCUCUUGUUCCAAGUUUAUCUCAUUCCCAAGAUCGGCAUCAUGUGCUUCUUUAGAAUAUCUAGGUGUAUUAACAGUUGCAAUAACAGUGUUAUCUUCAUCCAAAGCCACAAAAUCAGCAUCAUUUUCAAAUUUUGAGUUACUCAGGGAGUCCUUGCCGUGAGGAGAGAAAACAUCUUCACCGCCAUCUAUGAACACUGAGUUGUCCUGGUCUGAUCUGUGAGGACUAGUCGAACUGUCAAGAGAGUGUCCAUGUUCAACAACUUUAAUGGAGUAAGCAUUAUCACCCACAGUGACCUUAAUCUCAUCAUGAAUGGCUCUAUAAUCAUUUGUUAAAAUCAGGACUCUAUCUACAUCUAAACAUUUUUUUUCGUUUGUGUAAAAUCAUCCAGCUUAAUAAGCUCACCCCAUAAACUUCCAAUGGAAGAGAAACACUUGGAAUUCUAAGCGUGAAGUGGAAUACCUGACAAUCUCAACCAAAUAAGGUCUGAAUGGCAUAUGUAGCUAGGCUUCCAUGGAGUAAUAGACGUGAACCAAUUUUGAGACCACUCCUGACCAAGUUCCAGAGAUAAUAACAUACUUUCUCUGCUUUCAAAAGUCAAAAGAUUCAUAUUCUCAACCAUGAUAGUGACAGAACAAUCAUCAAAGUCCUCCGACAAGAUUUGGUUAGUGGCAUUUAUAGUAUCAGGAUAUCUAACCAUCCCAACAGCAUUCCGUUGUAAUCUCUCCAAAUCUAAAUUUUCAGGAACGUAAUUAAGUAUGUCAAGCGAUUUUAAAACCUCUUCUUGUUGACCAUCUGAUACAAUGUUAUCCUUUAACUGAGUGGAUUUGACAGAACUAGAAUUAACUUGAGACCUUUGAUCAUACCUUGCCGUUUGAAAAUGUAGAGUGGAAUACCUCAGGUGCAAACCAGUUAGAAAUUUGAUAGCCCUCGAUGCAUCCCGUAGAUCAAGCUAAUGGACAAAACCAACUAAGACGUUCUUGGCUCUCUUUUGAUUUUUGGGGACGUAAAAAUCAAUCACCCUCCCACAUCUGACAAAACGGUGCUUGAGAUUAAAGAGACUACAAUCUGGAAAAAUUCCAUCAACAAACAGUGUAACAAAAUUUUUCUCCCAAGGUAAUGUUCUUGUGUGGCCUUCAUAGCAUCCAAGUAGAGCUUUUUGAGUUACCUUUACUUACCCUCUAAAUAGCUUUUCACCCUCUAAUAAUUGUGUAAUCAAAAACAUCAUUUUAAAAUCUUUUUCAUUAGUUUCACAUUUUGUCAUCAUAUUACUAAAUUUUUAUUAUAGUAGUAAAAUGUAUACAGUAUUACUCCAACAAACCUCAAAUGAACCUCCUCUGGUAGAGCACUCGUAAGGUUCUAUCAAACCUUAGGGAAGUAAGAAAGUGAUUUUCAAACUAAACAGAGUACAUGUACUUUUAACAAUCUUUUCACAGAAUCUUUGUAUUUUUCUCUUAUAUUAUGCAUAUAGUCUAAAAUGAAAGAAAUUUUAUCAUUUCUCUUGAGCCUUUUUUCCUAAAAUGUCAUAGAUAAAAAUUCUAAUUUAUUUCCAAAUAUUUACACUUUCAGAUUUUUCUUUUCUCAAACAAAUUAAUGUAAAUAUACUUUUAUUUUUUUAUUUUCUUCAUUUUUAUCUUAUUUCUUUUUCUUUCAUGAACAAUUUCAUCAUCCAAAUUUUCUUUAAUCUUUUUUAUCAUUAAAGCAAUUGAGAUAAGUUAAAGAAAAUAAAAUUCUCACAUAAAUGGAAAACAUUUUAAGCAUAUACUAGAAACCUUAUAAUAAUUUCUUUUCUCCCUUCCUUUCUUCUAUCUUCUUUUUUUCUUUUACGUUUCUUUUUCAUCUUCUGUACUUUAUUAUACAUAAGUAUGGAUCCCUCUAAUCAUUAAAAAUAAGAAAAAAUUUUACAAAUUAUAUAUAUGUAUAUAUAUAUAUAUAUUCCAGAUCAUCAAACAAGAAAAACUUGAAGUUGUUUCAUUUUUAUAAUUGUUUCAUGUUUCUCCUCACAUUCGCAGAUGUAAGCAUUGCAUUCACUUCAGAUUGCAUCAUAGAUUCAUGAAAAACACAACAAAGCAAAAGAACUAAUUUAUUUCUUGUAUGGAAAGAUGCAAACUUUUUUUUUUGUCCUUUUAGGUAAAUUACCAUACAUGAGCUCUGCUUCAAAUCUUGAGAAGCUUUACUUAUGGGACAAUAAUCUCAGUGGAAAUAUUCCUGGCUCUAUCUCCAAUGUUUCUAAGCUCAGAAUCCUAGAAUUACAAAAUAACUCUUUCUUUGGCCUUAUUCCAGAGACACUUGGCAAUUUGAGGUUCCUUGAGCACUUGCUCCUUUGGUCGAAUCAUUUGACCACCAAAACUUCAACUCAUGAGUGGAGCUUUCUCAAUUCCUUGGCAAAUUGCAAGUAUCUAAGCAUUUUAGACCUAUCAUUCAACCCGUUGAAUGGCAUCCUUCCAGCUUCUAUCUCAAAUCUUUCCACAUCACUUCAACAAUUUAGUGUCAUUGAUUGCAAAAUUAGAGGCAGCAUUCCCAUGGAAAUUGGUAGCUUAAGCAACGCUAUAUUGUUAGAUCUUUCCUCUAAUAAAUUGAGUGGACCUAUUCCAACAACAGUAGGAAGGCUAAAAAAUCUCCAACUUUUGAAUCUUUCUGGAAAUAAGUUACAAGGCUCUAUCCCACAUGAUCUUUGUGGUUUGAAGGGAUUGUUCAAAUUAUCAUUAGGUGCAAAUGAGCUUGAUGGACUUUUACCGACAUGUUUGUGUGAUUUGACUUCUCUGAGAUAUCUAUACUUGUUCUCCAACAAAUUGCAUUCGCAAAUACCUUUAAGUUUUUGGAGCCUUAAAGAUAUCUUAGAAGUAGACUUGUCAUCAAACAAUCUUAGCGGUUCACUUCCACUUGACAUUGGAAAUUUAAAGGUACUUAUCUCUUUGAAUUUGUCAAGGAAUUUAUUAUCAAGUGAUAUUCCAUCCACAAUUGGAAGUCUCCAUGAUCUACAAGUUUUGAAUCUUUCCAGAAAUAGAUUACGAGGCCCUAUUCCAAAAUCAUUGGGUGACUUGAUGAGUUUGAAAAGCUUGGAUUUAUCUAACAACAAUCUCUCUGGAGUUAUUCCCAAGUCUUUGGAAAAACUUUAUGAUCUCAAUUAUUUUAAUGUGUCUUUCAAUAGAUUGGAAGGAGAAAUACCAAGUGGAGGGCCUUUUCUGAACUUCACAGCCAAAUCAUUCAUGAAAAAUUAUGCACUAUGUGGUUCACCUAGACUACAAGUCUCACCUUGCAAAAAUAAAAUCCAUCCAAAAUUCAAGAAGACCGCUCUUCAUGCUUUGAGGUAUGUUUUACCAACAUUUGCUUCAAUAAUAAUAGUUGUAGCUGUCAUAAUUGUCUACAAAAAAGGGCAGCGGGGGAAUAUGAAUUUGGCAACGGUUGAAGAUUUAAUUCCUCUCAAGAAAAGGAGAAGAGUUUCGUAUAAUCAACUAUUGCAAGGGACUGGUGGAUUUAGUGGGAAUAACUUACUUGGUUCAGGAAGUUUUGGCUCUGUAUACAAAGGAAUACUUUCAGAUGGAACAGAAGUCGCAAUAAAAGUUUUCAAUUUGCAAAUAGAUGGAGCAUUUAAGAGUUUUGACAUUGAAUGUGAAGUGAUGAGCAAUAUCCUUCAUCGCAAUCUUGUCAAGGUUAUUACUUGUUGUUCAACUAUUGAUUUCAAAGCCUUAGUGCUUGAGUUCAUGCCUAAUGGGAGCCUUGACAAAUGGUUAUAUUCUUACAACUAUGUAUUGGAUAUCCUACAAAGAAUCAACAUAAUGAUAGAUGUUGCAUCGGCAUUAGAAUACCUUCAUUUGGGACAUCCGAUUCCGAUAAUCCAUUGUGACCUAAAACCAAGUAAUGUCUUAUUGGAUGAGGACAUGGUUGCACACGUGGGAGAUUUUGGAAUUGCCAAGCUAUUGGGAGAAGGAGAUUCCACCAAACAAACAAUGACACUAGCUACUGUUGGCUAUAUGGCGCCAGGUGAUUUUUUUUUUUUUCUCUAUUCCAAGACGAGUAGAUGUUAAUAUUUUAUCAUUUUAUUGAUGAUUAAUGAUGCCUGAAUACAUGAGAUCAUUUUAAUGAUUCAAUUAUAUUUAAAAUACAGAAUACGGAUCAAUGGGAAUUAUUUCAACAAAGAGUGAUGUCUAUAACUAUGGUAUUCUAUUAAUAGAGACUUUCACAAGAAAGAAGCCCACAGAUGAAAUUUUUGUUGGAGAAAUGAGUAUAAAGCAUUGGGUGAAAAGCUCAUUAUCUAAUGAAAUAAUUGGUGUAAUAGAUUCUAGUUUAGUGCAAGAAAUGGAUGAAUAUUUUGUUAUUAAGGCAAAUUGUAUAUCAUCUAUUAUGAGAAUAGCUUUGGAUUGUUCAGCUGAAUUACCUGAAGAUAGAUUAGAUAUGAAGAAUGUUGUCUCCAUGCUGAAGAAUAUCAAAAGAGAAUAUCUAAACAACAUUACGCAGGAUGAAUAAAUAUGGUAAGAAAUGCAAUUAUAUAUAGUUUAAGCUUAUAUAAAAGUACAUAGAAUAUAUUUAUCUAAUUUUUUUUAAGAAGGUAUUCCAUUAAGCUUUAUAUUUUUUUGCAGGUUAAGGGUACUACUACCAUAAUAUGUAUUUUGGUUCAAUAAUCAAGGUACUUUCAUCACUUUUGAAUUUUUAUCUGUAUAUUUAUUUAUUAACUUUGAACUCUUUAUUAAAGUAAUUUUUUCUUAAUAACAUUUUAAAUUUUACAGUAAAAACUAGAGUUUUAAUUGCAUUAAAUCAUUAAAGAGUUUAAAUAAUUAUAAGAUUUGCAUUGCUGGUGAAUUUCAAUAACUUCUAUGUCUAAGUAAGGAGGCAAGGUAGUUGUAAACAUAUAAAAAGGAUUUUCUUGAUUAAUAAAUAUCUUUUUCACCUGGAUAUGUGGUUACAUAUAUAGGAAGUUAGGCUCAUUUUGUAUAUUUGUGUUUUCUUUUAUUUUUUUAUUAAAUUCAUAUUAUUUCUCAGUACAUAUAAUUAAUUUGUAUAUGUUAUGUAUGAUACGUAACAUAUAUAUAGAUUAUCGUUUCUAUAUAUUUAACCAUAACAUAAAUUAUCAUGAAGAGAGCCAAUAAAUUAAAUUAAUUUUUAUUUAAUUAUGGUAUUUAUUAAUAUAAUCAUUGAUUAGGAAUACUUUUUCGCUACAUCUCUUUUUUAUUUCAAUGAUAUAAUAACAAUAAGUAUAUAAUUUUACAUAAUAAUCAAUUUGUAGUAAUAUAUUUUCUUGUAUGAAAAUUAUGACUCAUAUAAUUGCAUUUUUAAGUAAUUUGGAUUAGAUGAAAAUAUUGGUUCGUAUCUUUUAUAAAUAUAUAUAUGUAUAUACAUGUGUAUAUAUAUUUUAGGUGAUUUAUGAUUGAGUAUGGAAUUAUAUGUCUUUUUAUAAUUAAUUAUUUUUUAAUUGGUAUUUGGGUAAUAACUUAUUAAUGAAUUUUAAGUGAAAUAAAAAUUAUUAGAAUUAUUAUAUAAUUAGUAUGUAACAUUUCAUUGUUUUUUAUUUUUCUAAAAUAUAAUAUUGUUAUAUACGAUAUUAGUUAAUACACAUCAUUUUUCUAUUAAGAAUAUCUUUAGUUAAGAAGGUGAUAAUAAAAAUGUAUUAAGGAAUUUAGAAGAAUAAAAAAAUUUGAAAAGUUAAUAAAAUAAAUUACUCUAGAAGAAAUCUAUUUUAUCAAUCCAUCCCUCCUUACAAGGUUACUUUCUUAAGAGACUCUGAAAAUAUAUUAUUUAUCAUUCAAGUACUUAAAUUAUUUGUGUUUGUUAAAUAAAAUAGUUGUAUUAUUCUAAUGUUCACAACAAUUUUUUAUUAAUUUAAUUAGCUAGGAAAUUAUAAUAAAUUUCAUUAAUAGAGAAAUAUCAUAAUGUUUGUAAAUAAUAACUAGAAAAUAUAGAUGAAUAUAUUAAUAUUAAGCAUAUUGUUAUAAAUGCAAAGUUUAAAACUUUCUAAAAAAUAAAGUUUUGAAUAAUUAUUAUAAAUCAAAACAAAGAUAAAUGUAAUACACAUCCACUCACGGAUACAUUAUACAAAUAUAGAUGUUUAAUUUUUUAUAUAAAUGGUUAUUACUAAAACUCCACAAAAAUGUAUAAAAUAAUAUUUCUAUCAUUUAAUAUUAAUUAAUAAACACGUUUUCCUUACUAACGAACAUUUUAAUUAGGAAGCAAAUACUCCAAUGCAUUUUCAAUUGUAAUGAAAUUCAAAAGCGCCUAAAAGUAAAUUAGAAAUCAAUUUUCGUUAAUCAAUGAUCAUUACUAGCUAUUAUUUUUUGUUUUAAUCUUAUAACAAUAAUAUUAUUGUUUAAACUCUUAAUAACUUUUGUUUGUUGAACACUGAAAUAGCUAUUUUAUUUUGUUUGUUGAACACUGAAAUAUAUAGCUUUUUUUUUUUUUGCUUAAUAUGCAAAACAUGUUUUAUUUAUUUUAAUAAAUUAACUAUAUUAAUUACUGUUUAACAUGGAUGUUAAUUACAAUAUUGUUAAUAUUGAACAAAUGUUUACAAAAUUAAAAUAAUAUUCAUAUACGAAUUUACCAUAUAACAUAUAUAUAUAUUUAUUGAAAUUAAACAAUUUCAAAGAUAAAAGCAUGAAAUGACUUUACCUAAAAGUGAAUGUUAAUUUAUUAAUUAUUUGCUUUGGUAAAAUAGAUGUUAUUAAUCACAUAAGCCAUUAUUGAAUUUUUAUUGAUUUAGUUUCCUAUCGAUUUAUAAUUUUAAGCUUUUGAAAUGUUUAGAUUAGUCAAUCAUCAUUUAUACAUACUCAUCUAAGUUUAUAAAUUAUUGUCUCCUAUUUUUAUGUGAUAUGAUGUUAUUAAUUUAUCAACUAUCAGUAUGGGCUUUUUUUUCUAUUAUUCACAAACCAAUUUAGCAAGUAUGAUGAAAAAGAAUAAUAAUAGAGGUAGGUGCAAGCUUCUUGAAGUUCAUCUUUUUUCUUUCACUUGAUUAUUGUUGGAAAUUGGUUUUCAAAAUAUGAAUGCAAGCUUCUUGUCCAAAAACAAAAAAAAAAAGAAAAAAAGGGAACUGAUGCAAGUUUUGUAACUUUAUUGCAGUAUGUAACUAACGAAUUCAGGGUGGACUAGAUUGUGCUGUUUCUUCUCUUAUUGUGAUUGCUUAACGCUUGAGCGAGAGAUUUAUGGUGUGUUUGUGAAUUGGAAGUUCACCUUCCAAUGGCGUGGAAUGUCUAAGAAAGUUCAUGAAAUCAUGGCUAAAAGUGGUGUGGUGUUUCUUCUUGAGAAAUGCAAUCAUCCUUCUUGCAAUGAUUUUUUUUUUUUAUUUUCUAUUGGAGGAACAUUAGAGUGAUAUGUUUUUAUUUGGAAUCCAUAGUUUUAUUGAAUCAUAUUUUGAAAAUAAACUAUGCAAAGUUUAUUUAACUUCAUGCCAAUGGUUUUCCUGUUACUUUAUUCUAUGAAGGUGUCAAUAUUUUUUAUUCAAUAAAUGGUGAGUAGCUAAAAUACAAGUAACUCAACUGAGAACAUAUGAUAUAAUUGUUUAUAUUUUUGUAUUCAGGAAGUUGUCAAUUUUUCUCAUUUUAGAAGAAUUAGUUAGUUUCUUUUCUUAAUAUAAUUGAACUCUUGAUUCCAAGUAAGGAUUUGAAGUUAAAUAGUCCAAACACAAUUUUUGCUACAAUGUUUUGGUGCACAACAAUUGCUAAUCAUUUUUCUAUAAAUUUCCUCAUGUUUUCAUUUGUUAAUUAUUAAUUUUUUAUAGAAUUAUUUAAUAAAUUGAAAACAAACCUUUGAAAGGAAAAUUGUCAAUGUCAUCAUUUGGUUUAAAAUAAAAAUUGUUCAUGAAAAUAUCACUAUUUUUUUUUUUUUUGUUUUCAUAAAUGAUAGGGAGAGGAAAAAGUGUAAAAUUAAUGAUUUGAAAAUAAUGGGAAUUUUUUGUACUUUUUAAUUAAUGAUUUGAAAACAACGUUUAAAAAAAUAGAAAUAAAUUUUAUUCAAAAAAACUUUUGAUAUCCUAUUAACUAAUGAGUUUGAUUAAAAAUAGGUAGGAAAAGAAAAGUUAUACAAAUUAUAUGUAUUAAUUCCAAUUUUUUCAUAUUUUAUUUAGUUAAUUAUUUGAAAAUAAAUUUUUGAAAUAAAAUUAUAAUUUAUUAACUAAUGUCUUGAAAAUAAAAUUUUGAAAGAAUAAAAAAAACAAAUCAAUUUUAUUUAGAAAACUUUUCAUAUUUCACUAACCAUUAAAUCGAACUAAAAUGAUGGGGAAAUAUUCCAUAAAAUCCGAAGUAUAUUUAAAGAUCUUUUCAAUUUGAAGAAAGUUUGUAUCAUCCAAUGUAUUUAGACUUUAUUGUCAAAGGAUGGCUCAAUUUGGACUGCUUGGAUCAAGGCCUAUUCUCUUAAAGGAGAAAUUAUUUGGCAGGUGUUUGAAACUCAAAAUUGUAGUUGAAGUUGGAAAAACUAUCAUGGCUACCCUCAGUUUACAACCCUAAAUCUUAUAAAAAAAAUCAAAUGCAUAACUAAUCCAAACCUUUGAAAUUCAAUAUUUCUUUAAAUCUAAUAUCAAACCCAAAAAUUUGAUACAAAAUAUCAAACUUAGAACAACUCUACCAAUAUUUAAAGCCCUUGUUUAUGGUUUAGCAUUUUGAAAAUUUACAUUUUGUUCUUUUUCUCCUGCAAAUAUGUCUAACAAUUUUACACAAAUCAAAACUUAGAAAUCAACUCAAAACAAAGGUAAUAUAAAAACCCUAUAAUUAGCAUUACCUUUUUCUUGAUUAGAGAUUUUGGUUGCUACAAUGGUAGUCUCAAAGGAGAAUAGUGAUGGCUUACUUCUUGUACUCAUCGAUCAAGCCAUCUCGUAGGUGGUGAUAGUGAAAUAUAUUUAUUACCAAAAAAUUUGAAAAUGAGAAAAAGAAGAAAAGAAAGAAAGGGAAAAAAAAAAGGGAAAACGAAGGGAAAUUGAGCCAUCAACAAUUGUUUUGAGGCCACCCACGAAGAAAGACAACGCGAGAGAGAUUCAGAUUUUCAGACGAUGUAAGAAAUAAAAUUAGUCAAAUUGAUAACAUUUAAAUAUUUCUCGUAUAAAGGUUAAGUUUUUAUUCUACCAUGAGCAAUUUCUCGAGGUAAAUAUUUUAUUUUAUUGAGGCCCAAAUCAAUUGGACUUGGCCUUAUUUGAAAUCCAAUUAUUGAAUUUUAGAUUUUAGACUUUUUAUUUUAUUUUUUCGUAUUCUUAUUAUCCUUAUUUAUUUUAUUUUUAUUAUUAUACUAUUUAUCUUGAUUUUAUCAUUAAUUAUCUGAUUAUCUUUUAAAAAAAAUUGAUAAUUUGGAAGUUUAAAAUGAUGUUAUCUGGGUUAAGAUGCUAGCUUCAUCAGAAGCAGUUUGAGAUUAGAUUUACUAUAGGGAUAAUCUUUAAUUUUAAAGAAAUCUAUUCCUAAGUAAGUUGAAACUCUCGUGAUCUUAACUAUAAAUAAACUUUCAAUUCACAACAACUAACAAAAAAAAAAAAUCACAGAGAAAGCAAUCAACAGAGAAAAUCAGAGGGCAACACAGGGGAGAUAGGAGCAAAUCCCCAUUUUGUUCGGCCGCUCCCAAUUGCCAGUCACCACCAUCAGUCAUCCACUACCUAAACCAGCAACCGAAGACUACCACUACCUUUUCUUGCCCAAAUAGUAACCAUCGAUCCAAAAUCCAACAAAUAAUCAAAACACAAUAACCAGAGUCAAGCAUCAAAAAUAGCCACAGAGAUAGAAUCAACAAUCGACAACAAUCGAAAGACGAAAACAAAAGAUAUUCUUCUAGCAGCGGUUUUCGCUUUGGGAUUCACUUUUAGUUAGGCACCUUUUGGUAUUCUUUCAAACGGCAAAAGAAAGGGGAAGGAUUUGGAGGAGUUUUUCAAUGAUCCGAGUAGCUGGGAUUAGGAAUUCCAAGAAGUGGUAGAAUGGUCUUUGUGUUUAAAUUUGCAAGGUGUUGUGAGAUUCCAAAAAUAAUCAGGGAAGUGACAACUUAUCGGCAAAAAGGACGAGAAAACAGCAAAAACUGAGAGCUGUGUUGCUGAAAUGAGAAGUUGGGCUUUAUCCUUUUGCAAUAAAGAAUAAAGAAAGGGGAAGGAAUGUUCUAGAACUUGAAGAUCUGGUCAAGUCCAAAAAGCUUAUAUUUUGAGUGUAACCUGAGGAGGAUUCAAGAACCCACAAUUUGAAGCCUCGAACUCCAGCCCUACUUUUUAGCUUAGGCUGGCCUGCGUUGGAUUUGAGUUGUAACUGAAAUUUCAGGUUUUCAUCUUUUUUUUUUUUCCUUAUUUAAUUUUCUGGUUCUUUUUUUUUUUUAUCAUUUAUUUACUUUGUUAUACAUUUUAUAAAGCAUUCAUUCUUAAACUAGAAAAAUGUUUAGUUGCUUCACACUUAAAAAACUAAAAUAUGGUAGAAUAAAAUAUAUUUAUACUAGUAGUUUUCUUUAAUUAAAAUAUUAUCAGAAUCAUGUAUUUCAUAUAAAUCUUGAAGAUAGAUAACCUUUUUUUUUGAAUCAUGUAAUUUAAUUCAAACUUUAAUUAUAAGUGAAUUUUUUUCUAAGGAAUUUACUUUUCAGAAAUUUUUAGAUAAGCAAUUUCUUUUAAAUUCUCCAUGGUGGAAAGUUUAGUUGAAAACCUAAAAAAAUAAAUUUAAUUUCUCGUCAAUUGAACACCAAAUAUAAAAAAAAAAUGAAACAAAAACUCUAAAAUAAAUGGCAAUUAUCCUAAUGAGAUAAUUUUAGAAAUCAAGAAUGGUUGAUUUUUAGAGAUUUUUAAGUGAGAAGUUUUCUUAUAAAUUCUCUAGAAUGGUGGACAAUUUAUAUGAAAAUGUUAAUAAAAAUAAUUUAUGAAAAUAAGAAUAAAGAAUAUAAUCCUAAAAGAUAAAUAAAAUUACCAACUAGUAAAAUUUUAGAACUCAAGAAUUGUUGAAUUUCUAGAAUUUUUUUAAAUGAGAAGUUUUUUUUUAAUAUCUCAAACUGGAGAUUUAGAUAAAAUUUUCAAUAACAAUAUUGACAUUUGCUUUAAAAUCAUAAAAAAUUUUAAAAAUAAUUUUAGAAAGUUUUAGAAAUAACAAAAAUAUAUCUUAAAAAAUAGAAAAAUAAUAAAAUAAAUUUGAUGUUGGGAUUCUAAGAGAUCAAGAAUGGUUGAUCCUCUAAAAAAUUUCAAGAUGAGAAACUCUAGAUAAUAAAUUUAUUUCUAAAAUUUUAUCGUAAUGAUGGUAAAAUUAGAUGAAUUUAUAAUAAUUAUAUUUUUAAAUGUAGUAAAUAAAAAGGAUAGAAAUGAGAAGUUUUGGAAAUUGAUUUUUUUAAAAAAAUUUUAGGUAAAAAAAGUAUUUCUAAAAGUUUUUAAAAUGGUGAAAAAUUUAGAUUUGUCUCCAUAGAAUAGAAAUUUAGAUACAAAAAAUUUACACAAAAUAAAAAGAAUAAAUUUUGUGGAUGAAAUUUCUAAUAAUUACAAAUGGAUGAUUAUUUAAACAAUUUCUAGGUGAAAAAAUAUUUCUAAUUUUGACCUAAAUGAUGGAAGAAUUAUAUAUAUUUUCAAUAAAAGUAAAAUAAAAUAUAAAUGAUUAAGUUUUUUUUUUUAUGACAGAACCUCUUCAAAAAAAUAAAUGUGAUUUUUAAAUACUCCUGUUGAGGAAGUAUUUUUUAAGAAUUCUGCCAAAUUAAUGAAAAAAUUUUAAAAAUUAUUUUUAAUAUUUAAAUAUUAAAGUUUAAUAAAAAAUCAUUAGAACCAAUAAUCCUUAAGAUAAUUUAAAAUUAAAUGGUAUCAUCUUAGGAUGGGAGUUAUGAGGAUGCUAUAAUUUUUUUCGUAUGUAAUCGAACUCUCGAACCCUAUUCUAAUUAGUAAACCAAAACAUUUUUUUAAAGACCCUUAGUCAAGUUUAAAACAUCCUUAAAAUGAAUAUAAAUAGAUUCACCAAAGUGAUCAAUCAUAUUUAAUCAAAAAAUAUUGAUGAUGACUCUUUUAGUUGUAUUUAGCGAUAAAUUUACGAAUUUAUAUAUUAUGACACUUGGUAAAUAAUCUUUAAAUCCAAUAUAAAUCCCAGACUUUGGAAUGGGAAAGCUUCGCUUCAUUCUAAACUUUUAUAUAAAAAACAUUUUGUGGAACUAAUAUGUGACUUAUUGCACAUUUUGAAAGUUUGGGGGUACAUUAUACAAUUUUUUAGUUUAUAUAUCAAUUUAUACGUUUUAAUACAUAGUUCAUGAACUAUACUAGUAAUUAAUUCAUUCCAAAAAGUGUCUAUUUCCCUUUUAAGAGCUCCAAAUUGGUGUUGGGCAGGGUAGGUUUAAGUUCCUUACCUCUGUCUAAAAUGGCACAGGCCAGAUUUGCUUGCCAGUCGGAAAAACCAACAGGGCAAUAAAAGAAGAAAAAAAAGGAAAAAAGAAAAAGAAAAAAAAAAGAAAACGAAAUCUAAUGUUUUUAAACAAUGGGGUCGGUAUGAUGAAUACAUUGCUUCAGCUUUAGACAAGUAUCCAUAUUGCAAUGAUGCUUUCUAAGGACAAGACUAAAGUCGCAAUGAAUUUUUUUUUAUAUGUCAACACAAAUGGACUGGAAAUCUUGAUGGAUGGUAAACCUUCCGUAACUUUUCCCAUAUAGCUUAGAGAUGAGAAUUGUCCUUGGGUGUUAAGUUCUUCAAUCUUUGCUAUCCAAACGUUUGAUUGAGAAAAUCAGUGUUUAUCUUCUUUUUUUUUUUUUACCGAAAAGGAGUUCCUUCAAAGGUUUGUGACCCCUUAUGAGGAUCUUUCUUUAUUAAAGGUAUAUGAGGAGAAGCUAGGCCUUUCAAGAUAGAUUGUACAUAAGCUGAAUAAGUGAAUUUUCAUAUCAUUUUUUUAAAGGCUUAAUCUCAGUGAUAAUUUUUCUUUUCAUGCCUUUGAAAUUCAAAAAGAAAAUUGUGGGCUGAAAAAGAACAAAGUGAUAUGCAUCUGUCUUCCAUUUCGGGAUUUUAAUGUUAUGAUCUUAUUUUGUAUGAGCUGCAGCCACUGCUUUUUUAGUUUGAUCAAGUCCACUAAUGCAUUAUCCUUUUUGGCCUACAUGUAAUAUGAUGGAGAUUCAAGAUAAAACGAAAAAGUAUGAAAUAAUUUACCUUUUUUGAGUUAGUUUUUUAUACUGAAUAAAUGACCAGAGUAACUGUUUGAAGAGGAAAAACACUAUUUCCUUGUCAGAAGGGCAGAAACUGAAUUUUGAGUGCUGCAAAAACUAAAUUAUCAAAAGCACAAAUUAUUAUCAUCCUGAUUCCAUGUCUAUCCAGGGGUUUUCAGAACCAUGAAUUCUUCAUUAGACAUUCCAGAUGGCAACCUCAAAAACCCAUCUUAUAGUUUCCAUUCUAGUGUCCAAGUCCCUGCCACCGUGCAUAUAAGGUCUCUUUUUUUUUUUGCAUUUGGGAUAAGAGAAGGAGUUGUAAGUACUGAAAUUCAAACCACAAACCUAUUAGAUGUCAUUUUUUGAGGAUAACUGCAUGAACCAUCUACCAGCUUCUAUAUAAGGUCUUAUUUGUUCCAAAGCUUUUCAAAGAAAGGCUGACAUUAGACAUUUGUAAAUUGGGUGGAGUAGCAACUGAUAUUAAAAACGGGUUGCACUUUCCACCAUGGUGGCUAUGGAGCUGACCAUCAUUCUUUAAUAGCACUGAGGAGAGCAUUGCACAUUUUACAACAUAAUGUGAUGGAAAUAUUCAUUUCUAUGGAGAUGUAAAUCCAAACUGUGGUGCCUUGUGCUAGUUCAGUAAUGUCUCCAUUCUUUUAGUCCUAUGGGAUUAUGCGAAGGGAGAUGGGCUUGUGAUAGAACGAGAGGAUGAUUUCCAAGGACAUGCAUGCUCUACUUGGUUCAGAAAAAAAGGAGAUGAAGGGAGACAUCCCUGUGUUUUUAAAAUUUUGAUGUAAGUUCUUUAUUACUUAAUUAUCUGCUACUGGUUCUUCAUUGUUUUAGGGCAAAGAAUUAAAUCAUGAGAUAUAUCACCUGUAAUUAUUGCAUUAUAAUUCAAUGAUGAUUUAAACUCAAAUUAACUCACACUCGAAAUGGCUAGACUUUAAAAUAAAUGGUUAGAAUUAAAUUGGAAGGUUUUUUUUUUUUUUUGUUGAAAUUAUACAUUUUUUACUUUUAGAUAGAAAGAAAAUAUCAAAAGUCAAAUGUGAUCAAUUAAUUAAUUUAAUUUAAUAUAUCAAAUUUUAUUAAUUUAUUAAUAAGUAAUAAAUAUAAACAAUUAAAUUUUAAUUUUAAUAAAAUAUAAUUUAGAGGUAUAAUAAUAUUAUUAUAUUUAUUUAUUUUAAUUAUUAAAUAUAAUAAUCGUAUAAUAUAUAAGUAAUAUUAAGAUUAGUUCUAUUAAACAAAUAAACUUCUUAAGUCUUUUAUGAAUAAUUUUUUUAAAAAUAUAUAUAAAACAAUAGUUUGUAAUAUAUAUACAAUUAUAUUUUUAUUAUUUUUAUUAUAUAUAAAAUUAAAACUCAAAAUAAAAUGUUACAACUUAAAAAUUAAAAAUUAAAAUCCAGCCAAACGAGUCAAGUCGUGUUAUACCAUGCUACUAUCAAAUAACAGUAGAUAAUUUUAGCAUCUUCAUUUUUUAUUACACAUUUGUACUAUAUACUAUUCAAAUUUUCAAUUAUUUAAAUUAUAUUAAUAUUAUGUCUAAGUAAUUUUGAUAUUUUUGAAUUGUUUUAAGAUUAGAUCAUUAUGUUAAUUAAGUAAUCAAUAUUAAUAGUAUUUUUUUAUCUUAUCGUACUAUUAGUGAUGAUUUUGAAAGUUAAUUUUUUUGAAAUUAUUUAGUUAUUUGUUCAUUUUUAAUUCAUAUAUAAUAAAUAACGUGGACAAGUAUGAUUACAAAAUAUCGAUAUAAAUUACUAAUAAUAAAUAUUGAAUAUUAAUAAAUUAAAAGUUAUUAAUAAAUUUUUAUCAUGAAUAAAAUUAAUUUUAUCAUGAAUAUUAAAAUUAAAAUUUUUUAUUUUUAAUGUAAAAAAUAAAAUAAUAAUAAAUAAUUUUAAAAGAUAAAAAAAUAAAAAUUUUAGAUAUUAAAAAUAUAAAAUUUUGAAACAUUCAUAAAAAAUUUAAACAAAAAAAAAUAGAACAAAAAGAGCAAAUGAUAAGGCCAGGACACGCCAUUCAUGCUAAAAAUUAGUUUGUAACAUUAAUACUCAGAUUACAAACUGCAAAAUUAGUUUGUAACACAAAUAUCUCGAAGAAAAUGAUUCCCAGUGAACCAAUCAUGCUCAAAACCGUUAGAAAAUUCAAGUUUCACCAAAAGCUGUGAAUUUCGCUAAAAGAAUUCGUUAAAAAAUUUAAAAUUCAUUGAAAAAUUUAAAAAUUUCUAGAUUCUUGCAAAAAAAGGGCCAAAAGUUCAACUUGGAUCUUUGCGCCUCUUUAAUCCCUUAAUAACACUAAUUUUUCCAAAUUAAACUGAUUCAAAUAACUAAAAUUGCAAAAAAAAAAAAUUCAAAUUAAAAACCCUAUUGUGGAAAAUUUUUUUUACUUGCUUUCUACCUCUGCGAUUGCCUUUACUUGUUGUGUAUAUUGUGUUCAAUUAUUGUUGCUUAUAUAAGCCUUUAGUCCCAGCUCGUUUAGAAUCCAAAUCGAAACAAAAUGUUGAUUGGGUUAAUUUUAAAAAUUAUCAUAUCCUUUAUUCUUAAAAGAUUCAACUUAUCUUCACAAAAAUCAUCAUCAAAAUUCAUCUGAUUUCCUUCUCUUUAUUUAUCAUUUUGUUUAUCUUCCCGACCUUUCAAUUUCAAUUUUUUUUUUUACAGAAGAGAUAAAGAAGAUAAAAAAUAAAAUUCAUAAAAGAAAAAGGAAUUAGGCUUGGUUUAGAACCUAUCACAGCCCAAGAAUUCCAACAAGGGCCAACUUUAUUCCCAAUAAUCCAACAAGAGCCACAAUGUUAUGCCCCACAAUCAACUACCACUAUAACUCAAGGAGUCAAUUGAAAGCGCAAAAAAAAAAAAAAAGAGAAAAAAUAAAUAAAUAAAUAUACAAAUAAAAACGAAAUUUGGAAUUUACAAAAGAUUUCAAAUUAAAUUGGACAUCUACAAUUGCCACCUUAGGAUGUUGCUUCCAUCAAACCUGUCCAAGAUUUAAAAGUUGGUUGUCAUCUCUUUUAUGGAAUUAAAUUUGUCCAUAUUGCUUGAAACAAAACCUUAAGAAUGUUAGAAAAAUAACGUAAUAUACAGCUAUAACAUACAAUUUGUAAAUACUUCAAUGUUUUGACAACUUAAGAACUUCUUAUAACCUUCUUGAUGAAUAGUUAGAGUUGAGCAAUCAUGGACCUUCAAAUAUGAACAAAAUUACUUCAAAGUGUGCUACAAAAUGUCACUUUUCUUAAUGCUUAUAUCACCCUAACUAGUUAUAGCAUGCAAAAGGGAUGAACCAAAAUGGCUCUGAGAUAAAGUGAAGCUUUGUUUGUUUAUACUUUGCACUAGUAUAACAAACCACUAAACACACUUUAGUAGAAACGAAAAUAUCUUAUCUUAACAAGGUUUUCUGCUGUAAACAAUGUCAAAGCAAUAAGCUUUUAAUUGAGAAAAGAUUAGGAGAAAGAAGAAAGUAAUUCUGAAUUGAAUUAGAUUACAAAAUGAACUCACAUCAAUAUCUAUUUAUAAAGAUUGAAUCCUAAGAUUGUUAUUUUUUUAUUAUAUUGUUUCAAUUAAAGAUCAAUUCCUUUUGAUUAUAAAAAUGCAUCUUUGAGAGAGUACAAACAUAUUUAUUCAUUUGAAUAAUCAAACAUUUCAUACUAAGAGAAACCAUUUGUCCUAUUUUUGGAAAUCACAAUUUUUCACGCAAAGUAGUCUAUUGCUCCAAGAAAGCAAUCCAUUGCUUCUUUGUGUUUUCAAUUUUUGAAAUGCUUUUCGUAGUAGGGUGGUCGACUCCUCUAUAAAAUAAUCGACUAUUUCUUCAUAUAAAAUGCAUUCUCCAAGUGAACAGAUGACUCCUUUCAAUUUCCAAAAAGGUUCCACAUUUGGUCUCUUAUAGAGUAGUCGACUCAUCUUUAAUAGCAAUUAAAUGCAUUUAGCAUAAAUAAAUUCUCAUAAGACUAUCAUCUACUGGCAGUCGAUUGGAUUAGGGUUUGGAAUCAGUCGACUCACUUUUUAGACAUACCAAUCAAUUGCUCUAAGCUAAUAGUCGGCUACUAUUUAUAUAGAAUCUAAGUUUAGUUUAUGUUUGACAAAGCAGUCGACUUUAUGCCCUUGGCAAUCAACUGCUUUUCCUAAAAGUCUAAGGCAAUGGACUCUCCUGAGCAUGGCAGUCAAUUGCUUACAUAUAUAGUCCUUUUAACAUGAUUAUUUUAAGUAUAUCUUUUAUCUUAGGAACCAUACCUUAAGUUAUUUACUAACUUAAUUUAUUUUUGAUUCAGUUAUUUACAUAAUCAUAUUUUCAUAUUUUAAAAAUAUUUUCAAAUUGGGAGUGCCAUUUACAUAUAUUUCAUACAAAUAAAUUGUACACAUAUGCAUUAUCUUUUUUCUUUCAAAGUUAUUCUUUUUAAUGUAAUUCUUAAAUUCUAAUAUCUAUAUGAAAUUUGUGUAUAUGUUACGUGUAUAUAAUCUUUUCCUUAAGUAAUAUGAUAUCAUAUUUAAUUAGUACACAUCAUGUAUUUUUCGUUGACUCAUAAUUCGUAAAAAAAAAAUAAGUUAGUAGCUCGGCAGUGAGAUUAAUAAAAACUAAAACAUAUAUAAAAUAAUUUUUGCUAUUUAUGAAUUUUAUUUAUUAUCAAAACCCAUUAUACUUUCAUAUUAGUGACUCUAAUUAUGCCUGCAAAAAUUAUAUUAAAUUAAUACACAAAAAAUAAAAUAAAAAAACUGUCUAAACAUUUUAAUUCGUCCGUGUGAAAUGUCCUCUCUUUAGUUUGGAUUCAUUUGGUUUCAAUUGUUAAUAGCCCUUUCUCUUUUGGUGUAGGCACUUUUCUUUUUACUUAAAAUCAUUAAAAAUUUACUAAUUAGAAGUUGAGUAUUUUUCUUUUUCUUUUCCUACGUGCAGUGCAUAAAAUUUUUAUUCUUCAAUGGGUGUAGUUCCAUUUUAUUUCUUCGAAACAGGUAUUUUAAAUUAUGGGAGCAUCAUGUAAUGUAAUUAAUCCUUUUUUUUUCUACAAGCAUUAUGGCAGUGUUUACACGGCAAAUUGUCAACGUGGCAAUGAGACCAUUUUCUCUUCUUCCAAUUAUCAUAAUUUUUUUGGUUAAAAGUUUCCAAAAAUUAACGCUAAUAUUAAUUAUUUAAAAUAAUAAAAUAAAAUCGUUAAAUUAAAUACAUUAAAAAAAAAUAAAAUGAACUCUUCUGCCAUAUUGAUAAUAAAGAUUUUAAUUUGCUUUGCUUAAAAAAAAUAUUAGAAAUGAAAAGCUUUUACACCCAACCUCAAAUAUUUAAUUACCUAUCUAGGGUACGACAAUAGAAUGGUCUGCUUUGAAGUGUGUAAAACCGAGACUAGUUGAUUGAUAGUUGCGUUUGGAAAACGACGAUUAGUUUUCUUGACUUAAAAUUUCUUAGUCUGCUUCGAUGUUUGUGAAAAGCAGGAUGAUUUGAUUAUCCAUGCACUUAGAACACGAUAGCUAUCUUGACUUAAAAUUUCUUAGUCUGCUUUGACGUUUGUGAAAAGCAGGUUGACUAGAUUAUUCAUGCACUUAGAACACGUUCGAUAGCUUUCUUGACUUAAAAUGUGCUUUGAUAAGUCUGUUGAAAGCAAGAUGACAUGAUUGAUUCUUGCACUUGAAACACGGUUGCCAGCAUUUAUUAUUUUAAUAUUUCUUUCUCUGCUUUUAUAUUUGUGGAAAAUAAGAGGACUUGAUUGAUCUUUACGUUUAGAAAACUGUCGUUAGUUUUAGCUUUCAUGACUUAAAAUUUCUUAGUCUUCUUUGAUGUUUGUGAAACGCAGCAUGACUUGAUUAUCCAUGCUCGUAGAACACGCUCGAUAGGUUUCUUGACUUAAAAUAUGCUUUGAUAUGUGGAAAACAAGAUGACGUGAUUGAUCCUUGCACUUGAAACACGGUUGCUCGUUUUUCUUAUUUUAAUAUUUCUUUCUUUGCUUUUUAUGUUUGUGGAAAAUAAGAUGGACUUGAUUUUUCCUUGUUUACACUUUUAGACACCGAUUUUGUUUAGGUCUAUUAUUUUUAAUUUUUGUUUAAUUUUAAUAAUAAUAAUUUUUAAUAAUAAUAAUAAUAAUAUUGGUUUGAUUAAAACUAAAAAUAUUAAUUAAAAAAAAAAGAAAAGAUAAACAAACAGAGGGCUAAAAAGCGGCGUUGUCACCAGCCCUAUUUAGCUAACCACCUAGCCCCAUCCAGCCAUCAGACUAGUCCCAUCAGAUCAGCCACACUUGUAACCUAACCAAAUCAGUCAUCCUUACAGACACCUACAACCACGCGCUAUAGACACCUACAGUCACCCCCUACAACCCCUAGACUACCUACUAUCUCGAGCAUACGUACGGUCAUAUAAAGAACCCAACUUCCAGGUUAGAAGAGGCAUACUCGAACACCCCCAAAAAAUCCCAAAAACAUGAAAACUCCCACACCUAAGAAACCCAAAUAGAAAUAGAAACAAAAAAGUAAAAAUAAAAACAAACAAUCUUCCCCGUAGGGAGGAACCUAAUGCCAAAGCUACCUGUAAAAGCAAAAAAAAUCACAACAGUCUUAUUUAAAAAAAAAAGGAAACAAAAACUUUGAGCCUCGAUCUCCGCUGAUCGAGGCUAUUUUCGACAAAAAAAAGGUUAGAUCCAGGAAAAGCGUGUUGAAGAGAGUUUCUGGGAAUAUUUUUAGCAUUUUUUUGCCACUGGCAACCACCGAUAGUGACUGUCGACAGUGAUCUAGGCAGCGACCGGUGCGACUGUCUGGUGCUGGAUUCUGAUUGAAGCUAGAGAAUUUUUUUUUGGAGGUUGGGGAUUUUUUUUCAGGUAAAAGGAGAAAAUAACUAAAAAAAAAAUUUAGGCCUUUUAUAGAAAUCGUAUAAGCCAAAACAACGUCGUUUAAGCCAAGAAGAAUUCGCGCGUGGACCUGGACCUGACCCGGGGUCCGUGCAACUGACCCGCCAACCCGGCUUCUUAGAUAGCUCUGAACCGAUUUGACUAUAUCGGACCGAACUACUCCAUAGACCGGCUUGAACCGCUCCCCAUAUGACUUAACCGAACCGCGUGCCAAACCGACCCAUUUUCGAACCAACCGAAUCACCGUUGACCGGUCCGGUUCAAGUAAAAAAUUUUCUUUUGAAUUUUCUCAUUUUUUUUAUAUAUUAUUAUUUUUGUAAUUUUGAGUAUUUAUUUUUAUAUUUAUGCAUGAUAAAUUUUUAAAUUUGUUAGGAUAAAUAUUUAGUUGUUUUUAAUAAUAAUAAAAUGAAAAUAAAAUAGGAUAAUAACUUUAAAAAAGUAUAAAAAAUGCUAUAAUAAUAAUAAUAAUAAUAAUAAUUGAAUAAUAUUUUUAUUAUCUUUUUUUUGUUUGUUUUCUUUUUAACAAAAAAAUGUUAUCAUUUUUAAUUAAAUUGAAAUGUUUUUAAUAAAAAAAUAAUUUUUUUAAUUAAAUUGAUAUAUAAAAGCAACCACAUGCAUAAUUAUCAGAAUCAGACUAAAUACUGAACUAUUAAAAGUGUCGGGUCAUUGGUUCAACUGUUGGGUCAAUGAAGUCAAUUGUUAAACUAAUAAAGAUAUAUAAAUAUAUAAAUAUUUUAAAAAUUUAAUCCAUUAUGUGAUAAAUAAUAAAUUCUCUUAUAGACAAUUUCGAACUUAAAAAAUUAAAAUAUUUUACAUAAUAUAAUAAGUGUAUAAAAAGUACAUGUAUUUACAAAGUAUAAUAAACUUAAAUUACAAAAAUAAGUUUAAAAUUCAAACUCAUAACUCAAACUUUGAAAAUACUAAUUGAAUAAUUCAAUCAUAUUAUUAAAAAAACCAAAAAAAGUAAAUACUCAAACAAACUUAAAAACAAAUAAAUACAAUAAAUAAAUGUUUUAAAAAAAGAGAAAGCUUAUGUAAAAUACAAAAUUUUAAAAAUGAAAUAAAAAAUACCUUUAAAUUGAUGAUAUUGAUAUAAACAAAUCCAGCUCCAAAAUAAUAAUUAAAGUUUUUAAUUUUAGGCUACAUUUUUAUCCUUUAAUUUGAUAUGAGUGUGGUCACCUAAAAUAUAAAUGAGAAAGGAGUUAAAUUUUAUUAGGGGGUUAUUCUUUAAUGUGCAUUAAUGUGGUAGGACGGAUAAAACCAUUUAAUUAUCUAAUUUUAAAUUUUUUUACUAUCUAUUUACUUUAAAAUAUAUUAUUUAAUUAAAAUACUACAAUAACUCCAUAAUUUUAAAUUAUAAAACUAAAUUAAUCCAUAUUGUUUAAAGUCUUUAAAAAUUAAAACCAAAAAUGGUUCAAUAAAAACUACCCAGUUAAGUGAUUUAUUUAUUCAACCGUCGGUUCAAUGUAAUUUAAAGGAGGUUAAUUGCAAGUUUAGUCUAUUAAUAAAACUAAACUGAUUUAGGUAUCGACUUAUCAAUUCAACUCAUCUGAUCGAUGAUCCAAUUUGAUUCUAAUAAUUAUGAUCACAUUCAAAGCGAUAUCAUGAACGCUAGUGUUUUAUUAAAAAAGAAAAACUCUUGCAGCAUUAAAAAACUAUUUUAAGCACACAUACAUAUAUAUAUAUAUAUACACAUAUAUAUAUAUAUAUUUAUGUAUUACUAAAGGUAUUUGUUCUAGUUUAUUCAAGAGUUUUUUACAACAAAAAUAUAAAUAAGAUGUUUUACUUUCAAAAUUUUAAAAUUAUUAAUCAAAGCCCAUUUGGCUUUUUAAAAGAUUUUAUAAGUUAAAACCUUUUCAAAAGUGUUAUUGUAUAAUAAAAAAUAUAUUGCUUAGUAUUUUUUUUUUUGACAUUCUCAAUUUAUUUGUUAAUAAUUCAUAAAAUAAUAAAAAUGAAUUAUUUCACAUACAUAUUUUUUUUACUUGAUCAAAAUUUUCUAUUAAUCUCAUUUAUUUUUAAUUUCUAAUUAAUAAAAUAUAUCUUUGUUUUAUUUAUUGGUUUGGCUUAUAAAGUUAAGCCUUUUAAUUUGUAUUUAAUAAAAAUCUAUAAAAAUAUUAUUAAAUAGUUUUGUUAAUGUAGUAGAGCAUUUUUGCAUUAUGUUUGUCAAAUACUAUUUUAACACUUUUUGCAAAAAAAAAAAAAUCAAUCAAACCAAACAAAUUCUAAAUAUCAUUUUAAGAAUAUAAGUGAUAUUGUAAAGUAAGAAUAAAAAAUCUGGUAUUACGCUAAAAUAGUGUUUACAUGACAAAAUUCUCAAUGCGAAGAUGGAGAUAUCUUUUUUCUUCUUCCCAUUUUCAUAAUUCUUUACAAUUAAAAUUUUUCAUAAAUUAACAUUAAUAUUAAUUUUCAAAUAGUAUAAUAAAAUCAUUAAUUAAAUACAUUAAAAAGAGAAAAAGAAAUAAAAAUGGUCUUUGGUGCCAUAUUGGCAAUUUAGAUACAAACACAAGAUACUGAUAAUUAAAUUUGUACAUGAAUUGAGUUGGGCCGGAUUCGAAUCUGGCCUAGUUAGGAGAUUAACAAAUUUUAAGUUUGUUCAGACUCGUCCAUCUCAAAAUAUAGUCUUAUUUUGCUGCUCAAGCCUAAUUAAUUUUUAAAAGACUUUACCUAAGCCUACCUAUAUUUUUUAAAAUAAAAAAUAAAUGUUAUAAUAAAUAUUAAUUAUGACAAAAUAAAUAAUCAACAAAGUAAAGCCUAAAAAAUACUUUGUUAACUUAAUUCGGUAUUUCAAUGUGAUUAGUAUAUAUAGACAUAGAAUAUUAAUGUAUAUAUUAUAUUUAAUUUUCUUUAUUUUUAUAUAAUAUGAAUAUAAAAAAUAUAUAAUAAUUAUUUGGGCCUCGUUGGAUUCGAACCUUAAGCUUUAUGUCCAAGGCCUAGUACAUUUUUUAAACAGGUCUAAAAUUCAAGUUCAGACUCAUUUAACAAACCUAAAAUUCAUGUCAAAGCUCUUCCAAAUUUAGAACAAGCUUUCAAGUUCGAGCGAGUUACCCAACCAAUAUAAUUUAAAAGUUUAAUUCAUUUGGUCCAUAUAAUUACCCUUAAGAUAUUGUAUCUAAUAAGUUUGAAAUUUAAAUCUCAAUAUUUGUUUUCGUUUCUCAAUAGUUAAGUUGCGACAUUUUAUAUAUAUAUAUAUAUAUAUAUAUAAAUAAAUCUUUCAAAGAAAAAAAUUAAAACUACUAUCUCUUUGAUAAUACAGAUUUUAAUUUACCUUACCUUAAGAAAAAAAAUUAUAAAUUAGAAGCUUUUAAACCCAACCUCAACUAUUUAAUUACCUAUACAAGGUAUGAUAAGAAAAUCAUUUGCUUUGAUGCAGGAGAAAAGCAAGAAGACUGAUUGGUCCUUGCAUUUGGUAGCUUUAAUUCUUCACCUAAAAUUUCUUGGUCUGCUUUGACGUGUGUAAAAUCAAGAUCACUUCAUUGAUCCUUGCGUUUAGAAAACGAGCAUUAGCUUUCCUGAUUUGAAAUUUCUCGAUCUGUUUUGACGUGUGUGAAACCAAGACCACUUGAUUGAUCUUUGCAUUUGGUAGCUUUAAUUCUUUACCUAAAAUUUCUUAGGCUGCCUUGAUGUGUGUGAAACCAAGAAAACUUGAUUGAUCCUUGCGUUUAGAAAACGAUCAUUAGCUUUCCUGACUUAAAAUUUCUUAGUCUGCUUUGAUGUUUGUGGAAAGCAAGAUGACUUGGGUUGAUCCAAGGCCUAGCACUUAGAACACGUCGCUAGCUUUCUGACUAGAUUCCUUUAUUUGCUUUUAUGUAUGUGAAAAAUAAAAUAACUUUAUUAAAACUUCUUUUGUCUCUCUCAUGGAGAAAGAAUUGCUUGCUCAGUUUUGGAUUACAACAAUCACAGCUUUGAUAUGUGGUACUAUCAUAAACUUGUCUUAGGGUUGAAUUGAAACUAACACUCCAUACGUACCCAAAUCUCUUUAUCUUUAUUUGAAUUUGUGUACAUAUUAAAUAAAAAAUUGUGCUAAAAAAAGUGAGCCUAAACAAUGUUCAUAUGGUAAAAAAAAAAGAUCUUUUUAACUUUUUUUGUUGAAAUUUAUGCCAACAGUUACAUGAUAUCAAGGCAGCAAAUUUCAUUGAUUUUUAAAGUUAUCGAUGGAAUUAAUGGAUAAAUUUGAAAUAAAUGAAAUCAAGAGAAAUUUUGAACUAAAUUAAAAAGAUAAAUGUGAAAAAUAUAUAGUUUUUUUUUAUAUAAUUUUAUGAAUUGUUUGAAGGGUAAAAUGAAAAUGCAAAAGAAUUUCAUUAAAUAUUUGGUCCCAUAUAUUAGCAAAUUUUAAAGAAAUUUUAAUUUAUAACUUUGUUUAAAAAUAGUAUUAUAUUAACUUCAUUCUUUUCAUAUUCCGUUAAUUAAUACUAAAAAUGAAUUUUUGAAAGAAAAAAGAUUAUAAAUAAAAUUCAUUUGAAAACUUUUUAUAUUCUACUAACCACUGAAAUUAACUAGAAUGUUAAGUAAAGGAAAAAUCACAUGAUAUUAUCAUAUUAAUUUAAUAUUUUCAAAUUCUAUAAAUUCAUGAUUUGAAAAUAAAUUUUCAAAAAUAUUUAGAUCACUUUUAUUUGGAAUUUGAGUAUGAUAUUGUAUUUUAAAAUUUUAGAAUUAUUUUUUUCAAUAUUGAAUAUUAUCAAUGAUCAAUUAUCCUAAUAUAAUUUAUAUCUCUUAGAAAUAUAUAUAUAUAUAUAAAAUUUAUAUUUAUAUUUAUAUGAAAGAAUGACUGCCUGCAAUUUCAUACAAGUCCAUGGCGUAAAACGCGGAGUCAAGGAGAAAUGACUAGUUGGGUCUCACAAUGUUUGUAAGUCCAAUGAAUACAAAGAAAAAUAGAAAAAGAUAUAUUGGUUUUAGAUAUGCUUUGUAAAAGGAGAUCAAAAGCAAAUUAGAGUGCCCAAAAUCAAAAGCUUGACCCAUUUUUUUUAUUGUGAAGACCAGGGCCGUUGGUAUCAAUUGCCUCGUGAUAUCAAAUUCAUCCAAAGAUUUUGUAAAAGUACUGGAUUAUCUUUUGGUAAUAAAAAUUGACAUUUCGUUAAAAAAAAAAAACUCUUUGAAAAGAAAAAUAAUUUGAAAAUGGCCUUUUUAGGUAAUAAAUACUUUUAAUUUUCCUUACCUUAAAAAAGUAGUGGUUACAAAUUAGGAGGUUUUACAACCAAUCUCAAUUAUUUAAUAACCUAAGUAUGAUAAUAAAAUAAUCAAAUUCAACGUAUAAUAUUAAAAGAUCGGAACGCAGUCAGAAGAAGACCGUAUUGUUUUUGGAAACCAUGCAAAUUCACAUGUUAAUGUCGAAAUAAUAAUAAUGGUUGCUUUGAUUUAAAAAAAAAAAAAAUAGUGGUUGCUUUGAUUGGGUAAGGUUUACAUUAAUCCUUGCUCUUGCAAAAAAGUCAAUUGCUUUUCUGACUUCAAAAUUUCUUAGUCAGCGUCAAUUGGAGAGAGAACUGCUUGCAUUAGGUGGAAUCCUUUGCAAUAUAUAUAUAUAUAUAUAUAUAUAUGAUAAUAUUAUAUAUAUAUAUAGGAUAAUAUUAAGUAUAAUACAAUCACAUGAGAUUGAAAUUAUACGAAAAAAUAUGCGAAAGUGAUAUUAUUUAAAAUUUUGACAAAAAUUCUAUGUGAAUUUGACAAGAACAAAAAAAAAGUGUUUUAUAUUUGACUUAUUGACAUGAAUUUGGUAUGAAAAUUUUCAUAUUUUAUACAUAUAUAAUGAUAUUAACAUAAUACAAAUAUAUGAAUUUUCAAAUAUAUUUUGAACCGUAUUGAUAAAAAAUUUUAUAAAAGCACCAUAUUUCGAUAUACUCAUAUAUCAUGUGGGGCGAAGAAAAUUCAUUAAAAAUUAAUUUUUUUUAUAUGAUGUUACUUUAUGGGUGGGUAGCUUUUUUUUGAAUAAGAUUAAAAUUUUUUUUUAAAAUCUGAAAUUUAUAUUGUUAUUCUAUUUUAACUUUGGAUUUAAUGUAAAUUUACCCAUUUGUUAACUCAUGACUGCAACUCAAUCACGUUAUCAUUAGUGUGUGUGUGUAUAUAUAUAUAUAUAUUCACAAUUUUAGUUUAAAAAUAAAUUUAAAUUUAUUUAGCAAAAAAAUUUAGAUUAUAUUGUAUCCUAACAACAUUAUCAUUAUUAUUACCUUAGAAAACAAAAUUUACAAAAUUAUAAUCCAUUUAACACCUUUCAUUAUAAAUUAAACAUUAGUUACAGAUAGAUGUGGUGAUGACACAUGUUCAUAAGGGUCAUAGAAAGAAUUUAUUCAACUUUUAUGGGUACUUUUGACAUUUUAUGAGAAAAAUUGGGAGUUGUAUUUUGGACUUAUUUUGAGAUGUUGAAUAAAAUUUUCAUUAUGUUUGAGCUCUUAUUAUGGUUUUUUUUUCUUAUUAUAAAUAUAAAAUUAUGCUUUAUGUUUUUAUUUAUUUGAUGUGUUGAUUUUAAACUUUUAUAAUUUAAUUUAUCUCUAUGCUUAUUUCAAUUAAUUUCAAAAGAAAGAGAUAGGAAGAAAAAAAAAAGAUGCUAAAAGAUAAAUUAAUUUCAAAAUCAAAAGCUUCACUCGUUUAUUUAUUGUGAAGACGAAGCCCGUCCAAAACUUUCCUGUCGAAGUCUCAGUCGUAUUGACUAAUCGAUUCUAUAUUUAAGCAUUACUUUGAGCAGAAUUCCUCAAACCAUCUUGCAUUUUCAUCAAUUCCCACAGCCAUGAACAUGAGAAAAUUCCAUUUUCUUUCAUUAGCUUUAAUGUUCAUUCAUUGUUUGAUGAUUAGUUACGCCAUGAUAGUGAGGAACCUCACCACAGACCAACAUGCUCUUCUCGAAUUUAAGCACCGAAUCAUUGAUCCUCAUAACAUCUUAGCCAAUAACUGGACUACCACUACCUCUGUUUGCAAUUGGGUCGGUGUCUCUUGCGCUUCUAAGCACAGGAGAGUCAACGCUUUGAAUCUUCCCAACAUGAAUCUUAUAGGAAUUGUCCCUCCACAAUUGGGAAAUCUCUCGUUCUUAGUAUCUCUUGAUUUGAGUCACAACAACUUUCAUGGCCAUUUACCGAAAGAGUUGGGACAAUUAAAUCGUCUGAAGCUCAUACAAUUAAGUUUCAAUUUUCUUAGUGGGGAAAUUCCCUCAUCAUUUGGGAGAUUAAAUAAAGUUUUGUAUUUGAGCCUCCGGAGCAACAAUUUGACAGGUACAAUCCCUCAAUCACUAGCUAAAAUGUCCAACUUGGAAAUCUUGGACUUGAGGCAGAAUCUCGUUCAAGGACACAUUCCACCCGAGAUAAGUAAUCUUCUAAAUCUAAGGAUACUUCGUCUGGCACUUAACCAACUUUCUGGUUCUGUCCCUUCAGUCAUUUAUAACAUUUCCUCCCUACACAUGAUUUCUCUUGCAUUUAACAAUCUAUCUGGCAGUUUACCUGAAGAUAUUUGUCGCCAUCUUCCAAAUCUUGAGGCAUUUUACUUGUCCUUAAACGAGUUUUCUGGUCAAAUUCCAUCAAGUAUAGAUGAAUGCAGGUGUCUUCAAAAUUUUAACAUUAGACUCAAACAGAUUCAGUGGCAGCAUUCCAGGGAGUAUUGGAAAUUUAACGAGGCUCAAAGUGCUAUACUUGGAUGGAAAUAAUUUGGAAGGUAAGCUCUUUGUUUUUUCUUUGAUAAUUUUCUUUCGAUUGAUCACUAAUUAAUUUUUGUAUUUAGUGAAACAUGAUUCAAGCUAAAACUCCCUAAUUUAUGCUACUAAAAAUAGCUUUACUUUAACCAAGACUCCAACACAGUUAAUUAAGACUCCUUUUAGUUAGUUGUUGGUUUUUUCUUGCUUUUAUUUAAUCCAAAAGGUGCCAAGAAAUAGAAGAAAAUAGUAAAAAUUAAAAAUAUCUUUUAUAUAUAAAAAGUAUCAACUUUACAAGGGAUUAAAUACAGUAGUAAAAAUUAAAACAUUUUUAUCUUAUUUAUAUAUAUUAUAUAAAAGAACGAAAUUGGAAAGCGCAAAUAGUGAACAACAUAUAUAUCUUUGAUAAUUUAUUAUCUUAGAUAUUUUAUUUAUAAUUAAUGAUUUUCUUAUUAAAUUAAAAUAUGACUAAUUUUAUUUAUUUUCUUAUCAACAUUGAAGCUUUUAUCAAAAUAAACUUUCUUUAAUUGAUAAUUUGAAAUUAUUGCAAAAGAAUUACUUUUAUAUUUUUGAAAGUAAGAGCUAAAUUUAAUUUAAUUAUUGAUAUCAAGUUAAAACUGCUUAACAUUAAUAGUAACUAUGAAACUCAUGUUAUUUUCUCCGGUCAAGUUUCAUGGUUGAAAAUCUUCAGUAUUCCAUAUAAGUAUCUUAAAUUGGGAAAAAGAAAAAAAAAUAACCAUAAGGAAUCUAUCUCUUUUCCUUGAAAUGCUUGGACAAAUGCCUAAAAUAAAUUAGUUGGCGUUAAUGCCCUCCUCAUAACAAGGACUGUAGCACAUUUUGUUAGGCCAAAAAGCCUUUAUCAAAUCAAGUUAGUGGAAACAAAAUCAAAUAAUUAAUCAAACACAUAAGAGAUAAUAAUUUAACGUAAUUUGGUCAAACCGACCUACAUCCAUGGAUGAAAAAAAAGAUUCACUAGUUAUAAAAGAUUACAAACAUAUAUCAAAUCAAAUACUCAUAACUAAUACUCAUAAAUUCUAUUAAUCUCCUCUAGUCCUAUAAAAUAUUCUCAAUCCAAACAAACAAAUAUUCAUGUAUACCUUUCUAACACCUAUGUAGACUUUCUCAAUCUCUUCUAAUCCACUCUCAUGCACCAUACCUAUGUAGACCCUUUAAGUCUUUUUUAGUCGACUCACAAAUAUUCAAACAUACAAACCCAUAAGACAUAAAUCUCCAGUAGUCUUAUGGGAGUGUCUAUCCCAAAAUCUCACAACUCUCUUACAUCUUUUUCUCAUAUCUAAUCCUAUAGAGACUUUACCUAUUUAUAACUAUACAAAUUUGCCUUUUAAGAAUCUAUUUCUUUUUAGAAUUCUUCUUUUGCAAGUUUUAUUGUCCAUUAAAUAAUAUAUAAUAAAUCUCAAAGAAAUCUCUUAUAGGAUUCGAAUCAUUAUCCCUAACACAUUUGACAUUAAUGAUUGGAUUUCCUUUUUUUUCUUUGAUAAAUUAUCCAUUUGGUCACUUAAUUUUGCAGUACUAUUAUUUGAGUAUUUGGUUAAAAGAAAUGAUGGUCAAUCAGAGAAAGAAGUGAAUGAAGUUAUUGCUUUGUUUCAUCCCAUUGUUCAACUGUUAAGAAUUUAUGUCUUUUUAGUUUUUUCUUUUCCUUUUCUUUUAUUUUGUUGUUCGUUUAUAAUCCAACAAGAAAAGAGGAAAUUGUUAUUUGAUGAAAACACUUUUCACUAAAACAUGAGCAGUUUUAUUCCUCGAAAGAAUAUAAAUGGGAAAUACACCCUUGAGAGCACAGAUUUUAUUCUGAAAUUAAAUUAUUUUACUGUAUAGUUUUAGAUUUAUCGGUAUUAUGUAAUAUUUGACUAUCAAAUAUAUAUAUAUAUAUAUAUACACACACAAAUGCACUUGUAUUAUAUACAUAUUCAUAUGCAAUUACAAGUUUUAAAAAUCUUACUACCAUAAAUUUCUAAAUAUUUAACUCCCAAAAUUCUAAAUAAAUGAAACAACUAUAAAAAUAAUAAGUAUAUAAUACAUUAUCAUUAAAGAAAUUUAAUAGUUUAAUUUAAUGGAAACAUUUAAUUUUUGAAUCUAAUCAUGAAAAAAAUAAAAAUAAUGAUGAGAGCAAAAGAAUUAAAAAUUGAUUAAAAGAGCUAUAACAAUAAAAGGAUAAAAUAAGAGGCAAAAUUUUAUAUCAAUCAAAAUAUCAUUUUUAACUUGUAUGACUGAAAUACAGGCUGAUGCAAAGAUCAAAUAAAACAAUAAUAUUAUGUGUUGUGAUUCAAAACUGAUAUAUAUUAGCUAAUACGAUGAGUAUGAGUACAUUAUCAAUAACCAUGGUAAAAUCCUUGUUCAAUGAUAUAACCAAUAGCACCAAUAAAACUGUAAAAUGAUAAUAUUAUGUCCUAAUUAAUACAGAAUAAACCAAUGUGGUUUAUCCUAAGAAGCGUUGAAAUUUUAACAUUUCUCUAAAACAUGUCGGGUAUGAUUUUGCCUUGGAUCUUGCUCAUAUUAUAACAGUUUAUAUCUUAUUUUCUGGUCCAACUCACCAACAUUAAGAUCCGCUUGUGCAAAAAACAAGAUUGCUGGACCAAUUAAACAUUUAUGCUAAUGAAAUAGCUUUUUGAUUUCCUGCUAAAGAUGCCAAAAAAAAAAAAAAAAACAUCUUUUGAAGAUAAUGUUUGGAACGAGAAUUAAAUUAAUUAUUUUACAUCCAUAAACUUUGGAGCAAAUAGUUUCAUUAUCAAUGUCAUGCCAAGCAAAAAAACGUUUUUAUUCUACUUUAUAUAUACAGAUAUAUAUAUAUAUAUAUAUAUAUUUAUCUUUUGACGAUAAUGUUUGAGACGAAAAUUAAAUUAAUUAUUUUAAUCCAUAAUCUCAUAAAAUUUGGAGCAAAUAGUUUCAUUAUGAAUGCAAUGCCAAGCAAAAAAAAAACAUAGCUUUUAUUCUACUUUAAUAGUUUCAUUAUGAAUGUAAUGUCAAGCAAAUAGUUUCAUUAUGAAUGAACUCUUGUAACUUGGUUUCUUUAUGUUCACGGGUGAAAUCCCUUCGAAAAUUGGAAAUCAUUUGAGCUUGGGGAUAUUUUCUGCCCCAAAUCUGAGGCUUGUUGGUCCAAUCCCAGCUUCCAUCUAUAACCUUUCUUGUUUAAAAGAAAUUUAUCUCUAUAGCAACAGUCUCUCUUGCAGUAUUACAUAUAAUAUGUGUUAUACUCUUGUCAAACUUCAGGUGCUUGAUAUUUCUGACAAUGAAUUUUCAGGCCACAUUCCAAGAAGUAUAGGAAAUUUAACCAAACUUAAGGAGAUAUAUCUAAGUCAUAAUGAUUUAGAAGGUAAGUUUUUGCAUUUGAUUAUUUAAAUUUCAAUUGAUUGAUACUUUUUAUUAAUUAUAUUAAAAAAAUAACUAAAAAUUAAAAAUUAAAAGAAUGAUCAACAUGAAAAUAAUCACAUUUGAUUUUCUUUUAUGCUUUUCUCAUUUUGACUCAAACUUUUGGAAUUUGAAGAAAUUAAGUUUUCCUUCAUAUUUUAAACAUCAAAGGAACUAAGAAUUUAUUGUGUAAUUGACUUUUAUUGCAUUUUAAAUAACCUCAAUAUUAUUGGAAUGUUUAGAAAGUGGAUAGUUUUAUAAUACUAAGUUGUUGUUCCUUUGUAGGUGAAAUUCCAUGGGAGAUUGGGAAUCUUAUUUCAUUGGAGACAUUAGCCGCAUCAUUUAUGCGCUUAAGUGGGUUGAUUCCACGUUCCAUCUUCAACAUUUCUUCUUUGAAAGUAAUUAGUUUCGUAAACAAUAGUCUAUCAGGUAAUUUCAUUAUAAACAUUUCAUUACUUUUAUGUUUAAAAUUGCUUACUUUAGUUUCAAAAAAGUUUAGUUUAGGAUUAUAAAACAAAUAAUCAUAAAAUUAUGAAAACUGUUAAAAAAAUGAAGUGCCAUUGAAAGGCUUGAGAAAUGUCUUUUCAAACCUCUUUUAUCUUAUUAAAAUCAAAUACUGUUUCCAAUUAAAUUAGGGAACGCAAAACAAAGACUCAAAAGAAUUUGAAAACCAAACCUGAAAAUCGAAAUUUCCAUCGUUUAGAAAAUAUUUUAAAAUUUUUAAAAAACAUUUUAUGAUGGAAUCAUGCCCCUAACUGGGAUGCGCACCACUAGCUAAGUCUACAAAGUUGGCCAAUGUGGAAAAAGGAUAGGUACCCAAAACUUGUGAUGUAAUAUGGCUAUUAGUUAUUAUCCCAUUGCAAUUAUAUACGAUAAAACUAUUUGAUUUGGUUUAUAAUGUGAUAAAAAGUAAUAUUAACGUACAUUGUUACUCCCAUAUUAAUUUAAUACCGACUUAAUUUAUUGUUACAUCUAACUUAAAGUAGUAUUAUUAUAUUUUAUAUUUUUAUAUUUAUUCGUCUGCAAAUAUUUAAAAUUUAUAUUUUGUGUAAUAAAAAAUUUAACAAUGUAUUUUAUUACUUUUAUAUUUCUUAAUAGUGUGUAUCCGUGUGGGCUAGUUUUAUUGGCUAUAUGUGAAAUGUUUCAUAAAAAUUAAAUCAUAUAGAUAUCAUUAAAUUGAUUAAAACUGUUAAGUAUAUAUUAAAAGGAUUGUGAAAUUCAAAUUUUCAUUAUGAGGGAUAAAUUAAAUAAGAUUCAAAUGAAUAUAUUUGAUUUUCAUCGUAACAAAGUUGUAAAAAACAAUAAUAUUCAGAUUCUAUAGGCAUACUCAAAAGUUUAUAAACUGUAAUCAUACAAGAUUCAUAUGAAUAUAUUUGAUUAGCUCUUAAUAAGUUGUUAAAAUAAUGAAAUAUGCUAGUCACAUACAAUAAAAUUUGAUGGGAGGAAAGAAUUGAUCAAUGGAGCUAUUUGUUAAUUAUCCAUUUUUUCCCACCGCAUGGAAUUAAAAUGAAUGUUGUAUUUUGAUAUUCUGUAUAUUGAAAACAGUAAAAGGUGAUGUAUAUUUGUUUAGUUUUAUAUAUAAAUGAUAAAAAGUAAGCUAAAAAAUUUGAAACUUGAAAAACAAAUAAAUAAAUAAACAACCUGAAUAGAAAGAAGAAAAAAAAUGAAAGAAAGAAAAAUGAGAAGUAGAAAGAGAUAGAGAUUCUAGAAAUGAAAAUAUGAUAUAAUAAAGUACAUGUAAAAACGUGUAUUCUAAAAUAGAAACUCGCAUAAAAAAUUAUAGUUAAAACCUGUAUUGUAAUGAUUACUUGAUUUGAAGUAGGAAAGAAAGAGUCUUUCCAUGUCAAUAAAACCAAAUUAAAAACCUUUUAGUGUUUGUCCCUCAAAUAUUUUUCUUUUAACACCAAUUUAAAGUUUCAUUAAAUUGUAACUGAUCCAUUUUGUAAUUUCUAUUAUUACCUAAAGACAUUAGGUCAAUUCAUUUUAUAGUUUUUCUAAAUUUAUUAUUUAUUAACAACAUGUAAUAUUGUAUUAAAAUUAAUAUAAUUUUAUUAUUUAUUAACAAGAUGUGAUAUUAUAAUAAAAUAUUAAAUUUAAAUCUUCUAAAAUAUAAAAUUUUUAUUGAAUGGAUAAGGUAAUUUUAAUUUGAGCAUAUUUAUAUUACAUAUAAAUAAUAAAUUUAAAUAUGGAAUUUAAAAUUAGAUUAAAAUUAUUAUAACAUUAUAUGUUAAGUCCACUCUUCUAAUACAAAAAUUAAGGCGCAUUCAUUUACUUAGCCUAUAUUAUUUUUUAGUCUGCCCAUUCUUUUAAGACAAAUGAGUAAAGUUUAUAUGGUAAUUGAGGAUCAACUUAUGAUUAAUUAUAUUUAACAGAAAACAAUUUUAAAAUAUAUAUUAACAAAAACCAUAGCUUUAAAAUAUAGUAUUAAUGAUUUCCGUUCCAAAAAAAAAAUCAAUAUUCAAAAUUUUAAAAAAAAUUCUUCACUUAUCCAACCACAUGUCAAUUUCCAAUUCAUCCCUAACUACCAUCCUUUUGUCACUGGAUUGUUUUAAUAUAAUGUAUAAAUUUGUUUAAAGUUGUCUGGAUUGUUUUAAUAUAAUGUAUAAAUUUGUUUAAAGUUGUCUAACUUUUUAUUUGAAGCAUUCCAGUUAUAAUUUUUUUCCUGUAAUAUUGUAAUUAUUAUCUAAUCACAAUAAAGUAUUAUAUAAGGAUCAUCACUGAUAAAUGUGGGUUACACAUAAAAUUUUGAUAAAUUUUAUAUAAUUUUAAAUUAUAAUUAAUUAAUUGAAUUAUAAUAGUUGUAAAUUAUGUGCUCUCUUUUUAUUAUAUGCAAUAAAAAUAAGUGCUACUUUUAUCCUUUUUUUUUUGGUCAAAUUAGGGAAUUUAACUGUUCUUUUACGAAAUAAAAAGCAAUAGUUGUGUAAUUUUUUUUUGGCUAAGCCAUAUUUUUAUUAGAGAUCAAAAGACCAUCAUCAGUGAAAUACAAGAAUCUUACCAAGAAACAUAGUUAAAGCCAUACCAGAAACAACAAAAAAACAUCUAGCGCAAUUCUAACAAAAGACUUCCACCUAAAAAGAAGAAACCAUAACACCCAAACAAAAAAAAAAAACACUACCAUGGUCAGUAAACAAAUAAUGAGAGCAAACACCACUAUCCCUUACAGAACAAAAUCACCACCCACCUUUGCCAUGACAUCUACCAUAUCAUUCAGCUUUUUAAAAUUUUUUUAUCAAACUGGAUGCCCCAAUUGAUCUCCAAAGCAUCACAAUUUCAAAAAAUAUAGACAACAACUUUCAUGGUCGAUGAUUCUUUUUACAUAGGGGCACUUCCAUAUCCCAAAAGCAUACAAAUAGCAAAACGCUAAAACUCCCAACAUUAACCUCAUAACCACUAUCAUAUCCUUCUAGAAAAGCUCUAUUUCGAGGACGAAUACCUUCAUCCGAUGAGUGUUCUUGAAUAUUGGAAACUAGAGGUGUCUUUAUCUGGCGAGACUUGCGAUUGGAUCUUUUCCAAUAUUUUGCCUUACCUAUUUUCCUUCUUUUACCUGCUCGAAUAGUAGUAACAAGGUGAAAUUUUUCUUCGACGUUGAAAAGUUUCUCAGCGUCUCUAUCACUAUUGCUCAUAAGCUCAAUAGAAUCCUGACCAAGUUCCAGAGAUAAUAACAUACUUUCCUCUGACAAGAUUUGAUCAAUGGCAUUUAUCGUAUCAGGAUAUCUAACUAUUCCAACAGCAUUCCGUUGUAAUCCCAUCAAAUCUAAAUUUUCAGGAAUGUAUUCAAGGAUGUUAAGCGAUUUUGAAACCUCUUCUUUUUCGACCAUCUGAUACAAUGUUAUCCUUUAACUGAUUGGGUUUGACAGACAUAUGAACCACCUUUGCAUAAGAUUGUCCAUCUCUAAAGUCUUCUAUGCAGCUAACACCUUUUUCCAUGCGGUGAGUGGUGGGUUUAGAGCUAGCAUGAGACCUUUGAUCAUACCUUGCCAUUUGAACAUAUAGAGUGGAAUAACUCAGGUACUAACCAUUUAGAAAUUUGACAGCCCUCAAUGAAUCCCAUAGACCAAGAUAAUGGACAAACCAACUAAGACAUUUUUGGCUCUCUUCUGAUUUUUUGGGACAUAAAAAUCAACCACCCAUCCACAUCUGGCAAAACAUUGCUGGAGAUUAAGGAGACUACAUCCUGGAAAAAUUCCAUCAACAAACAGUGUAACAAAUUUUCUUAUGUGGCCUUCAUAGCAUCCAAGAAGAGCUUUUUGACUUACCUUUACUUCACCCUUUAAAUCAGACUAACGCAAGGCUUUUCACCCUCUAAUAAUUGUGUAAUGGAAAGCAUCAUUUUAAAAUCUUUUUCAUUAGUUUCACAUUUUUUGUCAUCAUAUUACUAAAUUUUUUAUUGUAGUAGGAAAAUAUAUACGGUAUUACUCCAACAAAACUUAAAUGAACCUCCUCUGGUACAGCACUCGUAAGGUUCUAUCAAACCUUAGGGAAGAAAGAAACUGAUUUUCAAAACUAAAAGGAGUAUGUGUACUUUUAACAAUCUUUUCAUAGAAUCUUUGUAUUUUUCUCUUAUAUUAUGCAUAUAGUCUAAAAUGAAAGAAAUUUUAUCAUUUCUCUUGAGCCUUUUUUUCCUAAAAUAGCAUAGAUAAAAAUUCUAAUUUAUUUCCAAAUAUUUACACUUUCAGAUUUUUCUUUUCUCAAACAAAUUAAUGUAAAUAUACAUUUAUUUUUUAUUUUCGUCAUUUUUUAUCUCGUUUCUUUUUUUCCCAUUAACAAUUUCAUCAACGAAAUUUUCUUUAAUCUUUUUUAUCAUUAAAGCAAUUGAGAUAAGUUAAAGGAAAUAAAAUUCUUACAUAAAUGGAAAACAUUUUAAGCAUAUACUAGAAACCUUAUAAUAUCUUCUUUUCUCCUUUCCUUUCUUCUAUCUUCUUUUUCCUUUUACUUUUCUUUUCUCUUUUGUACUUUAUUAUACGUAAGCGCGGAGCCCUAGUUUGAUCAUUAUAAAUAUGAAAAAAAUUUUAUAAAUCAUAUAUAUAUAUAUAUAUAUAUACCAGAUUAUCAAACAAGAAAAACCUAAAGUUGGUUCAUAUUUAUAAUUGUUAAAAGGCUUCAUGUUUCUCCUCACUCAUGUUCAUAUAUGUAAGCAUUGCAUUCACUUCAGCUUGCAUCACAGAUUCAUGAAAAACAUAACAAAGCAAACCAAUUAAUUUAUUUCUUGUAUGGAAAUAUGCCAACUUUUUUUUUUCUUUUUAGGUAAAUUACCACACAUGAGCUCUGCUUCAAAUCUUGGGAGGCUUUACUUAGCGAGCAAUAAUCUCAGUGGAAACAUUCCUGACUCUAUCUCCAAUGUUUCUAAGCUCAGAGUCCUAGAUUUAGAGGGAAACUCAUUCUUUGGCCUUAUUCCAGAUACACUUGGCAAUUUGAGGUUCCUUGAGAUAUUGAGCCUUAGGUCGAAUCAUUUGACCACCAAAACUUCAACUCAUGAGUGGAGCUUUCUCAAUUCCUUGGCAAAUUGCAAGCAUCUAAAAAUUUUAGACCUAUCAUUCAACCCAUUAAAUGGCAUUCUUCCAAUUUCUAUCUCAAAUCUUUCCACAUCACUUCAACAAUUACGGGUCAUUGAUUGCAAAAUUAGAGGCAACAUUCCCAUGGAAAUUGGUAGCUUAAGCAACGCUAUAUUGUUAGACCUUUCCUCUAAUAAAUUGAGUGGACCUAUUCCAACAGCAAUAAGAAGGCUAAAAAAUCUCCAACUUUUGAAUCUUUAUGGAAAUAAGUUACAAGGCUCUGUCCCACAUGAUCUUUGUGGUUUGAAGGGAUUGUACAAAUUAUCAUUGGGUGCUAAUGAGCUUGAUGGACCAUUACCAACGUGUUUAUGCGAGUUGACUUCUUUGAGAUAUCUAUACUUGUUCUCCAACAAAUUGCAUUCGCAAAUACCUUUAACUUUUUGGAGCCUUAAAGAUAUCUUAGAAGUAGACUUGUCAUCAAACAAUCUUAGAGGUUCACUUCCACUUGACAUUGGAAAUUUGAAGGUACUUAUCUCUUUGAAUUUGUCAAGGAAUUUAUUAUCAAGUGAUAUUCCGUCCACAAUUGGAAGUCUCCAUGAUCUGCUGGUUUUGAAUCUUUCUAAAAAUAGAUUACAAGGCCCUAUUCCAAAAUCAUUGGGUGACUUGAUAAGUUUGAAAAGCUUGGAUUUAUCUAACAAUAAUCUCUCUGGAGUCAUUCCCAAGUCUUUGGAAAACCUUUAUGAGCUCAAUUAUUUUAAUGUGUCCUUCAAUAGAUUGCAAGGAGAAAUACCAAGGGGAGGGCCUUUUUUGAACUUCACAGCUAAAUCAUUCAUGAAAAAUUAUGCAUUAUGUGGUUCACCAAGACUACAAGUCUCACCUUGCAAAAAUAAAAUCCAUCGAAAAUUCAAGAAGAUCGCUCUACAUGCUUUGAGGUAUGUUUUGCCAACAUUUGCUUCGAUAAUAAUAGUUGUAACUGUCAUAAUUGUCUACAAAAAAUGGCAGAGGGGGAAUAUGAAUUUGGCAAUGGAUAAAGAUUUAAUUCCUCUCAAAAAAUGGAGAAGAAUUUCGUAUAAUCAAUUAUUGCAAGGGACUGGUGGAUUUAGUAGGAAUAACUUACUUGGUUCAGGAAGUUUUGGCUCUGUAUACAAAGGAAUACUUUCGGAUGGAACGGAACUCGCAAUAAAAGUUUUCAAUUUGCAAAUAGAUGGAGCAUUUAAGAGUUUUGACGUUGAAUGUGAAGUGAUGAGCAAUAUCCUUCAUCGCAAUCUUGUCAAGAUCAUUACUUGUUGUUCAACUAUUGAUUUCAAAGCCUUAGUGCUUGAGUUCAUGCCUAAGGGGAGCCUUGAGAAAUGGUUAUAUUCUUACAACUAUGUAUUGGAUAUCCUACAAAGAAUCAACGUCAUGAUAGAUGUUGCAUUGGCAUUAGAAUACCUCCAUUUGGGACAUCCGAUUCCUAUAAUCCAUUGUGACCUAAAACCAAGUAAUGUCUUAUUGGAUGAGGACAUGGUUGCACACGUGGGAGAUUUUGGAAUUGCCAAGCUAUUGGGAGAAGGAGAUUCCAUCAAACAAACAAUGACUCUAGCUACCAUUGGCUAUAUGGCACCAGGUGAUUUUUUCAUUUUUUUAAUUUUUUCUCUAUUCCAAGGUGAGUAGAUAUUAGUAUUUUAUCAUUUUAUUGAUUAAUGAUGCCUGAAUGACAUGAGAUCGUUUUAAUGAUUCAAUUAUAUUUAAAAUACAGAAUACGGAUCGGUGGGAAUUAUUUCAACAAAAAGUGAUGUCUAUAGCUAUGGUAUUCUAUUAAUAGAGACUUUCACAAGAAAGAAGCCCACAGAUGAAAUUUUUGUUGCAGAAAUGAGUAUAAAGCAUUGGGUGAAAAGGUCAUUAUCUAAUGAAAUAAUUGGUGUAAUAGAUUCUAGUUUAGUGCAAGAAAUGGAUGAAUAUUUUGUUAUUAAAGCAAAUUGUAUAUCAUCUAUUAUGAGAUUAGCUUUGGAUUGUUCAGCUGAAUUACCUGAAAAUAGAUUAGAUAUGAAGAAUGUUGUCUCCAUGCUGAAGAAUAUCAAAAAAGAAUAUCUAAACAACAUUACGCAGGAUUAAUUAAUAUGGUAAGAAAUGCAAUUAUAUAUAGUUUAAGCUUGUAUAAAAGUACAUACUAUAUGUUUAUCUAAUAUUUUUUAAGAAGGUAUUCCGUUAAGCUUUAUAUUUUUUUUGCAGGUUAAGGUUACUACUACCAUAAUACGUAUUUUGGUUCAAUAAUCAAGGUACUUUCAAUACUUUUGAAUUUUUAUCUAUAUAUUUAUUUAUGAACUUUGAACUCUUUAUUAAAGUAAUUUUUUCUUAAUAACAUUUUAAAAGUAAAAACUAGAGUUUUAAUUGCAUUAAAUCAUUAAAGAGUUUAAAUAGUUAUGAGAUUUGUAUAGCCAGUGAAUUUCAAUAACUUCUAUGUCUAAGUAAGGAGGCAUGGUAGUUGUAAACAUAUAAAAAGGAUUUUCUUGAUUAAUAAAUAACCUUUUCACCUGGAUGUGUGGUUACAUGUAUAGGAAGUUAGGCUCAUUUUGUAUAUUUGUGUUUUCUUUUAUAUUUCUUUUAUUAAAUUCAUAUUAUUUCUCAAUAAAUAUAAUUAAUUUAUAUAUGUUAUGUAUGAUUAGAAGUAACAUAUAUAUAGAUUAUAAUUUCUAUAUAAUUAAUCACAACAUAAAUUAUCAUAAAGAGGGCCAAUAAGUAAAAUUCAUUUUCAUUUGCUUACGGUAUUUAUUAAUAUAACCAUUAAUUAGGAAUACUUUUUCGUUACAACUCCUUUUUUAUCUCAAUGAUAAUAAUAACAGUAAGGAUAUAAUUUUACAUAAUAAUAAAUUUGUACUAAUGUAUUUUCUUCUAUGAAAAUUAUGACUCAUAUAAUUGCAUUUUUGAGUAAUUUGGAUUAGAUGAAAAUAUUGGCCAGUAUCUUUAUAUAUAUAUAUAUAUAUAUAUAUAUAUUUAGGUGAUUUAUGAUUGAGUAUGGAAUUAUAUUUCUUUUUAUAAUUAAUUAAUUUUUGCCAUAUUAUUUUUAUAAUUGAUUAAUUUUUAAUUGGUAUUUGGGUAAUAACUUAUUAAUGAAUUUUAACUCAAAUAAAAAUUAUUAGAAUUAUUAUAUAAUUAGUAUGUAACAUUUCAUUGUUUUUUAUUUUUCUAAAAUAUAAUAUUGUUAUAUAUGAUAUUAGUUAAUACACAUCAUUUUUCUAUCAAGAAUAUCUUUAGUUAAGAAGGUGAUAAUAAAAAUGUAUUAUGGAAUUUAGAAGAAUAAAGAAAUUUGAAAAGUUAAUAAAAUAAAUUACUCUAGAAGAAAUCAAUUUUAUCAAUCCAUCCCUCCUAACAAGGUUACUUUCUUAAGAGACUCUGAAAAUAUAUUAUUUAUCAUUCAAGUACUUAAAUUAUUUGUGUUUGUUAAAUAAAAUAGUUGUAUUAUUUUAAUGUUCACAACAAUUUUUUAUUAAUUUAAUUAGAUAGGAAAUUAUAAUAAAUUGCAUUAAUAGAGAAAUAUCAUAAUGUUUGUAAAAUAAUAAGUAGAAAAAUAUAGAUGAAUAUAUUAAUAAUUAAGCAUAUUGUUAUAAAUGCAAAGUUUUAAAAACUUUCUAAAAAAUAAAGUUUUAAAUAAUUAUUAUAAAUCAAAACAAAGAUAUAUGUAAAUAUGUAUCUACUCACACAUACAUUAUAACAAAUAUAGACGUUAAUUUUUUAUAUAAAUGGUUAUUUAUUAAAAACUCUACAAAAAAUGUAUAAAAUAAUAUUUCUAUCAUUUAAUAUUAAUUAAUAAAUACGUUUUCCUUACUAAUAAACAUUUUAAUUAGGAAGCAAGUACACCAAUGUACUUUCAAUUGUAAUGAAAUUCAAAAGCACAUAAAAAUAAAUUAGAAAUCAAUUUUCAUUAAUCAAUAAUCAUUACUAGCUAGUAUCUUUUCUUUUUCUAGUCUAGUAACAAUAAUAUUAUUGUUUAAACUCUUAGUUACUUUUGUUUGUUGAACACUGAAAUAGCUAUUUUAUUUUGUUUGUUACACUAAAAUAUAUAGCUUUUUUUUUUUUUGCUUAAUAUGCAAAACAUGUUUUAUUUAUUUUAAUAAAUUAACUAUAUUAAUUGCUAUUUAACAUAGAUGUUGAUUACAAUAUUGUUAAUAUUGAACAUAUAUUUACAUAAUUAAAAUAAUAUUCAUAUACGAAUUUACCAUAUAACAUAUAUAUUUAUUGAAAUUAAAAAAUUUUAAAGAUAAAAGUAUGAAGUGACUUUACCUAAAAGUGAAUAUUAAUUUAUUAAUUAUUUACUUUGAUAAAAUAGAUGUUAUUAAUCACAUAAGCCAUUAUUGAAUUUCUAUUGAUUUGGUUUCCUAACGAUUUAUAAUUUUAGGUUUUUUAAAUGUUUAGAGUUAGUCAAUAUCAUUUAUACGCACUCAUCUAAGUUUAUAAAUUAUUGUCUCUUAUUUUAUAUGGUAUGAUGUUAUUAAUUUAUCAACUAUCAGUAUGGGCUUUUUUUCUAUUAUUCACAAACCAAUUUAGUAAGUAUGAUGAAAAAGAAUAAUAAUAGAGGUAGGUGCAAGCUUCUUGAAGUUCAUCUUUUUUCUUUCACUUGAUUAUUGUUAGAAAUUGAUUUUCAAAAUAUGAACGCAAGCUUCUUGUCCAAAAAAAAAAAAAGGGAAAAAGGGAACUGAUGCAAGUUUUGUAACUUUUAUUGCAGUAUGUAACUUAUGAAUUCAGCGUGGAAUAGAUUGUGCUGUUUCUUCUCUUAUUGUGAUUGCAUAAAGCUUGAGUGAGAGAUUUAUGGUGUGCUUGUGCAUUGGAAGUUCACCUUCCAAUGGCGUGGAAUGUCUAAGAAAGUUCAUGGAAUCAUGGCCAAAAGUGGUGUGGUGUUUCUACUUGAGAAAUGCGAUCAUCUUUCUUGCAAUGAUUUUUAUUUUUUUAUUCAAAAAAACUUUUGAUAUCCUAUUAACUAAUGAGUUUGAUUAAAAAUAGGUAGGAAAAGAAAAGUUAUACAAAUUAUAUAUAUUAAUUCCAAUUUUUUCAUAUUUUAUUUAGUUAAUUAUUUGAAAAUAAACUUUUUGAAAUAAAAUUAUAUUUUAUUAACUAAUGCCUUGGAAAUAAAAUUUUGAAAGAAAAAAAAAACAAAUCAAUUUUAUUUAGAAAACUUUUCAUAUUUCACUAACCAUUAAAUCGAACUAAAAUGAUGGGGAAAUAUUCCAUAAAAUCUAAAGUAUAUUUGAAGAUCUUUUCAGUUUGAAUAAAGUCUGCAUUAUCCAAUAUAUUUGGACUUUUUUGUCUAAAACGGGCUCAAUUUGGAUUGCUUGGCUCAAGGCCCAUUCUCUUAAAGAAGGAACUAUUUGGUAGGUGUCCGAAACUCAAAAUUUCAGUUAACGUUGGAAAAAACUAACAUGGCUACGCUCAGUUUACAAGCCUAGAUCCUAAAUCAAAAAUAUCAAAUGCAUAACUAAUCCUAACCUUUGAAAUUCAAUAUUUCUUUAAAUCUAAUAUCAAACCCAAAAAAUUUGAUAAAAAAUAUCGAACUUAGAACAAUUUCACAAAAUCAAAACCUAAAAAUCAACUCAAAAUAAGGUAAUAAAGAAACCUCAUAAUUAGCAUUACCUUUCUCUUGGGUGGAUAGUCUCAAAGGAGGGUGGGGAUUUUGGUUGCUACAAGAGUAAUCUCAAACGAGAACAGCGAUGGCUGGCUUGUUGUACUCAUCGAUCAAGCCAUCUUGUUGGUGGUGGUGGUGGUGGUGGUGGUGGUGGUGAAAUAUACUUAUUGCCAAAAAUAUAUGAAAAUGAAAAAGAUAAAAGAUAAAAGAUAAAAAAAAAAAGGGAGGAAAAGAAUGGUAAAACAUGUAAUUCUGAACUUGCUGACUAUCAUCUUAUACAGUGCAGAUCUAGUUUAACUUUAAGUUAUAUCUAUACUGUGGUUUUGAUUAGUUAACAUAUUUAAGGGGCCAGACAACAGGCAGUUUGUGUUCCGUUAUUUCCCUAGAUUUAAACAAGCUUAAAAGGCAGAGUACAUAGGCAAUAAACCUAAUGAUCUGGUGUAAAGUAACCAAAAUUGAGAAAGCUCAAGCUUAUGUUAUGUCCAACGUGAGGUUGCUAGGCUUAAAACCGCAGUCAUAUCACUUACACUACAGGGUAGUGGAGCCAAACAAAGUUGCUAAAAUCAAAAAAGGGUAGAGGUCAAAGAUGAAGGUACCUCUGAGGAGAUUGAUGAAAUGGAUUUCUGAUCUGCAUUUCUUACAAUUGGAAUCAUUAAACCCUGCAAUCCAAAUAAAAUAAUAUGAAACCCGUUGCUCUAUAGAACCCAAGAACUACAUCUUAUUGGAAGCAUACCUUCUCAGUAGCAACUGCAAUUGAUAUGUCAACAGAAUCACACAAUUAUUUCCCCUUUCUCAACAUCCCAAUAAGCUGCAGUCAUUGAAAUAGCAAAUUUUUUAUUAGAAAUAAGCCAAAAGAGCCAAAAUUUUGUAUGAAAGCUAAAUUUAAUCGAAGAAAAAGGAAUAAUGUAAUUAUUUUCCACUUUAUAAAAUAGCACUUAUUACUGAUAAGCUGAUGCUGGAAAUUUCUUAUACACAGUGUGUACACUCGACACAAAUGUAUGACAAAUUAACAGUAAGUGCUCUUCCUGCUUGAAACUUCUUCGAUGCAACCAUAUAUUAUCAACACAAAACAAGAUAAGUCUUUUCCUGUUUGGAUGUUAGAGGAGGCUCAUAGACCCACCUGGUAAUAAUGUAAAUACUCAGCUUCAGAUUCUAUCAAAGUGAAUAAAUAUUUUAUACAACAUUAAUAUUCUCCAGAACUCUCUUUUCAGAUUAAGCUGAAAACCAUUUAUAGAUCAGCAACUACAAAUUAAUUGUUGAACUACUGAGGUAUAAGAAAUAAAAUGACCACACAAUCUUAUGACAUUUCCUUCAUUAAGGAAGGUUGAAGUUCUGGUUUGAGCAUAUGAAAAAGCAAGUAGGGUUGGUAAAGGACUGGGAAAGGGUUACCCCCACUAAGAAUCCAGCCAAUGAAUCAACACAAAAGAAAUAAAUAAAGGUAGAAAAGAAUCAAAAACUCAAAAUAUUUUCUUCCCAUCGUAGUUUUGCUAGAGAUGCAAAAAUCACUAAUAAAAGCAUUUUUGUGCUUGCAUCAGUUUAAAAAUGUAUGUCAUUCCCAAUCUUUUACAGCAGCAUAACAGAGUGGAAUCUAGUCCAAGAGAUAAAUAUCACCCCACAUUUCUAGCAAUGUUUACUACAUUUUACAAUUGGUCAAGCUCAUUAGCCAAUUGUGUUGGCUCAGCUCCCAUACCAUGUUUACUCAGAAAUCUACAAGGACCAGUUUUAUUGAAAUUAUGUCUUACCAUUAGCUUCAGGUACAUUUUUCAAAGCAAUUGCCACUGCUUUUAUGACGAUGUCAUUUAACUGAAACUUUAAUAUAAUGCUUCUCUGCAAAUUGAGAAAGAAUAGAACAAUUAGCAGUCAGUAAAACCACAGGUGUGAAAGAUCAAAUUGAUGAUACAGGAAUUUAUUCCAUACCUUUAAGCUCCUUCCUAAAGGAAAGAAGAGGAUCCACUAUAACAUCUGAAGAACACAAUAAAACCUUUCACUGGUUUAGACCAGUCAAAAUAAAAUUCCAAUACAAAAUUUAGGAUGGAAACAUGUGAAAAGAGAAAUUCAAAGAUAUCGGACAUUUAGAUGAAUUGAAAUACGUAUUACUAAUAACAACAUUUGACGGUAUAACAAAUGCUAAGGUUGUAAAGAACUUAUAGCAGUAACAGAGAUACAUUUCUCUUCAAACUGCUUAGAAAAGAACAAAGAAUCAAUAAUAGGACUUCCUUGAGCUUAGAAAUUUAAUUCUCUUCAAAGAACCCAACUAUUAUCUGAACGAAUAAAUUAACUACAAAUAUUAAGGAAAAGCCUUUAGACAUUUUGUAUUGCAAAUAGCAUACAGGGACAUAAAGGAAGACUGGCAUGUUCAAAUACUUCUAUCACAGUUCUAGUGCCUCUAUAUAAAACCAACCCUAACAUGUUAUUAAUUCAGAAGUAUUCAUAUCAAGUUUAUGAAGAUAUACUGCCCGUAUUUAAAACCAACCCUAACAUGUCAUACAUGAUAAAUAAGUUCUAAAUAAAUAAAUAAUAAAAGAAAACCCUCUCAAUCAAACCCCUUACUAAUCCUAUUCAAUGAAUAAUCUGUGAUUCUAUAAUGCAAUAGCCAUAAAGGCCUGUGUCCUUUUGGUGAACUCAACUUAAAAUAAAUCACUUGUCAGUGCAACUGAUUCAUCAAACCAUUACAUGCAAACUUUGAACCCAAUGUCCUUUGAAUGUUGCUCCUUCUAACUUCCGCCAAAUGCAUUCAUGUAAACCUCCUAACUUUGGCAAAGCUCUUUGCAUCAUUUUAUUUCCAUAUUCUCCAACACCACCAUCUGCCUUUAUCAUCAGUUUGGUCAUUAGCGCAUAAAUCUUACCUUUCUUAUAUUGAUGCAUGCUUCAAUUUUUUAUAUCAAGCUAUACUUAAAAUGUAUGAAUAGGUCAUUUUUUCACUAUCCAAUAUUUGGUAUAACCAUCUGCAGUCACAGGACUUUAGAGAUUUUAAGUUUUAUCUGACGGCCAAUGCAAUAUAAAGGCACAUUUAUUUCAGGAAUAAAGAUUAAAACCAGUCCAUAAUGCUUCUCCUAUCUUUAAAUAAUAACCUAGUUAGAAAAGGUCAAGGCCAAAGUCUCUUGCCUUGUUAACUCCCUUAUAACUGAAUAAUGAAAUAUACCUUGCGAAUUUGAGUACUGGACAAGUCUUCAAAAGAAUCUGAUUGCUGUGGAUGAGCUUUUGACUCAGGCCUCACUGAAGGAGAUUUCUUAGGGCUGGUUUGAAUUGAUGGUUUUUUUCUUCUCAGAUGAAGAUAUCUUGGAAGAUCCUUUUCCGGACUUAAUUACAGCCAAACCUUCUCCUUUUAGCAAAGUACCAUGAGGACCCGAUGCCUUUAGUGAUGAUGCAGCUAAUCCAUAUUCUAAGCAACUUGGCUGAUGUACUGAUCUUUGUACCAGACUUCUGCUCUCUAACUUUACUUUUGGAUUCAUGAUGAGUUGGUUCUCGCUUUUUGACUGUAGUGGUCUUUACAGCUUCAAUAUCAACUGGAUCUUCAACCUCGCAAGAUAACAAGCAUUAGUGCCCCAUGUGCCUCAAGUCACUACCAUUAACCUGACUUCAAAAAAUCCUUUGACUAACUAUGAAAAGCUAAAUUGCAUCAAGUAAUUUACAACAAGAUAUGAAAUAAGUCAACGUAACAGCAUAUAAUGGCGACUUACUGUUACCGCAAUAGGUUUCCCCACAGCCACAUCCUUUGAACCUUCUGAAGCAAGUAUCUUUGCCAGGUAGCUGCACCCAACAAUUUCAACAGACAACUGUAAGUUUAUAUGUAAUUAACAGAAAUGAACCAUAGAAAUGAAAGGAAUUGCUAACCAAGAUCAAUCUCAAACCCAAGAAAGCCUCUCUUUUGUUAUUAACUUGUAAAAAAUACCCUUGCUUCUAGAUUGAACUAUGUUCCACCUGCUUUGGUUGUUCAAUUUUAUAGGAUUCAACUUAUUUAGCCACGUAAACACAGCCCUCCAAAUUUUUCACCCAGGUUCUCUCGAUUUGACAUCUUAUUUAGUACUACUUUUCACUGUUAGUCUUACUAAAUAUAAUAUCCACAUAUGUGCUUUAUGGAAAACUCAUGCUUAUGCCUCACAUCAACGUUAUAUAUAUAUAUAUAUAUAUAGACACACACACACACACACAUAGACCUUGCUUUUGUUGUUCACUUUGAUAGAACUAGGGUCUAAUACAUGGCCAAGUUUAACUAAAAUAUAUGAUCAUGCUAAUAUUUCCUUGAAAACAACAAGGUAAAUCCAUAUUAAUACUAAAGGUGUUUCUCAUCUUAGUGUAUAUCCAACAAGUCUAUAAGCACCAUUUUGGAAGACUUACGCCUGAGACCUCACUAUUUAUCAUACUUUUGGAUGGACAUAAUGACAAAUGAUCAGCUACAGAAAUCAAGUUAGUCCAAAGAUUACACUAUCAAUUAAUGUCACUUUAGUGCUAUCAGCAAUAAAUUCCAAAGCAAGAAAGAACAUUACCCUGCUUCAAGGCUCUCAAAUUCGAGGGUAGCUUUGUCAGUCUCAAUCUCACAUAUAACAUCACCCACUUCUAUAUGCCCAACAAUGUUAGGCAUAUGGAUGCGAACAAGGUUAUUAUUCACUCAAAAAGAAAAAGAAAGCAUUUUAAAGUAUUUAUAACUUGUGCUAAUAAAACUAACCUUGUCCCCUUCUUUUUUCCUCCACUUAAAAAUGUUACCCUGAUUCUAUAAUAAAAUAUGAAAAGGCAAAAUAAGCUUUUGCAGUAAAGAAAAAGUCAGAGAAGGAGGUUCAUAUUUGAACCUAAUUUUUCUUACCAUUGAUGGAGAAAGCACUGGCAUUCUAAUAACAAUGUAAGGAGGAAGGUUUGAGGCGUUGGCAUUAAUAGAAGUUGGUUCCUCUUCUUUUUCUGAGUUUCUGACAUCCUGAUGGGCUGUUUUUACCUCAACCUCUGAUCCUCCCCCAGAAGUAGAAGGGAUCUCCAGGAUAUUUUGUUCAUCCUCAACCUUGUGAACCCAUCCAAAUGAGUUUUAACAAAUUGUUUAUUGCAUAGUUGGUGCUCAACAAAAAAUUACUAUUUAAAAGCAUAAAAAAGAAAAUUCAGAUAUCAAAAGUUAUUCACCAAAUAAGAUGGAAAUUUUAUUGUUUGAAAUUAAAAGGUAUUUUCCAACAAUGUUGUUGCCAUUUUUUAGAAAGUUUAUGAACAUAAAUCCUUAUUUAUAUAGCUGUUAUUCUUUAAACCUUUUCAAAUGCUAAGGAGCAUAAAAAGAAGUGGAUAGCUAGCAAAAAUUAGUAAGCAAGGCAGAUGCUCAUUAGAUCAGGAAGCAAGAAUAGCAUACUACAGAAGACCAAAAAAAAAAAAAAAAAAACCCCAAAUGCUGCAAGACUAAGACUGUUUCUUCUUGAAAAAUUCAAAUAGAAUUGAAUUUUAUAUAUCUAUCAAUAGUAUGCCACUAAAGGAUGCAUCAAAGAAUAAAUACCGUUACUGCAAUAGGUUGUCCCACAGGCACAUCCUUAGAACCUUCAGGUAAUAGUAUCUUGGCCAAAAACCUGCAGAUAAGCACUCCAACCAUAAGGAAAGGUAAAAGAAAAAAGGAUGGUUAUGAACUUCACUAAUUCAAGCGUGCUCUUUGGUCAAUAUUAAUAAGAUGAAACAGCACAAGAAAAGUGUAUAAAGGGCUCGUAUGUAAAAUUAUAAAGUUGCAAAAGGAAACCAAAAAUCCCAUAUGUGGAGCAAAAUUUAGUAAUAAAUUAGGCCAUAGGAUUUAACAUCAGACACCAUAGAAAUUGAAAAAUAAAAGCACUAAGAAGCAAAAAAAAAAGGGUUUACCCUUCUUCCAGACUUUCAAAAUUGUAUGUGGCUUUAUCUGUCUCUAUUUGACAUGGUACAUUCAAUCUGUUAGGUAAGCAUCAGUGAUCAAGAAAUAAAUCAGGAUGACAAAAUGAAUCAAUUAAUUCACUACACCUUAUCACAAGACUUUUAUUUUUGAACAACCGUCUUUAAUUUACAUCAAAUUCAGAUGCGAAGACCAUAAAACCUAUAGCUUCCAUUAGUUUCUUAUAUAACUCACCCUAUCUCCUUCUUUCUUCUGCCAUUUUUGCAAUGUUACCUUGGCUCUGCACAUAUGCAAGAAGCAGCACAAGCUUCACUAUUGGAAUAAAGGGAGAACGUCUAUAUCAUAGUCAAAUAUUAUGAGGCUUAGCAUCCCAAAAUAUAUUACCGCUGUUGGAGACAAAGCAGGCAUCCCCAGGACAGUAUGCUCAGGAAGGUCGGUAAUUACAGAACUUAGUGAUAAGCAAGGAACAAAUCUUUGGCAAAUAUCAUAAUGAAAGACAACAAGUAAAACCUAACAACCAAGAAAAAUGAUAGAAAAUAUUUACCCUUUUAAUAAGUAGACUUGAAUCUGGGACCUACUCUAACCCGCACGCCAAUGUUUUUCAGGGGAGUCUAUCAUGCAAUCAAAAAAAUUGAUCCUUUUGAGAAAUCGAUGUCUUACUCCAUUACUUUGAAGGAACAAAACAAGAGAACAAUAGCCUGACAAAUGGUUCGGUUUGAUUCAGGUGCCGUUUAGGCAGGAGCAGGAUCCGAAUCGAACCUAUCAUUGAUUUGAGAUAUUGAUAGGGUGAAUACCCAGUCUAUUCAAUGCUAGGCAUAAUGAGUAUAAGGCCCAACAGCCACUAAUGCAUUAUGAGACCACAAAAUCUAUUUAACAUAUGAAACCAAGAGAUGAUACAUUCCAAUUUGAAGCACUGACAUUUUAUAUGUAAGCUGAAGAAUAUAAGUAAAUAGAUUUUCAAAUAGGUCUUGCACAAAGAUAAUGUAUUGAUUCCGCAUUAUGUAACUUGUAUUCAUCCUUAGACAGAGCCGAGGCAAACAUGAAAACCUACUUAUAACCUAAAGUAGGACCACAUAAUUCUAUCUAUAACCUAAAGUAGGACCAAAUAAUUCUAUGGCCAUGCAUUACGUAUAUUACUGAGGCUAGGCAGUUAAGUGCUCUUCAACCAAGCAGAUUUAUAACUACUAGUAAAUCUAGAAUAAUGAACCAUACAUAAGAAUCCUUGUAUCCAUGAAACCAAAUAUUGUAGUUAAACUUGCUUUUCGAAUUUCUACUGCUCAACAAGCACAACUGUUUAUGUGAACAAAACAUAGAUGUUUCUUACUUCAACUGAUACAAAAAAUUUCAUGGAAGUUUACCAAUGUAAUAGCUCCUUGCCUAGAUAAAUAUUCCUGAGUAUGUAUGAACGCAUGAAACCGAUGCCCCAGCAUUUUCCUAGUGCUAUGUUAUGACUCUACUACAAGACAUUUAUCCACAGCCAAUAAGUACUAUCAUUAGACUCUAAUUAAUAUGUAGAUUUGAAAAAGGAUAUAUCACAUAUAAUAUAUAUAUAUAUAUAGAGAGAGAGAGAGAGAGAUCAAACAAGGGCAAGCUAUUCUAGUCGGCAAAUUUUUUAUGACCGAGAUACCUAGCAUAAGAUCAUACUGACUUUGCUAGCGGUUUGAAAUAGAAAAGAAUGAAAAAGUAAGCAAGUCACUCAGAGCCUCUCGGACAAGACUUUGAAAACUAGAUGGGCAUUUAGGAAGAGGGAAAUGUUUAAUGGUGUCUUUGGAUGAGGCAUUUGGAGUUUGGGUAAAUAUAAGAGAGAAUUUCAAAAUUAUGAGGAAUUUCAAGAGGAAAUUUACCACCUCAAAUUCUCUCUUAAAACUCCACCUAAAGAGGUGGUUUUCAAAAUUCCUCCAAAUCUCCCAUCACUUUAUUGCACAUGGCCCACCAUAAAAUACAAAACUCAAAAAACAAAAUAUCAUUUUGUUUAACUCUAAUAAAAUAUCUAUACAUUUUUAUAAAUCUAAUGAUACCCAUAUUACAUUAUAUAUAUAUAUAUAUGUAUUUUUUCCUUUUAUAUUAUUUUUUAUUUCAUCAAAUUCCAACAGAAGAAAUUUUCCUUUAAAAAUAUUUAUCUAAACAAAAUAAUUACAAAUACUAACAUUUUAAAAUGAUGUAUUUUAAAAUAUCCUCAUUUUAAAUUCUUCAAAAUUUUAAAAUUCCUCAUCCAAACACACUGUAAAAGUAAAAUGUCAUAUACCUGCAGAUGAGAAUUGCCGAACUCCAAUUUGCAACUUCAAAAUCACAUAAAAUCAGAAACCAACCUUAUCCUAGAAAAGUGCAAGUUAUAAUUAAAUACCAACCUCGAGCAUUGAUGAAGUAAUGUAUAUUCCAAUUACGGUGGAUAAAGAAUUUGGCCUGCUAUGAGGGGAAUAAGCUGGUAAGAUUCAGAAAGUAAGCGACCCAGCUACAUUUGUCCAAAUAAAGGCAUAAUAAACGAAAUUGAGUCAACUUUGAUGUAUCACCAUCAUUUAGACAAAAUUGCAUUGGUUUUGAGUUGCAAAAGCAAGAAGGGGAAAACAACACUGACCAAGCUCAAACUUCACUUAAAAGUUUUAUCCCUUGAUAUUUCAUUGGUUUAAAAUUGUGUUACACAAGAAAAAAAAAUGGUCCUAUUACAAUUGCAUGGACAAUGAGUAAAGGUGUUAACAGAGGUACAUGAAGAUUAACAAACGUUGCAUAAAUGAGUGAUGAAUCAUGUAAAGCAGUCGUAACAAAAUUUACUACUGAUAAAUAGGAAGUCAACAAAGAAAACCUUAAGCAAGAUCCAUUCCAGUCCUUGAAAGGGCUUUCAACAUUUGUGGUGCUGCAGCAGCAAAUCGGUAAAAGGACAUAAGCAGAAUGAUACGAACUCAUGUAAAAGUCCUACACUUAGCACAAAUUAAAGGGCAUCACAUAUAAAUAAUCAAGAAAAGUACCUCAUAUCACUAACUUAAAAUGCUAAACUGCUAUUUUUCACUUGGAAAAAAAAGGGAUAUAGGCAGGUUGUUUGUAAAUGCAUCGUACAGGUGUAUAUAAAUGAAAGCAAUACGUACAUAGCAAGUAGACAAAAAUGCAUAAUGGAACAAAAAAAGGCCCAAUGUAAGAACUAAGGAUAAUAGUUAUUAUAUAUAUAUAUAUAUACAUGUUUAUAAAGAAAAUGAUUUACCGGAAACUUUUUCUUUUUCAUAAUUAUAUGCCCUUGUAAGGUUCAAAGAACAUAAUUUCAUUUCAAGCACCGUUGCAAUAAAGUUCUGCGUCUAAUUUCCACACCAAAAUUCUCACAAACCCAACUCUCAAAAUCACUACUUUCUCCAACAAAAGACAAAAUAGAACAUUCAAAUGCAAUUCUCUAUUUGAUUUCAAAACUAAAAUUAUCACAAAGAAAAGCCAACUCUCAAAAUUACUACUUUCAUCCAAAAAGAUUCAAAUAAGAUGCAAAUUGAUGGUUAUCACAGCAAGUGGCAAGUACCUAAUACAGUUGAUAACAAACAGUUCUGAGCAUAGAAAUAAAUGGAAAAAAAAAAAGAGAAAAAUACAGAGAAAGUGAUAUCGGGGAGGCGUAGAAAGAGAGAAAACGAGCUCUAAAGAGAGAUGGAGCGGCUCUUGAGAAAAUUGGAUUUCUGAGUCGUGAAAGCGCCAUUGAAAGUGCUCUGAGAAAAAACAAAGUGUGAGAAGAAAGAUCUUUGAUUUUAUUUAAUUUACAGUUUCAUCAAAGAAGAAGUUUUGGGUGUUUAUUUCUUGAAUAAUCGAUUUAAAAGAAGGAAAAAAAAGUUUCAUUUCUUUAGAUCGAAAAUGGCUGAUCCAAAGUGCAUAUCGAUCUACAAGACUACGACUACACAAAAAUAUCUGUUAGUUUUGCAAAUUUGAGUUUUAAGAAAUGUGUUUAUGAAAAAUUUUUAUAAUUUUUUUGAAAAAAUAGAUUUUUUAUUAUUUAAAUGAGUGAAUGAAAAUAUUUUUUGUUAUUAGACUGUUUUUAGAUUUUUUAUAAAUAUUAUUUAUAUAAUUAUUAAAAUAUAUUAAUUAUUUAUUAUUAAAAUAAUUAAUAUUAAAAAUUAAUUAUAUUUUAAUAAAAUAUUUAAUUUUAUAAUAUUAUAUUAAUAUUAAAAACUAAAACUAGUUAUAUUUUUAUAUUAAUACGUUAGAUAUUUAAAAUAAUAUUAUUAAUUUAUAUAAUUAUAUUAAAAUACUCAUAUUUAGUAGUAAAUAUUAAAAAUAUUUAUAAUAUUAAAAUAAUUAUAUUUUAGAUUAAAAGUAUCUAUUAUUAAAUUAUAACAAAAAUAUUAUUUAUUUAUAUUUAGUAUUCAAAUAGUAACAUAAAGACAUUAGCAACAAAAUAUAAAAAUAAUAUAUUUUAAAUUAAAAAUAUUAAGAAAUCAUUAAAAAUAUUCAUCUUAUUAAUAUAAUUCUAUAAUUAUAUUAAAUAAUAAUUAUAUUAAAAUAAUAAAAAUAUUUUUUGCUAUAUUAAUAUUUAUUAUUAAAAUAAUAACUAUAAUACUAUUUAUUAGUGAAAUAUUAAAAAUAUUUAUGUGUAAUACUAUACAAAUUGGAAAUAUCAAAAUUAAAAUAUCGAAAGGCUUUUAAUAUUAAUAUUUUUAAUUAAAAUUAAAUAAAAAUAUUUUUAUUAAUAUAAUUAUAUUUUAAUUCGAAUCAAAUCAAAUUCAAAGUUUAAAAUAUCAUGUCCAAAGUCUAAUUUGAGUCAAAUUACAACAUAUUUUAAAAUUAAAAUAUUAUAAAACUUUUAAUAUUAAUAUUUUAAAUUUAGUAAUAUAAUAAUACUUUAUGUUGAGUAAAAUUAAGCUUGAGCUUAAAAAUCAUACUAAAGGUCCACCUUGACCAGAAUUAUAAUUACAAACUUGAUAAAUAGUCUUAUUCAUAGGCAGUUAACUUUAUAAAUUGUUUUCUUUUUUUAAAAGGAAAAGAAAAUUAUUUUAAAAAAUUAUUUUUUAUUGAUCAAUAAAUUAUUUUUCAUUAAUUGAUCAAUUUUUUAUGAAACAAAUAUAAAAAAUUUAAAAAUUAUUUUUCAAAAAUUAUUUUUCUUAGAACAUAAUUUUUUAAUCAUUAAUAUUGAUAAGUAAUUUAGAAAAAAAAUUAAACUUUAAAAGAGUUUUAAAAUUUUUUAUUUAUUUUAGCUUUGCAUUUCAAAGCCCAGCCUAAUGGGCAAACAACAUUGGCACGUCCACAACACCUAACUGCUAUUGUCUUGGGCUCGAAAGGAAUAUAUCGGUGGAGGGAAAUUCAUUUUUUAUAUGUUCAAAAAUAUGCGAGACACGUAAAUUAUAGUUUAAAAUUUUAAUAAAAUUAUAUAUGAAUUUGAUAAAAUCAAAAAUUAUAUUUUAUAAUUUUAUAUUUGUAUAAAUUGUGACACUUAAUUUAUUUAUAAAUUAUUAUACAAAUAUAUAAAUUAUGAAUAUUUUACAUAACAUAAAUAUAUAAAUUAUCACAUCUAUCCAAAAUCAUUCCUUCUAUAGUAAUUUCACUAGUUUUUUGGUCCACAAAAGAGAGGACUCACCUUGGUUCAUACUUAUCUUGACCCUAAUAUCUCUCAUAGAGCCUCACAUUAGUGAAGAAUUGGAUAUGCUCCUUAUUUUCGACCUAAAAAGCAUAUCUAUUAGGUGGAAAAAAGAAAACAUGAUUCAUAAGCCCCAAACCACCCCUGCCGUAUCAAUUUGGGAUUAGUGACAUUACCAAUUAGCAAACCAUUCCCUUUUUUAUUUUUAUUUGAGAGAUAAUUAAAAUAUGCUUUUUAAAUAGAAAUUUUAUAUCAACCAUUAAAUUAAAUCCAAUGUUCCAUUGUUUAUAUAUAUAAAUGAGAAAUUAUUUUAUACACGUUGGAUUAAAUUUUUAGGUUCAUGAAUUAAAGAGUUAUUAUAUAUUUUCUAAAAUAUAUUAAUAGAAAUUUAAGAAAAAUUAAUAUAACAAAAAAUACAUGAUAAUUUUUAAUUUUAUAAAGUUUAAAAAUUUUACGAACUGUUUAUAAAAUCAAACUAUUUUUUAUUGGUUAAAAAUACAAUUUCUAAUUUGGACGUGUCCACUUUAAAUUUUAAAAUAAAAUAUUGAAAUUUAUGGGAUAAAUGAGGUAAACUAAACUAUUUUCGUGUGAGUACAAAAUAUAUUUUUACAUUUCUACUCAAUUAUGAUAUUCAAAGAAACAAGAAAACUGUCAUUGCAUAUGUAUUUAUAUACAUAUAUAUAAUUCUUUAAAAGUUAUGUACAAAAAAUUCUUUAAAAGUUAGGUGCAAAAAAUUAAUUUACUCAAAAUUGCAAUGUUUUGAAGGUUUUUUUUUUUCUCUGUAAUGACUUGGUAGAAUGUUUAUUGAAUAAAUUCCCUUAAAUAUAUAUAUAUAUAUAUAUAUAUAUGUUCCAGCCAUUUCCAUUUGUUUAUUUAGAAGGUACUUUUUAAUUACUUCACUAAAAUACAGGGUAAAACAAAUGAAAGAAUAAACAAAAAUUAAAAAAAAAAAGGAAAUAGGGAAGAAAAAGUAUUUUUAUGGUAAAAGAACUAAAAUAAAUAAUAAGAAUAUUAAAAAAUAUAUUUAAAUUUGGUAAAUAUUAAUAUACUUUAACGACAAAAGACCUAUACUAAUAGGAGAAAAUAAGAUAUAUUGUGUAUUCAUUAUCUAACUUUUAAAAAAAUUGUGUUUAGGUCGCUCAAAGUUAUUAAAAAAAAAAAAUAAUGUUUUGAUCCCCUUUGUCUAGAUAUACUAUCUGACUAUAAUGGUAGGAAUGUCGAGUGACAAUAUCCAUUGUUUUUUUAAUGGUUAAGUAAUAAAAAAUAAUAACACUUACAAAUGUUGUUGAGUAGAAAGUUAUCCAAAUAAAAAAUCUCAUGAUCGAAAUAAAAAAAUCUCAAGAAAAAUAAAUAAAAAUAUUUUUAUUUACUUUAAAAUCAAUUUGCAUAGUUUCGGUUAGAGUCAUGGGGUAUGAAAUAUUGUUUAAUUUUGUAUUUUUACUUUUGGUUUCACAAAACUUUCUCCAACAUACAAAAUAUAUAUUUAUUUAAAAACUACUUGAAAGAGCUUCAUUAAUAGUUCUAAAAAUGAAGAAUUUGGCAAAAGAAUCAGAAAUAAACAAAUCAUGAAUUUUAAAGCAUAAUUAAUUAAUUAUCAAUCAACUACAAAGCAAAAGUUGUUGUAUUCGAAAAUAGAAAUGGGCAGAAGUAUGUGUAAUUUAUCCACCAAAAGAAACAAUCAUAGGCAAAUAAAUGAGAAAAGCAAAUAAAUCAAACCAACCAUGCAUAAAGAUAAAGAAAAAGAAGAGGGAAGCAAUAAAUUUACAUGGAAAACACUUCCAAAAGAAGAAACUUUAGUGGUAGAACAAUCCGUAUUAAUUUUCAAAAUUGUUAAGCUUUUAGUGAGAAGAGUUUUCAUAUCAAUUACUCAAAGUUGUUGGAAAAAAAAUCAAAAAAUCUAAAUGUUUAAAAAAUCUAAAAUAAAAGAAAAAACUUGAAAUCAUUGGUGGUAAUAAUAUUGUUAUCUUUGUCAUAUUCCUGAUUCUUAACGAUAUACAAAAAGAAAUAACUGUAGAUAUUUAAUUUUAUCCUAAAUAAUUAAAAUAAUUUAGGGUUUCAAUUUAUAUUGAAUUAAAGGUAGUUUUACCGUAAUUUUACAUUUUAAUUAGAAUGACUUGGACUCAUUUAAUUUGGAUUCAUUUGAACUUAUUAGAUCCAUCAUUUAGGCCUGGACUUAUUAUGGAUUAAAUUUUAGUUCAAUCAAGGUUUUGGGUCAUUUAAGCUUAGAAGCUCAAAAUAGGGAAAAAGCUCGUAAAGAGUUUUUUUCUUCUUUUUUUUUUCUCUAUAUAUAUAAAAAAGAAAAAAAAAAAAAAAUAAAAAGCCUAAAGCUUGGAUUGGUAUGGAAGCCUUCCUCCAAAUUGCUACCCUAAUUCCAACUCUUCGAUUUUUGACUUUCCAUAAUUUAUCCGAAUCACCUCUAGCACAACUUGAUAAAAAACUUGGUAAUCCAAAAUUGGCUAGCAAUUCAAAACCCAAGAAACAACAUCACUACUUCCAUCUUGCAUGCCAUAACAAUUCAAGAACUCUGAUUACCAUUUGAGACCUAUUUCCAUCCAUAUUCUAAUGGCAACAUGAAACAAAGAUGGCUUUAAAAAAAAUCCUAAGCAAUUUGAAGGGGGAUAUGCAUACGACAUGACCCAAGCAAUUCACAAAAAAAUCCUAAGAGCCUAAUAUGCCUUCACAAAAAAAUCCAACUACCCAAACCUCCAAAAUCACCAUUACCAGCAUAAACCAUCCAAUACCAACACCAUCGAUCAACUUAAACACUACCUCCACUACCUACAUCACUAGCCAUCGUUAACCACUAGUUGAACCAACCUUGUUAAGACCUCAAACAUAGAAUUCCUACCACCAUGAACCCAUACCACCAUAACCUCUAAGCCUAUAGCAUCCACUAAAUCCCUUCAUCAUCUCCACCAUAAACACAUACAACACCCAAAAGUAAGACUAGACUUGUCUUCAUUUCUACUCGAAGUAAGACUAGACUUGUCUUCAUUCCUACUCGAACCCCCUGCACUACAAAAACUCAACACCAAUUCCAUUAUAGCCCUUUGCCUCCACUAAAAUCGAACCCAACUCCAAUCACCUAAGGCCUCUUACAUUAACACAUCAACCAACUAUCACCAACAAGCAGCCCAAUCACAACCCAAAAAGCUUAAAACAAAACAAAAAAAAAAUCAUUUUCUGUUCUUUUCCUAAAACUAAAAAUCACACAGAAAAGAUCAUUUGUUCUCUUUUCUGAAUUCCAAAACAAAAUAAAAAAUCAAAAUAAAAAGCAAUAACCUCAUUGCUCACAUUGAGUAAGUAACAAUAAAAAAAAAGAAAUAUAUAUACAAAAAAAAAUAGAGAGAGAGAGAGAGAAAAAAGUCAAGUUUUUUAGUACUAUUUUUAAAAAGGAAAUGAAAGUCAUCGUCAUUGGCUUGGAAAGUUUGAAUGGUGGCAAGGGACUUUGUAGUCUUAAUUGUGAAGUUUAUUUUUAGGGGUUCACUUUGGUGAAAUCUUAACUUAAAAGGGAAGAAAGAAAGGAGGAGGCUUGAGUUUUGACGAGAAAAUAGGGGAAGCAAAGAAGUAAAAAAAAAGAAAGAUAGGGGAAAUGUAAAAAUUGGUGAUCGCCAAUGGUUACUAGAGGUAGUGUUGGCAUUUGAUUGGAGGGAUUAGAGAAAGAGGGCAUUUGAUUAAAGACAAGAAAGGUGGUUGGUGAAGAAGAAAGAAAAAGUAAAAAGAAAAGAAGGGAAAGAAUAGGGUUUAAAGGAGAAGGGAAGAAAUAGUGAGUAUAAGGAAAAUUAAAGUUGAAAAAAAUGGAAAAAGGUUGCCAACCGGAUCCAACUGACCUAACUCAAAAUUAGACCCAACCUAAUUCAGUCCAAGCCUAGUCCAAGACUCCAUUAAAGCUAGGCCUCUCUCUUGCUUUGGUUCACCUAAGGUUCAAGCCCAAAAAUCCUAUUUGGUAUAUUUUCUAUUAUUUCUUUUAUUUUGUUAUGUUAUUAUGUGUAUUUGUUUUCUUUAUAUUUUAAAUACUCUUUAAUAUAAAUUUACUUAUGGAUUAUUGAAGUUGUAAAAUAAAAUAAAAUUUUUAAUAAAAAAUAAUAAUUUUAUGAUUUAACAAUGAUUUUCUUUAGAAUGGAGUUUUAGAAAUAAAAAUAAGAUAAUAUUCUAAGUAAAAACAAUUUUGAAAUCUUGCCUAGAUAUUGGAAGAAAUUCAAAUAUUUAUUUUUACCAAGAAAUGUUAUCUUUAUUUUAAAAGAUUAUUAUGAGAUUUUUAAACAAAUGACUAAUUUUUCUAAAUUCCACCUAAAUAUUGGGAAAUUAAGAAAAUUUUUCGUCACUAAAAAUUUUUAUUUCUAAAUAUUUUAUUAAAGAGAGAAAAAAUGACAUAAAAAUGAAAGAUUCAAAAAGAAUGAAAUAAAAUUGAUUAUUUGUAUUGUGUGAUUUUUAUUUGUUUCAUUUAUUUCCUAUGGCAUUACAUGUAUUGUACUUGUUGGUAAUAAAUGUCAAGUGGUAAAAUAAAAAUUAAAAAACAUAAUUUUUAGAAAUAAAAGUUAAUAUUCCUAAGUAAUAAUAAUUUUCGGGACUCUUCUUAGAUAUUGGAGGUUUUCUCAACAAUUAUUUUUUAUAAAAAAAUAUAUUAUAUCAGAUUUUAAAGAUUAUUAUAAGAACCCCAAGUGAAGAAAUAUUUUUCAAAAUUUCGCCUACAUAUUGGGAAAUUUAAAAAAAAUUGAAACUAAAGAUUUUAAUUUUAUUCCUAAACAAAAUGUCUUAAAAACAUUUUGCAAAAAUAAAUUAAAUUAAGAAAAUUAUUUUAAAUAUUAAAAAUAAGACCAUUUUCUUAUUAAUACCAAAAAUAACAUGCGAUUAAUUGGUACUGUUUUUUAAAAUAGAUAUUAUGAGGUGUUAAUCUUUUUCACAUGUAAUCGAACUCCCAAAUCCAUCUCUAAUUUUAAUUAUGAAAAUUACUUUUUGAUAAACUUUAAACUAGUUUUUUAGGUUUUAUUAAAAUGAUAAAUUUUUUCAGGUAGCCGAUUACACUUAGUCAAAAAAGAUUGAUGAUAAUUCUCUGUUUUGAUUUUAAAAUUUCUUCCAAGUAGUCAGAUUUCCAGAUCAAUACCUUACGACAACUAUGAUAAAAUAAAUAACCAAUAAAAUAAAACCUAAAAAGUACUUUGUUAACUUAAUUUGGAGUUUUAAUUAUGAUCACAUGUAAAGCAAGAUCUUGAACACUAGUGUUUUAUUAAGAGAAACUAUUGCAACUUUGAAAGGCUAUUUUAAACACACACACACACAUAUAUAACUAUAAAUUAAAAGAAUCCCCUAAAGAUUAUCAUGUUGACACCUAUUUAAUAUUUAAAAGAUUAUUUUACCCUUAAUCAAUAAUAAUUUAUAUUAUUAUGCUAUUAAAACUAAUCCCAUUUUUUUGUGAUCUAAAAAUAAAAAAAAAACAAAUCCAAAAUAAUCCUUAAAAAAUAACAAACUUCAUAACCUCAAAAGAAAAAAAAAUGUAAAUCUAAAUGCAAAUUUUAAAAAACUGAAAAUAAAAAUAUUUUUAAAAAAAUUCAGACACAUUCAAAAAAUCAUCAAAAAAAUUUCUCAGCUUCCAUAGCUUCAAAACACAACACCCAAAUUUUCAAAUUAAAAAAAAAAGAACAUAGCAACAAAAAUCAACAAUAAAAAAAAAAAAAGAAAAUGAGACUUUUAGGCUUGGAAGGAUUUAAAAAAAAAAAAAAAACAAAAAAAAGGGAAAGUCAGUCGCAACGAAAAUAACAAUGAAAAACACCACAAGGCACCAUAUUAUGAAAGCAAAUAUGAACUUUAAAAAAAUUAAAAAUUUUCAAAGAUUUUGGCUUAAAUCUACAUUUUUUGUAAAGAUUUUGAAAAAUCUAAACUGAUUAAAAUAAUAAAAAACUUGAUAGAUAAAGGGAAAAUAUAAGAGAAAAAGAUAAAUAGCAAUGCUGACAAUAUCCCCAAAUCAAAAUCUAGAUAGACAGGAAAUAUAAAGAGAAAGAUAAAAGCUAAAAAGAAAGAAACAGAACAAAAUGAAUCAAAGAACUCUAAGUUUAGGAAUUUAAAUACAAACGAAAAUAUCAAUAGCAACGGAUAAAAAAAGAAAAGUAAAGAAAAUGUGGGCUGGUUUAAGUAAACCUAAUUUGAAUUAGCUUUGAGCCUAACAAAUUUGGGGUAAGUAGUAAUAACUUAAACAUUUGUUAGCCCAUUCUUUUUUUUAUUUAAUUUUAAUUUGUGCAUAAGUUAAAUUUAUCAAAUUGUUUAAAAAUGAAAUAAAAAUAAAAUUAUUUGAAAAAAAUUAAAUAAUAAAAUAAUUAUUUUUGGUUGAGUAUAAUAAAAUAAUUGUUUCAAUAAUAAAAACAAUAAUUUUUGUAUAAUUAAGUAAAUAUAAUAAUAAAUUUUAUUAAAUAAAUUUUGAUUUUAAAAUAAUAAAAAAUAAAUUAAAAAUACACAUAUAUUAUCAAUUAAUUAUAUUUAAAACAUUCAAAUUUAAAUUAUCUAACAAACUAAUUAUAUAUACUUUUUAUUAAGAUAAAAAUUUUAGUAAUUUAUAUUUUAAAAUAAAAAAUAACUCUAAACAAAGCCUGAGGCAAACCCUAGUGUAUGUGUGUGUCUAUAUAUAUAUAUAUAUAUAUAUAUAUAUUAGUAAAGAAGUGUUUGGCCUAAUUUAUUCAAGGGUUUUUUACUGCAAAAAUAUAAAUAAAAUAUUUGACUUUCAAAAUUUUAAAGUUAUUAAUUGAAGCCUAUUUGGCUUUUUUAAACAAUGUUAUAAAUUAAAACUUUUUCAAAAGUGUUAUUGUAUAAUAACAAAUAUUUUUCCAAUUUUUUUACAUUCUCAUUUGUAAAUAACUCAUAAAAUAAUAAGAAUGCAUUAUUUCACAUACAUAUUUUUUCCUCGAUCCAAUUUUUUUUGUUGAUUUCAUUUAUUUUUUAAUUUCUAAUUAAUAAAAUAUAUCUUUGUUUUAUUUAUUUUUUUGCCUUAUAAAGUUAAACCUUUUAAUAUUUAUUUAAUAAAAAUAUUAUUAAAUAGGUUUUUUUGUUUUAGAGAUUUUUGCAUUAUGUUUAACAAAUAGUAUUUUAACACCUCUUAAAAAAAAAGACUUCAAUAGACCAAACAAACUUUAAAUAUCUUUUUGAAAAAUAAGUGAUCUUGUAAAGCAAGGACCAAAAUUUGGUAUUAAGUGCGACAAAAUUCUCAAUGUGGCCAUGGAAAAUUUGUUUUUCUUUUUCCAAUUUUCAUAAUUUUUUUAUGUUUAAAAUUAUUCACAAAUUAACAUUAAUAUUAAUUUUUCAAAUAGUAUAAUAAAAUUAUUAAAUUAAAUACAUUAAAAAGAGAAAAAAAUAAAAUGGACUCAACUAUCAUAUUGACAAAUUAGCUGUGUGAACACAUAAUACUAGUAAUUAAACCUAUUCAUAAAUCGAGUUAGAUCAGAUUUAGGCUUAAUCUAGAUAAAGCAUUAACAAGUUUCGAACUUGCCUAAACUCAAUCCGGCCCAAAAUAUGACCUCAUUUUGUUGCUUAGGCCCAACUCAUUUUUAAAAGAUGUCUAGGAUCGUCUAUAUUUUUUAAAUAAAAAUAAAAAUAAUUUUUGUAAUAAAUAUGAACUAUGAUAAAAUAAAUAAUCAACAAAAUAAAGCCUAAAAAAAUACUUUGUUAACUUAAUUUGGUGUUUGAAUGUAAUUAGUAUAUAUAGGCAUGGGAUAUUAAUGUACACUUGUAUAUUAUUUAAUUAUUUUUUAUUUAAUAUAAAUAUAAAAAAUAUAUAAUAAUUAUUCAAGCUGAGUAGGGCUCAGGCUUUAAACUUUAUGUCCAAGGCAUAGCACAUUUUUAAACUAACAUAAAAUUUAAGUCCUAGCUCAUUUAACGAGUCUAAAAUUCAUGUCAAAACCUUCUCAAAUUUCGAGUAGGCUUUUAGGCUCAAGCAAGUAGCUUGACCAACAUAAUUUAAAAGUUUAACUCAUUUAAUUCAUUCAGCUACCUUUAAAAGGUGACAUUCGAUAAGUUUAAAAUUUAAAUAUCAAUACUUGUAUUCUAUUUUCCAAUCUUUAGGCUGCAAAUUUUUGUAUAUAUAAAACAUCAUCUUUUAAAGAAAAAAAUUAAAAGUACUAUCGUUUUUUAUAAUAAAGAUUUUAAUUUGCCUUAAGAAAAAAUUGUUAGAAAUUAAAAGCUUCUACACCCAACCUCAACUACUUAUCUAAUGUAUGACAACAGAAUGAUUUGCUUUGAAAGCGAGAAGAUUGAUUGAUCUUUACGUUUGGUAGCUUUUUUUUCCUUUUUUGGUAAGACAUUUGGUAGCUUUAAUUCUUCACCUAAAAUUUCCUAGUCUGCUUUGACGCAUAUGAAACCAAGACCAUUUGAUUGAUCCUUGCGUUUAGAAAACGAUCAUUAUAGCUUUCGUGACUUAAAAUUUUUUAGUUUGCUUUGAUCUUUGUGGAAAGCAAGAUGAUUUGGAUUGAUCCAAGGCCUAGCACUUAGAACACGGCUGCUUUUGAUGAAUUAAAAAGACAAAAGUUUCAUCGUUAUGCACAUUUCGACUCUUCUUUUGUCUCUCUCAUGGUGACAGAAUUGCUUGCACAGUUUUGGAUUACACCAAUCACGGCUUUGAUAUAUGGUAUUAUCAUAAACUAAUGCUCCAUUUGUCCCAAAAUCUAUCUAUCCUUAUUUGAAUUUUUGUAGAUAUUAAGAAAAAAAAUUGUGGUAAAAAUAAGUAAGCCUAAACAAUGUUCAUACAGCCAAAAAAAAAAGAUUUUAUUUUAUUCUAAAAAUAUAAAAUUAUUUUUUUAAAAUAUUUAAUAUUAUCUAUAAUCAGUUAUCCUAAUAUAAUUUAUAUCUCUUAGAAUAUAUAUAUAGACACACACACACAAAAGAAUGACUGACUGCAAAUCUGUGGCAAAAGUGAUAGAGCCAUAGUAUUUUGCAUCUCUGUGGUGUAAAACGUGGAGUCAAGGAAUAUUAGUUAGGUCUCGAAAAGUAUAUAAGUCCAACGAAUACAAAGAAAAAGAGAAAAAGAUAUAUUAGUUUUAGCUAUGCUUUGUAAAAGGAGAUUAAAGGCAAAUUAGAGGGCCCAAAAUCAAAAGCCUGAUUCAUUUUAUUUAUUGUGAAGACCAAGACCAUCCCAGCACGACUUUCCUGUCGGAGUUGAAUCCUGCAAUUUCAUCAAUUCCCACAGCCAUGAACAUGAUGCAACUGCGUUAAAAAAGAGAAAAAGAUAUAUUAGUUGUAGCUAUGCUUUGUAAAAGGAGAUUAAAGGCAAAUUAGAGGGCCCAAAAUCAAAAGCUUGAUUCAUUUUAUUUAUUGUGAAGACCAAGACCAUCCCAGCACGACUUUCCUCUUGGAGUUGAAUCCUGCAAUUUCAUCAAUUCCCACAGCCAUGAACAUGAUGCAACUGCGUUAAUUUUUCUUAACUUCAUUUCCUCGCAAAUUAUUUUAUUAAUAUUUUCGUAAUUUCAUUUCUAAAAAUAAAAAUUUUGACUCUCCUCAUAUACCAAUUUCACUUAGAGAAAUUUCAGAAAAAUUGGCACUCCAACUUCCCUUGAAAUUCCCUUUUACAAAAGGUUUCAUAUAUUAAAUUAAAUUAACUUUUAAUUAGAAAUUUCAAAUAAUUAUAUUUAUUUAUCAAAGUGAAAUUUUGUAUAAAAUUCAACAAAUGAUAAAUUACGUUUGUCCAACUAUGGAAAUUAUAUUUUUACCUUGGUGACAAGUUAAAUUUAUUUACCAAAUGUUAAGCAUCGCAUGGGAAAUGUUUUUGCAUUAUAUAUAUACUAAUAUUUGAAGCACCCAUUAUCUAGGUGAAGUAAUAAACAAGAAUUAUACCUUUAGAUAAAUGCUAAAAGAGAAAGAAUAUAUAUAGAGUUAUUUGAAAAUGUAAAAUAAAGAAAAAUAGGAAUGUAACUAGUGUAUAGUUUUUUAAUAGAGAAAAAACAGAGAGAAAUGUAAGUUUAAAAAGGACUGGACUUGAAUCAGCUUUCAAAGAAUGUAAAGACUAAAAUAUCCUUAUUAAUUUAUAUUUCAUUAUUACAUCAUGAGUUUAUUUUUUUAAUUCUUCGAUUGAGUUGGUGUUACUUGAAUCGUAUUUAGUAGGAGUUUUAUAAAUAUUAAUCUUAUAUACAUGCACUAUGUGAAUGGAAUAAUAAAUAAUUUUAUAAUUUAAAAAUAGGUUAAUAAUAUAUAUAUAUAUAUAUAUGAUUUUCAAAAGCAUGAAUGAGAAAAAAAUAACUUAUUGAAACAGUUAUUGAGAAAAGAAAAGUGAAAAUAACUCAUUGAAAUUGUUAUUAAGAAAAGAGAAAAAAAAGCAUUUAUUUAUUUAUUUUAACUACCCUGAUCAAGUUCACAUCACUUGACUUAUAGUAUCAAACUCAGCUAAAGAUUUAUAAAUGUACUAAAAUUUGACACAUCCACUAUGUGGAUAAAAAAAUUAUUAAUUAAAAAUAAUUUUUUUUUAAAGGAAGUAACUUUUUUGGUGGGUAGCUUUUUUGAAAUGAUAGUAAAANNNNNNNNNNNNNNNNNNNNNNNNNNNNNNNNNNNNNNNNNNNNNNNNNNNNNNNNNNNNNNNNNNNNNNNNNNNNNNNNNNNNNNNNNNNNNNNNNNNNNNNNNNNNNNNNNNNNNNNNNNNNNNNNNNNNNNNNNNNNNNNNNNNNNNNNNNNNNNNNNNNNNNNNNNNNNNNNNNNNNNNNNNNNNNNNNNNNNNNNNNNNNNNNNNNNNNNNNNNNNNNNNNNNNNNNNNNNNNNNNNNNNNNNNNNNNNNNNNNNNNNNNNNNNNNNNNNNNNNNNNNNNNNNNNNNNNNNNNNNNNNNNNNNNNNNNNNNNNNNNNNNNNNNNNNNNNNNNNNNNNNNNNNNNNNNNNNNNNNNNNNNNNNNNNNNNNNNNNNNNNNNNNNNNNNNNNNNNNNNNNNNNNNNNNNNNNNNNNNNNNNNNNNNNNNNNNNNNNNNNNNNNNNNNNNNNNNNNNNNNNNNNNNNNNNNNNNNNNNNNNNNNNNNNNNNNNNNNNNNNNNNNNNNNNNNNNNNNNNNNNNNNNNNNNNNNNNNNNNNNNNNNNNNNNNNNNNNNNNNNNNNNNNNNNNNNNNNNNNNNNNNNNNNNNNNNNNNNNNNNNNNNNNNNNNNNNNNNNNNNNNNNNNNNNNNNNNNNNNNNNNNNNNNNNNNNNNNNNNNNNNNNNNNNNNNNNNNNNNNNNNNNNNNNNNNNNNNNNNNNNNNNNNNNNNNNNNNNNNNNNNNNNNNNNNNNNNNNNNNNNNNNNNNNNNNNNNNNNNNNNNNNNNNNNNNNNNNNNNNNNNNNNNNNNNNNNNNNNNNNNNNNNNNNNNNNNNNNNNNNNNNNNNNNNNNNNNNNNNNNNNNNNNNNNNNNNNNNNNNNNNNNNNNNNNNNNNNNNNNNNNNNNNNNNNNNNNNNNNNNNNNNNNNNNNNNNNNNNNNNNNNNNNNNNNNNNNNNNNNNNNNNNNNNNNNNNNNNNNNNNNNNNNNNNNNNNNNNNNNNNNNNNNNNNNNNNNNNNNNUUAACUAUGUUUCUUGGUAAGAUUCUUGUAUUUCACUUAUGAUGGUCUUUUGAUCUCUAAUAAAAAUAUGGCUUAGCAAAAAAAAAAAAAAUUACAUAACUUUUGCCUUCUUAUUUUGUAAAAGAACAGUUAAAUUCCCUAAUUUGACAACAAAAAGGGUAAAAGUAGCACUUAUUUUAAUUGCAUAUAAUAAAAAAAGCAUAUAAUUUAUAAUUAUUAUAAUAUAAUUAAUUAAUUAUAAUUUAAAAUUAUGUGAAAUUUAUCAAAAUUUUAUAUAUAACCCAUAUUAUAAGUGAUGAUCCUUAUAUAAUAAUUUAUUAUGAUUAGAUAAUAACUGUAAUAUUAUAGUUAAAAAAAAUAUAAUUGAAAUACUCCAAAUAAAAGUCAGAUAACUUUAGACAAAUCUAUACAUUAUAUUAAAACAAUCCUACGAUAAAAGCAUAGUAGUUGGGGACGAAUUGAAAAUUGAAACGUGGUUGGAUAAGUGAAGAAUGCUUAUCUUUUAAUUUUGAAUGUUGAUUUUUUUAAGGAACGGAGUACGACUAAAAAAAAUCAUUAAUACUAUAUUUUAAAACAAUGGUUUUUGUUAAUAUAUAUUUUUUUGAAAUUGGUUUUUGUUAAAUAUAAUUAAUCAUAGGUUUGUUCCACAAUUACCAUAUAAACUUUACUCAUUUGUCUUAAAAGAACGGAUUGAGUAAAAAAAUAAUAUAGGCUAAGUAAACGUAUGAGCCUUACUUUUUGUAUUAAAAGAGUGGACUUACUAUACAAUGUUAUAGUAAUUUUAAUCUAAUUUUUAAUUUCCAUAUUAAAUUUAUUAUUUAUAUGUAGUAUAAUAAUGCUCAAAUUAAAAUUACCUUAUCUAUUCAAUAAAAAUUUUAUAUUAUAGAAGAUUUAAAUUUAGUAUUUUAUUAUAAUACUAAACCUUGUUAAUAAAUAAUAAAAUUAUAUUAAUUUUAAUAAAAUAUUAAGUGUUGUUAAUAAAUAGUAAAUUUAGAAAAUCUAGAAAAUGAAUUGACCAAUGUCAUUAGCUAAUAAUAGAAAAUUACAAAAUGGAUCAGUUCCAAUUUAAUGAAACUUUAAAUUGGUGUUAAAAGACAAAUAUUUGAGGGAAUAAACACUAAAAGGUUUUUAAUUUGGUUUUAUUGAUGUGGAAAGACUGUUUCCUUCCUACUUCAAAUUAAAUAAUCAUUACAAUACAGGUUUAAAUGAUAAUUUUUUAUGCAAUUUUUAUUUUAGAAUACACUUUUUAUAUGUACCUUUCUUUCUUUCAUUCUUUUCUUCUUGCUAUUCAGGUUUUUUUUUUUUUUUUUUUUUUUCAAAUUUCAAAAUUUUUAGCUUACUUUUUAUCAUCUAUAUAUAAAAUUAAACAAAUAUACACAUAUUACAUCAUCUUUUAUUGUUUUCAAUAUCCAGAAUAUCAAAAUACAACAUUCACUUAAUUCCAUGCAGUGGGAAAAAAAUGGGGUAGUUAACAAAUAGCUCAAAUACAUUCAUGUGAAUUUUGUAUGAUUACAGCAUAUUAACUUUUGACUAUACUUAUAGAAUCUGAAUAUUAUUGUUUUUUUAUAGAAUCUGAAUAUUAUUGUUUUUUAUAACUUUGUUAUGAUGAAUAUCAAAUAUAUUCAUUUGAAUUUUAUUUAAUUUAUCCCUCAUCAUGAACUUUUGAAUUUCAUAAUCCUUUUAAUAUAUACUUAACAGUUUUAAUCAAUUUAAUGAUAUCUAUAUGAUUUAAUUUUUAUGAAACAUUCCACAUAUGCCCUAAUUAUAUGCAAGUUCACCAUUACUUUGAAACUACUCCACGUAGAUACACACUAUUAAUAGAUAUAAAAGGAAUGAAAUACAUUGUUACAUUUUUUGUUACAAAAAAAAUAUAUUUUAAAUAUUUGCAGGUAAAUAAAUAUAAAAAUAUUAAAUAUUAUAUUACUACUUUAAGUUGAUGGAACAAUAAAUUAAGUAAGACGGUAUUAAAUAAAUAUGGGGGUAAUUAACAAAGUACGUGAAUUUUACUUUUUAUUACAUUAUAAAACAAAUCAAGUAAUUUUACCAUAUAUAAUUGCAAUGGGAUAAUAAAUAAUAGCCAUAUUGGCAUCGCAAGUGUUGGGUGCCUAACUUUUUUCCACCUUGGCCUACCUUGUAGUCUUAGGUACUGGUGUGCAUCCUAAUUAGGGUAUCAUUCAAUCAUAAAACGUUUACUAAAAAAUUAAAAAUAUUUUCCAAAAGAUGGAAUUUCGACUUUUAGGUUUGGUUUUCAAAUUACUCUGAGUCUUUGUUUUGCUUUUCCCUAAUUUAAUUGGAAACAGCAUUUGAUUUAAUAAGAUAAAAAGGUUUAGAAAAUCAUUUCUCAAGCCUUUCAAUGGCACCUCAUUUGUUUAACAGUUUUCAUAAUUUUAUGAUUAUUUGUUUUAUAAUUCUAAAGUAAACUUUUUUAAAACUAAAGUAAACAAUUUUAAACAUAAAAGCAAUGAAAUGUUUACAAUAAAAUUACCUGAUAGACUAUUGUUCGAAAGUUCAAUUUUUUUCAAAGAAGAAAUGUUGAAGACGACAUGUGGAAUCAACCCAUUUAAACGCAUAAAUGAUGCAUGUAAUAUCUCUAACGAAAUAAGAUUCCCAAUCUCCCAUGGAAUUUCACCUACAAAGGAACAACAACUUACUAUUAUAAAACUAUCCACUUUCUAAACAUUCCAAUAAUAUUGAGGUCAUUUAAAAUGCAAUAAAAGUCAAUUACACAAGAAAUUCCUAAUUUUUUCAAUGUUUAAAAUAUGAAGGAAUAAUUAAUUUUUUCAAUACCAAAAGUUUUAGUCAAAAUGAGAAAAGAACAAAAGAAAACCAAGAUUUGACUAUCUUCGUGUUGGCCAUUCUAUUAAUUUUUAUUUUUUAGUUAUUUUUUUAUACUUUUUUUCAGUAUAAAUAAUAAUAAAUAUCAAUCAUUUGAAAUCUAAAUAAUCAUAUGCAAAAGCUUACCUUCUAUAUCAUUAUAACCUAGAUAUAUCUCUUCAAGUUUGGUUAAAUUUCCUAUAUUUCUUGGAAUGUGUCCAUUGAAUCGAUUAAAAGAUAAUGAUAAAUUUCGAAGAUUGCCGCAGUCACCAAUAUUUGAUGGAAGGUAACCAAAAAAUUCGUUGUGGGAUAUGUGAAGCACCUCAAGUUUGAAAAGAGAGUAACAUAUAUUAUCUGGAAUACUACCAGAGAGAUUAUUGCUAUAGAGAUAAAUUGCUUUCAAAGAAGUAAGGUUAAAGAUGGAAGUUGGUAUUGGACCAACUAGCCUCAUGUUUCCGGCAGAAAAUAUCUCCAAGCUCAGAAGAUUUCCAAUUUCUGAAGGGAUCUCACCUGUGAAAAUAACAAAAACCAAGUUGUAAGAGCUCGGUCAAGUAGAUAAUUAAAUUAGAUAAUGAAACCAUUUUUUCCAAAUUUUAUGAGAUUAUUGAUUAAAUUAGUUAAUUAUAUUCUCAUUCUAAAUAUUAUCUCAAAAGAGAUUAAAUACCAAAAUUUUGAGUCAUAAUGGGGAAACCAUAAAAGAAACUUAAGUUCAUAUGGUUGAUUUUUUUUAUUUGUCUUUUACUCUCUGUUCAUUUUUGAGUAAAAUAUACCCCAAUUAUCCGUAACCUUCUAAAAAUAUUUCAAAUUCACAUAUUUCAUCAACCAUGAAUGAAAAAUCAAUGAAACAUGCCAUGCGACUGAAAUUUCAACUCAAAAACCAAAAUGAUUCACUUUUUUUUGCUAUGUAACUAAAAAAUAUUUAAUUUACAAUAUUUAUUAUGGUUAAGACUUAAAUUUAUUUUUUUUAAUUUAAAAAUGGAUUAUUUCCAAAAAAAAUAUAAAUUAGUUUUCAAAAAAUACAAAAAAUUAUUUUUAUCAAAUUUUUUGUUUAUUUGAAAAAAUGGAAAAAAGGAAAUAUUAAAAAAUAAAGAAAGAAAAGGGGAAAAACAAAAAAGAGAAAAAAAAUAAAAGAAGGAAAAAUAAAAAAGUAGUUUGGUUAACUAAUUUAAUAAUGACAUUUAUCCGCCUAUUAAAUGUUUAUUUCAAAUUUUAAAUGUAAGUUCUAGGAAGAAAAUAGUUCAUUUAAAACUCAAUUACACAAGAAAUUCCUAAUUUCUUCAAUGUUAAAAAAUAUAAAGGAAUAAUUAAUUUUUUCAAUACCAAAAGUUUGAGUCAAAAUGAGAAAAGUAUAAAAGAAAACCAAAAUAUGACUAUUUUCAUGUUGGUCAUUCUAUUAAUUUUUAUUUUUUACUUAUUUCUUUUUAUUCUUUUUCUAAUAUAAAUAGUAAUAAAUAUCAAUCAAUUGAAAUCUAAAUAAUCAAAUGCAAAAGCUUACCUUCUACAUCAUUAUCUCCUAGAUAUAUCUCCUCAAGUUUGGUUAAAUUUCCUAUACUUCUUGGAAUGAAUCCAUUGAACCGAUUAAAAGAUAAUGAUAACUUUUGAAGAUUGCUGCAAGCACCAAUAUUUGAGGGAAUACUGCCAGAGAUACUAUUGUUAUAGAGAUAAAUUUCUUUCAAGGAAGAAAGGUUCAGGAUGGAAGCUGGCAUUGGACCAACAAGGCUCAUAUUUUGGGCAGCAAAUAUCUCCAAGCUCAAAAGAUUUCCAAUUUCAGAAGGGAUCUCACCUGUGAAAAUAACAGAAACCGAAUUGCAAAGGCUGGGUCAAGCAAAACGAGGCAUUUUUUUGCUUCGCAUCACUAUUCAUUAUGAAGUCAUUUUCUCCUAAUUUUAUGAGAUUAUUGAUUAAAUUAGAUAAUUAAAUUCUCAUUCUAAACAUUAUCUCAAAAGAGAUUAAAUACCAAAAUUUUUAGUCAUAAUGGGGAAAACAUAAAAGAAACUUAAGUUCAUUUGGUUGAAUUUUUUCUAUUUGUCCUUUACCUUCUUUUCAUUUUUUAGCAACCUAUACCAAUUAUAUAUAACUUUUGUGCAAUAUUUCAUUGUCAUCCACAAAUUUUAAAAUGUAGUUUAUGUCCAUAACCUUCUAAAAUUGUUUCAAAAUCAUAUAUUUCAUCAACCAUCAAUGAAAAAUCAAUGAAACAUGUCAUGCGACAAAUUUCAACUCAAAAUUCAAAAGGAUUCACCUUUUUAUGCCAUGUAACUAAAGAAUAUUUAAUUUACAAUAUUUUUUAUGGUUAAGAGUUAAAUUUAUUUUUUAAAUUUAAAAACUGAAUAUUUCCAAAAAUUAAAUUAAUUUUUCAAAAAUAUACAAAAAAUUAUUUUCAGCCAAGAAAUUUUACCUAAGAAAAUAACAUGAGUUUCAUGGUCACUGUUAAUAUUUAGGAGUUUUAACAUGAUAUCAAUAAUUAAAUUAAUUUUAGCACUUACUUUCCAAAUUAUAAAAGUAAUUCUUUUACGGUAAUUUCAAAUUAUCAAAUAAAGUUUAUUUUGACAAAAACUUCAAUGUUGAUAAGAAAAUAAAUAAAACUAGUCAUGUUUUAAUUUAAUAGGAAAAUAAUUAAUUAUAAAUAAAGUAGCUAAUUUAAUAAAUUAUCAAAUUAUCAAAGGAAAAAAAAAAAAAAAAAAAAGCUUACCUUCCAAAUUAUUUCCACCCAAGUAUAGCAUUCUGAGCCUCGUUAAAUUUCCAAUACUCCUUGGAAUGUUGCCACUGAAUCUAUUGAUACUUAAUGACAAAUUUUGAAGACACCUGCAUUCAUCUAUACUAGAUGGAAUUUGACCAAAAAACUCAUUUGAGGUCAAGUAAAGUACCUCAAGAUUGGGAAAAUGGCGACAUAUAUUUUCUGGUAAGCUACCAGAUAGACUAUUGAAUGCAAGAGAGAAAUCAUAUGCAGGAGAAAUGUUAUAAAUAGUGAAGUACAGAGCCAGAAAGUUUGAUUAAAUGCCAGACGAAUGUAUCUGUUAGAUUUCGUAAGCAUCACUUAAUCUCGGUGGAAUGUGUCCUUGAACGAGAUGUACUUCAAAUCCAAGAUCUUCAAGUGACAUUUUAGCUAGUGAUUGAGGCGAUGUGUACUGUCAAAUUAUUGUUCUGGAGACUCAAGUAUAAAACUUUAUUUUAAUCUCCCAAACCAUGAAGGAAUUUCCCCACUAAGAAAAUUGGAACUUAAAUCGAUGAGUUUCAGACGACUAAUUGCCCCAACUCUCUCGGCAAGAUGGCCAUGGAAAUUGGUUGUGACUCCAAAUCAAGAGAUACUAAAAACGAGAGAUUUCCCAAUUGUGGAGGACAGUUCCCGUAAGAUUCAUGUUGGUAAGAUUCAAAGUGUUGGACUCUCCUAUGCUAGAUGCGCAAGAGACACCAACCCAAUUGCAAACAGAAGUAUGAUGGUCCAUGUUGUGGCUAAGAUGCUGUUGCAGGAUCAAUGAUUUGGUGCUUAAAUUUCGAGAAGAGCAUGUUGGUCUGUGGUAAGGUUCCUCCACAAUCAUGGCCGUAGCAAACCAUGAAAACAAUGAAUGAACACUAAAGGCUAGCGAAAGAAAAUGGAAUAUUCUCAUGUUCAUGUCUGUGGAAGGAAAUCCAAAUCGAUGAAAUGGCAGGUGUAUACGGAACUCUGAUCAACAGCAAUUCUUAAAUAGGAAUAAGUUGCCAAUAUGACUUAAGACCUCAAGAGGAAGUUCUGGGUUUGGUCUUGGUCUUCACAAUUAACAAAUGAUUCAAGCUUUUGAUUUUGGGCCCUCUAAUCUUUUUUGAUCUCCUUUUACAAGCAUUGGCGAAGCUAAUUUAUCUUUUUGCAUUCUUUCUUUGUCUUUUUCUCUUUCUUUCUUUUAAUUUUUUUGUCUUGUACACUUUUUAAGGCCCCAUGACUCCACGUUUUACAAGAGAGAGUUGCAAAAUAGUAAUGGCUCUAUCUUUUUUGUCAAAAAAAAGUAAUUUAUAGUUUUUUUUAAACUUCUGAGUUAGUUAUUGUACAAAUCAAAGUAACUUAAAUUUAAUUUGUAAAAUUACUUAAAAUCAAAAUGAAAUAAUAAUAAAAAUAUGUAAGUAAAGAUAUUUAUGUAUUUUUAUUUAAAAAUUUAUGAUGAAAGAAAGUUUUUCCAUUUCCAGAUCAAAACAGGCUGCAAACUUUAAGGAGAAUUUAUACUAGAUUUGCAUAUCAUUCACCAAAAGUAGUGCUAGUAGUGGGAUUCCUCCCUACUACCGUUAAGUUUUCUCAUAAUUAUGGCGUAGUUAACCAUGAAAUAGUGAAUGAACAUUAACGCUGGCGAAAGAAAAUGGAAUUUUCUCAUAUCUAUGGCUGUGAUGGGAUCUAUGUAUAUCAAAACAGGUAACAUAAAAUAUUGAAGAAAUUGAGUCUGCAUAAAGCAUUAUUUAAAUAGAUUUCUAUACACACUACGAACUCGUCAACACUCAAGACAACCGAAAUUAUGAUAGGACAUUGAAGUCAAGACUUGGGGCCUUAGCAUGUCUUGGUCUUCACCGUGCUCUUCUGCAAUAAGCCAAGCUUUUAUUUUGGACCUUUUCAAUUUGCUGUUUUCAUAAACGAGAUAGGUAAGGUGCUAAGGCCUAGUUUAGUAUUAUCCUCGCGAUUGAAUAAAGUUUGGGUUAAAAAAAAGUGUUUAAAAAUAUUAUAAAAGAAGUGUAAUUAAAAAUUUUAGGUGUUUUGUGUUGUCGUGAAAAAUUAUUAUGUGUAAUUGAAAUGUUUGAUAAUAAUAAUAAUAAUAAUAAUAAUAAUAAAAAAUUAAAAAUAAAAAUAUAAUAUAAUAAUUUUUUAUUUCAAACACAUUUUUUAUCACAAAAAUAUCUAUCAAGAAAUUUUUUGUUUGAAUUUAUAAAUCAGUUUUUUAAAUUGAAAAACUAUAUUUUUUAUUUAACAUUAAAAUUAUAUCUAAAGUUGGAACGUAAAAAUUAUUUUCAACACAAUACAAACCGAGGUCUAAAUCUCUCCAUAUAAAGAGUAUUCAUACCGUACAAAUUCAAAACCUCUUACUCUUUAAAUAAUAAAAGUUCUCUUCAUCUAAAUACGAGUAUAUAUACAACCUUGCAAAUUUAACUAUAUUUUACUCAUCAAAAUGAAAUUUUGUUAUUUCUAAUUAACCAUUUCUAUUUUAAUUUUAGAAUUAUUAUAUUUUAAUUCUGGCCUACUACAUCCAUCUCGACUCUAUUAGAAUAAAAUUUUUUAGUUCCUCCACAAUACAUAUUGGACUUUUUUUUUUUUGAAUAAAUAACAUAUGAGAUUUUUAAAUUUUAAGCCAAAAUGAUAUAUAGUCCAAAAUUUAAAGACUACGGGUACUAUUUAUUAUGUUUUAGUAAAAAUAGUUCCUAUUUUCUGUUCUUUUAUAAUUAUCAUAAGUUUUUACAAAUACCCAAAUAUUCAAGCUUAAAUAUGAAAUUUUCACUCAAUGAUUUAAGUGGGAUGCCUAUCAUACAAAUCAUAUUAUUGACAAUUAAUCAAUUAUAAUUCUUAUUGUAGGGUUCAUAAAGUAAUCAUAUAGAACCCACAAGUUUAAGUGGUGGACUCCUACAUAAUUCGUUGUUAUGAUUAACUAAUUUCAAUGUUGCAAUAAAGAGAAUAGUAUGUGAAAUGCUACCCUUAUGCUAAAGUUUAAUAUGAUCUAUAUGCACUAUCCUCAUUUGUUAUCUCUUUGAGGAUGAAAGUAAAAGAUCGCUAAUAAGUUACGCUGAAAGAAUAUCAUGAAUACAUAAAUAUUACAAGAAUCAUAUCACUUAUUGCAAAUUAGAUUUUGAUUGAAAUUCAUUUUAAAAAUUUAAAAUUGAUACCAAAACAACUUUAAGUAUAUAUAACCUUUAAAUAUAAAGGAUAAUACCUUAAAUAGCCCUUGAGUUAUUGUAAUUUUUUUUAAUGCGAGACCUAAACUAAAAAAAAUUCUAAAUUAGGGUCAAGGGUUAUUUAUGGUAUUGACCCUAAAUAUUAUUAGAAUCAUAACAACUUUGGUUUUAGUUGUAGUGAGAAAAUUUCCAAUCUAAUUAAAUAAUCAAGCAAGUAGAAGCAUAAUUAAACAAUUGAUUAAUCACACAAAAAUUAGCAAUUUAAUGUGGUUUAGCUCAACUAGCUAUAGACACCAAAUUUGUUCGGGAUUUUAAUUGGGUCUCUGUUUAAAAUUCACCAGGUUUCUCAAGUUUUAGGAUUGAGGCUUGAUUUUGAUUCAAUAGGACCUAAGGCCUAGUUUCAAUUUUUAGGCUCAAGCCUAUUUUUUUAUUUUUACUUUUAUUGUAUUUUUAAUAUUAAAAUACAUUACUAUUAAUUAAACAUUAACAAAAAAUAUAUAAAAACAAAAAAAAACAAAGGCUAAAAGAUAAAAAAUAAAAAAAGAGCUGGUGGUGGAUGCCGUGCACAGCACCAUUGCCACCCACUCCCCUAAACCCCCCAAAACCCAACCGUUAACCCCCGUACCCUAUAACUGCACCCUUGGAAUCCUAUGAGUCACACCUUUCUUGGUAGAAGGUUGCAACUAGAGCUUUAUAAGUAAAGUUCCAUGGUGGCAAACCAAAGAAAGAGGGAGAAGAGACUCUAUAAAAAGAAAAGGAGAAACUCUGCCCUAAAAGAAAAAAACCACCAAAAGAUUCUGAAAACAAUUUCUGGAAGCAAACAAAAAAAAAAUCUUGUCCAAAAAAAAUAAAAAGCCAUUGCCAACAAAAAAUACAAAAAGAAAAUACUAUCCUCAGAGGAGGGGAACCUAGCAACAUAAAGAAAAAUACAAAAACACAAAAAAAAAUUUUGAGUUUUUUUUUUAAGAAGCCAAAGGGUUUUUUUUUUUUUUUUUUUUAUCUAAGAUUGUAGGUUAGUUUACAGGUAAAACAGAAGUAAGACUGGGGUAGAGGGGGCUUAGAGGAAUCUUUUAGUUUUUUUUUUAACUUUUUCGACAAUCGACGGGAUGAUCGAUGACCACCAUGUGACGGUCGAUAUGACAGUUGGUGUUGGUUUCUACCAACGGGCUGGCCCUCUGGGUUUUUGGGUUGAGAGGAUUUUGGAUUUUUCUUUUGGAAGGAAAAGGAAAAAUGAGCAAAAAAAAUUAAGGCUUUUUAUAUAAGAGACCUAUGGGCCAAAAUGAUGUCAUUUUGGGACCCUAAGAUCCGUGGACCUGUGACCUGACCUAGGACCUAGUUCCCCUUUUAGCUCAGAUCGAUUUAGUUGAAUUGGCUCAAAUCGGCAUUAACCAGCCCAAAUAGAAGUUGAUCAAAGUAUUGAUCGAUCCAGUUUAGGUAAUUUUUUUUUUAAUUUUUUGAAUUAUUAUUUUAAUAUUUUACGUAUUAUUUUAAAUUUUAUCAUUAGUAUUUAUGCAUGUUAAAAUAUUUAAAUUUAUUAGAAUAAAUUUUAUUUUUUUAGUAAAAGUGAAAAUAAAAAUAAAUAAUAAAAAAUAUAGUUUAAAGUUUUGAUAAUUUUAUUAAAAUUAAAAUUAACCUUAUAAAAUAAUAUAAUUAAUAAAAAUAUAAUAACUAAAGAUAAUAAUGAUAACAAUAAUAAAAAAAAGGAAAAUGAUCUAUUAAAUUUUUAUAUUUUUAAAUUUAAGAAUAAUAACAAAAAAUAAUAAAAAAUGUAAUAAAUGGCUUUUUUAUCCAAUGACAAGAUUCUAAGGUAUUUCAAGUUGCGAUGCCUAUAAAAUAUUUAGGUGAAAAAAAUUUUUAAAUAUUACCAAUGUAUUAGAGUAUUUAUAAAAUUUUUUAAUAAAAUAAAAAUUUUUCUUUUUUUUUGGCUAUAAAGUAAUAAAUGAAAAUUAACAAAAAUUAUUAAAAUGAAUAAUAAAAAAAGAGGAAAAAAAUUUUUGUUCAAUGAUGGGAUUUUCUAAAAAAAUUAUAUCACAAAUUUUAACAAAUAAAAACUAAAAAAAAUCAAAUCUAAACAUGAUGUCGAUAUGAUCAUUAAUAUAUUUUUUCUUUAAAAAUGAUCAAAUUAAAAAACAUUAUGAAGAAAAAAGAAAAAUAUAUUUUAAAUAAUAAUAUCAAUUGAGUAUCAUAUUAAAAAAUUUUAAAACAUUUAAAAAUAUUUAUUAAAUAUAAAAAAAUUAAAAAAAGUUAAUAGAAAAAAAAAGAAAAAGUGAAAAACAAGUAAUCAAAUAACUUAAUAUAUGACAUAUCAUUGAUAUCAAGUAGGUCUAAAAAAAUUAAAAUCUAAACAUGUUAUUUACUAAAUAUAUUAAAAAAAUAAAAAAGUAAAAAAUAAAAAAACACGUGGCACUCUCAGUAUAAGUAUGUUCCACAUAAAAAAAUCUAAAAAACAUUUAUUAAAUAUUUAUAAAAAUAUAAAAAGAGAAAAGCAAAAAAGAAAAGUUUUUAUAUAAACGAAUUCCAUAUAUAAAAGAUAAAAUCUAAAAAACUAUAUUUUUUAGCAUUUAAAAAUUAUUAAAUAUUUAAAAAGGAAGAUAAAGCAAAAAAAGAAGAAAAAAAGGAUAGGAAGAACAUGUGACACUUGAUGCACCCAAAGCUGAUCGUACAUGAGUAAAAUUAACUAUAUAGAUAGAUGAUUAACCCAAUAGUUAAUGCUGCUGAAAUUCUUUACAAAUAAUGGAAAGACUUCAAGCUUGAAUCAGGAGUUUAACUCAUUAUAAAUAAGUGGCAUUCAUCAAUUUUGAGAUUUAAAAUAUAAAAAAUUUAAAAAGUAUAUUAAAAAUAUUCAUUAAAUAUAAAUUUUUUUAAAAAAGUAAAUAGAAAAGAGUAAAAAAAAGAAUUAAAUAACUUGACAAGUGAAAUAACAUUGGUAUCAAGUAGGUCUAAAAAAUUAAAAUCUAAAAAUGUUAUUUACUAAAAAAAUAAAAAAAUAAAAAAAAUGGAACUCUUGGUAUCAAGUGGGUUCCAUACAAAAAAAUAAAAAUCUAAAAAAAUAUUUAUAGAAAUAUAAAAAGAGAAAAGCAAAAAAAGAAAAGGUUUUAUGUAAAUGCAUCCCAUAUAUAAAAAAAGUCUAAAAAACUAUAUUUUUUAGAAUUUAAAAAAUUACUAAAUAUUUAAAAAAUAUACAGUAAAAAAUUAUACAAAAAAAAGAGAUAGGAUGAGUGUCACGGACUAGGCUUUUUCUCAACAAGCAAUAGACCAUGUGGCAUUUGAAUAGACGGUCCCACCCAAGUCAGCCCUGAAUAGUUCGAUAUCUGAACAAAUAACCAUAAGCCACAGUUAGUCCAAAGCGUACACAAUAAGACACAUUUAUAUCGAGAUCAAUCUCAGGCACACACAAGAAGGCACAUUCACAUUGAGAAAAAGAAAAACACAUCAAAGCAACAUUCGGGACAUUCGAAUCGGAGGUGAAUUUCAUUAUAAUCAAGAAUAGUACAUCGAGACUUCCCACCAUCGUCAGGGCCAGGGGACAGCCCUUGGCGAAUGGCCUAGGCCCGUAUCACGAGCGGUGAGAUAGCCCAACAGUACGCUGCCCGCUCACCCCCUAAAAAGCUUUAGAAAUUUUAGAGUUAUGCUACCACUAACUAUUACAAUGUUUGAAAUGGGAUACUUUUCUUAACAUAAGAGAUCUACCCUCCUCUCUUGGCACCUCUACCCGAUCAUGACCCUAUACAUGGGUGGCUCAUAACAACCUAAGCCUCGGUCAUGGCCCUAUACAAGGUUGGCUUAUGACAUCCUCUUCCACCUAUUCUAUCAACAUCCUCGUCGACUUGCUGGCUUGAAAUUCUUUAAUCUUCCUUUUGAAUCUCCAAAGAUCAUGUUCCAUUUCCUAGUUAGUUUCUUUUAGUCCUAAUCCCUCCCACUUCACUAAGUAUUCAUGAACUAGUCUUUGAGAUACCUUGGUUUCCCUAUCAGUUAAGAUCUUUUCGACUCGACACUCUGAGGGUGGCUUCAUGGUGAUGAUGACUCUGGUUGGCUCCCUUCGACUAGUAUCUGUAGGAUCUGCAUGGAAAGGUUUCACGUUGCUCACAUGAAAUACUGGGUGCACUUUCAUCCACUUUGGUGGGUCAAUUUUGUAAGAAGCAUUCCUCACCUUAGAAAGGAUCUUCAUUAGACCCUCAUAUGACUCUCAUAUUUGUGCACUAAUCUACGAUAUCUCUUUCUUAAGAACCUGGUUUGUUCAAGAACUAGUCGAACAAGAACCAAAUCACUAGCUUGGAAUUGUUACGCCCUGCGACCUUUGUCCGCCCAUUUUUUCAUUCGCUUUAAUGCCUUAUCCAAGUAGGCUGGUGCAAUCUUAGUAUUUUGUUUCCACUCCUUUUCGAGGUUGAAGGCUCUUGGAUUUUUCCCUCUAUAUUACUCUAAGGAAGUAUGGGGUAACCUUGGUAAUUAUUCUGUGACCACCUCAAAUGGGCUUUUAUUAGUGGAAGAGCUUUUGUUAAAAUUAAAGCAAAGCUGAGCAAUGUCCAAUAACGAAGGCUAAUUUUUUUGAUUGGCUUGAACAAAGUGCCUUAAGUAUUUCUUUAGUAAUCCAUUGAACCGUUUCGUUUGACCGUCGGUUUGAGGGUGGUAGCUUGAGGAGAUGUUAAGUUGAGACCCCAGUAUCUUGAAAAGUUCUCUCCAGAAGAUCCUGUGAAUCUCGAAUCUUUAUUGCUUAUAAUGUUUUGAGGAAGGCCCCAAUAUUUGAUCAUACGUUGAAACAGUAGUCAAGCUGUCUCUUUCGUAGUAUAAUACUUUUGAGUGGGAAUGAAUGUGACGUACUUAGAGAAACAGUCAAUCGCCACCAAAAUAGCUCCAAGAUCACCAACCUUGGGAAGGCUCAAAAUGAAAUCGAGAGAGAUGCUUUCCUAUGGUCUAGCGAGCACCGAUAGUGGUUCAAGUAUGCCUACAAGUUUUUUCUUUUCAAUUUUGUCUUAUUGGCAGAUGAGGCAAGUCUUUGUAUAGUCUAUCACGUCUUAUAGCAUGUGAGGCCAAUAGUAUCCUUAUUUCAAUAAAGCCAAAGUACGUUGCCAACCCAGAUGUUUUACCCAUGGUAUGUCAUGACAUUCCCUCAUCAGCAUCUAUCUCAGACCUCCUACUCUUAGCACAAAUAAUCGGGGCCCUUUGGUCCACAAGUCCCCAUUUUCUUGCCAGAAGUACUUGUGUCACGGACUUAAAGAAGAGUCAUUAAUCUCACAUUGAACAUAAUAGGAGGGUCACUGGGGUAUAAAAGGGUUCACACCACCUUUUUCUUGUGAGGUACCUUUUAUAGGAUAAAAUCAUGAGGCCAAGGGGACCAAAGUGGACAAUACCUCAUAAGGGUGUGAACCGUGACAGAUAGGCUGAUUUGAGACACCGAAUGAGUAGAUGCCCAGGUCUCAGAGUCGCGCGGGUUUGAAGCUUAAGUCUCAACUCGUGACAAGUGGUAUCAAAGCUAGCCCUAAACCGUUCGAUCCAUGUCAAGUGCCUCGAGGAAGGUAGGCAGGGUGGUCAGCCUCCGUGACAAGAGUGUCACGAGGUUGGGUGGGUGAGAAUGUCACAGACCUAAGAAAGAGUUUAUCUUACAUUGAACAUAAUAGGAGGGUCACUAGGGUAUAAAAGGGUUCACACCACCUCUUCCUUGUGAGACACCUUUUGUAAGAUAAAAUUGUAAGGUUAAGGGGGCUAGAGUGGAUAAUACCUCACAAGGGUGUAAAUUAUGGUAGGUAGGUUGAUCUGAGAUAUCGGAUGAGUGGAUGCCCAGGUCUCGAAGUGAAGUGGGUUGGAAACUUAAGUCUCGACUUGUGUAUCAAAGCCAGCCCUAAAUCGUUCGAUUCACGUCUGGCACCUCGAAAGAGGUAGGCAUGGUGGCCAGCUUCCGUGAUGAAGAUGUCACGAGAUUAGGUGAGGAAGAAUGUCACGGACCUAAGGAAGAGUCCCGAAUCCUACAUCGAACAUAAUAAAAAGGUCACUAGGGUAUAAAAGGGUUCAUACCACCUCAACCUUGUGAGGCACUUUUUGUAGGACAAACGUGAGGCCAAAGGGGCCAGAGUGGACAAUACCUCAUAAGGGUGUAAACUGUGACAGAUAGGCUGAUCUAGAUGUCGGAUGAGUAGAUGCUCGGGUUUCAGAGUCGUGUAGGUUCAGAGCUUAAGUCUCGAUAUGUGACAAGUGGUAUGUGAGCCAGCCCUAAACCGUUCGAUCCAUGCCUAGCACCUCGAGGAAGGUAGGCAAGGUGGCCAGCUUUCGUGACGAAGGACGUCACGAUGUUAGGUUAGGAAGAAUGUCACGAACCUAAGGAAGAGUCUUGAAUCCCACAUCAAACAUAAUAAGAGGGUUAGUAGGGUAUAAAAAAGUUUACACUAUCUCUGCCUUGUGAGGUACCUUUUGUAGGAUAAAAUUGUUAGGCCAGAGAGGCCAAAGCAGACAAUACCUCACAAAGGUGUGAACCAUAGUUGGAAGGCUAAUCUGGGAUGCCAGAUGAGUGGAUGCCAGGUUUCGAAGUCACACGAGUUUGAAGCUUAAGUCUUGACCCGGGAUAAGUGGUAUUAAAGUCAGCCAUAAACUAUUCGAUCCACGUCGAGCGUCUCGAGGGAGGUAGGCAGGGUGGUCAGCCUCCGUGACGAGAGCGUCACGAGGUUGAGGGGUGAAAAUGUCAUGGACCUAAGAAAGAGUCUUAAAUCUCACACCAAACAUAAUAGGAGGGUCACUGGGUAUAAAAGGGUUCACAUCACCUCAACCUUGUAAGGCACCUUUUGUAGGAUAACUAUGAGGCCAAGAGGGCCAGAGCAGACAAUACCUCACAAGGGUGUGAAUCAUGGUAGGUAGGCUGAUUUGAAACGUCGGAUGAGUGGAUGUCCAGAUCCUAGAGCCACACGAGUUUGGAGCUUAAGUCUCGACCCGUGACAAGUGAUAUCAGAGCUAGCCCUAAACCAUUCGAUCCACGUCGAGCGUCUCGAUGGAGUAGGCAGGGUGGUCAGCCUCUGUGAUUAGGGCAUCAUGAGGUUGGGUGGGUGAGAAUGUCAUAGACCUAAGGAAGAGUCCUGAAUCUCACAUCAAACAUAAUAAAAGGGUCACUGGGGUAUAAAAGGGUUCACACCACCUCUUCUUUGUGAGGCACCUUUUGUAGGAUAAAACCAUGAGGCCAAAGGGGUUAGAGCGAACAAUACCUCACAAAGGUAUGAACUGUGGUGGUUAAACUGAUCUGGGACGUUAGAUAAGUGGAUGCUCGAGUCUUAGAGUCAUGCAGGUUCGAAGUUUAAGUCUCGACUCAUGACAAGUGGUAUCAGAGCUAGCCCUAAACCAUUCGAUCCACACCAAGUGCCUUAAGGGAGGUAGGCAGGGUGGCCAACCUCUGUGACGAAGACGUCAUGAGGUUGGGUGGAAGAGAAUGUCAUGGACCUAAAAAAGAGUCCUGAAUCCCACAUCAAACAUAAUAGAAAGGUCAUUGAAGUAUAAAAAGGUUCAUACCAUCUCUACCUUGUGAGGUACCUUUUGUAAAACAAAACUAUGAGAUCAGGGGGUUAGAGCAGAUAAUACCUCACAAGGGUGUGAACCCUGGCAGGUAGGCUGAUCUGAGACUUUGCAUGAGUGGAUGCCCGGGUAUCGGAGUCGCGUAGGUUCAGAGCCUAAGUCUCGAUUCGUGACACUUGGACUUUCCUUUUUCAACUAGUUUCAGGAUGACACUGGCCUAUGGAUCUUUCCCUAAAUGAUCUUUAAUUAACUUACGAAUGUUUAUUGUGACUCUGCUAGCCACCAUUGGGGCAAUUCUUUUAAGGGCUGCUAACUCCGUUUGUCUGCUUAAUGCAUCGGCCACUUGGUUGGUCUUUCCAGCGGUGUGCUCAAAAUAAAAAUUGAACUUUGCUAAAAAUUCUUGCCAUCUAGCUUGUUUUGCUGUAAGCCUUAGUUGGGUGAGGAAAUGGCUAACGAUCGCAUUGUCUGUCUUCACGACAAAGUGUGAACCCAACAAAUAAUGUCGCCAAGCCUUCAGGUAGUGACCUACCAUUAAGAGCUCUUUUUCUUGGGCCAUAUAUUUUCUUUCAGCUUCGCUAAGCUUUCUACUUUCAAAUGCUAUUGGAUGAUGUUGUUGUAAAAGUACUCCCCUAAUAGAGAAAUCAGAUUCAUCAGUCUAAACUUUGAAAGGCUUUUCAAUGUUAGGGAGAGCUAAGAUAGGAUCCUUCAUAAUAGCAUUAUUCAAUCCCUCAAAGGCCUAUUGGCACUCACUUGUCCAACACCAUUUAUGCUCCUUUUUCAAUAGCUUCGUGAGGGCCGUGGUCUUGCGAGAGUACCCUUCUACAAAUCUUCUAUAAUAGUUGGCUAAUCCCAAAAAUGAAUGAAGUUCACUAACAUUUUUUAGUGUUGUCCACUCCUUGAUAGCCCUAACCUUUUUCAUGUCUAUUCGAAUGUGGUCACGUUCGACAAUGUGACCUAGAAAGUGGAUUUGGGUCUGAGCAAAUGCACAUUUUUCCCUUUUCACAUACAACUGGUGGUCUUGUAAUCUUUGAAGCACCUGGCGUAAGUUUUUUGAUGUUAUUCCAGAGUAGAGCUAUAUACCACUAUGUCAUCUAAAUAGAUAACUACAAAUUUAUCUAAAUAGUCAUGGAACACCUGAUUCAUCAAUGUACAAAAUGUGGCAGGAGCAUUGGUCAAUCCAAAGGGCAUAACAAGAAAUUCAAAUACGUCAUACUGUGUUACACAAGUGGUUUUUGGCUCAUCUCCUUCAGUGAUUCUGACCUGAUGGUAGCCAAAUCUCAAGUCCAAUUUGAAAAAGUACUUGGCCCAGCUUAGUUGAUCAAACAAAUAUGCUAUAAGAAGGAUGUGAUAUUUGUUUCUCACGAUGAUUUUGUUCAGGGCCCUGUAGUCAACAUAUAAUCGCAAACUUCCAUCAUGCUUCUUCUGAAAUAGCACUGGCACUUUAAAAAGAGCCUUUGAUGGUCUAAUGAAUCCAACCUGUAGAAGCUCAUCUAACCGUUUCCUUAGUUCGGCCGACUCUAGUGGAGCCAUGUGAUAAGGGGCUCUAGCAGGGGGUUUGACUCAUGGGAGGAGCUCAAUUUCAUGGUCCACAGCUUUUCGAUGAGGUAGAACCUUAGGCAACAUCCCUAGCAUCACCUCUUUGAAUUCUUUUAACAUUUUUUCCACACUAUUGGGUAUCAAUUUCACUUUCAACCCUUCCUUGUAAAUCGACAUGGUCACAAAUAAAGGGUUCUCCUCUCUUUACCCUUCUUAAAUUGUAAAGCUGAGAUCAUUUUCUUUCCAUUCUUUGGCAAGAUAGUGGUUGGCACCACACAAAGGUGUUCCCCUAAGAACAACAAGGCAACUAGCUACGGAGAUAGGGAUCACUUGAGCCAACAUCAUAAAGUUCAAUUCAAGGACAACAUCAAAGUCAUCCAUGAGGGAAACUGUGAAGUUUACCUUCUCUUUCUAUGGCCUCAACUUGGUCAUCACACUCUUGGAGCUUUCAUUAAUCGUAAAGGCUGUCGAAUUGGCCACCUUUAUUCGCCUGUAGUCUUUGCUAACCUGGAGAUCACACCUUUUUGCUUUUUUUGGUGUGAUGAAAGUAUCAAUUGCACCCGUGUCUACCAUGGCCCUUGUGGCCUUCUCAUUGAUGAUUAAGUUCACAUACAUCAGGCCUCUACCUUACUCUUUUUUUAUCGUGUUCAGUUAGGUGUAGAGGGCAUUGAGAAACCUUAUUGAACCCAUCCUGGUUGGCUCCUCUUCAAUUUUUUUAAUGAUCUUCGGUGCUUUUAUGGACUCUUGAGAUGAGGCUCUUAAGGCAUUAAGGGCUCAUCUGUGUGGGCAUUUGGCUACCUGAUGCAGCCCCUUACAUUGGAAGCAAGCUAAUGGUUGCCUAGGCCUAAAAAUCACUGUAUUGUUUGCCUUAGUUUGGGUGCUAUCUCGACCAAAGGACCUCCUAUCUGAUCCCCUACUAAAGGCUGGUCCAAUCUAGUCAUCUUUCUCCCACUCUCAAAGUUGAAGUUACUACCAGCUAAUGGAGGAUUUUUUUGUUUUGAGGAGCCAUCAUUAUAAUCAUGGAGAUGUUCAGCUGCAGCCAUGGUCUUGGCCACAUCUUGCACUUUUUAUCUUUGUAAUUAUGUCAUGGCCCAAGGCUUGAGGCCCUCAAAGAAAUAAAACAUCUUGUCUUUUUCGGACAUGUCUCGAAUAUCCAACAAUAGGGUAGAAAAACUCCUCACAAACUCUCACACUGUUCCUAUUUGCACCAAUUCUCAAAGUUUCUUUUGGGCCAUAUACUCCAUAUUCUCAGAGAAAAACUUGUUUUUCAGUUCCUGUUUUAGGUCCGUCCAAGUCUUAAUUGGACACUCAUCAUUGAUAAACUUGGAGUGCCACCAUAACUUGGCAUUCCCUGUGAGGUACAUCGACGUCAUUGCUAUCUUAUCUUCCUUUGAAUCUGUGUGUUAAGCUCAAAAGUAUUCCUCCAUGUCAAACAGAAAGUUUUCAAGCUCUUUGGCAUCUCUUGCCCCCUCAUAGCAUCGAGGCUCCAGCACCUUGGCCCUUUUUCUCCUUUCCGUCGAGCUCGAACUUGAUAUGGCCACAAUCAUUUGUAUGAUGCUCACUUAUGCUCUGAGCUCUUCAAACUCCUUUUGGAGAACAUUCAAGGCAUCUCUAGCCUCCUCGUCCACGUUGUGCAGAGUAUCGAACAACUCCCAAUGGGUUGUCUCGAUCUCCCUCAAUCGAUUUUUAGUCACCAUGUGAGUUUUCAAUACGGCCAUCGCGGCCUCAAGCUCCUCAAGUCUCUGUUGAUAAUUGGGUCCACCACUUGUGGCCAUCUUAUCAAUUUUCUAGCACUUUUCAAUCGUGCUCUGAUAUCAUGUGUCACGGACUAGUCUUUCUCUCAACAAGCAAUAGACCGUGGGGCACUUGAAUGGAUGCUCCUACCCAAGUUAGCCCUCAAUAGCUUGAUAUCUGAACAAAUAACCAUAAGCCAUAGUUAGUCUCAAGCGUACACAAUAAGACGCAUAUCGAGAUCAAUCCCAAGCAUACACAAAAAGGCACAUUCACAUCGAGAAAAAGAAAAACACAUCAAGGCAACAUUCGGGACAUUCGAAUCGGAGGUGAAUUUUAUUAUAAUCAAGAAUAGUAUAUCAGGACUUCCCACCAUUGCCAGGGCUAAAGGGCAGCCCUUGGCGGAUGGCCUAGGCCCGUAUUACGAUCGGUGAGACAACCCAAUAGUACACCACCCGCUCACCCCCCCUAACAAGCCUUAGAGAUUUUAGAGCUAUGCUACCACUAACCAUUAUAAUAUUUGAAAUGGAGAUACUUUUCCUAGCACAAGAGAUCUACCCUCACCCUUGGCACCUUUACCCGGUCAUGGCCCUAAACAUGUGUGACUCAUAACAACCUAAGCCUCGGUCAUGACCUUAUACAAGGUUGGCUCAUGACAAUGAGCAUGUGACAUGUGACACACCCAUAGGUACAUGAGUAAAAUUAACUAUAUUAAUAGAUAGAUGAUUAGUCCAAUGAUUAAUGCUAUUGAAAUUCUUUACGACUAAUGGAAAGAGUUCAAGUUUGAUUUAAGAGUUUAACUCAUUUUUAAGAGUUGUUAGCCAAUAAUUUUGAUAUUUAAAUUCUAACAUUUGCAACAUUUUGUUUCUUCCCUAAAUUGCAGCCUGAUGCUUUAUAAAAUGCAAGAUUUCAACUUUGAAAACUUAUUAACUUUUUAUUUUUUUUUACCUUUUUUUUAUUAUUUAAACACUCGAUAUAUAAAUGUCAUGUAAUGAUGAUACUUUUAAUUAUUUUUUAAAUAAUUAAAACAUAAUUAAAUUAAUAAACACAAUCUACUUAUAAUACUAAUAAUCUCAAAUUAAUAUUUAAUUAAUAUCAAAGUACCCUAAAUGGUCAACAAAUGAAUUACUUAAAUAACUAUAACGUAGAGAUAAAUUAAAUUAUAAAAAUUUAAAUUAGCACAUCAAAUAAAUAAAAAUAUAAAGCAUGAUUUUAUAUUUAUAAAUAAAAAAUAAUAAGAAAUAUAAAUUCAAAUAAAAAAUUUAUCCAAUGUUUUAAAAUGAGCCAAAAAUACAACUCUCAAUUUUACUUACAAAAUGUCGAGAGUACCCAUAAAAUUGGACAAAUUUUCUCUAUAUCCUAUAUGAACAUUUGUAACUGUCACAUCUUUUAUGGCUAUUAAUUUUCAAUUAGUGAUAGAUGAUAGAUUAUGAUUUUGUAAAAAAUUUUUCCAAAGGUAAUAAUAAUGUUGCCGGACAAUAAAAUCUUUAUUUUUUUAUGCUAAGUAAAAUCUUAAAUUUAUUUUUUAAUCAAAAUUAUGGAUACAUAUACAUACUAAUAUUAAAGGGAUUGAUUGAGUUGGUGUCAUGAUUUAAUCAAAUACUAAACCUUUUUUUUUUCUUGGUCAAGAAUCAAACACCAAGUUGGUAAAUUUACUUUAAAUCUAAAGUUAAAUUACAAUAAUAAUAUAUAUUUAGGAAUAUUUAUGUAUUAUUUUUUUAAAUUAAAACAAACUUUUUUACCAUCAUUUCAAAAAAGCUACCCACCAAAAAAGUUACUUCCUUUAAAAAAAUUUUAUUUUUAAUUAAUAAUUUUUUUUAUCCACAUAGUGGAUGUCUCAAAAUUUAGUACAUUUAUAAAUCUUUAGCUGAGUUUGAUACUAUAAGUUAAGUGAUGUGAACUUAAUCAGGGUAGUUAAAAUAAAUAAAUAAAUGCUUAUUUUUUCUCUUUUCUUAAUAACAAUUUCAAUGAGUUAUUUUCACUUUUCUUUUCUCAAUAACUGUUUCAAUAAGUUAUUUUUUUUUCUCAUUCAUGCUUUUUGAAAAUCAUAUAUAUAUAUAUAUAUAUAUAUGUUAUUUUAACCUAUUUUUAAAUUAUAAAAUUAUUUAUUAUUCCAUUCACAUAGUGCAUGUAUGUAAGAUUAAUAUUUAUAAAACUCCUACUAAAUACGAUUCAAGUAACACCAACUCAAUCGAAGAAUUAAAAAAAAAACUUCAUGAUGUAAUAAUGAAAUAUAAAUUAAUAAGGAUAUUUUAGUCUUUACAUUCUUUGAAAUCUGAUUCAGGUCCAGUUCUUUUUAAACUUACAUUUCUCUCUGUUUUUUUCUCUAUUACAAAACUAUACACGAGUCACUUUCCUAUUUUUCUUUGUUUUACAUUUUCAAAUAACUAUAUAUAUAUAUAUAUAUAUAUAUUCUCUUUUAACUUUUAUCUAAAGGUAUAAUUAUUGUUUAUUACUUCACCUAGAUAAUGGGUGCUUCAAAUAUUAGUAUAUAUAUAUAUAAUGCAAAAACAUUUCCUAUAAGAGGCUUAUCAUUUGGUAGAUAAAUUUAACUUUUGGCCAAUGUACAGAUAUAGUUUUCAUAGUUGGACAAAUGUAAUUUAUCAUUUGUUGAAUUUUAUACAAAAUUUCUCUUUGAUGAAUAAAUAUAAUUAUUGAAAAUUUUUAAUUAAAGGUUAAAUUAAUUUAAUAUAUGAAACCUUUUGUAAAAGGGAAUUUUAAGGGAAGUUGGAAUGCCAAUUUUUCUGAAAUUUCUCUAAGUGAAAUUGGUUUAUGAGGAGAGUCAAAAUUUUAUUUUUAGAAAUGAAAUUACGAACAUAUUGAUAAAAUAAUUUGCGAGGAAAUGAAGUUAAGAAAAAUUAACUCAGUUGCAUGAUGUUCAUGGCAUUGGGAAUUGAUGAAAUUGCAGGAUUCAACUCCAAGAGGAAAGUCGUGCUGGGAUCGUCUUGGUCUUCACAAAAAAUAAAAUGAAUCAUGGUUUUGAUUACGGGCCCUCUAAUUUGCUUUUGACCUCCUUUUACAAAGCAUAGCUAAAACUAAUAUAUAUUUUCUCUUUUUCUUUGUAUUCAUUGGACUUGUAUACUUUUUGAGACCUAACUAAUAUUCCUUUACUCCACGUUUUACACCAGAGUUGCAAAAUGCUAUGGCUUUAUCUCUUUUGUAACAGAUUUGCAGCCAGUAAUUCUUUUGUGUGCGCGUUUUAUAUAUAUAUAUAUAUAUAUAUAUAUAUAUAUUCUAAGAUAUAUAAAUUAUAUUAGGAUUACUGAUCAUCGAUAAUUUUAAAUAUUUUAAAAAAUAAUUUUAGAAUUUUAGAAUACAAUAAAAUCUUUUUUUUUUUUUUUGCCAUGUGAACGUUGUUUAGGCUCACUUAUUUUUACCACAAUUCUUUUUCUUAAUAUCUACACAAAUUCAAAUAAGGAUAGAGAGGUUUUGGGACAUAUGGAGCAUUAGUUUAUGAUAAUACCACAUAUCAAAGCCGUGAUUGAUGUAAUUAUAAACCUACUCGGUCGAAAUGUGCAUAACGAUGAAACUUUUGUCUUUUUAAUUUAUCAAAAGCAGCCGUAUUCUAAGUGCUAGGCCUUGGAUCAAUCCAAGUCAUCUUGCUUUCCACAAACAUCAAAGCAAACUUAGAAAUUUUAAGUCAGGAAAGCUAUAAUGAUCGUUUUCUAAACGCAAGGAUCAAUCAAGUGGUCUUGGUUUCAUAUACGUCAAAGCAGACUAAGAAAUUUUAGGUGAAGAAUUAAAGCUACCAAAUGCAAGGAUCAAUCAAUCUUCUCGCUUUUCUCCUGGAUCAAAGCAAAUCAUUCAGUUGUCAUACAUUAGAUAGGUAAUUAAGUAGUUGAGGUUGGGUGUAAAAGCUUUUAAUUUCUAAUAAUUUUUUCUUAAGGUAAGGUAAAUUAAAAUCUUUAGUAUAAAAAAGAUAGUACUUUUAAUUUUUUUCUUUAAAAGAUGAAUUUUUUAUAUAAAAAAAUUUUGCAGCCUAAAGAUUGGAAAAUGGAAUACAAGUAUUAGGAUUUAAAUUUUAGACCUGUUGAAUGUUACAUCUUAAGAGUAGUUGUAUAAACUAAAUAAGUUAAACUUUUAAGUUAUAUUGGUCAAGCUAUCUGUUUGAGCCUGAAAGCCUACCAAAAUUUGGGAGGAUUUUGACAUGAAUUUUAGACUUGUUAAAUGAGCUUGGGCCUAAAUUUUAGGUUGGUUUAAAAAAUGUGCCAUGUCUUGAACAUGAAGUAUAAGGCCCAAACCCUACUUGGCCCGAAUAAUUAUUAUAUAUUUUUUAUAUUUAUAUUACAUAAAAAUAAUUAAAUAAUUAAAUAAUAUACAUGUAUAUUAAAGGCGUUUCUUAUAGACAACACCUUCAUUAAUCUCAUACAAUUUUUUAUGAUGUGAUUAUUAAAUGCGUUAUCUGUCAAAAAUACGCCUAAACUAUUCACUGAAAUUUUUAAUAAAAAAUAUUUAAGGUGUUUUAGUCGAGAAUGCCUCUAAUAUAUAGUCUUGGAUGACGUUUAUAAGUAAUAACAUUGCUAUUUGAAUAUUUAUUUGAAUAUUUAUUGGUGUUUGGAUAAUAAAUGCCUUAAGUUUUAUAAAAACACGGAAGCUAGUUGUAUUUGUAAGUGAAAGGCUGCUACAAAAUUAUUGCUAGUAUGCCAUUUUGCUGUAGUGAAUAGAAUGAAAGUUCAUAUACUAAUCUAAUAGUUUUAUUUCUUUAGAUACCAAAUUAACAAAAAAAAUGUAUACUUCAAGGGCUAUUUUUAUAUUUAACUCUUAAUCUUUUUAAGCUUUAAAGUUAUUUAUUAUCCAACACACAUUUUGCAAAAACAUUUCCCAUAAGAUACUUAACAUGUGGUAAACAAAUGUAAUUUUUUACCAAUGUACAAAUAUAAUUUUUGUUGUUGGACAAACUUAAAUUAUCAUUUUGUUGAAUUUUAUACAUCAUUUCACUUUGAUGAGUAAAUAUAAUCAUUUGAAAUUUCUGACUGUACCACUUAUCUUGUAAUACAAAAUGAUCCCACUGUGAGAGCAAUUUUUAUGGUGAAACUUUUUAAUUGACAAAUGAUUGGUGAAUUAAAUGCAAAAUUAUUGGUGUUUCAAGUGCAAGUAGGACCUCAUGCUUAAUUUCCACAAACAUCAAACCAAACUAAGAAAUUUUUAAAACCGUUUUCUAAACGCAAGGAUGGAUCAAGUGGUCUUAGUUUCACAAUGUCAAAGCAUGGUAAUAAAUUUUAAGUAAAGAAAACUAUCAAAUGCAAGGAUGAAUCAUAGUCUUCUUAUUCUUAUCAUACCUUAGAUAGGUAAUUAAAUAGUUGAGGUUAAUUGGGUGUAAAAGCUUCUAAUUUCUAAUUUGUUUUUUCUUAAGGUAAGGAAAAUUAAAAUCUUAAAAAAAAUGAAAUUACACCAGCAUAUGUCUUAGCAUAAUUAAAUGCAUUUUUAAUAUUUUUUUUUUGUUAUUUGAUAGUUCUCUAAAUAAUAUGGUUUUUUUUUUAUAAAUAGUAAUAUUAAUAUGAGAAGGGAUUUAUUUAUACUAAUGUAACUUUUUCCUUUUUUACUCUUGGAUGAAAAUUAAAUUCAUGAUUCAUUUGAAUUAAAAUAAUAUUUUUAAAUUUAGUAAUUUUGAUCUAAAAUUUCAAAAAAGUGUAAGAGUUACACUUGUGUAAAUGGAUCCCCCUUCAUAUUGACGUAGCUAUUAAAAUAUUAAAAUAUUUAUUAUUGAAAUAUUAAAAAUAUUAAUUUUAGUUAUUUUUAUAAUAAUAUUUAAUAUUAAAUACUUGAAAAAUAGGAUUUAUUAUUAAAAUGUUUUUAUAUUAAUAAUUUAAAACAUUUAAAUAUCAUUAUUAUUAUCAUUAUUAAAGUAUAUUUAUUAAAAUUAAAAUUAAAAUAGCAUAUUUAUUAUUAAAAUAUUAAAAAUAAUAUUUAUUAUUAAGUCAUAAAAAGUAUUAUUUAUUUUAUUAUUAAAAUUGUAAUAUAAAAAUCGAUGAAACCUUAGCUUACCACUACUCUUAAAGUCUUAGGUUUAAGUCCCACUAUGUGUGGGUUUGGUGAUUGUUUAGUUAGAUUCUAAUUUGUUUUUUGUUGAUUGAUUAUGAUUGCAAAUUCUUUUAUGUUUGUAAUUUCAAAAAAAUAAAUGAUAUAAAAACAUUUGUCAUUAAGAUAUUAAAUGUACAAUAUAUUUUAAAUUUAAAAUUACAAAGUUUAACUAAGUUAGAACACGGAAAAAUAGAAAAUUGAAGCAGCAACUGGUUUUUUAGCAUUGAGAGGAUGAAUUUAAUUUUCCUUGCAGAGAAAAAAGGUUUAGUCGUGGAAAGAAAGAGAUAAUAGAAAAAAGGGGUCAAAGAACCGAGAGAAGCAAAAAUAGGAACAUAUUUAUAUUUUUAUAAAUAUAAAAACCCUAACCUAAUAAACAUAAAAUUUCUAUAAUAACUCUAUUACAAUAACCCUUUUUUUAUAGAAAGCUCCAAUCAAGCGAAACUAAGAUUCUAGAUAUGUCAGUAUUAAUUUCUUUUGUUGCAAUUGCUUGAAUACAUAAGCAUCAAUCAUCUGUGAGUUUUAUAUAAUAUUUUAUUUUUAUUUGUGACUUGUAAAACUUAUUUUUAGAUCCGUAAAUUUAAAACUCAAUGGGAGUAAAAUAUUUCAAAUCCAUCCUUUAAUUUCAUUAACAACCAUAAAAAUCAAUGAAAUUUGCUACCUCAGUGUCACGUAGCUGUCCACGUAACAACAACCUCAAUUCAAAAGGUCAAAGAGAUUCAAAAUUUUUUUACCGUAUGGACAUUGUUCAGGCUCAUUAUCACAUAUAUUUGUUAUAAAUUACUUAAGGGGAAGAUUAUAUACGUAUAACAACUACACAAAUUUCAUAUACAUAUGACAAUAUAGGGAUUGAAUUAAAAAAAAAAAAAAACUUGAAACAUGCAUAUAUGUAUAAUUUUUGUGUAUGAAAUAUGUAUAUGCAGUAUUCCUUAGGGAUAUGAAUUUUACCCAUACUCAAUGAGAAAUUUGAUUUUUUUUUAUCUAAACAGGAAUAGGAAUAAGUAUUACAUUGUGGUUAUGAAGAUGCAUAUGAUUUUAAAUUUUUAUUUAGUAUGGGGUAGGAGAUGGGUAAUAUAGCACCUUCCCCACACUUGUACCCUACAUAUAUAUUUAGUAUAUAGAUAUUUAAUUAAAUAAUAUAAAUUAUUAUUUUAGAUUAAUUAAAAUUAAUAUAUAUUUAUUGAAAAAAUAUAUAUUAAUAUAUAUUUAUAAAAAAAUUAUCUAAAUAUAUAAGAUAAAAUUAAAAAAAAUUUUAUUUUUUAUUUUUUUAAGCUAUGGGUAUGGGAAUCUCCAUACCCAUUAAAUACCUGUGAAGAUAGGAAUAUGAAUAAAUAUAAAACACCAAUUGAAUAUAGAUACAAAGAUGAAUAUAAUAUAAAAAUCUAAAAAAUAAAGUUAAAAGAUUCUCUAUCAUGCUCAUACCUUAACCAUUAAUAUUUCUAGUUUCUCAUUAGUUAAUUUAUUGUCUUUGGUAAUUAUUUUAAAUUCAUAUCUAUGUUUCGUUCUAGAAAUUUGAUACUCAUUCAUCUUUGUUGAGUAAAAAAUUAAAUUUUUUGUUAAAUAUGAAUAAAAAUAAUAUUUUUAAUUUUAAGUGCAAGCAAGGAUCUAUCAAGUAUCUUAUUUUCCACAAACAUAAAAGCAAAGAAAGAAAUAUUAAAAUAAGAAAAACUAGCAACCGUGUUUCAAGUACAAGGAUCAAUCAUGUCAUCUUGCUUUCCACAUAUCAAAGCAUAUUUUAAGUCAAGAAAGCUAUCGAGCGUGUUCUACGUUAAUGGAUAAUCAAGUCAUGCUGCAUUUCACAAACAUCAAAGCAGACUAAGAAAUUUUAAGUCAUGAAAGCUGCCGACAGUUUUCUAAACGUAAAUCAAUCAAGUCAUCUUAUUUUCCAAAAACAUAAAAGCAGAGAAAGAAAUAUUAAAAUAAGAAAAACUAGCAACCGUGUUUCACGUGCAAGGAUCAAUCAUGUCAUCUUACUAUCUACAUAUCAAAGCAUAUUUUAAGUCAAGAAAGCUAUCGUGUUCUAAGUGCAUGGAUAAUCAAAUCAUCCUGCUUUUCACAAACAUCGAAGCGGACUAAGAAAUUUUAAGUCAAGAAAACUAAUCACCGUUUUCUAAACGCAACUAUCAAUCAAUUAGUCUUGGUUUUACACACAUCAAAGCAGAUCAUUCUCUUGUCGUACCCUAGAUAGGUAAUUAAAUAUUUGAGGUUGGGUGUAAAAGCUUUUCAUUUCUAAUGAUUUUUUUUUAAGCAAAGCAAAUUAAAAUCUUUAUUAUCAAUAUGGCAGAUGAGUUCAUUUUUUUUAAUGUAUUUAAUUUAAUGAUUUAAUUUUAUUAUUUUAAAAAAUUAAUAUUAGUGUUAAUUUUUGGAAACUUUUAACCAAAAAAAUUGUGAAAAUUGGAAGAAGAGAAAAAGAUUUCUAUUGCCACGUUGACAAUUUGCCGUGUAAACACUGCCAUAAUGAUUGUAGAAAAAAAGGGUUUAAUUACAUUACAUGAUGCUCCCAUAACUUAAAAUACCUGUUUUGAAGAAAUAAAAUGGAACUACACCUAUUAAAGAAUAAAACUUUUAUGCACUGCACGUAGGAAAAGAAAAAGAAAAAUGCUCAACUUCUAAUUAGUAAUUUUUUAAUGAUUUUAAGUAAAAAGAAAAGUGCCUACACCAAAAGAAAAAGGGCUAUUAACAAUUGAAACCAAAUGAACCCAAACCAAAGAGAAGACAUUUCACACGGAUGAAUUAAAAUGUUUAGACAGUUUUUUAUUUUUUUCUUUGUGUAUUAAUCUAAUAUAAUUUUUGCAGGAAUAAUUAGAGUCACUAAUAUGAAAGUAUAAUGGGUUUUGAUAAUCCAUAAAUAGCAAAAAUUAUUUUAUAUAUGUUUUAGUUUUUAUUAAUCUCACUGCCUAGCUACUAACUUGUUAUUUUAUUUUUACGAAUUAUGAGUCAAUGAAAAAUACAUGAUGCGUACUAAUUAAAUGUGACAUCAUAUUACUUAAGGAAAAUAUUAUAUACACGUAACAUCUACACAAAUUUCAUAUAGAUAUUAGAAUAUAAGAAUUAAAUUAAAAAGAAUAAAUUUGAAAGAAAAAAAAUAAUGCGUAUGUGUACAAUUUAUUUGUAUGAAAUAUAUGUAAAUGGCACUCCCAAUUUGAAAAUAUUUUUAAAAUAUGAAAAUAUGAUUAUGUAAAUAACUUAAUAAAAAAUAAAUUAAGUUAACAAAUAACUUAAGAUAUGGUUCCUAAAAAAUAUACUUAAAAUGAUCAUGUUAAAAUGACUAUAUAUGCAAGCAAUUGACUGCCAAGCUCAGGAGAGUCCAUUGCCUUAGACUUUUAGGAAAAGCAGUCGAUUGCCAAGGGCAUAAAGUCGACUACUUUGUCAAACAUAAACUAAACUUAGAUUCUAUAUAAAUAGUAGCCGACUAUUAGCUUAGAGCAAUUGAUUGGUACGUCUAAAAAGCGAGUGGACUGAUCCCAAACCCUAAUCCAAUCGACUGCCAGUAGAUGAUAGUCUUAUGGGAAUUUAUCUAUGCUAAAUGCAUUUAAUUGCUAUUAAAGAUGAGUCGACUACUCUAUAGGAGACCAAAUGUGGAACCUUUCUGGAAAUUGAAAGGAGUCAUCUGUUCACUCGGAGAAUGCAUUUUAUAUAAAGAAAUGAGUCGACUAUUUUAUAGAGGAGUAGACUAACCUACUAUGAAAAGCAUUUCAAAAAUUGAAAAUACAAAGAAGCAAUCGUUUGCUUUCUUGGAGCAAUCGACUACUUUGCAUGAAAAAUUGUAAUUUCCAAAAACAGGAUAAAUGGUUUCUCUUAGAAUGAAAAGUUUGAUUAUUUAAAUGAAUAAAUAUGUUUGUAAUCUCUCAAAGAUACAUUUUUAUAAUCAAAAGGAAUUUAUCUUUAAUUGAAACAAUAUAAUAAAAAAAUCACAAUCUUAGGAUUCAAUAUCUAUGAAUAGAUAUUGAUGUGAGUUCAUUUUGUAAUCUAAUUCAAUUCAGAAUUACUUUCUUCUUUCUCCCAAUCUUUUCUCAAUUAAAAGCUUAUUGCUUUGACAUUGUUUGCUGCAGAAAACCUUGUAAAGACAAGAUAUUUUCAUUCCUACUAAAGUAUGUUUAGUGGUUUGUUAUAUUAGUGCAAAGUAUAAACAAACAAGGCUUCAUUUUAUGCAUUUUGGUUCAUCCCUUUUGCAUGCUAUAACUAGUUGGGUUGAUAUAAGCAUUAAGAAAAGUGACAUUUAUAGCACACUUUGAAGUAAUUUUGUUCAUAUUUGAAGGUCCAUGAUUGCUCAACUCUAACUAUUCAUCAAGAAGUUAUAAGAAGUUCUUAAAUUGUCAAAACAUUUAAGUAUUUACAAAUUGUAUCUUAUAGCUUUAUAUUACAAUAUUUUUCUAACAUUCUUAAGGUUUUGUUUCAAGCAAUAUGGACAAGUUCAAUUCCAUAAAAGAGAUGACAACCAACUUUUAAAUCUUGGACUGGUUUGAUGGAAGCAACAUCCUGAGGUGGCAAUUGUAGAUGCCCUAUUUAAUUUGAAAUCAUUUGUAAAUUCCAAUUUUUGUUUUUAUUUGUUUAUUUAUUUAUUUAUUUAUUUUAUCUCUUUUUUGUUUGCACUUUCAAUUGACUCCUUGAGUUAUAGUGUGUAGUUGAUUGUGGGGCAUAACAUUGUGGCUCUUGUUGGAUUAUUGGGAUUAAGUUGGCCCUUGUUGGAAUUCUUGGGCUGUGAUAGGUUCUAAACCAAGCCUAACUCCUAUUUUUUAUGAAUUUUAUUUUUUAUCUGAUUUAUCUCUUCUGUAAAAAAAAAAAAUUGAAAUUGAAAAGUCGGGAAGAUAAACAAAAUGAUAAAUAAAGAGAAGGAAAUCAGAUGAAUUUUGAUAAUGAUUUCUGUGAAGAUAAGUUGAAUCUUUUAAGAAUAAAGGAUAAGAUAAUUUUUAAAAUUAACCCAAUCAAUAUUUUGUUUCGAUUUAGAUUCUAAGCGAGCUGGGACUAAAGGCUUAUAUAAGCAACAAUAAUUGAAUACAAUAUACACAACAAGUAAAGGCAAUGGCAGAAGUAGAAAGCAAGUAAAAAAAAAUUUCGAUAGUAGGCCAUGGGUUCUUAAUUUGAAGAUUUUUUCUUUUUGCAAUUUUAGUUAUUUGAAUCAGUUUAAUUUGUAAAAAUUAGUGUUAUUAAGGGAUUAAAGAGCGCACAAAGAUCCAAGUUGAAUUUUUAGCAUUUUUUUUGAAGAAUUUAGAAAAUUUUAAAUUUUUUGACGAAUUUUAAAUUUUUUAGUGAAAUUCACAGUUUUUAGUGAAACUUGAAUUUUCCUAUGGUUUUGAGCAUGAUUGGUUCACUGCGAAUCAUUUUCUUGGAGAUAGUUGUGUUACAAACCAAUUUUGCAGUUUGUAAUCUGAGUAUUAAUGUUACAAACUAAUUUUAGCAUGAAUGGCGUGUCCUGGCUUUACCAUUUACUCUCUUUGUUUUAUUUUUUUUUGGUUUAAAAUUUUUAUGAAUGUUUCGAAAUUUUAUAUUUUUUAAUAUCUAAAAUUUUUAUCUUUUUAUCUUUUAAAAUUAUUUAUUAUUAUUUAUUUUUUACAUUAAAAAUAAAAAAUUUUAAUUUUAAUAUUAAAUAUAUUAAAAUUAAUUUUUUUUUUUGAAUUCUGUGAAAAUCAAUCAUCAUUAUUCUCCAGAGAGAGAUGAUAAUGAAUGGAAUGCAAUCAAGCUCGGGUUUUAAUUCAUUCAUCAAUCAUCAAUCUGCUGGACGUGCUCUAUUAGCACUUGUCUUCUGUAUACUGUUUCUAUGACAUGGUUUCCCAUGUUAAGGGUCCGACCAACAUUUUACCUAUUAUGACUCACUGUCACUUGUAAUUAUCUAUACCCUAUAUAAAAACUAUAGCCUUACUAAAAAAAUUGUUCCCAUAUUAUUUUUUUAAAAUUUUUUCCUAGUUUGAAAUAAAGGAUAAUAUUUCAUUGAAGCUAGAGGUGAGAAAAUUAGUUCAUUUUGAGUUGGUUCAUUUUGGAUAAAAAAAUGAAUUAUUUUAUAUUUGAAUUAAGUUGAGUGCAAAUUAAAAAAUGAUUGUAUUAUGUUGAGUUUGGAUCAAAUCAAGUUCAAAUUAAAAACUUUGAAUCAUUUCAAUUUUGAGGUAUUUCAAGUUGAUUGGAUUAAUUAAGAUUUAGAUCAAUUUUAGUUCAAAUUAUUUGGAUUUCGGAUUUGACUCUCGAAUUAUUGAGGUUUAAUAUUUUAGUUAUUUAUAUUUAAUUUGUUAACAUUUAAAAUUUAAUAAAUAUAAUUAAAUUUAUAAAAAUUAAAAUAUCAAAGUUAAAUGAUUCAAAAGUAAUUUGUUAAUAAUAAGAAAUUAUGUCAUGUUUAAUAUAAAAUUAAUUUUAUUCAUGAUAAAAAUUUAUUAAUGACUUUUAAUUUAUUAAUAUUCAAUAUUUAUUAUUAGUAAUUUAUAUCGAUAUUUUGUAAUCAUACUUGUCC